GGCGAUUGGGCCUUUCCCUGAGUUGGGUGUGCUUAAUGAACUGUUGGACCUCGGCCAACCCCACCUGCGCUGGGUGCAUCAUCUGGUAUCAGAGCUAGGACCCAUUUUAAGAAAGUGGGAAUGAUGAGGACAUCCUCCACUAUUACCCGUUGGCAAAGACGCAAUUGGCCCAGUUGGCCCAAUUGUAGUCGGACGGUGACCGUGUGAGCCUCAGAAUUAUCCCACCUCGCUUAACUUGGGAGGAGGAAACCACUUUAAAAGGGAGAGCCACUCUUCCCCCAUUAGACUAGUCUUUUGGGGCGAUUGGGCCUUUCCCUGAGUUGGGUGUGCUUAAUGAACUGUUGGGCUCUGGGCAACCCUAAUUUGUUGGGCCUCGGCCAACCCCACCUGCGCUGGGUGUAUCACUUCCCCUCGCUACUCGGGUCGCACCACAGGCCAGUCUCCUCCCACUCCUGCACCGCCAUAGAUUGCAAGAGCAAGUCCAGUAAAGUGUCGCGAGCUCAGCAGCGACGUCCAUGGCCGCGCUCGCUACUGCCACCGACGACAACAGCUCAGACCAAACGACAGCACGGCACGAAAACGUUGCAUGAAGCCUCCCUUGCCUUGUUGGGUUCAAUUUCUCUCUUUUUUUGCAGCUACGGUCCCAGAUCGAAGCCGUUGAAUGAAGCCUCCCCUUGUCUUGUUGGUUUCAAUUUCUCUUUUUUGCGGCUUGAAUCAGAUUAGCCAUGAGGUCAUGGGUUCCUCCAUGUUGAUAUCGUUAGUGCACAUGAGGUGUUUGAUGGAAUGUCCAUGAGCCAUGCCGUGCAUUGCUGCUAUUUUUUUGUUCAGUCCAUGUGACUUUUUGGCUCAAACUGUUGUUGAGAAUAAUUAUGUAUUAUUGCUGCCAUGCAUCCCUCAAAUGUAUACGUUCGCAAAUUUUUAUUAUUGAAUAAUUAUUAAUACUGCAAUUUCUAUAGUUGUACGUUGAAACCAAGUGCAAAUUUUUAUUAUUGAAUAAUUAUUAACACUGUAGAUAUAGAGCACCAAAUUUAAAGAACGUUGAUGAAGACGAAGAAGAUACAGAGGACUGUAUCUUUUAGAUGGCACUGUAAAUAACAGAGAAUAUUCUUUUAGGGACGAAAUUUAGAGAACAUUGUUAGAGACAGCCUUAUUAUUUCGCGCUCAUAUAUUUCUCUCAAUCAUAUUAAUACUCUCUCCGCCCAAAAUAUUGUUAUUUCUAGCCCUCUUUUUUUUGUCCACGUUCAAAUAAAUAAAAAUGAAUUAGACAUACAUAUCAACCACAUUCUUAGAUAUACUAAUAAAUGUUUACUCUAAAAGGAUUACUAUUUUAAGAUGAAGGGGUACAUUUCUUCUCAUAAUAAAAAAUGAUGCAUUACAUCAUGUUCGAUCCAACGCGCACAGUUAAAAAAUAGCUUAGAGAACAUCAAUAACUUUGAUGGUAGUAGAUAUUUACAGUACAUUGGCAGCAGCAGCAGCACAAAUAUCUUAGAGAAUACAACCUUAGUUUGGAAGCCACAAAACCAGAGGAGCUAAAUUCCUCUUAUUCAAAAUUGAAUAAAAAGGAUGAAUUUAGCUCCUCCAAUUUACUCCGGUUUUAUGGCUCCUAGAGAAUCUCAUUUUUUUCAAGGGAUUUCUUUCUAUUUUCUCAAAAGAAAAUUAAUUCAUUUUCACUUGAAAAAAUAUGAAUCUCUUGAAAAAAUAGAGUUACCAAACUAGUCCUAACAGUAUUUCAGAGGCAAGGUAUUGUUCCCAUUAUGGGAAGGGAAUGGAGUUUCUACCUCAUCCUACAUCAGAUUUCGUUCUGAUUAUUGGGCUCCAGUCAUCAGCCGGCGGCAUAUAAUGCUGUGGCCUGAGGUCACAAAUAAUUGCAGUGUCCAGAUGGAGCUCCAAUCUAGCUUCCACACGCCAGGCACUCUUCCCGGUUGUUAAAAGAACAGACCAUUUGUGCCAUUUUAGCUUCUACGUCUUCCUCUGUGGGCUUUCCAUCAUUCAUCUGCACAUGGUGAGUCAUGUUUUAGUAACUUUUCAGGAAAAAGAUUCAUUGUGCAUGCUGAGUUAUGUUUUAGUAACUUUUGAGGGAAAAUAUUCUAGGACUAAAGGAAAGAAAAUAUACCCCAUUCCCAUUCUCCUUUAGAAGUGUGGUAUCGACGGUAAACUUGAUUGCAUCAGCAGCAGCUCGUGUGCGUAGAUAGUACAUUCCAGUUUUCAGGCCCUGGCAUUGAACAAGAUUAGGAAAAACAAACCACUAGUUUUAUAGGUCAAAUACGAACUCCAUAAGGAUAAGAUAAUUGCUGUGAUGGCUGGAGGUUCAAUACCUUGGACCAAGCAUGGAAGUGAAGUGAUGUUAGCUUCCCAAAGUUUGCUUGCUCCAUGUGGACGUUGAGGCUCUGGCUCUGGUCAAUAUAGCAUCCACGGUCAACCGCCAUAUCAACUAAAGUUUUCUGCUUGAUCUCCCAAACAGUCCUGGUGCAAUAAUUGUAUAUAAACUUUAGAAGCUCAAACAGUAAAUUAGUAAUCGAAUUUUAUAGGAAAUAAUGGCAUCUGGUUGAAAUACAUACUUGUAGAUUGCUUUCAGAUCAUCUGGGAUUUCUGCUAUCUUUUGGACAGAACCAUCAUCAUAUAUUAUCUGGUUUUUCAGAGUAGGAGUCCAAAUGCCCAUUUCAGUCAAAUCAUGAAGAAGAUGCUUGUUAACCACAACAAAUUCCCCACUGGAAUAAAAAUAGAAAGAUCAAUCAUAUAUGCACAUGUAAGUCAAAAUGUAAACACUCUAAAGAAGUAAAGAGUAUUGUUACAGACCUUAGAACCCGUCGACUGUAAAUAUUAGAUGUGUAGGGUUCAAAGCACUCAUUGUUGCCAAGAAUCUGACUAGUGGAAGCAGUGGGCAUUGGAGCAACAAGAAGAGAAUUUCUUAUCCCAGCUUUAGAAAUGGUCUCCCUUAGAGAUGGCCAAUUCCACCUGGUAGAUGGCACUACAUUCCACAUGUCAGGUUGAAGAAUGCCCUACAAAGCAGGUACAGAGCAAGCUUUGGCUGUCAAUGCAUAGAAAUUUGAGAAUAAAACAAACAUAAAUCUUCAUCAUGAACAUAAAUAUCACAAGACACUAAGCAUAAGUAAUUGAAAAGGAGAAAGGAGAACCUUGCUAACAGGGCUCCCUUCAUAUGUUUCAUAGGGACCUUCUUUAACAGCAAGUUCAGCAGAAGAUUUCAGAGCAUGAUAGUAGAUAGUUUCAAAUAUAUCCUUAUUCAACUGAUGAGCCUGAAAAUAUAAAACCAUUUGUUACAUAUCAACUAAUUACAGAAAGGAACAUAUGGUUAAUGAUGAGCUACAUAGAAAUGGAAAGGUACCUCUAGUGAAUCAAAUGGCAUGCCCAAUAAUAUGAAAGUAUCGGCCAGGCCUUGAACACCUAUGCCAAUUGGCCUGUGACGCAUAUUUGAUCUCUUUGCUGUCUCAACAGGAUAGUAAUUAAUAUCGAUAAUUUUGUUAAGAUUGUAAGUAACAGUUGAGGUAACCUGCCAAAAUCGAUAAUGUAUCAGAACAUUCAUCAACAUAGGUCAGAAUAGCAGAUCUAAGACAAAGGAUCUGAACAAACCUCAGCCAGCUUCUCAAAAUCAAAAUAUCUAUUUUUCGAAUCACUGCUACCCACAAGCUUAGAUGGAUGGGACUCUAAUGGAACACCCUGUAAAGCAAGUUUAUAUGGUGCAUCAGAAUAAAACCUUCAUGAUUGACUUGAGCUUUAGGACUGACAAGAUAUACCUUUUCCCGAACAAAACGAGGUAAAGCAAUAGAUGCUAGGUUGCAGACAGCAGUUUCAGUAGGGCUUGUAAACUCAAUUAUCUCAGUGCACAAGUUUGACGAUUUAAUUGUGCCCAGAUUCUGCUGGUUACUUUUCCUAUUGCAAGUAUCCUGCAUACAGUUAAUAGCCAUUACAAGAAAUCCUUAACUGGAAACUUUUGGCAAAAGAGACAAAAAUAGGAGGUACUCCUAUUUGAUAGCCACUAAAUGUACCUUGUAAAGCAUAUAAGGUGUACCAGUCUCUAUUUGUGCCUUCAAAAUGUCAAACCAGAGGGUCUGUGCAGGAACAACUUUCUUUGCCUUGCCCUGAAUCCAGAAAGCAAGGUUAGUAAAGCACAUUCCCAUUUCAAUAAAGCGUACAUACAAAUACAGUGUUCACUUUUCAGCUUACUUGGCUCUCAUAUUUCUUGUACAAAUUAUCAAACUCCUCACCCCAGCAAUCAGCCAACCCUGGAGCUUCAUUAGGGCAAAACAAUGACCAUUCUCCAUUACUCUGGACUCUUUGCAUGAAUAGAUCAGGAACCCAUAGCGCAUAGAAAAGAUCCCUUGCACGAUUUUCCUCCUGUUAAAAUAUUGUUCAGAAUAGCAGGUCUUUGAGAAUUUUCGAUGCUAACCACUCAUAAGUUGAGCAGACGAUGCUGUGUUAGACACAGAUGGCAGGCAAAUGAUGAUAUACUUAUUCUAUGAUAGCAGCAUGCAGGCUAAGCUAUCAAGAAGUUUAGAUAUCAUGCAGAAAAAACUAGAGUAACUAUCUUUAAGACAUUAGCUUGAAUAAAAAAACUAUGACGAGUAACUGUCUCUAUAAGACAUUAGCUUGAAUAAAAAGCUAAGACUUGAACAUACAUAUAUAAGGAAGACACUCUGCACAAGGAUCAAUUUUAUGCAGGAAUCAGGAUAGCAGUAAGCAUAUAUAAAGCCAAAUUAUUGUUGGAGUUCAAAAGACAAAGAUACUCUGUUUUUCAUACAUGGAAAUAAUUAAAUACUAAUGGUCGAGAUUUUACCUUCCCAUGGUUCUUUCUUAGAUCAAGGAACUCGAAAAUAUCAGCAUGCCAAGGCUCCAAGUAUACAGCAAAUGCACCUAAGUUUUAGAAGCUCAUAAGAAUUUCUGAAGACGAUGUUACUAAAAGUGGAAAUAAUGAAAAAAAGCAUACCCUUUCUUUUCCCACCACCCUGAUCAACAUAACGAGCAGUAUCAUUAAAGACUCGUAACAUAGGCACAAUUCCAUUUGAUGUUCCAUUUGUUCCUCGUAUGUAACUCCCAGUAGCACGAAUAUUAUGAACUGAGACACCAAUUCCUCCAGCUGAUUUGCUUAUUACAGCACACUCCUUCAGGGUUUCAUAGAUUCCCUCAAUGCUGUCAUCUUUCAUGCAUAUAAGAAAACAGCUGCUUAACUGCAUCACAGAAAAGAAACAGUAAGUAAACAAUUUCAACCCACAAUGACAUCGUCUGGCAGGAAGCAAGACAGUACUUGGGGCCUCGGUGUGCCAGCGUUGAAAAGUGUUGGUGAUGCAUGUGUAAACCAGCGCUGGGACAUCAGAUGGUACGUCCUAAUGGCAGACUCAAUGUCUUCCUUGUGUAUUCCCACUGAAACCCUCAUCAGCAUGUGCUGAGGCCUUUCAACGACCUUCCCACCAAGCUUCAAGAGGUAAGACCUCUCCAGAGUUUUGAAGCCAAAGUAGUCAUAGUCGAAAUCCCUAUCAUAAAUUAUUUCACUGUCCAAGCGAGCAGCAUUCUGAAAUGUAACAGCAUUUGGAGCGAUAUGAGGGCCAAUUUACAUCAAGGUGAGUGAAGGGCACAACAGAUUUACUGUAUGAGAUAAACAACCUUAAUAAAAAAAGGAAUGCAACAGUAAAUUCAACUGCCAGAAACACAUCGGCAUUAUCUACACAGAUGCUCUGUCAGAAAUGUGCCAGGAGCAACUAGAAUCUCACAUUCAUGAUGAUUUCAUAAACAUCUUCAGCGACCAGAGGGGCCAUCAGCCCAGACCUCUCGUUAAAGUGCCUGUACAUGUCCUUAAUCCUGCAUCCACAACGGCCACAUUCCAACUCACAACCCAAUCCAACUAAUCCAGCCUUCACCCUGACAAUAUGAAUGAAUGAAAUUAAACCAAAUUGAGCUGCCACUUACGUCUCCGAGAAGGACUUCUUUGUGUUCUUGUGCAGGUUAGACACAGCAAUCCUCGCCGCCAACUUCACGAAUCACGAUAGAGAAGAGAGGAAACCAACCCCACGUCAGGACAACAAAGACAGACAUGAGAGUUGAAACCAAGGGGGGAUUUCACGGUGGGUUCCUCACCGAGGCGUAGUCGGGGUGGGACGCAGUCAUGGCCGCCGCGGUCUCGGCGGCGAGCUCGUCGAGCUGGCUGGUGGUGACGCCCUUGUAGACCCCCGCGCAGACCUUCUGCGCGACGAGCACCGGGUCGCAGUGGUCCUGGCUAAGGCCGUAGCUGAGCUUCUUGAGGCGCGCCGUGAUCUUGUCGAAGUGCACUGUCUCCUGGCGGCCGUCCCGCUUGACCACGUACAUCUUCCGCGGUGGCGAAAACUCCCGUCGAACACCUGGUGCGCGCGCCUACGCCGCCGCCGGGACGAGAGAACGCGAGCAGAGGAUUGUAUUGAGGUGGGGCGGGGGGAGGGGCAGGGAUGGGAGGGGGGCAGUAGGGUUUGGGGGCGGAUUUAAACGCCUUCGCGGCGCGGAAAGAGGCAAAGAGUAAGUAAUGAAGCGGAGCUGGAGGUGGAGGUUUUUUUUUAUGCGCGCUGGAGAAGAAAAUGUAUGGGUUUGGAUUGUUGUCUAUUUGGAGGAUUUUUCCUUUAUUUUCCAACUAAAAACGGCAGCAGAAAUAGACAUAAAAAAAUAAAAGGGUGCUGACCGUGCUUGGCAAUAAGGCCCAAAGGCAAACAGCCCAGCCUCCCACGAUCUGCCACGAGCCGGGAGGCUCAGAGGGCCUCGCAAGGGGAGGCGAGCUCGGACGGCGGUGUGCUGACCGCUUCUUGCGCAUCUGACUCUUUUCACCUCUAUUUGAGUGGCUGCUCCAUCUAUAGGUGUAUAUUCGGGCCGCCCGGCCCGGCCCGGUCCGAAUCAAGUCUGAAAAGGCCCGUAUUGUUUGAAUUUCAAGCCGGUCCGACUCGUUUGAAUUUCAGGCCGUGCAGGGCCGGCCCAUGGGCCUAGCCCUCGGCCUAUGGCCCGGCCCGUAAUUGCUUAAACGUGUCGGGCUUAUUUCGGGCGGCCCGAAAUUAUAAAAGCCUGAAAUUCACAUUAGGGUCCGAAAUUCAGUUUUUGGCCCGAAAUUCACAUCAGGGCCCGAAAUUCAAAACAAAUUUAAUAAAACAAAUAAAAGAUAAGACAAAUAAAUUUGACCAAAAGCAAACUUAAUAUUUGUAUUAAGUUACUAGAGCUAUGCAAUAACUACCUCGUUUACAAAUCAUUUUGUUAGAAAGAAAAAGAGUAUAAUCAGCUCUAAAUAAAGUUCGUAAGUUCAGUUUAUUAUCUAAUGUUCAUAACAAAAAAUAAAAUUACAUCACAUACUCUAAUUCAAAGCUACAAAAAAUAUUUAACUAACAUUAUCUAUAGCUUUGUGUUCUUUAUCAAGUAAAUGAAAGUGUGGAAUGAAGUGUGAUUUUAAUAAAUAUAUGGGUCUUUUCGUGCCUCUAUAUGGGCCAUUUCGUGUCUGCCUUAAACGGGUCGUGCUCGUGCCCGCCCAUGGGCCGUGACCUCGGCCCAAACCCAGCCCGAUAUAUCGGGCCGUGCCGGACGGCACUAAAAUAUUUCGUGUCGUGCCUGAGCCGUGCUUUUUUUUCGUGCUUCGGGCCGGCCCAUCAGGCCCGGCCCAAAUGUACACCUAUAGCUCCAUCUAGUUCACCAUGGAUCCGCUCGAUUCCGGGUGUCCUGGCCUUCAUUCCCUUUAAAUCCAUCGUGUGGUGGUGUCGUUUAUCCAACUAGUAUCCGUGUUGCAGUGGAUUAAGGCUUUGUUUGGGUACUCUAGGAAUAAGAGAGAAUGGAGUGGAUUGAGAUGUAUCGUGAGAGUUUUUGACCUAUUGAGGAUUUAAAUACCCUCUAAUCCCUCCAAACCACUUCAAUCCAAGAGUAUCCAAACUAGGCCUAAGAGGGGAUCGGGUUGUGCUGGUCUCGUCUGGGACGUCGGCUUUCUGUUCUACCCCGGUGGUGGUGGUAUGGCGUUGUUGCUGUUGUGUCUUGGUGGUUGCUAUGUACGUGCUUGUGCCUGUGUGGUGUUGCACGUUGACAAUCUGGUUGUUGUCGACCGUGGCCUAGUACUUAGGCUUCCUGUUGUAUUAUUGAAUGGAUAAGUCACUAAGCACUUGAUUUGAUUUUGGAACUUGGAGAGGAUUUGAUGCUUUGAUUAUGUCUUUGAAGUGUAUUCUUUUGCUCUAGUAUCGAAUGGAGAAGUUUCAAUGCUUAGAUGGCUUGAAUGGUAGUGGUUGGGGGUAUUUAUAGCCCCAACCAUUAUUUCAACCGUUGAUGUUGAUGGGCACACCGGACAGUCCGGUGGUGCACCGGACAUUGCACUGUUCAAUGUCCGGUGAGUGUCACGUCAGCCGACCGUUGGGGUUUGGAGCUGUUGAUCGUUGGAGUCUUCUGUCUUCUUGCGACACCGGACUGUCCGGUGUGUUCUGACCAUGCAGACUGACUUCUGCUCUUCUGCAAUCAGCAUAGUCGACCGUUGGGCGAAGUUGAUCGUUGCUCCGUUGUCUCAUCGGACAGUCCGGUGGUGCACCGGACAGUCCGAUGAAUUUUAGCGAAUGAUUGCCGAGAAAACCCGAGAGCGUCCAGUUCACGGAGGUCUCCAGCCUGGGCACCAGACACUGUUCGGUACGCCACAGGCUGCAGUAAUUAUGUUUGCUCCAAACUUUGUAGAAUUGUUAUGCGGUCAUAUUCUUUGUAUGUUUAUGUGAACUUUAUGCACCUGAUAAAAAUAAUAACUAGGCAAACUAGUUAGUCCAUAUAGUUUGUGAUGGACGUCAAACACCAAAAUCUAUUAUAGGAAAUGUUGAGGCCAUUUCCCUUUCAAUCUCCCCCUUUUUGGUGAUUGAUGCCAACACAAACCAAAGCAAAUGUGAAGUGUAGAAAUGUAACUAAUUUCCAAUUUGUCAGAUGUGCAUCAGUUACUUUGAAAUGAAAACAGUUUUAAACAAAUAUGGUUCCUUUGAUCUAGUUUAACAUUUUGGACCACAUUUGCACCACUUAGUUUUGUUUUUCAAAUCUUUUGGAAAAGUCUUUUAAAAUUCUUUUGCAAAUAGCCAAUGGUACAAGAAUAUGAUUUCUAAAAGCAUUUUCAAGUUUUUGAAAAUUCUUCCCCUGUUUCAAAUGCUUUUUCUUUGGCUAAAUAAAAGCUCCCCCUGAAAAGGUUCUCCCCUUAGCUAUCAAGAGGGUUUUUGAAAUUUGAAUAAUCUCUCUCCCUUUUUGAAAAGGUUUUUAGAAAACAGGGUGUUGGUGUGGUCCUUUUGCUUUGGGCCUAUUACUCUCCCCCCCUUUGGCAUCAAGCGCCAAAACGAAGAGAACUAGAGGCCUAUUACUCUCUCCCAAAAAAGAUAUGAGUGAAAGUUCAUGAGUAGGGCAAAGGAUAAAUGAUACCGACAGAGUCAUAGUAGAAGCCUUGCCUCUGCCGAAUACUCCAUUUUCCUUUCAAUCUAAGACUAAGGAUAGUAAUACGCUUGAAAGUACAUUAGUCUUAGUUUUGGUACAAGAAGAAUAAGGAAUAUGCAUUUGUACCAAAUGAAAUAGACAUGAUCAAAGGUAUAUAAAUAAGCUAUGUGUGCAAGAUCUCAAGUAAAGUUUCGAGAGUCAAUAAUAUUGAGUUCAUUCCUAAGCUUGCUAAAAGUCUUUUCAUCUAGGGGCUUAGUGAAGAUAUCGGCUAAUUGGUUGUGUGUGCUAACAUAAGCAAUUUCGAUAUCCCCCUUUUGUUGGUGAUUUCUCAAAAAGUGAUACCGGAUAUCUAUGUGUUUAGUGCAGAUGUGUUCAACGGGAUUAUCCGCCAUGCGGAUUGCACUAUCAUUAUCACAUAGGAGAGGGACUUUGCUCAACUUGUAGCCAUAGUCCCUAAGGGUUUGCCUCAUCCAAAGUAAUUGUGCACAAUAAUGUCCUGCAGCAAUAUACUCGGCUUCGACGGUGGAUAGAGCUACUGAGUUUUGUUUCUUUGAAGCCCAAGACACCAGGGAUCUUCCCAGAAACUGACAAGUCCCUGAUGUGCUCUUCCUAUCAAUUUUACAUCCGGCAUAAUCGGCAUCGGAAUACCCAAUUAGAUCAAAGGUAGAUCCCUUAGGGUAACAAAGCCCAAACUUAGGAGUGUAAACUAAAUAUCUCAUGAUUCUUUUCACGACCCUAAGGUGAACUUCCUUAGGAUUUGCCUGGAACCUUGCACACAUGCAUACGGAAAGCAUAAUAUCUGGUCGUGAAGCACAUAAAUAGAGUAAAGAACCUAUCAUCGAAUGGUAUACCUUUUGAUCUACGGGUUUCCCUCCCGUGUCGAGGUCGAGAUGCCCAUUUGUUCCCAUGGGUGUCUUGAUGGGUUUGGUAUUCUUCAUUCCAAACUUCUUGAGUAUAUCUUCAAUGUAUUUAGUUUGGCAGAUGAAGGUGCCCUCUUGGAGUUGUUUGAUUUGGAAUCCAAGAAAAUACUUCAACUCCCCCAUCAUUGACAUCUCAAAUUUCUGUAUCAUAAUCCUACUAAACUCUUCACAAGACGACUUGUUAGUAGACCUAAAUAUAAAAUCAUCAACAUAAAUUUGGCAAAUAAAUAAGUCUUUAGCAAUUGUUUUAGUAAAGAGAGUAAGGUCAGCUUUUCCAACUUUGAAGCCAUUAGUGAUAAGAAAGUCUCUCAGGCAUUCAUACCAUGCUCUUCGGGCUUGUUUGAGCCCAUAAAACACCUUUGAGAGCUUAUAAACAUGUGUAGGAUACUCACUAUCUUCAAAGUCAGGCCGAUUAUGCCGGAUGUAAACUAAAUAUCUCAUGAUUCUUUUCAUGACCCUAAGGUGAACUUCCUUAGGAUUUGCUUGGAACCUUGCACACAUGCAUACGGAAAGCAUAAUAUCCAGUCGUGAAGCACAUAAAUAGAGUAAAGAACCUAUCAUCGACUGGUAUACCUUUUGAUCUAUGGGUUUACCUCCCAUGUCGAGGUCGAGAUGCCCAUUUGUUCCCAUAGAUGUCUUGAUAGGUUUGGUAUUCUUCAUUCCAAACUUCUUGAGUAUAUCUUGAAUGCAUUUAGUUUGGCAGAUGAAGGUGCCCUCUUGGAGUUGUUUGAUUUGGAAUCCAAGAAAAUACUUCAACUCCCCCAUCAUUGACAUCUCGAAUUUCUGUAUCAUAAUCCUACUAAACUCUUCACAAGACGACUUGUUAGUAGACCCAAAUAUAAAAUCAUCAACAUAAAUUUGGCAAAUAAACAAGUCUUUAGCAAUUGUUUUAGUAAAGAGAGUAGGGUUAGCUUUUCCAACUUUGAAGCCAUUAGUGAUAAGAAAGUCUCUCAGGCAUUCAUACCAUGCUCUUGAGGUUUGUUUGAGCCCAUAAAGCGCCUUUGAGAGCUUAUAAACAUGUGUAGGAUACUCACUAUAUUCGAAGUCGGGAGGUUGCUCAUCAUAUACCUCUUCCUUGAUAGGGCCAUUGAGGAAGGCACUCUUCACAUCCAUUUGAUACAACUUAAAGCCAUGGUAAGUAGUGCAAGUAAAAUGCGAAUUGACUUAAGCUUAGCUACGGGUGCAUAGGUUUCAUUAAAAUCCAAACCUUCGACUUGUGAAUAUCCUUUGGCAACAAGUCAGGCUUUGUUCCUAGUCACCACACCAUGCUCAUCUUGUUUGUUGCGGAAUACCGACUUGGUACCUACAAUAUUUUGGUUAGGACGUGGAACUAAAUGUCAUAUCUCAUUCCUCAUGAAGUUGUUGAGAUCCUCUUGCAUUGCCACCACCCAGUCUGGAUCUCUUAGUGCAUCCUCUAUCUUGUAUGGCUCAAUAGAAGACACAAAAGAGUAAUGUUCACAGAAAUGAGCAACUCGAGGUCGAGCGAAUACCCCCUUGUGGAUGUCACCAAGAAUGGAGUUGACAGGGUGAUCUCUUUGAAUUGCUGGUGGACUCUUGGGUGCGGUGGUCUUUGAUCCUGAAUCUCUUGUUCAUCCUCCUUUUCUUGAUCAACUUCAUCUCCCCCUUUAUCAAUGUCCUCUUCUUGAGGUGGCUCAUUAUCUUCAUAUUGAUCCUCUUCUUAUUCAGCCAGUUCCUCAUCUUGAGUUGGUGGAGAUGCUUGUAUGGAGGAUGAUGGUUGAUCUUGUGCUUGUGAAGGCUCUUCGGGUUCUUUUGGACACACAUCCCCAAUGGACAUGUUCCUUAGCGCGACGCAUGGAGCCUCUUCAUCAUCUAGUUUAUCAAGAUCAACUUGCUCUACUUGAGAGCCGUUAGUCUCAUCAAACACAAUGUCACAAGAAACUUCAACUAAUUGAGUGGACUUGUUGAAGACUCUAUAUGCCCUUAUGCUUUAGUCAUAGCCAAGUAAAAAGCCUUCUACUGCUUUGGGAGCAAAUUUAGAAUUUCUACCUCUUUUGACAAGAAUAAAGCAUUUGCUUCAAAAAACUCUAAAAUAAGAAACAUUUGGCUUUUUACCAGUGAGGAGUUCAUACGAUGUUUUCUUGAGGAUUCGGUGUAGGUAUAGACGGUUGAUGGAGUAGCAAGUGGUGUUAAUCACUUCCGCCCAAAACCGAUCCGGUGACUUGUACUCAUAAAGCAUGGUCCUUGCCAUAUCUAGGAGAGUUUUAUUCUUUCUCUCCACAACACAAUUUUGUUGAGGUGUGUAGGGAGAAGAGAACUCAUGCUUGAUGCCCUCCUCCUCAAGAAAUCCUUCAACUUGAGAGUUCUUGAACUUCGUUCCAUUAUCGCUUGUAAUCUUUUUUAUUCUUAAUCUGAACUCAUUUUGAGCCCGUCUCAAGAAUCUCUUUAAGGUCUCUUGGGUUUGAGAUUUUUUCUGCAAAAAGAACACCAAGUGAAGCAAGAAUAAUCAUCCACAAUAACAAGGUAAUUCUUACUCCUGCCGAUGCUUAUGUAAGCAAUCGGGCCGAAUAGAUCCAUGUGGAGUAGUUCAAGCGGCCUUUCGGUCGUCAUGAUGUUCUUGUGUGGAUGAUGAACUCCAACUUGCUUUCCUGCUUGACAUGCGCUACAAAUCCUGUCUUUCUCAAAAUGAAAAUUUGUUAGUCCUAAAAUGUGCUCCCCUUUAGAAGCUUGUGAAGAUUCUCCAUCCCAACAUGAGCAAGUCGGCGAUGCCAGAGCCAGCCCAUGUUAGUCUUAGCAAUUAAGCAAGUGUCUAGUUCAGCAUUAUUAUCAUUGAAAUCAACCAAAUAUAGCUGACCAUCUAACACUCACUUAAAAGCUAUUGAAUCAUCACUUCUUCUAAAGACGGUAACACCAGUAUCGGUAAAAAGAUAGUUGUAACCCAUUUUGCAUAAUCGAGAAACAGAAAGCAAGUUGUAAUCUAAAGAAUCUACAAGAAAACAUUAGAAAUGGAAUGGUUAGGAGAUAUAACUAUUUUACCCAAACCUUUGACCAAACCCUGAUUUCCAUCCCCGAAUGUGAUUGCUCUUUGGGGAUCAUUGUUUUUCUUAUACGAGGAGAACAUCAUUUUCUCCCCUAUCAUGUGGUUUGUGCACCCGCUAUCGAUUAUCUAACUUGUCCUGCCAGAUGCAUAAAGCUACAAAACAAAUUUAAGCCUUGUUCUUAGAUACCCAAACAGUCUUGGUUCCUUUUAAAUUAGAAACAAGCACCUUGGGUACCCAAACACAAGUCUUAGGACUCUUGUGUUUGUCUCCAACAUAUUUGGCAACUACCUUGCCUGAUUUGUUAGUAAGCACAAAAGAUGCAUCAAAAGUUUUAAAUGAAACACAAUGUUCAUUUGAUGCAUUAACAAUCUUAUUUUUAGGCAUUUUAAUAUGAGUUGAAUGCCUAGAGCUAGAAGCCUCAUUACUAUACAUAAAAGCAUCAUGAGAAACAGUAUGAGGUUUUCUAGCAUGAAUUUUUCUAAUUUUGUGCUCAGGAUAGUUCUCAGGGUAUAAAAUGUAACCUUCCCUAUCCUGAACCAUGGGAGCCUCGCCCUUAACAAAGUUAGAUAGUCUGUUCUUAGGGGCAUUAAGCUUGAUGUUGCUUUGGCUCCCUUGUUGGAAGCCAAUGCCAUCCUUAAUGCAAGGGUGUCUCCCAUUUUAAAGCAUAAUGCGAGAAAAUUUAAAUUUCACAUUUUCUAGUUCAUGCUCGGUAAUUUUAGCAUUUAAUUUAGCUAUGUGAUCAUUUUGUUCUUUAAUCAUAGCAAGGUGAUCAUCCACAACAUCAAUAUUAAUAUCUCUACAUCUAGUGCAAAUAGUGACAUGCUCAACGGUAGAUGUAGAAACAUUGCAAGCAUUUAAUUCUUAAAUCUUAGCAAUUAAACUAGCAUUGUCAGAUCUAAGACAUGAAAUUGAAUCAUUGCAGAUAUCUAGCUCUUUAGUCAAGUUUUGACAUUUUUUCAACUUCAAGAGCAUAAGCAUCUUUUAGCUUAACAUAUUUUUUAUUUUCCUUAACGAGCAAGUCCUCUUGGCAUUCCAAGAUAUCAUCCUUCUCGUUAAUGAUUUCUAUCAAUUCAUUAAUUUUCUUCUUUUGAUAUUUGGUAAGGUUUGCAAAAAGAGAAGUUAAAUCAUCUUUAUCAUCACUAGAGCUACCCUCAUCAUCGGAAGUAGUGUAUUUGGGGGUAUCUCUAGAAUGUACCUUCUUAUAUUUGCCGUCCUUAGCCAUGAGGCAUUUGUGGUCGAUGUUGGGAAAGAGAAACCCUUUGUUGACGGCGAUGUUGGCGGCGUCCUCAUCGGAGGAGAAGUCGGUGUAGCUCUCAUCGGAGUCCCAUUCCCGCCCCAUGUGCGCCUCGCCACCUUUCUUCUUGUUGUAGUAUCUUUUUUUUCCAUCUUCUUCUUCCCUUUCUUAUCGUUGUCCCUGUCACUGUCACUUGUAUAUGGACAUUUAGCUAUAAAGUGACCAAACUUACCACACCUGUAGCAAACCCUCUUGGAACAGGGUUUGUAGUCCUUCCCCUUCCUUUGCUUGAGGAUUUGCCGGAAGCUCUUGAUGAUAAGAGUCAUCUCUUCAUUGUCAAGCUUGGAGGCAUCGAUUGGUAGUCUACUUGGUGUAGACUCUUCCUUCUUUUCUUCCAUUGCCUUGAAAGCAACAGGUUGCGCCUCGGGCGUGGAAGUGGCGCCUCGCUCCAAGCUGACAAUAUGUUUGGAGUUUUUUAUCAUAAGUUCAAAGCUCACAAGCUUGCCAAUAAUCCCCUCGGGAGACAUCUGUUUAUAUCUAGGAUCUCCACGAAUUAGUUGCACUUGAGUGGGAUUACGAAAAACAAGAGAUCUUAGAAUAACCUUGACCAUUUCAUGGUCAUCCCACUUGGUUCUCCUGAGGUUGCGGACUUGGUUGAACAGUCUUAAGCUGGUUGUACAUUGCUUGUGGCUCCUCUCCUAUGUUGAGGACGAAUCGACCGAGUUCUCCCUCGAUCGUUUCACGCUUGGUAAUUUUGGUCACCUCGUCCCCUUCAUGCGUCGUUUUGAGGACGUCCCAAAUUUCUUUGGCACUUUUCAACCCUUGCACCUUGUUGUACUCCUCUCGACACAAGGAGGCGAGGAGUAUAGAGGUGGCUUGGGAGUUGAAAUGUCUUAUUUGGGUGGCCUCAUCGGAGUCGUAGUCCUCGUCGCCCACCUGUGGUGCUUGCGCUCCAAACUCAACAAUAUCCCAUAUACUUUCGUGGAGUGAGGUUAGAUGGUGCCUCGUUUUAUCACUCCACAUACAAUAAUGUUCACCAUCAAAAUAUGGUGGUUUGCCUAGGGGUACAGAAAGUAGAGGAGUGCGUUUAGAAAUGCGAGGAUAGCGAAGAGGCAUCUUACUAUACUUCUUACGCUCUUGGCGCUUCAAAGAUGUGGACUCAACGCCAGAUGUGGAAGGUGAGGAAGAAUCAGUCUCGUAGUAAACGACCUUCUUUAUUUUCUUUUUCUUCUUGUCACCCUUCCUAUGUGACUUGAUGCAGCCAGCGGAUUCCUCCUUGUGCUCCUUGUUCUUGUCACCGGCCUCCUUCGAUGGAGUUCUUUCUUCGAUCUUCUUUCCCGAAGAUCCGGAUUUUUCCCCGGUUACCAUCUCCCUUUUGGUGUGUUCUCUCGACAUCACUUCGAGUUGUUAAACUCUAAUGAAGCAUUGGGCUUUGAUCAAUGGCAACACAAUACUAUUUUUGUCGAAAAUAGCCAUAAACGAUCAUUUUCAAUAUUAUCGAAGGCUAAAACCUAUAGAUUUUUUUACAAAGAAUUGGUCUCCACUAUAAAUCUAAUAAUGUGACCUAUGGCAAGGAAACUUAUGUGGGGUGAGGUGUACGAGCCUCUGGUCUAUGAUGAAUGGCUAUUCAACCCCCAUUUUGUCGAAAAUAGUCAUGAAUGACCAUUUUCAAUAAUAACAAAGGCCAACAUCUACCGAUUUUUUACCAAGAAAUCGUCUCCACCAGAAAUCCAAGAAUGUGACCUAUGGCAUGGAAACAUGUGUUGGUGAGUUGUACAAGCCUCUGGUCCAUGAUGAAUGGCCAUUCAUCCCCCAUUUUUGUCGAAAAUAGCCAUGAACGAUCAUUUUUAACAAUACCGAAGGCUAACACCUACAAAUUUUAACCAAGAAUUGGUCUCCAGACAAAUCCAAGAAUGUGACCUAUGGUAAGAAAAUAUAUGUGGGGUGAGGUGUACGAGCCUAUGGUUGAUGAUCAAUGGCCACACAAGCCCCAUUUUUGUCAAUAAUAGCCAUGAACGACCAUUUUCAAUAAUACUGAAGUCUAACACCUAUGAUUUUUUUACCAAGAAUCAGUCUCCACUAGAAAUCCAAUAUUGUGACCUAUGGCAAGGAAACAUAUGUGUGGUGAGGUGUACGUGCCUCUGGUCGAUGAUCAAUGGCCACACAACCCCCAUUUUUGACGAAAAUUGCCAGGAACGACAAUUUUCAAUAAUGUCGAAGGCUAAUAUCUAUGGAUUUUUUGACCAAGAAAUGGUCUCCACUAGAAAUCCAAGAAUGUGACCUAUGACAAGGAAUCAUAUCUAGGGUGACGUGUAUGAGCCUCUAGUCGAUGAUCAAUGGCGAGACAACCCCAUUUAUUUUCAAUAAUAGCCAUGAACGACCAUUUUCAAUAAUAUUGAAGACUAACACCUAUGGAUUUUUGCCCAAGAAUCGGUCUACACCUGAAAUCCCAUAAUGUGACCUAUGGCAAGGAAACAUAUCAGGGGUGACGUGUACAUGACUCUGAUCGAUGAUUAAUGGCCACACGACCCCCAUUUUUGAUGAAAAUUGCCAUGAACGACCAUUUUCAAUAAUACCGAAAGCUAACAUCUACAGAUUUUUGUCCAAGAAAUGGUCUCCACCAGAAACCCAAGAAUGUGACCUAUGGAAAGGAAACAUAUGUGGGGUGAGGUGUACGAGCCUCUGGUCGAUGAUCAAUGGCAACACAACCCCAUUUUUGUCAAAAAUAGCCAUGAACGAUCAUUUUCAAUAUUAUCGAAGGCUAAAACUUAUAGAUUUUUGACAAAGAACUGGUCUCCACUAUAUAUCUAAUAAUGUGACCUAUGGUAAGGAAACAUAUGUGGGGUGAGGUGUACGAGUCUCUGGCUUAUGAUGAAUGGCUAUUCAACCCCCAUGUUUGUCGAAAAGAGCCAUGGAUGACUAUUUUCAAUAAUAACGAAGGCUAACAUCUACCGAAUUUUGACCAAGAAAUCAUCUCUGCUAGAAAUCCAAGAAUGUGACCUAUGGCAAGGAAACAUGUGUGGGUGAGUGGUACAGGCCUCUGGUCCAUGAUGAAUGGCCAUUCAUCCCCCAUUUUGUCGAAAAUAGCCAUGAACCACCACAUUUAAUAAUACCGAAGGCUAACACCUACAAAUUUUAACCAAAAAUUGGUCUCCAGACAAAUCCAAGAAUAAUACCUAUGGCAAGGAAAUAUAUGUGGGGUGAGGUGUACGAGCCUAUGAUUGAUGAUCAAUGGCCACACAUCCCCCAUUUUGUCAAUAAUAGCCAUGAACGACCAUUUUCAGUAAUACUGAAGUCUAACACCUAUGAAUUCUUGACCAAGAAUCAAUCUCCACUAGAAAUCCAAUAAUGUAACGUAUGGCAAGGAAACAUAUGUGUGGUGAGGUGUACGUGCCUCUGGUCGAUGAUCAAUGGCCACACAACCCCCAUUUUUGACAAAAAUUGCCAUGAACGACCAUUUUCAAUAAUACCGAAGGUUAACAUCUAUGAAUUUUUAACCAAGAAAUGGUCUCCACCAGAAUUCCAAGAAUGUGACCUAUGGCAAGGAAUCAUAUCUAGGGUGACGUGUACGAGCCUCUGGUCGAUGAUCAAUGGCCAGACAACCAUAUUUAUUUUCAAUAAUAGCCAUGAACGAUCAUUUUCAAUAAUAUUGAAGACUAACACCUAUGGAUUUGCCCAAGAAUCGGUCUCCACCAGAAAUCCCAUAAUGUGACCUAUGGCAAGGAAACAUAUCUGGGGUGAGGUGUACAUGCCUCUGAUCGAUGAUUAAUGGCCACACAACCCCAUUUUUAACGAAAAUUGCCAUGAAUGACCAUUUUCAAUAAUACCAAAAACUAACAUCUACAAAAUUUUGACCAAGAAAUGGUCUCCACCAGAAAUCCAAGAAUGUGAGCUAUGGAAUGGAAACAUAUGUGGGGUGAGGUGUAUGAGCCUCUGGUCGAUGAUUAAUGGCAACACAACCCCAUUUUUGUCGAAAAUAGCCAUGAACGAUCAUUUUGAAUCCUAUCGAAGGCUAAAAAACCUAUAGAUUUUUUUACAAAGAACUGGUCUCCACUAUAAAUUUAUUAAUGUGACCUAUGGCAAGGAAACAUAUGUGGGGUGAAGUGUACAAGCCUCUGGUCUAUGAUGAAUGGAUAUUCAACCCCCGUUUUUUGUCGAAAAUAGUCAUGAAUGACCAUUUUUUUUAAUAAUAACGAAGGCUAACAUCUACCGAAUUUUUACCAAGAAAUCGUCUCCACCAGAAAUCCAAGAAUGUGACCUAUGGCAAGGAAACAUGUGUGGGGUGAGGUGUCCAAGCCUCCUGUCCAUGAUGAAUGGCCAUUCAACCCCCAUUUUUGUCGAAAAUAACCAUGAACUACCAUGUUCAAUAAUACCUAAGGCUAACUCCUAAGGAUUUUAACCAAAAAUUGGUCUCCAAACAAAAUCUAAGAAUGUGACCUAUAGCAAGUAAAUAUAUGUGGGGUGAGGUGUACGAGCCUAUGGAUGAUGAUCAAUGGUCACACAACCCUCAUUUUUGUCAAUAAUAGCCAUGAACGACCAUUUUCAAUAAUACUGAAGUCUAACACCUAUGGAUUUUUAACCAAGAAUCAGUCUCCACUAGAAAUCCAAUAAUGUAACCUAUGGCAUGGAAAUACAUGUGGGGUGAGGUGUACGAGCCUAUGGUCUAUGAUGAAUGGCUAUUCAACCCCUAUUUUUGUCAAUGAUCAAUGGCCAGACAACCCCAUUUAUUUUCAAUAAUAGCCAUGAACGACCUUUUUCAAUAAUACUGAAGUCUAACACCUAUGAAUUUUUGACCAAGAAUCGGUCUCCACUAGAAAUGGUCUCCACCAGAAAGUAAACAUAUGUGUGGUGAGGUGUACGUGCCUCUGGUCGAUGAUCAAUGGCCACACAAACCCCAUUUUUGACGAAAAUUGCCUUGAACGACCAUUUUCAAGAAUACCGAAGGCUAACAUCUAUGGAUUUUUGACCAAGAAAUGGUAUCCACCAGAAAUCCAAGAAUGUGACCUAUGGCAAGUAAUCAUAUGUGGGAUGACGUGUACAAGCCUCUGGUCGAUGAUCAAUGGCCACACAACCCCCAUUUUUGUCGAAAAUAGUCAUGAACGACCAUUUUGAAUACUACCGAAGGCUAACACCUACAGAUUUUUGACCAAGAAAUGGCCUCCAACCAAAAUACAAGAAUGUGACCUAUAUGGAAAGGAAACAUAUGUGAGGUGAGGUGUACGAGCCUCUGGUCCAUGAUGAAUUGCCAUUGAACCCCCAUUUUUGUCGAAAAUAGCCAUGAAAGACCAUUUUCAAUAAUACCGAAAGCUAACAUCUACAGAUUUUUUUACCAAGAAAUGGUCUCCACCAGAAAGCCAAGAAUGUGACCUAUGACAAGGAAACAUGUGUGGGGUGAGGUGUACAAGCCUUUUGUCCAUGAUGAAUGGCCAUUCAACCUCCAUUUUUGUCGAAAAUAUCCAUAAACUACCAUUUUCAAUAAUACCGAAGCCUAACACCUACGGAUUUUAACCAAAAAUUGGUCUCCAGACAAAAACCAAGAAUGUGACCUAUGGCAAGUAAAUAUAUGUGGGGUGAGGCGUACGAGCCUAUGGUUCAAUGGUCACAUAACCCCAAUUUUUGCCAAUAAUAGCCAUGAACGACCAUUUUCAAUAAUACUGAAGUCUAACACCUAUGGAUUUUUAACCAAGAAUCGAUCUGCACUAAAAAUCCAAUAAUGUGACCUAUGGUAAGGAAAUAUAUGUGGGGUGAGGUGUAUGAGCCUCUGGUCCAUGUUGAAUGGCCAUUCAAUCCCCAUUUUUGUUGAAAAUAGUCAUGAAUGACCAUUUUCAAUAACACGAAGGCUAACACCUACGGAUUUUUGACCAAGAAAUGAUCUCCACCAGAAAUCCAAGAAUGUGACCAUUAGCAAGGAAAAAUAUAUGGGAUGACGUGUAUGAGCCUCUGAUCGAUGAUCAAUGGCCACACAAGCCCCAUUAUUGUUGAAAAUAGCCAUGAAUGACAAUUUUCAUUAAUACCAUAAGCUAACACCAACAUAUUUUUGACCAAGAAAUGGUCUCCACCAGAAAUCUAAGAAUGUGACUAUGGCAAGAAAACAUAUGUGGGGUGAGGUGUACGAGCCUCUAGUCCAUGAUGAAUAGCCAUUAAAUCCCUAUUUUUUUGUCGAAAUUGCCAUGAACGACCAUUUUCAAUAAUAUCGAAGGCUAACACCUACGGAUUUUGACCAAAAAUUGGUCUCCAGACAAAAUCCAAGAAUGUGACAUAUGCCAAGGAAAUAUAUGUGGGGUGAGGUGUACGAGCCUCUGGUCGAUGAUUAAUGGCCAGACACACCCCAUUUUUGUCAAUAAUAGCCACGAACGACCAUUUUCAAUAAUACUGAAGAUUGACACAUAUGGAUUUUUGACCAAGAAUCGGUCUCUACUAGAAAGAUAAUAAUGUGACCUAUGGCAAGGAAACAUGUGGGGUUAGGUGUAUGUGCCUCUGUUCGAUGAUGAUCGGCCACACAACCCCCAUUUUUGUCGAAAAUAGCCAUGAACAACCAUUUUCAAUAAUACGAAAGACUAACAUCUAUGGAUUUUUGACCAAGAAAUGGUCUCCACCAGAAAUCCAAGAAUGUGACCUAUGGCAAGCAAAGAUAUGUUGGGUGAGGUGUAUGAGCCUCUGGUUGAUGAUCAAUGGGCACAUAAACCAUAUUUUUGUCAAAAAUAGCCAUGAACGACCAUUUUGAAUAAUACCGAAGGCAAACACCUAUGGGUUUUUCACCAAGAAAUGGUCUCCACCAGGAAGCCAAGAAUGUGAUCUAUGGCAAGGAAAAAUAUGUGGGGUGAGGUGUACGAGCUUCUGAUCGAUGAUCAAUGGCCAAACAACCCCCAUUUUUGUCGAAAAUAUCUAUGAACGACCAUUUUCAAUAAUAUGAAGGCUAAAACAUAUGGAUUUUUGACCAAGAAAUGGUGUCCACUAGAAAUCCAAGAAUGUAACCCAUGGAAAGAAAACAUAUGGGGGGUGAGGUAUACGAGCCUCUGUUUGAUGAUCUAUGGCCACAUAAGCCCCAUUUUUGUCGAAAUUAGCCAUGAACGACAAUUUUCAAUAAUACCGAAGGCUAACACCUACGGAUUUUGAUCAGGAAUUGGUCUCCACCAGAUAUCCCAUAAUGUGACCUAUGGAAACAUAGCAUAUGUGGGGUGAGGUGUACGAGCCUCUGGUCGAUGAUCAAUGGCCACACAACCCCCAUUUUUGACGAAAAUAGCUAUGAACGACAAUUUUCAAUAAUACCGAAGGUUAACAUCUACGAUUUUUGACCAAGAAAUGGUCUCCACCAGAAAACCAAGAAUGUUACCUAUGGCAAGGAAACGUAUGUGGGUUGAUCUGUACGAGCCUCUGGUCGAUGAUCAAUUGGCACACAUCCAUCAUUUUUGUCGAAAAUAGCCAUGAAUGACCAUUUUCAAUAAUACCAAAGGCUAACACCUAAGGAUUUUUGACCAAGAAAUGGUAUCUACCUAGAAACCAAGAAUGUGACCUAUGGCAAGGAAACAUAUGUGAGGUGAGGGGUACGAGCCUUUGGUCGAUGAUCAAUGGCCACACUCCCCCCCCCCGUUUUGACAAAAGUAGCCAUGAACGACCAUUUUGCAAUAAAAUCGAAGGCUAACACCUACGUAUUUUUGUCCAAGAAAUGGUUUCCACCAGAAAUCCAAGAAUUUGACCUAUGGAAAGGAAACAUAUGUGGGGUGAGCUGUACGAGUCUCUAGUUGAUGAUCAAUGGCCACACAUCCCCCAUUUUUGUCGAAAAUAGCCAUGAACAACCAUUUUCAAUAAUACCGAAAGCUAACACCUACAGAUUUUUGACAAAGAAAUGGUCUCCACCAGAAAUCCAGGAAUGUGACCCAUGGUAACGAAACAUAUGUGGGGUGAGGUGUACGAGCCUCUGAUCAAUGUUCAAUGGCCACACAACCCCCAUUUUUGUCGAAAAUAGCCACAAAGGAACAUUUUCAAUAAUGCCGAAGGUAACACCUAUGGAUAUUUGAUCAAGAAAUGGUCUCCACUAGAAAUCAAAGAAUGUGACCUAUGACAUGGAAACAUAUGUGGUCAGAGGUGUACGAGCCUUUGGUCGAUGAUCAAUGGCCACACAUCCCCCAUUUUUGAUGAAAAUAGCCAUGAUGGAUCAUUUUCAAUAAUAGCGAAGGCUAACACAUACGGAUUUUGACCAAGAAUCGGUCUCCACCAUAAAUCUAAUAAUGUGACCUAUGACAACGAAACAUAUGUGGGGUGAGGUGUAUAAGCCUCUAGGCGAUGAUCAAUGGCACACAACCCUCAUUUUUGACGAAAAUAGCCAUGAACGACCAUUUCAAUAAUACAUAAUGUUAACAUCUAUGAAAUUUUUAGCAAGAAAUGGUCUCCACCAGAAAACCAAGAAUGUGACCUAUGAAAAGGAAACAUAUGUGACUUGAGGUGUACGAGCCUUAAGUCGAUGAUCAAUGACUACACAACCCCCAUUUUUGACGAAAAUAGCCAUGAACGACCAUUUUCAAUAAUUCCGAGGGCUAACACCUACGAAUUUUAUACCAAGAAAUGGCCUCCACCAGAAAACCAAGAAUGUGACCUAUGGCAAGGAAACAUAUGUGGGUUGAGGUGUACGAGCCUCUGGUCGAUGAUCAAAGACCACACAACCGUCAUUUUUAUCGAAAAUAGCCAUUAACGACCAUUUUCAAUAAUACCGAAGGCUAACACCUACUGAUUUGACCAAGAAAUGGGAUCCACCAAAAAUCCAAGAAUGUGACCUAUGACAAGGAUACAUAUAUGGGGUGAGGUAUACGAGCCUCUAGUCGAUGAUCAAUGGCCACACAACCACCAUUUUUGUCGGAAAUAGCCAUGAACGACUAUUUUCAAUAAUACCGAAGUCUAACACUUAAGGAUUUUUGACGAAGAAAUGGUAUCCCUCAUAAAUUCAAUAAUAGCUUUCUCUAUUAUUGAAAAUGGUCGUUUAUGGCUAUUUUCGAUAAAAUGGGGGUUGUUUGGCCAUUGAUCAUCGACCCGAGGUUCAUACACCUCAUCCACAUAUGUUUCCUUACCAUAGAUCACAUUCUUGGAUUUCUGGUGAUGACCAUUUCUUGGUCAAAAAUCUAUAGGUUAUUGCCUUCAGUAUUAUUCAAAAUGGUCGUUCAUGACCAUUUUCGACGAAAAUGGGGGUUAUGUAUCCAUUGAUCAUCGACCAGAGGCUCAUACAUCUCACCCCACAUAUUUUUCCUUGUCAUAAGUCACAUUAUUGGAUUUCUGUGUAGAACAUUUCUUAGUAAAAAAAAUCAUAGAUGUUAGCCUUUGGUAUUAUUGAAAAUGGUCGUUCAUGGCUAUUUUCGUCAAAAAUGGGGGUUGUGUGGCCGAUGUUCAUCGACCAGAGUCAUGUACACCUCACCCACAUAUGUUUCCUUGCCAUUUGUCACAUUAUUGUAUUUCUGGUGGAGACUGAUUCUUGGUCAAAAAUUCAUAGGUGUCAAUCUUCAGUAUUAUUGAAAAUGGUCGUUCAUGGCUAUUAUUGACAAAAAUGUGGGUUGUCUGGCCAUUGAUCAUCGACCAGAGGCUCAUAGACCUCACCCCGCAUAUAUUUCCUUGCCAUAGGUCAAAUUCUUGGGUUUUGCCAGGAGACCAAUUCUUUGUCAAAAUCCGUAGGUGUUAGCCUUCGAUAUUAUUGGAAAUGGCCGCUCAUGGCUAUUUUCAACAAAAAUGGGGGUUUAAUGUCUAUUCAUCAUGGACCAGAGGCUCAUACACCUCACCCCACAUAUGUUUCCUUGCCAUAGGUCACAUUAUUGGAUUUCUGGUGGAGGCCAUUUCUUGGUCAAAAAUCUGUAGGUGUUACCCUUUAGUAUUAUUUAAAAUGGUCGUUCAUGGCUAUUUUUGACAAAAAUGGGGGUUGUGUGGCCAUUGAUCAUCGACCAGAGGAUCGUUGACGUCACCCCACAUAUGUUUCCAUAUCAUAGGUCACAUUCUUGGAUUUCUUGUGAAGACCGAUCCUUGGUAAAAAAUCCAUAGGUGUUAUUCUUCAGUAUUAUUGAAAAUAGUCCUUCAUGGCUAUUAUUGACAAAAAUGGGGUUCUCUGGCUAUUGAUCAUCGACCAGAGGCUCAUACACCUCACCCCACAUAUAUUUCCUUGCCAUAGGUCACAUUCUUGGAUUUUGUCUGGAGACCAAUUCUUGGCCAAAAUCCAUAGGUGUUAGCCUUCGAUAUUAUUGAAAAUGAUCGUUCAUGGCUAUUUUCGAAAAAAUGGGGGUUGAAUGGCCAUUCAUCAUGGACCAUAGGCUUGUACACCUCACCCCACAUAUGUUUCCUUGCCAUAGGUCAUAUUCUUGGAUUUUUGGUGGAGACCAUUUCUUGGUCGAAAAUCCGUUGGUGUUAGCCUUCGGUAUUAUUGAAAAUCGUCGUUCAUGGCUAUUUUCGACAAAAUGGGGGUUGUUUGGCCAUUCAUCUUGGACCAGAGGUUCCAACACCUCACCCCACAUAUAUUUGCUUACCAUAGGUCACAUCCUUGGAUUUCUGGUGGAGUCUAUUUCUUGGUCAAAAAUUCGUAGGUGUUAGCCAUCGGUAUUUUUGAAAAUUAUCGUUCAUGGCUAUUUUCGACCAAUAUGGGUGUUGUCUGGCCAUUGAUCAUCGACCAGAGGCACGUACGCCUCACCCCACAUAUGUUUCCUUGCUAUAGGUUACAUUCUUGGAUUUCUGGUGGAGACGAUUUCUUGAUCAAAAUCCGUAGGUGUUAGCCUUCAGUAUUAUUGAAAAUGGUCGUUCAUGGCUAUUAUUGACAAAAUGGGGGUUGUGUGGCCAUUGUUCUUCGACCAGAGGCUCGUACACCUCACCCCACAUAUAUUCCAUUGCCAUAGGUCACAUUCUUUGAUUUUGGCGGAGACCAUUUCUUCGUCAAAAAUCCGUAGGUGUUAGCCUUCGGUAUAACUGAAAUAUAUGUAGGUGUUAGCCUACAGAUUUUCACCCCAAACAUGUUUCUUUUCUUGGUCAAAAAUUCGUAGGUGUUAGCCUACUGAUUUUUGACCAUUUUCAAUAAUACCGAAGGCUAACACCUAUGGAUUUCUGACCAAGAAAGGGUCUCCACCAGAAAUCCAAGAAUGUGACCUAUGACAAGGAAACAUAUAUGGGGUGAGGUGUACGAGCCUUUGGUCCCUGAUGAAUAACUAUUCAACCCCCAUUUUUGUCGAAAAUUGCAAUGAAUGACCAUUUUCAAUAAUACCGAAGGCUAACACCUACAGAUUUUUGACCAAGGAAUGGUCUGCACCAGAAAUCUAAGAAUGUGACCUGUGGCAAGGAAACAUAUGUCUGGUCAGGUGUACAUGCUUCUGGUCGAUGAUCAAUGUCCACACAAUACUCAUUUUUGUUGAAAAUGGUCUUGAAUGACAAUUUUCAAUAAUACCGAAGGCUAACACCCCAUAUUUUUUACCAAGAAAUGGUGUCCACCAAAAAUCCAAGAAUGUGACCUAUGGGAAGGAAAUACAUGUGGGGUGAGCUGUUGGAGCCUCUGGUCCAUGAAGAAUGGCCAAAUAACCCCCAUUUUUGUCAAAAUAGCCAUGAACCACCAUUUUCAAUAAUACCGAAGGCUAACACCUACGGAUUUUUGACCAAGAAAUGAUCUCCACCAGAAAUAGAAGAAUGUCACCUAUGGCAUGGAAACAUAUGUGGGGUGAGGUGUACGAGCUUCUAGUCGAUGAUUAAUGGCCAAAACCCCAUUUUUGUCGAAAAUAGACGUGAACGACCAUUUUGAAUAAUACCGAAGGCUAAGACCUACAAAUUUUUGACCAAGAAAUGGUCUCCCACCAAGAUCAAAUAAUGUGACCUAUUGCAAGGAAACAUAUGUGGGGUGAGGUGUUUGAGCCUCUGGUUGAUGAUCAAUGGCACACAACCCCAUUUUUGUCGAAAAUAGCCAUGAACGAUCAUUUUCAAUAAUACCGAAGGCUAACAACUAUGGAUUUUUGACCAAGAAAGAAUCUCCACUAGAAAUUUAAGAAUGUGACAUAUGGCAAGGAAACAUAUGUGGGGUGAGGUGUACGAGCCUUUGGUCCCUGAUGCAUGGCCAUUCACCCCCAUUUUUGUCAAAAAUAGCCAUGAAUAGCCAUUUCCAAUAUAACCGAAGUUUAACACCUACAAAUUUUUGACCAAGAAAUGGUUGUUGAUCACUUGUUUUCAAUCACUAUACAUAAUAUAAAAUAAGGCAACACAGUAUUAAAAAGAUAGAUGACCUUCGUCUUGAAGGAGUUGUCCCUUCGGGAUAACUUCUUCGGCGACAAAGGUUAAGUGUUAGGUGAAUAAAUGGACAUACAAUGAAUAUAAAAGAAUCUAGAUAUGAUAUUUCAAUUAAGAUAUCUUCAUAAUAUAUUCUUCCUUUCAUAAAUUAACUUUACAAUUGUACCUUUGGCACUUGGGAAAAAUUACAAUGAAGAUACCGGAGAGAGAAAAUUACAACAAUUGUACCGUCCGUUGAGAGGUACUUUAUGCAGGACACUGUGCAUCUAUUUAUAGGGAGUCAUAUAGCUUCGUACAAAAUUUCAUUUAUGCCAUCAGAGAUUACACAUAAAGUUUACACAUAUCAUAGGAUAACACCUUCUUGUAUCAUCUUCCCGUGUUGUUGUGACAAAGCUAACUUCGUUACCCUUCCACCGUUCCGCGUCGAAGCUAUCCUGGCCCCAAAGCUCCUGUAAUACUUGGCAAUAUGCUGAUAACAAGUGAUUAGCCGUGUUUUUGAGGACCUUCGGAGGACGAAAGCCCCCAACAAUAGCCCCUCGCAGUAUUAGUUUGUUUCUUUGUAACAAAUUCAGACUGCGAAAAGAACGAAGGCCUUUUGCCAAAGGUCCGAAAAAACACCUCUUUGCUAGAAUAGUGAAACCUUCUGAACCGUGGGGGCCACUUUGCAGUGGUGCUUUAUAUAUAUAUAUAUAUAUAAUAGCGAAAUCUUUUUUCGUGCUAUCAUGUCUUUGCUGGCUUUAUUCUUAAUUUACUAUCACUGUAAGCGCAACUGUUUUGAGCUUCGGUUUUUUUCAUUAAUCGAAGUUCAGUUGAGAUGGCCAAAGACAAGAGAAGUGAAGACCCCGCAUUGGCUGGAUUUUAUGAAGAUAUGGAGAGAACCAACACGGAAAAAAUAACCAGUGAAAUUCUUGUUGGACUAUCCGAAGAUUCUGAGGGUAGCGAUGACCUUGAUUUCGACAGUGGUGCAGAAGACAUCGAAGAUCGGCUAUGGAGGCUGAGCCAUGUUGUAUUUGGAAAAUCCACCGUUAAGAAGGGGCAGAUUGAAGCGAUGAAGGACAAAUAUUUCCAUGAUAUAUACGUAGUGAGGGCUAGAGGAGAGAACAUGUAACACCCUGUCCAAUCCCUGGACCAGCGGUACUUACUCCUGGCAGCUAUCUAGGAUCAUAUAUUGUCCCCACAGACCAACAUGGGUCUUUUGUACACACUUUGUCCUCACUCAUGCACACCUGAGAAAAACUUCCCGGUCGAUCACCUAUCCCAAAUUGCUCCAAGCCAAGCAUGCUUAACUUGGAGGUUCUUUCGAGAUAGGCUUCUGAAAAAGAAGAUGCACCUUGUUGGUAUGGAUACUCUAUUAAUUCUAUUAAGCCUUGGGCCAGGAUAUCACCAUCCCAGGGGCCAGGAUAUCACAAUCCACCCCCCCUUAGAAGACCGACGUCCUCGUCGGUCAACCCCAAUCCAGGAACCUCCCCUUUUAGCCAUUUCUAUGUGUCUAGUGUCAUCAUAUGCAAUGCCAUGUGACCACUUCGAGCCCACAUGUGCCCCUGCGCCAUAUAUCCGAACCUCUAACCCACACACGCCCGUGAAACCACGAGGGUCGGCUCUGAUACCACUUGUAACACCCUGUCCAAUCUUUGGGCCAGCGGUACUCACUCCUGGCAGCUCUCUAGGAUCAUAUAUUGUCCCCACAGACCAACACAGGUCUUUUGUGCACACUUUGUCCUCACUCAUGCGCACCGGAGAAAAACUUCCCAGUCGAUCACCCAUCCCAAAUUGCUCCAAGCCAAGCACGCUUAACUUGGAGGUCCUUUUGAGAUAGGCUUCCGAAAAAGAAGAUGCACCUUGUUGGUAUGGAUACUCUAUUAAUUCUAUUAAGCUAUGGGCCAGGAUAUCACCAUCCCAGAUGCCAGGAUAUCAUAGAACAUUGUUCCUCUUCCUGAGGCGGACGAAGUGGUGGUAUUCAAAAGUUUUAUGAAGGUUGGGCUUCGCUUUCCCUUGCAUAAGAAGCUAGUCGAAGUGCUAAAAAGAUUCGAUAUAUACCUUGAUUAGCUUACUCCCGAAGCUUUGAUUAAAGUUGGAGUUUUCAUUUGGGCGAUGAGCCAAGGGCUGGAGCCAGACGAUGACUGCUUCUACAAUAUACACGAAAUAUCCUACCAUACAAAGGCGGUUGGGAAGGAACAAUACCAUAACAACUUUGGUUGUUACUCCUUCAUAUAUCGUUCUGAUGCGAGACACCCUAUUCCAACAUUUCGGAAAAAGUGGCUAGGAACCUGGAUGAAGUAGUGGUUCUAUGUUAAGAAUGAUUUGGUUGAGAGGGAGGAUGUGAAGGAUGUAAUUCAACGACCCAUACAAUCAUGCUUCGGCAUCAGAAGGCCUUCGAUCAUGAAUAGUGAAAAGGCUCAAGCAUGCCUGGUGGCCUUCAACACUGUGUGCAGCUACAUUGGUACUAGAGACUUGGUACAAGAGCAUAUAGCCUUCAAAGUGUGGCCCCUUGUUAAUGAAUGGGAGAUGCCGAAUGAGACCGCUGCUAGUUCAAGCGAAGGUGUCCUAGUUUACCUGAAAUAUACCUACCUCUAUAGAAGUAAAUUUGGCGAGCCAGAUGAUGCAUGGCUUGAUGCCAUAGAAGCGACUAGUGAGGAAAUGUUGGGGGCUUGUACGAAGGUUGAAGAUGAAGCCAUGAACAUUGCCUUUGGUGCCCACGAAAAAAGAAAACUAAACAGAGUGUUCGAUGUUAUUGGAUUUGUUUAUCCUGACUACUGCUUUCCCGCACAGAAACAAGGAAUGAAAACGAAAAUUGCAGCGACGACUUCCUCCACCGCGCCGAAGUCAAAGAAGACAAAGGUUCUAACUCACUGAUCGAAGUCGUACUUCUUAGAAAGGGCUGCAAGACGGCCUACUGCAGGGACUUCAAAGGCAGAAGCUGCCGAAGCAACUGAAGAGACUCUCUCAGUUUUGGAGGUAAUUGCGGUGAGUGCCUCAUCCCCAUUCAUUUGGAAUUAGCUUCAGUAAAGAGCCAUGGGAAAGAACAGCCAAAAGUUCAAGAACAGCCGAAGGUACAAGCGUUAUCAAAGAUAGCAACCACUCUAGCGGGAACUCCUAGGAAAGGAAAGAGAAUGGCCAAUGUGCUUGAAGCUGUUUUGAGGCCCUCAAAGGUAGCGACACUUGCACCACCGAAGGUCUCCAAGGACAAAGUCGAUGAACCAAAGAUGAUCAAUAUUGCAUACGUCUCUUCCAACCUGGGCAAGGUUGGGCCUUCGGAGUCUAUUCUAUCGAUGGAGGUGUCUGGAAGCUUAUCAGAAAAAGUGACAAUGCUAACACCCGAAAUGGCGCCCGCUAAAGACCUUGAAUAUAUUUUUCAUCAUGCUUCAGGAAAACAACUCUCAAAGGAAUAAAUUGCCAAAGCACAUCAUUAUGCGAAGGACCCGAGGUAUCCUCAAGGAUCUCUAGUUUAUGGAUGCAAUGACGAAGACGACUAUCUAUACUACCUGCCAGGCAGCUGUCACACCCGGUUUAGAAGGCAAACUAUCACACCCGUUUUAAGGGCAAAACCGAAUGCACAUCAUAUGUGUGCCAGGAUCUAUUUCCACACAUAUGUUGACGUCACAAGUGUAAUAUAUCAAAAGAACAAUGCAUAAAAGCAUAAAUAAAGAUUAUAUUAACAUAUUACACUUUGAGUAGACAUAAUGUCUUAACCUUUAUUCAUCAAAGUACAGCGAAACAUGGGCAUCCAUCCACAAGAAGAUGACCGGGGUAUCACUAGACUAGCAUCCAUCGAGUUCACCAUCAAAACCUUUAUCUGCAAACUUCUGAUCAAAAUUAAGCAAGGAUGAGCUCACUGAUGGUUGGGGCUCAGCAAGUGGGGUGAAAAUACAAGGUUAACAAGGUAAGGCUAAAGUUUAACGCGGUAAGCAUUUUAGUUGGUCAACAUUUUAUUAUCAACACUUGAUUACUAAGUAUAAGCAUAUACCAAACCCAAUUAAGCAUAAUUCAUAAUCAGCAUAAGCUCAAACCACUUGAGCAAGUACCAUCAACAUAAAGCGAACCACUUAAGCACAACUUUACCCAUGAGGAAACAUGGAUAGGCAGGCGAGAGCAGGAAGCAGACGUGCAGUCAACGAUGAGUGGUGGCGCGGUCGCAAUGACGAAGAUAAUAGGGCUUCGUGCGGAUGGUUCGUGGAGAUAGGUGAGAAAGGAAAAGAAAAGAAAAAGGAAAAAAGAAAAAGGGCAGAGAGAUGGGACACGUCGGGAUGGGGCUAGGAGGCCAAAUGUUCACGUCAACAUUUUUAUUUUAUUUUAUUAUUAUUUUUAAUUUCUUAAUUGUUCUCUUUUUUAUUAAUAGAUAAAUCUCAAUAUAUAUUUAAAUAUUUCAAAAAUUAUAAUAAAUAUAAUAAUAGUAUUUUAAUAAAUAAAAUUUAUAAUAAAUAAUCUUUAGUUUAUUUAUAUCAACAUUUCGUUGCUUGAAAACAUAAAUAUUUUUCCUUUCCAUUAUAAACUACUAAAUAAUCUAGUUUGGUUUUAGAGGAUGGAUUUAGGGUGUUACAAAAUCUACCCCCUAAAAAGAAUCUCGUCCUCGAGAUUAGGGAAGGUUAGCAAGAAAACAAAGAUGAUACAUGGUUAUUUGUAGGUUCUUGGUUUAUACCGGACUCUUCCAAACUUAAGGAACUUGUUGUUUCGCGGCCUUCAUCUCAAGUCAGUGUAGACGUUUCUUGUGGCAUUGGCAGAUGAUAUGUCCUUCAUAUUUGCGUUAGUAACAAGCACCUCCUGCUUAGAGCUGUUUGCGAGUCAACUUUGUUUGACUAUCAACAGAUGAUGGCUGAUUGGGUGUAUGUAUCUUAAAUGACUGAGCUUAAUUUGAUUCUCCUAUUUGGGUGUGGGAAGGAGAGGAGGGAUGAAAAGUUUGAGCAAAGAUAGAGUACAGAGAGUAGAGAAAACCCAACUAUUUAAGGUUUUACCUAGUAGACUAUACCAUUGUGGACAAAAGUCACACAAUACACCCACAAUCAUUACAAAGAAGCAAAUCAAACAAUGGCACAAAAACAACUGAUAGGAACUCAAGCAUACCAACACAACAUAGCUCAAUGAUACAUAUUCAACCAAAAGGGGAACAUUUCCUAAGUAUAACAAUUUAUCACAAGUUUUUUUUGAAAGGCGAUAUAAGGUUAGGAGAAAUAGAUAUUAUAAAAUCAAGGAAUCAGAUCAAAAAUAGCAAGGAGUUAGACAAGAGCAAGACAUUAUUAUUGAUGGUCAAUAGUGAAACAAACUAUCCAUGAACUGGUGAAGUGAGGAUAAAUGAUACAACCAAGGAUAUGAACUGAGUUACAAAGAAAGUUUUAUCAAGGAGACAAAAUAGAGAGGCAUUAUCAAGAGAAGUAGGGAGGCAAAGAGUUCAAUAUAUCAAGGUAGAUAUUGCCCAAGGAUGACAAUUCAAUGGCAAGAAAACAAGAGUAGAAGUCAAGGGUUAUAUAGCAAUAUUAUGGAUAAAAAAUACUAUAAUAUUAUAUAACAUCGUCCUUGCUGAUCUAGUCGAAAAACCUAAUACCAAAGAACUAUCCUAUCAACCUAGCAAAAACUCUGGUAAUAGAUCGAGGGGAUCCAUAACAAAACUUCUUAUGGGGUGGGGAUAAGACAGAGAAUGGGGCAUCUUCAAUAGCUUCUAAAGGGUUCCUUCAGGCAAACUUCGCUUCAAGUUUCGCAAUUCUAUCUUGAUCAUCUUGCAGUGCUUCUCACUAGAACCUUCUGAUAGACAAAAAAUAAGACUAGAAGAGUUGAAGAUAUAAGAGACGAGUUUUGAUAUAAAGUAAGUUUUUAUGGAGGAAAGUAGACCAUGUUUUGAAAGACUAACUGGGUUUUCCAUUUCUAACUAAUCUAGCGACCUACAGUCAACAUUGCUUUGAUACCACUUCUGUCACACCCGGUUUUAAGGGCAAAAACCGAAUGCAUAGCAUAUGUGUGCCAGGAUCUAUUUCCACACAUAUGUUGACGUCACAAGUGUAAUAUAUCAAAAUAGCAAUGCAUAAAAACAUAAAUAAAGAUUAUAUUAACAUAUUACACUUUGAGUAGACAUAAUGUCUUAACCUUUAUUCAUCAAAGUACAGCGAAACAUGGACAUCCAUCCACAGGAAGAUGACCGGGGGUAUCACUAGACUAGCAUCCAUCGAGUUCACCAUCAAAACCUUUAUUUGCAAACUUCUGAUCAAAAUUAAGCAAGGGUGAGCUCACUUAUGGUCGGGGCUCAGCAAGUGGGGUGAAAAUACAAGGUUAACAAGGAAGGCUAAAGUUUAAUGCGGUUAGCAUUUUAGUUGGUCAACAUUUUAUUAUCAACACCUGAUUACUAAGUAUAAGUAUAUACCAAACCCAAUUAAGCAUAAUUCAUAAUCAACAUAAGCUCAAACCACUUGAGCAAGUACCAUCAACAUAAAGCUCAACCUCUUAAGAGAACCACUUAAGCAUACCGCUUAAACAAAAUCGAUCACAAUUUAAUUCCAUCUUCAAGUUCAAUUAUCAUGUGAGGGUCCAGAUUGCUCAUAACUGUGAUCACGGCUGAUAUAUCGGUUUUACACUCUGCAGAGGUGGCACAACUUUACUCAUGAGUCAUGACUCCCUUCUAGCCUGGGUUUGCAAGUCCCAUAUUCACUUCUGAGGUGACUGGCUAGGGUCUCACUACGAGGCUUUUCCCUAGAGUCCUCACUAUGCAGAUGUUGGAAAUGGUAACUGUAUAGAGUCAUCUGACGUAACCCAAACUUAUAGUCCAGUCUACAGGGUAAAGCUUGGGAACUAUGCCUGUAUCCAAUCUACCUGAGCCGGAAAUAUAAGCGCAUGGCAGAUGCCCCAUUCCAAUCGACCAAGACCAGCACCCAACAUAAGACUUCCCUAGUUAUUUAGCCAAGGGCGUCCCGUACCACCCUCAUGGUAGCACUGUUUUCCUGGGUGGUCACUCCAUGUUCCAAUUAUCACAAUAUGAUCUUGCUUAAUCAUCGGAUUAACAACAAUAAUGUAAACUUACCAUUUGGAACAUUAAUAUCAUAAACAGGAGUGAAUGCAUAAAGUUAAAGUUGUAGCAAUAGCAUAGCUACUAAAGUAAAGUACAAUACCCAUGUUUGAUCAAGGAAUAAGGUUGGAAAGGUUAGGUGUAUUUGAAUAGGUAACUCAUCCAAUUAUGAAUAUCAUUAAUGCAAACUUAGUUAUCAUGUGUUGAAUAGGUUCAAACAGAAUAUGCAGGGGAGAAGUCCACUUGCCUUGCUAAUAGAAAACUUGAGAUUCAUCCACAGAAUAGAUCCCGAUUCUCAAUUACUGGAUCAAUCACUGAAUAACACACAAACAAACAAGAAGAAACAAACACCACUCAAUAACAUACAACAUUCACCGUAAAUAAAAUUAAAAGAAAGCAUAAUGAAAAGAGCAUUUGCUUUCCAAAAAACAUCACACACAAUGGUUAUAACAAAAUACGCUCUUUUGCAAAAGGUUUGUUUCUUAUUUUAUAAAACAAGACUUAAGCUUGAAAAUAUCUUAAUUAUAAAUUUAUAACAAUUAGGUGAACCAAUUUAAUCUUUUUAGAAAGUUAUAUAGAAUAACUAAGGCUAUGGGCUAAAAGAUUAUAAAACACAUUUGUUUAUGAAGCAUUAUAAAACACAUUAUUAAACAUUAUUAAACCCUUUUAGAAAGAUAUAUGUUAUAUAUCUAAGGUUAAUGAGUUAUGAAACAAAUUAUUAAAAAUGAAUUUAUGAGAAGUUAAUAUAUUAGCCUAAACAUGUUUUAGUUGGAAAGAUAAUGAAACAAAUAAUUAUCUUUAUUUUUAUUAAGAAAACACAUGGGCUAUAUUAUUAUUAAGAAAUAUAUAUUCAAGAUCAAUAUAUAAUCUAACAUUUUAAUUAUAAAAAAAUAAACACUAAUUUCUUUAUUUUAUCCUUUAGAAAAAACUAGAUUUGAUGGAUUAAUCAUGCCUAGAAAACUAAGCGAUGGAUAUGACAUGGACUAAGUUUGAUUAAAUGAUUAAUUAAGCCUAUAUAACUAGUUGUGAACAAAUUGUAUAUAGGUUUGAUUAAUAAAUUAUGAGAAAGGAUAAUUAAUCUAUUAAUUAUCUUUAGUUCUAAUUUAGGAACAAAUGAUUUAAUUCAUUAAAAGAAAACUAUGCUCAAUGAUAGAUAAUCUAUUAUUUUAAUUAUGGAGGCCCGUAAUUAAGCUACUUUAAUCUUAAUAGAAAUCUCUAUCUCGCAUACACAUAUUUAAAUAUGAAAUACUUAAUAAUAAAAUUAAUCAUAAAAAGGUAAUUUUAAUUAUUUAUCUAGUAUGUAUGAUUAAGAAAAGGUGCUAAACAAUUUUUUCAACUUCUUAAUUAGGAUAUCACGCAUAAAUUAAUUAUAAGAGUCACAAAUUAGAUUUAAAUUACGAAAACAUGUGAACAGUCACCGAUACUGAUUUUGAAGCAUUUAUGAAACUAAUAAAACAAUUACUCGUCAAUUUGAAUCUCAAAUGCUGAAAGGGAAUUAGGAUUACACCUAGUUCCUAAUUGAUUUUGGUGGUUGAAUUGCCCAACACAAAUAAUUGGACUAACUAGUUUGCUCUAGUCUAUAAGUUAUACAAGUGCCAAAGGUUCACACUAAGCCAAUAAAAAGACCAAGAAAAUGGUUCAACAAAGAGAGCAAGGGAUAACCGAAGUGUGCCCUAGUCUGGCGCACCGGACUGUCCGGUGUACCACCGGACAGUGUCCGGUGCACCAGGGCACUCGAGGCUAAACUCCUCACCUUCGGGAAAACGCAGAGGCGCUCCGCUAUAAUUCACCGGACUGUCCGGUGCCCCAGGGGAGAGCGACUCUAAACUCGCUAGCUUCGGAUUUCCGCUCCGCUAUAAUUCACCAGACAUGUCCGGUGCACACCGGACUGUCCGGUGAGCCAGCGGAGCAACGGCUACUUCGCGCCAACGGUCGACUGCAACGCAUUAAAUGCGCGCCUGCGCGCGCAGAGGAGCAGUGCACGCGCGGGUGGCACACCGGACAGUCUAUAGGACUUGUCCGGUGCGCCACCGGACAGCCAGGCGGGCCCACAAGACAGAGCUCCAACGGUCGAAACCCAACGGCCUGGUGACGUGGCUGGCGCACCGGACAGUGUCCGGUGGCGCACCGGACUGUCCGGUGCGCCAUGCGACAGUAGCCUCCACCAAACGGCUAGUUUGGUGGUUGGGGUUAUAAAUACCCCCAACCACCCCACAUUCAAGUCAUCCAAGUUUUCCACCUUCCAACUACUUACAAGAGCUCUAGCAUUCAAUUCUAGACACACUCAAGUGAUCAAAUCCUCUCCCAAUUCCACACAAAGCUUUAGUGACUAGUGAGAGAGAUUUGUUGUGUUCUUUUGAGCUCUUGCACUUGGAUUGCUUCUUUUCCUUCUCAAUCUUUCUUGAGAUCAAACUCACUUGUAAUUGAGGCAAGAGACACCAAUUGUGUGGUGGUCCUUGCGGGAACUUUGUGUUCCAAUUGUUUGAGAAGAAGAAGCUCACUCGGUCCGAGGGACCGUUUGAGAGAGGGAAAGGGUUGAAAGAGACCCGGUAUUUGUGACCACCUCAACGGGGAGUAGGUUUAUGAGAACCGAACCUCGGUAAAACAAAUCCGCGUGUCACACUCUUUAUUCGCUUGUGAUUUGUUUUGCACCCUCUCUCUCUCGGACUUGAUUAUAUUUCUAACGCUAACCCGGCUUGUAGUUGUGAUUAACUUUGUAAAUUUCAGUUUCGCCCUAUUCACCCCCCCUCUAGGCGACUUUCAAUUGGUAUCAAAGCCCGGUGCUUCAUUAGAGCCUAACCGCUCGAAGUGAUGUCGGGAGAUCACGCCAAGAAGGAGAUGGAGAUCGGCGACAAGCCCACUACAAGCCACGAGAAGGCUUCAUCGGAAGAGUCCCGCAAAAAGGGGAAGGGGAAGGUGAAGAAAGCCUCUUCCAACAAGUCGCAUCGGAGUGGCGAUAAGAAAAAGAAGAUGAGGAAGGUGGUCUACUACGAGACCGAUACUUCAUCACCUUCCACCUCCGGCUCCGACGCGCCCUCCGUAACUUCUAAGCACCAUGAGCGCAAGAAGUUUAGUAAGAUCCCCAUUCGCUACCCUCGCAUUCCAAAACAUACUCCAUUACUUUCCGUUCCAUUAGGCAAACCGCCAACCUUUGACGGUGAAGAUUAUGCUAGGUGGAGUGAUUUGAUGAAAUUUCACCUAACCUCACUCCACAAAAGUAUAUUGAAUGUUGUUGAGUUUGUAGCACAGGUACCAUCCAUAGGAGAUGAGGAUUAUGAUGAGGACGAGGUAGCCCAAAUCGAGCACUUCAACUCCCAAGCCACAACUAUACUCCUCGCCUCUCUAAGUCGAGAGGAGUAUAACAAGGUGCAAGGAUUAAAGAGCGCCAAGGAAGUUUGGGACGUGCUCAAGACCGCGCACGAGGGAGAUGAGCUAACCAAGAUCACCAAGCGGGAGACGAUCGAGGGGGCGCUCGGUCGCUUCCGGCUUCGCAAAGGGGAAGAGCCACAAGACAUGUACAACCGGCUCAAAACCUUGGUGAACCAAGUGCGCAACCUCGGGAGCAAAAAGUGGGAUGACCACUAAAAGGGAAUUAGGCUUACACCUUUUUCCUAAAUGAUUUUAGUGGUUGAAUUGCCCAACACAAAUAAUUGGACUAACUAGUUUGCUCUAGUGUACAAGUUAUACAGGUGCCAAAGGUUCACACUUAGCCAAUAAAAAGACCAAGUAUGGGGUUCAACAAAGAGAGCAAGGGAUAACCGAAUGCACCUCUGGUCUGGCGCACCGGACUGACCGGUGCACCACCGGACAGUGUCUGGUGCACCACCGGACAGUGUCCGGUGCACCAGGGGACUUCUCGCUGAACUCUUCACCUUCGGGAAAAUCCAGAGGCGCUCCGCUAUAAUUCACCGGACUGUUCGGUGUACACCGGACAGUGUCCGGUGCCCCAGGGAAGAGCGGCUCUGGAACUCGCCAGCUUCGGGAUUUUGCUCCGCUAUAAUUCACCGGACAUGUCCGGUGUACACCGGACUGUCCGGUGAACCAGCAGAGCAACGGCUACUUCGCGCCAACGGUCACCUGCAGGCGCAUUUAAUGCGCGCCGAAAGCGUGCAGAAGUCAGGCACGCGCGAGACGGUGCACCGGACACUCUACAGUACUUGUCCGGUGUACACCGGACAGCCAAGCGGGCCCAGAAGUCAGAAGCUCCAACGGUCGAAUCCCAACGGCCUGGUGACGUGGCUGGCGCACCGGACAUGUCCAGUGUGCACCGGACUGUCCGAUGCACCAUGCGACAGACAGCCCCACCAAACGGCUAGUUUGGUGGUUGGGGCUAUAAAUACCCCCAACCACCCCACAUUCAAGUCAUCCAAGUUUUCCCACUUCAACUACUUACAAGAGCUCUAGCAUUCAAUUCUAGACACACCCAAGUGAUCAAAUCCUCUCCAAACUCCACACAACGCCCUAGUGAUUAGUGAGAGAGAUUUGCUUGUGUUCUUUUGAGUUCUUGCGCUUGGAUUGCUUUCUUCUUUCUUUGAUUCUUCAUUGCGAUCAAACUCACAUGUAAUUGAGGCAAGAGACACCAAUCUUGUGGUGGUCCUUGUGGGAACUUUGUGUUCCAAGUGAUUGAGAAGAAAAGCUCACUCGGUCCGAGGGACCGUUUGAGAGAGGGAAAGGGUUGAAAGAGACCCGGUCUUUGUGACCACCUCAACGGGGAGUAGGUUUGCGAGAACCGAACCUCGGUAAAACAAAUCCACGUGUCUCACUCCUUAUUUUCUUGCGAUUUGUUUUGCACCCUCUCUCGCGGACUCGAUUAUAUUUCUAACGCUAACUCGACUUGUAGUUGUGAUUAUUUUGAGAAUUUCAGUUUCGCCCUAUUCACCCCCCCUCUUGGCGACUUUCAAUUGGUAUCAGAGCCCGGUGCUUCAUUAGAGCCUAACCGCUCGAAGUGAUGUCGGGAGAUCACGCCAAGAAGGAGAUGGAGACCGGCGAAAAGCCCACUACAAGCAACGAGAAAGCCCUAUCGGGAGAGUCCCGCAACAAGGAGAAGAGGAAGGAAAAGAAGAAGGAGAAGAAGACUUCUUCCCACAAGUCGCAUCGGAGUGGCGACAAAAUAAAGAAGAUGAGGAAGGUGGUCUACUACGAGACCGACACUUCAUCACCUUCUACCUCCGGCUCCGACGCGCCCUCCAUAACUUCUAAGCGCUAUGAGCGCAAGAAGUUUAGUAAGAUCCCCUUACAUUAUCCUCGUACUUCUAGACAUACUCCAUUACUUUCCGUUCCAUUAGGCAAACCGCCAACCUUUGACGGUGAAGAUUAUGCUAGGUGGAGUGAUUUAAUGAAAUUUCAUCUAACCUCACUCCACAAAAGUAUAUGGAAUGUUGUUGAGUUUGGAGCACAGGUACCAUCCGUAGGGGAUGAGGAUUAUGAUGAGGACGAAGUGACCCAAAUCGAGCACUUCAACUCCCAAGCCACAACCAUACUCCUCGCCUCUCUAAGUAGGGAGGAGUACAACAAGGUGCAAGGACUAAAAAGCGCCAAGGAAGUUUGGGACGUGCUCAAAACGGCGCACGAGGGUGAUGAACUCACCAAGAUCACCAAGCGGGAAACGAUCGAGGGGGAGCUCGGUCGCUUCCGUCUUCGCCAAGGGGAGGAGCCACAAGAUAUGUACAACCAGCUCAAGACCUUGGUGAAUCAAGUGCGCAACCUCGGGAGCAAAAAGUGGGAUGACCACGAGGUGGUUAAGGUUAUUCUAAGAUCUCUUAUUUUCCUUAACCCUACUCAAGUACAAUUAAUUUGUGGUAAUCCAAGAUAUACACUAAUGCCUCCCGAGGAAGUUAUCGGGAAUUUUGUGAGCUUUGAAUUUAUGAUCAAGGGCUCACGGAAGAUCAACGAGCUCGACGGUCCUUCUACGUCCGAAGCUCAACCGGUUGCAUUCAAAGCGACGAAAGAGAAGGAGGAGGAGCCUACACCGAGUAGAACACCCAUCGACGCCUCCAAGCUCGACAACGAGGAGAUGACGCUUGUCAUCAAAAGCUUUCGCCAAAUCCUCAAGCAAAGGAGGGGGAAGGAUUACAAGCCCUGCUCCAAGAAGGUUUGCUACAAGUGUGGUAAGCCCGGUCACUUUAUUGCAAAAUGUCCUAUUUCUAGUGACAGUGACAGGGGCGAUGACAAGAAGGGAAGAAGAAAGGAGAAGAAGAGGUACUACAAGAAGAAGGGCGGCGAUGCCCAUGUUUGUCGGGAGUGGGACUCCGACGAAAGCUCUAGCGACUCCUCCGACGACAAGGACGCCGCCAACAUCGCCGUCACCAAGGGACUCCUCUUCCCCAACGUCGGCCACAAGUGCCUCAUGGCUAAGGACGGCAAAAAGAAGAAGGUUAAAUCUAAAUCCUCCACUAGAUAUGAAUCCUCUAGUGAUGAUAAUGCUAGUGAUGAGGAAGAUAAUUUACGUACUCUCUUUGCCAACCUAAACAUGCAACAAAAAGAAAAGUUAAAUGAAUUAAUUAGUGCCAUCCAUGAGAAGGAUGACCUCUUGGACUCCCAAGAGGACUUCCUAAUCAAGGAAAACAAAAAGCAUGUUAAGGUUAAAAAUGCUUAUGCUCUAGAAGUUGAAAAAUGUGAAAAAUUAUCUAGUGAGCUAAGCACUUGCCAUGAGACAAUAGACAACCUUAGAAAUGAAAAUGCUAAUUUAUUAGCUAAGGUUGAUUCAAAUGUUUGUAAUGCUUCAAUUCCCAAUCUUAGAAAUGAGAAUGAUGAUUUACUUGAUAAGAUUGAAGAAUUAAACAUAUCUCUUGCUAGCCUUAGGAUUGAGAAUGAAAAAUUGCUUGCUAAGGCUAAGGAUUUUGAUGUUUGCAAUGCUAUUAUUUCCGACCUUAGAACUAAAAAUGAUAUUUUGCAUGCUAAGGUUGUAGAAUUAAAAUCUUGCAAACUCUCUACAUCUACCGUUGAGCACACUUCUAUUUGUACUAGAUGUAGAGAUGUUGAUGUUAAUGCUAUACAUGAUCACAUGGCUUUAAUUAAACAACAAAAUGAUCAUAUAGCAAAAUUAGAUGCUAAAAUUGCCGAGCAUGACUUAGAAAAUGAAAAAUUUAAAUUUGCUAGAAGCAUGCUCUAUAGAGGGAGACGCCCUGGCAUUAAGGAUGACAUUGGCUUCCAAAAGGGGGACAAUGUCAAACUUAAUGCCCCUCCUAAGAAAUUGUCUAAUUUUGUUAAGGGCAAGGCUCCCAUGCCUCAAGAUAACGAGGGAUACAUUUUGUACCCUGUCGGUUAUCCUGAGAGCAAAAUUAGGAGAAUUCAUUCUAGGAAGUCUCACUCUGGCCCUAACCAUGCUUUCAUGUAUAAGGGUGAGACAUCUAGCUCUAGGCAACCAACCCGUGCUAAGUUGUCUAAGAAGAAAACUCCUAGUGCAUCAAAUGAACAUAGCUUGUCAUUCAAAACUUUUGAUGCGUCAUAUGUGUUGACUAACAAAUCCGGCAAAGUAGUUGCCAAAUAUGUUGGGGGCAAGCACAAGGGGUCAAAGACUUGUGUUUGGGUACCCAAAGUUCUUGUAUCUAAUGCCAAAGUACCCAAAACCAUUUGGGUACCUAAAGUCAAGAACUAAACAUGUUUUGUAGGUUUAUGCAUCCGGGGGCUCAAGCUGGGUAAUCGACAGCGGGUGCACAAACCACAUGACAGGGGAGAAAAAGAUGUUCUCCUCCUACGAGAAAAACCAAGAUCCCCAACGAGCUAUCACAUUCGGGGAUGGAAAUCAAGGUUUGGUCAAAGGAUUGGGUAAAAUAGCUAUAUCUCCUGACCAUUCUAUUUCCAAUGUUUUUCUUGUAGAUUCAUUAGAUUACAAUUUGCUUUAUGUAUCUCAAUUAGGCAAAAUGGGCUACAACUGUUUAUUCACUGAUGUAGGUGUCACUGUCUUUAGAAGAAGUGAUGAUUCAAUAGCAUUUAAGGGAGUGUUAGAGGGUCAGCUAUACUUGGUAGAUUUUGAUAGAGCUGAACUCGACACUUGUUUAAUUGAUAAGACUAACAUGGGUUGGCUCUGGCACCGCCGACUAGCCCAUGUUGGGAUGAAGAAUCUUCACAAGCUUCUAAAGGGAGAGCACAUUUUAGGAUUAAAAAUGUUCAUUUUGAGAAAGACAGGAUUUGUAGCGCAUGCCAAGUAGGAAAGCAAGUUGGUGCUCACCAUCCACACAAGAACAUCAUGUCGACCGACAGGCCACUGGAGCUCCUACACAUGGAUCUAUUCGGCCCGAUAGCUUAUAUAAGCAUCGGCGAGAGUAAGUAUUGUCUCGUUAUUGUGGAUGAUUAUUCUCGCUUCACUUGGGUGUUCUUUUUGCAGGAAAAAUCUCACACCCAAGAGACCUUAAAGGGAUUCUUGAGACGGGCUCAAAAUGAGUUCGGCUUGAGGAUCCAGAAAAUUAGAAGCGACAAUGGGACGGAGUUCAAGAACUCACAAAUUGAAGGCUUCCUUGAGGAGGAGGGCAUCAAGCAUGAGUUCUCUUCUCCCUACACCCCACAACAAAAUGGUGUAGUGGAUAGGAAGAAUAGAACUCUUUUGGACAUGGCAAGAACCAUGCUUGAUGAGUACAAGACUUCAGAUCGGUUUUGGGCCGAGGCGGUCAACACCGCCUGCUACGCCAUCAACCGGCUAUAUCUACACCGAAUCCUCAAGAAGACCUCAUACGAACUCCUUACCGGUAAAAAGCCCAAUAUUUCAUAUUUUAGAGUCUUUGGUAGCAAAUGCUUUAUUCUUGUUAAAAGAGGAAGAAAAUCUAAAUUUGCUCCUAAGACUGUAGAAGGCUUUUUACUAGGAUAUGAUUCAAACACAAGGGCAUAUAGAGUCUUUAACAAGUCCUCUGGACAAGUUGAAGUUUCUUGUGACGUUGUGUUUGAUGAGACUAACGGCUCUCAAGUAGAGCAAGUUGAUCUUGAUGAGAUAGGUGAUGAAGAGGCUCCGUGCAUCGCGCUAAGGAACAUGUCCAUUGGGGAUGUGUGUCCUAAGGAAUCCGAAGAGCCUCCAAAUGCACAAGAUCAACCAUCCUCCUCCACGCAAGCAUCCCCACCGACUCAAAAUGAGGAUGAGGCUCAAGUUGAUGAAGUAGAAGAUCAAGCAAAUGAGCCACCUCAAGAUAAUGGCAAUGAUCAAGGGGGAGAUGCAAAUGAUCAAGACAAGGAGGAUGAAGAACAAAGACCGCCACACCUAAGAGUCCACCAAGCAAUCCAACGAGAUCACCCCAUCGACACCAUCCUCGGCGACAUUCAUAAGGGGGUAACCUCUAGAUCUCGUGUUGCACAUUUUUGUGAACAUUACUCUUUUGUUUCCUCUAUUGAGCCACAUAGGGUAGAGGAAGCACUACAAGAUUUGGAUUGGGUGGUGGCGAUGCAAGAGGAGCUUAACAACUUCACUAGGAAUGAGGUAUGGCAUUUGGUUCCACGUCCUAAUCAAAAUAUUGUAGGAACCAAAUGGGUCUUCCGCAAAAAGCAAGACGAGCAUGGUGUGGUGACAAGGAACAAAGCUCGACUUGUGGCCAAGGGAUACUCCCAAGUCGAAGGUUUGGAUUUCGGUGAAACCUAUGCACCCGUAGCUAGGCUUGAGUCAAUUCGUAUAUUAUUGGCCUAUGCUACUUACCAUGGCUUUAAGCUUUACCAAAUGGACGUGAAAAGUGCCUUCCUCAAUGGACCAAUCAAGGAAAAGGUCUAUGUUGAGCAACCUCCCGACUUUGAAGAUAGUGAGCACCCUAACCAUGUGUAUAAACUCUCUAAGGCGCUUUAUGGGCUUAAGCAAGCCCCAAGAGCAUGGUAUGAAUGCCUUAGGGAUUUCCUUAUCACUAAUGGAUUCAAAGUCGGCAAGGAUGAUCCUACACUCUUCACUAAAACUCUUGAAAAUGACUUGUUUGUAUGCCAAAUUUAUGUUGAUGAUAUUAUAUUUGGGUCUACUAACGAGUCUACAUGUGAAGAAUUUAGUAGGAUCAUGGCACAAAAGUUUGAGAUGUCUGUGAUGGGGGAGUUGAAGUAUUUCUUAGGAUUUCAAGUGAAGCAACUCCAAGAGGGCACCUUCCUAAGCCAAACGAAGUAUACUCAAGAUAUUCUAAGCAAGUUUGGAAUGAAGGAUGCCAAACCCAUCAAGACACCCAUGGGAACCAAUGGGCAUCUCGACCUUGACGAAGGAGGUAAAUCCGUCGAUCAAAAGGUAUACCGGUCGAUGAUAGGCUCUUUACUCUACUUAUGUGCAUCUCGACCGGAUAUUAUGCUUUUCGUAUGCAUGUGUGCAAGAUUCCAAGCCGACCCUAAGGAAGCUCACCUUACGGCCGUAAAACGAAUCUUGAGAUAUUUGGUUUAUACUCCUAAGUUUGGGCUUUGGUAUCCUAGGGGAUCCACAUUUGAUUUAAUUGGUUAUUCGGAUGCUGAUUGGGCGGGGUGUAAAAUCAAUAGAAAGAGCACAUCGGGGACUUGCCAGUUCUUGGGAAGAUCCUUGGUGUCUUGGGCUUCAAAGAAGCAAAAUUUCGUAGCUCUUUCUACCACCGAAGCCGAGUAUAUUGCCGCAGGCCAUUGUUGCGCGCAACUACUUUGGAUGAGGCAAACCCUUAGGGACUAUGGUUACAAACUAACCAAAGUUCCUCUUCUAUGUGAUAAUGAGAGUGCAAUCCGCAUGGCGGAUAAUCCCGUUGAGCAUAGCCGCACUAAACACAUAGCCAUUCAGUAUCACUUUUUAAGGGAUCACCAACAAAAGGGAGAUAUCGAGAUUUCUUACAUUAAUACUAAAGAUCAAUUAGCCGAUAUCUUUACCAAGCCACUUUAUGAACAAACUUUUAACAAACUUAGGCAUGAGCUAAAUAUUCUUGAUUCUCGGAACUUCUUUUGUUAAAUUGCACACAUAGCUCAUUCAUAUACCUUUGAUCAUGUCUCUUUCAUAUGUUAUGACUAAUGUGUUUUCAAGUCUAUUUCAAACCAAGUCAUAGGUAUAUUGAAAGGAAAUUGGAGUCUUCGGCGAAAACAAAGGCUUCCACUCCGUAACUCAUCCUUCGCCGUCGCUCCGCGCAACUCUCCAUCUUUGGGGAGAUAAGGACUCCAUUCUUUGGUAUAAUCUUCACUCAUUUAUUCAUGACCAAAGGGGGAGAAAGUAAUUCUAAGGGCUCUAAUAACUCUGUUUUUGGCGAUUCAUGCCAAAGGGGGAGAAAGUAUUAGCCCAAAGCAAAAGGACCGCACCACCACCUAAUUUUAAAAGAGUUUUUCAAUUGGUAUGAUUCUCAAUUGAUAAAUUUCAAAUUAGUAUCUUAUUGUGUUCAAAAGGGGGAGAAAAGUAGUAUUUCAAAAUUGUUAUAUCAAAACCCUCUUGAACACUAAGAGGAUAAUUUCAUUUAGAGGGAGUUUUGUUUAGUCAAAGGAAAAGCAUUUGAAACAGGGGGAGAAAAUUUCAAAUUUUGAAAAUGCUUCGCAAAAAUCUUAUUCAUUUACCUUUGACUAUGUGCAAAAGAACUUUGAAGAGGAUUUACAAAAGAAUUUGCAAAAACAAAACAUGUGGUGCAAGCGUGGUCCAAAAUGUCAAAAAUUGAAGAAAACAAUCCAUGCAUAUCUUGUAAGUAUUUGUAUUGGCUCAAUUCCAAGCAACCUUUGCACUUACAUUAUGCAAACUAGUUCAAUUAUGCACUUCUAUAUUUGCUUUGGUUUGUGUUGGCAUCAAUCACCAAAAAGGGGGAGAUUGAAAGGGAAUUAGGCUUACACAUAUUUCCUAAAUGAUUUUAGUGGUUGAAUUGCCCAACACAAAUAAUUGGACUAACUAGUUUGCUCUAGUGUACAAGUUAUACUGGUGCCAAAGGUUCACACUUAGCCAAUAAAAAGACCAAGUAUGGGGUUCAACAAAGAGAGCAAGGGAUAACCGAAGGCACCUCUGGUCUGGCGCACCGGACUGACCGGUGUGCCACCGGACAGUGUCCGGUGCACCAGGCGACUUCUCGCUGAACUCUUCACCUUCGAGAAAAUCCAGAGGCGCUCCGCUAUAAUUCACCGGACUGUCCGGUGUACACCGGACAGUGUCCGGUGCCCCAGGGAAGAGCGGCUCUGGAACUCGCCAACUUUGGGAUUUUGCUCCGCUAUAAUUCACCGGACUGUCCGGUGAACCAGCAGAGCAACGGCUACUUCGCGCCAACGGUCACCUGCAGGCGCAUUUAAUGCACGCCGGAAGCGCGCAGAAGUCAGGCACGCGCGAGACGGUGCACCGGACACUCUACAGUACUUGUCCGGUGUACACCGGACAGCCAGGCGGGCCCAAAAGUCAGAAGCUCCAACGGUCGAAUCCCAACAGCCUGGUGACGUGGCUGGCGCACCGGACUGUCCGGUGCACCAUGCGACAGACAGCCCCACCAAACGGCUAGUUUGGUGGUUGGGGCUAUAAAUACCCCAACCACCCCACAUUCAAGUCAUCCAAGUUUUCCCACUUCAACUACUUACAAGAGCUCUAGCAUUCAAUUCUAGACACACCCAAGUGAUCAAAUCCUCUCCAAACUCCACACAACGCCCUAGUGAUUAGUGAGAGAGAUUUGCUUGUGUUCUUUCGAGCUCUUGCGCUUGGAUUGCUUUCUUCUUUCUUUGAUUCUUCAUUGCGAUCAAACUCACUUGUAAUUGAGGCAAGAGACACCAAUCUUGUGGUGGUCCUUGUGGGAACUUUGUGUUCCAAGUGAUUGAGAAGAAAAGCUCACUCGGUCCGAAGGACCGUUUGAGAGAGGGAAAGGGUUGAAAGAGACCCGGUCUUUGUGACCACCUCAACGGGAAGUAGGUUUGCGAGAACCGAACCUCGGUAAAACAAAUCCACGUGUCUCACUCCUUAUUUGCUUGCGAUUUGUUUUGCACCCUCUCUCGCGGACUCGAUUAUAUUUCUAACGCUAACUCGACUUGUAGUUGUGAUUAUUUUGAGAAUUUCAGUUUCGCCCUAUUCACCCCCCUCUAGGCGACUUUCAACCACGAGAUGGUUAAGGUUAUUCUUAGAUCACUUAUUUUCCUUAACCCUACUCAAGUUCAAUUAAUUCGUGGUAAUCCUAGAUAUACACUAAUGACUCCCGAGGAAGUAAUCGGGAAUUUUGUGAGCUUUGAAUUCAUGAUCAAAGGCUCAAGGAAGAUCAACGAGCUUGAUGAUCCCGCCACGUCCGAAGCACAACCGGUCGCAUUUAAGGCGACGGAGGAGAAGAAGGAGGAGUCUACAUCGAGUAGAACACCCAUCGACGCCUCCAAGCUCGACAACGAGGAAAUGGCGCUCGUCAUCAAGAGCUUCCGCCAAAUCCUCAAGCAAAGGAGGGGGAAAGAUUACAAGCCCCGCUCCAAGAAGGUUUGCUACAAGUGUGGUAAGCCCGGUCACUUUAUAGCAAAAUGCCCUAUUUCUAGUGACAGGGGCGACGACAAGAAGGGGAGAAGAAAGGAGAAGAAGAAAUACUACAAGAAGAAGGGUGGCGACGCUCAUGUAUGCCGCGAGUGGGACUCGGACGAGAGCUCCUCUGACUCCUCCUCCGACGAGGACGCCGCCAACAUCGCCAUCAACAAGGGCCUUCUCUUCCCUAACGUCGGCCACAAGUGCCUCAUGGCAAAGGACGGCAAAAAGAAGAAGGUUAAAUCCAAAUCCUCCACUAAAUAGGAGUCCUCUAGUGAUGAUAAUGCUAGUGAUGAGGAGGAUAAUUUGCGUACCCUUUUUGCCAACUUAAACAUGCAACAAAAGGAGAAGUUAAAUGAAUUGAUUAGUGCUAUCCAUGAGAAGGAUGAUCUCUUGGACACCCAAGAGGACUUCCUUAUUAAAGAAAAUAAGAAGCAUGUUAAGGUUAAAAAUGCUUACGCUCUAGAAGUAGAAAAAUGUGAAAAUCUAUCUAGUGAGCUAAGCACUUGCCAUGAAACUAUUGACAACCUUAGAAAUGAAAAUGCUAGUUUAAUUGCUAAGGUUGAAUCAAAUGCUUGUAAUGUUUGAAGUCCCAAUCUUAGAGAUGAUAAUGUUGAUUUGCUUGCUAAAAUUGAAGAAUUGAACAAUUCUCUUGCUAGCCUUAGGAAUGAAAAUGAAAAAUUGCUUGCUAAGGCUAAAUAAUUAGAUGUUUGCAAUGCUUCCAUUUCCGACCUUAGAAGUAAAAAUGAUAUAUUGCAUGCUAAGGUUGUAGAAUUAAAAUCUUGCAAACCCUCUACAUCUACCGUUGAACACACUUCUAUUUGCACUAGAUGUAGAGAUAUUGACAUUGAUACUAUUCAUGAUCACAUGGCUUUAAUUAAACAACAAAAUGAUCAUAUAGCAAAAUUAGAUGCUAAAAUUGCCGAGCAUGACUUAGAAAACGAAAAAUUUAAAUUUGCUAGAAGCAUGCUCUAUAGAGGGAGACGCCCUGGUAUUAAGGAUGGCAUUGGCUUCCAACAGGGAGGCAAUGUCAAACUUAAUGCCCCUCCUAAGAAAUUGUCCAACUUUGUUAAGGGCAAGGCUCCCAUGCCUCAGGAUAACGAGGGUUACAUUUUGUACCCUGUCGGUUAUCCCGAGAGCAAAAUUAGGAGAAUUCAUUCUAGGAAGUCUCACUCUGGCCCUAACCAUGCUUUUAUGUAUAAGGGUGAGACAUCUAGUUCUAGGCAACCAACCCGUGCUAAGUUGCCUAAAAAGAAAACUCCUAGUGCAUCAAAUGAACAUAGCAUUUCAUUUAAGACUUUUGAUGCAUCUUAUGUGUUAACUAACAAAUCCGGCAAGGUAGUUGCCAAGUAUGUUGGGGGCAAACACAAGGGAUCAAAGACUUGUGUUUGGGUACCCAAAGUUCUUGUGUCUAAUGCCAAAGGACCCAAAACCAUUUGGGUACCUAAAGUCAAGAACUAAAAUUGUUUUGUAGGUUUAUGCAUCCGGGGGCUCAAGUUGGAUUAUCGAUAGCGGGUGCACAAACCACAUGACAGGGGAGAAGAAAAUGUUCUCCUCCUAUGAGAAAAACCAAGAUCCCCAACGAGCUAUCACAUUCGGGGAUGGAAACCAAGGUUUGGUCAAAGGAUUGGGUAAAAGUGCUAUAUCUCCUGACCAUUCAAUUUCCAAUGUUUUUCUUGUAGAUUCCUUAGAUUACAAUUUGCUUUCCGUUUCUCAAUUAUGUCAAAUGGGCUACAACUGUCUUUUUACUGAUGUAGGUGUCACUAUCUUUAGAAGAAGUGAUGAUUCAAUAGCAUUUAAGGGAGUGUUAGAGGGUCAGCUAUACUUGGUAGAUUUUGAUAGAGCUGAACUUGACACUUGCUUAAUUGCUAAGACUAACAUGGGUUGGCUCUGGCACCGCCGACUAGCCCAUGUUGGGAUGAAGAAUCUUUAUAAGCUUCUAAAGGGAGAGCACAUUUUAGGAUUAACAAAUGUUCAUUUUGAGAAAGACAGGGUUUGUAGCGCAUGCCAAGCAGGGAAGCAAGUUAGUGCUCAUCAUCCACACAAGAACAUCAUGACGACUGACAGACCACUGGAGCUCCUACACAUGGAUCUAUUCGGCCCAAUUGCUUACAUAAGUAUCAGCGGGAGUAAGUACUGUCUAGUUAUUGUGGAUGACUAUUCUCGCUUCACUUGGGUAUUCUUUUUGCAGGAAAAAUCUCAUACCCAAGAGACAUUAAAGGGAUUCUUGAGACGGGCUCAAAACGAGUUCGGCUUAAGGAUCAAGAAAAUUAGAAGCGACAACGGGACGGAGUUCAAGAAUUCUCAAAUAGAAGGCUUCCUUGAGGAGGAGGGCAUCAAGCAUGAGUUCUCCUCUCCCUACACGCCACAACAAAAUGGUGUAGUGGAGAGGAAGAAUAGAACUCUAUUGGACAUGGCAAGAACCAUGCUUGAUGAGUACAAGACUUCGGAUCGGUUUUGGGCCGAGGCGGUCAACACCGCCUGCUACGCCAUCAACCGGUUGUAUCUACACCGAAUCCUCAAGAAGACAUCAUAUGAACUCCGAACCGGUAAAAAGCCCAAUAUUUCAUAUUUUAGAGUCUUUGGUAGCAAAUGCUUUAUACUUGUUAAAAGAGGUAGAAAAUCUAAAUUUGCUCCUAAGACUGUAGAAGGCUUUUUACUAGGAUAUGAUUCAAACACAAGGGCAUAUAGAGUCUUUAACAAGUCCUCUGGACAAGUUGAAGUUUCUUGUGACGUUGUGUUUGAUGAGACUAACGACCCUCAAGUAGAGCAAGUUGAUCUUGAUGAGAUAGGUGAUGAAGAGGCUCCGUGCAUCGCGCUAAGGAACAUGUCCAUUGGGGAUGUGUGCCCUAAGGAAUCCGAAGAGCCUCCAAAUGCACAAGAUCAACCAUCCUCCUCCACGCAAACAUCUCCACCAACUCAAAAUGAGGAUGAGGCUCUAGUUGAUGAAGGAGAAGAUCAAAGAGAUGAGCCACCUCAAGAUGACGGCAAUGAUCAAGGGGGAGAUGCAAAUGAUCAAGACAAGGAGGAUGAAGAACCAAGGCCACUACACCCAAGAGUCCACCAAGCAAUCCAACGAGAUCACCCCGUCGACACCAUUCUCGGCGACAUUCAUAAGGGGGUAACCACUAGAUCUCGUGUUGCACAUUUUUGUGAGCAUUACUCUUUUGUUCCCUCUAUUGAGCCACACAGUGUAGAGGAAGCACUUCAAGAUUCGAAUUGGGUGGUGGCGAUGCAAGAGGAGCUCAACAACUUCACUAGGAAUGAGGUAUGGCAUUUGGUUCCACGUCCUAAUCAAAAUGUUGUAGAAACCAAGUGGGUUUUCCGCAACAAGCAAGACGAGCAUGGUGUGGUGACAAGGAACAAAGCCCGACUUGUGGCUAAAGGCUAUUCACAAGUCAAAGGUUUGGAUUUCGGUGAAACCUAUGCACCCGUAGCUAGGCUUGAAUCAAUUCGUAUAUUAUUAGCCUAUGCUACUUACCAUGGCUUCAAGCUUUAUCAAAUGGACGUGAAGAGUGUCUUCCUCAAUGGACCAAUCAAGGAAGAGGUCUAUGUUGAGCAACCUCCCGGCUUUGAAGAUAGUGAGUACCCUAACCAUGUGUAUAAACUCUCUUAUGCGCUUUAUGGGCUCAAGCAAGCCCCAAGAGCAUGGUAUGAAUGCCUUAGAGAUUUUCUUAUCACUAAUGGAUUCAAAGUCGGAAAGGCCGAUCCUACUUUAUUCACUAAAACUCUUGAAAAAGACUUGUUUGUAUGCCAAAUUUAUGUUGAUGAUAUUAUAUUUGGGUCUACUAACGAGUCUACAUGUGAAGAAUUUAGUAGGAUCAUGACACAAAAAUUCGAGAUGUCAAUGAUGGGGGAGUUGAAGUACUUCUUGGGAUUUCAAGUGAAGCAACUCCAAGAGGGCACCUUCCUAAGCCAAACAAAGUAUACUCAAGAUAUUCUAAGCAAGUUUGGGAUGAAGGAUGCCAAACCCAUCAAGACACCCAUGGGAACCAAUGGGCAUCUCGACCUUGACACGGAAGGUAAAUCCGUCGAUCAAAAGGUAUACCGGUCGAUGAUAGGCUCUUUACUAUAUUUAUGUGCAUCUCGACCGGAUAUUAUGCUUUCCGUAUGCAUGUGUGCAAGAUUCCAAGCCGACCCUAAGGAAGCUCACCUCACGGCCGUAAAACGAAUCUUGAUGUCGGUGUUUCGAGACCCGGGGGUCCCUGGGCCGACUAGUGAAUGUCGUCGCAUGCCCCAGCCCAGAUGGGUCGAGCGCGAGGGCGAGCGCGAAGGGGGGAGAGCGAGGCGGCCGGAGACCGGCGUGAGAGAGGUGGGAAUCCCGCGGCCUUCGUGUUCGUCCCGCGCCCAGGUCGGGUGCGCUUGCAGUAGGGGGUUACAAGCGUCCACGCGGGAGAGGGAGCGAGCGGCUCCAAGCGAGCGCCUGUCUCGCCCUCGUCCCCGCGCGGCCAACCCUCUCUAAGAGGGCCCUGGUCCUUCCUUUUAUAGGCAUAAGGAGAGGAUCCAGGUGUACAAUGGGGGGUGUAGCAGAGUGCUACGUGUCUAGCGGAGGAGAGCUAGCGCCCUAAGUACAUGCCGUUGUGGCAGCCGGAGAGAUUUUGGCACCCAGCUGGUGUGAUGUCGUGGCCGUCGGAGGAGUGAUGGAGCCUGGCGGAGGGACAGCUGUCGGAGCGGUUGAGUCCUUGCUGACGUCCUCUUGCUUCCGUAAGGGGGCUGAGAGCCGCUGUCGUCACAGAGUACGCGGGGCGCCAUCAUUGCCUAUCUGGUGGAGCUAGCCAGAUGGGACGCCGGUCUUGUUCCCUGCGGCCCGAGUCAGCUCGGGGUAGGGUGAUGAUGGCGCCUCCUGUUGACGUGGCUGGUCUGCGCCCUAGGUUGGGCGAUGUGGAAGCUCCUCCGAAGCCGAGGUCGAGUCUGUCUUCCGUGGUCGAGGUCGAGUCCGAGCCCCUGGGUCGGGCGAGGCGGAGUUCGUCGUCUUCUAGGGCUGAGCCCAAGUCCGAGCCCUGGGUCGGGCAGAGCGGAGUUCGUCGUCUUCUAGGGCUGAGCCCAAGUCCGAGCCCUGGGUUGGGUGGAGCGGAGUUCGCCGUCUUCUGGGACUUAGCCCGAGUCCGAGCCCUAGGUCGGGCGGAGCAGAGUUCGCCAUCUUCUGGGGCUGAGCCCAAGUCCGAGCCCUGAGUCGGGCGGAGCGGAGUUCGCCGUCUUCCGGGACUUAGCCCGAGUCCGAGCCCUGGGUCGGGCGGAGUGGAGUUCGCCGUCUUCCGGGGCUGAGCCCGAGUCCGAGCCCUGGGUCGGGCGGAGCGGAGUUCGCCGUCUUCCGGGGCUGAGCCCGAGUCCGAGCCCUGGGUCAGGCGGAGCAGAGUUCACCGUCUUCCGGGACUUAGCCCGAGUCCGAGCCCUGGGUUGGGCGAAGCAGAGCUUCCUAUGAUGCCUUCGGCAGGGCCUGACUGCCUGUCAGUUUCACUCUGUCAAGUGGCACCGCAGUCGGAGUGGCGCAGGCGGCGCUGUCCUUGUGUCAGGCCGGUCAGUGGAGCGGCGAAGUGACGGCGGUCACUUCGGUUCUGCCGGCCGGAGGGCGCGCGUCAGGAUAAAGGUGUCAGGCCACCUUUGCAUUAAAUGCUCCUGCGAUUUGGUCGGUCGGUGCGGCAAUUUAGUCAGGGUUGCUUCUUGGCGAAGGUAGGGCCUCGGGCGAGCCGGAAAUAUCUUCGCCGCUGGAGGGGGGCCUCGGGCGAGACGGAAGUCCUCCAGGGUCGGCUGCCCUUGUCCGAGGCUAGACUCGGACGAGGCGUGAUCGAGUCCCUCGAAUGGACUGAUCCCUGACUUAAUCGCGCUCAUCAGGCCUUUGCAGCUUCAUGCUGAUGGGGGUUACCAGCUGAGAAUUAGGAGCCUUGAGGGUACCCCUAAUUAUGGUCCCCGACAGUAGCCCUCGAGCCUCGAAGGGAGUGUUAGCACUCGCUUGGAGGCUUUCGUCGCACUUUUUUGCAAGGGGAUUAGCCUUUCUCGGUUGCGUUUUGUUCCGGUGGGUGCGCGCGAGCGCACCCGCCGGGUGUAGCCCCCGAGGCCUCGGAGGAGUGGUUUCACUCCUUCGAGGUCUUAAUGCCUCGCGUAAUGCCUCGGCUGGUCUAGUUGUUCCCUCAUGCGAGCUGGCCGUAGCCCGGGUGUACGGUCGGGUCCCAAGUUCUCGGGCUGGUAUGUUGACGCUGUCAAUGGUUCGGCCGGAGCCGGGUUUGCGAGAGCAGCCCCCGAGCCUCUGCACAGGGCGAGAGGGCGAUCAGGGACAGACUCGGCUUUUUUACAUACGCCCCUGCGUCGCCUUUCCGCAAGGAGGAGGGGGGAAAGCGCCAUGUUGCCCUCGAUGGGCGCCGAACAUGGUGUCUCCGGUGAGCUGCAAGCGGGUGAUCCGAGUGGACGUCCGUGCCCCGUUCGUUAGGGGUCGGCUAGGGGCCCAGAGGCACGCCCAAAGGUCCCUGCGGGUGAUCUGCCGGACCCGGUCCCCUGGCGACGGGGUCCGAGGGCUCGAUGCCUCCCUCCGAUGGGAUUCCGUUACAAGAUCGUUCCCGCUGGUCUCGGAAAUGUCCUAGGUUACCUCGGGAGCGCAGCCCGAGCCUUGGUUAUGUAUCGAACGUACCCAUGGUCAUCCCUCGCUCGGCGUUUGAGGCGGCUGUGAACCCUUCGGGGGCCAGCCUUCGAACCUCUGAUCAGUAAUGGGCGCGGAGCCCGAGUAGCCUGAGGCGGCCGUGGGACCCUUCCGAGGGGCCGGCCUUCGAACCUCUGACCAGUAGUGGGUGUAGGGCCCACGCGAUCUGAGGCGGCUGUCGAACCCUUCUGGGGGGCCAGCCUUCGAACCUCUGAUCAGUAGGGAGGCUCAGAGCCUGGUUCCUUCACGGGGAAGGAUCCUUUUCGGGGUAUCCCCCUUUCCCGGUCCCUGUUGCAAGAGAGAGAAAGAGGAAAAAAGGAAAAGGAUAGGAAAUCGAACGACGUGGCGUACCUUUUUUGGCGCGGUUAUUAUGGCGAAGGCGAAGCGUCGCCUGCUUCUCCUGCCAGAGGCGCCGCCUGUCCCGCCGGGGAGUUAAUGCGACGGGACGAGUGGUUGGCGGGGCGGCCGUUGCGCAUGCGCGAGCCGUUCGAGGAACGAAACACGGGCGCGUUGUCUUCACGCUGUGAGAGAGGGUUCUCUCGCUGCCCCCGGAUGGGACGUGAGCUUGGCUGACGACGUGACUGCUGCUCCUGCCCGCCUGCCACCGUCAUUACUGCCGGCCCAUUUUUGGCCGCACUGACCGCCGCGCCAGGCUGGCGCUGCUGGGUCGCGCGCUGGGUCGCCUCGAGUCGCGGUAUUGGUUCCGCAGUCAAGGAGGCGCGGUGGUGGCGCAAGUGGCGGUGCAGUUGUAUGCACGAAGCAUUCGGCGCGCCGGUUGCAUGACGAGUGGGCCUGGGCCUCCAUGUUGGGCGUGUUGGGAGUCGUAGAAGCGCGCCCACUUGGUGCGGUUGCAUGCCGCCUGCAUGGCUGCCCGCCCCUUUCGCCCGUUGGUCUGGGCAAAAGUGGAGGGUCACUUGUAACCGCUGGGCGGUUGUGCGCACCGCGCACGGCGGUUUGGCUUCUUCUGCUCUGAGCCGGUUUGCAUGACGUGUGGGACCCAGCCCCCGCGCCGCAGGGGAGGACCUUGGAGUGUGUUGGAGAAGACUCAGCCCGCGACGGUCGGGGGCGCGAGUAGGGAGAGUCGCCUUUAAAAGGAGGGUGACCCCCUUUGGAAGGCGACCAUGUCUUCGCGCUCCCUUAUGCAUCGUGUCUUUCCACCUUCCAAGCCCCCGGAUGGGGGAUGCUCGCCGUCUUUCCGCCUCAUCGUCGGAGGAACGCAACUCCGUGGGAGUUGGUACCUUUCAGCCAUCGUUCGGCUUCAAGGAUUUUCAUCAUGCAGCCCGGCUGCACCCCUCCGCCGGCGGUCACCCAAGAUGGUGACCUCCAGUUUGAUGGUGGGGGAAAGCGAGCCGGGCUGCGGCCUCUGCCCCUCCCUCAGCCUCAAGGAUUUUCAUCACCAGGGCUGGGGAGGGGAGUGUGCCGAGUUGGGGUCGGCCCCUGCGUGGGCGGUGUCCCGCUCCUUCCCUCAGUGAUCGGAGGGAAGGGCGGUCGUCGUCCGUGGCGCCGGCAGCUGCAGCGUGCCUGGCUCUCGGGCGCGAGUGGCUUCGGAGCCAUUCGCGGCGCCGGCGUCUGCCACGGCAGCUGGAAGAGGUUCUUCCGCCGACGAGAUAGCCAGGGCCGCCCACGGACCGACCUCCAACUCUACGGCCUUCUGCCCGUCCUUGCCUCACGAGUUUGGGCAUGGGCGGGGGCCUCUUGGCAGCAGCAUCCGCCCUGAGGUCAGUGCUGCCGCUGUUCGGCCCCCCGGAGCAGAAGUCGUCGUCGUCGCUGCUGCUGGAGCAGGCGACGGCGCGCCGUUCGUCGGUCUUCUGUUGCUCCGCAGGCCCUCCCCCAUCGAGUGGGGUUGUUCGUACCUGCGGAGGUGGAACCGGAGUUCCGUUUGUAAUGGCACUUUGAAUGCCAGUGUUUUUGUUCAUUGUGGCUGUCGAGGCCUGAACAUGUAUGUAAUUUUGGCACGGAGCCAUGUUUUUUCCUCAUUUUCGAGCACUAAGACUCGCCUGUUGGUUGUCUGAACCGCUUCACCAAGCGUGAGUCGCCCUGUGUCAAGGUGACGUGUGAGGUAUCCAUAUCCCGGAGGCGUAGGACUCCCUCGGCUCGGUCGGCAUUGUUGUCCGAGGCUCCUCUAGCUUAGUUAAAGGGACCCCUUGGCCGCUCUUGGAUGAGCCGAGGCCAGGGGUAGCGAUAUCAGCAUGAACAGGGGCAGAGUUGGCUUGAAAAUGAAACCUGGUUGGCCGGAGCCUAGCCGGGUCGUCUGUUAGCGGGACCGACGCCGGAGUUGACCAACCGAGGCCUCGGGUCGAGCUGACGCCCUUGGAGGACGGCUGGCCGAGGCCCCGGGGUGACCGGCCGAGCCACCUGCUCGGGCCGGAUUCCCGGAGAAGACCCUGGCAGCGAUUGCUCGGGCGUGGUGAUGACGUCGUCCUUUAGAGUGGAGAUCCUCGGACCGCGUCGCCGUCCGAGGCUAGGUCGGACCUCGCCGAAGGUGUCGUCGAUGCCGAGGGUGCUGCUGCCCCCUUCCAGCGUCAAGACUCGAGCCUGCAGGAUCAGAUUGUCUUGUAGCAUGUGUCUCCUGCGGCCGCCGAGGCCAGAACAUACCCUCGCUGUGUUGUAAAGCUGCGUCUCUUUUCCUCUUGUUUCGAGUAUCUGGACUUUUUUGUCAGUAACAGGGAUGUUUGUGCGAGCGAGAGUUGCUUCUCGCGGAAGGUGAUGAGUGAGGUAUCCGUAUCCCAGAGGCGUAGGAGUCCCUCGGCUCGGUCGGCCUUGCCGCUUACGCGCACUCUUACCCGUCCAUGGGGCUCUGUCAUCGACUCAGUCGAGAAGGCUCGAAGGAUCGCUUCGGCAGAAGAACUUCCGAACGUGAAGACUUGUUCGGUCCGCGGAAUCACUUAUCCGAACGUGAGUUACUUAUCGCAGAAGGUGAUGAGUGAGGUAUCCGUAUCCCGGAGGCGUAGGAGUCCCUCGGCUCGGUCAGCCUUGGCUGCUUACGUGUACUCCGUCGUUUUCAGGAUCCACUUUUCGAAGUAGUCAAAAAGCACGAAAGACAUUCUAGCAGAAGAGAUCUUUUUUCGAGGAAAAUUUCAACGCAGAGGGGGUUCCGCCCCUUUUAGCCCCCGAGGGAGGGUCGGGCUUUGCCGAGGCGAGGCCGACCCUUCCUUGAUGACUAAACUUUGCGUGGGUGCGAGGUAUAUGAACAACUUGAAAACAUCUUAAGGGUAGAAGCGACGUAGCUGUUGGAUGUUCCAAGCGUUGCCGUAGACCUCGCCUUGACUGUUGGCCAGCUUGUACGUUCCGGGCUUCAGAACCCUGGCGAUGACGAACGGUCCCUCCCAGGGGGGCGUGAGCUUGUGCCUCUCUCGGGCGUCUUGUCGCAGCCGAAGCACCAGGUCGCCCACCUGGAGGUCUCGGGACCGGACCCCUCGGGCGUGGUAGCGUCGCAGGGACUGCUGGUACCGUGUCGAGUGUAGUAGGGCCUUGUCCCGAGCCUCUUCCAGCUGGUCCAGCGAGUCUUCUAGGCUAGCUUGGUUGCUUUGAUCGCUGUAGGCCCUCGUCCUCGGGGAGCCGUAUUCCAGGUCUGUGGGCAAGACGGCCUCAGCCCCGUAGACUAGGAAGAACGGCGUGAAGCCCGUGGCUCGGCUCGGCGUUGUCCUCAGGCUCCAGACCACCGAGGGGAGUUCCUUCAUCCAUCGCUUGCCGAACUUGUUGAGGUCGUUGUAGAUCCGAGGCUUGAGCCCUUGUAGAAUCAUGCCGUUGGCACGCUCUACUUGCCCAUUUGACAUGGGAUGAGCCACGGCGGCCCAGUCGACCCGGAUGUGGUGAUCCUCGCAGAAGUCCAAGAACUUUCUGCCGGUGAACUGGGUGCCGUUGUUGGUGAUGAUGGAGUUCGGGACCCCGAAGCGAUGGAUGAUGCUGGUGAAGAACGCCACCGCCUGCUCGGACCUGAUGUUGUUCAGAGGUCGGACCUCGAUCCACUUGGAGAAUUUGUCGAUGGCGACCAGCAGGUGCGUGUAGCCCUCGGGUGCCUUCUGCAAGGGGCCGACGAGGUCCAUACCCCACACAGCGAAGGGCCAGGUGAUGGGUAUCGUCUGCAGAGCCUGAGCGGGCAGGUGGGUCUGCUUCGCAUAGAAUUGACACCCUUCGCAGGCGCGGACAAUUCUAGUGGCGUCGGCCACCGCCGUCGGCCAGUAGAAGCCUUGUCGGAAAGCAUUCCCGACAAGGGCUCGAGGCGCUGCGUGAUGGCCGCAAGCCCCCGAGUGUAUCUCUCGCAGGAGUUCCUGACCUUCGGCGACGGAGAUGCAUCGCUGGAGGAUGCCUGAGGUGCUGCGGUGGUAGAGCUCCUUCUCAUCGCCCAGCAAGACGAACGACUUGGCGCGCCACGCUACCCACCGAGCCUCGGCUCGGUCGAGGGGUAGCUCUCCUUGGUGGAGAUAUUGCAGGUACGGGGUCUGCUAGUUUCGGUCAGGCGUGGCCCCGCUUCGCUCCUCCUCGAUGCGCAGUGCCUCACCCUCGGAGGCCGAGGGUACCUCGGGCCGAGCUGAGGGUGCCUCGGGCUGUGCCGAGGGUACCUCGGGCUGGGCCGAGGGUACCUCGGACUGGGCCGAGGGCGCCUCAGGCUCGGGCGUGUCGUCGAUCUUGACGGAGGGUUGAUGCAGAUCCCGGGAGAAGACGUCCGGGGGAACCAUUGUUCGCCCCGAGGCUAUUUUAGCCAGCUUGUCCGCAAUCUCGUUGUAGUGCCGAGCGAUGUGGUUGAGCUCGAGCCCGUAGAACUUGUCUUCCAAGCGCCGAACCUCAUCGCAGUAGGCCUCCAUCUUCGAGUCGCGGCAGUGGGAGUUCUUCAUGACUUGGUCGAUGACGAGCUGCGAGUCACCGCGGGCGUCGAGGCGCCGGACCCCUAGCUCGAUGGCGAUCCGCAACCCGUUGACCAGAGCCUCAUACUCAGCCACAUUGUUGGACGCCGGGAAAUGGAGGCGUAGCACAUAGCGUAGGUGUUUCCCGAGAGGCGAGAUGAAGAGUAGGCCUGCGCUGGCUCCCGUCUUCAUCAACGACCCGUCGAAAAACAUGAUCCAGAGCUCUGGUUGGAUCGGAGCCGUCGGUAGCUGGGUGUCGACCCAUUCGGCCACGAAGUCCGCCAAGACCUGGGACUUGAUGGCCUUCCGAGGGGCGAACGAGAUUGUCUCGCCCAUGAUUUCCACCGCCCACUUUGCAAUCCUACCCGAGGCCUCUCGGCACUGGAUGAUCUCCCUCAGGGGGAAGGAUGACACCACAGUUACCGGAUGAGACUCGAAGUAGUGUCGCAACUUCCGCCGUGUCAGGAUCACUGCAUACAGCAGCUUCUGAACUUGUGGGUAGCGGAUCUUGGUUUCGGACAGUACCUCGCUGACGAAGUAAACUGGCCUCUGAACGGGCAAUGCAUGCCCCUCUUCUUGCCUCUCGACCACAAUCGCGGCGCUAACCACUUGAGUGGUCGCGGCGACGUAGACCAAGAGGGCUUCUCCGACAGCUGGAGGCACCAAGAUAGGCGCCUUUGUGAGGAGCGCCUUCAGGUUUCCGAGAGCUUCCUCGGCCUCAGGGGUCCAAGUGAAGCGCUCGGCCUUCCUUAAGAGGCGGUACAGAGGUAGACCUCUUUCGCCGAGGCGUGAGAUGAAGCGGCUCAGAGCCGCGAGACAUCCCAUGACCCUCUGUACGCCUUUCAAGUCCUUGAUGGGCCCCAUGCUGGUGAUGGCUGCGAUCUUCUCCGGGUUGGCUUCGAUGCCCCGCUCGGAGACGAUGAACCCCAAGAGCAUGCCUCGGGGCACCCCGAAGACACACUUCUCGGGAUUGAGCUUGACGCCUUUCGCCUUGAGGCAUCAGAAUGUCACUUCAAGGUCGGAAAGGAGGUCGGAAGCUUUCCUCGUCUUGACUACGAUGUCAUCGACGUAGGCCUCGACCGUGCGGCCAAUGUGUUCGCCGAACACAUGGUUCAUGCACCGCUGGUACGUCGCGCCCGCAUUCCUCAAGCCGAACGACAUGGUGACAUAGCAGUACAUGCCGAAGGGUGUGAUGAAAGAAGUCGCGAGCUGGUCGGACUCUUUCAUCCUGAUUUGAUGAUACCCUGAGUAGGCAUCGAGGAAAGACAGGGUUUCGCACCCAGCAGUGGAAUCCACGAUUUGAUCGAUGCGAGGCAGAGGGUAGGGAACCUUCGGACAUGCUUUGUUGAGACCAAUGUAGUCUACACACAUCCGCCAUUUCCCCCUUUCUUUCUCACAAGCACAGGGUUGGCAAGCCAUUCGGGAUGGAAUACCUCUUUGAUGAACCCUGCCGCCAUUAGCUUGUGGAUCUCCUCGCCUAUGGCUCUGCGCUUCUCCUCGUCGAAUCGGCGCAGAGGCUGCUUGACGGGUCGGGCUCCGGCUCGAAUGUCCAGCGAGUGCUCGGCGACAUCCCUCGGUAUGCCGGGCAUGUCCGAGGGACUCCACGAGAAGACGUCGGCGUUCGCGCGGAGAAAGUCGACGAGCACUGCUUCCUAUUUGGGAUCGAGCCCGGAGCCGAUCCGGAUCUGCUUGGAGGCGUCGCCGCUGGGGUCGAGGGGGACGGCCUUAACCGUCUCCACUGGCUCGAAGUUGCCGACAUGACUUUUCACGUCUGGCACCUCCUUAGAGAGGCUUUCCAGGUCGGCGAUGAGGGCCUCGGACUCGGCGAGGGCCUCGGCGUACUCCACGCACUCCACGUCGCAUUCGAACGCGUGUUUGUACGUGGGGCCGACGGUGAUGACCCCGUUGGGGCCCGGCAUCUUGAGCUUCAGGUAGGUGUAGUUGGGGACGGCCAUGAACUUCACGUAGCAUGGUCUUCCCAGUACCGCGUGGUAGGUUCCUCGGAACCCGACCACCUCGAAUGUCAGGGUCUCCCUUCGGAAGUCGGAGGGCGUUCCAAAGCAGACGGGAAGGUCGAGUUGUCCGAGGGGCUGGACGCGCUUCCCGGGAAUGAUCCCAUGGAAGGGCGCAGCGCCUGCUCGGACGGAGGACAGAUCGACACGCAGGAGCUCGAGGGUCUCGGCGUAGAUGAUGUUGAGGCCGCUGCCUCCGUCCAUGAGGACCUUGGUGAGCCUGACGUCGCCGAUGACGGGGUCGACGACGAGCGGGUAUUUCCCCGGGCUCGACACGUGGUCGGGGUGGUCGGCUUGGUCGAAGGUGACGGGCUUAUCGGACCAGUCUUGGUAGACUGGCGCCGCCACCUUCACCGAGCAGACCUCCCGGCGCUCUUGCUUGCGGUGCCGAGCCGAGGCAUUCGCCGCUUGCCCACCGUAGAUCAUGAAGCAGUCGCGGACCUCGGGGAACUCUCCUGCUUGCUGAUCUUCCUUCUUGUCGUCGUCGCGGGCCCUGCCACCCUCCGCGGGCGGCCCAGCCCUAUGGAAGUGGCGCCGAAGCAUGACGCACUCCUCAAGGGUGUGCUUGACGGGCCCCUGGUGAUAGGGGCACAGCUCCUUGAGCAUCUUGUCGAAGAGGUUGGCACCUCCGGGGGGUUUCCGAGGGUUCUUGUACUCGGCGGUGGCGACAAGGUCCGCGUCGGCGGCGUCGCGUUUCGCUUGCGACUUCUUCUUGCCUUUCUUCUUGGCGCCGCGCUGAGUCGACGCCUCGGGAACAUCUUCCGAUGGGCGGCCCUGGGGCUGCUUGUCCUUUCGGAAGAUAGCCUCGACCGCUUCCUGGCCGGAGGCGAACUUGGUGGCGAUGUCCAUCAGCUCGCUCGCCCUGGUGGGGGUCUUGCGACCCAGCUUGCUCACCAGGUCGCGGCAGGUGGUGCCGGCGAGGAACGCGCCGAUGACAUCCGAGUCGGUGAUGUUGGGCAGCUCGGUGCGCUGCUUCGAGAAUCGCCGGAUGUAGUCCCGGAGAGACUCUCCCGGCUGCUGCCGGCAGCUUCGGAGGUCCCAGGAAUUCCCGGGGCGCACGUACGUGCCCUGGAAAUUGCCGGCGAAAGCUUGGACUAGGUCGUCCCAGUUGGAGAUCUGCCCCGGAGGCAGGUGCUCCAACCAGGCGCGAGCGGUGUCGGAGAGGAACAGGGGGAGGUUGCGGAUGAUGAGGUUGUCAUCGUCCGUUCCACCCAGUUGGCAGGCCAGACGGUAGUCCGCGAGCCACAGUUCCGGUCUCGUCUCCCCCGAGUACUUUGUGAUAGUAGUCGGGGGUCGGAACCGGGUCGGGAACGGCGCCCGUCGGAUGGCCCGGCUGAAGGCCUGCGGACCGGGCGGUUCGGGCGAGGGACUCCGAUCCUCCCCGCUGUCGUAGCGUCCCCCACGCCUGGGGUGGUAGCCUCGGCGCACCCUCUCGUCGAGGUGGGCCCGACGGUCGCGGUGAUGGUGCUCGUUGCCGAGGCGGCCCGGGGCCACAGGCGCGGUGUUGCGCGUGCGCCCGGUGUAGACCAAGGCUUCCCGCAUGAAUCGGGAAGUCGCGGCAUGAGGUUCCGAGGGGUACCCCUGCCUUCGGGAGGCAGAGCUCUCGGCCCGUCGGACCGCGGCGCCUUCCAGGAGAUUCUUGAGCUCCCCCUGGAUUCGCCGGCCCUCGGUGGUUGAUGGCUCCGGCAUCGCGCGGAGAAGCAUCGCUGCUGCAGCCAGGUUCUGGCCGACCCCACUAGAUGCGGGUGGUGGCCUGACCCUGACGUCGUCAGCGACGCGGUGUUGGAAGCCCUGGGGCAGAUGACGUAUUUCUCCGGCCGGGGGUUGGCCCGCCCAUGCCUACUCGACGUCUCGGCGGAUCGGCUCAAGCGCUCCUAUUCCCUCGUCGAGCCUGGCCUGCACCCCGCGGAUUUGCUCGAGCUGUGGGUCAUGGCCCCCCGCCUGAACGGGGACCACAGCUAGCUCCCGUGGGAUGUCAACGCGGGGCACCGGCCUAGGGAGAUCACCGUCCUCCGGCAUGCCGAGAUGAUUGCCUUCGGAGGGACCCCCUAGAUCGACGUGGAAACAUUCGCGGCUUGGGCCGCAGUCCUCGUCGCCGAGGCUGCGGCUACCGUCGGAACAGUCGAAGAGGCAGUAGUCACAUGCGGUCAUGAAGUCCCGCAUGGCACUGGGGUUGCCAAGUCCAGAGAAAUCCCAACAGAUGCUGGGCUCGUCGUCUUCCUCGGACCCAGAGGGCCCAUAGGUCGAGACGUCCGUCAGCUGGUCCCAAGGCGACCGCAUGCGAAACCCCAGAGGGCUUGGACUCACCUCUACGAGAGCGCCCGCCAAAGCGGGGUCGCUAGGCGGGUUGAGGCUGAAUCCAAAUGACGUGGGACGGGAAUCGGUUGGUACCUCUUGGUCGACGAGCGGCGAUAAAGUCACGUCGGGGACUGACUGCACCGUCGUCUCAGGUAUAAGGGUGAUGUCCAGCAAGCUUUUCGCAAGCGCGCUGGCGUCGUCCGCUUGCUCGGGAUUGGCGUGUCGCGGGGAGACGGCGCUCGUCUUCGUCUCAAGCGCGAAGUCGAUACCCGGUACGCCCCCCGUUGGGGUGCCGGCGCUGUCGACUCGCUCGACAGCCGACGAGGCGCUGCCUCUUGCUUGGCCUUGGUUGCCCUGCCUUCCCCUCCGUCAGCGGGGAAGAAGGCGGGAUGAGCUCGAAGGUUGUUCUUCCACCACGCGGGGAAGACGUCAUCGAUUCCGCCGCCGGCAGGCGGGCUGUCGGCCGCCGUUGAGGGACAUGAACUCAAGACUCCCGAAACGGAGCACCGUCCCGGUUGGAGAGGUUGCUGGAGACUGCCCAUCUGGAGCUUGACGGGAAGCUAUUCGUCAACACGCAGCAGGCCCCUACCUGGCUCGCCAACUGUCCACGUUUCGAGACCGGGGGGUCCCUGGGCCGACGAGUGAAUGUCGCCGCGUGCCCCAGCCCAGAUGGGUCGAGCGCGAGGGCGAGCGCGAAGGGGGAGAGCGAGGCGGCCGGAGACCGGCGUGAGAGAGGUGGGAAUCCCACGGCCUUCGUGCUCGUCCCGCGCCCAGGUCGGGUGCGCUUGUAGUAGGGGGUUACAAGCGUCCACGCGGGAGAGGGAGCGAGCGGCUCCAAGCGAGCGCCUGUCUCGCCCUCGUCCCCGCGCGGCCAACCCUCUCUAAGAGGGCCCUGGUCCUUCCUUUUAUAGGCGUAAGGAGAGGAUCCAGGUGUACAAUGGGGGGUGUAGCAGAGUGCUACGUGUCUAGCGGAGGAGAGCUAGCGCCCUAAGUACAUGCCAUUGUGGCAGCCGGAGAGAUUUUGACACCCAGCUGGUGUGAUGUCGUGGCCGUCGGAGGAGCGAUGGAGCCUGGCGGAGGGACAGCUGUCGGAGCGGUUGAGUCCUUGCUGAUGUCCUCUUGCUUCCAUAAGGGGGCUGAGAGCCGCCGUCGUCACAGAGUACGCGGGGCGCCAUCAUUGCCUAUCUGGCGGAGCUAGCCAGAUGGGACGCCGGUCUUGUUCCCUGCGGCCCGAGUCAGCUCGGGGUAGGGUGAUGAUGGCGCCUCCUGUUGACGUGGCUGGUCUGCGCCCUAGGUUGGGCGAUGUGGAAGCUCCUCCGAAGCCGAGGUCGAGUCUGUCUUCCGUGGUCUAGGUCGAGUCCGAGCCCCUGGGUCGGGCGAGGCGGAGUUCGUCGUCUUCUAGGGCUGAGCCCAAGUCCGAGCCCUGGGUCGGGCGGAGCAGAGUUCGUCGUCUUCUUGGGCUGAGCCCAAGUCCGAGCCCUGGGUCGGGCGGAGCGGAGUUCGCCGUCUUCCGGGACUUAGCCCGAGUCCGAGCCCUGGGUCGGGCGGAGCGGAGUUCGCCAUCUUCUGGGGCUGAGCCCAAGUCCGAGCCCUGAGUCGGGCGGAGCGGAGUUCGCCGUCUUCCGGGACUUAGCCCGAGUCCGAGCCCUGGGUCGGGCGGAGUGGAGUUUGCCGUCUUCCGGGGCUGAGCCCGAGUCCGAGCCCUGGGUCGGGCGGAGCGGAGUUCGCCGUCUUCCGGGGCUAAGCCCGAGUCCGAGCCCUGGGUCGGGCGGAGCGGAGUUCACCGUCUUUUGGGACUUAGCCCGAGUCCGAGCCCUGGGUCGGGCAGAGCGGAGCUUCCUAUGAUGCCUUCGGCAGGGCCUGACUGCCUGUCAGUUUCACUCUGUCAAGUGGCACCGCAGUCGGAGUGGCGCAGGCGGCGCUGUCCUUCUGUCAGACCGGUCAGUGGAGCGGCGAAGUGACGGCGGUCACUUCGGUUUUGCCGGCCGGAGGGCGUGCGUCAAGAUAAAGGUGUCAGGCCACCUUUGCAUUAAAUGCUCCUGCGAUUUGGUCGGUCGGUGCGGCGAUUUAGUCAGGGUUGCUUCUUGGCGAAGGCAGGGCCUCGGGCGAGCCGGAAAUAUGUUCGCCGCUGGAGGGGGGCCUCGGGCGAGACGGAAGUCCUCCGGGGUCGGCUGCCCUUGUCCGAGGCUAGGCUCGGACGAGGCGUGAUCGAGUCCCUCGAAUGGAUUGAUCCCUGACUUAAUCGCGCCCAUCAGGCCUUUGCAGCUUCAUGCUGAUGGGGGUUACCAGCUGAGAAUUAGGAGCCUUGAGGGUACCCCUAAUUAUGGUCCCCGACACUUGAGAUAUUUAGUUUAUACUCCUAAGUUUGGGCUUUGGUAUCCUAGGGGAUCCACAUUUGAUUUGAUUGGUUAUUCGGAUGCCGAUUGGGCGGGGUGUAAAAUUAAUAGAAAGAGCACAUCGGGGACUUGCUAGUUCUUGGGAAGAUCCUUGGUGUCUUGGGCUUCACAGAAGCAAAAUUCCGUCGCUCUUUCUACCACUUGAAAGGGAAUUAGGCUUACACCUAGUUCCUAAAUAAUUUUGGUGGUUGAAUUGCCGAACACAAACAAUUGGACUAACUAGUUUGCUCUAGUGUAUAAGUUAUACAGGUGCUAAAGGUUCACACUUAGCCAUUAAAAAGACCAAGAGUUGGGUUCAACAAAAGAGCAAAGGGCCAACCGAAGGCACCUCUGGUCUGGCGCACCGGACUGUCCGGUGUGCCACCGGACAGUGUCCGGUGCACCACCGGACAUGUCCGGUGCACCAGAGGACUCCAACGCAAACUCGCCACCUUCGGGAAUUUCCAGAGGCACUCGCGCUAUAAUUCACCGGACUGUCCGGUGUACACCGGACAGUGUCCGGUGCGCCAAGGAGGAGCGGCCUCAGGAACUCGCCGGCUUCGGGAAUCUCCAACGGCUCGUCCGCUAUAAUUCACCGGACAUGUCCGGUGUGCACCGGACUGUCCGGUGCAACUCCGGAGCAACGGCUAUUCGGCGCCAACGGCUACCUGCGUCGCAUUAAAUGAGCGCACUGCGCGCGCAGAUGUCAGGCGUGCCCAUACUGGCACACCGGACAGUGAACAGUUCAUGUCCGGUGCGCCACCGGACAUCUAGGCGAGCCCACAAGUCAGAACUCCAACGGUCAGAAUUCAACGGCAUUGAUGACGUGGCUGGGGCACCGGACAUGUCCGGAUGUGCACCGGACUGUCCGGUGCGCCAUCGAACAGACAGCUCCACCAACGGUCAAGUUUGGUGGUUGGGGCUAUAAAUACCCCAACCACCCCACCAUUCAUUGCAUCCAAGUUUUCCACUUCCCAACCACUACAAGAGCUCUAGCAUUCAAUUCUAGACACACAAAAGAGAUCAAAUCCUCUCCAACUCCACACAAGGCUUUAGUGAUUAGCGAGAGAGAUUUGCCGUGUUCUUUUGAGCUCUUGCGCUUGGAUUGCUUCUUUUCUUUCUCACUUGUUCUUGUGAUCAAAACUCCAUUGUAAUCAAGGCAAGAGGCACCAAUUGUGUGGUGGCCCUUGCGGGGAAGUUUUGUUCCCGGCUUUGAUUUGAGAAGAGAAGCUCACUCGGUCCGAGGGACCGUUUGAGAGAGGGAAGGGUUGAAGGAGACCCGGCCUUUGUGGCCUCCUCAACGGGGAGUAGGUUUGCAAGAACCGAACCUCGGUAAAACAAAUCCGCGUGUCACACUCUUUAUUUGCUUGUGAUUUGUUUUGCGCCCUCUCUCGCGGACUCAAUUAUACUUCUAACGCUAACCCAUCUUGUAGUUGUGUUUAUAUUUGUAAAUUUCAGUUUCGCCCUAUUCACCCCCCCUCUAGGCGACUAUCAAUUGGUAUCAGAGCCCGGUGCUUCAUUAGAGCCUUACCGCUCGAAGUGAUGUCGGGAGAUCACGCCAAGAGGGAGAUGGAGACCGGCGACAACCCCACUACAAGCCAAGGGAACACUUCAUCGGAAGAGUCCCGCACCAAGAGGAAGGAGAAGAAGAAGAACUCCUCCAAACGGAAGGAGAAAAGAUCUUCUUCCUCACACCACAAAGAGAAGAAGGAAAAAUCUUCUUCCCACAAGUCGCAUCGGAAAGGUGACAAGCACAAGAGGAUGAGGAAGGUGGUCUACUACGAGACCGACACUUCAUCAACAUCGACCUCCGACUCCGAUGCGCCCUCCGUAACUUCUAAACGCCAAGAGCGUAAGAAGUUUAGUAAGAUCCCCCUACACUACCCUCGCAUUUCUAAACAUGCACCUUUACUUUCCGUCCCAUUAGGCAAACCACCAACCUUUGAUGGUGAAGAUUAUGCUAGGUGGAGUGAUUUAAUGCGAUUUCAUCUAACCUCACUCCACAAAAGUAUAUGGGAUGUUGUUGAGUUUGGUGCACAGGUGCCAUCCGUAAAGGAUAAAGACUAUGAUGAGGAUGAGAUGGCCCAAAUCGAGCACUUCAACUCUCAAGCGACAACAAUACUCCUCGCCUCUCUAAGUAGAGAGGAGUAUAACAAAGUUCAAGGGCUGAAGAGCGCCAAGGAAGUAUGGGAUGUGCUCAAAACCGCUCACGAAGGAGAUGAGCUCACAAAGAUCACCAAGCGGGAGACGAUCGAGGGGGAGCUCGGUCGGUUCCGGCUUCACAAAGGGGAGGAGCCACAACACAUGUACAACCGGCUCAAGACUUUGGUGAACCAAGUGCGCAACCUCGGGAGCAAAAAGUGGGAUGACCACGAGGUGGUUAAGGUUAUUCUAAGAUCUCUUAUUUUCCUUAACCCCACUCAAGUUCAAUUAAUUCGUGGUAAUCCUAGAUAUACUAAAAUGACCCCCGAGGAAGUUAUCGGGAAUUUUGUAAGUUUUGAGUGCAUGAUCGAAGGCUCGAGGAAGAUCAACGAGCUUGAUGAUCCCUCCACAUCCGAAGCUCAACCCAUCGCAUUCAAGGCGACGGAGGAAAAGAAGGAGGAGUCCACACCAAGUCGGCAACCAAUCGACGCCUCCAAGCUCGACAAUGAGGAAAUGGCGCUCGUCAUCAAGAGCUUUCGCCAAAUCCUCAAGCAAAGAAGAGGGAAAGACUACAAGUCCCGCUCCAAGAAGGUUUGCUACAAAUGUGGUAAGCCCGGUCACUUUAUUGCUAAAUGUCCAUUAUCAAGUGAUAGUGACAGGGGCGACGACAAGAAGGGGAGAAGAAAGGAGAAGAAGAGGUACUACAAGAAGAAGGGCGACAAUGCCCAUGUUUGUCGGGAGUGGGACUCCGACGAAAGCUCAAGCUACUCCUCCGACGACGAGGACGCCGCCAACAUCGCCGUCACCAAAGGACUCCUCUUCCCCAACGUCGGCCACAAGUGCCUCAUGGCAAAGGACGGCAAAAAGAAGGUUAAAUCUAAAUCCUCCACUAAAUAUGAAUCUUCUAGUGAUGAAAAUGUUAGUGAUGAGGAAGAUAACUUGCGAUCUCUUUUUGCCAACCUCAACAUGCAACAAAAGGAGAAACUUAAUGAAUUGAUUAGUGCCAUUCAUGAAAAGGAUGAUCUCUUGGACACCCAAGAGGACUUCCUUAUUAAAGAAAAUAAGAAGCAUGUUAAGGUUAAAAAUGCUUACGCUCUAGAAGUAGAAAAAUGUCAAAAACUAUCUAGUGAGCUAAGCACUUGCCAUGAGAUGAUUGACAACCUUAGACAUGAAAAUGCUAGUUUAAAUACUAAGGUUGAUUCUCAUGUUUGUAAUGUUUCGAUUUCCAAUCCUAGAGAUAAUAAUGAUGAUUUGCUUGCUAGGAUUGAAGAAUUAAACAUUUCUCUUGCUAGCCUUAGAGUAGAAAAUGAAAAUUUAAUUGCUAAGGCUAAAGAACUAGAUAUUUGCAAUGCUACAAUCUCCGAUCUUAGAGAUAAUAAUUAUAUCUUGCGUGCUAAGAUCGUUGAACUUAAUUCAUGCAAACCCUCUACAUCUAGUGUUGAGCAUGUUUCUAUUUGUACUAGAUGUAGAGAUGUUAACAUUGAUGCUAUUCAUGAUCAUAUGGCUUUAAUUAAACAACAAAAUGAUCAUAUAGCAAUAUUAGAUGCAAAAAUUGCCGAGCAUAACUUAGAGAAUGAAAAAUUUAAAUUUGCUAGAAGUAUGCUCUAUAGUGGGAGACGCCCUCACAUCAAGGAUGGCAUUGGCUUCCAAAGGGGAGACAAUGUCAAACUUAAUGCCCAUCCUAAAAGAUUGUCCAACUUUGUUAAGGGCAAGGCUCCCAUGCCUCAGGAUAACGAGGGUUACAUUUUAUACCCUGUCGGUUAUCCCGAGGACAAAAUUAGGAAAAUUCAUUCUAGGAAGUCUCACUCUGGUUCUAACCAUGCUUUUAUGUAUAAGAGUGAGACAUCUAGCUCUAGGCAACCAACCCGUGCUAAGUUGCCUAAGAAGAAAAUUCCUAAUGCAUCAAAUGAACAUAGUCUUUCAUUUAAAACUUUUGAUGCAUCUUAUGUGUUGACUAACAAAUCCGGCAAAGUAGUUGCCAAAUAUGUUGGGGGCAAGCACAAGGGGUCAAAGACUUGUGUUUGGGUACCCAAAGUUCUUGUGUCUAAUGCCAAAGGACCCAAAACCAUUUGGGUACCUAAAGUCAAGAACUAAACUUGUUUUGUAGGUUUAUGCAUCCGGGGGCUCAAGUUGGAUACUCGACAGCGGGUGCACAAACCACAUGACAGGGGAGAAGAAGAUGUUCUCCUCCUACGAGAAAAACCAAGAUCCCCAACGAGCUAUCACAUUCGGGGAUGGAAAUCAAGGUUUGGUCAAAGGUCUUGGUAAAAUAGCUAUAUCUCCUGACCAUUCUAUUUCCAAUGUUUUUCUUGUAGAUUCUUUAGAUUACAAUUUGCUUUCUGUAUCUCAGUUAUGCAAAAUGGGCUACAACUGUCUCUUUACUGAUGUAGGUGUCACUGUCUUUAGAAGAAGUGAUGAUUCAAUAGCAUUUAAGGGUGUGUUAGAGGGUCAGCUAUACUUAGUAGAUUUUGAUAGAGCUGAACUCGACACAUGCUUAAUUGCUAAGACUAACAUGGGCUGGCUCUGGCAUCGCCGACUAGCACAUGUUGGGAUGAAGAAUCUUCACAAGCUUCUAAAGGGAGAACACAUUUUAGGACUAACCAAUGUUCAUUUUGAGAAAGACAGGAUCUGUAGCGCAUGCCAAGCAGGAAAGCAAGUUGGUGUCCAUCAUCCGCAUAAGAACAUAAUGACGACCGACAGGCCACUGGAGCUCCUACACAUGGAUCUAUUCGGCCCGAUCGCUUACAUAAGCAUCGGCGGGAGUAAGUACUGUCUAGUUAUUGUGGAUGAUUAUUCUCGCUUCACUUGGGUAUUCUUUUUGCAGGAAAAAUCUCAAACCCAAGAGACCUUAAAGGGAUUCUUGAGACGGGCUCAAAAUGAGUUCGGCUUAAGGAUCAAGAAAAUUAGAAGCGACAACGGGACGGAGUUCAAGAAUUCUCAAAUUGAAGGCUUCCUUGAGGAAGAGGGCAUCAAGCAUGAGUUCUCUUCUCCCUACACGCCACAACAAAAUGGUGUAGUGGAGAGGAAGAAUAGAACUCUAUUGGACAUGGCAAGGACCAUGCUUGAUGAGUACAAGACACCGGAUCGGUUUUGGGCCGAGGCGGUCAACACCGCUUACUACGCCAUCAACCGGUUAUAUCUACACCGAAUCCUCAAGAAGACAUCAUACGAACUCCUCACCGGUAAAAAGCCCAAUAUUUCAUAUUUUAGAGUUUUUGGUAGCAAAUGCUUUAUUCUUGUUAAAAGAGGUAGAAAAUCUAAAUUUGCUCCUAAAACUGUAGAAGGCUUUUUACUAGGAUAUGACUCAAACACAAGGGCAUAUAGAGUCUUUAACAAGUCCUCAGGACUUGUUGAAGUUUCUUGUGACGUUGUGUUUGAUGAGACUAACGACUCUCAAGUAGAGCAAGUUGAUCUUGAUGAGAUAGGUAUUGAAGAGGCUCCGUACAUCGCGCUAAGGAACAUGUCCAUUGGGGAUGUGUGUCCUAAGGAAUCCGAAGAGCCUCCAAAAGCACAAGAUCAACCGUCCUCCUCCAGGCAAGCAUCUCCACCAACUCAAAAUGAGGAAGAGGCUCAAGUUGAUGAAGAAGAAGAUCAAUCAAAUGAGCCACCUCAAGAUGACGGCAUAGAUCAAGGGGGAGAUGCAAAUAAUCAAGACAAGGAGGAUGAAGAGCAAAGACCGCCACACCCAAGAGUCCACCAAGCAAUCCAACGAGAUCACCCCGUCGACACCAUCCUCGGCGACAUUCAUAAGGGGGUAACUACUAGAUCUUGUGUUGCACAUUUUUGUGAGCAUUACUCUUUUGUUUCCUCUAUUGAGCCUCACAGGGUAGAGGAAGCUCUCCAAGAUUCGGAUUGGGUGGUGGCGAUGCAAGAGGAGCUCAACAACUUCACUAGGAAUGAGGUAUGGCAUUUAGUUCCACGUCCUAAUCAAAAUGUUGUAGGAACCAAAUGGGUCUUCCGCAACAAGCAAGAUGAGCAUGGUGUGGUGACAAGGAACAAAGCUCGACUUGUGGCCAAAGGAUACUCUCAAGUCGAAGGUUUGGAUUUCGGUGAAACCUAUGCACCCGUAGCUAGGCUUGAGUCAAUUCGUAUAUUAUUGGCCUAUGCUACUUACCAUGGCUUUAAGCUUUAUCAAAUGGACGUGAAAAGUGCCUUCCUCAAUGGACCAAUCAAGGAAGAGGUCUAUGUUGAGCAACCUCCCGGCUUUGAAGACAGUGAGUACCCUAACCAUGUCUAUAAGCUCUCUAAGGCGCUUUAUGGGCUCAAGCAAGCCCCAAGAGCAUGGUAUGAAUGCCUUAGAGAUUUUCUUAUUGCAAAUGGAUUCAAAGUCGGAAAGGCCGAUCCUACGCUCUUUACCAAAACACUUGAGAAUGAUUUGUUUGUAUGCCAAAUUUAUGUUGAUGAUAUUAUAUUUGGGUCUACUAACGAAUCUACAUGUGAAGAGUUUAGUAGGAUCAUGACACAAAAGUUCGAGAUGUCUAUGAUGGGGGAGUUGAAGUAUUUCUUAGGAUUUCAAGUGAAGCAACUCCAAGAAGGCACCUUCCUAAGCCAAACGAAGUACACUCAAGAUAUUCUAAGCAAGUUUGGAAUGAAGGAUGCCAAACCCAUCAAGACACCCAUGGGAACUAAUGGGCAUCUCGACCUCGACACGGGAGGUAAGUCCGUGGAUCAAAAGGUAUACCGGUCGAUGAUAGGUUCUUUACUCUAUUUAUGUGCAUCUCGACCGGACAUUAUGCUUUCCGUUUGCAUGUGUGCAAGAUUCCAAUCCGACCCUAAGGAAUCCCACCUUACGGCCGUAAAACGAAUCUUGAGAUAUUUGGCUUAUACUCCUAAGUUUGGGCUUUGGUACCCUCGGGGAUCCACAUUUGAUUUGAUUGGUUAUUCGGAUGCCGAUUGGGCGGGGUGCAAAAUCAAUAGGAAGAGCACAUCGGGGACUUGCCAGUUCUUAGGAAGAUCCUUGGUGUCUUGGGCUUCAAAGAAGCAAAAUUCGGUCGCUCUUUCCACCGCCGAAGCCGAGUACAUUGCCGCAGGUCAUUGUUGCGCGCAACUACUUUGGAUGAGGCAAACCCUGCGGGACUACAGUUACAAAUUGACCAAAGUCCCUUUGCUAUGUGAUAAUGAGAGUGCAAUCAAAAUGGCCGACAAUCUCGUCGAGCAUAGCCGCACUAAACACAUAGCCAUCCGAUAUCAUUUUCUUAGGGAUCACCAACAAAAGGGGGAUAUCGAGAUUUCUUACAUUAACACUAAAGAUCAAUUAGCCGAUAUCUUUACCAAGCCUCUUGUUGAACAAACCUUUACCAAACUUAGGCAUGAGCUCAAUAUUCUUGAUUCACGCAAUUUCUUUUGCUAGAUUGCACACAUAGCUCAUUUCUAUACCUUUGAUCAUAUCUCUUUUAUAUGCUAUGACUAAUGUGUUUUCAAGUCUAUCUCAAACCAAGUCAUAGGUAUAUUGAAAGGGAAUUGGAAUCUUCGGCGAAGACAAAGGCUUCCACUCCGUAACUCAUCCUUCGCCGUCGCUCCAAGCCACUCUCCAUCUUUGGGGGAGAGAGCAAAAGGACUUCAUCUUUGGUAUAAUCUUAACUCGUUCAUUUAUGACCAAAGGGGAAGAAAGUACUUUGAGGGCUCUAAUGAUUCCGUUUUUGGCGAUUCAUGCCAAAGGGGGAGAGAGUAUGAGCCCAAAGCAAAAGGACCGCACCACCACCAAUUUCAAAAACUCGUGUUUUCAAAGAAUUUUAUCAUUUGGUAUCCUAUUGUGUUCAAAAGACAGGAGAAAGUCGUAUUUCAAAAAUGAUAUAUCCCCUCUUGAACUCUAAGAGGAGGAUCUCAUUUAGGGGGAGUUUUGUUUAGUCAAAGGAAAAGCAUUUGAAACAGGGGGAGAAAAUUUCAAAUCUUGAAAAUGUUUGGCAAAAUCUUAUUCAUUUACCUUUGACUAUUUGCAAAAGAACUUUGAAAAGGAUUUACAAAACAGUUUGCAAAAACAAAACAUGUGGUGCAAGCGUGGUCCAAAAUGUUAUAUAAGAAAGAAACAAUCCAUGCAUAUCUUGUAAGUAUUUAUAUUGGCUCAAAUCCAAGCAACCUUUACACUUACAUUGUGCAAACUAGUUCAAUUAUGCACUUCCAUAUUUGCUUUGGUUUGUGUUGGCAUCAAUCACCAAAAAGGGGGAGAUUGAAAGGGAAUUAGGCUUACACCUAGUUCCUAAAUAAUUUUGGUGUUUGAAUUGCCCAACACAAACAAUUGGACUAACUAGUUUGCUCUAGUGUAUAAGUUAUACAGGUGCUAAAGGUUCACACUUAGCCAUUAAAAAGACCAAGAGUUGGGUUCAACAAAAGAGCAAAGGGCCAACCGAAGGCACCUCUGGUCUGGCGCACCGGAUUGUCCGGUGUGCCAUCGGACAGUGUCCGGUGCACCACCGGACAUGUCCGGUGCACCAGAGGACUCCAACGCAAACUCGCCACCUUCGGGAAUUUCCAGAGGCACUCGCGCUAUAAUUCACCGGACUGUCCGGUGUACACCGGACAGUGUCCGGUGCGCCAAGGAGGAGCGGCCUCAGGAACUCGCCGGCUUCGGGAAUCUCCAACGGCUCGUCCGCUAUAAUUCACCGGACAUGUCCGGUGUGCACCGGACUGUCCGGUGCAACUCCGGAGCAACGGCUAUUCGGCGCCAACGGCUACCUGCGUCGCAUUAAAUGAGCGCACUGCGCGCGCAGAUGUCAGGCGUGCCCAUACUGGCACACCGGACAGUGAACAGUUCAUGUCCGGUGCGCCACCGGACAUCCAGGCGGGCCCACAAGUCAGAACUCCAACGGUCAGAAUUCAACGACAUUGAUGACGUGGCUGGGGCACCGGACAUGUCCGGUGUGCACCGGACUGUCCGGUGCGCCAUCGAACAGACAGCUCCACCAACGGUCAAGUUUGGUGGUUGGGGCUAUAAAUACCCCAACCACCCCACCAUUCAUUGCAUCCAAGUUUUCCACUUCCCAACCACUACAAGAGCUCUAGCAUUCAAUUCUAGACACACAAAAGAGAUCAAAUCCUCUCCAACUCCACACAAGGCUUUAGUGAUUAGCGAGAGAGAUUUGCCGUGUUCUUUUGAGCUCUUGCGCUUGGAUUGCUUCUUUUCUUUCUCACUUGUUCUUGUGAUCAAAACUCCAUUGUAAUCAAGGCAAGAGGCACCAAUUGUGUGGUGGCCCUUGCGGGGAAGUUUUGUUCCCGGCUUUGAUUUGAGAAGAGAAGCUCACUCGGUCCGAGGGACCGUUUGAGAGAGGGAAGGGUUGAAAGAGCUCCGGCCUUUGUGGCCUCCUCAACGGGGAGUAGGUUUGCAAGAACCGAACCUCGGUAAAACAAAUCCGCGUGUCACACUCUUUAUUUGCUUGUGAUUUGUUUUGCGCCCUCUCUCGCGGACUCAAUUAUACUUCUAACGCUAACCCGUCUUGUAGUUGUGUUUAUAUUUGUAAAUUUCAGUUUCGCCCUAUUCACCCCCCCUCUAGGCGACUAUCACCGCUGAAGCCGAGUAUAUUGCCGCAGGCCAUUGUUGCGCGCAAUUACUUUGGAUGAGGCAAAUCCUUAGGGACUACGGUUACAAAUUAACCAAAGUCCCUCUUCUAUGUGAUAAUGAGAGUGCAAUCCGCAUGGCGGAUAAUCCCGUUGAGCAUAGCCGCACUAAACACAUAGCCAUUCGGUAUCACUUCUUAAGGGAUCACCAACAAAAGGGAGAUAUCGAGAUUGCAUACAUUAAUACUAAAGAUCAAUUAGCCGAUAUCUUUACCAAGCCACUUGAUGAACAAACCUUUAACAAACUUAGGCAUGAGCUAAAUAUCCUUGAUUCUAGGAAUUUCUUUUGAUGUCUUGCACAUAUAGCUCAUAAGUAUACCUUUGAUCAUGUCUCUUUAAUAUAUGCUAUGACUAAUAUGUUUUCAAGUAAAUUUCAAACCAAGUCAUAGGUGUAUUGAAAGGGAAUUGGAGUCUUCGGCGAAGUCAAAGGCUUCCCCUCCGUAACUCAUCCUUCGCCGUCGCUCCGAGCAUCUCUCCGGCUUUGGUAUAAUCUUCACUCGUGUCUUAUUUGCCAAAGGGGAUAAAGUAGUUAAAAAGGGCUUAUAUUUCACUCAAAGUAUCCGUUUUUGGCGAUUCAUGCCAAAGGGGGAGAAAGUAUUAGCCCAAAGCAAAAGGACCGCACCACCACCUAAUUUUAAAAAGGAUUUUCAAUUGGUAAAUUUCAAAUUGGUAUCUUAUUGUGUUCAAAAGGGGAGAAAGUAGUAUUUUCAAAAUUGAUAUCUUAAAACCCUCUUGAACACUAAGAGGAGAAUUUCAUUAAGGGGGAGUUUUGUUUAGUCAAAGGAAAAGCAUUUGAAACAGGGGGAGAAAAUUUCAAAUCUUGAAAAUGCUUCACAAAGUCUUAUUCACUCACCUUUGACUAUUUGCAAAAGAACUUUGAAAAGAAUUUACAAAAGAAUUUGCAAAAACAAAACAAGUGGUGCAAGCGUGGUCCAAAAUGUUAAAACUAAAGAAACAAUCCAUGCGUAUCUUAUAAGUAUUUAUAUUGGCUCAAUUCCAAGUAACCUUUGCACUUACAUUAUGCAAACUAGUUCGAUUAUGCACUUCCACAUUUGCUUUGGUUUGUGUUGGCAUCAAUCACCAAAAAGGGGGAGAUUGAAAGGGAAUUAGGAUUACACCUAGUUCCUAAUUGAUUUUGGUGGUUGAAUUGCCCAACACAAAUAAUUGGACUAACUAGUUUGCUCUAGUCUAUAAGUUAUACAGGUGCCAAAGGUUCACACUAAGCCAAUAAAAAGACCAAGAAAAGGGUUCAACAAAGAGAGCAAGGGAUAACCGAAGUGUGCCCUGGUCUGGCGCACCGGACUGUCCGGUGUACCACCGGACAGUGUUCGGUGCACCAGGGCACUCGAGGCUGAACUCCUCACCUUCGGGAAAACGCAGAGGCGCUCCGCUAUAAUUCACCGGACUAUCCGGUGUACCACCGAACAGUGUCCGGUGCCCCUGGGAGAGCGACUCUGAACUCGCCAGCUUCGGAUUUCUGCUCCGCUAUAAUUCACCGGACAUGUCCGGUGCACACCGGACUGUCUGGUGAGCCAGCGGAGCAACGGCUACUUCGCGCCAACGAUCGACUGCAACGCAUUAAAUGCGCGCCUGCGCGCGCAGAGGAGCACUGCACGCGCGGGUGGCACACCGGACAGUCUACAGGACUUGUCCGGUGCACCACCGGACAGCCAGGCGGGCCCACAAGACAGAGCUCCAACGGUCGGAACCCAACGGCCUGGUGACGUGGCUGGCGCACCGGACAGUGUCCGGUGGCGCACCGGACUGUCCGGUGCGCCAUACGACAGCAGCCUCCACCAAACGGCUAGUUUGGUGGUUGGGGUUAUAAAUACCCCCAACCACCCCACAUUCAAGUCAUCCAAGUUUUCCACCUUCCAACUACUUACAAGAGCUCUAGCAUUCAAUUCUAGACACACUCAAGUGAUAAAAUCCUCUCCCAAUUCCACACAAAACUUUAGUGACUAGUGAGAGAGAUUUGUUGUGUUCUUUUGAGCUCUUGCGCUUGGAUUGCUUCUUUUCCUUCUCAAUCUUUCUUGAGAUCAAACUCACUUGUAAUUGAGGCAAGAGACACCAAUUGUGUGGUGGUCCUUGCGGGAACUUUGUGUUCCAAUUGUUUGAGAAGAAGAAGCUCACUCGGUCCGAGGGACCGUUUGAGAGAGGGAAAGGGUUGAAAGAGACCGGUCUUUGUGACCACCUCAACGGGGAGUAGGUUUGCGAGAACCGAACCUUGGUAAAACAAAUCCGCGUGUCACACUCUUUAUUCGCUUGCGAUUUGUUUUGCACCCUCUCUCUCGGACUUGAUUAUAUUUCUAACGCUAACCCGGCUUGUAGUUGUGAUUAACUUUGUAAAUUUCAGUUUCGCCCUAUUCACCCCCCUCUAGGCGACUUUCAAAUACAAAACUUAUAAAAAUAAUCGCAAGAACUUUUAUGAAUUUAUGUCUAGACUUUAGCGUGUAUCGGACAAUUUUCACCUUCUGCACGUUCGCAUAGCUGAGCAGGGAGUUGCAGCUUCAGUCGCAAAGAAGUGGGAGGCCUUGACACGAAUUUUGAACACGACUUGAGCUGCGGGUGAAGAAGAGGAACCGACGGCGGUGUCGCAGCACAUAGGGAGCACCGGAGGGACGCCCGGAACGACGACAACGAGCGGCGUUAUUCGAGCAGCAAUGACGACAAAGUAGACUGUGGCUGAGGGAGUAGCUUCCAGCGCGACGCGGGGGCUCCGACGUGGCGAGGACGACGGCGUAGGACGAACUCCAGUGUGGUGGUCGAUGACGGCAGAAGCAACAGCAGCGCACGGCGCGGCAACGACAGCAACUCUAUAUCGGGCACGACAACAGAGGGCUUGGGCUUAGAGAGUGGGCGUCCGAGCACGGCGUAGAGGCGAAUCCGAGGCGAGGGAUCGGCAGAGAACGACGAGCAGAUCACGACGACACCGGGAAGACUUGGGCACUGGAAAACGACACGACGGCAAGCACGGCGAGCGGCGUUGUGGGGCUCCUCGCGAGUAGUAGCAGACAACACGGGGGAGGGGGGAAGAGAGCACAGUGUUGCUACUUAUAGGCCGGGGGAGGGGGGAAGAGAGCACGGUGUUGCUACUUAUAGGCCGGGGGAGGGGAAGGAGAGGAGAGGACACCAGGGAGAAAGAACGGUUACGCUAGCCACCAUUGAUUGCGCAUAGGGCUGGCCCUGAGGGUAUACAGGGUAUGCGACCGCUCAGGGCCCCCAAAGUCCGUAGGGCCCCUGUUUAUUUAGCUUAUAUCCAGAUACAUAUACGUUACAGAUAAAUCUCUAUUAUCGUUCUUUUGUUGCGUCUCUUUGAUUUUUCUGGCAAUCAUCUCUUCGAGGUCGCGCAACAGUCUGUUUGGACGAAUACUAAAUAUUGAUUGACGUGAGAAGGACGGAAGGUGUUGUACACUUGUGGCUGUCGCGUUGCUUAAUUCUAGCAUACCGCAAGGCCGACCAUAAUAACCUAUGUUGCUUAAUCAUUGUUUAGUUUGUUGAACUUUGUUUUCAGAAAAUUUGCUCUAAUGUAUUUAGAUUUGGUUUACCGUGCAUUUUAAGGUUUAGGUUAGUUUGACAAAUUAAAAGUAAAAUAGCCGCUCUCAAAAUUCAAACCAAAUGCAGAGUUAUAUUACAUAAUUUGUAUAAAUUUACGACUCAUAAAAUAUUGUAACAUUGUCUCCAGUCAUAUCAUUUUGAAUAAAAUUGUGUAAACCAUCAACUUUUUUUAUUUUCAGAUAUUAUUUUAAAGUUAAAAAAUAGCAGAUUUAACUUUUCGUAUAAAGUCUUCAUGUAGAUUUUCGCUUAGGCCCCCAAAAUGUCAGUACCAGCACUGAUUGCGCAUGAAGCAGUGAAUGCUACGCGGGAGACAGGCAGCCAGCACACUGAGCGGGCGGCGGUCUUCACUGGAAACGUGGAUAGGCAGGCGGGAGCAGGGAGUAGGCGUGCAGUCAACGGCGAGUGGUGGCGCGGUCGCAACGACGAAGAUAACAUGGCUUGGUGCGGAUGGUUCGUGGAGAUAGGUGAGAAAGGAAAAGAAAAGAAAAGGGGAAAAAAGAAAAAAAGGGAGAUGGGACACGUCGGGAUGGGCCUAGGAGGCUAAAUGUUCACGUCAACAUUUUUAUUUUAUUAUUAUUUUUUAAUUUCUUAAUCGUUCUCUUUUUAUUAAUAGAUAAAUAUCAAUAUAUAUUUAAAUAUUUCAAAAAUUAUAAUGAAUCUAAUAAUAUUAUUUUAAUAAAUAAAAUUUAUAAUAAAUAAUUUUCAGGCAAUCUCUAUUAUUUAAAUAAAUUGGGCUCUAAGAAAAGGAAAUCAAUAAAAUGAAACUUUCACAAAUAUCUACAAACAAAAAUUAUGAACCUAUCAAAAUGUGUAGCCCAAGAAUAGUAUUUUCACAACUCAUUAUUAUUUUAUAGAACGAGAUCUUUUCUCACAAAAUGAAAUCCAAGAAUUGGUUUUGAAAUCUAAAUCAAACAAAACAUAUGCUUCAGCAUGAAUGCAUCAAACACUUGGUAAAAUUUUACUUAUUCAAGAAAUUGUUUAGUUUAUUUAUAUCAACAUUUCGUUGCUUGAAAACAUAAAUAUUUUUCCUUUCCAUUAUAAACUACUAAAUAAACUAGUUUUAUUUUAGGUGAUGGAUUUAGGGUGUUACACAAAUCGAAUGCGAACCAUGUACGUGCCAGGAUCAGCAAUUUACGUACACAUCAGUUACAUAACCAGACAUUAUCACACGAUGCUCAAAUAAUAACAUAAUAGAGGGAAAUAGUUGAUUACAUCAUGAUGCCCGAGACUUCCACAUAGUCAUUAACAUAUAUCAAAGUGCGAAAACGAAACAUAACUAAAUACGAUGUUGGUCACUUGUUCUCAAAUGUUGUGAAUCAAGAACAAGACAACACAAUUGUUAAGAAUUAAGGACCUUCGUCCUCCGAGGCAUUGUUUCCUCUUGGAUUCAAUGACCAUCGGACGGAGCUCAUGGUACAUGCUUUCAUCAUGUUAUCAGUAGAUUGAAAUACACAAAUAUCAAUAUAAAAGAUACAAGUCAUUGAUUUAUUGAUGAUUGCAUUCCAUAAGACGUAUAUGAAUAUCCAUAGAAUUCAUAUUGCAUUGAUACCUUCGGCUUGCUCGAAGGUGAAGACGCGAGAGAGAGAUUACCAUCCAGCGUGAACAAUACGAUGCUACUGUUUAUCUAUUUAUAGGCACGGGACGCAGCCUGAGUAAAAUUACAUUCAUGACCCUCAACGUUUGUUUAUAGACAUAACUUAAAUUACUAGGGUCUAUCUGGUCUUUUCAUCCUCUGCUUGAUCUGAACCAAAUCUGAUGGUAGCUUCGACACUUGGUGUCGUUGCUUCUAAGCGAGGUCUUCAUCUUGAUAACCUUUGGCUGAAGGAGGGAAGACUUCUGUAUCACUUUUCCAAAGGUGUUUUUGUCUUGAGGACCUUCGGCGGAGAAGAAGAUCCCCAACACUCGGCCUUCACAGGCAGCCGACUGGAGGUUUGUCGCUAACCCACGCCUAGAACUCAUCGUACUCUUGGAACUCCUGGAAAUCCUCCACCACGACUUCAUCUUCUCUUGAGCAGUGGUUGCAAUGUGGACAACCUGUAGGGGGUUUGGUGAGUAAAGCAAGGGUGAGUACAUAUCAACAUACUCAGCAAUUGUCCCGUUUGGCUAUAGUGGACUAGCUUUAUGUUGGGUUUAAGAUCAAGCAGUUGCUUUUAGUUGGUCAGUUAAUUAUUACUAGUAGAGAGCCAGGUUUUACAAUUAACCCAAGUUGUUAACCCAAAUGUACUCUUUCCAAACGGAAAGGAUACCAGAAACCAUUAUCGUAAUCAUCAUCAUAAUCAUAAAAAAACCAUUAUUAUCCUCAUCAUUAUCUAUAAACAUAGUAUCUCUGAUCAAUGUGUCUCUAAUCAAUGGAGCUCCCAAGGCCGCUCAUAACCGCGAGCACGACUGAUAUAUCACUUUCAUAACACUCUGUAGAGGUUGCACACUUUACCCACGAGUCGUGAUUCCUUUUUGCCUUGGGUCGAUAAAACCCUUAAACACUACCAAGGUGAAUAGGCAAGGUUUCACUACGUAGCCUUUACAAAGCUUUCUAAGGCUGUAGUCGCCCGUUAGGUUUCCUAAAUGUACCACACUCCUCCCCAAAGGGCAAACCACCCUCGCCAGAGCGAGUCGCAUACACCGAGGCCCAUUGACGGCACGACGGCGAAGCAAACUACACCUCAGUUCCUCAAAUUAUUCAGCUAAGGGCGUCCCAUACCACCCUCAUGGUUGUACUGUUUUCCUAGGUGGUCAUCCAACGAACCAGUCCUUACGGAGAGGCACUCAAGAAAGCGCUCGAGUCCCCUUAAAGGUCACAAAGCCAUCAUCAUAAUCAAAAGGGGUAAACAACGUAUCAUAAAUAAUCUCAUCAUGUUCAUUGAUUAGGGUGAAGCACUAGCAUAGAGCUAAACCAAAAUGAUCCAAUCCACAUAGGUAAACAAGGACAAGAUAAACAAAGCUAGUCAAUCCUUAGGUAUAAGUUGUGUAAUUGCGGGGAGUAAAUUAUAAAAUUGAUAGUCGCCUAGAGGGGGGGUGAAUAGGGCGAAACUGAAAUUUACAAAUAUAAACACAACUACAAGCCGGGUUAGCGUUAGAAAUAAGAACAAGUCCGCGAGAGAGGGUGCAAAACAAAUCUCAAGCAAAUAAGAAGAGUGUGACACGCGGAUUUGUUUUACCGAGGUUCGGUUCUCGCAAACCUACUCCCCGUUGAGGAGGCCACAAAGGCCGGGUCUUUUUCAACCCUUCCCCUCUCUCAAACGGUCCCUGGGACCGAGUGAGCUUCUCUUCUCAAAUCACUUGGGAAUCAAAACUUCCCGCAAGGACCACCACACAAUUGGUGUCUCUUGCCUCAAUUACAAGUGAGUGUUUGAUCACAAGAAAGAAUGCUAAAGAAAAGAAGUGAUCCAAGCGCAAGAGCUCAAAUGAACACUACAAAUCACUCUCUCUAGUCACUAAAGCUUUGUGUGGAGUUGGGAGAGGAUUUGAUCUCUUUUGGUGUGCUUUGCAAUGAAUGCUAGCUCUUGUAUAGUGGUUGGAAGCUGGAAAACUUGGAUACAAUGAAUGGUGGGGUGGUUGGGGUAUUUAUAGCCCCAACCACCAAACAUGACCGUUGGUGGAGGCUGUCUGUCGUAUGGUGCACCGGACAGUCCGGUGCACACCGGACAUGUCCGGUGCGCCAGCCACGUCACCAAUGCCGUUGGAUUUCGACCGUUGGAGCUUCUGUCUUCUGGGCCCGCCUGGAUGUCCGGUGCACACCGGACAUGUACUGUUCAAUGUCCGGUGUGCCAAUGCGCGCGUGCCUGACUUCUGCGCGCUUCUGGCGCGCAUUAAUUGCGCCUGCAGGUGACCGUUGGCGCGAAGUAGCCGUUGCUCUGCUGGUUCACCGGACAGUCCGGUGUACACCGGACAGUCCGGUGAAUUAUAGCGGAGCAGCCGCUGCGUUUUCCCGAGGCUGGCGAGUUUCUGAGGCGGCUCUUCCUUGGAGCACCGGACACUGUCCGGUGUACACCGGACAGUCCGGUGAAUUAUAGCACGAGUGCCUCUGGAAAUUCCCGAAGGUGGCAAGUUUAAGCUGGAGUCCUCUGGUGCACCGGACACUGUCCGGUGGUGCACCGGACACUGUCCGGUGUACACCGUACAGUCCAGUGCACCCAGACCAGAGGUGCCUUCGGUUGCCCCUUUGCUCCUUUGUUGAAUCCAAUACUUGAUCUUUUUAUUGGCUAAGUGUGAACCUUUUACACCUGUAAAACUUAUGCACUAGAGCAAACUAGUUAGUCCAAUUAUUUGUGUUGGGCAAUUCAACCACCAAAAUUAUUUAGGAACUAGGUGUAAGCCUAAUUCCCUUUCAAUCUCCCCUUUUUGGCGAUUGAUGCCAACACAAACCAAAGCAAGUAUAGAAAUGCAUAAUUGAACUAGUUUGCAUAAUGUAAGUGCAAAGGUUGCUUGGAAUUGAGCCAAUAUUAAUACUUACAAGAUAUGCAUGGAUCGUUUCUUUAUUUUUAACAUUUUGGACCACGCUCGCACCACAUGUUUUGUUUUUGCAAACUCUUUUGUAAAUUCUUUUCAAAGUUCUUUUGCAAAUAGUCAAAGGUAACUGAAUAAGAUUUUGCAAAGCAUUUUCAAGAUUUGAAAUUUUCUCCCCCUGUUUCAAAUGCUUUUCCUUUGACUAAACAAAACUCCCCCUAAAUGAGUUCCUCUUCUUAGUGUUUAAGAGGGUUUUGAUAUAUCAUUUUUGAAAUACUACUUUCUCCCCCUUUUGAACACAAUAGGAUACUAAUUGAAAAUACUCUUUGAAAAACUAAGUUUUUGAGUUUGGUGGUGGUGCGGUCCUUUUGCUUUGGGCUCAUACUCUCUCCCCCUUUGGCAUGAAUCGCCAAAAACGGAAUCAUUAGAGCCCUCGAAGUACUUUCUUCCCCUUUGGUCAUAAAUAAAUGAGUUAAGAUUAUACCAAAAGACGAAGUCCUUUUGCUCUCUCCCCCAAAGAUGGAGAGUGGCUUGGAGUGACGGCGAAGGAUGAGUUACGGAGUGGAAGCCUUUGUCUUCGCUGAAGACUCCAAUUCCCUUUCAAUACACCUAUGACUUGGUUUAAAAUGAACUUGAAAAACACAUUAGUCAUAGCAUAUGAAAGAGACAUGAUCAAAGGUAUAUAAAAGAGCUAUGUGUGCAAAUUAGCAAAAGAAAUUGCGCGAAUCAAGAAUAUUGAGCUCAUGCCUAAGUUUGUUAAAAGUUUGUUCAUCAAGAGGCUUGGUAAAGAUAUCGGCUAAUUGAUCUUUAGUAUUAAUGUAAGAAAUCUCGAUAUCUCCCUUUUGUUGGUGAUCCCUAAGAAAAUGAUACCGAAUGGCUAUGUGUUUAGUGCGGCUAUGUUCGACGGGAUUAUCCGCCAUCUUGAUUGCACUCUCAUUAUCACAUAGCAAAGGGACUUUGGUUAAUUUGUAACCGUAGUCCCGCAGGGUUUGCCUCAUCCAAAGCAAUUGCGCGCAACAAUGGCCUGCGACAAUGUACUCGGCUUCGGCGGUGGAAAGAGCAACCGAAUUUUGCUUCUUUGAAGCCCAAGACACCAAGGACCUUCCCAAGAACUGGCAAGUCCCCGAUGUGCUCUUCCUAUUGAUUUUACACCCCGCCCAAUCGGCAUCCGAAUAACCAAUCAAAUCAAAUGUGGAUCCCCUAGGACACCAAAGCCCAAACUUAGGAGUAUAAGCCAAAUAUCUCAAGAUUCGUUUUACGGCCGUAAGGUGAGCUUCCUUAGGGUCGGCUUGGAAUCUUGCACACAUGCAUACGGAAAGCAUAAUAUCCGGUCGAGAUGCACAUAAAUAGAGUAAAGAACCUAUCAUCGACCGGUAUACCUUUUGAUCCACGGACUUACCUCCCGUGUCGAGGUCGAGAUGCCCAUUAGUUCCCAUGGGUGUCUUGAUGGGCUUGGCAUCCUUCAUCCCAAACUUGUUUAGAAUGUCUUGAGUAUACUUCGUUUGGCUAAUGAAGGUGCCCUCUUGGAGUUGCUUCACUUGAAAUCCUAAGAAGUACUUCAACUCCCCCAUCAUAGACAUCUCGAACUUUUGUGUCAUGAUCCUACUAAAUUAUUCACAAGUAGACUUGUUAGUAGACCCAAAUAUAAUAUCAUCAACAUAAAUUUGGCAUACGAACAAGUCAUUUUCAAGAGUUUUAGUGAAUAAAGUAGGAUCGGCCUUUCCGACUUUGAAGCUAUUAGCGAUAAGAAAAUCUCUAAGGCAUUCAUACCAUGCUCUUGGGGCUUGCUUGAGCCCAUAAAGCGCCUUAGAGAGUUUAUAGACAUGGUUAGGGUACUCACUAUCUUCAAAGCCGGGAGGUUGCUCAACAUAGACCUCUUCCUUGAUCGGUCCGUUGAGGAAGGCACUUUUCACGUCCAUUUGAUAAAGCUUAAAGCCAUGGUAAGUAGCAUAGGCCAAUAAUAUGCGAAUUGACUCAAGCCUAGCUACGGGUGCAUAGGUUUCACCGAAAUCCAAACCUUCGACUUGGGAGUAUCCCUUGGCCACAAGUCGAGCUUUGUUCCUUGUCACCACACCAUGCUCAUCUUGCUUGUUGCGGAAGACCCAUUUGGUUCCUACAACAUUUUGAUUAGGACGUGGAACUAAAUGCCAUACCUCAUUCCUAGUGAAGUUGUUGAGCUCCUCUUGCAUCGCCACCACCCAAUCCGAAUCUUGAAGUGCUUCCUCUAUCCUGUGUGGCUCAAUAGAGGAAACAAAAGAGUAAUGUUCACAAAAAUGUGCAACACGAGAUCUAGUAGUUACCCCCUUAUGAAUGUUGCCGAGGAUGGUGUCGACGGGGUGAUCUCGUUGGAUUGCUUGGUGGACUCUUGGGUGUGGCGGCCUUUGUUCCUCUUCCUCCUUGUCUUCCUCAUUUGUAUCUCCCCCUUGAUCAUUGCCAUCAUCUUGAGGUGGCUCAUUUGCUUGAUCUUCUACUUCAUCAACUUGAGCUUCAUCCUCAUUUUGAGUUGGUGGAGAUGCUUGCGUGGAGGAGGAAGGUUGAUCUUAUGCAUUUGAAGGCUCUUCGGAUUCCUUAGGACACACAUCCCCAAUGGACAUGUUCCUUAGCGCGAUGCAUGGAGCCUCUUCAUUACCUAUCUCAUCAAGAUCAACUUGCUCUACUUGAGAGCCGUUAGUCUCAUCAAACACAACGUCACAAGAAACUUCAACUUGUCCAGUGGACUUGUUAAAGACUCUAUAUGCCCUUGUGUUUGAAUCAUAUCCUAGUAAAAAGCCUUCUACAGUCUUAGGAGCAAAUUUAGAUUUUCUACCUAUUUUAACAAGAAUAAAGCAUUUGCUACCAAAGACUCUAAAAUAUGAAAUGUUGGGCUUUUUACCGUUUAGGAGUUCAUACGAUGUCUUCUUGAGGAUUCGGUGAAGAUAUAACCGGUUGAUGGCGUAGCAGGCGGUGUUGACCGCCUCGGCCCAAAACCGAUCCGAAGUCUUGUACUCAUCAAGCAUGGUCCUUGCCAUGUCCAAUAGAGUUCGAUUCUUCCUCUCCACUACACCAUUUUGUUGUGGCGUGUAGGGAGAAGAGAACUUAUGCUUGAUGCCCUCCUCCUCAAGAAAGCCUUCGAUUUGAGAGUUCUUGAACUCCGUCCCGUUGUCGCUUCUAAUUUUCUUGAUCCUUAAGCCGAACUCAUUUUGAGCCCGUCUCAAGAAUCCCUUUAAGGUUUCUUGGGUUUGAGAUUUUUCCUGUAAAAAGAACACCCAAGUGAAGCGAGAAUAAUCAUCCACUAUUACAAGACAAUACUUACUCCCGCCGAUGCUUAUGUAAGCAAUCGGGCCGAAUAGAUCCAUGUGGAGUAGCUCAAGCGGCCUGUCGGUCGUCAUGAUGUUCUUGUGUGGAUGAUGGGCACCAACUUGCUUUCCUGCUUGGCAUGCGCUACAAAUCAUGUCUUUCUCAAAAUGAACAUUUGUUAGUCCUAAAAUGUGUUCUCCCUUUAGAAGCUUGUGAAGAUUCUUCAUCCCAACAUGUGCUAGUCGGCGAUGCCAGAGCCAGCCCAUGUUAGUCUUAGCAAUUAAGCAAGUGUCGAGUUCAGCUCUAUCAAAAUCUACUAAGUAUAGCUGACCCUCUAACACUCCCUUAAAUGCUAUUGAAUCAUCACUUCUUCUAAAGACAGUGACACCUACAUCAGUGAAAAGACAGUUGUAGCCCAUUUUGCAUAAUUGAGAUACAGAAAGCAAAUUGUAAUCUAGAGAAUCUACAAGAAAAACAUUGGAAAUGGAAUGGUCAGGGGAUAUAGCAAUUUUACCAAGACCUUUGACCAAACCUUGAUUUCAAUCCCCGAAUGUGAUAGCUCGUUGGGGAUCUUGGUUUUUCUCGUAGGAGGAGAACAUCCUUUUCUCCCCUGUCAUGUGGUUUGUGCACCCGCUGUCGAUGAUCCAACUUGAGCCCCCGGAUGCAUAAACCUACAAAACAAGUUUAGUUCUUGACUUUAGGUACCCAAAUGGUUUUGGGUCCUUUGGCAUUAGAAACAAGAACUUUGGGUACCCAAACACAAGUCUUGGAGCCCUUGUGUUUGCCCCCAACAUAUUUGGCAACUACUUUGCCAGAUUUGUUAGUCAACACAUAAGAUGCAUCAAAAGUUUUAAAUGAAAGACUAUGUUCAUUUGAUGCACUAGGAGUUUUCUUCUUAGGAAACUUAGCACGGGUAGGUUGUCUAGAGCUAGAUGUCUCACCCUUAUACAUAAAAGCAUGGUUAGGGCCAGAGUGAGACUUCCUAGAAUGAAUUCUCCUAAUUUUGUCCUCAGGAUAACCGGCAGGGUAUAAAAUGUAACCCUCGUUAUCUUGAGGCAUGGGAGCCUUGCCCUUUACAAAAUUAGACAAUCUUUUAGGAGGGGCAUUAAGUUUGACAUUGUCUCCCCUUUGGAAGCCAAUGCCAUCCUUGAUGCCAGGGCGUCUCCCAUUAUAGAGCAUACUUCUAGCAAAUUUAAAUUUUUCAUUUUCUAAGUUAUGCUCGGCAAUUUUAGCAUCUAAUUUUGCUAUAUGAUCAUUUUGUUGUUUAAUUAAAGACAUGUGAUCAUGAAUAGCAUUAAUAUCAACAUCUCUACAUCUAGUACAAAUAGAUACAUGCUCAACGAUAGAUGUAGAGGGUUUGCAAGAUUUUAAUUCUACAACCUUAGCAUGCAAUAUUUCAUUUUUACUUCUAAGGUCGGAAAUAGUAGCAUUGCAAACAUCAAAAUCUUUAGCCUUAGCAAGCAAUUUCUCAUUUUCAAUUUUAAGGCUAGCAAGAGAAGUGUUCAAUUCAUCAAUCCUAGCAAGCAAAUCAACAUUAUCAUUUCUAGGAUUGGAAGUUGAAACAAUACAAACAUGAGAAUCAACCUUAGCUAAUAAAUUGGCAUUUUCAUUUCUAAGGUUGUCUAUAGUCUCAUGGGAAGUGCUUAGCUCACUAGACAAUUUUUCACAUUUUUCUACUUCUAGAGCAUAAGCAUUUUUAACCUUAACAUAUUUCUUGUUUUCCUUAAUUAGGAAGUCCUCUUGGGAAUCCAAAAGGUCAUCCUUUUCAUGAAUAGCACUAAUCAAUUCAUUUAAUUUUUCUUUUUGUUCCAUGUUAAGGUUGGCAAAAAGAGAUCGCAAGUUAUCUUCCUCAUCACUAACAUUUUCAUCACUAGAGGAUUCAUAUCUAGUGGAGGAUUUAGAUUUAACCUUCUUCUUUUUGCCGUCCUUUGCCAUGAGGCACUUGUGGCCGACGUUGGGGAAGAGGAGUCCCUUGGUGACGGCAAUGUUGGCGGCGUCCUCGUCGUCGGAGGAGUCGGUGGAGCUCUCGUCGGAGUCCCACUCGCGGCACACGUGGGCAUCGCCGCCCCUCUUCUUGUAGUACCUCUUCUUUUCUCUCCUCUUGCCCUUCUUGUCGUUAUCUCUGUCACUGUCACUUGAUAAUGGACAUUUAGUAAUAAAGUGACCGGGCUUACCACACUUGUAGCAAACCUUCUUGGAACGGGAUUUGUAAUCCUUCCCCUUCCGUUGCUUGAGGAUUUGGCGGAAGCUCUUUAUGACGAGCGCCAUUUUCUCGUUGUCGAGCUUUGAGGCGUCGAUGGGUGUUCUACUUGAUGUAGGCUCCUCCUUCUUUUCUUCUGUCGCCUUGAAUGCGACGGGUUGAGCUUCGGACGUGGAGGGAUCAUCAAGCUCGUUGAUCUUCCUCGAGCCUUCGAUCAUGCACUCAAAACUUACAAAAUUCCCAAUUACUUCCUCGGGAGUCAUUAGUGUAUAUCUAGGGUUGCCACGAAUUAAUUGAACUUGAGUAGGGUUAAGAAAAAUAAGUGAUCUUAAAAUAACCUUAACCAUUUUGUGGUCAUCCCAUUUUUUGCUCCCGAGGUUGCGCACUUGAUUCACCAAGGUCUUGAGCCGGUUGUACAUGUUUUGUGGCUCCUCCCCUUUGCGAAGCCGGAACCGACCGAGCUCCCCCUCGAUCGUCUCCCGCUUGGUGAUCUUUGUGAGCUCAUAUCCUUCGUGUGCGGUUUUGAGCACAUCCCAAACCUCCUUGGCGCUCUUCAACCCUUGCACUUUGUUAUACUCCUCUCUACUUAGAGAGGCGAGGAGUAUAGUUGUUGCUUGAGAGUUGAAGUGCUCGAUUUGGGCCACCUCAUCCUCAUCAUAGUCUUUAUCCCCUACGGAUGGUACCUGUGCACCAAACUCAACAACAUCCCAUACACUUUUGUGGAGUGAGGUUAGAUGAAAUCGCAUUAAAUCACUCCACCUAGCGUAAUCUUCACCAUCAAAUGUUGGUGGUUUGCCUAAUGGGACGGAAAGUAAAGGUGUAUGUCUAGAAAUGCGAGGAUAGUGUAGGGGGAUCUUACUAUACUUCUUGCACUCUUGGCGCUUAGAAGUGACGGAUGCCGCGUCGGAGCCGGAGGUGGAUGCCGAUGAAGAAUCGGUCUCGUAGUAGACCACUUUCCUCAUCCUCUUUUUCUUGUCCCCACUCCGUUGCGGCUUGUGGGAGGAAGACUUCUCCUUCUUCUCUUUGUGUGAAGAAGAUUUCUUCUCCUUCUCUUUGGAGGAGUCUUUCUUCUCCUUCCUCUUGGUGCGGGACUCUUCCGAUGAAGUGCUCCCGUGGCUUGUAGUGGGCUUUUCGCCGGUCUCCAUCUCCUUCUUGGCGUGAUCUCCCGACAUCACUUCGAGCGGUUAGGCUCUAAUGAAGCACCGGGCUCUGAUACCAAUUGAUAGUCGCCUAGAGGGGGGGUGAAUAGGGCGAAACUGAAAUUUACAAAUAUAAACACAACUACAAGCCGGGUUAGCGUUAGAAAAAAGAACAAGUCCGCGAGAGAGGGUGCAAAACAAAUCUCAAGCAAAUAAGAAGAGUGUGACACGCGGAUUUGUUUUACCGAGGUUCGGUUCUCGCAAACCUACUCCCCGUUGAGGAGGACACAAAGGCCGGGUCUUUUUCAACCCUUUCCCUCUCUCAAACGGUCCCUGGGACCGAGUGAGCUUCUCUUCUCAAAUCACUUGGGAAUUAAAACUUCCCGCAAGGACCACCACACAAUUGGUGUCUCUUGCCUCAAUUACAAGUGAGUGUUUGAUCACAAGAAAGAAUGCUAAAGAAAAGAAGCGAUCCAAUCGCAAGAGCUCAAAUGAACACUACAAAUCACUCUCUCUAGUCACUAAAGCUUUGUGUGGAGUUGGGAGAGGAUUUGAUCUCUUUUGGUGUGCUUUGCAAUGAAUGCUAGCUCUUGUAUAGUGGUUGGAAGCUGGAAAACUUGGAUACAAUGAAUGGUGGGGUGGUUGGGGUAUUUAUAGCCCCAACCACCAAACAUGACCGUUGGUGGAGGCUGUCUGUCGUAUGGUGCACCGGACAGUCCGGUGCACACCGGACAUGUCCGGUGCGCCAGCCACGUCACCAAUGCCGUUGGAUUCCGAUCGUUGGAGCUUCUGUCUUCUGGGCCCGCCUGGAUGUCCGGUGCACACCGAACAUGUACUGUUCAAUGUCCGGUGUGCCAGUGCGCGCGUGCCUGACUUCUGCGCGCUUCUAGCGCGCAUUAAUUGCGCCUGCAGGUGACCGUUGGCGCGAAGUAGUCGUUGCUCUGCUGGUUCACCGGACAGUCCGGUGAAUUAUAGCGGAGCAGCCGCUGCGUUUUCCCGAGGCUGGCGAGUUUCUGAGGCGGCUCUUCCUUGGAGCACCGGACACUGUCCGGUGUACACCGGACAGUCCGGUGAAUUAUAGCGCGAGUGCCUCUGGAAAUUCCCGAAGGUGGCAAGUUUAAGCUGGAGUCCUCUGGUGCACCGGACACUGUCCGGUGUACACCGGACAGUCCGGUGCACCCAGACCAGAGGUGCCUUCGGUUGCCCCUUUGCUCCUUUGUUGAAUCCAAUACUUGAUCUUUUUAUUGGCUAAGUGUGAACCUUUUACACCUGUAAAACUUAUGCACUAGAGCAAACUAGUUAGUCCAAUUAUUUGUGUUGGGCAAUUCAACCACCAAAAUUAUUUAGGAACUAGGUGUAAGCCUAAUUCCCUUUCAAAAAUGUAUAGGACAUAGAUGGGUCAAGGGACAUUUGUCUUCACCAACUAACUGCUGCUCAUGGUCUUCGCCUGCAACUCCUUCGGACUUCGCCAACGGACCGUUAUCUAUAAGAGUUCAAACAUACAUUCCACAAACUUAAUAUAAAAAGAAACAAUACACCACGCAAUAGAAUGCAACAAAUAAGCAGACGCUUAGCGAAGGGCUCGCAUCUACAACUAUGCGAGAAAGAAAAUACAACGGAUCGUCGCGCGACGAAGCGCACAACACAACACAUAAUUUAAACGAAAUUACAAUGAAUCGUCGCACGGCGAAGCACGCGACGCAACGCGACCCAAGCUGAAAUUAAUUUGGAUUGUCGCGAGAAAAAGCGUGCGACAACACACAUGAAUUAAACUGAAAUUAAAAUAAAAACAAAGAGAACCGUCGCGCGACAGAGCCCACAAUGAAACAUGAAAGUCGCCUAGAGGGGGGGUGAAUAGGGCGAAACUGAAAUUCACAAAAUUAAUCACAACUACAAGCCAGGUUAGCGUUAGAAAUAGAAACGAGUCCGAGAGAGAGGGUGCAAAACAAAUCGCAAGCGAAUAAAGAGUGUGACACACGAAUUUGUUUUACCGAGGUUCGGUUCUUGCAAACCUACUCCCCGUUGAGGUGGUCACAAAGAACGGGUCUCUUUCAACCCUUUCCCUCUCUCAAACGGUCCCUCGAACCGAGUGAGCUUUUCUUCCCAAUCACUUGGAACACAAAGUUCCCACAAGGACCACCACAAUAUUGGUGUCUCUUGCCUCAAUUACAAGUGAGUUUGAUCUCAAGAAAGAAUGAGAAAGAAAGCAAUCCAAGCGCAAGAGCUCAAAAGAACACAACAAAUCACUCUCACUUAACACUAAAGCUUUUGUGGAAUUGGGAGAGGAUUUGAUCACUUGAGUGUGUCUUGUAUUGAAUGCCUAGCUCUUGUAAGUAGUUGGAAGGUGGAGAACUUGGAUGACUUGAAUGUGGGGUGGUUGGGGGUAUUUAUAACCCCAACCACCAAACUAGCCGUUUGGUGGAGGCUGUCUGUCGCAUGGUGCACCGGACAGUCCGGUGCACCACCGGGCACUGUCCGGUGCGCCAGCCACGUCACCAGGCCGUUGGGUUCCGACCGUUGGAGCUCUGACGAGUGGGCCCGCCUGGCUGUCCGGUGGUGCACCGGACAAGUCCUGUAGACUGUCCGGUGUGCCACCCGCGCGUGCACUGCUCCUCUGCGCGCGCUGGCGCGCAUUUAAUGCGUUGCAGUCGACCGUUGGCAUGAAGUAGUCGUUGCUCCACUGGCUCACCGGACAGUCCGGUGUGCACCGGACAUGUCCGGUGAAUUAUAGCGGAGCGGAUUCCCGAAGCUGGCGAGUUCAGAGACGCUGAGUCCUGGGGCACCGGACACUGUCCGGUGUAGCACCGGACAGUCCGAUGAAUUAUAGCGGAGCGCCUCUCGAUUUUCUCGAAGGUGAGGAGUUCAGCGUGAAGUCCCCUGGUGCACCGGACACUGUCCGGUGGUGCACCGGACAGUCCGGUGCGCUAGACCAGGGCACACUUCGGUUAUCCCUUGCUCUCUUUGUUGAACCCAAUUCUUGGUCUUUUUAUUGGCUAAGUCUGAACCUUUGGCACCUGUAUAACUUAUACACUAGAGCAAAACUAGUUAGUCCAAUUAUUUGUGUUGGGCAAUUCAACCACCAAAAUCAAUUAGGAACUAGGUGUAAGCCUAAUUCCCUUUCAAUCUCCCCCUUUAAUGAGCAUAUGAAACACAUUAGUCAUAGCAUAUGAAAGAUACAUGAUCAAAGGUAUAUUAAUGAGCUAUGUGUGCAAAUCAACAAAAGAAGUUCCUAGAAUCAAUAAUAUUUAGCUCAUGCCUAAGUUUGUUAAAGGUUUGUUCAUCAAGAGGCUUGGUAAAGAUAUUGGCUAAUUGAUCCUUAGUGUUAAUAUAUGAAAUUUCGAUAUCUCCCUUUUGUUGGUGAUCCCUUAAAAAGUGAUACCGAAUGGCUAUGUGUUUAGUGCGGCUAUGCUCAACGGGAUUAUCCGCCAUGCGGAUUGCACUCUCAUUAUCACAUAGAAGAGGAACUUCGGUUAAUUUGUAACCGUAGUCCCUAAGGGUUUGCCUCAUCCAAAGUAGUUGUGCGCAACAAUGACCUGCGGCAAUGUACUCGGCUUCGGCGGUAGAAAGAGCGACAGAAUUUUGCUUCUUUGAAGCCCAAGACACCAAGGAUCUUCCCAAGAACUGGCAAGUCCCCGAUGUGCUCUUUCUAUUAAUCUUACACCCCGCCCAAUCGGCAUCCGAAUAACCAAUUAAAUCAAAUGUGGAUCCCCUAGGAUACCAAAGCCCAAACUUAGGAGUAUAAACUAAAUAUCUCAAGAUUCGUUUUACGGCCGUAAGGUGAGCUUCCUUAGGAUCGGCUUGGAAUCUUGCACACAUGCAUACGGAAAGCAUAAUAUCCGGUCGUGAUGCACAUAAAUAGAGUAAAGAACCUAUCAUCGACCGGUAUACCUUUUGAUCCACGGACUUACCUUCCGUGUCGAGGUCGAGAUGCCCAUUAGUUCCAUGGGUGUCUUGAUGGGCUUGGCAUCCUUCAUCCCAAACUUGCUUAGAAUAUCUUGAGUAUACUUUGUUUGACUUAGGAAGGUGCCCUCUUGGAUUUGCUUCACUUGAAAUCCUAAGAAGUACUUCAACUCCCCCAUCAUAGACAUCUCGAAUUUUUGUGUCAUGAUCCUACUAAAUUCUUCACAUGUAAACUCGUUAGUAGACCCAAAUAUAAUAUCAUCAACAUAAACUAGGUAGGUGCCCGUGCGAUGCCACGGAACAUAAAUCUCGAUUUGUAUAUCAGCUAUGCUUCCUGUGGAGCAAGGAAGCGAACGCAAGCCAACCUUUUGUAUUAGUGCAUUCUGUUCAGUUCUUACUUGAUCAUCCCAUGUUCUCGUGUGUGCCAUGGCCGAGUGGCAAGCUCAACACUGGUAUUGUUGUCUUGUCUCAAAUGAAGUCCGAUUCCACAAGUUAACCGGAAAUCUUCAUGGGUGAUAGUUGUGUCAGAUUCUUUCGCGCAUAGGGCAAGUAAUGCAAGUGAUAGUUGUGUCAGUUUACCCCCAUUUUCUUGGGCAUCACUUGUCUCAAAUGAAGUCCAUUGGAGGUUUGCAAUUUAUGUUCCGUGGCAUCACACGGGCACCUACCUAGUAUGUAUAUGAAGGACAGAAGAAAAGGGUGAAAGGCACGACAUCCAGAAUUCAUAGUUCAGUUCGCAUUUCUGUGGCACAAUUUGCUGGUUAUCUAAUUUUACAUACGGAGGACCUGGAUUGCCACCUGCUAAUUGCUAUCGCGGUAAGAGUGUACAUCAAUCGCAUCAAAGCCGCCAAUAUUGCAGCACGGCAGCUACAAGUGCAUCCAAUCACGCUCAUAGCCACAAUAAAAUGUAAACAAUAACUUAACAGACAACAUGCGAAAUAUAGAGAGAAAAAUUAUACUACCAACAUGUGUUUCUUAUUUUUGGACAGGCCUUGACCAAAAAGGUAAGAGCAUCCCUUCUCAAUCAGAGCCGUGGAACCAUAGCCAAAUUUGCCAAGUGUUAAAGAAGCAAAAGAAAUACAGGAAGAAAUUCACUAAUCAGGUUUCAUGAAGAGCUAGUUUCUGCAGAAUGACAAAAGGGGAAAAGUAGCGAUAACAACCAUUGGAGUGAAAACAUUUAUUCUGUGUCGUCGAUUGGAGUGAUAACAACCAUUUCUUCUGCUGCACCAGAAUCAAGUCGAUUAUCACAGUUCCCUCUGCCACAAACACAUAUUCUUUAUUUUCUGAACUGUAUGAGCUUUGUUCCAGCAAACGCUUUCCGACUGGCCACACUUGGUGAUCGGUACCCUGCUUUGGUGGGCUUUCCCCAGGGAGAAACUGAAGGCCUGCCUCCUUUAGUACGCCCCUCGCCUCCACCAUGGGGAUGAUCCACAGGAUUCAUAGCAACACCACGGACAACAGGGCGUCUGCCUAACCACCUGCUGUGCCCUGCCUUUCUUAGCUUGCAUGUACCAUGGCUUGGGUUGGAGACUAUACCAAUUGUAGCAUGGCAUCUUGAAUCAACAGCCUUCUCAGCACCUGAGGGAAGGCACAGGACACACUUGGCGCCUGGCUCCUGGACUACCUUAGCAUAUGUACCAGCUGCUCGAACCAUCUUCCCACCCUGACCAGGACGACAUUCAAUAUUAUGCACCCAGGUUCCAAUUCGUGCAUUGGCUAAUGGUAUACAAUUUCCAACCUUUGAGUUGAGAUCAAUUAUAUCGAACUGAUUUUCCAAGGAAUAUGGUGAAGAGGCUGAACUCUUAGAAGGCUUCGAGGAAUGAUAGUUCAUCACAAGAUUUAGCUGUUAUUAAAACUGAUUAUGAUGGUUUCUUUGUUGCUAUUAAAGAUUAUAGUCUUCUUUGCCUGACAUCAAUUUAUAGUUUUAUACGUAUCACUUUCUUUCUUUCCAUCAUCGUUAACGGCAUGCAGCCACAUUCUGUUAUCGAUCCCUCAAUUUCUUGCAUGCCACACCGAUCUCCAAGCCAGAAGCAUGUAUCCGCCGUAUAAAAGAUGACAACAACAUAAAGACGACUGGAACAUGGUAGGUAAUGCUAGAGCAGCAUUUUAAACAUUGCUAAUAUAACAUUAGGCAUAUACAAUAUAUUGAUAUUCGUUGGUUCAAGUAUCUACUAAGCAACGUAUCAAUUGAAUGGUUCAUAGGCAACAACUAGCAAAUGAGCAGCUUCUACCACCAACCAUCGGUGUUCAUGUAUUUCUCAACUUGGCUCAUACUUUCUUAGCCAAAUACGGCAUCAGGCUACAAGCGAGGUACACCUAGUGCUCAACGAUGUCGUAUUUCCUUCGCAGCUUGUACAGAUACCCGCUGUUCAUUAACAGAUUGAAUCUCUUGUUCAGACAAGAAACAAAAGGGUGGUCCGAUCUGCUUGCCCAGGCAAGACAGUCUUGUGAUAGGUCAUCAUGAAGGCCUGGGAAGUAGCAAUCGUUUGAUCUGUUGCCACUUGAAUCGCCUCCCAACUGAGCCUUCAGAACAGGUUUCUGCUCCUUCAGUUCAAGUUCUUCGCUAUCUGAAUCUGUAGCAUAUGGAAAGAAAUCUAAUUAUGAGAUAUCAUAUAACACAUCUGAGUGUUUCUUCGACUCCCCUGAGAAGUAGCCCUUCCUGACCAACAGAAAAUAAGCUAUUCAACUAAUUUACUAAGUUUUAAAAUAUAUGACGUUUAGGACAAGCUAAGUAAUUAGUAAAAAACGUCAUAUAUUUUAAUCUACUCCUGUUGAUGAAAUAUGUGUCAGAAUUUCAAUAGUUUUCAUAUGCAGAUUCUGAAAUUUAACUUACUCAAAAAAUAGAUCUAUAAUGUCAUCCCACCUCACCUGGAUAACAUGAAACCACAUCACAAUAAUUUUCACAUAACAAGCUUUGAUUUUAAGAUCUUUCUUUGUUCCGUCCUUUCUCAGCUCGGUGCAUUCAUUCCGCUGCAAACAAGAUUACAAGGAAUCAUCACUUGCUAAUCACAAAAGUUAUCUAAAAACAAUCCCCACAGACCGAUAAAAGAGAGUUCAUCAACAGCAACAAUUUUAAUAGAUCAGGCCUCAUCUCAAUUUAGAUAGAUCUGCUUUGAGUACAAUUCUAAUGUUAGUUAUGCAGCGCAUCAUCGAUGUGCUUCAAUCACAUGCCCAGGAGCUGAGCAGCAGCAACAGAAGAAGAAAAAAUCUAGCUGCAUCAGUGGCCACCAGUUCAUCAUUACUCAUACUUGCCACAUCAGCAACAACACCCAUGUUGUUGUGCGACUCUUAGUUUGAGGGAGAAUUAUAUUCAGUGUCAGUUUUGGGUAAUGCACAACUAUCAUCAAUGUAGUUAAACUGCUACUAAGGUGACAGUGUGACAGAUAAAAUGGAAAGAGUUUUAUUUGUUUAUGACAAAACUAUAAGAAACGUUUUAGCAAAUCAAUAGUUAAGACAACGUAAUUUACACAAGAAGGAGUGCAAUAGGGAAUUCAUUGUAGUAUAUUAUUGACAUUAAACUGUAAUUAUUGUAAAAGUUGCUCUGUAAACUAAAAGAUGGAGAAAAUGGAAUGCAGAAAAAAGCACAUCAAGCAACCUAUAUUAUUAUUAGUGCUAUUAAACUAGACUCAUUGUAAAAACUGCUUUACAAACUAAAAGUUGGAGAAAAUAUCAAAACUAUUGAAAUUCUGACACAUAUUUCAUCUACUCCUGUUCUAUUUGAAAAGCUCAAAAUUAGCCAUUUCAGUUGAAAACAUACCAAAGCAAUGGUUUUCAACUGAAGUAGUAAAAUAAUUUGUAAAAUUGCACCCUAAACACAAGCAUUCAUAUUAUCUCCUCUCCAUGGAAGGCCAUGGGAGGCGCGAUCCCAAAUGAGGAGAGGAAUAUACCAAGCAUAGGAGAUCGUAGCAUCAUGAAGCAAAGAAGACAUACCAAGCAAAGAAGACAUACCAAGCACAGGAGAUCGUAGCAUCUGGAAGCAAUACACCAAGCUCAAGAAGUGAAGCAUGAAUAACCCAACCUAUCAAACAGAACAAUUACAAACAGAUCAAUAUUAUUUUAUAAAGGUCCUUAACAUCUCCUCAUCAUGUAAUUUUUUCGGAUUACAUUUAAGUGUUAGCCUUGUGUCAGUGUCUUUUUAUUGAAACAAACAAUUGAGUUUUAACAGACUUACUGUAGGUCUAGUUUGUUAGGACCUCCUUGUAGACGAUGUUCUUAAUAUAUGUCCCACAAUCUACUGUAGGGUUCUUUCUUACACCCUUCCUCGACGCUUUCUUCCCAUCGACGGGUGGGAUUGCAAGAAUCUUUAUGUUUGAUCGGGCUGUCGCUCUAGAUAGAGCAACAUAUAGUUGGCCAUGAGAGAACACUGGUUCGGGCAAGUAUACACCAACAUUGGGAAUAGUCUGACCUUGUGCUUUGUUAACCGUCAUUGCAAAGCUAAGCCGUACAGGAAACUGCUUUCUUUUGAACUGGAAAGGGAACAUCUCUUCAUCGGAGGGACACAAAGGUAUACGCGGCAGGAAAAUCCGUUUUCCAGCGUGUUGACCCAGUACAAUUUCUGCGUCAAUGCUAUUUCUUUGAAAACCACGAACGACCAGCCUGGUGCCAUUGCAAAGUUCAUUUGCAGGGUCUAUAUUCCGAAGCAAUAUAACAGGGAAUCCAAUCUUGAGCUUCAAAACAAGUGGUGGCAGCCCAUUUGGCGUCAGUGUGUUUAGGAACUCGGGUGGGUAGUAGUUAUGGGGAUCAUCCAUGGCGCUAUCGAAACUAUGGUACACCAUAUGCUCCCCUUGAAAACGAUCAAUCAUCUUAACAUUUAUCAUAUCCACCCAGUCAUUCCGUGUUGACAGUAUCGCUCUUGAAGUGAUGUAGGUCGAAUCAGACAUAUUUUUGUUGAGAUUUGGGAAAACGAAGUCUAUUAGGUUGUCAAGAUCGUUGUCACUCCCACUAUAAGGCACACAUACCUCGUCAGGAAGGCGGAUUUCGCCGUCACUAUUUGUGUCCUCAGUUCGCCUACGCGCAACAAAUACUCCGCAAACCAAGGGUCGUUUUUUGCCCUCAUAUUGUUAACAAGCUUUAAGUGGGACAUGGACUCCCAUAGGUAAGACAUCCGUAGCGAAGAAGCGACCACUUGAGCCCUUGACCCUUUACGAACAACAGGCAAGACCUGUCUGAAAUCACCACCGAAGACAAUGGUUUUACCACCAAAUGGCAGUCCGGGUCGACCCAUUAUAUCGCGCAUGCUAUUGUCCAGUGCCUCCACGGCUUGUCUCUUAGUCAUAGAAGCCUCGUCCCAGAUAAUGAGGGAUGCUUUCCGUAGCAACUCUGCGGUUCCACUCUGCUUCGUGAAGCUACAUACAGCGCCAUCGUCAAUAGUGAGAGGUAUCUUGAAGCGUGAAUGGGCGGUUCUUCCUCUAGGCAUUAUGGAAGCCGCAACGCCAGAUGUAGCUGUUGCCACUGCAAUCUUGCCCUGGCUGCAUAGCGUCGCGAGCAGCACUCUAUAUAGAUAAGUCUUCCCGGUGCCACCAGGUCCAUCCACAAAGAACAAUCCACCCUGAUCAGUGUCAAUGGCAGACAAAAUCUUAUCAUAGGAAGCCUCUGUUCCUUGUUAAGGGAGUCUUUGAGAGCCACAUCUCCUGCUGUCGGUUCGAUAAUUUCCUCCUCGUAAACCUCUCUAGCAGUACCAAUAGCAUCGUCAUACGCGUCCAUGAUAGGAGGAAGAGGGAAUGUCUUUAUGUCCUUUCCCAUUGACUGCAGCAUGUUCCUAAUGUCAAUCAAUACCAUCUGCUCAACAUGAGUUUUGCACUGAGUCCUGUGUUGAUAGUCCUCAGACAUAGAAUCUAGGUGUUUCUGCCAAAGUACAGCCACAUCGCUUGGCUCACAGUACACCAGUAUUGUGGCAAAAAGCCGUCGCAGCGCCGAUGGCAUCUGGAAAAGAGCACGUUCAGUGAGACACUCAUCCAGUGUAUUGUUCGACUCUAGCAGUCCCCUUCUCUCUGCUGCCUCACGAAAAGUCGGUAGCGUGAAACCAUCUAUUGUCCUUAGAUCCACAUAGGAGGUGGCGCCAGUCACAUGGUUUAGGAGAACACGAAGAUAGUAGCGCUCCCCCUCGGCCGGAUGAGCAGAGACUAUUCUACCGACUUGUCCACCCGUAUCUCGUUUCCACCGUUGCCAUACUUUGCCCUUACCACUCUGCCAAGUGUACCAUUCAGGAAAGUCACGAUACAGGAUGCCACGAGCCUCCUCGUGUAGCCUAUUUGCCUCAAAAUAUGCUGGGAGCAUUGACCUAUCAGCACCUGGACGGUUGACGACUCGCUCGACCAUUUGCCGCUCGUGAAACGCCACCAUGUGCAUGUUUGGAAGAUGGAGCUGCAGCUGCAUCACAGGUGGAGAUAUCUGACUAAGCUCAAAGCCGUAUAUCCUCCAUAAGGCUUUUGGAGGAGUCACCCACCUUGCAUCUCUGUACUGCUUGAUCUCAUCUACAUCAUCAUCUGCCUUGCUCGCAUCUUUCAUAACAACAGACGCACGAUCAUGGCCUUUGUAUAUGUACUUGAACAGGUAUUUAACAGCCUUGAUGCUCCCGCACACCUCAACAUUGAUGUGACAGUUGAAGAGCCGAAGGAGGUAAGGGUUGUAAGGGACAACCCAUCUAUUGUCCAAUUCGAACCCUCGAACCUUUUCCUUACGCUCAUCGUCACGACGUCUGUAAACAGGAUAUGAAUCCUUCCCUUGCAAAGUUGCAUCAUAGAAAGGCCGGGGAUAAUGAUUCUUGCACGAUGCACGACCCUUAGUGCAUGGGCAGUUAGGAUUUAGCGACCCGCACGGGCCAUGCAUCAUAUGCUUGAUAACCAUCUUUCGUAGUUCAGGGUACUUUUUGUCUGGGAUCUCGGCUGAGAUCAAAAGGUCAUACUGCUCAGGGCACGUGAGCUUGUACUUACUCUGCAUGAUUAGUAGAAAAUGGGCAUGGGGCAAACCCCGCUUCUGAAACUCCACGACAUAGACGUAGGCCCGGACCUUACCGAGAAUAUCAUGUUUAGUAAGCCUAUGCUUUAACUCUUGUAGCUUCGCGUGAAAGACACGCACUACAAGAUCAGGACGAUCUUGCGGUGUCUGCCCAAGGAGAAGCUCCAUCCUUAUCUCAUCCCAGUUGGGGUUACAUGUCGUGGUAAGAAAGAUGUCUGGUUUCCCAAACUUCCGCACCAGAGCCAUACCAUCCAUAUAUCGACGUCUCAUGUCACGAGGACCGCCAAUAAACGAUGGUGACAGCACAGUGCGCUUCCCAACCUUUUCUGCUCUUAUGUCUCCAUCUAACAUACUAUCCACCAAGCCCUGGUACAGGUCAGCUCGUAACCGGUCCUGGUUUUUACGUAUGAAAUCUAAACGGGAGCUCUCAAUCUUGAUGUACGUGUCGACUGCGAACUGCUGGAAAAGUCGCUUACCAUGAAGUAUUGGAUUGAAUAUCCUUGGACGAAUCUAGAAUUUGUAGCAGUAAUAGUCACGUACGGACACACAUAGAUGGUUAGGAGAUUCUGCAUACGUAAGGAUUGAUUAUUUUGUGAUGCCGAAAGGAUAGUUAACAAUGUGUUAUGUAAGAAAUAUCAAAGAAACAACUAACCUGCAUCUUCAUCGUUUGCAUUACUUGCCCUAUGCGUCGCACGGUAUGCAUCCACUUCGCCCAUGGAUACACCGACCUUUGGUAUGUUUGCAUGCCAUCCAAGUUCACCUCUAGGGAAGAACAGUGGAUAUGAUAGUGCAUCAUAGCAUCCAUGGUAUGAGCGGAUGUCGUGGCUUGACCUAUCCUUCCCAUGUAGCAUAACACUCUUGCUGAACUGGCCUCGCUGUUCGCUCCCCUCGAUCCAGACAGUAGCGACCUCUGAAGUGAGAGGCGUGUUAUAUGUCUUCUGGUUCAACGUCUGGUCAAGGUUCAAUGUGAUACGAUAGUCAUCAAGGUUCUCAACAUGGCCCAUGCUCCUAAGGUGCUCAGAGUACGGGUUUCCAUGGAGUAUGCCAACUAAUUGUUUAAUAACAUCUUUGUCUUUCUGUUGACAUUUUUCGCGGCACUUACGAUACCGAUGCUCGAGAUUGGGAUCAUCAUCGUAAAAGUAAAGCUCAAGGUGUUUAUGCUCCACCCCACCUUCCCUACCAAAUGACUUGAUAUUGUGGUACAUCAUGCCUUGUGCUCGGAACGUGUAUAUACCAGAAUCUCUCACAUUAGUUGUCAUACUAUCGAGGCAACAAUACAGUGAAGUGAAAGAGAAAUGGCCAUUAAAAAACCUAAUGUUAUCACGAAAGUGUCUAGCAUCAGAGUCUGUACUAUCCCACAACCUCUGGAGCUCGGGAGGGGUCUCCAGUGGGGCUAGCUCAACCUUCCCACUACGACAACAAAACCCAGGUGGCUCAUACUCAAACUUCUUCGCAGUGCAAUAACCGCAGUUGGGAACAGACUUCAGCAUAUGUGUUUCUUUAGGCACGUUACUGUACACUUUGUCAUACGGGCCAGGCAAACCAGUGGCAGUAGAUUCAUCUUGAGUACCAUCAAUCUCAAUGUCCUCGUCGAUCUCAUCAUCUAAUAUGUUUUUUGGAAAACAACGAUUAAGACACGUGUAGUUAUAUAAGUCGUGGUAUCAUAAUAAAAAUUGAGGUACGCACAUUGCCCAGCAAAUAGGUAUCCAUCAUUCUCAUCAUCAUCCUCAUCCUCUUCAAAUAUGACACCCUCAUCAUCAUCACCUGAAUCGUGAAAAUAUGAGCCACGUAAAAGAUAAGGGCAUCUAGGGUGGGGGGAAAAUGUAACGUGAACAAAGAUUUUUAACAAGUACCAUUGGAAAUGAACUUUGGCUUCGUAUGUGUAUGGUCCACUCCUUGUUCAACCAUGCCUGCACUCACACGUUUAGUUGGACUACAUGCUAUCGUCAUCGUGCAAUAUUCAUUUAAAAUUGGUUGUAAUUACCAUUGGUGUGGAUCUCUGCAGUCGGAUGGGGCUGUGUCCAAUCGUCUCCUUCCAUAGCAUCACAAAUAGUAUCCUCGGUCACUGUAGCCACAUUCCUUCCAAUGUCGUCUUCAAAUUGUUGGUUUCGACGGCCUAAGGUAGCUGGUCUUGUCCCAGAUAGCACAUGAUGUCUACGUCUUAGUGGCUCAGUAGACAUAUCGAGUGAACCAACAUCCUUAGUCUGUGUUGAAGUUGGCAGGAAGGGUGUCACGGUGAAUUCAGGGAUAACCCAGUCGCAAGUGGUAACUGAGGAUCCAUAUGGUUCAAUUCCAUAUGUUGUAGGACAUACAACCUCAGGGGUAUAUACUGGGUCCUCCAUGGCGAUGGACUCCUGAUUCAAAGUGUCACCCUGCAGUGCUCUACGUUUUCUACUACACUCUUUGUUAGCAUCUUUCCGUCUUGGUGUCUUAUUAUACAACCUAAGGCGUACACGUCUAGACUCCCUCUCGACGGGGGUCAUGUUUUUGUACCGCUCACUAAAGUAGGCGGCCCUUUUCAUAGUAUGCUUAGGUAUGUUAUCAACAGUUUCAUGCACACAACCUGGAAUAAGGCAUGUCUACGUUUAACGAUUUGAAACCUGCAUUUUUUUUGCAUAUUUAGCCAAGCGAACAAUCAUGUACCUGGUGUCAGAAGGUCUUUACUUGAGACAAUGUUGUUUGCCUGGAAUGUCUCAUUCCUAUGCAACCAAUCGCUGUCAUCAUAUGCAUCCAGAUUUACUUGUUCGUCUCCACCUACAUUUAGCAUUUUAGCAUAAGUAAAGAGUUAACAUAAUAGAUAGUGCAAAUGUGACAAAAAAAUUGUGAUUGUUAUACCUGCAAUGUCUUGUGUUGACAAAUUUGUGAAAUCAAUGGUGCUACAGCCAUCUGGAAAGCUAACCACCUCACAUGCCUGGUCCGUAUUAACGUCUUCUUCAUAUAUCACCCAUUUACAAAAGCUACACAUCAACUUUGUAUAUUACAAACAUGUAGGUAUAACAAUAAAAAAAAUUAACUUUUCAUCACCUCUGGAUGAGAGUGGCUCUAUCGAUAGUCCUUUGUUUCGUUGACGUGCUUCACGACGCUUCCUAUUUUUCUCAUUCUUUUCUUCAACAGUCAUCGCAGCAUAUCUUUCCUAUCCCUUUGCCUCUUACGUUCCUUAGCAUCGACAAUUGGUCCAAGCGAGUUCGAUUCAUUUUGAUUACCUACAAUGCAACUUUGUAUUAGUGUCCGUACUUAAUACGUUUUGACACGCAUGUAAUAAGCUUUAUACCUGUAAUGAUGGUGUUUGAGAUGUCUGUGAAUGGUGUGCGACCAGCAUUGUAUCCUAUCUGAUCCAUAACAAGAAGAGUGCCCUACAAAACAUCAGCACAUAAACAACACUAAAAGAGGGUAGACAAUCGGUAGUCCUCUUAUAUGCACUCAUCCAGUUAACCAGAUAUAGCUCUAUCAAACAAAACAGACAAGGGUAACAAAUAUAUAGAACACACAUAAUAAAAUCUGAAACGAACAACCAACUGCAAUGAUUAAUAAGUUUUCUUGGUAUGAUAAAAAGCAAAUAUAAAUGACUGGAAUGGACUACCAAACUGUCGUUGGACAUAAUAUAGAAAAAACUAUAGACAACAACUAUUAGAUAAUUCACCAUAAUAGAUAAAUUUUGUUUGGACAUUGUAAAUCUAACCAAUUAUCUUGAAAACCCUAAUUCCAAAUAGGUUAUUAAUGUAAAGCUCCAACUAAAUUAUCUAAAACUAAAACAUAAAAUUACAUUAUGUUUCCUGUUUAUAGAUUGAAAUAAAAGUCUUUUAAAAAUGACUUUUUAGAUUCAUUUAUAUUUCCUGUUUAUAUAGAUUUAAACAGCAACCUUUGGAGUGACACAUUGAUUCUUAGAUGAUUUCAACCAGAAAAGGCACUCUAAUGCAAUAAUAGACCACACUCUAUGAUGACAAGAACAUUGAUCCAUAAAACAAAAAAAAGAAAAUGCAGAUAUCAAGGAGAGACAAUCGGUAUGGACCUAUUUGGGCUAUAUGGGAGAGACCAACAUCCAAUGAAAAUAGACCUAUUUGGGCUAUCUGGGAGAGACCAACACAACCAGUUGACAAUAUAAACAAAGGUAGAAAAAUAGACUUUGGCUGAACUUGCAGAAGAAAAGGACCGGUAUGGAUCUGUCUUUGUUUAUGAUCACAAAAUAAUUAAUAGAUGACCAUCUCUCUCUUAUAACGACACCAAAGAGGACUAUCUGUUUGAUGAAUCAAGGGCAAGCAACAAAUACAUACAUCCUAGAUCAACAAAUACACUACUCUGGUUCCACCAUGAUGCCAAAGGUAGCUUACAGUGAGACACAGCGAAAGGAAUUAUUUAGUCUAGAUAAAUUAAUAUACAUAUAUACAUAGCAAGGAAUAUAAACAACCAUUGUUUUACAUUUGUCGAUCGGGUGUUAGUAUUAAUUUGGUACAAGAAUCAUAUAAUACAAGGAACUUUAAAAGGAAUCAAAUAGCUGUAGCCAUUAAUAUGCUAUCUAGUCCUAAAAAAUACACAAGACGCUAACUGGGUAGUUAAAAAAAGGCAUGUAUGUACCUUGUCAAACGAAAUGGAUUAGGUUGCUUCUAUCGACGUGGAGGCUUGUCCUUCUGUUACCCGGUGAAACAAACUAUAAUAUUAGUGCAGUUAAAGUAUAAUCUUAAAAAUACAAGAUGAUACAAGGCUCCUCACAGGAAUGGAAAAGGGCUAUGCUGACUUAUUAAACAGCAGUCAACACUUAUUUUCUUUCAUCCAAAUUACUCAAGGAUCAUAUAAUCUAAGGAACUUUGAAAGGAUUCAAAUAUGUGUAGCCAGUAAUAAGGUAUCUAGUUCAAACGAAAUGGGGAUGACAAAAAAAUAAGCAUGACGGUACCUUGUCAAACGAAAUGGAGAUGCCUUCCUUGCUAUGUGGUGACAAGAUAUGAUUCUAUCGACGUGUGCAAUUAGUACUGGAAAAGUAUAAUAUCAGUGCAGUUAGUCCUGGAGUUGAACAGAACCUAAAAAUACAAGAUGAUACAAGACUCCUCAGAGGAAUGGAAAAGGGCUAUGCUGACUUAUUAAACAACAGUCAGCACUUAUUUUCUUUCAUCUAAAUUACUCUUUGCCAGGGAAAGUUAGGAUGAAAAGUAGCCUUGCACAUAGCCAAGAAAUUUUACACUGCGCUAACAAAUUGUGAUAUGACCGGCCUUGAUAUAGCCAAGAAAUUUUAUACUGUGCUAACUUAACUCAACUGAAUUGUCAUGAUUCUAUAAAAAGAAUGCAGUUCAUCUCUUUGCAUUGUUGAAUAAAAUUAAGUUAUUUACAAGUCACUGUAAUGCAAUAAUAGACCACACUCUAUGAUGACAAGAACAUUGAUCCAUAAAACAAAUAAAAAUUAGAAAAUGCAGAUAUCAAGGAGAGACAAUCGGUAUGGACCUAUUUGGGCUAUCUGGGAGAGACCAACACAACCAGUUCAUAGUAUAAACAAAGGUAGAAAAAUAGACUUUGGCUGAACUUGCAGAAGAAAAGGACAGGUAUGGAUCUAUCUUUGUUUAUGGUCACAAAAUGAUUAAUAGAUGACCAUCUCUAUUAUAACGACACCAAAGAGGACUAUCUUUUUGAUGAAUCAAGGGCAAGCAACAAAUACAUACAUCCUAGAUCAACAAAUACACUACUCUGGUUCCACCAUGAUGCAAAAGGUAGCUUACAGUGAGACAUAGUGAAAGGAAUUAUUUAGUCUAGAUAAAUUAAUGUACAUAUACAUAGCAAGGAAUAUAAACAACCAUUGUUUUACAUUUCUCGAUCGUGUGUUAGUAUUAAUUUGGUACAAGAAUCAUAUAAUACAAGGAACUUUAAAAGGAAUCAAAUAUCUGUAGCCAUUAAUAUGCUAUCUAGUCCUAAAAAUACAUAAGAUGCUAACUGGGUAGUUAAAAAAGGCAUGUAUGUACCUUGUCAAACAAAAUGGGUUGAUUUGCUUGUAUCGACGUGGAGGCUUGUCCUUCUGUUAACCGGUGAAACAAACUAUAAUAUCAGUGUAGUUAAAGUAUAAUCUUAAAAAUACAAGAUGAUACAAGACUCCUCACAGGAAUGGAAAAGGGCUAUGCUGACUUAUUAAACAGCAGUCAACACUUAUUUUCUUUCAUCUAAAUUACUCUUUGCCAGGGAAAGGAUGAAAAGUAGCCUUGCACAUAGCCAAGAAAUUUUACACUGCGCUAACAAAUUGUGAUAUGACCGGCCUUGCACAUAGACAAGAAAUUUUAUAUUGUGCUAACUUAACUCAACUGAACUGUCAUGAUUCUAUAAAAAGAAUGCAGCUUAUCUGUUAACAGAUAAUUUUGGAUUCUCCAACUCUUAAACCAGAGGAAUAGAGGAAGAAUAUAGAAUCAUGACAACAAGGGUCUAGCCAUACUGUCCCUGAGUCAUGCACUAUUGCACCUGAAAGAAGGUCAUCUAGAGAAGGAACCUGUGCUCCAAUUUCGUAUCCCACCAGCAGUGGGGCAAAACUUUCAGAUAAAAGUAGCUCCUCACCAAGAAACAUGACAAAGGUCUGGUAGUCAUUUGUACGCUCCUUUCAACUGUGCCCUUUGGGCUUCAUCUACUUCUCUUUGUCUCUCAUAGCAUCUUCUAUUUUCCUUACGAUGCCAAAUUAACUUUUGAACAUCAAAGCAGGCAACUUUAGUGACAAACUCUACUGUUUGUGGAUUUGCAGAGUCCAUCAGUCACAUGCAGGAAGCCUCUCCAAUCUGACAAUACUUCUCACAGUCAUGUAGGGGACUCAUAUUCUGUCACUUCUUCGUAUCCUUUUUUCUUUUCAAAUAUUGAUCAUGUUAAUUUUCCAGUGGAUCUUAUUGUUGUCUGUUUAGAGUCUCCUUUUUGUUUUAAUAUUUUAGGCAUAUGAACUCCAUAACAUUUUGCCUGGAACCCGUUUCUAUGCCUAAAUAGCUGACUGCUAGUAAAAAGAUAGCUUCGUUUGUAUCCCCCAAUUUUCUUUGUAUCCCUCAAUUUCCUGAGCUGUGUACAGAAUUGUAACUUCAGCGAGAGCUGGAAAAACUAAGAAGACAACUAUUGUUGUUGCACCUACUUUGUUGAUUCUCCAGUUUUAUACAAAAUUAAAAGAAAAGCGCAAGGCUUUGGAAGAGGAGAAACUCCAAGCAGAGGCCAAAAAGUGGGUAAGUCUGCUAUGGUUUAUUUUAUGGUAUUGCCUGAAUAUUGGUGUUUGUUUUGUGGCAUCAUGAAGAGCACCCGUUUUUGCAAAAUCACUAUAUUCCUAAUACAUUGGAAAUUAUAAUUGCAUUCUUAUAAGCAUUGGAAAUAUAAUUUUGGAGCAACUUUGUUUAACCUACCAUUUUCCUCCACAUUUUGUGGUAUAAAUAUUUUGAACUUCAUCGAGGUCACUUUUUUACAUGACUCAUGUCUCGUCUUUGACUUAUCAAAAUUCUAUCUGUUUGAGGUUUUGGAAACAAUCAUUACGACAAUUUUUAUCAUUUCCAUAUUGCUUAGUUAGUGCUGUAAAAUGCAAGAAACAAAAAAGAAGUUAGGAUAUGCUUGAUGCCUUGAAAAAGAAUGCAGCUUAUCUGUUAACAGAUAAUUUUGGAUUCUCCAGCUCUUAAACCAGAGGAACAGAGGAAGAAUAUAGAUAAGAACAAUACAUCCAUGACUAACUUAGUUUUAUUCAACAAUGCAAAGAGAUGAGAACCAUUUGGUGUGAAUUUGGAAGGCACUAUUAAAAAGAGUUGUGUACUGGAUUUUAAUAGCUUUGCCACCACCUUUGAAAAUAGGUAUGAGCUGGCAAAGAGUAAUUUGGACUCCACAAAUAUGGUGGGAAAUGAAUUACAAGAACAAGAUUUAGCAUGUUUGUUAAAUGGCUGAUGCAAGGAUUUCUGUGAUGAUUUUCUCAACUUUUGCCUGACGUUUUUGCUAGACAUGAGAAGGGAAUUGUUUGCAUCAUAACAAUGUCACCAUCAUGUAAAUUAAAGAUGCAAACAAACAUUAAACAAUCACAGUGACUUUGUGUGUUCUAUUUGAACAUUAUAGUGUUUCAAGAUUCCGCGGACUCAGGAUUGUGUCACCAUAUAUGAGAGUUGGAGGACGUACCGUAUGAGUUGAAUAGAAACUCGUCGAAUCGGUGUGGGAGUUGAACAGAACCUCGCCCGGGCUUCGUCCUUUUAACAGCAGGCGGGCGAGGGCAAGGCGGAGAGAUCCGCGGGCGUGACCAUCGAUUUUGCAAUGGUGGCCUUGAUGCAGCACUGUUGGGGAAUGGAGAGAUCCGCGCACGCAGACACAACGGAGGAAGGGAGAGAGCCUGCUUAAUGUGGUUGAUGUUUCUUAUGGUGGCGAGAAUUUAUUCAACCAAGCUAUCGAGUUAUCUGCUGAAAUUCUAGCAAAUGUGAAGUUCAUUCAAGUGAAGAAGUUAAUUGGCAAGAAUUUUGAAGAGAUCAGCCAGGAUACUGGGAAAUAUGUCUUUGGUGUUGAUGACACUCUGAAGGCUCUUGAAAUGGGUGCUGUUGAGACCUGGUAGUGUGGGAAAAUUUGGAUAUCAACAGAUAUAUCCUCAAGAAUAGUUCUAAUGGGGAAAUUACUAUAAAACAUAUGAACAAAGAGCAGGAAGCUAAUCAGAGCAAUUUCCGUGACCCAAUUACCAAUAUUGUCCUAGAAGUUCAGGAAAAAAUGUCUCUCUUUGAAUGGUUUACCAAUGAAUACAAGAAAUUUGGUACACAUCACUGGAGUUUGUAACCAACAAGUCUCAGGAGGGAUCACAGUUCUGUAGAGGAUUUGGUGGCAUUGGUGGUUUGCCAAUGAUGUGUAUGAAGAUUCUGAUUAGCAAUCAGCCAACCUCAUGGCUGUGCUGGCCCAUGGAAGGACGCAACAGCUCGAUCUCGCUAUACUUUUGCAGGAACACAAGAAAAGCAACUGUAUGAAUCUAUCUGUGUUAAGAUAUAUUUUCAGCAUUGUAAUGGAAAGAGGGAUAGGAAAAUUCUGCAGAAGCUAGAAAGCACAACCGGAGCAAAUUGUGCCUCUCAUAACCAAUUUUUCUGUUGAUAUUUUGCAUGCAAAUUCUGCAGAAGCUCGUCGGCUAGGUGGCAACUACAGCCUACAUGUUCUUUUAGAAUAGUGUGGACAAGAGCAGAUACCUUCCGAUACUCAUUUGGGGCACAUCGACAUACUUUGAAUCUUUUCUUGACAAUAACGGUAAGUAUGUAUUCUCCACAUCGUGCAGGAACCAGCUUCUUUUGUUUUGACUGUCCCCAUCUUGCCAGAAAUCAUUGUUGUAAAGGGCUAUUGAGGUCAACCGGCAGAGAAUUAUUUCUUUGUCGAAAAUUGGAGGAAUAAUCGAGAGAAGUGGCCAUAGUUGGAAAGAUCCUUUUAUCUACUUAUUAUAGAUUAUUAGGCAACUGGUGUUUCUAUGUCAGUUACUUUAAGGCCCAAUGGUUUCGUUGUCUCAGGUAUAUAUUUAUCUCUCUCUCUCUCUUGUCUUUUAUUAGCUACUAACUGGGCAGCUGCAAGAAAGGUGCAAGGAAGGUGAUGAUAUGCUGAGGCAUCGAUACAUGCAUUGUAAUAAAGUUCAAAGAGUAGCAGAUGGAUCAUGAGGUCAUUGGUUUUGUUCUUUUUUGAAAUUUCAUCUCCAUAACGUGAUGAUGGUUGUCAGCAUUAGGAUUAUGUUUGAUCACUCGUCCGCCUCACUGUUUCAGAUCGGAAGAUCAUAGGCCAGUGUCAUCCUCUUCAGGAGGAGCUUGAGAUUAAGAUAAUUAAGUCAUAACCAUGACUGAGUAAUUAUAUGUCAGUUCUAAUUACUAAAUGGAGAAGGCAGAUUGGCUUGAGCGCAGUAUAAUGCAAUAAGCACAUGCUCUAACAAGUCAUUGGCGUUGGGUUUCUGCUCUAACAUUAAUUACUCAGUAAAAAAUACUCAGUCUAACAAAUACAACAACCAAUUAAAACUGGAAAUUGUAACGCACAGGCAUCACGCAACAACUAUGAAAGAAUAAGCACACCUCUUGCGGCACUGCUCCGGAGUGAGCCUGUCCUAGAGCCCUUGGCGUUGGGUUUCUGCGCCGCCGCCCGCUCAGACUCGCGGUGACGCUAGUUGUUGAGAGUAGCGUAAAUCUUGGAGGCGAGGGUGGUCGAGACGCACGGCGAUGGGGGCGGGGGUUGUUGAGCGGGGGGAGCGGAGGGAGAGGGAGGACGACGGUCGCAACGGGGGCGGGGGAGUGGGGGCGCGGAUCACGGCGGGGGGCAUUGGGGCGGGGGGCGUCGAGGGCGGAGGGAGGCAUGCAUGGGGGGCACGGCGGGGGCAAGAUCCGCGAUAACUGCUCAGGAGUCGGCGAGAUCCGUGGUUGUUUGCUCGGGCGUGGGGCAGGAUCCGGCGGGAGCCGCGGCUAACUGCUCGAGCGUGGGCAGGGGCACUGUGUGCGUUGGACCUCAGCGGUGACGGAGGCACGCGAGCGGGCUACGGAGUGUGGACGCUGACAUUACUAAGUUAAUGGAGUAGUAUAGAUUUGGCAUACAAACAAGUCUUUUUCAAGAGUUUUAGUGAAGAGUGUAGGAUCGGCUUUUCCGACUUUGAAUCCAUUAGUGAUAAGGAAAUCUCUAAGGCAUUCAUACCAUGCUCUUGGGGCUUGCUUUAGCCCAUAAAGCGCCUUAGAGAGUUUAUAAACAUGGUUCGGGUACUCACUAUCUUCAAAGCCGGGAGGUUGCUCAACAUAGACCUCUUCUUUGAUUGGUCCAUUGAGGAAGACACUCUUCACGUCCAUUUGAUAAAGCUUGAAGCCAUGGUAAGUAGCAUAGGCCAAUAAUAUACGAAUUGACUCAAGCCUAGCUACGGGUGCAUAGGUUUCACCGGAAUCCAAACCUUCGACUUGGGAGUAUCCCUUGGCCACAAGUCGUGCUUUGUUCCUUGUCACCACACCAUGCUCAUCUUUCUUGUUGCGGAACACCCAUUUGGUUCCUACAACAUUUUGGUUAGGACGUGGAACUAAAUGCCAUACCUCAUUCCUAGUGAAGUUAUUGAGCUCCUCUUGCAUCGCCACCACCCAAUCCGAAUCUUGUAGUGCUUCAUCUAUCCUGUGUGACUCAAUAGAGGAAACAAAAGAGUAAUGUUCACAAAAAUGAGCAACACGAGAUCUAGUGGUUACCCCCUUAUGAAUGUCGCCGAGGAUGGUGUCGACGGGGUGAUCUCGUUGGAUUGCUUGGUGGACUCUUGGGUGUGGUGGUCUUUGUUCUUCAUCCUCCUUGUCUUGAACAUUUGCAUCUCCUUCUUGAUCAUUGCCGUCAUCUUGAGGUGGCUCAUUUGCUUGAUCUUUCCUUUCAUCAACUUGAGCUUCAUCCUCAUUUUGAGUCGGUGGAGAUGCUUGCGUGGAGGAGGAUGGUUGAUCUUGUGCAUUUGGAGGCUCUUCGGAUUCCUUAGGACACACAUCCCCAAUGGACAUGUUCCUUAGCGCGAUGCACGAAUCCUCUUCAUCACCUAUCUCAUCAAGAUCAACUUGCUCUACUUGAGAGCCGUUAGUCUCAUCAAACACAACGUCACAAGAAACUUCAACUUGUCCAGAGGACUUGUUAAAGACUCUAUAUGCCCUUGUGUUUGAAUCAUAUCCUAGUAAAAAGCCUUCUACAGUCUUAGGAGCAAAUUUAGAUUUUCUACCUCUUUUAACAAGUAUAAAGCAUUUGCUACCAAAGACUCUAAAAUAUGAAAUAUUGGGCUUUUUACCGGUUAGGAGUUCGUAUGAUGUCUUCUUGAGGAUUCGGUGUAGAUAUAACCGGUUGAUGGCGUAGCAGGCGGUGUUGACCGCCUCGGCCCAAAACCGAUCCAAUGUCUUGUACUCAUCAAGCAUGGUUCUAGCCAUGUCCAAAAGAGUUCGGUUCUUCCUCUCCACUACACCAUUUUGUUGUGGGGUGUAGGGAGAAGAGAACUCAUGCUUGAUGCCCUCCUCCUCAAGGAAGCCUUCAAUUUGAGAGUUCUUGAACUCCGUCCCGUUGUCGCUUCUAAUUUUCUUGAUCCUUAAGCCAAACUCGUUUUGAGCCCGUCUCAAGAAUCCCUUUAAGGUCUCUUGGGUGUGAGAUUUUUCCUGCAAAAAGAACACCCAAGUGAAGCGAGAAUAAUCAUCCACAAUAACUAGACAGUACUUACUCCCGCCGAUGCUUAUGUAAGCUAUCGGGCCGAAUAGAUCCAUGUGUAGGAGCUCCAGUGGCCUGUCGGUCGUCAUGAUGUUCUUGUGUGGAUGAUGGGUUCCAACUUUCUUCCCUGCUUGGCAUGCGCUACAAAUCCUGUCUUUCUCAAAAUGAACAUUUGUUAAUCCUAAAAUGUGUUCUCCCUUUAGAAGCUUAUGAAGAUUCUUCAUCCCAACAUGGGCUAGUCGGCGGUGCCAGAGCCAACCCAUGUUAGUCUUAGCAAUUAAGCAAGUGUCGAGUUCAGCUCUAUCAAAAUCUACCAAGUAUAGCUGACCCUCUAACACUCCCUUAAAUGCUACUGAAUCAUCACUUCUUCUAAAGACAGUGACACCUACAUCAGUAAAUAGACAGUUGUAGCCCAUUUGACAUAAUUGAGAUACGGAAAGCAAAUUGUAAUCUAAUGAAUCAACAAGAAAAACAUUGGAAAUGGAAUGGUCAGGAGAUAUAGCAAUUUUACCCAAUCCUUUGACCAAACCUUGAUUUCCAUCCCCGAAUGUGGUAGCUCGUUGGGGAUCUUGGUUUUUCUCGUAGGAGGAGAACAUCUUCUUCUCCCCUGUUAUGUGGUUUGUGCACCCGCUAUCGAUGAUCCAACUUGAGCCCCCGGAUGCAUAAACCUACAAAACAAUUUUAGUUCUUGACUUUAGGUACCCAAAUGGUUUUGGGUCCUUUGGCAUUAGACACAAGAACUUUGGGUACCCAAACACAAGUCUUUGAUCCCUUGUGUUUGCCCCCAACAUAUUUGGCAACUACCUUGCCGGAUUUGUUAGUUAAAACAUAAGAUGCAUCAAAAGUUUUAAAUGAAAUGUUAUGGUCAUUUGAUGCACUAGGAGUUUUCUUCUUAGGCAACUUAGCACGGGUUGGUUGCCUAGAACUAGAUGUCUCACCCUUAUACAUGAAAGCAUGGUUAGGGCCAGAGUGAGACUUCCUAGAAUGAAUUCUCCUAAUUUUGCUCUCGGGAUAACCGGCAGGGUAUAAAAUGUAACCCUCGUUAUCCUGAGGCAUGGGAGCCUUGCCCUUAACAAAGUUAGAUAAUUUCUUAGGAGGGGCAUUAAGUUUGAUAUUGUCCCCCUUUUGGAAGCCAAUGCCAUCUGUUGGGGGCCUUCGGCUUACGAAGGUCCUCAAAAACAGGAUUUAACAGUAUUUCUGGAGCAUAAUGUGUGAACAGGUAUCUUCGGACUCGAGUCGGUAUCACAGUAGGAGAAGCCCAAAAUAAUACGAAGGUUGGUACAGCGCCGAAGAUGUGAGCGGUAAAGCUUCGGCGUGGUAGCAGAAAAUGAAACCGACUUAAAGAUGAAAAGGCUAUUCAGACCUCGGUGGAUUACUAUAGAAUUAUUACCAAAUGUAAAGGGCAUGAAUGUAAUUUUGUAUGAGCUGUGUCCCGUGUCUAUAAAUAGGUGAACAGUACCCCUGUACUGUUCACGCUGAUUUGGCAUUUGCUUUUGCGUCACACCUGUACUUUCAUCUCCUUCCAAGCUGAAGGUACAUUUGUAAUUCAAUGUCAUUUCUGUUUCUUCAUAAUAAUAAUGCAAAAAUAAGUUGAUAAUAAUAUAUAAUUGUCUAUGUUAUCCUUCAUAUUUCUUAUGAUUCAUUCUUUGUCAUCGUAUGCUGUAUUUAUGAAGGUACGUCCUUCAUAACCUUCGUCCGAGAAUCAUUAUAUCCUAAGGGAAAUAAUACUUCGAAGGACGAAGGACCUUAUCGAUUAACAUUUUUUGUGUUGCCUUGUUCUUAACUCAUAGCAUUUGAGAACAAGUCCCCAACAUUGGCGCCCACCUCCGGUGAACUCACUUCCACUCUUUGAGUUUUUGAACACCUUCGGCGAUCAUAAACCUUCGUUAUGGCGCCGAAGAAAGCUUCAGCAACUGGGGCUGCAGCUCUGCAACCGCUGGACCACAAUCAGGAGACAGUCUCCCUUCGGGAGGCCCGAAGCCAGAAAAGGAAGGUUGUUAGCCCGACACCGCCAGAGGAUGAGAUAGACCAAGAAAUCAGAGACAUGGAGAUGCUUCAUCAACAGGUGCAGAGGAAGAAGGAAAAGAUGGCCAGGCUAGCUGAACUGCAAAGGCAGAUAGACGAAGCCUCUGAAGAAGUUCGUCAUCUUACUCAGGAUGAGCAACACCGAAGGCCUCAGCACCAAGACCUUCAUCAGGAGGGUUUCCUCAACGAAGAUGACUGGUAUGACAGUUUCCAUCAUGGGAAUUUUGUUUUUGAUGAUGCUUCUCCUCUGUCCGCUGAGCUGCAGGCUACACCUUAGCCUCCGUCCUACAAGCCGCCUCAGCUUCCCAUAUUCGAUGGCCACUCAGACCCGAAGCAGUUUUUGAUGAGCUACGAAGCAAUAGUAUCUUCGUAUGGUGGCAAUGCUGCAGUCAUGGCCAAAUCUUUUGUUAUGGCUGUCAGGAGUGUUGCUCAAACCUGGUAUUCCUCCCUUCGACCAGGAACGAUCACUUCAUGGCAAAAGCUGAAGGACUUGUUGUUAACCAGUUUCCAAGGGUUUCAGACGAAGCCGGUCACUGCUCAAGUUCUAUUCCAGUGCACCCAGGAUCACGAAGAAUACCUUCAGGCGUACGUCCGGAGGUUCUUGCGUUUGAGGGCACAGGCUCCAACAGUGCCCAACGAAAUUGUCAUUGAGGCCAUGAUCAAGGGGCUUCGACCAGGUCCUUCAGCUCAGUACUUCGCUAGGAAGCCUCCUCAAACUUUGGAAGCUGCUCCAGAAGAUGGACGAGUAUAUUCGGGCCGAUAAUGAUUUUCGUCAAAGAAGGGAGGAGGCUUUCAGGUUUUCUGAAAUGACCAGGGGCUUCGGAGGAAGAUUCUAUCCGAGGCACGUUAGGUCAAUCCAUAACUCUACUCAAAAUGAUGAUAGGGGGAGCCAGCAGCAAAGGCCACAGUGCUCCUCACAGGCUUCGGGGCAACAGCAAAGCUCCUUCCGACCACCAGCUCCAAGAGGCAGAGGCGCCAGGGGCUUCGGCGGAAGAUUUGGAGAUCAACCAAGAAGAAUUUUUUGCUUGUUCUGUGGUGAGAACAAGGGCCAUACCACCAGGAUGUGCCAUGUUACCAUCCAGAAGCAAAAGGAAAUAGCCGAAGCUGCGGCACAACAGGCUCAGCCGAAGCAGGUCAUGCACACUGCUUCGUAUCAUUCGCCUUACAUUCCAGAAUAUGUAGGCAACCACCCUGCAGUUUCUGUUGCUUCGGCGAGUCAACCUCAAGCUUCCUGGCAACAGCCUCCGCCUCCACCACCGCUGCAGCAAGGCCAACAGCCAGAAGGGAGCCAAUAUGCUCCACACCAAAGGGACUUCAGAGAACAGUCCGAAGCUCGCACAGUCAACAGCACUGUGCCAGAGUCGAAGCACAUCUAUUGACAAAUAUCCUACCUUGAUAGCAGUCUUUUUCAUUCAGUUUUAUUUUCUGUGUAAUAAAGGACAUUUUUCAAAUUCCAUGUAAUAGUUUCGUUGUUUGCCACAAGGAAAAUAUAUUUUCUUCACAGGCUUAAGUCGUUGAAGCUUAAAAGAUUUGCGAUAACAAGGAGGACCUUCGAAUUAUCAACAAAUUCUUCGAAGCAACAAAAAGUCGUUCUAAGGAACGCAGAGUAAGUUCGCUGAAGUCACAAAAAGCCGUUCCAAAGGGAGCGCAGUGUAAGUUUUCUGCUCCAAAGUCGUUCCAAAGGGAAUGCAGAGCUUACAGCGAAAAGUCAACGCUGAUACCGCCUAAGUAAAAGGCGAAGCGCGAAAAGUCAACGCGAAUACCGCUGAAAGUAAAAGGCGAAGAAGCUCCUAAGGGAGGCUUACAGCGAAAACUAAACGCUGAUUCCGCUGAAGUAAAAGGCGAAGAAGCUCCUAAGGGAGGCUUAUAGCAAAAAGACAGCGCUGAUUCAAAAAGAUUAUGUGUUUUAUCGCAGGGAUGUGUGCGUAUCUUCGGAACAAACACCAUCUUACAUAACAUAACAUCAUCGCAUCAUUUCGCAUAGCAUAAGCAUCAUACAUCAUGCUGCAUAUGGCGUAAGAGGGGGGCACAAUAUCGAUCUUCAGAAGAAUGUUUUGAAAAAAGGGGAAAAAUCAUGCUAAGUCGCAAGGAGAUACACUAUUGAUCUUCGGAAGUGUAGCUUCGGAAAAUAUCUUCACGAAGCUUGGAUAUUAUUCAUCAGAACACUUCAUAUAUUGUUGUGACAAAUAAAAAUUCUUCUUCACGAAGCAUGAAAAGAAGGGAAGGUGUUUUUUCGUCAAAGACUCAAAAACGGUACGUAUGUAAAAUUUCAUGCAUCGUAAAGAAUUGAACAAUAAAAACAGGUAUAUUAUAUUCAGGGUUACAAAAUGUUACACAUGUUACAUUUCAGAAGUUUUUACAAUAGUACUUAAUCUUCUCUCAGAACAACUUCUGCAGCCUCGUUCAGGAGCCGAUUAACAACUUCAUCCAUGAUAGCUUCAGCCAUCUUUUUAAUUUCGUCGUCUCCUUUCGGCUGAGGGCCCGGAGACGCUUUAGUAGGAUCUGAAGGAGGACAGGAUACGGCUACAUUGCUAUUACAAAUUGUGAACGAAGUUUGAAACCAAAAAUUACAACACAAUAAAAACCAUUAGUUAAUACCUAUUUGCCCUUCGGGCUCUGCGCUCUUCUCAGCAGCCUCAGCCACUUCUCUAGCAUCGUGAAUGCCUUUCUCGCUUUUUUGAAUAAUUUCUCGAGCCAUUUCUCGACCGCCAUUAUCCCAGACAUCGGUGAAAACUUUUCCACCAACCAUGCUAGCUUCGGCUGAGGGAUCUCUCGCAUCUUCGAAGGACAAGGUAGCUUCGGAUUGCGCUAAAAUCUUUACAUGCUCGCAACCCUUUUUCUCCAAAAUGGUGGCGAUCCCUCUGGCACCCGAGAAAGCACAUAUGUCUCCGCGGCUAUUUAAAUUUUCCUCGAAGGCCUCAGCUUCGUGAUUAAUCCAUUCGAUGGGACCUUCAGGGAUGCCUCUUGUAAAGUUUUCUUCGCUCGAGAAUGCGCCGACGCUGGCGAAGCUAGCUUUCAACUUCUUAACACACUCCAUAGAUUUGUUAUAGCAUUUUUUCCUGGACGAACGAAGCUCUUCAACAGUUCCCUCUAAAUGAUUUGCCCAUUGGUCGCUAAGUUCUCGCUUUGUUUCUUCAAGUAUGCGCUCCUCUUUGGCUCUGGCCAGUUGUUUUCGAAGAUCUUCAAUUUCACGCUUCUGAGCCUCAGCUUGACCUUUAAAAAUAGCUUCGUCUUCUUUUAUUCUAUUUAUCAAUGAAUGCAAUAUUUUAUCUUUUUCGAGACCUUCGUUCCUCAGUUCAAUUACUUCGGAACGAAGGUUGCUCAGGCUAUAGCGCACCCUUCGUCUUCGGCAUCUUUUUGGGCCCUGAGGGCAUUGCUAAGUAUAAGGCCCUGCAAAUAAAAAUGUGUGUGCGUCAAUAGAUUUAAGCAAACAAAAAAUUUGGUCUCAACAAAAAAUACAAAGAUCUCAUUUUUUGCACCUUUAAGCUAUUGUAUGCCAGGCUGUCGGCCAGUUCGUUUUUCGACAACACCGAGAGCCCGUCUUCAAGUGUUGGGAAUCCGAAGCUCUUGCUCAUCUCCCGACAAACAGAAAUCUCCUUGCUGUCAGGGAGACAAUACAAAAAGUCUUCUUCUCCACUGCCGUUGAAUAUUAACGCCCCCUUUGGAUACUUCAGUUUUUGGGCGUAGAGCUGGGCCUCUUGCUUCUCUUUUUCUGAUAAUUUUUUCCCCGAAGCAUGACGAACAAUAUAAUCAAGGACUUUGGGGGAUGCUUCGGGGGCAACAGCACUGAUUUCUUCAACAAGAGUUGGCUCCGUUAUUUUUUCUUCCUCGGUCUCCAAGGAUUUUACCUUUGUAGGCUCUGAGGGCCCAGCUUCAGCUUCAGUUUCUGGCUCUGGAGCCUUAGUAUCAGAAAUUUCAGUUUUACCUUCGGAAAUUGCAACAGUCUUCUUCGGAGUUGUGCUUGAGGACUUAAUUGUUUCCAAAACAUCUAGCACAUUGACCAUUCUUUUUCUUUUCGGAGUCACCGCUGGCCCCUUUUGAUUUUUUAUUGUCUCAACAUUUGCUGAAGGACUUAAAGCUUCUGAUAUUUUUGAUCCCUCGGUUGAUCCCUUUACUUCUUUCAUUUUUUCUGUCGAUGGCACUUCGGCCAUCUCUUUGGUUUCUGGUAACAAAAUUUCUGGUUCUUCCAAUUCUAUUCUUGUUGGCGCUUCGGCCAUUUCUGCGACUUCUGGCAGCAAGGUUGGCUUGGUUGGCUUUUCAGCUUCGGUGGCCGAAGAGGUCUUUCCGGUGAACUCAGGCACCGAGGCUGGUUCAAUAUAGCGUGGCCGAUGUGUGAGGACCUUUAUCCUUUUUCUUUUCGGUGCUGGCUCACUAGGAGCAGUUGCAGCUUCUUCUUUCACAGAAGUUGUGCUUUUUCUUUUAUGCCCUUGAAUGGGGUAACGAUAGUCAGGGUAGACGAACCCGAUUGCGUCAAACACCCGGUUCAGUCUUUUCUUUUUUCGGCCUCCGAAGGCUGCUGACAGUGCAGUAUCUUCGGCCUUCGAGUAAGCCCCAAGCAGUUCAUCACUUAAAUUUUCAAUGCUUUUUAGCCAGUCAUCAUCUGGCUCAACGAAUUUAUCUCCGAACUUGAAAGUAUACUUCAGCCUGAUAAGUCCACCUUCAUCAGCCUCCUUUAUGGUUUCUUGCGGCAUUUCCCAUUUUUCCGCGAGUGGCCAUACUCUGAAGGCAAUAUGCUCUUGUACCAAAUCUCUCGUUCCAAUAAAAGAACAAAUAACACCGAAGGCUCUCUGGCAUUCUUCGGCAGCUUCAUUCAUUUCAACCUUCGGCCUCCGCAGGCCGAAGCUUUGCCAAAUAGGGCGCAUAAUUAUACCUUUGAUAUCUUCCCGUACUGUCAGGUCAUUCUUCACAUAAAACCAUUCUGUCAUCCAGUCGCCGGGCCAUCUCUUCCGAAAAGUUGGCACGGGACAGCUUGACCCAGACCGAGAAACGAAACUGUAGCAGCCGAAAUUAUUGUGAUACUGUUCCUUACCCCAAGGUUUUGUCUCGUAUGAUAAUUCGUGUAUAUUGCAGAAACUUUUCGCAUCAGGUUCCAGACCUUGGCUUCUCACGGCCCACACGAAGAUAUUCAGCCUUAUGAUUGCUUCGGGGGUAAGUUGGUGAAGAUAGACUUCGAAUAUUUUCAGCACCUCUACGACAAAGUUGCUCAGGGGAAAUCUAAGUCCAGCUUUCAAAAAGCUUCGGUACACUACGACUUCAUUUUCUUCAGGGUUCGGACAAGUCUUUUCUCCUUCGUCGGCCCUAACAACGGACAAGUCCCGGAAAUACCUUCCUCUCAUGUUGACAAGAUGAUUUUCUUUGAUACUUGAUUUGCCGAAAACCGCAUGGCUUGGUCGCCAAGGGCGAUCUUCGGAGUCUUCACCACCACUAUCUACAUCAUAACUGUCGCUGUCAUCGGUAUCUUCAGACAAACCUUCUAAAAUCUCUUUGGUGAUUUUUUCUGUAUUGGUCUUCGACAUUGCUAUAAGAAACCCCAGAUUCUUCUCUUCAUCGAGACUCAGCUUCAUCUCGGCAGCAGCCUUCUUAUCUUCAGACAUCUUCGGAAACACUAAAAAACUGUUUUCAAUGCCGAAGCUUCAAAACUUAAAAAGCUAAGCAAAUCUUGGUGCGCAAGAGCUAAAAAUUGAGUGAGCGGGAGCAGAUGGCAAGAGAGCGUGCCAAAUGAGCUUGCGGUAUGAUCUUAUUUAUACGCCCAGUGCGUUGAAAAUUGAAAGACCCCGCCUGUCAGUGAGUGUUGCUAUUCUAGCAAAGGGAAGGUGUUUUUUCGGACCUUCGGCUUAAAGCCUUCGUCCAUGUCGCAAUCUAAAUUUAUUAUUUUAAACAAAUUAAUAUUGCGAGGGGCUACUGUUGGGGGCCUUCGGCUUACGAAGGUCCUCAAAAACAGGAUUUAACAGUAUUUCUGGAGCAUAAUGUGUGAACAGGUAUCUUCGGACUCGAGUCGGUAUCACAGUAGGAGAAGCCCAAAAUAAUACGAAGGUUGGUACAGCGCCGAAGAUGUGAGCGGUAAAGCUUCGGCGUGGUAGCAGAAAAUGAAACCGACUUAAAGAUGAAAAGGCUAUUCAGACCUCGGUGGAUUACUAUAGAAUUAUUACCAAAUGUAAAGGGCAUGAAUGUAAUUUUGUAUGAGCUGUGUCCCGUGUCUAUAAAUAGGUGAACAGUACCCCUGUACUGGUCACGCUGAUUUGGCAUUUGCUUUUGCGUCACACCUGUACUUUCAUCUCCUUCCAAGCUGAAGGUACAUUUGUAAUUCAAUGUCAUUUCUGUUUCUUCAUAAUAAUAAUGCAAAAAUAGGUUGAUAAUAAUAUAUAAUUGUCUAUGUUAUCCUUCAUAUUUCUUAUGAUUCAUUCUUUGUCAUCGUAUGCUGUAUUUAUGAAGGUACGUCCUUCAUAACCUUCGUCCGAGAAUCAUUAUAUCCUAAGGGAAAUAAUACUUCGAAGGACGAAGGACCUUAUCGAUUAACAUUUUCUGUGUUGCCUUGUUCUUAACUCAUAGCAUUUGAGAACAAGUCCCCAACACCAUCCUUGAUGCCAGGGCGUCUCCCACUAUAAAGCAUACUACGAGUAAAUUUAAAUUUUUCAUUUUCAAGUUCAUGCUCGACAAUUUUUGCAUCUAACUUUGCUAUAUGAUCAUUUUGUUGUUUAAUUAAUACCAUAUGAUCAUGAAUAGCAUUAAUAUCAACAUCUCUACAUCUAGUGCAAAUAGAAGUAUGUUCAAUGGUAGAUGUAGAGGGUUUGCUAGAUUUUAAUUCUACCACCUUAGCAUGCAAUAUAUCAUUUUUACUUCUAAGGUCGGAAAUGGAAGCAUUGCAAACAUCAAGUUCUGUAGCCUUAGCUAGUAAUUUUUCAUUCUCAAUCCUAAGGCUAGCAAGAGUAAUGUUUAAUUCUUCAAUCUUAGCAAGCAAAUUAUCAUUAUCAUUUCUAAGAUUGGGAAUUGAAACAUCACAAACACUUAAAUCAACCUUAGCCAAUAAAUUAGCAUUUUCAUUUCUAAGAUUGUCUAUAGUCUCAUGGCAAGUGCUUAGCUCACUAGAUAGUUUUUUCACAUUUUUCUACUUUUAGAGCGUAAGCAUUUUUAACUUUGACAUGCUUCUUGUUUUCUUUAAUAAGAAGUCCUCUUGGGAGUCCAAGAGAUCAUCCUUCUCAUGGAUAGCACUAAUCAAUUCAUUUAAUUUCUCUUUUUGUUGCAUGUUUAAGUUGGCAAAAAGAGUACGCAAAUUAUCUUCCUCAUCACUAGCAUUAUCAUCGCUAGAGGACUCAUAUCUAGUGGAGGAUUUGGAUUUAACCUUCUUCUUUUUGCCGUCCUUUGUGCCAUGAUGCACUUGUGGCCGACGUUGGGGAAGAGAAGGCCUUUGUUGAUGGCGAUGUUGGCGGCGUCCUCGUCGGAGGAGGAGUCGGAGGAGCUCUCGUCCGAGUCCCACUCGCGGCAUACAUGGGCGUCGCCACCCUUCUUCUUGUAGUAUUUCUUCUUCUCCUUUCUUCUCCCCUACUUGUCGUCGCCCCUGUCACUGUCACUAGAAUAGGACAUUUUGCUAUAAAGUGACCGAGCUUACCACACUUGUAGCAAACCUUCUUGGAGCGGGGCUUGUAAUCUUUCCCCUUCCUUUGAUUGAAGAUUUGGCGGAAGCUCUUGAUGACGAGCGCCAUUUCCUCGUUGUCGAGCUUUGAGGCGUCGAUUGGUUGUCUACUCGGUGUAGACUCCUCCUUCUUCUCCUCCGUCGCCUUAAAUGCGACCGGUUGUGCCUCGGAUGUGGAGGGAUCAUCUAGCUCAUUGAUUUUCUUUGAGCCCUUGAUCAUGUACUCAAAGCUCACAAAAUUCCCGAUUACUUCCUCGGGGGUCAUUAGUGUAUAUCUAGGAUUACCACGAAUUAAUUGAACUUGAGUAGGGUUAAGGAAAAUAAGUGAUCUAAGAAUAACCUUAACCAUCUCGUGGUCAUCCCACUUUUUGCUCCCGAGGUUGCGCACUUGGUUCACCAAGGUUUUGAGCCGGUUGUACAUGUCUUGUGGCUCUUCCCCUUUGUGAAGUCGGAAGCGACCGAGCUCCCCCUCGAUCGUCUCCAGCUUGGUGAUCUUGGUUAACUCAUCUCCCUCGUGCGCGGUCUUGAGCACGUCCCAAACUUCCUUGGCGCUCUUUAAUCCUUGCACCUUGUUAUACUCCUCUCGACUUAGAGAAGCGAGGAGUAUAGUUGUGGCUUGGGAAUUGAAGUGCUCGAUUUGGGCUACCUCGUCCUCAUCAUAAUCUUCAUCCCCUACGGAUGGUACCUGUACACCAAACUCAACGACGUCCCAUAUACUUUUGUGGAGUGAGGUUAGAUGAAAUCGCAUUAAAUCACUCCACCUUGCAUAAUCUUCACCAUCAAAAGUUGGUGGUUUGCCUAAUGGGACGGAAAGUAAAGGUGUAUGUUUAGGAAUGCGAGGAUAACGUAAGGGGAUCUUACUAAACUUCUUGCGCUCAUGGCGCUUAGAAGUUAUGGAGGGCGCGUCGGAGCCGGAGGUAGAAGGUGAUGAAGUAUCGGUCUCGUAGUAGACCACCUUCCUCAUCUUCUUUUUCUUGUCGCCACUCCGAUGCGACUUGUGGGAGGAGGCUUUCUUCUCCUUCUUGGCGUGAUCUCCCGACAUCACUUCGAGCGGUUAGGCUUUCAUGAAGCACCGGGCUCUGAUACCAAUUGAAAGUCGCCUAGAGGGGGGGGGUGAAUAGGGCGAAACUGAAAUUCACAAAACGAAUCACAACUACAGGUCGGGUUAGCGUUAGAAAUAGAAACGAGUCCGAGAGAGAGGGUGCAAAACAAAUCGCAAGCGAAUAAAGAGUGUGACACACCUAUUUGUUUUACCGAGGUUCGGUUCUUGCAAACCUACUCCCCGUUGAGGUUGUCACAAAGACCGAGUCUCUUUCAACCUUUUCCCUCUCUCAAACGGUCCCUCGGACCGAGUGAGCUUUUCUUCCCAAUCACUUGGAACACAAAGUUCCCACAAGGACCACCACAAGAUUGGUGUCUCUUGCCUCAAUUACAAGUGAGUUUGAUCUCAAGAAAGAAUGAGAAAGAAAGAAAUCCAAGCGCAAGAGGUCAAAAGAACACAACAAAUCACUCUCACUUAACACUAAAGCUUUUGUGGAAUUGGGAGAGGAUUUGAUCACUUGAGUGUGUCUUGUAUUGAAUGCCUAGCUCUUGUAAGUAGUUGGAAGGUGGAAAACUUGGAUGACUUGAAUGUGGGGUGGUUGGGGGUAUUUAUAACCCCAACCACCAAACUAGCCGUUUGGUGGAGGCUGCCUGUCGCAUGGUGCACCGGACAGUCCGGUGCACCACCGGACACUGUCCGGUGCGCCAGCCACGUCACCAGGCCAUUGGGUUCCGACCGUUGGAGCUCUGACGAGUGGGCCCGCCUGGCUGUCCAGUGGUGCACCGGACAAGUCCUGUAGACUGUCCGGUGUGCCACCCGCGCGUGCACUGCUCCUCUGCGCGCGCUGGCGCGCAUUUAAUGCGUUGCAGUCGACCGUUGGCGCGAAGUAGUCGUUGCUCCGCUGGCUCACCGGACAGUCCGGUGUGCACCGGACAUGUCCGGUGAAUUAUAGCGGAGCGGAUUCCCGAAGCUGGCGAGUUCAGAGACGCUGAGUCUUGGGGCACCGGACACUGUCCGGUGUAGCACCGGACAGUCCGGUGAAUUAUAGCGGAGCGCCUCUGGAUUUUCCCGAAGGUGAGGAGUUCAGCAUGAAGUCCCCUGGUGCACCGGACACUGUCCGGUGCGCCAGACCAGGGCACACUUCGGUUAUCCCUUGCUCUCUUUGUUGAACCCAAUUCUUGGUCUUUUUAUUGGCUAAGUGUGAACCUUUGGCACCUGUAUAACUUAUACACUAGAGCAAAACUAGUUAGUCCAAUUAUUUGUGUUGGACAAUUCAACCACCAAAAUCAAUUAGGAACUAGGUGUAAGCCUAAUUCCCUUUCAAAACACAUGAAUUAAAUCUGAAAUUAAUACGAAACGUCGCGCGACGAAGCGCGCGACGGCAUACGCUAAAUAAACUGAAUUUAAAACGAAACGUCACACGAUGAAGCGUGCGACACAACACACUAAAUAAUCUGAAAUUAAAAUGAAUUGUCGUGCGACGCAACACAUGAAUUAAACUGAAUUUAAAUGCUAUGCGCGCCAGUGCAGCGCGCGUCGGGGACGGGCUGUGCGCACGGGGCCAUGCCGGGGCAGGGGCGGGCCGGGCAAGGGCGCGCGCGGAGGAGGGAAGGAGGAGGGAGAAGAGAGGAGAGGGGAUGAGAGGGGGAGCUCACCUCGGGGCUUGACGAUCUGCGGCAACCGCUCACCGGAAUCCUACCUGGGGCAAGGGGAGGUGGAAGAGAGGGAGAGGGAAGUUGUUGCACGGGAAAAGAAAAUGAGAAAGAGAGGGGGUGGGGGCGCAUGGUGCGGGAGGGCGCCAGGGGCACGCCUAGGCUGGGCUGGGCCGGGGUGAGCCGUGCCACGGGCCUGGCUGGGCCGCGGGCCAGGCCGACAAACCACUGCAUGCUCUCGCUUACCUCUAACCGAAUUUAAAUCGCGAAUCAAAAACCAAAACGAGACAAACGCGCGAUUAGACACAACAUCAGACAAAAUAAAUAUUCUUCGGCAUGAUGCAACAACCAUGUCAAGUUAGGUUUUUUGUUUAUACAGAAUACAGACACCAGUCUCUAUACUGCUUUGAAAAUGGGAAGAAGGAGCGAAACGGGAAGAGAAAAUAGAGUAAUGCCUAAAUUUGGUGAAUAUCGGAGACAAAAAUUUAAACCCCUAAUUCAGGGUGUUACAAACCUACCCCCUUAAAAGAAUCUCGCCCUCGAGAUUCAAGGUUGGCCAGCAAAGAGUUCGGGAUACUUUGCCAUCAGAUCAUCUUUACGCUCCCAAGUUGCUUCUUCCUCAGAGUGGUGACCCCAUCUGACUUUGCACAUUCUGAUAGUGUUCCUCCGGGUGACCCUGUCUGCAGUCUCAAGAAUCUGCAUUGGCUUCUCGAUGUAGGUCAAGUAUUCUUGGACCUCGAGACCUUCCACUAGCAACUGCUCCUCUGGCACACGCAGACACAUCAUGCACCGCUGACAAAUCUUCUAGCAAACUGAGCUGAUAGGCCACUUCUCCAUGCUUCGCGAGAAUCUGAUACAGACCAACAUAUCGGGGUGCUAGCUUGCCUUUGACUCUGAACCUUCUGACGCCUCUGAUAUGCGAUACCUUCAGGUAGACAAAAUCUCCCACUUCAAAACUCAGCUCUCUUCUUCUUGUGUCUGCAUAACUUCACUGACUUGAUGUAACGCCCCAAAAUUCUACUUCGAGAUCUAGGAGAUAGUAUUCCAAGAUUUAAACAAAAGUCUUUUAUAAUCAGAGAUUAAAUAAAAUUCCCUCAUAUAACUUAAACCAACCUUUGAUUUAUAAUAUGAUUAGAGAUAUCCUCCAAAAGAAUUAAGUUAAAAAAAUAACUUAAUAAAUAUUAUACACUAGAAAAUCCUCUCUCUUAAAUAUAUGAACAUAAUUUUAAAUUGACAUACAUUCAAGAGUAAUAAAGAUUCUGUAAUAUGUAUUGUGUAUUUGGGCAUUUCACACUUGAAUCAUUUGCUCCAAUAAUUGAAUAAAAUAAAUAAUAUAAAUAAAGUUGCAUUCCAUGCUGGUAUUUAUUUGUUUAUGAUGCAUUUAAGUGGAAUGAUGAAUACUAGUUUAAAUUUGAAUUCAAGAUUUUAAGUUAAAAAAAUGUAAAACAAAAAAUAAGUAAAGGAUAAGGCCAUACUCCUAAUUCACUUAAGUCUAAAUUGGUGACUUAGAUCAACUCGGCCAUACAACUUGACCUACAUAACAGGGUACAUAACUUAUCCAACAAAUCUAGAAGCAAACAACCAAACUAAAUUCUAACUAAUCUCAUUUAACUUAUAGCUACCUACUAAACCUCUUGUCCCUAACCCGGAUGAAGACACCAAGGUCUGAAAAGAAGGAAGAGAAGAUCGACCUUGACAAGGAAGGAUGUAACAAUCAAAGCGAAUCUCGAGAUGAAUCAAGACUUAAACAUUUCGGAUGAAGUAUUUUUCCUUGCCAUAAUCUUUCUUACCUCAACCUAUCCACCUUAUAUCCUACAUAAUAGGUGGCUAGAUACCUAUACUAUCCUAAUCACCCAUUAAUAAUUAUUAUAGAAAUGGGGGACUCUUGAUUUUGAACUAAUUAGAAACUAAAAGCAAAAUUAAAAACCAUUCUUUCUAUAUCCCUUUUCUUAAUAAUCUCAAGGACGAGAUUAUUUUUAAGGGGGUAGAAUUUGUAAAGCCCCAAAAUUCUACUUCGAGAUCUAGGAGAUAGUAUUCCAAGAUUUAAACAUGUCGGGGACCAUAAUUAGGGGUACCCUCAAGACGCCUAAUUCUCAGCUGGUGUUGGUGACUUGUUCUCAAAUGCUAAGAAUUAAGAACAAGGCAACACAAAAAAUGUUAAGUGUUAAGGCCCUUCGUCCUCCAUAACGAUAUAUCCCUUCGGGAUAUAAAGCAUCUCGGACGAAGGUUACGAAGGACAUACCUUCGUAAGCAUAACAACGAAGAAUGAAGCAUUCACAUAAAUCAUAGAAUAUGAAAUAAACAUUUAAAUAUUGUCAUAGAAUUAUCUCUACUUGUACUAAUGAAUACAAAUGACUUUGAAUUACAAAUGUACCUUCGGUCCUGCGGAAGGCAAAAGUACAAGCGUGAUGCGAAAGCAAAUGACAAGUUAGUGUGAACAGUACGGGGGUACUGUUCACCUAUUUAUAGGCACGGGGUACAACCCAUACAAAAUUACAUACAUGCCCUUUACAUUUGGUGAUAAUUCUAUAGCAUUCUAUCGAGGUCUAAAUGGCCUUUUCAUCUUUAAGUCGGUUCCCCUUUCUGCGAACAUGCCGAAGCUUUCCUGCUUCACAGCUUCGGCACUGUGUCAACCUUCGUAUCUUUUGAGCUUCUCCCUUUCUGAUUCAAGUCCGAAGAUACCUGUUCACACAUUAUACUCCAGAAACAUUGUUAAAUCAUGUUUUUGAGGACCUUCGGAAGCCGAAGGCCCCCAACAGUAGCCCCUCGCAAUAUUAAUUUGUUUGAAAUAAUAAAUUCAGAUUGCGAUAUGAACGAAGGCUUUAUGCCGAAGGUCCGAAAAAACACCUUCCCUUUGCUAGAAUAGCAACAUUCAAUGACAAGUGGGGUCUUUCAACUUUCAACGCAUCAAGCGUAUAAAUACGGCCAUACCGCAAACUUAUUUUGCACGCUUUCUGGCCAACCACUCCUGCUCACUCAUUUUUUAGCUCUUGUGCACUGUGAUCUGCUAAGUUUUUAGCUUCGAAGCUUCGGCUUUUAGAAACAGUUUUUUAGCGCUUCCGAAGAUGUCUGAAGCUGCUAAGAAGGCUGCUGCUGAGAUGAAGCUGAGUCUUGAUGAAGAGAAGAACCUAGGGUUUCUUAUAGCGAUGUCGAAGUCCAACACAGAAAAGAUUACCAAGGAAAUUCUGGAGGGGCUGUCUGAAGAUACUGGUGACAGUGAAAGUUAUGAUAUGGACAGCGGUGGCGAAGACUCCGAAGAUCGCCCCUGGCGACCAAGCCAUUCAGUUUAUGGUAAGUCAACUAUCAAAGAGAAUCAUCUUGUUAAUAUGAGAGGAAGGUAUUUCCGGGAUCUGUCUAUUGUGAGGGCGGACGAAGGGGAAAAAACUUGUCCACACCCUGAAGAAAAUGAAGUUGUGGUGUACCGAAGCUUUUUGAAAGCUGGAUUGCGAUUCCCCUUGAGCAGCUUCGUCGUGGAGGUGUUGAAAAUCUUCGAAGUCUAUCUUCAUCAACUUACUCCCGAGGCAAUUAUAAGGCUAAAUAUCUUCGUGUGGGCCGCGAGGAGUCAAGGUCUGAAGCCUGACGCAAGAAGCUUUUGUAAUGUUCAUGAAUUAUUAUAUGAAACAAAACCUUGGGGCAAAGAACAGUACCAUAACAACUUUGGCUGCUACAGCUUCGUUUCUCGGUCCGGGGCAAGCUGUCCCGUACCAACCUUUCGGAAGAGAUGGCCCGGGGAUUGGAUGACAGAAUGGUUUUAUGUGAAGAAUGACUUAUCAGCACGAGAAGACAUCAAAGGUAUAAUUAUGCGUCCUAUUUGGCAAAGCUUCGGCCUUCGGAGGCCGAAGGUUGAAAUGAACGAAGCCGCCGAAGAGUGCCAAAGAGCCUUCGGCGUUGUCUGCUCUUUUAUAGGAACAAGGGACUUAGUACAAGAACAUAUCGCCUUCAGGGUGUGGCCGCUUGCUGAGAAAUGGGAAAUGCCACAAGAAACCAUAAAAGAGGCCGACGAAGGUGAGCUUGUGAGACUGAAGUACACGUUCAAAUUUGGAGAUAAAUUUAUUGAGCCAGAUGAUGAGUGGUUGAAAAGCAUUGACAAUUUAAGUGAUGAGCUACUCGGGACCUACUCGAAGGCUGAAGAUAAUGCAAUGUCAGCAGCCUUCGGAGGCCGAAAAAAGAAGAGACUGAAUCGGGUAUUUGAUGCCAUUGGGUUUGUCUACCCUGAUUACUGCUAUCCCAUUCGAAGGCAGAAGAGAAAAAACACAAUCUCUGCAAAAGAAGAAGCUGCAGCUGCUCCUAGCGAGCCAGAACCCAAAAGGAAAAAGAUAAAGGUUCUUACGCAACGGCCUCGUUAUAUUGAACCAGCUUCGGUGCCGGAGUUUACCGGGAAGACUUCUUCAGCCACCGAAGCUGAAAAACUAAUCGAGCCAGCCUUGUUGCCAGAGAUCGCAGAAACGGCCGAAGUGCCACCAAAGAUAGAAUCAGAACAAUCAAACAUUUUGUUGUCAGAAACAAAAGAGGAAACCGAAGCACCGCUCACAGAAAAAAUUGAGGAGGUAAGAGAAGCAACUGAGGGCUCCAAAACAUCAGAAGUUUUGAGUCCUACAGCAAUCAUUGGGACAGCAAAAAACCAAAAGGGGCCAUCAGUGACCCCAAAAAGGAAAAGAAUGGUAAAUGUACUAGACGUCUUGGAGACAAUUAAGUCUUCAAGCACAAUUCCAAAAAAGAGUGUUGAAGUUGCUGAAGCUUCUACUGAAGCUUCGGCUCAACAAGCUGAAGCUGAAGCUGGGCCUUCAGAGCCCUUCAAAGAACAUCCUUUUGAAGCCGAAGCAGUAAAAAUUCCGGAACCAAUAUUAGUUGAAGAAACGGACACCGUCAUUCCCGAAGCAUCUGCCGGCAUGCAUGAUUACAUCAUACGACAUGCUUCGGGGAAAAAGCUAUCUGAGGAAGAAACUCAUGAGGCCAACCAUUAUGCAAAGGAGCUGAAAUAUCCGAAGGGGGCAGUAAUAUUCAAUGGAACAAAUGAAGAUGACUUCUUAUACUGCCUGCCUGAUAACAAAGAGCUAUCCGUCUGCCGAGAGAUGGCGAGAAGCAUAGGCUUUCCGAAGCUUGAAGCUGGGUUAAGUGCCAUGACGAAAGAGGAUCUCGCAGACAGCCUCGCGUACAACAGCCUGAAGGUACGGGAAUUAAACACUUGAGAAAAAACCCCCUAUCUUUUUUUUUUACGCAACUCAUUCCUUUUUCCUUAUAUGAAUUCUUUUUUCAUAUAGGGCCUGAUCCUAAGCAACGCGUUAAGAGCGCAAAAGAGCGCCGAAGAUGAAAGUUAUGAAAUUGCGUUUAAUAAUUUACGCUCCGAAGUUAUCAAACUGAGAAACGAAGCUUUGGAAAAAGAUAAAAUUCUACUUACACUGGUAGAUAAAGUGAAAAAAGACGAAGCUGCUUCAAAGGCCCAGGCCGAAGCUCAAAAACGCGAGAUUAAAGAUCUUCAGAAACAGCUGGCUAGAGCUAAAGAGGAGCGCGCGCUUGAGGAAACGAAACGAGAACUUAGUGAUUUUAUGGUCAACAAAUUGGAAUCAAAAGUUAAGGAGCUUCGCACAUCUCAGGGGAAAUGCUAUGUCAAAUCUGUAGAAUGUGUGAAUAAAAUUAAAUCCAGCUUCGCCAGCGUAGGCGCCUUUUCCAGCGAAGAGAAUUUCUCUCGAGGCAAUCCCGAAGGUCCGCUGGAAUGGAUUAGCCACGAAGCAGAGGCCUUCGAAGAGAUUCUGAACAGUCGUGGCGACAUAUGUGCUUUUUCGGGCGCCAGAGGAAUUGCUUCCGUCUUAGAGAAGAAAGGUUGCGAACAUGUAAAAUUUUUAGCUCAAUCCGAAGCUACCUUAUCUACCGAAGACAUCAAGGACCCCUCGGCCGAAGCGAGCGUGGUUGGUGGCAAAUUUUUUACUGAUAUCUGGAACGACGGCGGCCGAGGAAUGGCGCGAGAGAUCAUUGAAAGAAGCGAAAAAGGCAUUCACGAUGCUAGAAGAGUAGCAGACGCUGCCGAAAGGAGUAGGGAGCCCGAAGAACAGUUAGGUACCAACUAGUCGUUCUUGUUGCGCUGUAAUUUUCAUUUUAAACUUUGCUCACGAUUUGUAAAAGUACUGAAGAAGUGUUCUCUUCGCUCAGAAACUGUUGGACGAUCUGCCGACCCCCACACAAAAGGGGAUGAAGAAAUUAAUCAAAUGGCCGAAACUAUCAUGGACAAGGUUGUUGACCAACUUCUGAAUGAAGCCGCCGAAGCAGUAUUGAGGGAAGAUUAGGUGCUAUUUGAAAAAACAUUUAAAGUGUAAUCUAUGCAUCACUUUGUACAUUUGAAUGUAAUAUACAAGUCUCUUUUCAUUAUUGAAUUCUUUACGAUGCAUGAAACUUUAAAUACAUACCACUUUUGAGCCUUCGGCGAAAAAACACCUUCCCUUCUUUUCAUGCGUCGUGAAGAAGGUAGCCUUCGUCAAAAUUAUUCUGAUGAAUGACAUCGAUGCCUCGUGAAAACAUUUUCCGAAGCUAUUUUCCGAAGCUAUGCAACUUUGAUAUUGAUCUGAUAAAGUUCGCCCAUGUUUCGUGAAAAUAUUCCCCGAAACUGUAUUCCGAAGCUAUACAAUUUCAAUGUCACUUUUUCAAAGCAUCCCUUCGAAGGUUGAGAGUGUCCCCUUCUCUUGCCAAAUGCGAUAUGAUGUAUGAUGCUUAUGCUAUGCAAAAUGAUGUGAUGAUGUUAUGUUAUGCAUGUGACAUUUGUUCCGAAGAUACACAUAAAAUAUAUUCGUAAGCUCUGCAUUCCCUUAGGAACGUCUUUGGAGCUUCUUCGUCUUUUACUUAGACGGCAUCAGCGUUGACUUUUCGCUGUAAGCCUCCCUUAGGAGCUUCUUCGUCUUUUACUUAGACGGUAUCAGCGUUGACUUUUCGCUGUAGGCUCUGCAUUCCUUUAGGAACGACUUCUGAGCAGAAAACUUACGCUGCGCUCCCUUUGGAACGACUUUUUGUGACUUUAUAAACUUACUCUGCGUUCCUUAGAACGACUUUUUGUUACUCCGAAGGAUUUUUAGUCCGAAGGUCCUUCUUGGUAACGGAAGAAAUUUUAGGCUUCGGCAACUUAGGCCUGUGAAUCAAAUAAAUUUUUCUCGUGGAAACAACGAAAUUAUUACAUGGAAACCAUCAAUGUUUUUUGCUUCACAGAAAACAAAACUGAAUAGAAAAGACUGCUAUCAAAGGUAGGAUAUGUCAAUAAAUGUGCUUCGACUCUGGCACAGUGCUGUUGACUGUGCGAGCUUUGGACUGUUCUCUGAAGUCCCUCUGCUGUGGAGCGUAUUGACUCCCUUCUGGCUGUUGACCUUGCUGCAAUGGAGGUGGAGGCGGAAGCUGCUGCCAGGAAGCUUGAGGUUGACUUGCCGAAGCUACAGAAGCCGCAGGGUGGUUGUCUAUGUAUUGUGGGACAUAAGGCGGAUGAAACGAAGCAGUAUGCAUAACCUGCUUCGACUGAACUUGUUGAGAUGCAGCUUCGGCUAGUUCCUUUUGCUUCUGGAUUGUAACAUGGCACGUCCUAGUGGUGUGGCCCUUGCCCUCUCCACAGAAUAGGCAAAACAGUCUCCUUGGCUGAUCUCCGAAUCUUCCGCCGAAGCCCCUGGCGCCUCUGCCUCUUGGAGCUGAUGGCCGAAAGGAAGUUUGUUGUUGCCCCGAAGCCUGUGAGGAGCACUGCGGCCUGUUUUGCUGACUCCCCUUAUCAUCAUUCUGAGUGCUGUGAAUGGAACGGACAUGCCUCGGGUAGUAUCUCCCUCCGAAGCCCCUGGUCAUCUCAGAAAAUCUGAAGGCCUCCUCCCUUCUCUGGCGAAAGUCAUUGUCGGCACGAAUGUACUCAUCCAUCUUCUGGAGCAAUUUCUCCAAGGUCUGAGGAGGCUUCCGAGCAAAGUAUUGAGCUGCAGGUCCAGGACGAAGCCCCUUGAUCAUGGCUUCGAUAACGAUUUCAUUGGGCACCGUUGGUGCCUGCGCCCUCAAUCGUAAGAACCUUCGGACAUACGCCUGAAGGUAUUCUUCGUGAUCCUGAAUACACUGGAAGAGGGCUUGAGCUGUAACCGGCUUCGUUUGAAAUCCUUGAAAGCUGGUCAGUAACAUAUCCUUCAGCUUCUGCCAUGAAGUGAUUGUUCCUGGCCGAAGGGAGGAAUACCAGGUCUGAGCAACAUUCCUGACGGCCAUGACGAAAGACUUCGCCAUGACUGCAGCGUUGCCCCCGUACGAAGACACUGUUGCUUCGUAGCUCAUCAAGAAUUGCUUCGGGUCGGAGUGGCCGUCAAACAUGGGGAGCUGGGGUGGCUUAUAGGAUGGAGGCCAAGGAGUAGCCUGCAGCUCAGCAGACAGAGGAGAAGCAUCAUCAAAAACAAAAUUUCCCUGAUGGAAAUUAUCAUACCAGUCGUCUUCGUUGACGAAGCCCUCCUGAUGAAGGUCUUUCUGAUGAGGCCUUCUGUUCUGCUCAUCGUGAGUGAGAUGGCGAACUUCCUCAGAAGCUUCGUCAAUUUACCUUUGCAACUCAGCUAGGCGGGCCAUCUUCUCCUUCUUCCUCUGCACUUGUUGAUGUAGCAUCUCCAUCUCUCUGAUUUCUUGGUCUAGCUCUUCUUCCUCAAGCGUCGGGCUAACAGCUUUUCUCUUCUGGCUUCUGGCCUCCCGAAGAGAGACGGUCUCCUGGUUGUGGUCCAGCGGUUGUAGUGCUGCAGCCCCAGCCGCUGAAGCUUUCUUCGGCGCCAUAGCGAAGGUCUAUAGCUUCCGAAGGUGUUCACGAAGACUCGAAGUGGAAGUGAGUUCACCGGAGGUGGGCGCCAAUGUUGGUGACUUGUUCUCAAAUGCUAAGAAUUAAGAACAAGGCAACACAAAAAAUGUUAAGUGUUAAGGCCCUUCGUCCUCCAUAACGAUAUAUCCCUUCGGGAUAUAAAGCAUCUCGGACGAAGGUUACGAAGGACAUACCUUCGUAAGCAUAACAACGAAGAAUGAAGCAUUCACAUAAAUCAUAGAAUAUGAAAUAAACAUUUAAAUAUUGUCAUAGAAUUAUCUCUACUUGUACUAAUGAAUACAAAUGACUUUGAAUUACAAAUGUACCUUCGGUCCUGCGGAAGGCAAAAGUACAAGCGUGAUGCGAAAGCAAAUGACAAGUUAGUGUGAACAGUACGGGGGUACUGUUCACCUAUUUAUAGGCACGGGGUACAACCCAUACAAAAUUACAUACAUGCCCUUUACAUUUGGUGAUAAUUCUAUAGCAUUCUAUCGAGGUCUAAAUGGCCUUUUCAUCUUUAAGUCGGUUCCCCUUUCUGCGAACAUGCCGAAGCUUUCCUGCUUCACAGCUUCGGCACUGUGUCAACCUUCGUAUCUUUUGAGCUUCUCCCUUUCUGAUUCAAGUCCGAAGAUACCUGUUCACACAUUAUACUCCAGAAACAUUGUUAAAUCAUGUUUUUGAGGACCUUCGGAAGCCGAAGGCCCCCAACAGCUGGUAACCCCCAUCAGCAUAAAGCUGCAAAGGCCUGAUGGGUACGAUUAAGUCAGGGAUCAGUCCACACGAGUGACUCGAUCACGCUUCACCCGAGCCUAGCCUCGGCCAAGGGCAGCCGACCUCGAGAGACUUCCGUCUCGCCCGAGGCCCCCUUUUUAUGGCGGACACAUCACCGGCUCGCUCAAGGCCUUGGCUUCGCUCAGAAGCAACCUUGACUAAAUCGCCACACCGACUGACCAAAUUGCAGGGGCAUUUAACGCAAAGGUGGCCUGACACCUUUAUCCUGACACGCGCCCCCCGGCAGAGCCGAAGUGACCGCCGUCACUCCACCGCUCCACUGGCCAGUCUGACAGAAGGACAGCGCCGCCUGCGCCACUCCGACUGCAGUGCCACUCGACAGAGUGAGUCUGACAGGCAGUCAGGCCUUGCCAAAGGCGCCACGGCGAACUCCGCUCCGCCCGACCCCAGGGCUCGGACUCGGGCUAAGACCCGGAAGACGGCGAACUCCGCUCCGCCCGACCCCAGGGCUCGGACUCGGGCUAUGACCCGGAAGACGGCGAACUUCGCUCCGCCCGACCCCAGGGCUCGGACUCGGGCUAACACCCGGAAGACGACGAAACUCCGCUUCACCCGACCCCAGGGCUCGAACUCCGCCCUGGCCUCGGCCGAACGACUUCCGCCUCGCCCGACCCCUUGGCUCGGGCUCGGCCACGGCAACAAAAGGCAGACUCAACCUCGGCUUCGGAGGAACCCCCACGUCGCCCUGCCUAGGGCACAGACCGCCACGUCAACAGGAGGCGCCAUCAUCAUCCUACCCCGAAUCGACUCGGGUCACGAAGAACAAGACCGGCGUCUCAUCCGGCCAGCUCCGCCGGAGGGGCAAUGAUGGCGCUCCACAAGCUCUAUGACGACGGCGGCCCCCAGCUCUCUUACGGAAGCAGGACGACGUCAGCAGGGACUCGACCGCUCCAACAGCUGUCCCUCCACCAGGCUCCGCCGCACCUCCGACAGCCACGACAUCACGCCAGCAGGGUGCCCAGAUCUCUCCGGCUGCCACAUUGGCAUGUACCUAGGGCGCUAGCUCUCCCUCUGCUAGACACGUAGCACUCUGCUACACCCCCCAUUGUACACCUGGAUCCUCUCCUUACGACUAUAAAAGGAAGGACCAGGGCCUUCUCAGAGGAGGUUGGCCGCGCGGGACCGAGGACGGGACAGGCGCUCUCUUGGGGCCGCUCGCUUCCCUCACCCACGUGGACGCUUGUAACCCCCCUACUGCAAGCGCACCUGACCUGGGCGCGGGACGAACACGAAGGCCGCGGGACUUCCACCUCUCUCACGCUCGACUCCGACCGCCUCGCCUCUCCCCCCUUCGCGCUCGCCCACGCGCUCGACCCAUCUGGGCUGGGGCACGCAGCACACUCACUCGUCGGCUUAGGGACCCCCCUGUCUCGAAACGCCAACAGUUGGCGCGCCAGGUAGGGGCCUGCUGCGUGCUGACGAACAGCUCCCCGUCAAGCUCCAGAUGGGCAGUCUCCAGCAACCUCUCCGGCCCGGGACGGUGCUUCGUUUCGGGACUCUUGAGUUCAUGUCCUUCGACGGCAGCUACGACAUGAUACUUCUUCCACCGCCGCGCGACUACGACAAUGGCGGCCGACAACCCGCCCGCCGGCGGCGGAAUCGACGACGUCUUCCCCGCGUGGUGGAAGAGCAACGUUCGGGCUCGCUCCGUUCUCUCCCCCGCCAACGGAGGAGGAGGCGGGGCCGUCAAGGCCAGGCGGGAGGCCGCGCUUCAUCGGCCAUCGAGCGAAUCGACACCCCCGACGCCCCGACGGAAGGCACGCCGGACGUCGACCUCGCGUUCAAGACGGAGGCAAGCGCCGUCCCCCCGCGGCACGCUGACCCUGAGCAAGAAGACGACGUCGGCGCGCUCGCGGAAAGCCUGCAGGACGUCGCCCUCGAACCAGAGAUGACGGUGCAACCAGUCCCCGAUGUGACUACGUCGCUCCUCGUCGACCAAAAGGUACCGACUAACUCCCAUCUUGCGUCAUUUCGACUCGGCCUCAACCCGCCAAACGACCUCGUUUUGGCGGGCGCUCUCAUUGAGGCGAGUGCAACCCCACUGAGGUUCCGUAUGCGGUCGCCUUGGGACCGACUGACGGACGUCUCGACCUACGGGCCCUCUGGGUCCGAGGAAGAUGACGAUCCCAGCAUCGGUUGGGAUUUCUCCGGACUUGGCAACCCCAGUGCCGUGCAGGACUUCAUGACCGCAUGUGACUACUGCCUAUCCGACUGUUCCGAUGGAAGCCGCAGCCUUGGCGACGAGAGCUGCGGCCCAAGCCGCGAAUGUUUCCACAUCGAGCUAGGGGAUCCCUCCGAAGGCAACCAUCUUGGCAUGCCGGAGGACGGUGAUCUCCCUAGGCCGGUGCCUCGCGCCGACAUCCCACGGGAGCUAGCUGUGGUCCCCGCUCCGGCGGGGGGUUACGACCCACAACUCGAGCAAGUCUGCGAGGCGCAGGCCAGGCUCAACGAGGGAACAGGAGCGCUUGAGCCGAUCCGUCGGGACGUCGGACAGGCAUGGGUGGGCCAACCCCUGGCCGGAGAAAUACGUCACCUGCCCCAAGGUCUCCAGCACCGCGUCGCCAACGAUGUCAGGAUCAGGCCGCCGCCCGCAUCCAGCGGGGUCGGUCAGAACCUGGCAACCGCAGCAAUGCUCAUCCGCGCGAUGCCGGAGCCGUCAACCACCGAGGGUCGGCGAAUCCAGGGAGAACUCAAGAAUCUCCUGGAAGGCGCUGCGGCCCGGCGGGCCGAGAGCACUGCAUCCCGAAGGCAAGGAUAUCCCUCGGAGCCUCAUGCCGCGACUUCUCGAUUCAUGCGGGAAGCCUCGGUCUACACCGGGCGCACGCGCAACACCGCGCCUGCGGCCCCGGGCCACCUCGGCAACGAGCACCAUCAACGCGACCGUCGGGCUCACCUCGACGAAAGGGUGCGCCGAGGCUACCACCCCAGGCGUGGGGGGCGCUACGACAGCGGGGAGGAUCGGAGUCCCUCGCCCGAACCACCCGGUCCGCAGGCCUUCAGUCGGGCCAUCCGACGGGCGCCAUUCCCGACCCGGUUCCGACCCCCGACUACUAUCACAAAGUACUCGGGGGAAACGAGGCCGGAACUGUGGCUCGCGGACUACCGCCUUGCCUGCCAACUGGGUGGAACGGAUGACGACAACCUCAUCGUCCGUAACCUCCCCCUGUUCCUCUCCGACACUGCUCGCGCCUGGUUGGAGCACCUGCCUCCGGGGCAGAUCUCCAAUUGGGACGACUUGGUCCAAGCCUUCGCUGGCAAUUUCCAGGGCACAUAUGUGCGCCCCGGGAAUUCCUGGGACCUUCGAAGCUGCCGGCAACAGCCGGGGGAGUCGCUCCGGGACUACAUCCGGCGAUUCUCGAAGCAGCGCACCGAGCUGCCCAACAUCACCGACUCGGAUGUCAUCGGCGCGUUCCUCGCCGGCACCACUUGCCGCGACCUGGUGAGCAAGCUGGGUCGCAAAACCCCCACCAGGGCGAGCGAGCUGAUGGACAUCGCCACCAAGUUCGCCUCUGGCCAGGAGGCGGUCGAGGCUAUCUUCCGAAAGGACAAGCAGCCCCAGGGCUGCCCAUCGGAAGAAGCUCCCGAGGCGUCUGCUCCGUGCGGCGCCAAGAAGAAAGGCAAGAAGAAGUCGCAAUCGAAACGCGACGCCGCUGACGCGCACCUUGUCGCCGCUGCCGAGUAUAAGAACCCUCGGAAGCCCCCCGGAGGUGCAAACCUCUUCGACAAGAUGCUCAAGGAGCCGUGCCCCUACCAUCAGGGGCCCGUCAAGCACACCCUCGAGGAGUGCGUUAUGCUUCGGCGUCAUUUCCACAGGGCCGGGCCACCCGCCGAGGGUGGCAGGGCCCGCGACGACGACAAGAACGAAGAUCACCCAGCAGGAGAGUUCCCCGAGGUCCGCGACUGCUUCAUGAUCUAUGGAGGGAAUGCGGCGAAUACCUCGGCUCGGCACCGCAAGCAAGAGCGCCGGGAGGUCUGCUCGGUGAAGGUGGCGGCGCCAGUCUACCUAGACUGGUCCGACAAGCCCAUCACUUUCGACCGGGCCAACCACCCCGACCAUGUGCCGAGCCCGGGGAAAUACCCGCUCGUCGUCGACCCCGUUGUCGGCGAUGUCAGGCUCACCAAGGUCCUGAUGGAUGGGGGCAGCUGCCUCAACAUCAUCUACGCCGAGACCCUCAAGCUCCUGCGCGUCGAUCCGUCCUCCGUCCGAGCAGGCGCUGCGCCCUUCCACGGGAUCAUCCCUGGGAAGCGCGUCCAGCCCCUCGGGCGACUCGACCUCCCCGUCUGCUUCGGGACACCCUCCAACUUCCGAAGGGAGACCCUGACGUUCGAGGUGGUCGGGUUCCGAGGAACCUACCACGCCGUGCUAGGGAGGCCAUGCUACGCGAAGUUCAUGGCCGUCCCCAACUACACCUACCUGAAGCUCAAGAUGCCGGGCCCCAACGGGGUCAUCACCGUCGGCCCCACGUACAAACACGCGUUCGAAUGCGACGUGGAGUGCGUGGAGUACGCCGAGGCCCUCGCCGAGUCUGAGGCCCUCAUCGCCGACCUGGAGAACCUCUCCAAGGAGGUGCCAGACGUGAAGCGCCAUGCCGGCAACUUCGAGCCAGCGGAGACGGUCAAGGCCGUCCCCCUCGACCCCAGUGGCGACACCACCAAGCAGAUCCGGAUCGGUUCCGGGCUCGACCCCAAAUAGGAAGCAGUGCUCGUCGACUUUCUCCGCGCAAACGCCGACGUCUUUGCGUGGAGUCCCUCGGACAUGCCCGGCAUACCGAGGGAUGUCGCCGAGCACUCGCUGGAUAUUCGGGCCGGAGCCCGACCCGUCAGGCAGCCUCUGCGCCGAUUCGACGAGGAGAAGCGCAGAGCGAUUGGUGAAGAGAUCCACAAGCUAAUGGCAGCGGGGUUCAUCAAGGAGGUAUUCCAUCCCGAAUGGCUUGCCAACCCUGUGCUUGUGAGGAAGAAAGGGGGGAAAUGGCGGAUGUGUGUAGACUGCACCGGUCUCAACAAAGCAUGUCCGAAGGUUCCCUACCCUCUGCCUCGCAUCGACCAGAUCGUGGAUUCCACCGCUGGGUGCGAAACCCUGUCCUUCCUCGAUUCCUACUCAGGGUAUCACCAGAUCCGGAUGAAAGAGUCCGACCAGCUCGCGACUUCUUUCAUCACGCCGUUCGGCAUGUACUGCUAUGUCACCAUGCCGUUCGGUUUGAGGAAUGCGGGCGCGACGUACCAGCGGUGCAUGAACCAUGUGUUCGGCGAACACAUCGGUCGCACAGUCGAGGCCUACGUCGAUGACAUCGUAGUCAAGACGCGGAAGGCUUCCGGCCUCCUCUCCGACCUUGAAGUGACAUUCCGGUGUCUCAAGGCGAAAGGAGUCAAGCUUAAUCCUGAGAAGUGUGUCUUCGGGGUGCCCCGAGGCAUGCUCCUAGGGUUCAUCGUCUCCGAGCGAGGCAUCGAAGCCAACCCGGAGAAGAUUGCGGCCAUCACCAGCAUGGGACCCAUCAAGGACUUAAAAGGGGUACAGAGGGUCAUGGGAUGCCUCGCGGCCCUGAGCCGCUUCAUCUCACGCCUCGGCGAAAGAGGUCUGCCUCUGUACCGCCUCUUAAGGAAGGCCGAGUGUUUCGCUUGGACCCCUGAGGCCGAGGAAGCCCUCGGCAACCUGAAGGCGCUCCUUACAAAGGCGCCUGUCUUGGUGCCGCCGACGGACGGAGAAGCCCUCUUGGUCUACGUCGCAGCGACCACUCAGGUGGUUAGCGCCGCGAUUGUGGUCGAAAGGCAAGAGGAAGGGCAUACAUUGCCCGUUCAGAGGCCGGUCUACUUCAUCAGCGAAGUGCUGUCCGAGACUAAGAUCCGCUACCCACAAGUUCAAAAGCUGCUGUAUGCUGUGAUCCUGACAAGGUGGAAGCUGCGACACUACUUCGAGUCUCAUCCGGUAACUGUGGUGUCAUCCUUCCCCCUGGGGGAGAUCAUCCAGUGCCGAGAGGCCUCGGGCAGGAUCGCGAAGUGGGCGGUGGAAAUCAUGGGCGAAACGAUCUCGUUCGCCCCUCGGAAGGCCAUCAAGUCCCAGGUGUUGGCGGAUUUCGUGGCCGAAUGGGUCGACACCCAGCUGCCAACGACUCCGAUCCAACCGGAGCUCUGGACCAUGUUUUUCGACGGGUCGCUGAUGAAGACGGGGGCCGGCGCGGGCCUGCUCUUCAUCUCGCCCCUCGGAAAGCACUUGCGCUACGUGCUGCGCCUCCACUUCCCGGCGUCCAACAAUGUGGCCGAGUACGAAGCUCUGGUCAACGGAUUGCGGAUCGCCAUCGAGCUAGGGGUCAGACGCCUCGACGCCCGCGGUGAUUCACAGCUCGUCAUCGACCAAGUCAUGAAGAACUCCCACUGCCGCGACCCGAAGAUGGAGGCCUACUGCGACGAGGUUCGGCGCCUGGAAGACAAGUUCUUCGGGCUCGAGCUCAACCACAUCGCUCGACGCUACAACGAAACCGCAGACGAGCUGGCCAAGAUAGCCUCGGGGCGAACGACAGUCCCCCCGGACGUCUUCUCCCGGGAUCUGCAUCAACCCUCCGUCAAGCUCGACGACGCGCCCGAGCCCGAGGUACCCUCGGCUCAGCCCGAGGUACCCUCGGCUCAGCCCGAGGCACCCUCGGCCCAGCCCGAGGUACCCUCGGCCCCCGAGGGCGGGGCACUGAACGUCGAGGAAGGGCAGAGCGGGGCCACACCAGAUCGAGAUUGGCAGGCCCCGUACCUGCAAUAUCUCCGUCGAGGAGAGCUACCCCUCGACCAAGUCGAGGCUCGGCGGGUAGCGCGACGCGCCAAGUCAUUCGUCUUGCUGGGCGACGAAGAGGAGCUCUACCAUCGCAGCCCCUCGGGCAUCCUCCAGCGAUGCAUCUCCAUCGCCGAAGGUCGGGAACUGCUGCAAGAAGUACACUCGGGGGCUUGCGGCCACCACGCAGCGCCCCGAGCCCUUGUCGGAAAUGCUUUCCGGCAAGGCUUCUACUGGCCAACGGCGGUGGCUGACGCCACUAGAAUUGUCCGCACCUGCGAAGGGUGCCAAUUCUAUGCGAAGCGGACACACCUGCCCGCUCAGGCUCUGCAGACAAUACCCAUCACCUGGCCCUUCGCUGUAUGGGGUCUGGACCUCGUCGGUCCCUUGCAGAAGGCGCCCGGGGGCUACACGCACCUGCUGGUCGCCAUCGACAAAUUCUCCAAGUGGAUCGAGGUCCGACCUCUGAACAGCAUCAGGUCCGAGCAGGCGGUGGCAUUCUUCACCAACAUCAUCCAUCGCUUCGGGGUCCCGAACUCCAUCAUCACCGACAACGGCACCCAGUUCACCGGCAAAAAAUUCUUGGAUUUUUGCGAGGAUCACCAUAUCCGGGUGGACUGGGCCGCCGUGGCUCAUCCCAUGUCGAAUGGGCAAGUAGAGCGUGCCAACGGCAUGAUUCUACAAGGGCUCAAGCCUCGGAUCUACAACGACCUCAACAAGUUCGGCAAGCGAUGGAUGAAGGAACUCCCCUCGGUGGUCUGGAGCCUAAGGACGACGCCGAGUCGUGCCACGGGCUUCACGCCGUUUUUCCUGGUCUACGGGGCUGAAGCUAUCUUGCCCACUGACCUGGAAUACGGCUCCCCGAGGGCGAGGGCCUACACCGAACAAAGCAACCAAGCUAGCCGAGAGGAAUCGCUGGACCAGCUGGAGGAAGCUCGGGACAGGGCCUUACUACACUCGGCGCGGUACCAACAGUCCCUGCGACGCUACCACUUCCGAGGGGUCCGGUCCCGAGAACUCCAGGUGGGCGACCUGGUGCUUCGGCUGCGGCAAGACGCCCGAGGGAGGCACAAGCUCACGCCCCCCUGGGAAGGGCCAUUCGUCAUCGCCAAAGUUCUGAAGCCCGGAACAUACAAGCUGGCCAACAAUCAAGGCGAGAUCUAUGGCAACGCUUGGAACAUCAAACAGCUACGUCGCUUCUACCCUUAAGAUGUUUUCAAGUUAUUCAUAUACCUCGCACCUACGCAAAGUUUAGUCGUCAAGGAAGGGUCGGCCUAGCCUCGGCAAAGCCCGACCCUCCCUCGGGGGCUAAAAGGGGGGAGACCCCCUCUGCGUCGAAUUUUUCCUCGAAAAAGGAUCUCUUUUUAGCAGGAUUUCUUUCGUGCUUCUUGACUACUUCGGAAAGCGGAUCCUGGAAACGACGGGGUACACGUAAGCAGCCAAGGCUGACCGACCCGAGGGACUCCUACGCCUCCGGGAUACGGAUACCUCACUCAUCACCUUCUGCGAUAAGUAACUUGCGCUCGGAUAAAGCGACUCCGUGGACCGAACAAGUCUUCACAUUCGGAAGCUCUCCUGCCGAAGCAGUCCUUCAAGCUUUCUCGACUAAGUCGGGGACAGGGCCUCAUGGAUGGGUGAAAGUACGCGUAAGCGGCAAGGCCGACCGAGCCGAGGGAUUCCCACGCCUCUUGGAUACGGAUACCUCACUCGUCCCUUCCGCGAAAAGCAACUCUCGCUCACACAAACAUCCCCGUUACCGACAGAGUCCAGAUGCUCGAAACAAGAGGAAAAAAGACGCAGCUUCGCAAGCGCGGCGAGGGUGUGUUUUUCUGGCCUCGGCGGCCGCAGAAAACACACGCUACAAGAUGAUCUGAUCCUGCAGGCUCGGGUCUUCACGCUGAAGGGAGCCGUGGCACCCUCGGCAUCGACGACGACUUCAGCAAAGCCCGACCCAGCCUCGGGCGGCGCCGUGGUCCAGGGACUCCUCCGGGAAUCCGGCCCGAGCAGGCGGCUCAACCGGUUACCCCUGGGGCCUCGGUCAACCGGCUUCCAAGGGCGCCAGCCCGACCCGAGGCCUCGACUGAUCGACUUUGGCGUCGGCUCCGCUGACGGACAACACGGCUAGGCUCCGGCCAACCAGGUUCCCAUUCUCGAGCCAACUCCGCCUUUGUUCAUUCUGAUAUCGCUACCCCUGGCCUCGGUCCACCGAAGGGCGGCCGAGGGGUCUCUUCAACUAAGCUAGAAGAGCCCUAGACAACAAGGCCGAACGAGCCGAGGGAUUCCUACGCCUCCGGGAUACGGAUACCUCACCCGUCACCUUGACACGGGGCGACUCAUGCUUGGUAAAGCGGUUCAGAUAAUCAACAGGCGAGACUUAGUGCUCGAAAAUGAGGAAAAAACACGGCUCCGUGCCGAAAUUACAUACAUGUUCAGGCCCCGACAGCCGCAAUGAACAAAAAACACUGACAUUCGAGAUGCCACUACGAACGGAACUCCGGUUCCCACCUCCGCAGGUACGAACAACCCCCCUCCGAGGGGGAAGGCCUGCGGAAUAACUGAAGAACGAUGGGCGGCUCGCUGCCGCCCGUUCCAACACGCUCCAAGGCCCUCCCCUGCGACUCGGGGGCUGGGUCCCGCAUGUCAUGCAAGCCGGCUCAGGGCAGAAGAAGCCAAACCGCCGCGCGUGGUGCGCACGACCGUCCAGCGGUUACAGGCGACCCCCCAUUUUUCGCCCAGACCAACGGGCAGAAGGGGCGGGCAGCCAUGCAGGCGGCAUGCAACCGCGCCAGGUGGACGCGCUUCUCCGACUUCUGACACGCCAGCUUGGGAACCCAGGCCCACGCGUCGAGCAACCGGCGCGCCAGUUGCUGCAUGCAAGCAACCACACCGCAAUUUGUGCCACCAUCGCGCCUCUUCGGUUGCGAAGCCUAUGCCACGACUCGAGGCGACCCAACAGCGCCAGACUGGCGCGUCGGUCAAAGCGACCGAAAGUGGGCCGGCAGUAAUAGCGGUGGCAGGCGGGCGGGCGCAGCGGUCACGUCGUCAGCCAGGCUCACGUCCCGUCCUGGGACAGCAAGAGAGCCUCCUCUCAAGGCGUGGAGACGGUGCACCCGUAGCCCGUUCCUCGAACGGAUCGCACGCGCGCAACGGCCGCCCCACCAACCACUCGCCCCGUCGCAUUAACUCCGCGGCGGGACACGCGGCGCCUCUGGCAGGAGGAGCGCGCGACGCUUCACCUUCGCCGUAAUGACCGCGUCAGAAAAGGUACGCCACGUCGUCCGAUUUCGUAUCCUUUUCCGUUUUCCUCUUUCUCUAUCUCUUGCAACAGGGACCGGGAAAGGGGGAUACCUCGAAAGGGAUCCUUCUCCGCGAAGGAACCGGGCUCCGAGCCCCCCAUUACUGAUCAGGGGUUCGAAGGCUGGCCCUUCGAAGGGUUCAACAGUCGCCUCAGAUCGCGUGGGCCCGACACCCACUACUGGUCAGGGGUUCGAAGGCCAGCCCCCCGAAGGGCUCCAUGGCCGCCUCAGGCUACUCGGGCUCCGCGCCCAUUACUGAUCAGGGGUUCGAAGGCUGGCCCCCGAAGGGUUCACAGUCGCCUCAGACACCGAGCGAGGGAUGACCAGGGGUACGUUCGAUACAUAACCAAGGCUCGGGCUGCGCUCCCGAGGUACCCUAGGACAUUUCCGAGACCAGCGGGAACGAUCUUGUAACGGAAUCCCAUCGGAGGGAGGCAUCGAGCCCUCGGACCCCGUCGCCAGGGGACCGGGUCCGGCAAAUCACCCGCAGGUACUUUUGGGCGUGCCUCUGGGCCCCUAGCCGACCCCCAACGAACGGGGCACGGGCGUCCACUCGGAUUACCCGCUUGCAGCUCACCGGAGACACCAUGUUCGGUGCCCAUCGAGGGUAACAUGGCGCACUCCCCCCCUCCUCCUUGCGGAAAGGCGACGCAGGGGCGUAUGUAAAAAGUCGAGUCUGUCCCUGAUCGUCCUCUCGCCCUGUGCAGAGGCUCGGGGGCUGCUCUCGCAAAAACCGGCUCCGGCCAAAUCGUUGACAGCGUCAACAUACCAGCCCGAGAGCUUGGGCCCCGACCGUGCACCCGGGCUACGGCCAGUUCGCAUGAGGGAACGACCAGACCAGCCGAAGCGUUAAGCGAAGUAUUAAGACCUCGAAGGAGUGUAACCACUCCUCCGAGGCCUCGGGGGCUACACCCGGCGGGUGCGCUCGCGCGCACCCACCGGAACGAAAUGCAACCGAGAAAGGCUGGUCCCCUUGCAAAAAAGUGCGACAAAAAGCCUCCAAGCGAGUGCUAACACUCCCUUCGAGGCUCGGGGGCUACUGUCGGGGACCAUAAUUAGGGGUACCCUCAAGACGCCUAAUUCUCAGCUGGUAACCCCCAUCAGCAUAAAGCUGCAAAGGCCUGAUGGGUACGAUUAAGUCAGGGAUCAGUCCACACGAGUGACUCGAUCACGCUUCACCCGAGCCUAGCCUCGGCCAAGGGCAGCCGACCUCGAGAGACUUCCGUCUCGCCCGAGGCCCCCUUUUUAUGGCGGACACAUCACCGGCUCGCCCGAGGCCUUGGCUUCGCUCAGAAGCAACCUUGACUAAAUCGCCACACCGACUGACCAAAUUGCAGGGGCAUUUAACGCAAAGGUGGCCUGACACCUUUAUCCUGACACGCGCCCCCCGGCAGAGCCGAAGUGACCGCCGUCACUCCACCGCUCCACUGGCCAGUCUGACAGAAGGACAGCGCCGCCUGCGCCACUCCGACUGCAGUGCCACUCGACAGAGUGAGUCUGACAGGCAGUCAGGCCUUGCCAAAGGCGCCACGGCGAACUCCGCUCCGCCCGACCCCAGGGCUCGGACUCGGGCUAAGACCCGGAAGACGGCGAACUCCGCUCCGCCCGACCCCAGGGCUCGGACUCGGGCUAAGACCCGGAAGACGGCGAACUUCGCUUCGCCCAACCCCAGGGCUCGGACUCGGGCUAACACCCGGAAGACGACGAAACUCCGCUUCACCCGACCCCAGGGCUCGGACUCCGCCCUGGCCUCGGCCGAACGACUUCCGCCUCGCCCGACCCCUUGGCUCGGGCUCGGCCACGGCAACAAAAGGCAGACUCAACCUCGGCUUCGGAGGAACCCCCACGUCGCCCUGCCUAGGGCACAGACCGCCACGUCAACAGGAGGCGCCAUCAUCAUCCUACCCCGAAUCGACUCGGGUCACGAAGAACAAGACCGGCGUCUCAUCCGGCCAGCUCCGCCGGAGGGGCAAUGAUGGCGCUCCACAAGCUCUAUGACGACGGUGGCCCCCAGCUCUCUUACGGAAGCAGGACGACGUCAGCAGGGACUCGACCGCUCCAACAGCUGUCCCUCCACCAGGCUCCGCCGCACCUCCGACAGCCACGACAUCACGCCAGCAGGGUGCCCAGAUCUCUCCGGCUGCCACAUUGGCAUGUACCUAGGGCGCUAGCUCUCCCACCGCUAGACACGUAGCACUCUGCUACACCCCCCAUUGUACACCUGGAUCCUCUCCUUACGACUAUAAAAGGAAGGACCAGGGCCUUCUCAGAGGAGGUUGGCCGCGCGGGACCGAGGACGGGACAGGCGCUCUCUUGGGGCCGCUCGCUUCCCUCACCCGCGUGGACGCUUGUAACCCCCCUACUGCAAGCGCACCUGACCUGGGCGCGGGACGAACACGAAGGCCGCGGGACUUCCACCUCUCUCACGCUCGACUCCGACCGCCUCGCCUCUCCCCCCUACGCGCUCGCCCACGCGCUCGACCCAUCUGGGCUGGGGCACGCAGCACACUCACUCGUCGGCUUAGGGACCCCCCUGUCUCGAAACGCCGACAAAACAAAAGUCUUUUAUAAUCAGAGAUUAAAUAAAGUACCCUCAUAUAACUUAAACCAACCUUUGAUGAAUAAUAUGAUUUGAGAUAUCCUCCAAAAGAAUUAAGUUAAAAAAAUAACUUAAUAAAUAUUAUACACUAGAAAAUCCUCUCUCUUAAAUAAAUAUGAACAUAAUUUUAUAUUGACAUACAUUCAAGAGUAAUAAAGAUUCUGUAAUAUGUAUUGUGAAUUUGGGCAUUUCACAUUUGCUCCAAUAAUUGAAUAAAAUAAAUAAUAUAAAUAAAGUUGCAUUCCAUGCUGGUAUUUAUUUGUUUGUGAUGCAUUUAAGUGGAAUGAGGAAUACUAGUUUAAAUUUGAAUUCAAGAUUUUAAGUUAAAAAUGUAAAACAGAAAAUAAGUAAAGAAAAAAAAAGAAAAGGGCUCCUACCUGCGCCUGGGCCGAAUCCCUCUUGCGGCCCACUUCUCCACUACGCCCGCUCGGCCCAUUUAAAGCGCCCCCUCUGGUUCAUGCCUUCCGCCUGGUGGGACUCACGGGCCAGCGUGCCAACCUGUCAUGGACGCUGAUCUGAGUGUAUGACGUGUGGUACCCUAAGGUCAGCUCCAUCCCCACCAACAGAACCACCAAAAUCCGGGGCCGCCAUCAUCCGGUGCGAUCUGCUAUCCGGGCGCCACCGAUCUUCCCUCUCUUUUGUAUAAAAGAUGGACAUGCACUCUUCCCUUUCCUCCCCGACCCAACCCAACUACACGUAGUUGCCGUUGGCAUGGGAGGGAGUGCAGAGGUGGGAGCCGCCGCAUGGAGGUAGCCGCCAUGGUCGUUGCGGGCGCACACCGACGAUUAUGCCUUGGCUUGCGGCUGGGGAGCUUCAGGGAAACAUGUAGAAUACUGGUGAGGCCUUGCGGAGUUGGGUGAAGUUACGAAUCACGGGAGAUUGCUCGCCGGAGCGAAACCUUCACCUCGAUGUCGCAGCGCUCCGGGAGCGGAGCUCGUCGCAAAACCAACACGAGUAAGGAUCCACUUGUUGUGUUCGCCAUGUCACGGACAUCAUUUUGCAGCAGUUCCUUCAUAGUUUGGGGCAGUGGGGCUUCGGUCUAUUGUGUGCCGGCGGUGCGCCUCCAUGGGACCGCGCGUGCCGCUGCCUCGCGCGGCUGUUGGGAGAAGAAGACACGGGGCCGUGGAUCCAUUGAUGGGCGACCCAUAUUAGUUUGAGCAUACCUCUUCUGUUGGAGCAAUCCAAGUCGUUGGAUUGGCUGUGAAUGGUAGGAUUAGAUCUAGAUUAAUAAGAUCCUGAACCUUGGAUUUAGAUCUGACGGGUAGUAUCGCGUAUCAAUUCAUCGUUUAAUCUGGGCUGUCGGUUAACGAUCGGGUGGCCGUUAUAACGUACUAAUUCGUGGGUGUGGUGCUGGAUCUAAUCCAGACCACUAGAUGUAGAUUCAAUGGCCCGAAUCUCUCUGUACCCCUUCGGCCGUGGCAAUUUGUAGAUAUGACCCUGGGGUUUUACAAAACUAACCCGCAGUACAUAGGGUCAUCAAAAUUAAUAUAGAAAAUAGUUUUUAGUAUAAAAAUAAUUUCAGAAGCUUGUUUAAUUCAUAUUUAAUUCAUUUUAACUCCUUUUUGAUCCAUUCCAGUUGCAUUAAAUUCAUAUUAAUAUUGUUUAUCAUCUGGUAACUUUAUUUUGUUAUGAAACAUAGGAUAAAAUUAUACACUUAAUUGUUUUAUUAUCUACCACCUGAAUCUUCAGAAAAUCAUAACUCCGAUUUUAGUGGUUCUCGAACCUACGAUCUCGUUACAACGCGUAGAUCAUUAUUAUGCGUUAUGUUCUUAUGUUUGGUGUAAUGUUAACUCUUGCCUAUACCAUGUUUGUUUGUAUUUCUACGACUAGAAGCGAGGUUACGAGAAUCUUGAAGACCAAGCUGGUACCUGGAAAUCUUGAUUCUCAGGCAAGUUGUGCCCUUGAUCACUUUUUCUUUACCUAAUAAUGUUCUUGUUAAUCAUUGUGACAUGCUUAGGUUAAUCUGAUGGGACCUAAUAGGUUUCCCUAGACUUGUUUAUCACACACCUUGUUUACCACUGAACUUUUGGGUAGUUUUCCUAUUGCUCUACGUAGUUUUGGGAUUAAUAUAACAUUAUGAUCAUGUUCCAGUUAUACUAUUGUUUAAUUGUUGUUCAUGACAAGAUCAUUGUGUUAAUUGGAACAUGGAGCUUAACUUGAGAUCCAUGCUACCACAAGGGUGGAAUGGGACACCCUUGGCUAACUAAUUAGGAAAGCUAGUGGAGGACUACCUUACCCGAAAGGGGCAAGGGCAGUAGGGGAGUUGUCGGUAUAGGGAGGUUUUUGAGUCGAUCAUGCUGCGAUGGCUUUUCGAACGGGGGAUUCCUAUAUUGCGCUCCCUAGAAACUGUAGCGGGUUUUCUGAAGCUAGUGGAACUUUGUAAAGGCCUCGUAGUGGAUCCCUAGCCAUUCACCUCAGAAGUGUCUAAGGGUCUAGCUAACCCUGGCUAGACGGGAUACACGACUUGUGGGUAAAGGGUGCUGAAAGGAUCACGAUGCCCAAGAGGGGGGGUGAAUUGGGAUUUUCUAAAAAUCAACGCUAAUUAAAAGCUAAGCAAGAGUUAAGCAAGAGCCCAACUUCACCCCAACAACUAGCACUAAGAUAAUAAUACUAGAAAUACAAUAAUGCUAAGACAAUACUUCAAAUACUUGCUAAACAAAUACACAAUGAAAAGUGCUUGAAUUAAGUGCGGAAUGUAAAGCAAAGUUUAGAAGACUCCUCCAAUUUUUCCCGAGGUUUCGAAGAGUCGGUACUCUCCACUAGUCCUCGUUGGAGCACCCGCGCAAGGGUAUCGCUCCCCCUUGGUCCUCGCAAGAACCAAGUGCUCACUACGAGAUGAUCCUUUGCCACUCCUGCGCGGUGGAUCUCUCGAGACCGCUUACAAACUUGAGUCGGGUCACCAACAAGAUCUUCACAGUGAUCACUGAGCUCCCAACACCACCAAGCCAUCUAGGUGAUGCCGAUCACCAAGAGUAACAAGCCGUAGACUUCGCUUGACCAAGAGAAGCCUAAUGCAAGUGGUGUGUGCUCUAGGUGGCUCUCGCUAGCGCUAAUGAGGACCAAACGCGGAUUAAGAUUCUCUAAUCUCCUCACUAGGCUUUUGGUGCUUGCAAUGCUCUAGCAAUGUGCUGGAAUAAAUGUGGAGUGCAAGACAUUGAAUAUGGUGGGUGGAAGGGGUAUAAAUAGCCCUCACCCACCAACUAGCCGUUACAGGCAUCUCACUGCGCAAUGGCGCACCGGACAGUCCGGUGCGCCACCGGUGCGCCAACGGUCGUUUCCAACGGCUAGUUCUGACAGUUAGCCGUUGGACUCAAGGCACACCGGACAGUGAACAGUCACUGUCCGGUGCACACCAGACAGUCCGGUGCGAUGUCCGGUGCGCCACUAAAAUUCAACUCUGAAACCUGCGCUCUCGGGUUUCUGCGCGGAGAGGGAUCUUCCCCGGGCCAGCCUGGCCCCACCUGGCAGAGGGUGCACCGGACAGUCCGGUGCCCCAGGGCCAGAAACCCUACUUCAUGUUUUUCAGCUAUUUUUCAAAUCGGUUUUCGUUCUAACUUGUGAGUGAGUUCUAGAGUGACACCUAGCACUGUAUGUGAGUGUGCACCAACACUACACUAGAACUCUCUUGGUCAAACUACUCAUCGACAACCCCUCUUUAUAGUACGGCUAAAAGAGAAUAAAAGACCUAACUAAAUCGCGAGUGUCCACAUCUCCUUGACACUCGGACUCCGUAGACCUUCACCUUUUGUUUCGUCGUUUUAGCCGUCGCUUCGAGUUCUUAUCUCCGGGAUUGUUUUCACCGUUGUAGUACUUCUACCUGUCAUGCGACCUAACUUACCAUUUGUCUCUUUAAAACACACGUUAGUCACAUAUAACAUUACGUUGUCAUUAAUCAUUAAAACCAACCAGGGGCCUAGAUGCUUUCAGGUGCAACCUCUGCAAAGUGUAAAACUGGUAUAUCAGUCAUGCUCGCGGUCAUUAGCAGCUCAGGACUCUCGCAUGAUUAAUUUAUGGAACUAAACUUAAUCAGUCAUAUGCAUUGCAUCGCGGGUGUUAUUAUCAAUUGUGAACUCUUACUUAAUUGGGUUGGUAUCUACUUAUACUUAGUAACUCCUAAUAAAAUUUUGACGAACUUUAAAAGCAAUGCUCAGCUUUAACCAUCUCUUUUGGUAAGCCUUACACUUCACAUGAGCACCACCUUUGGUGAGUUCAUGCACAUUAUUCCCCACAACUUGUUGAGCGAUGAACGAAUGUGAGCUCACCCUUGCUAUACUCACAUCCCCUAGGUCAAGAACAGGUACCACUGGUUGAGGCGUAUGAAGGAUGCGGUGAUGAGUUCGUGAGUGGUCUAGGUUGUCGUCUCCCAGUCAACUAUGGUUGCUAGAUCAUUGUCUACAUAUGAUGUAAUUAUUUAGCUAUUUUGUACAGAACUUCUAUUAUAUAGUAAAGAUGUGACAUUCGUUUCUGUACCAUGAGUCAUCAUAUGUGUGAGACUUGGUCCCAGCACACAUGGUGAUUAUUUUCGCGCCUGGGUUUUGGUGCCACUAGAACCCGGGUGUGAUAGAAGUGGUAUCAGAGGCAUGUUGAGUGUAGGACAAAACCUAGAUAGAACUAGACAACCCUUACCUACUUACCUUUGCUACUCUGAUUCUUUCUAAACUUUUCUUAAUCUUUUCUCAUCUACUGUUGCGUUACUCUAAUUACUCUUACCUUUUCACUUCUAAAGACAAAAGCGGAUUUCACACUUUGAAAUCCUAUAACUAAAAGUGACUUUUAGGAAUAGGAAACCUAAUCUUAGGAACCAAAUGAAAACUAUUUUUUGUAAGUAUUUAUAUGCUUUAAUGUUUGUUCUUAUGAUAAAUGCUUGAUUCGGUUCUUUGAUUGAGUGUGAUGGGUUGUGGAGUAAUAUCCAUAGUUGCAUCUACAUAUGCAUAUAAGUAUAAAAAAUAUACUCAUGAGAUAACUAGACAACCUAGAUUAUCUCCCAUUAAAAUAUAUCUAGUAUCACAUAUCUAUCUUAUCUUAGCAGGUUCUAUCUUAUCCCUAUAAAUUCAUCUUGUUCUAAUAAACAUACUUAUCCCACCCUAAAGUAACCACUGUGAUCUAAUCCAAAUUAAUUAGACCUCAUCUAAUCUAAACUAACCUAGUUUAGUUGAACCUAGCCCAAUCCAUAUGAUCUAAUUUGGUUAAUCUGAUCUAAUCAAAAGUGAGUUACUUAAACAAGUUAGUUAAUAUUGGUGAAAUAGAUUAAACCAUAUUCCUGUAAACGUGUUUUAACCUACACAUUCUUCAUAGAUUGCCUAAUCUAUCUAUUAAAAAAAAGGGAAAAAUGAUUCUAAUCUACCAGCCUGACCUACAUGUUUCUAAUGAUCUAUUAACUUAGUUCACUUUGAACUAAAUUAAGAAGAACAGACCAACUCGGCCUUAUGCAACUACCUUAACCAUUCGAUAGUUGCAUAACCCCUCUGUUUUAACCUAACAGAGAUUUUGACCUACCUACACCAUAUGAUCCAUCCUAUCUCAAAAGAUUCUAACAUAUCCUAAUAAUAGUUAUCCUACCCUAGUAGAUCUAUCUAACCUAAACUAGUCUAAUCUAGUCAUAUCCAAUCUAAGCUAGAUCCUAUCUAAUCCAAUAUGAUCUAAUCUAGUGUGAGUUACUUAAUGCUGGUACAAAGGAUAAGGCCAUACUCCUAAUUCACUUAAGCCUAAAUUGGUGACUUAGAUCAACUCGACCAUACAACUUGACCUACAUAACAGGGUACAUAACUUAUCCAACCAAUCUAGAAGCAAACAACCAAACUAAAUUCUAACUAAUCUCAUUUAACUUAUAGCUACCUACUAAACCUUUUGUCCCUAACCCGGAUGAAGACACCAAGGUCUGAAAAGAAGGAAGAGAAGAUCGACCUUGACAAGGAAGGAUGUAACAAUCAAAGCGAAUCUCGAGAUGAAUCAAGACUUAAACAUUUCGGAUGAAGUAUUUUUCCUUGCCAUAAUCUUUCUUACCUUAACCUGUCCAGCUUAUAUCCUACAUAAUAGGUGGCUAGAUACCUAUACUAUCCUAAUCACCCAUUAAUAAUUAUUAUAGAAAUGGGGGACUCUUGAUUUGAACUAAUUAGAAACUAAAAGCAAAAUUAAAAACCAUUCUUUCUACAUCACUUUUCUUAAUAAUCUCAAGGACGAGAUUAUUUUUAGGGGGGUAGAAUUUGUAAAGCCCCAAAAAUCUACUUCGAGAUCUAGGAGAUAGUAUUCCAAGAUUUAAACAAAAGUCUUUUAUAAUCAGAGAUUAAAUAAAGUACCCUCAUAUAACUCAAACCAACCUUUGAUGAAUAAUAUGAUUUGAGAUAUCCUCCAAAAGAAUUAAGUUAAAAAAAUAACUUAAUAAAUAUUAUACACUAGAAAAUCCUCUCUCUUAAAUAAAUAUGAACAUAAUUUUAUAUUGACAUACAUUCAAGAGUAAUAAAGAUUCUGUAAUAUGUAUUGUGUAUUUGGGCAUUUCACACUUGAAUCAUUUGCUCCAAUAAUUGAAUAAAAUAAAUAAUAUAAAUAAAGUUGCAUUCCAUGCUGGUAUUUAUUUGUUUGUGAUGCAUUUAAGUGGAAUGAGGAAUACUAGUUUAAAUUUGAAUUCAAGAUUUUAAGUUAAAAAUGUAAAACAGAAAAUAAGUAAAGAAAAAAAAAGAAAAGGGCUCCUACCUGUGCCUCGGCUGAAUCCCUCUUGCGGCCCACUUCUCCAUUAUGCCCGCUGGGCCCAUUUAAACGCCCCUCUGGUUCAUGCCUUCUACCUGGAGGGACCCACGGGCUAGUGUGCCAACCUAUCAUGGACGCUGAUCCGAGUGUAUGACGUGUGACAGUGAGAUGCAGACGCCAGUAUGCUGCAUUCAGAGUUUCAGUUUCAGAGUCUUUAAUCAUUCUUUGUUUCAGUUUCGUCAGGUUUUUUCAAUAUCUAGUCAGCUUGGUUGAGUCGUAGUUAGUCAGUGACUAACCUUGUAAUUAGGGAGUCUGCUAGCAUCAUGGACGUGGUCAAGGAUGAUCCAUGCGUCACGUUCGCCGUGGGAUGGCACGGAGCUCACGAACGUGGAGCGGUCAUGCGUCGUGCGCGAGGAAAUCUCGCAGCACUCUUUCUGUUCGUUUGGUAUGAAUACAGAGUCAAAAAAAAACUGUGGCCUAACCGCACCAAAAAGGAUCUCGUGUAUUCCAGCCUUCGCGUUUGUGUCUUGUGUGCGUCGACGUUCUCAACUCCGGCAACACCUUGUCGGACUUAGUCGGAAUAAUUGGUAUCGGAGCCAGAUUGCCCGACCUUGGAGGCUGAACCAUGUCGGCCCAUGGUCGACGCGACGAUGCAGACGGAGGAAGACGGAGGAGAUCGCUGUCGCCGGUUUUCCCGCGGGGACGGCGCGGCGGCAGGGAAGUCGUCAUCGAGCGGAUCAUCGAGAGGAGCUCCACGACAGCGACCUACCCCAUGCUGUCGAAGACGAACUACGCCGAGUGGUCCCUUGUGAUGCAGGUGAACUUGCAGGCCCAAGGUCUCUGGGAGGCCAUGGAACCGGGGACGGACAACUUCAGAGACGACCGCAACGCUCUCGCGGCCCUCCUCCGAGCAGUGCCGCCGGAGAUGCAGGCGGGCUUGGCUCGCAAGGCGUCCGCAGCGGAGGCGUGGGACUCGAUCAAAUCAGUCCGAGUUGGGGCUGAGCGCGUCAAGGAGGCGAACGCCGACCGGCUGCGGAGGGAGUUCACUGGCCUGUCGUUCAGGCCGGGUGAAUCGGUCGAGGACUUCGCCGGAAGGGCCUCCACGCUCGCAAAUCAGUUGCGAGUGGUCGGUGAUGACAUCGCCGAGAAGGAGGUAGUGAAGAAGGUGUUGCAUUCUGUUCCUGACAACCUUGAACAGAUUGCGCUGUCCAUUGAGACUCUACUGGACUUGAACGACACCACGGUGGAGGAGGUGACCGGACGUCUCCGGGCGGUGGAGCAGCGCAAGAUGGCGGCUGCAACGACUACCAAAGAAGGCAGCGGUAGCUUACUCCUCACCGAGGAGGAAUGGCUGGCGCGAUUCAAGUCAACUGAUGAAGGAAGCCGAACAGGCUCGAGCUCUGGCGCGAAGCAGUCCUCUGGACGCGGCCGUGGCCGCGGCCGUGGUCGAUCGCGUGGCGGAGGCCACGGCGGUGGCCGUGCACGCAGGGACGACGAGUGCCACAAUUGUGGCAAGCUGGGCCACUGGGCUCGUGACUGUCGAGGGAAGAAGAAAGUCGAGCAGGCGCAUACGACUCAGGCAGAGGAAGAUGCAGAUGCAGACCUGUUGAUGAUCACGGCGAACACAGCCGUGACGAAGCCCAAGACGGAGAUCCACCUCGACGAAGGCAAGCUCUUCGUUCAUCUCGGGGAAGGGAGCAAUGAUGACUCCACGAGGUGGGUCCUCGACACCGGAGCAACGAAUCAUAUGACGAGCUCGAAGGAAGCCUUCUCCGACAUCGACGCCGGUGUUCAGGGCACCGUCAAGUUCGGCGACGGAUCAGUCGUCGCAAUCGAAGGGCGCGGGACGGUUCUUCUCAACUGCAAGAACGGCGAACAUCAGGCGCUCACGGGCGUCUACCACAUUCCGCGGCUCACGACCAAUAUCGUGAGUCUCGGACAGUUGGAGGAGGAUGGAUUCAAGAUCCUCCUGCUGAAUGGCUUUCUGAAGGUGUGGGAUCGGCGCCGACGACUGCUUGCAAAAGUGCCGAGGGCAGCGAACCGGCUCUACGUGCUGACGGUCGACAUCGGCAAGCCGGUUUGUUUGGCGGCGCAGGGAAAUGAUGCAGCAUGGCGGUGGCAUGCAAGGUUCGGCCACCUCAACUUUAGAUCGCUGCGGAGGUUGUCGCAGCAAGAGAUGGUAAGGGGGUUGCCGUCACUUGAUCAUAUCGAUCAGGUGUGCGACAGCUGCUUGGCAGGGAAGCAGCAAAGACGGUCGUUCCCGACUGAAGCAAAAUUCCGCGCAAAGAACAAGCUAGAGCUUGUCCACGCUGAUCUGUGCGGGCCGAUCGCACCAAUUACACCAAGUGGCAACAGAUUUUUCUUACUGUUGGUUGAUGAUUUCAGUCGCUACAUGUGGCUGAUCUUGCUGAGUUCUAAAGAUCAGGCGGCGGAGUCGAUCAUCAGGCUUCUUGGCGGCGUGGAGACGCAGGCCGGGCGGAGGCUGGGGACUCUGCGCACCGAUCGCGGUGGCGAGUUCACGGCAAGGAGCUUCGCCGACUACUGCGCCGCGCAAGGCAUCGCCAGGCAUCUCACCGCGUCGUACUCUCCUCAGCAAAACGGCGUGGUGGAACGCCGCAACCAGACCGUCAUGGGAACAGCGAGGAGUAUGAUGAAGGCGAUGCGAAUGCCAAGCUGGUUUUGGGGGGAGGCCGUAACCACGGCUGUCUUCCUCCUAAACCGCGCGCCCACGCAAAGUGUAGAAGGAAGGACGCCGUUUGAGGUAUGGCAUGACGCCAAGCCACCUGUUCAUUUUCUUCGGACAUUUGGUUGUGUAGCACAUGUGAAGACGGUCGGCAAGUAUCUGUCCAAGCUCGAGGACAGGAGUGUGCCCAUGGUGUUUGUGGGGUAUGAAAUCGGGACCAAGGGGUACCGAUUCUAUAACCCAACAACACAGCGUGUUCUUGUCUCGCGUGACGCCGUGUUCGAGGAGGAACGCGCGUGGGACUGGACUGCUGAACACCCAAGCGCGCUGGAGGAUGCCUUUGAGCCAUUUCGUGUCGAACACGACGUGGCUGCAGUAGCAGGAGGCGUACUGGAAGGGACAGCUUCACCGACGACGCCGAAUGCGGCGUUGGCGACGCCACCUUCGCUGUCGGCGACCUCGACGUCGAGGACAUCAACACCCACGUGCGGGUCAGCAUCCCGCACACCUCAGGCACCGGGGUCUGGCUCAGGCGCCCGAUCUGCAUCACUGCCGGAGGUUGAUGACAACCUGGACGUUGACCCCAACCACGCUCCUCUUCGUUAUCGAUCCAUCACUGAUAUCAUGGGGCAAGAACCAGCACCUGGACUUGUUGAACAGGCGUCAGAUCAAGAGCUACUGAUGGCAACUGGGAAUGAACCACUCACUGCAGAGGAGGCAAUGAGUAGUGAGCAAUGGCGAACAGCAAUGUUGGAAGAGAUGGCGUCCAUAGAACACAAUAAGACCUGGACAUUGGUGAACCUUCCAGCAGGACAGAGAGCAAUUGGUCUCAAAUGGGUGUUCAAAAUCAAGCACAAUGAGCAUGGGGACGUCACCAAGUACAAAGCGCGUCUGGUUGCCAAGGGCUAUGUACAGAAGAAGGGCAUCGACUUUGAAGAAGUGUUCGCGCCGGUGGCGCGGAUGGAGUCAGUGAGACUCAUGUUGGCUGUGGCUGCACAUCGAGGUUGGUCAGUACAUCACAUGGAUGUGAAAUCGGCUUUCCUCAACGGGGAAUUGGAAGAGGAAGUUUAUGUCUCACAGCCACCAGGCUUUGUGGCUGCAGAACACAAGAACAAGGUGCUGAAGUUGCACAGAGCUCUUUAUGGGCUUCGUCAGGCUCCACGAGCAUGGAACUCAAAGUUGGAUACAAGCCUACUGCAAUUGGGAUUUGCAAGAAGCAGGAAUGAACAUGGCUUGUACACAAGAGACACUCAACAGUCCAGAUUGGUGGUGGGGAUUUAUGUUGAUGAUCUCAUCAUUACGGGGGAGUCAACUGAAGCAAUUGAUGUCUUCAAGCAAGAAAUGAAAUCACUAUUCAGAAUGAGUGAUUUGGGUGGACUCACCUAUUAUCUUGGUAUAGAAGUGAGACAGGAACCAAACUGCAUCAGGCUAUCCCAGACAUCCUAUGCUGUGAAAGUAUUGGAGAAUGCAGGACUGAGCACCUGUAACCCAAGUGAAACACCAAUGGAACCAAGGCUCAAGCUGCUGAAGGACAGUGAUUCACCUCAGGUUGAUGCAACCAAGUACAGAAGCCUGAUUGGAAGUCUGCGCUAUCUGAUGAACACAAGGCCAGAUCUCGCCUUCUCAGUUGGAUAUUUGAGUCGUUUCAUGCAGGAUCCCAGACAAGAACACUUGGUGGCUAUGAAGCGAGUUCUCAGAUACAUUGCAGGGACAGUGAACCAUGGACUUGCGUACAACAAGAUGGGUGAAGAACUAAGUCUGACUGGGUACAGUGACAGCGACCAUGGUGCAGAUGCAAAUGACGGGAAGAGCACUACAGGUGUGAUAUUUUUCCUCAACGAAUGUCCUGUCACUUGGCAAUCACAAAAGCAGCGAGUAGUUGCUCUAUCAUCUUGUGAGGCAGAGUAUAUAGCAGGAGCAGUCGGUGCUUGCCAGGGAGUUUGGCUUAAACGUUUGUUGGCCAACAUCCUGGGCACCAACUUGGCUUCACCAGUCUUGAAGAUGGAUAAUAUGUCAGCACUGGCACUGAGCAAGAAUCCGGUACUCCACGACCGGAGCAAACACAUUGAUUUGAAGUAUCACUACCUACGGGAGUGUGCUGAAAAUGGAGAAGUGUAGCUUCAGUUUGUAAGAUCAGAGGAGCAGUGUGCAGACAUCCUUACCAAGGCGUUGGGGAAAACAAAGUUCCAAGAAUUUCGAAAGAAGAUAGGAGUGGUCAGGCAUGACGGCGACUGAUCUCAGGGGGAGAAUUGACAGUGAGAUGCAGACGCCAGUAUGCUGCAUUCAGAGUUUCAGUUUCAGAGUCUUUAAUCGUUCUUUGUUUCAGUUUCGUCAGGUUUUUUCAAUAUCUAGUCAGCUUGGUUGAGUCGUAGUUAGUCAGUGACUAAGCUUGUAAUUAGGGAGUCUGCUAGCAUCAUGGACAUGGUCAAGGAUGAUCCAUGCGUCACGUUCGCCGUGGGAUGGCACGGAGCUCACGAACGUGGAGCGGUCAUGCGUCGUGCGCGAGGAAAUCUCGCAGCACUCUUUCUGUUCGUUUGGUAUGAAUACAGAGUCAAAAAAAAACUGUGGCCUAACCGCACCAAAAAGGAUCUCGUGUAUUCCAGCCUUCGCGUUUGUGUCUUGUGUGCGUCGACGUUCUCAACUCCGGCAACACCUUGUCGGACUUAGUCGGAACAACGUGUGGGUCCCUAAGGUCAGUUCCAUCUCCACCAAUAGAACCACCGAACUCCGGGGGCGCCAUCAUCCGGUGUGAUCCGCUAUCUGGGCGCCAUCGAUCUCCCCUCUCUUCUGUAUAAAAUAUGGACAAAUGCACUCUUCCCUUUCCCCCCCGACCCAACUACACGUAAUCGUCGUUGCCAUGGGAGAGAGUGUAGAGGUGGGAGCCGCCGCAUGGAGGUAGCCGCCAUGGUCGUUGCGAGCGCACACCGGUGACUAUGCCUUGGCUUGCGGCUGGGGAGCUUCGGGGAAACAUGCCAAAUAAUGGUGAGGGCUUGCAGAGUGGGGUGAAGUUACGAAUCACGGGUGAUUGCUCGCUGGAGCGAAACCUUCACCUCGAUGUCGCAGCGCUGCGGUAGCGGAGUUCGUCGCAACACCAACACGGGUAAGGACCCACAUGUUGUGUUCGCCAUGUCAUGGACAUCGUUUUGCAGCGGUUCCUUCAUAGUUUGGUGCGUUGGGGCUUCGGUCUAUUGUGCGUCGGCGGUGUGCCGCCAUGGGACCACGCGUGCCACUGCCUUGCGCGGCUGUUGGGAGAAGAAGACGCGUGACCGUGGAUCCAUUGAUGGGUGGCCCAUAUUAGUUUGAGCAUACCACAGGUAUGUAUCUAAACCUACGUACCCAUGCCGCUGUAGCACGCUGAAGGUCAAAAAGUCUGGGAUCCACAACAAGGGGUCAUACCUUAGUCUCAUCGCGCUCCCGGAAUCGAGGAGGAGGGAUAGGAGGAGCUGAAGCGGGAGCGGGAGGAGGAGCAGUGGAAGCUGGUGUAGUGGAGGUAGCGGGUAUGGCUGUGGUAGUGGAUGGCGCAACAGGGGUGACGGGAGCAGGCAGAGUGGGUGGUGGUGUGGAAGCAGUGGUGUGAGUGGAGGAGCGAGGCCGGGAGGCGAGACGACGAACACUGUAUGCAAUCUGAUCUGACGGAGUAUGUGGCUGAUCUCCAAGCCCGGCCUGCGCAGCGGCUGCUGCCGCUGCACGAGGUGCUCGGUCCGUACGCCGCUUCUUGCGGCCUUCCUACUGCUCCAAGUAAACUGUCUUGCCCUUGACCUGCCUGAAGGGGCGACGAGGAUCCUCAUCAUCGCCUCCCCCUGGCGCCGACACAUCCUUCGUGCGCGGCAUCCUGAACUGAUGACUGCAAAUGAGAGAGAGAGACUAAGCACAGAUCGAUAAUAUCCGAUAGAAAAGCAAAGGAUGAGAUGACUACGUGGAAAGCUCACACAAGAGGUGACGAUCCAGGCAGGACAGGAGACGGCACACGGGCAAUCAAGGUCACUGAAAUGACAGAAGAGGUGAGCACGUAUUAGUCACAUAGUCAUAAGUAUAUGAAAUGUGAAUAAAUACAUACACAGAGAAAUAUGGCACAGAAAACAAGAGAUGAGACGAUCGAGAGGUCAAACGACGUGAAAACGACGUUUGAACGAUAAACAGUGCCAUAGAAGGUUUGGAAUUUGAAUUGAGGCACGAAACGACAUGGAAUUGAGCCGAUACUUCACGAAUAGGUUUAUAUAGGUGAAUAUGAGUGAAGUGUGUGCUUGGUUUGAAUUUAGGCGAAGAAAAAGAGAUUUGGGCACUUGGCUCGGAAACGAUCACUCGAAACGGGGAAUUUGGUGAAAUUAAAGCCUGGAAUCUCGGAUUGGCGUGAAAUUUGGCAAAUAUGUUACUGGAAGUGUUGUAAAGGUGCCUGAAAAAUUUGGGUUCAAUUGGAGCAUUUUUGGCUGGUUUGGGCAUUUCACCAAACACGUGGUGGGCGGAGUUUUAGGGUUUCGGGGAAAUGGCUAUUUGAGGUGGGAAAACCCUCCCGAAGGAGCUAGGAACCUGCAAGGAUACUCAAGGCACACAGAGAAACACAUAUGACCACUUGGUUUCACUGGAUUUCACAGGAAAUUGGAAUUGGCACACAAAGGGUGGUGCACUGCCUCACUGUCUAAAGAAAUAGAGAGAGAGAAGACAGAGGGAGAAGGUUCAUGGCAGCUCACUAGAGGAGGGAAAGGGAGAAGCACUGGCGUUGGUGAUCGCCGGAGAGAUCACCACUGGCAGGAGAUCGCCGGAGGGGGGGUCUGAUCGCCAGAAACCGAGAGCGAGGCUGGCCAGAGAGGAGAUGAAAUGAGCCUGGCCUCAGGCUCAGGCAGAGAAGUUUUUUUUUAAAAACCGAGUAUGGGCGCACCGGACAGUCUACAGUGCCUGUCCGGUGCACACCGGACAGCACAGAGUAGCUGUCCGGUGAACCACCGGACAGCGCACAGGAGAAUGGAGUUUCAGCGCGCGGCAGCCGGUGCACCGGACAUUGCACAGUGCAGUGUCCGGUGCACACCGGACUGUCCGGUGAGCCCAGAGAGAGGGAAAAUUUGAUUUUUUUUGAAAUUUUCUAUCUAGUUCCCAACCAAACCAAAUCCCAACUUAUAAACACACAAAAUAACACUUGUUGGGACAGGUAUUGGCACCCUCAUAUAUUUUCUCAUAAUUUUCAAAAUAUUUUGCCAUAGGCUAGAUAAUUUUUAGAGAAAAUAGGCAAAUGGUGAAAUUUGCAUUUUGGCUUGCACUAGGGGUUUUCAUGAGUGAUUUGAGUUUUGAAUACUCCCCCUAAGUGCAGUACCUCAUGCAUAUUUCAAGAACCAACAAUUGCAUAAAAAGUAAGAAUUUAAGUGCUAAAAGCUUAAAACUAAGACUUGUCAAGUUUGAUCCGAGUUAAGCUUUUUCACUCGCUUUGUUGGCGGUUAUCUCAACUAGGUUAGACAAGCCCUAGAUGCAAUACAAGAAAUUUAAACAUGCAAUGCAAGCUUGACAACACCAUUUGACAUUUUACAUAAAAUUUCUGAGAUCAAGAAUAUUUAGUUCAUUCCUCAACAUGCAAAAGCGGGUCUUAUCAAGUGGCCUAGUGAAAAUAUCCGCUAAUUGAUCUUCCGACCUCACUCCUUCUAAAAUGAUAUCUCCUUUAGCAACAUGAUCUCUAAGGAAGUGAUGACGGAUAUCAAUGUGCUUGGUGCGAGAGUGUUGUACAGGGUUAUUAGCAAUUUUAACAGCACUCUCAUUAUCACACAACAAAGGUACCUUUUCUAGAACUACGCCAUAGUCUAGAAGAAUUUGUUUCAUAUAUAAAAUUUGUGUGCAACAGGCACCUGCGGCAAUGUAUUCCGCUUCGGCAGUUGACAAGGCAACACUGUUUUGCUUUUUGGAUGUCCAUGAAACUAGUGAUCUACCAAGCAGAUGGCAUCCCCCAGAAGUACUUUUCCUAUCAAUUUUGCAACCGGCAUAAUCCGAAUCGGAAUAGCCAAUUAAAUCAAAAGUAGCUCCUUUGGGAUACCACAGACCAACGCUUGUGGUGUGCCUGAGAUAGCUAAGAAUUCUCUUAACAGCACGAAGAUGAGCUUUCUUAGGAUUAGAUUGAAAUCUAGCACACAUGCAGACACUAAACAUAAUAUCGGGCCUAGAUGCGGUAAGGUACAAUAAACUACCAAUCAUAGAACGGUAGAGAGUUUGAUUAACCGGGUUACCUCCCUCAUUUAAGUCGAGAUGUCCAUUUGUAGGCAUGGGGGUUUUGAUUGGUUUGCACUUCUCCAUGUUGAACCUUUUCAACAAGUCUUUGGUAUACUUCUCUUGUGAGAGAAAGUUACCAUCUUUCAUUUGCUUGACUUGAAAGCCGAGGAAGUACGUUAGCUCACCAAUCAUUGACAUCUCGAACUCCUUCGACAUCAACUCACCAAAUUCCUUGCAAUGAUAGUCAUUUGUCGAGCCAAAGAUUAUAUCAUCAGCAUAUACUUGACAAAUGAAAAUAUCACCGUUAUGUUUCUUUGUGAAUAGAGUUGUGUCGACGGUCCCGAUCUUGAAGCCCUUUUCGAUGAGGAAGUCGCGAAGGCGCUCAUACCAAGCCCUUGGAGCUUGCUUUAGCCCAUAUAGCGCCUUGGACAACCUGUAAGCAUGAUUAGGAUAUCUAGGGUCUUCAAAUCCAGGCAGUUGCUCAACAUAUACAAGUUCAUUUAUGAAGCCAUUUAAAAUGCACUUUCUACAUCCAUUUGAUAAAGUUUUAUAUCAUAGCAUGAUGCAUAUGCAAGUAGGAUACAGAUGGCUUCUAGUCGAGCAACCGGUGCAAAGGUCUCUCCAAAAUCUAAGCCUUCAACUUGAGAGAAUCCCUUUGCAACAAGUCUUGCCUUGUUUCUUACAAUCACACCUUGAUCAUCUUGUUUGUUUCUGAACACCCACUUUGUUCCAAUGAUUCUUGCAUCUUGUGGGGGCUUCUCCAGGGUCCAAACUUCGUUACGGGUGAAGUUGUUAAGUUCUUCAUGCAUGGCAUUCACCCAGUCCGGAUCCUGUAGCGCCUCAUCUAUACAAGUACGCUCAACACAAGAAACAAAGGAGUGAUGUUCAAUAAAAGAAGCAUGUCUAUGUGAUCGAGUAAUAACCCCUUGUGAAGGACUCCCGAUGAUUUGGUUUUGAGGAUGAGCUUGAAGUAGUGAUGAGUUUCUCCUGUCAACCACUUGGGAAGAAGAUCCUGGAGCAUCAACAUCUUCGGCUUGUACCGUUGCUUGUUCAUGAGAGACAAAUGUAUCUUCAUUUGCAUGCCUCUCAUCUUUUUCAUCAUCUUGUGGUACAUUUGAUGAAGAAGGCAUGUCAAUGAUUUGCACCUCUUCUUCAUCUUCUUUUGGUUUGAUAGCUCCAAUAGGCAUGUUCUUCAUUGCUUCCCUAAGUGGCUCAUCACCUACAUCAUCAAGAUUUUCAAGUGCUCCUUGGGAGCCAUUAGUCUCAUCAAAUUCCACAUCAUAUGUUUCUUCUACCACGCCAGUGGCAUGGUUGAAUACUCGAUAUGCUUUGAACUUUAAUGAAUAACCCAAAAGAAAACCAAUAUCACAAUGUCUUUGAAACUUCCCUAGGUGAUGGCGUUUCUUGUAGAUGUAGCAUUUGCACCCAAACACCCAGAAGAAGGAGACGUCUGGCUUUUUCCCAUUUAGCAGUUCAUAGGGAGUCUUCGCAAGUAGCCGGUGAGGAAAUAGCCUGUUUGAUGCAUAACAAGCAGUGUUGACAGCUUCGGCCCAAAACCUCUCCGGUGUGUUAUACUCAUCAAUCAUUGUUCUUGCAAGUGUGAUCAAGGUCCCGUUUUUCCUUUUAACAACUCCAUUUUGUUGAGGUGUGUAUGUUGCAGAUACUUCAUGCUUGAUCCCAAUUUCAUCACAGUACUCAUGAAUGUUGGUGUUGUCAAAUUCUUUGCCAUUAUCACUUCUAAUCUUCUUGAUCUUGCAAUCAAAUUCAUUUUGUGCUUUCUUGGCAAACUUCUUGAAUAUAGAUGCAACUUCUGAUUUGUCAUGGAGAAAGAACACCCAAGUGUAUCUUGAGAAGUCAUCAACAAUCACUAGACAGUAGAGGUUGCCACCGGCACUUACAUAAUUUGUAGGUCCAAAUAAAUCCAUAUGAAGUAGUUCCAGUGGCCUUGAUGUUGACAUGAAAGCUUUAGUAGGAUGUGUAUUAGCAACUUGCUUUCCAGCUUGACAUGCACUGUAUGGCUUGUCUUUUUCAAACACCACAUCCUUUAAUCCUCUAACCAUGUCUUUCUUUAAUACCUUCUUGAGUGUGCUCAUCCCAACAUGUGCAAGCCUCCUAUGCCAAAGCCAUCCAAGUGAAGCUUUGGUGAAGAGGCAAGUUCUUAAGUCUGCAUCUUCUGAAGUGAAAUCCACUAAGUAGAGGUUGUUGUAUCUAAAUCCCUUGAACACCAUUGAUUCAUCAUCCAUCUUUGUUACAAUAACCUCUAUUGGAGUGAAUAAGCAUUGAAGUCCAAGAUCACAGAGUUGACCCACUGAUAAUAAAUUGAAGCUCAAAGGUGCAACUAAGAGAACAUUUGAUAUUGAUAAAUCAUUUGAGAUUGCCACCUUGCCAAGUCCUUGCACUUUUCCUUUUGAAUUGUCUCCAAAUGUGAUUUUAUCUUGUCCAUCAACAUUCUCAUCAAGUGAGGUGAACAUCCGUGGGUUGCCUGUCAUAUGUUGUGUGCAUCCACUGUCAAUAACCCAAUGGCUCCCACCGGUCUUGUAGUUCACCUACAUCCACAGACAAUUCAAGCUUGAGUUUUGAGGGCCCUAUAUUGCAUAGGACCAGUGACUCUCUCAAUCAAGGACUUUGCAACCUAGAUUUGUCUAGGUCUACUCUUGUUUAGUGGACCUAGGAAUGUAACUUUGACCUUUCCAUUUGCAACCUUUCUUAGAACAUAAUGAGCAUUGAAAGCAAAUGGUCUUGAGUGCUUAGGCAAGGGAGUUGGUGGUUUGGCUUUGCAGUUGUGGGCAAAAUGGCCUUCAUUUCCACACUCAAAGCAUUUGAUAGGCUUGUGAGUCUGCUUUGGCUUGUAUUGAGUGGUAGCUUUCUUUUGCACAAAAGCAUUGUAUCCAAUACCACUCUUGUUGUUUUUCAUGACAGUGUUCAUAAGCAGCUCAUUUUGGAGGUAUUGACCCUUGUUGAACUUUUGCACACUUGUUGCAAGAUGUUCAUUUUCACUUUUUAGUUUCUUGACCUCAUUUUUAAGCCUUUGAUUAUCCACUGCCAACUCAUUGUUGAAAUCAUUGUUCUCAAUAGCAACCUUUCCUCUAGUAGUUGCAUUAGUCAAGUAUUUCUUCAAUUUUUGGUUGUCUAAAGUCAGGACUUCAACUUUUUCAGUCAAUUCAGCAUGUAGACUAGUUUGCUCUUCUUGACUCAAAUCAUCACAUGAGGUUGCUACAUCAAUCUUAACAACAGGGUUAAUAGCCUCAUGUGUUUUGCAAGAUAAAAGUUCAUUUUCAACAAGAAGAUUGUCAUGAUCAAAUUUAAUUUGAUUAUAGUCUUCCUUGAUUUUUACUAGUCUAUUUUGCAACUCCCUAUUAGCUUCAUUUAAUUUGUCACAUUUAUCCUUAGCAUCUUUUAGGGAGUUUGUGAGCUCAUUUACAGUUGAUGACAUAGUUUUAUUUUCUUCUUUUAUUUCAUCACUAGCUUUCAUAACUAUGUCAUAUUUGGCAUUUAAAGAUUCAUUCUCAUUUUUCAACCUAUCACAUUUAGCUUUUGACUUUCUAAUGAUCUGAGUAUAUUCUUUAAGCAAGUCAGCUAGCUCAUCAUAUGAAGGUGAAGCAAAUUCCUCAUCACUAUCACUAUCACUAUCAUCAGCAAUAUUAAUAUCAUUUUGUACCUUCCGUUCACCCCUAGCCAUGAGGCAUAGGUGAGAAGUCGAUGAUGGCGAUGGUGGUGGUGAAGAGAAGUCCCCGGCGAUGGCGGCAACUUUUUCAUCAUUCUCUUCUUCACAUGAAGAAGAUCCACUUGAUGAUUCAAUGUCGGUGAGCCAGUCACCAACAAUAUAUGCCUUUCCAUUCUUCUUCUUGUGGAACCUCUUUUGCUUCCCAUCCUUCCUCUUGAAGAAUUUCUUUUCCUUCUUUUCAUCAUCGCUGUCAUCUUCUUUCUUGCCCUUGAAUUUAUUCUUCUUGGGCUUGUUACAUUGAUGAGCAAGAUGACCGAGCUCACCACAGUUGUAGCAAUCCAUCUCAGAAAUGGGCUUUCUUUUGUUGGAAAAGAAUUUCUUCUUUCUUGAAUCAAAUUUGAUGCCUUCUCUAUUUAGCUUCUUCAACAUCUUGGUGGUCUUCCUUACCAUCAAGGCAAUGUUUGCAUCAAGGUCAUCAUCACUUGAGGAUUCUUCCUCAACUUGUAUUUUUGCUUUUCCUUUUCUUUCAUGAUUUGCUUUGAGAGCCAAAUCCUUUCUUUUGGAAGAUGAUUCUUCUUUGUCGUUGAUGUGCAUGUACAUCUCAUGGUCAUUGAUCUUUCCCAAAAUCUGUGUAGGUGUGGUAACUGAAAGAUCCAUUUGAUGUAGCACAGUGACAAUGUGUCCAUAUUUGUCUAUUGGGAGGACACUGAGAAUCUUCCUCACAACAUCCGGUUGUGAUAUUUGAGUAAGUCCCAAUCCAUUAACUUCCUCUACAAGAAUAUUGAGACGUGAGUACAUAGCAUUUGCAUUUUCAUUAGCAAGCAUUUCAAAAGAAUUUAACUUUCUCAUGGCUAUGUGAUAUCUCUCCUCACACUCACUUCUAGUUCCUUCAUGUAGAGCACAAAUGUCCAUCCACAAAUCAUGAGCAUUUUUAUGAUUUCUUACUCUAUUGAACACAUCUUUGCAAAUGCCUCUAAAAAGGGUGUUUUUGGCCUUAGCAUUCCAUUUCUCAUAAUUGAACUCAUCACCUACAAGAUUUGUGGGAUCUCUAGGUUCGGGGAAUCCUUGUGUGGCGGCUUUAUAGACACCAAUGUCUAUAGCCUCUAAAUAUGCUUCCAUACGAAUUUUCCAAUAAGGAAAAUCAUCACCAUAAAAAACGGGAGGAGGUCCAUCCCCACCUGACAUCGUAACUCUUAGCGGUUAAGCUAAUCUAAGAGCAACAAGGCUUUGAUACCAAUUGAAAGGAUCACGAUGCCCAAGAGGGGGGGGGGUGAAUUGGGCUUUUCUAAAAAUCAACGCUAAUUAAAAGCUAAGCAAGAGCUAAGCAAGAGCCCAACUUCACCCCAACAACUAGCACUAAGAUAAUAAUACUAGAAAUACAAUAAUGCUAAGACAAUACUUCAAAUACUUGCUAAACAAAUACACAAUGAAAAGUGCUUGAAUUAAGUGCGGAACGUAAAGCAAAGUUUAGAAGACUCCUCCAAUUUUUCCCGAGGUAUCGAAGAGUCGGCACUCUCCACUAGUCCUCGUUGGAGCACCCGCGCAAGGGUAUCGCUCCCCCUUGGUCCUCGCAAGAACCAAGUGCUCACUACGAGAUGAUCCUUUGCCACUCCAGCGCGGUGGAUCCCUCGAGACCGCUUACAAACUUGAGUCGGGUCACCAACAAGAUCUUCACGGUGAUCACCGAGCUCCCAACGCCACCAAGCCGUCUAGGUGAUGCCGAUCACCAAGAGUAACAAGCCGUAGACUUUCGCUUGACCAAGAGAAGCCUAAUGCAAGUGGUGUGUGCUCUAGGUGGCUCUCGCUAGCGCUAAUGAGGAACAAACGUGGAUUAAGAUUCUCUAAUCUCCUCACUAGGCUUUUGGUGCUUGCAAUGCUCUAGCAAUGUGCUGGAAUAAAUGUGGAGUGCAAGACAUUGAAUAUGGUGGGUGGAAGGGGUAUAAAUAGCCCUCACCCACCAACUAGCCGUUACAGGCAUCUCACUGCGCAAUGGCGCACCGGACAGUCCGGUGCGCCACCGGUGCGCCAACGGUGCGCCACCGGUGCGCCAACGGUCGUUUCCAACGGCUAGUUCUGACAGUUAGCCGUUGGACUCAUGGCACACCGGACAGUGAACAGUCACUGUCCGGUGCACACCGGACAGUCCGGUGCGAUGUCCGGUGCGAUGUCCGGUGCGAUGUCCGGUGCGCCACUAAAAUUCAACUCUGAAACCUGCGCUCUCGGGUUUCUGCGCGGAGAGGGAUCUUCCCCGGGCCAGCCUGGCCCCACCUAGCAGAGGGUGCACCGGACAGUCCGGUGCACACCGGACAGUCCGGUGCCCCAGGGCCAGAAACCCUACUUCAUGUUUUUCAGCUGUUUUUCAAAUCGGUUUUCGUUCUAACUUGUGAGUGAGUUCUAGAGUGACACCUAGCACUGUAUGUGAGUGUGAUUGUGCACCAACACUACACUAGAACUCUCUUGGUCAAACUACUCAUCGACAACCACUAUAGUACGACUAAAAGAGAAUAAAAGACCUAACUAAAUCACGAGUGUCCACAUCUCCUUGACACUCGGACUCCGUAGACCUUCACCUUUUGUUUCAUCGUUUUAGCUGUCGCUUCGAGUUCUUAUCUCCGGGAUUGUUUUCACUUUUGUAGUACUUCUACCUGUCAUGCGACCUAACUUACCAUUUGUCUCUGCAAAACACACAUUAGUCACAUAUAACAUUACGUUGUCAUUAAUCACUAAAACCAACCAGGGGCCUAGAUGCUUUCAGGUGCAACCUCUGCAGAGUGUAAAACUAGUAUAUCAGUCAUGCUCGCGGUCAUUAGCAGCUCAGGACUCUCGCAUGAUUAAUUUAUGGAACUAAACUUAAUCUGUCAUAUGCAUUGCAUCGCGGGUGUUAUUAUCAAUUGUGAACUCUUACUUAAUUGGGUUGGUAUCUACUUAUACUUAGUAACUCCUAAUAAAAUUUUGACCAACUUUAAAAGCAAUGCUCAGCUUUAACCAUUUCUUUUGGUAAGCCUUACACUUCACAUGAGCACCACCUUUGGUGAGUUCAUGCACAUUAUUCCCCACAACUUGUUGAGCGAUGAACGUAUGUGAGCUCACCCUUGCUAUACUCACAUCCGCCUAGGUCAAGAACAUGUACCACUGGUUGAGGCGUAUGAAGGAUGCGGUGAUGAGUUCGUGAGUGGUCUAGGUUGUCGUCUCCCAGUCAACUAUGGUUGCUAGAUCAUUGUCUGCAUAUGAUGUAAUUAUUUAGCUAUUUUGUACAGAACUUCUAUUAUAUAGUAAAGAUGUGACAUUCGUUUCUAUACCAUGAGUCAUCAUAUGUGUGAGACUUGGUCCCAGCACACAUGGUGAUUAUUUUCGCGCCCGGGUUUUGGUGCCACUAGAACCCGUGUGUGAUAGAAGUGGUAUCAGAGGCAUGUUGAGUGUAGGACAAAACCUAGAUAGAACUAGACAACCCUUACCUACUUACCUUUGCUACUCUGAUUCUUUCUAGACUUUUCUUAAUCUUUUCUCAUCUACUGUUGCGUUACUCUAAUUACUCUUACCUUUUCACUUCUAAAGACAAAAGCGGAUUUCACACUUUGAAAUCCUAUAACUAAAAGUGACUUUUAGGAAUAGGAAACCUAAUCUUAGGAACCAAAUGAAAACUAUUUUUUGUAAGUAUUUAUAUGCUUUAAUGUUUGUUCUUAUGAUAAAUGCUUGAUUCGGUUCUUUGAUUGAGUGUGAUGGGUUGUGGAGUAAUAUCCACAGUUGCAUCUACAUAUACAUAUAAGUAUAAAAAAUAUACUCAUGAGAUAACUAGACAACCUAGAUUAUCUCCCAUUAAAAUAUAUCUAGUAUCACAUAUCUAUCUUAUCUUAGCAGGUUCUAUCUUAUCCCUAUAAUUCAUCUUGUUCUAAUAAACAUACUUAUCCCACCCUAAAGUAACCACUGUGAUCUAAUCCAAAUUAAUUAGACCUCAUCUAAUCUAAACUAACCUAGUUUAGUUGAACCUAGCCCGAUCCAUAUGAUCUAAUUUGGUUAAUCUGAUCUAAUCAAAAGUGAGUUACUUAAACAAGUUAGUUAAUAUUGGUGAAAUAGAUUAAACCAUAUUCCUGUAAACGUGUUUUAACCUACACAUUCUUCAUAGAUUGCCUAAUCUAUCUAUUAAAAAAAGGGAAAAAUGAUUCUAAUCUACCAGCCUGACCUACAUGUUUCUAAUGAUCUAUUAACUUAGUUCACUUUGCACUAAAUUAAGAACAACAGACCAACUCGGCCUUAUGCAACUACCUUAACCAUUCGAUAGUUGCAUAACCCCUCUGUUUUAACCUAACAGAGAUUUUGACCUACCUACACCAUAUGAUCCAUCCUAUCUCAAAAGAUUCUAACAUAUCCUAAUAAUAGUUAUCCUACCCUAGUAGAUCUAUCUAACCUAAACUAGUCUAAUCUAGUCAUAUCCAAUCUAAGCUAGAUCCUAUCUAAUCCAAUAUGAUCUAAUCUAGUGUGAGUUACUUAAUGCUCGUACAAAGGAUAAGGCCAUACUCCUAAUUCACUUAAGCCUAAAUUGGUGACUUAGAUCAACUCGGCCAUACAACUUGACCUACAUAAUAGGGUACAUAACUUAUCCAACCAAUCUAGAAGCAAACAACCAAACUAAAUUCUAACUAAUCUCAUUUAACUUAUAGCUACCUACUAAACCUCUUGUCCCUAACCCGGAUGAAGACACCAAGGUCUGAAAAGAAGGAAGAGAAGAUCGACCUUGACAAGGAAGGAUGUAACAAUCAAAGCGAAUCUCGAGGUGAAUCAAGACUUAAACAUUUCGGAUGAAGUAUUUUUCCUUGCCAUAAUCUUUCUUACCUUAACCUGUCCAGCUUAUAUCCUACAUAAUAGGUGGCUAGAUACCUAUACUAUCCUAAUCACCCAUUAAUAAUUAUUAUAGAAAUGGGGGACUCUUGAUUUUGAACUAAUUAGAAACUAAAAGCAAAAUUAAAAACCAUUCUUUCUAUAUCACUUUUCUUAAUAAUCUCAAGGACGAGAUUAUUUUUAGGGGGGGUAGAAUUUGUAAAGCCCCAAAAUUCUACUUCGAGAUCUAGGAGAUAGUAUUCCAAGAUUUAAACAAAAGUCUUUUAUAAUCAGAGAUUAAAUAAAGUACCCUCAUAUAACUCAAACCAACCUUUGAUGAAUAAUAUGAUUUGAGAUAUCCUCCAAAAGAAUUAAGUUAAAAAAAUAACUUAAUAAAUAUUAUACACUAGAAAAUCCUCUCUCUUAAAUAAAUAUGAACAUAAUUUUAUAUUGACAUACAUUCAAGAGUAAUAAAGAUUCUGUAAUAUGUAUUGUGUAUUUGGGCAUUUCACACUUGAAUCAUUUGCUCCAAUAAUUGAAUAAAAUAAAUAAUAUAAAUAAAGUUGCAUUCCAUGCUGGUAUUUAUUUGUUUGUGAUGCAUUUAAGUGGAAUGAGGAAUACUAGUUUAAAUUUGAAUUCAAGAUUUUAAGUUAAAAAUGUAAAACAGAAAAUAAGUAAAGAAAAAAAAGAAAAGGGCUCCUACCUGUGCCUCGGCUGAAUUCCUCUUGCGGCCCACUUCUCCAUUAUGCCCGCUGGGCCCAUUUAAACGCCCCCUCUGGUUCAUGCCUUCCGCCUGGAGGGACCCACGGGCUAGUGUACCAACCUAUCAUGGACGCUGAUCCGAGUGUAUGACGUGUGGGUCCCUAAGGUUAGUUCCAUCUCCACCAAUAGAACCACCGAACUCCGGGGGCGCCAUCAUCCGGUGCGAUCCGCUAUCUGGGCGCCAUCGAUCUCCCCUCUCUUAUGUAUAAAAUAUGGACAAUGCACUCUUCCCUUUCCUCCCCGACCCAACUACACGUAGUCGUCGUUGCCAUGGGAGAGAGUGUAGAGGUGGGAGCCGCCGCAUGGAGGUAGCCGCCGUGGUCGUUGCGAGCGCACACCGGCGACUAUGCCUUGGCUUGCGGCUGGGGAGCUUCGGGGAAACAUGUCAAAUAAUGGUGAGGCCUUGCGGAGUGGGGUGAAGUUAUGAAUCACGGGUGAUUGCUCUAUGGAGCGAAACCUUCACCUCGAUGUCGCAGCGCUGCGGUAGCGGAGUUCGUCGCAACACCAACACGGGUAAGGACCCACAUGUUGUGUUCGCCAUGUCAUGGACAUCGUUUUGCAACGGUUCCUUCAUAGUUUGGGGCGUUGGGGCUUCGGUCUAUUGUGCGUCGGCGGUGUGCCGCCAUGGGACCACGCGUGCCACUGCCUUGCGCGGCUGUUGGGAGAAGAAGACACGUGGCCGUGGAUCCAUUGAUGGGUGGCCCAUAUUAGUUUGAGCAUACCACUUCUGUUGGAGCAAUCCAAGCCGUUGGAUUGGCUGCGAAUGGGUAGGAUUAGAUGUAGAAUAAUAAGAUCCCGACCCUUGGAUUUAGAUCUGACGAGUAGUAUCGCGUACCAAUUCAUCGUUUAAUCUGGGCUGUCGGUUAAUGAUCGGGUGGCCAUUAUAACAUACCGAUUCACGGGGAGGGGGGGUGGGGCAGGAUCUAGAUCUAACGGCCUGAAUCUCUCUGUACCCCUUCGGUCGUGGCAAUUUGUAGAUAUGACCCUCGGGUUUUACAAAACUAACCUGCAGUCGUUCCGUAUGGGAAGAAGUAUUACGAAUCAGUCCAAUUUCAUUCACUUAAGACCCUGUCUUUUCCAAGAUUAAUAUCCAAAGUACAUAGGGUCAUCAAAAUUAAUAUAGAAAAUAGUUUUUAGUAUAAAAAUAAUUCCAGAAACUUGUUGAAUUCAUUUUAACUCCUUUUUGAUCCAUUCCAGUUGCAUUAAAUUCAUAUUAAUAUUGUUUAUCAUCUAGUAACUUUAUUUUGUUAUGAAACAUAGGAUAAAAUUAUACACUUAAUUGUUUUCUUAUCUACCACCUGAAUCUUUAGAAAAUCAUAACUCUUAAACCGUAACUACGAAUUUAGUGGUUCUCGAACCUACGAUCUCGUUACAACACGUAGAGCAUUAUUUUGUGGUAUGUUCUUAUGUUUGAUGUAAUGUUAAUCUUGCCUAUGCCAUGUUUGUUUGUAUUGCUACGACUAGCAGAGAGGUUACGAGAAUCUUGAAGACAAAGCUGGUACCUGGAAAUCUCGAAUCUCAGGCAAGUUGUGCCCUUGAUCACUUUUUCUUUACCUAAUAAUGUUCCUGUGAAUCAUUGUGACAUGCUUAGGUUAAUCUGAUGGGACCUAAUAGGUUUCCCUAGACUUGUUUAUCCCACACCUUAUUUACCACUAAACUUUUGGGUAGUUUUGCUAUUGCUCAACCUGGUUUUGGGAUUAAUAUUACAUUAUGAUCAUGUUCUAGUUAUACUGUUGUUUAAUUAUUAUUCAUGACAAGAUCAUUGUGUUAAUUGGAACAUGGAGCUUAACUUGAGAUAUCCAUGCUACCAUAAGGGUGGAAUGAGACGCCCUUAGCUGACUAAUUAGGAAAGUUAGUGGAGGACUACCUUACCCGAAAGGGGCAAGGGCAGUAGGGGAGUUGUUGAUAUAGGGAGGUUCUCGGGUCGAUCAUGCUGCGAUGGUUUUUCGGACGGGGGAUUCCUAUAUUGCGCUCCCUAGAAACUGUAGCGGGUUUUUUGAAGCUAGUGGAACUUUGUAAAGGCCUCGUAGUGGAUCCCUAGCCAUUCACCUCGGAAGUGUCUAAGGGUCUAGCUAACCCUGGCUAGAUGGGAUACACGACUUAUGGGUAAAGGGCGCAACCUCUGCAGAGUGCAAAACUUAUAUAUCAGUCGUGCUCGCGAUCAUGAGCAGCUCAGGACUCUCGCAUGAUUAAUUUAUGGAACUAAACUUAAUCUGUCAUAUGCAUUGCAUCGCGGGUGUUAUUAUCAUUGUUGAACUCUUACUUAAUUGGUUUGGUAUCUACUUAUACUUAGUAAGUGCUAAUAAAAUUUUGACCAACUUUAAAAGCAAUGCUCAACUUUAACCAUCUUCUUUGGUAAGCCUUACACUUCACAUGAGUUCCCACCUUUGGUGAGUUCAUGCACAUUAUUCCCCACAACUUGUUGAGAGAUGAACGUAUGUGAGCUCACCCUUGCUAUACUCACAUCCCCCAUGUCAAGAACAGGUACCACUGGUUGAGGCGCAUGAAGGAUGCAGUGAUGAGUUCGUGAGUGGUCUAGGCCGUCGUCUCCCAGUCAACUAUGGUUGCUGGAUCAUUGUCUGCAUAUGAUGUAAUUAUUUAGAUAUUUUGUACAGAACUCCUAUUAUAUAGUAAAGAUGUGACAUUCAUUUCUGUACCAUGAGUCAUCAUAUGUGUGAGACUUGGUCCCAGCACACUUGGUGAUUAUUUUCACACCCGGGUUUUGGUGCCCCUAGAACCCGUGUGUGACACUUGACUGCGCUAUCUUUAGGUUCUCCCGAACCAUCUUGAUGUUCUCUUUGGCUUCGAGCAAAAUGUCGGGCCCAAACGCUUGCUUUUCUCCAGGCUGAUCCCAAUGCAACAGAGUUCUACAACUCCUCCCAUAAAGCGCCUGAAACGGUGACAUCUUCAAACUAGCCUGGUAAUUGUUGUUAUAGGAGAAUUCUGCAUACGGUAGCCUCUUGUCCCAUCCGGACUUAUCUUGCAACGCACAGGCUCUCAACAUAUCUUAUAGGACUUGAUUCGCUCUUUCAGUCCGACCAUUUGUCUGCGGGUGAUAAGCUGAACUGAAAUUCAAAUGUGUACCCAACGCUUCAUGCAACUACUGUCAGAAGUGAGAGGUGAACUGUGUUCCUCUGUCUGACACUAUCUUCUUCGGCACACCAUGAAGACAAAUGAUCCGGGACAUGUACAUCUCUGCCAACACUGCACUGCCGUAGCUAGUCUUGACAGCUAUGAAGUGGACUGACUUGGUCAAUCGGUCCACCACUACCCAGAUGGAAUCAUAGUCGGCUCGAGUGCGAGGCAACCCUAUGAAGUCCAUCCCGAUCUCAUCCCAUUUCCAUUGAGGAAUCUGCAAUGACUGCAAUAGACCUGCGGGCCUCUGAUGCUCUGCUUUGAUUCUCUAACAACUGUCACAUAUAGCCACGUGUUCUGCGAUCUCUCUUUUCAUUCUGUACCACCAGAAUUUCUUCUUCAGAUCUUGAUACAUCUUCUCACUUCCAGGAUGUAUGGAAUAAGCUGUCUCAUGAGCUUCCUUGAGGAUCAACCCCCGAAUGGAUUGAACAUUCGGAACACACAAGCGGUCCUUGAACCAUACCACACCUUCUGCAUCUUCCUAAAAAUCUUUGCCUCUUCCUUCUAGAAUCAGUUGCCGGAUUUCAUUGAUCUUUUCAUCAUUCUUUUGUGCUUCUUUGAUUUCCCGCUCUAAGGUGGGUUCUAAUUCAAAUGUUACUCCUCGUGUGUUGUUCAAAAAUCCGAGGCUCAAUCUAUCAAACUCUUUGGCCAACUCAUAAGGCAUCGGGUGAGCGACCAUCAUAUUGACUUGACUCUUUCUGCUCAAAGCAUCUGCAACCACGUUCGCUUUGACUGGAUGGUAGUGAAUUACCAAUUCAUAGUCUUUAAUUAGCUCUAACCAUCUUCGUUGCCUCAUAUUUAGCUCCGACUAGGUGAAGAUGUACUUCAGACUCUUGUAGUCUGUAUAAACAUCACACUUCUGCCCGUACAGAUAAUGCCUCCAUGCCUUCAGCGCAUGAACCACUGCUGCUAACUCCAAGUUAUGGAUUGGAUAAUUCUUCUCAUGAACCUUUAGCUGUUGGGACGAGUAAGCCACAACUCUUCCCUCUUGCAUCAAUACACAGCCCAAACCGAUGUAGCAAGCAUCUCAAUACACCGAGAACGGCUUGUGCACAUCAGGCAAGACUAAGACAGGCGCUGUAGUCAACUUCUCUUUCAGCGCUUCAAAGGCCUCUUGGCACUUCUAGGUCCACUUAAACUCAACUUUAUUUGUUAGCAAAGCUAUCACCGGUCUUGCAAUCUUUGAAAACCCUUCAAUGAAUCACCGAUAAUAUCCGGCCAUUCCCAUGGAGCUCUUGAUUCCUCGAACAUCUGUUGGCGCUUUUUAGUUCAAAAUGUCUGCCACUUUAUUCAGAUCCACAACCAAUCCAUCUUUAUUUAUAAUGUGACCCAAGAACAGGACUUCAUCCAUCCAAAACUCGCACUUGCUCAACUUGGCAUACAGCUAGUGCUCUCGCAGUCUCUGCAAUACCAUCUUCAGAUGAUCCACAUGCUCCUCCUAACUAUGAGAAUAUAUGAGAAUGUCGUCAAUGAAUACCACCACAAACUUGUCGAGAUAAUCCAUGAACACAUUGUUCAUCAGAUUCAUGAAGAAGGUUGGCACAUCCGUGAGGCCAAAAGACAUAACUGUGUACUCAUACAACCCAUACUUGGUAGUAAAAGCCGUCUUCAGGAUGUCCGAAGGUCGGAUCCUGAACUGAUGACAAACUGAUCUCAGAUCAAUCUUCGAGAACAUGUUGGCUCCUCUAAGCUGGUCGAGCAGAUCUUCUAUUUUGGGCAAGGGGUUCUUGUUCUUGAUUGUGAUUUCAUUCAGAGCUCGGUAAUCGAUGCACAUCCUCCUAGUGCUAUCUUUCUUCUCCACGAACAGGACAGGGGUGGCCCAAGGUGAGGUAUUCGGUUUGAUGUAACCUUUCUCUAACAGCUCAUCUAUUUGCUUCUUAAGCUCAACCAAUUCUGGUCUAGAUACUCUAUAGGCUCUUUUAUAAAUAGGGGCGGUGCCAGGAAUAAGCUCUUUGGCAAACUCAACUUUCCGCUCAGGUGGCAUACCUAGUAGAUCUUUAGGGAACACAUCCGGAAAUUCUGACACAACCUUGAUAGCCUCGAGUGGAUCAGCCUCUGUGCUAUCAAUAGCCAUCUGGUGACAACCUCCUUUCCUUGGCUUGGGUGAGACUAGCUCAGUCACCACUUCCUCUCCUAGUGGGGACACCAACUUCAUUGUCCGCUUAUCACAGCUGAUAACUGCUUGGUACUUAUCUAGCCAAUUUAUCCCUAGGAUAACAUCUAUUCACUGAGUACCCAUCACUAUGAGGUUUUCGGGAAACUCUAUCCCCCUUAUUUCCACACUUACAUUCAAGCAUACGCUAUCGGCUUGAAGUUUUCCACCGACGGAAUCAAUUUGAAUUGAUGUUGACAUGGUGGUCAUUGGAAGAUUAUGUGCUUCUACCCAUGAUGUAGUAAUAAAUGAAUGUGUUGCUCUAGUAUCAAAUAACACUUCUGCAAGAUGGGAUUCAACUGGGAACAUACCUACUAUCAUGCCUGGUGUUUCCUAGACUGCUUUAGCCUCCAAAUGGUUCAGUCUCCCAUGGUUGUAGCGUGUCUGGACACGAUUGCCUCCUCCUGCCUAAGGUACAUUUGGCUUCGCUGGGCACUAGGGCCUGGUUGCUGCUGAGCCACCUUCUUCGGACAAUGCAUCGCCCAAUGGCCUUGCUCUCCGCAAUGGAUGCAUCCUCUGCCUCCUCUUUGCACUAGGGCUACUUGACUGCUCUGGUUGGUUGCUGGGGCAGAAGGACGACGUGCCUGCUGAUUCUGCCUCUAGAACUGACUUCCUCCUGUCUGACUGUUCUAGCGGUACUGCUACUGAUGCUGAGGGUACUGCCUCUAGAACUAUUGCUGAGGUGGGCACUGGUUCUGCUUGAACUGCUGAGGUGGGUUGCCUGAGAAACGGGGGAGAUUGCUGCUCCCAGACUGAAGUCCACCAAUCUUGCGCUUGCAAUCCUCCAUCUCCUUGCACUUCUUCUCAGUCAUGAUUGCUCUGUCAAUGAGGUGCUAAAAUGUGGGGAAGGUAUGGUUCAUCAGCUGAUAGUUCAGGGGAUAGACUAGGCCUCUCAAGAAACGAUACUGUCUAUUGGCAUCUGUGUUGACAUCUUCAUGAGCAUAGCGGGACAGCUGCUAUCACACCCGGUUUUGGAAGGUAAACCGAAUGCGAACCAUGUACGUGCCAGGAUCAGAACUCACGUACACAGCGAUUACAUAAUUGGACAUCAUCACACAAUGCUUGAAUUAAAUAGCGGAAAGAUACUUAGUUACAUCAAGAUGUCUGAGACAUCCAUAGAGUCUAUUACAUAAACAUAGGGUUUAACAAUUAUAUCAAAGUGCGGAGUAACGAAACAUAGAAUAUAAGCCUGCACAGGCAGCUGAUUGGGGGUUUGCCACUAAGAUAAACUAGAACUCAUCGUAUUCCAGGAACUCCUCGAAGUCAUCCAUGUUGCCAGCUUCACCUCCUGAGCACUGAGAACAGUGGGGACAACCUAGGGUGGGGUGGUUUGUAAAGCAAGGGUGAGUACACUUCAAUUUACUCAGCAAAUGUCCCGUUUGGCUAAAGUGGACUAGCAGUAUGUGGAGUUAAGGUUUAAGCAAUUUCUUUUAGUUGGUCAAGUUUUAUUACCAUAAGUAUAGCCAAAUUUUAGUAAUAACAAAAUUAUUGCCCAGAGGCACUCCCUCCAAGAGGAAAUACCUAAGAUCAGAAUUAUAAUCGUCAUUGCUAAUCAUCAUCAUAAAAGUAACCAUUGUUCUUCUAAUCGAAGAGGAUCCCAAGGCUGCUCAUAACCGCGAGCACGGAUGAUAUACCAAUUUCUAACACUCUGCAGAGGUUGCACACUUUACCCACAAGCCGUGAUUCCCAUUCCGCCCGAGGUUCUAGCCUCCCCAUUGAUCACUACCAAGGUGACCUAGCAGGGUCUCACUAUGUAGCCUUUACAAAGAUUUCCCAGAGGACAUAGCCGCCCAUUAGGUUUCUCCAGUUUGAUAAACACAGUACAUCUCCCCAAAGGAAGGGUGACUAACAAAACCAAAUCAAAGAACCUCUGCAACCAGCCUCGACAGAGCAAGUACUGUGCCCGGACCCCAUUGACGGCCCUAGACGAAGCCAACUACUCCUUUGGUUACUCUAAUUAAUCAGCUAAGGGCGUCCCAUUCCACCCUCAUGGUUGCACUGUUAUCCUGGGUUGUCACUCCCCAAACAGGUCCUUACGGAGAGGCACUCAGGAAAGAGCCUGAGCCCCCUAAAGAAUCAUAAGAACCCCAUUGGGAUAACAUCAUCGUAUCAUAAAAGAUCACAUCAUGUUCAUUGAUUAAGUUAAAGUAAUAGCAUAAGCUAACCAUGAUUAACCCAAAAAGGUAAACAAGGGUAAGGUAAAUACAGACUAGUCAAUCCUUAGGUUUUCAAUAAAGUAAUGCGGGACAGUGAAUUAUAAAGUAUAGUAGGACAUAGUAGGUCUGAGGACACUUGCCUUCACCAGGUUGUUGCUCAGGGAGGUCUCCAACAACACACUCAGGAACCUCGAACUGCUCGUUGUCUAAGUAAAGCGAGCAUACAUUCAAUACAUUUGGAAAAGUAUAAAUGAACAACACAUCAAAUAUUUACAAUCAUUGACACAUAACUCAAAAAGGUAUAAUAUUAAGUGUAGGGGAAUGAUAUCAAGUUACAAAGAAAAUGAAGUAAUCCUAAUUGGGGAAUUGAUUACUCUCUAAAUGUUUGGGACAUAGCUCAAAAAGGUUAAGUAGAUUAAAACAAAGGAAAGCUAGAAUUAUAAUAUAAACUACUCUCAUUUAGGAAAUUGACUACCUUUUAGGUAUUAUCCAUAAUUACAUUCCUAAUUCUGUUUAUGUUAUUAAGGCCUAAAGGUUAAGUCCAAAAAAAAUCCAAGUGAUGCAUAACACUAAUCUCACAAGAUUGAAUGUACUUUAUUCCUAGGGUUCUUCUUUUAUUUAUUUCAUUAAAUAAAUAAAUAUAUACUUUAAUUCUAUAUUCCAAGUGUAAAAAUUAAAGUAUGCAGAUUACAGUUGACUAUAUUUUAUUUGAACAGAGAAUAAUCUUGUGAACAUUUUGCAAUUUGAACCACUAAAUUUGGAGUUCAUAUGAAAAAGAUAUGAAAUAAACAAGUUUUGAAGUUUGAAAUAUGAAAUUAAGGCUAAAUCCGUAAUUAAAUAAAAGUCCAGGGGCUAUUCUAAAGAAACCAGGGACCUAUGUGCUAAAACAGAGGACGGCGGGUUGAUUUCCUAAAACCAAGGGGGUUCUUAUGCAAAAUGACCACGCGAAGGGGUACGGGGUAAUCUCAGCCAUCAGAUCAGAAACCGACGACCUAGAUUAGAUCGCGCGGGCGCGCGGACGCGACUGACAAGCGGGGCCAAGGCGUCAGCGAGCCAGGGCGGGCUGACCAGCCAGGCCCAGGGGCAGAGACGCGGGUGAGGGGGAGAGAGGAGAGACGGUUGGAUCUGGAUCGGACAGCUACGAUUAGAUCCGCUCGGGUUAGCUCUACACUUUCCGAUCUCGGGCGAACGACCGAGAUCUAACGGCAGGGGGCGGACAUGGGAGCGGUGGCGCCGCUUGGUCCCGCGGCGGGAACUCGCCGGAGACGAGAAGACCGGCCACGGCGGGGCACUAGAGGCUUAGGGGUUGGCCUAGGCGCGCACAGGGGGAUCUGGCGGACUCAGCCGAGGGCACCACGCCGAUAGGGAGCACCAGAGGGCGCUGCACACGGCGAGGCGGGCUAACGGCGGCGCGGGGCAACUCCCACGAGAAAUUGUGUGUUAACAAGUGCAGUACACAGGGAAAUAGGGGCGCGGGGAGGUUGCUCUCCUUGAGGGGAAGCGCUGGAGGCACGGGGCAACGGCUGAGGCACAGGGACACGACGGGGCGACGGUGGUGGAGCUCUGGCUGCACAAGAACCACUCUGGUGAGCGCGGACCGGACAGACCAGAGAGGGGGAGGGCACACCGAAGGGUGUCCCAAGUAGCUGACGGCAAGGCGAAGCUUACCAUGGCACUGGACGGGGCACGGGCGCAACGGCGGCCACGGAACAGACGGUGGACGUCGGUGGGCGGUGGAGGAGGUUCUCGGUUCGCGUGGGCAGAGCGAGAGAGAGGGCGAGAGAGCUGGGCAGAGGUCGCAAAUGGAAGAGGGGAGGUGGGCGAGCAGGGCGUGGGGUUCAAAAGGGGCUCGGUCGUGGCCGGAGAACGCGUGGUCGUGGGCGCGUCCAUGGCGGGGAUAUCGUGGGCGGGAGGUUGAGGACGGCUGACAGGUGGGGACGGCAGGACAGAGAGAGGGAGAGAGCGAGCGCGGCCGAGAACAACAGCGCCGACAGGGUUGGCCCACGAGACAGAGAGAGAGGGAGAGAGGGGGCGCUCAGGGUUGCGCCGACAUGCGGGACUCGCCUGCCAGGCAGAGGGGGCGUGCGGGCGCGGGCGCGUGCUCGGACUGGGCUAAGUGGGUUGCCUUGGACCGAGUUCGGUUUUCCAUUUUCCAGGGAAUUUCUAAUUGCUUUUCUAUUUAUUUUCUCUAGGGUUUUCAAUUCAAAUUCAAAUCAAGUUUGAAAUUCAAACCAAAUCAAAUAUGUGCAACAAUUCAAAGAAUAUUUAGGCUCAAUAUGAUGCAACAUUCCAUGACUCAUAUGUUUUGGGCAAAAUAAAAUAAAUAAUCCCUCACUAAUACAACUAACUCUAAUUAAAAGAGAGAGAGAGAGAGAGAAAACUAGAGAGAGUGGGAAACUAAAGUGAGAUAGAGAAGAGAAACACCUGAAUUUGGAUGAUCAUAAGAAAGAAAUUUUAUACCCCCAAAUUCAGGGUGUUACAGACCUACCCCCCUUAAAAGAAUCUCGCCCUCGAGAUUCAGGGCUGGCUAGCAAAGAGUUCAGGGUACUUGGUGAAAGGGAAAUGUGCCCUUGGGCCAUUUCUAAGUAUUUUGGUGAUUUAGUGUCCAACACAAGUGCCUAAGUGUUAAAUGGUGGACAAAGUACAAAUCAAGUAUAAAGGUAUGUUUCUCAGACUUAGUACAUUGUUUUAGAGACUAAUGUAUUGUGUCUAAGUGCUGGAAACAGGAAAAAUCAAGUUGAAAUUAAAGAUGGCUUUGUUCAGCCAAAGUCAGCUCUGUCUGAGUGCACCGGACUGUCCGGUGCGCCAGGCUGGCUCAGGCGAACUUGCUGCUCUCGGGAAGUGAUUAACGGCGUACGGCUAUAAUUCACCGGACUGUCCGGUGAGCCAACGGUCGGCCGGGCCAACGGUCGGCCGCGCGAUCCGCGCGAGACACGUGGCCGAGCCAACGGUCGGAAGGGGGCACCGGACUGUCCGGUGUGCACCGGACAGUGUCCGGUGCGCCAACGGCUCCAAAGCGUCAACGGUCGGCUUCGCCAAAGAAGGAAAGAAAUCCGCACCGGACAGUGUCCGGUGGUGCACCGGACUGUCCGGUGCGCCAGGCGACAGAAGGAAAGAAUUUCCUUCCUGGAAUGCACUAAACAGCUCCUAGCUGCCUUGGGGCUAUAAAAGGGACCCCUAGGCGCAUGGAGGAGUACACCAAGCAUUCUCUAAGCAUUCCUAAGCACCAAGACUUCGAUUUUCGCGCAUUUGAUUCUUAUUGAUAGCAACUAGAGCUCCAUUUGAGUUGAGAACUCGCCGGGUUGUGUUGUGAGCUCCUGUUGUGACUUGUGUGCGUGUUGGUACUCUGAUUUCGUGUCUUGUGUGUGUUGCUCAUCCCUCCCUUACUCCGUGCUUCUUUAUGAACUUCAAAGUGUAAGGGCGAGAGGUUCCAAGUUGUGGAGAUUCCUCGCAAGCGGGAUAUAGUAAAGUGAAAGCAAAACACCGUGGUAUUUGUUGGGACCAUGCUUCGUCGCCGAAGGUCCUGCAGAAAGAGACAGCUUCGGCUGAAGUUGCUAGUACGUGACGUCGAAGGUACCAUUCAUGAAGCUUCGGCAUUACAACAUAUCCGAAGAUGAAGGGUCGAACCGACUUAAAGAUAGAAUGACCUUUUAGUCCAUAAAGGUCUGAGUCAAUGUUGUAAACUUUUAUGAGGGGCAUGAUUGUAAUUCCUCACAGGCUGUGUCCUGUGCCUAUAAAUAGUGAACAAUAUUCCUUUACUGUUCACGCAUUCCUGUAAUUGCAAUCGCAUCACUCGGAAAUUAUUCUUUGUCAAGGCAGAGGUAUAAAUGUAUCUAAUAUUUGAAUACAUCAAGUUUAUUUAAUAUAUAAAAAUGAUGUUGUUUACUUAUAAUUUACUUGUCUUUAAUGCUUUAUAUCUCGCAUUAUUUUAUAUAAUCUUUGAGAGUUUAAUUAUGAAGAUUCAACCUUCGUAAUUGUCCUGUUAUAACCUUCGUCCGAUGUUCAUUAAAUCCUCGAGGAAAUAAUGCUUCAGCGGACGAAGGACAUUAACAUUUAACAUUUUAUGUUGCCUUGUUCUUAAUUCAUAGCACUUGAGAACAAGUCCCCAACAUUGGCGCCCACCUCCGGUGAACUCACUUCCACUUUUCUGAGCUGAUGGCUUCAUUCAACAUUCAAGCUGGAGCUGCUUCGGCUCCGAAGCUGGUACUCCCGAUAACAGGCGGUUCAUGUUCAGAGCCAGCCAACAAGAAGCAGAAGAAGGAAGCACAGAGAAGGGUACAGCAUGUCGGGGUGCAAGGACCCUUCAUCAAGUCAAGAUGGUCUCACAUUCCUAUUACCUUCUCCCAAGAGGACCUUCAACUCAAGGAUUACCCACACAACGAUGCCAUGGUUAUCUCUUGUGUUAUCAAAGGAUUUCUGGUCCACAAUGUUUUGGUUGAUACAGGCAGUGCAGCUGAUAUCAUAUUUGCUAAGGCCUUCAGACAGAUGCAAGAGCCCGAAGAUAAAAUUCUUGAUGCCACACAUCCCCUCUGCGGCUUCGGAGGAAGGCAGAUUGUAGCACUCGGCAAAAUCUCAAUGUCAGUGGCCUUCGGAUUCAUCAACAACACAAGGACUGAACAAGUUAUGUUUGAUAUUGUUGACAUGGAGUACCCUUACAAUGCAAUCAUUGGUCAUGGUACUCUUAAUGCCUUCGAAGCAAUUCUGCAUCCAGCUUAUCUUUGCAUGAAGAUACCUUCGGACCAAGGGCCCAUUGCUAUUCAUGGAAGUCAAGAAGCUGCCAGAAGGGCCGAAGGAAAUUGGACAGACUCAAAAGCAAUCCAUAAUAUAGAUGGAACUGAAGCUUGUGAGCAAUACAAGUUCAGAAGGGAAAAAGUUGCUUCGGCUGACCAGCCAAAACCCAUGCUCUUAUGUGAAGAUAUAGCAGAGCAGAAGGUGCUAUUGGGAUCUCAAUUGUCUGAAGAGCAGGAGAAAACCUUGAUAAGGUUUUUGUUCAACAAUAAAGAUGUUUUUGCUUGGUCAACUAAUGAUCUUUGCGGAGUUAACAGGGAUGUUAUUGAGCACUCGCUCAAUGUUGAUCCAUCCUUCAGACCCAGGAAGUAGAGACUUCGGAAGAUGUCUGAUGACAAGGCCGAAGGUGCUCGGAAUGAAGUGAAAAGACUCCUCAGUGCCGGACUUAUUAGAGAGGUAAAAUACCCAGAAUGGUUGGCUAACACUGUUAUGGUGAAGAAGGCCAAUGGUAAAUGGAGAAUGUGUAUCGAUUUUACUGACCUCAAUAAGGCCUGUCCGAAGGACGAGUUUCCAUUGCCAAGGAUAGAUUCUUUAGUCGAAGCAGCAGCUUCAUCAGAGCUUAUGAGUUUGCUGGAUUGCUAUUCAGGCUAUCAUCAGAUCUGGAUGAAGAAGGAGGAUGAACCGAAAACCAGCUUCAUAACCCCUAGUGGAACAUAUUGCUACCUUCGGAUGCCCGAGGGGCUUAAAAAUGCUGGAGGAAGCUUCAGCAGAAUGACAGCAAAGGUUCUCCAUUCUCAGAUAGGCAGGAAUGUACUAACUUAUGUUGAUGAUAUCAUUGUAAAAAGCACGAAGCAGGAUAACCACAUUGCUGAUUUACAGGAGACCUUCGCUAAUUUUAGACAGGCUGGUCUAAAACUGAAUCCAGAAAAAUGUGUCUUCGGAGUAAAUAAGGGGAAAUUUCUUGGUUGCCUAGUUUCAACAAAGGGAAUUGAGGCCAACCCAAGUAAAAUCGAAGCUAUACUUCGAAUGGAACCACCAAGUACAAAAAAGGGGGCUCAAAGAUUGACAGGAAGGCUGGCAUCUCUCAAUAGAUUCAUAUCCAGAUCAGCAGAGAGAAACUUACCAUUCUUCGAAGUGCUGAAGUCAGCCGAAGUCUUUCAAUGGGGACCAAUCCAGCAGAAAGCCUUCGAAGAGCUGAAGCAGUAUUUGAUAGAUCUAACAACAUUAACUCCACCUACGCCAGGGGCUCCUUUGUUAUUAUAUGUGGCAGCCUCGCACUCAGUGGUAAGUGCAGCACUUGUCCAGGAGAAGCUUGAAGGUCAAGUUAAGAGGCAGGCCCUAGUAUAUUUCGUAUCCGAGGUUCUUAGUUUAUCAAAGAAAAAUUAUACAGAAUUGGAGAAGGUACUGUAUGCUGUUUUGAUGGCCUCCAGGAAGCUUCGACACUAUUUUCAAGCUUACAACAUAAUUGUUCCUUCUUCACAACCUCUGAAGGAUAUUAUGAGAAAUCGAGAAGCUACUGGAAGGAUUGGAAAAUGGGCUGCAGAGCUCAAUGAAUUUUGUAUUCAUUAUGUUCAUAGAUCUUCGAUUCAGUCCCAGGCGUUAGCAGACUUCAUUGCUGACUGGACGCCAGGGGCUCAGGAGGAAGAAACAAAUAAAGAUGCCGAAGCAUGGACAAUGUUCUGCGAUGGGUCUUGGGGAACCUUCGGAGCAGGAGCGGCUGCUGUGUUGGUUUCACCUUCCAAAGUUAAAACUUGUUAUGCGGCAAGACUUGACUUUAGUUGCACAAAUAACAUCGCUGAGUAUGAAGCUCUGCUCUUGGGUCUUCGGAAAUUAAAGGCAAUGGGAAUCAGAAGGGCCAUUCUUAAAACUGAUUCUCAAGUUAUCUCUGGUCAUAUUGACAAGAGCUACAAAGCAAGAGACCCGAAGCUUGAAAAGUAUCUAGAUACAGUCCGAAGGAUUGAGGCUUCCUUCGAGGGUUUCUCUGUCAAAAAUAUUCCUCGUGGAGAAAAUGAAUACGCUGAUCUAUUGGCUAAGUCAGCAGCCCAGGGGCUGCCUAUACCUUUGGAAGUAUUUUUUGAAACAAUAAAAGCACCUUCGGUCGAGCUUCUUGAAAGAGCAAUCCUUAACAUAUCCCCUGUUUAUAGUGAAGAUUGGAGAACUGAGAUCAUCUCUUUCCUUCAGGGUAAUUUUCUUUCAGACGACGAAGCUUAUAACAGGAGAGUAGAAGCAAGAGCUCGACCGUAUGUCAUAAUAGAAGGGGAGUUAUACAAGCGUGGGGUCUGUUCCCCAUUGCUCAAGUGUUUAUCCAGAUCCGAAGGUAUAGAAUUAAUGAAGGACAUACAUGCAGGCCUGUGUGGAUCUCACAUUGGAUCUAGGCCCUUGCUUGGGAAAGUUUUUCGCCAAGGAUUUUAUUGGCCAAAGGCAGCUUCGGAUGCAGCGGAUUUAGUUCAAAAGUGCGAAGGUUGUCAGAAAUGUGCAAGAGAUCAAAAACAACCUUCGUCUUUAACUCAAUUAAUACAACCCACUUGACCGUUGCAAAGGUGGGAUCUGGAUUUGCUAGGUCCAUUACCACCAGCACAGGGGAACUUAAGAUAUGUGGUGGUGGCAGUGGAAUAUUUUUCCAAAUGGAUUGAGGCAAAUCCCUUAGCCACAAUAACUUCAUUUACUAUUCAAAAGUUCUUCUGGCAAAACAUUGUUUGUCGCUUCGAAGUGCCGAAGGCUAUUACUGUGGAUAAUGGGACACAGUUUGAUUCUGAAGCCUUCAGAGAAUUUUGUGAUCAAAUCGGCACGAAGAUCCAUUUUGCAUCAGUCCGACACCCAGAGUCAAAUGGACUUGUCGAAAGAGCCAAUGGGAUCAUAAUGACAGGAAUAAUGAAGUCAAUCUUCAAUCAGCCCAGGGGAAAGUGGCCAGACGAGUUAAUCAAAGUGGUGUGGAGUCAUAACACAACCAUGUCAAGAUCAACUGGCUUUACACCCUUUAAACUAUUGUUUGGUGACGAAGCAAUAACCCCAGAAGAGGCCAAAACAGGAUCAAUAAGGAUAGUAGCUUCGGCAGAGGGCAAAAACGAAGCUGAUUGCUCUGUAGAAAAAGAUGCUAUUGAAGGGAUCAGACUUCAAGCUGUGGAAAACAUCAAUAAAUAUCAAGCUGAAACAAUAAAAUGGCGUGACAGAAAGGUCAAGCUGAAGAACAUUGAACCAGGACACUUGGUACUUCGAAGAGUAGCUAACCCUGAAACAGUAGGCAAAUUACAGCUGAAGUGGGAAGGCCCCCUUUUGGUAGUAUCUUCGUCAAGACUCGGUUCCUACAGAUUGAAGGAUAUGGACGGCAACGACAUUCCUAGAUCGUGGAAUGCGGAUGAGCUUCGGCGAUAUUAUGUUUAGUUCGAUGUAAUUUUUUAUAUUCUUUUUUGUGGCACCCUUUUCCUUUCCAAAGGGGGAGAAAGGUUUUUAAUGGGGCCACAACAUGUAAUUUUCCUUAUUUCAAUUCUAUGAGAAUGAUAUCCCCCAGAAAAUGUAAAUGUAAAUGCAAAGGAGAAAAGAAAAGGAAACAAGGAGAAGCUCAAAAGUCGUUCCUAAGGGAAUGCAGAGCUUACAGCGAAAAAUAAACGCUGAUUCCGCCGAAAGUAAAAGGCGAAGAAGCUCCUAAGGGAGGCUUACAGCGAAAAAUAAACGCUGAUUCCGCCGAAAGUAAAAGGCGAAGAAGCUCCUAAGGGAGGCUUACAGCGAAAAGUCAAUGCUGAUACACCGAAAAGUAAACGGUGAAGCCGAAAAGUAAACGGCAAAAAGAUUUGUAUCAUUCCUAAGGGAAUGAAGGGCUGUGUUUAUGGUUUCUGAACAUGUGUCCCAAUAUUCAUUUGCACAGUACAUUUCAUCAUGUCAUUUGCAUUCAUAAACAUUCAUUUAGACAUAUAUAGAAUCAUCAUCAUACUACAUAAAAGAAGACAGGAGCUUCAGAAAUGAGGAAAAAACUUCGAAGGAAAUUUUUUUUAUGCUUCGUUGUGUACGAAAAGAAGGGAAGGUGUUUUUCGCCUUCGGCUCAAAAGAGAAGUUUCGUCCACAGCAAAGCAGACUGAAUGCGGAUAAGGGAGACAUAAUAUAUUACAAGGUAUGUACAAAUUUACAUGAGUUGUUCCAUAGCUAUAUUACAAGAGUUUCUCCAAGAAUUUUUGCAGGAAAGCAUAUUGUAAGCAACUUUAAGCUUCAGCCUAGGUUUCGUCUUCGGCUUCGUCAUUCUUCAGCUUCGUCAUCCUGUGUAUGCUAAACAGCAGGAUAAGAAAGGUGCAAAUUUCAAAGGAGAAGGUAAAAGUAACAAACAUAAGUUUCUUACCGGCUUAAGAUGGCUUCGAGCUUCGUCACCUGCCAUUUUUCGCCCGCCACUUACCCAAAUCUGGGUCAUGAAUCUAUUUCCAAUGCUUCGGGCUAGGCUUGGGAUAUCUAUCAGAUUUGAUGCUGACAAGCUGAAGUUUGGUCUGUUCACAAUGUUUCCAUGCGUGCAGCCAGCCUUCAAAAAAGCAGUAGCUGUACCCCGAGAAGCUACCAGGGCGCAGAAGUCGGCGUGCUCACCAAUAACUUCGUCAAGGGCAUCAACUUCGCCUUCAAUAUAUUCUAAUGUUCUGGGCAGAUUUUCAGCUGAAGGUGUAAAUUUCGCAGAGCUAGCUCCAACAGAGUGAAACACAUCCUUCAGCCGCUGCACGCAUCGGCUGCCGAAGCUUAAGCAUUUCUCCUGAAGUUCUUUAAAGGAUUUCUGCAAAUUUGAAUUUUUAUCCACUUCAGUUUUCAGGCUUGCUUCAAGAUAUUUCUUUUCUUGCUCGAAUUUUUCUGAUUGUCGGAGCAAUUCAUUCUUUAACUUGUUAUUCUCAGUUUGGACCUCAGCCAAAGAACCCUCCAUGGUCUGAAUAACAAAAUCUUUCUUUUCUAAUGCACCUUCGUGCUCUUUGACCAUGAUUUCAAGGUCCUGGAUUGUGAAGUCUUUCUUUUUCAGAUUAGCUUCGUAAUUCUCAACUUUUUCAGCCAAAUCUUGAAUGACGACUUUGUUUUUCUCUUCUUCCAGAUCUUGUUGCAUUUUUAGAACUUUGCUUAAUAAUAUGCUCUAUCGAAACGAUCUUCGUUAGAACACGACCUAAAAGAUAAUAAUAAUAGUAAUAAAAUAACAAAAAUAUUUGUUACCUUGAAGUUAGCAUAAAGCAAGCUUCCGGCGAUAUGGUGUCGUUGAUAACGGCACAGGUCCGCUUCUAGCUUCGGCAAGCCAAUGCUUUUGGAGAGGGUUCUAACAAUUUUGGCCUCGGUGCGGUUCCGAAGGCAUCUUAAUUUCCCUUCGUUGACCCCACCAAAUAGCAUAGCCCCUGAUUUAUAUCCGCAAGAUAUGGCAUAUUUUUUCAACUCUUCUUUUUCGGCGUCUGUUAACUCUUGUCCAAGCAAAUCUUGAAAGUUAAAAUCUCCUUCUUCCGAAAUUUCAUCAAUCUGCUCUUUCCCCUUUUCAGUUGCCGUGUUCAUCACAGCCACAGCAGCUUCUUCUUCAGCCAUUUUCAGGAGUAUAUUGUCAAUAACCUCAAGUGUGGUUUCCAGGUUCGACUCCUCGGCGGUCCCGGCUUCGGCCCCAGUAGCUUCGGCUUUGCCGGUUUCAGCUUCAGUGGUUUCCACUCCGGUAGCUUCGGCUGCGGCGCCUUCGGCUUCGGCAGUCUCGGCAAAGACAAUUUUUGACACCGUCGCCGGUGGCGGCGUCUGAUGGAUCACAUCUGUCACUUGAAUAAUUCUCCGUUUUCUCGGCUCGCAGGACUUUCUGCUGCCGAAGCUGCCUUGUCCUUCUGAAAAAACUUCGUCAGUUCCAGUGCCAGCGGACUUAGCCUGAUAGGCAAGGGUUCAGUCAUUACCUUCAUAAUCUCUUCUACUUCAACAGCAGAAGGAGUAGCAGGAGUAUCUUCUUCUCGAACCAGCAUUUCCGGCUCUGGAGAGGCACUUUUUCUCUUUCUUGUAGUGGCCACAUUCGGCUCAGGGUUUAACUCUUCAGGACUAAGUUUUUCAGAAUCUUUCUUUUUCUUUUUGGCUACCUUGCCGACCUCUUCGUCAUUAGCGCUGGCAAUUCUUUUUCGCUUCGGGCCUCCAGCAUCCCCGCCCACUCGACCAUAGUCAGCAUAUUCAAAUCCUAUAGCGUCAAGCACCCUGUUCAGCCUUCGCUUCGGCCGAGUGCCGAAGGCUGCUGUCAUCAGCUGGUCCUCUUUUUUGGAGUAAUUUCCAAGAAUUUCAUUACUCAUUGUUUCAAUUGUAUCGAGCCAUUCUUGGCAGGGUGCUUUAAAAUAUUUUUUAAACUUAUAAUAAUAAGGCAGUCUGACAAGCUCCCCUUCUUUCUUUUCUCCUUUAAGCUUCGGCAUAGUCCACUCCUUCAUAAUUGGAAAUACUCUGAAGGCCAGAAAUUCCUGCACUAAAUCUCUAGUGCCAAUAUGUUCUGCAAUAAUUUUGAAUUCAGCCAAUGCAGCCCAAGUUGGACCUUCUACUGCCAUUUUGCAUCGAGGCCUUGUUUCUCCGAAGAUCAGUUCAAGAGGGCUCUGUACCAGCUUCUCUUUGUCUUCGUCAACUUUGACAUAAAACCAUUCUGACUUCCAGCCUGCCGGCCAUUUGUUUCGGUAGCUGAUUAUAGGAAACUUUGUGGUUUUCCGAUAGGCAAAGUUAUAGCAGCCAAAAUUUUCAUGCAAUCCAUCUUUUCUGGCCUUAGUCUGGUAAUGCAGCUCAUGAACUCGACAAAAGCUGUCGGCAAACGGCUCUACCGCCUGGCUUCGGAGAGCCCAGAUAUAAACGCUGAGCCUGACAAUGGCGUUAGGAGUCAGCUGAUGAAAAUAGAUCCCAAACCUUUGCAGCACUUCAGAAAUCAUCCUAUUCAAAGAAAAUCUCAACCCAGCUUUCAAAAAACUCUUGAAAAUAACUAUUUCAUCCUUUUCUGGCUUCAGGGUAGUUUCCUCCCCCCCGAAGCGAAGCAGCUUCUUCUCAUUGUCACUGAAAUAGCCCGACUUCACCAUUUUGGAGAAAUCAGCCUUGGAGACAAUCGAUUUUCCGAAGUCCAAAUGGCUGGGCUUGCUUGGUACGGCGAUAUGGUAAUCAUCAUCGGAAUUAGCUUCCUCAAUAUCUCCUUCCUCCGCUUCGGCAGCAACUUGUUCUGUAUCGACAACAGUCUAUUCUGUCUCGGCAGCGGGGAUUCCUUCAGAGGCCACCAGUCCGGAUCGUCGCAUUGCUUCGGAGAUAGGAACAGUCUUCGCUCCUUCGGCUUCGCCUCCCUCACGCUCAACUCUAGCGGUAGAGCGCACUCUGGCCAUUUAAUUCUGAAUUUCUUUGAAAGAUUUCUUGGGAACUAAAUAACUUCUUCUCCCGAAGCUUUUUCUUCUGACGAAGUAGGCUCUAAACUGGAGCUUCGUCUGAUUGCGAGAGUCAAGCUUCGGCUAUGGUUAAAAAUUUUGGCAGCAAAACAGUGCAAUAGCAAUGAAUGCUGUGGUAACUUCACACCUACCCGUCUGUUUAUAUAGUACUGCAGGUAAGAAGGUGAAUCGUCAGGAUUUUUACACCAGGCAAACAGCUGCUCACACCCGCUACGCGGUGGGCCGCAGAGACCAAAUAGUAAACCUGCAGGGUGGGACCGCUACGCGCUCGAAAACUGUAUCGUUUCUCGACAACGAGCUCAGGGAAGGUGUUUUUCGGACCUUCGGCUUCCUGAAGCCUAAGAGACUUUUUUCACGGAUCAAGCUCGUUACGAAAAACGAUCUAGCACCGCGAAGGGGCUAAUGUUGGGACCAUGCUUCGUCGCCGAAGGUCCUGCAGAAAGAGACAACUUUGGCUGAAGUUGCUCGUACGUGACAUCGAAGGUACCAUUCAUGAAGCUUCGGCAUUACAACAUAUCCGAAGAUGAAGGGUCGAACCGACUUAAAGAUAGAAUGACCUUUUAGUCCAUAAAGGUCUGAGUCAAUGUUGUAAACUUUUAUGAGGGGCAUGAUUGUAAUUCCUCACAGGCUGUGUCCUGUGCCUAUAAAUAGUGAACAAUAUUCCUUUACUGUUCACGCAUUCCUGUAAUUGCAAUCGCAUCACUCGGAAAUUAUUCUUUGUCAAGGCAGAGGUAUAAAUGUAUCUAAUAUUUGAAUACAUCAAGUUUAUUUAAUAUAUAAAAAUGAUGUUGUUUACUUAUAAUUUACUUGUCUUUAAUGCUUUAUAUCUCGCAUUAUUUUAUAUAAUCUUUAGAGUUUAAUUAUGAAGAUUCAACCUUCGUAAUUGUCUUGUUAUAACCUUCGUCCGAAGUUCAUUAAAUCCUCGAGGAAAUAAUGCUUCAACGGAUGAAGGACAUUAACAUUUAACAUUUUAUGUUGCCUUGUUCUUAAUUCAUAGCACUUGAGAACAAGUCCCCAACAGUAUUCAAGUGGGUCUUUGGAUCGCUUGAAAGGGGUUGAUUGCAACCCUCGUCCAUUGGGACGCCACAACGUGGAGUAGGCAAGUGUUGGACUUGGCCGAACCAUGGGAUAAAUCACUGUGCCAUCUCUGUGUUGAUAUCUUUGUGGUUAUCGUGUUGUGCAAGUUCUCCUCUCUAGCCACUUGGCUUAUUCGUGCUAACUCCUAAUCUAGCCACUAGGUGCUCUCAAUUGGUAUCAGAGUCGUUCUCUUCAAGAAAGGGACUAACCGCCCGAAGAGAUGGAUCCUAGGGGCAAGGGGAUGGUGGUCAACGAUAAGGAGAAGGAGUCCUUCGUCAACGAGCCUAAAGAUGACAAGCCUACCGACUCGGGCUCGGGCCACAAACGAAGAGAUGGGAAGAAGAAGAAGACGAGGCGCAUCAAGCAGAUAGUCUACUACGACGACAGCGACGAGUCCUCUUCUUCCCAAAAGGACGAUGACAACGACUAUGAGAAAAAGAAGACGGUUAAUUCAAACUUCUCUUUUGAUUAUUCUCGUAUUCCUCAAAGUACCAAUGCUCAUUUACUCUCCAUUCCACUUGGUAAACCUCCUCAUUUUGAUGGAGAGGACUACGAAUUUUGGAGUCACAAAAUGCGUAGUCACUUGUUCUCUCUCCAUCCUAGUAUAUGGGAGAUAGUAGAGAGUGGAAUGAAAUUUGAUAGCUCGGAUAGUCCCUUGUUUAUCAAUGAACAGAUUCAUAAAAAUGCACAAGCUACUAUUGUGUUGUUAGCCUCAUUGUGCAGGGACGAGUAUCAUAAGGUGAGCGGCUUGGACAAUGCCAAGCAGAUCUGGGACACCCUCAAGAUCUCACAUGAGGGGAACGACGUCACCAUGCUCACCAAGAUGGAGUUGGUGGAAGGCGAACUCGGGAGAUUCGCGAUGAUAAGAGGGGAGGAGCCAACCCAGACGUACAACAGGCUCAAAACCCUCGUCAACAAGAUAAGGAGCUAUGGAAGCACGCGAUGGACGGACCACGACGUUGUCCGCCUAAUGCUAAGGUCCUUUACCGUCCUUGAUCCACAUCUUGUGAACAAUAUUCGUGAGAAUCCUAGGUACACGAAGAUGAUGCCCGAGGAGAUCCUUGGAAAGUUCGUAAGCGGGCGGAUGAUGAUCAAGGAGGCUAGAUACGUCGACGAUGCAUUAAAUGGUCCAAUCCAAGAGCCUCAAACUAUUGCUCUCAAGGCAACAAGGAGCAAGGAGGCACUACCUAGCAAGGUGGCGCAAGUUGAGGCGGCCGGGCUUAAUGAUGAAGGAUGUCCCUCAUCAUCAAGCGGUUCAAGACGGCGCUAAAGGGUCGCAAGGAGCAUUGUUGGGGACUCGUUCUCAAAUGCUAUGAAUUAAGAACAAGGAAACAUAAAAUGUUAAAUGUUAAAGCCCUUCGUCCAAUGAAGCAUUAUUCCUUUAAGGAUUAAUGCACUUCGGACGAAGGUUAAAGACGAUACAAUUACGAAGGUUAAAUCUUCGUAAUUGGACUUUAAUAGAUUAUAUGGAGUAAUACGAAAUACGAAGUAUCAAAGAUAGAUAAAUAAAUUAUAAAUGAACAACAUCACUUUCAUAUUAUAUCCAUUUAAUGUAUUCAAAUAUUAGAUACAUUUAUACCUCUGCCUUGGCAAAGGUUGAUUCCCGAGUGAUGCGAUUGCAAUUACAGGAAUCCGUGAACAGUAAAGGAAUACUGUUCACUAUUUAUAGGCACAGGACACAGCCUGUGAGGAAUUACAAUCAUGCCCUUCAUAAAAGUUUACAACAACGACUCAAACACUUAUGGACUAAAAGGUCAUUCUACUUUUAAGUCGGUUCGUAAUUCCGAAGCUUCAUGAAGAGCAACCUUCGGUCGUCACAUGCGGACAGCUUCAGCCGAAGCUGUUUCUUCCUGCAAGACCUUCGGCGACGAAGCAUGGUCCCAACAGUAGCCCCUUCGCGGUGCUAGAUUGUUUUUCGUAACGAGCUUGAUCCGUGAAAAAAGUCUCUUAGGCUUCAGGAAGCCGAAGGUCCGAAAAACACCUUCCCUGAGCUCGUUGUCGAGAAACGAUUCAGUUUCCGAGCGCGUAGCGGUCCCACCCUGCAGAGUUACUAUUUGGUCUCUGCGGUCCACCGGGCAGCGGGUGUAAGCAGCUGUUCGCCUGGUGUAAAAAUCCUGACGAUUCACCUUCUUACCUGCAGCACUAUAUAAACAGACGGGUAGGUGUGAAGUUACCACAACAUUCAUUGCUAUUGCACUGUUUUGCUGCCAAGAUUUUUAACCAUAGCCGAAGCUUGACUCUCGCAAUCAAACGAAGCUCCAGUUUAAAGCCUACUUCGUCAGAAGAAAAAGCUUCGGAAGAAAAAGUUUUUAGUUCCCAAGAAAUUCAGAAUUAAAUGGCCAGAGUGCGCUCUACCGCUAGGGUUGAGCGUGAGGGAGGCGAAGCUGAAGGAUCGGAGACUGUUCCUAUCUCCGAAGCGAUGCAACGAUCUGGACUGGUGACCUCGGAAGCAAUCCGUACUGCUGAGACAGAGAAGACUGUUGCCGAGACAGAAGAAGUUGCUGUCGAAGCGGAAGAAGGAAAUAUUGAGGAAGCUGAUCCCGAUGAUGAUUACCAUAUUGCCGUGCCAAGCAAACCCAGCCACUUGGACUUCGGAAAGUCAACUGUCUCCAAGGCUGAUCUCUCCAAGAUGGUGAAGUCGGGUUAUUUCAGUGAGAAUGAGAAGAAGCUACUUCGCUUCGGGGGGGGAAGAAACUACCCCGAAGCCAGAAAAGGAUGAAAUAUUCAUUUUUAAGAGCUUCCUAAAAGCUGGGUUGAGAUUUCCCUUAAAUAGGAUGAUAUCUGAUGUGCUGCAAAAAUUUGGCAUCUAUUUUCACCAACUGACUCCCAACGCGAUUGUCAGGCUCAGCGUCUAUAUCUGGGCUCUCCGAAGCCAGGCGGUGGAGCCAUUUGCCGACAGCUUCUGUCGAGUUCAUGUGCUGCAUUACCAAACUAAAGCCAGAAAAGAUGGAUUGCAUGAAAAUUUUGGUUGCUAUAAUUUUGCUUAUCGGAAAACCACGAAGUUUCCCGAGAUCAGCUACCGAAGCAAAUGGCCGGCAGGCUGGAAAUCAGAGUGGUUUUAUGUCAAAGUCGACGAAGACAAAGAGAAGCUGGUUCAGAGCCCUCUUGAAUUAACCUUCGGAGAAACAAGACCCUGAUGCAGAAUGGAAGUAGAAGGUCCAACUUGGGCUGCACUGGGCGAAUUCAAAAUUAUUGCAGAACAUAUUGGCACUAGAGAUUUAGUGCAGGAAUUCCUGGCCUUCAGGGUUUUUCCAACUAUGAAAGAGUGGACAAUGCCGAAGCUUAAAGGGGAAAAGAAAAAAGGGGAACUCGUCCGACUGCCCUACCAUUAUAAGUUCAAGAAAUACUUUAAAGUACCCUGCCAAGAAUGGCUUGAUACAAUUGAAAUAAUGAGUAAUGAAAUUUUUGGGAAUUACUCUAAAAAAGAGGACCAACUGAUGACAGCGGCCUUCGGCACUCGGCCGAAACGAAGGCUGAACAGGGUACUUGAUGCCAUAGGAUUUGAAUACGCUGACUAUGGUCGACUGGGUGGAGAUGCCGGGGGGCCGAAGCGAAAAAGGAUUGCCAGCGCUACUGACGAAGAGGUCGUCAAGGUAGCCAAAAAGAAAAAGAAAGAUUCUGAAGAUCUUAGCGCUGAAGAGUUAAAUCCUGAGCCGAAGGUGGCCACUACAAAAAAGAGAAAAAAAUGCAUCCCCAGAGCCGGAAACGCCGGUCCGAGAAUAAGAUACUCCUGCUUCUCCUUCUGCUGUUGAAGUAGAGGAAAUUAUGAAGGUAAUGACUGAACCUUUGCCUUUCAGGCUAAGUCCGCUGGCACUGGAACUGACGAAGUUUUUUCAGAAGGACAAGGCAGCUUCGGCAGUAGAAAGUCCUGCGAAGCCGAAAAAGCGGAGAAUUAUUCAAGUAACAGAUGUGAUCCAUCAGACGCCGCCACCGGCAAAGGUGUCAAAAAUUGUUUUUGCUGAAACUGCCGAAGCCGAAGCUACUGGAAUGAAAACUACUGAAGCUGAAACCGGCAAAGCCGAAGCUACCGGCGCCGAAGCCGGGGCCACCGAAGAGUUGAACCUGGGAACUACGCUUGAGGUUAUUGACAAUAUACUCCUGAAAAUGGCUGAAGAAGAAGCCACUGUGGCUGCAGUGGAUACGACAACUGAGAAGGGGAAAGAGCAGAUUGAUGAAAUUUCAGAAGAAGAAAAUUUUAACUUUCAAGAUUUGCUCGGACAAGAAUUAACAGACGCCGAAAAGGAGGAGUUGAGAAAAUAUGCCAUAUCUUGCGGAUACAAAUCAGGGGCUAUGCUAUUUGGUGGGGUCAACGAAGGGAAACUAAGAUGCCUUCGGAACCGCUCCGAGGCCAAAAUUGUUAGAACCCUUUCCAAAAGCAUUGGCUUGCCGAAGCUGGAAGCGGACUUAUGCCGUUAUCAACGACAACACAUCGCUGGAAGCUUGCUUUAUGCUAACUUCAAGGUAACGAAUAUUUUUAUUAUUUUGUUACUAUUAUUAUUAACUUUUUGGGUCGUGUUCUAACGAAGAUCAUUUCGACAGAGCAUAUUACUAAGCAAGGUUCUGAAAAUGCAACAAGACCUGGAGGAAGAGAAAAACAAAGCCAUCAUUCAAGAUUUGGCUGAAAAAGUGGAAAAUCACGAAGCCAAUCUAAAAAAGAAAGACUUCGCAAUCCAAAACCUUGAAAUCAUAGUCAAAGAGCACGAAGGUGCAUCAGAAAAGAAGGAUUUUGUUAUUCAGACCAUGGAGGGCUCUUUGGCUGAAAUCUAAACUGAAAACGACAAAUUAAAGAAUGAACUGCUCCGUCAAUCAGAAAAAUUCAAGCAAGAAAAGAAAUAUUUUGAAGCAAGCCUGAAGGCUGAAGUGGAUAAAUAUUCAAAUUUGCAGAAAUCUUUUAUAGAACUUCAGGAGAAAUGCUUAAGCUUCGGCACCCGUUGUGUGCAGCGGCUGAAGGACGUGUUUCACUCUGUCGGAGCUAGCUCUUCGAAAUUUACACCUUCAGCUGAAAAUCUGCCAAGAACAUUAGAACAUAUUGAAGGAGAAGUUGAUGCCCUUGACGAAGUUAUUGGUGGGCACGCUGACUUCUGCGCCCUGGUAGCUUCUCGGGGCACAGCUGCUGCUUUUUUGAAGGCUGGCUGCACACAUGGAAAUAUUGUGAACAGACCAAACUUCAGCUUGUCAGCUUCAGAUUUGAUGGAUAUCCCAAGCUUAGCCAGAAGUAUCGGAAAUAGAUUCAUGACCCAGAUCUGGGUAAGUGGCGGGCGGAAAAUGGCAGGCGACGAAGCUCGAAGCCAUCUUAAGCCGGUAAAAAACUUAUGUUUUGUUACUUUUACCUUCUCCUUUGAAAUUUGUACCUUUCUUACUCUGCUAUUUGGUAUAUACAGGAUGACGAAGCUGAAGAUUGACAAUGCUGAAGUUUGGCGAAACUAAAGACGAAGCUUUAGCUGAAGCUUAAAGUUGCUUAUAAUAUGCUUUCCUGCAAAAAUUCUUGUAAUAUAGAUAUGGAAUAACUUAUGUAAAUUUGUACAUACCUUGUAAUAUAUCCUACCUCCCUUAUCCGUAUUCAAUCUGCUUUGCUGUGGACGAAACUUCUCUUUUGAGCCGAAGACGAAAAACACCUUCCCUUCUUUUCGUACACAACGAAGCAUAGAAAAUUUUUCCUUCGAAUCUUUUCCUUAUUUUCUGAAGCACCUGUCUUUUUUGUGUAGCAUGAUGAUGAUUCUAUAUAUGUCUAAAUGGAUGUUUAUGAAUGCAAAUGACAUGAUGAUAUGUUAUGUGCAAAUGAAUAUUAGGACAUGGCCCUUCGUCCCUUCAAAAAUGAUAAAAAUCUUUUUGCCGUUUACUUUUCGGCUUCACCGUUUACUUUUCGGUGUAUCAGCGUUGACUUUUCGUUGUAAGCCUCCCUUAGGAGCUUCUUCGCCUUUUACUUUCGGCGGAAUCAGCGUUUAUUUUUCGCUGUAAGCCUCCCUUAGGAGCUUCUUCGCCUUUUACUUUCGGCGGAAUCAGCGUUUAUUUUUCGCUGUAAGCUCUGCAUUCCCUUAGGAAUGACUUUUGAGCUUCUCCCUGUCUUCUUUUCUUUUUCUUUGCACUCGAAGGUGCGUUCUCAACUUUUACAUUUACAUGUUUGGGGGAUAUCGCUCUUAUAGAAUUGAAAUAAGGAAAAGAAAAAUUACAUGUUGUGGCCCCAUUAAAAACCUUUCUCCCCCUUUGGAAAGGAAAAGGGUGCCACAAAAAGAAUAUAAAAAAUUACAUCGAACUAAACAUAAUAUCUCCGAAGCUCAUCUGCAUUCCACGAUCUAGGAAUGUCAUUGCCGUCCAAAUCUUUCAACCUGUAGGAACCGGGUCUUGACGAAGAUACCACCAAAAAGGGGCCUUCCCACUUCAGCUGUAAUUUGCCUAUUGUUUCAGGGUUAGCUACUCUUCGAAGUACCAAGUGUCCUGGUUCAAUGUUCUUCAACUUGACCUUUCUAUCACGCCAUUUUAUUGUUUCAGCUUGAUAUUUAUUGAUGUUCUCCACAGCUUGGAGUCUGAUCCCUUCAAUAGCAUCUUUUUCUACAGAGCAAUCAGCUUCGUUUUCGUCCUCUGUCGAAGCUACUGUCCUUAUUGAUCCUGUUUUAGCCUCUUCUGGGGUUAUUGCUUCGUCACCAAACAAUAGUUUAAAGGGUGUAAAGCCUGUCGACCUUGACGUAGUUGUGUUAUGACUCCACACCACUUUAAUUAACUCGUCUGGCCACUUUCCCCUAGGCUGGUUGAAGAUUGACUUAAUUAUUCCUGUCAUUAUGAUCCCAUUGGCUCUUUCGACAAGUCCAUUUGACUCUGGGUGUCGGACUGAUGCAAAAUGGAUCUUCGUGCCAAUUUGAUUACAAAAUUCUCUGAAGGCUUCAGAAUCAAACUGUGUCCCAUUAUCCACAGUGAUAGCCUUCGGCACUCCGAAGCGACAAACAAUGUUUUGCCAGAAAAACUUUUGAAUAGUAAAUGAAGUUAUUGUGGCUAAGGGCUUCGCCUCAAUCCAUUUGGAAAAAUAUUCCACUGCCACAUAUCUUAAGUUCCCCUGUGCUGGUGGUAAUGGACCUAGCAAAUCCAGACCCCAUCUUUGCAACGGCCAAGUGGGUUGUAUUAAUUGAGUUAAAGACGAAGGUUGUUUUUGAUCUCUUGCACAUUUCUGACAACCUUCGCACUUUUGAACUAAAUCCGCUGCAUCCGAAGCUGCCUUUGGCCAAUAAAAUCCUUGGCGAAAAACUUUCCCAAGCAAGGGCCUAGAUCCAAUGUGAGAUCCACACAGACCUGCAUGUAUGUCCUUCAUUAAUUCUAUACCUUCGGAUCUGGAUAAGCACUUGAGUAAUGGGGAGCAGACCCCACGCUUGUAUAACUCCCCUUCUAUCAUGACAUAUGGUCGAGCUCUUGCUUCUAUUCUCCUGUUAUAAGCUUCGUCGUCUGAAAGAAAAUUACCCUGAAGGAAAGAGAUGAUCUCAGUUCUCCAAUCUUCACUAUAAACAGGGGAUAUAUUAAGGAUUGCUCUUUCAAGAAGCUCAACCGAAGGUGCUUUUAUUGUUUCAAAAAAUACUUCCGAAGGUAUAGGUAGCCCCUGGGCUGCUGACUUAGCCAAUAGAUCGGCGUAUUCAUUUUCUCCACGAGGAAUAUUUUUGACAGAGAAACCUUCGAAGGAAGCCUCAAUCCUUCGGACUGUAUCUAGAUACUUUUCAAGCUUCGGGUCUCUUGCUUUGUAACUUUUGUCAAUGUGACCAGAAAUAACUUGGGAAUCAGUUUUAAGGAUGGCUCUUCUGAUUCCCAUUGCCUUUAAUUUCCGAAGACCCAAAAGCAGAGCUUCAUACUCGGCAAUGUUAUUUGUGCAACUAAAAUCAAGUUUUGCCGCAUAACAAGUUUUUACUUUGGAAGGUGAAACCAACACAGCAGCCGCUCCCGCUCCGAAGGUUCCCCAAGACCCAUCGCAAAACACUGUCCAUGCUUCGGCGUCUUUAUUUGUUUCCUCCUCCUGAGCCCCUGGCGUCCAGUCAGCAAUGAAGUCUGCUAACGCCUGGGACUGAAUCAAAGAUCUAUGAACAUAUUCAAUGCAAAAUUCAUUGAGCUCUGCAGCCCAUUUUCCAAUCCUUCCAGUAGCUUCUCGGUUCCUCAUAAUAUCCUUCAGAGGUUGUGAAGAAUGAACAACUAUGUUAUAAGCUUGAAAAUAGUGCCGAAGUUUCCUGGAGGCCAUCAAGACAGCAUACAGAACCUUCUCCAACUUUGUAUAAUUUUUCUUUGAUAAACUAAGAACCUCGGAUACAAAAUAUAUUGGGGCCUGCCUCUUAACUUGGCCUUCAAGCUUCUCCUGAACAAGUGCUGCACUUACCCGCUGAGUGCGAAGCUGCCACAUAUAAUAACAAAGGAGCCCCUGGCGUAGGUGGAGUUAAUGUUGUUAGAUCUAUCAAAUACUGUUUCAGCUCUUCAAAGGCCUUCUGCUCGAUUGGUCCCCAUUGAAAGACUUCGGCUGACUUCAGCACUUCGAAGAAUGGUAAGUUUCUUUCUGCUGAUCUGGAUAUAAAUCUAUUGAGAGAUGCCAGCCUUCCUGUCAAUCUUUGAGCCCCCUUUUUUGUACUUGGUGGCUCCAUUCGAAGUAUAGCUUCGAUUUUACUUGGGUUGGCCUCAAUUCCCUUUGUUGAAACUAGACAACCAAGAAAUUUCCCCUUCUUUACUCCGAAGACACAUUUUUCUGGAUUCAGCUUUAGACCAGCCUGUCUAAAAUUAGCGAAGGUCUCCUGUAAAUCAGCAAUGUGGUUAUCCUGCUUCGUGCUCUUUACAAUGAUAUCAUCAACAUAAGUUAGUACAUUCCUGCCUAUCUGAGAAUGGAGAACCUUUGCUGUCAUUCUGCUGAAGCUUCCUCCAGCAUUCUUAAGCCCUUCAGGCAUCCGAAGGUAACAGUAUGUCCCACUAGGGGUUAUGAAGCUGGUUUUUGGUUCAUCCUCCUUCUUCAUCCAGAUUUGAUGAUAGCCUGAAUAGCAAUCCAGCAAACUCAUAAGUUCUGAUGAAGCUGCUGCAUCGACUAAAGAAUCUAUCCUUGGCAAUGGAAACUCAUCCUUCGGACAGGCCUUAUUGAGAUCAGUAAAAUCGAUGCACAUUCGCCAUUUACCAUUGGCCUUCUUCACCAUAACAGUGUUAGCCAACCAUUCUGGGUAUUUUACCUCUCUAAUAACUCCGGCACUGAGGAGUCGUUUCACUUCAUUCCGAGCCCCUUCGGCCUUGUCGUCAGACAUCUUCCGAAGCCUCUGUUUCCUGGGUCUGAAGGAUGGAUCAACAUUGAGCGAGUGCUCAAUAACAUCCCUGUUAACUCCGCAAAGAUCAUUGGCUGACCAAGCAAAAACAUCUUUAUUGUUGAACAAAAACCUUAUCAAGGUUUUCUCCUGCUCUUCAGACAAUUGAGAUCCCAAUAGCACCUUCUGCUCUGCUAUAUCCUGACAUAAGAGCAUGGGUUUCGGUUGGUCAGCCGAAGCAGCUUUUUCCCUUCUGAACUUGUAUUGCUCACAAGCUUCAGUUCCAACUAUAUUAUGGAUUGCUUUUGAGUCUGUCCAAUUUCCUUCGGCCCUUCUGGCAGCUUCUUGACUUCCAUGAAUAGCAAUGGGCCCUUGGUCCGAAGGUAUCUUCAUGCAAAGAUAGGCUGGAUGCAGAAUUGCUUCGAAGGCAUUAAGAGUACCACGACCAAUGAUUGCAUUAUAAGGGUACUCCAUGUCAACAAUAUCAAACAUAACUUGCUCAGUCCUUGUGUUGUUGAUGAAUCCGAAGGCCACUGACAUUGAGAUUUUGCCGAGUGCUACAAUCUGGCUUCCUCCGAAGCCGCAAAGGGGAUGUGUGGCAUCAAGAAUUUUAUCUUCGGGCUCUUGCAUCUGUCUAAAGGCCUUAGCAAAUAUGAUAUCAGCUGCACUGCCUGUAUCAACCAAAACAUUAUGGACCAGAAAUCCUUUGAUGACACAAGAGAUAACCAUAGCAUCAUUGUGUGGGUAAUCCUUGAGUUGAAGGUCCUCUUGGGAGAAAGUAAUAGGAAUGUGAGACCAUCUUGACUUGACGAAGGGUCCUUGCACCCCGACAUGUUGUACCCUUCUCUGUGCUUCCUUCUUCUGUUUCUUGUUGGCUGGUUCUGAACAUGAACCGCCUGUUAUCGGGAGUACCAGCUUCGGAACCGAAGCAGCUCCAGCUUGAAUAUUGAACGAAGCCAUCAGCUCAGAAAAGUGGAAGUGAGUUCACCGGAGGUGGGCGCCAAUGUUGGGGACUCGUUCUCAAAUGCUAUGAAUUAAGAACAAGGCAACAUAAAAUGUUAAAUGUUAAAGCCCUUCGUCCAAUGAAGCAUUAUUCCUUUAAGGAUUAAUGCACUUCGGACAAAGGUUAAAGACGAUACAAUUACGAAGGUUAAAUCUUCGUAAUUGGACUUUAAUAGAUUAUAUGGAGUAAUACGAAAUACGAAGUAUCAAAGAUAGAUAAAUAAAUUAUAAAUGAACAACAUCACUUUCAUAUUAUAUCCAUUUAAUGUAUUCAAAUAUUAGAUACAUUUAUACCUCUGCCUUGGCAAAGGUUGAUUCCCGAGUGAUGCGAUUGCAAUUACAGGAAUCCGUGAACAGUAAAGGAAUACUGUUCACUAUUUAUAGGCACAGGACACAGCCUGUGAGGAAUUACAAUCAUGCCCUUCAUAAAAGUUUACAACAACGACUCAAACACUUAUGGACUAAAAGGUCAUUCUACUUUUAAGUCGGUUCGUAAUUCCGAAGCUUCAUGAAGAGCAACCUUCGGUCGUCACAUGCGGACAGCUUCAGCCGAAGCUGUUUCUUCCUGCAGGACCUUCAGCGACGAAGCAUGGUCCCAACAAGCACCCCAACAAGAACAAGACGAAGGGGAAGCGCUCCUGCUUCAAAUGUGGUAAGAUUGGUCAUUUUAUCGCAAAUUGUCCCGAUAAUGAUAGUGACCAGGAAAAGAAGAGUGGAAAGUGGGAAAAGAAGAAGAACUACAAGAAGGCGAAGGGCGAGGCACAUCUUGGAAAGGAGUGGGAUUCCGAUUGCUCCUCGUCCGACUCCGACAACGAAGGACUCGCCGCCACCGCCUUCAACAAGUCAUCCCUCUUCCCCAACGAGCAUCACACUUGCCUCAUGGCAAUGGAAAAGAAGGUAAGCACUCGUAAUACUAGUACUUAUGCUUCUUCAAGUGAGGAUGAGUCUAGUGAUGAUGAUGAAAUAGAUUAUUCAUGUUUAUUCAAAGGCCUAGAUAGAACCAAGGUAGAUAAAAUUAAUGAAUUAAUUGAUGCCUUGAAUGAUAAGAAUAUGUUAUUAGAAAAGCAAGAGGAUCUUUUGUAUGAAGAGCAUGAUAAAUUUGUUAGUGCACAAAAUUCUCUUGCUCUAGAAGUUAAAAGGAAUGAAAUGCUUUCUUGUGAACUAUCUACUUGUCAUGAAACCAUUUCUACUCUAAAUGGUGUUAAUGAUGAUUUAAAUGCUAAACUAGAAGUAGCAAAUAAAUCUAACUCUUGUGUAGAACAUGUUAUAAUUUGCAAUAGGUGCAAAGAUUUUAAUGUUGAUGCUUGUAGUGAACACCUAGCUUGCAUUUCUAAAUUAAAUGAUGAAGUGGCUAGUCUUAAUGCUCAACUUAAGACUAGCAAGAGUGAAUUUGACAAGCUAAAAUUUGCAAGGGAUGCCUACACGAUUAGUAGACACCCCUCACUUAAGGAUGGUCUUGGCUUCAAGAGGGAAGUCAAGAACUUAACAAGCCAAAAGGCUUCCAUCUCCGCCAAGGAGAAAGGAAAGGCCCCUAUGGCUAGUAGUGCUCAAAAGAACCAUGCCUUCAUGUAUCAUGAUAGGAGACAUUCUAGAAAUGGCUAUAGAAGUUAUAAUGAUUUUGAUUCUCAUGCCAUGGUUGCUUCUAGCUCCUCUAUUAUGCAUGAUAGAAACUUAGCUAGGAGAAAUGUUAUUAGUAACAUGCCUAGAAGAAAUGUUGUUCAUAUGCCUAGGAAAACAAAUAAUGAACCUUCUACAAUUUAUCAUGCUUUAAAUGCUUCCUUUGCUAUUUGUAGAAAGGAUAGGAAGAUAAUUGCUAGAAAAUUAGGGGCAAAAUGCAAGGGAGAUAAAACUUGUAUUUGGGUCCCUAAGGCUAUUUGUACUAACCUUGUAGGACCCAACAUGAGUUGGGUACCUAAGACCCAAGCCUAAAUUUGCCUUGCAGGUUUAUGCAUCCGGGGGAUCAAGCUGGAUUAUCGACAGCAGAUGCACAAACCACAUGACGGGGGAAAAGAGGAUGUUCUCUUCCUACGUCAAGAACAAGGAUCCCCAAGAUUCAAUCAUAUUCGGUGAUGGGAACCAAGGCAAGGUUAAAGGCUUAGGCAAGAUUGCAAUCUCAAAUGAGCACUCUAUUUCUAAUGUAUUCUUAGUUGAGUCGCUUGGAUAUAAUUUGUUAUCCGUAAGUCAAUUAUGUAAUAUGGGAUAUAAUUGUCUAUUCACAAAUGUAGAUGUGUCUGUCUUUAGAAGAAGUGAUGGUUCAUUAGCUUUUAAGGGUGUAUUAGACGGCAAACUCUAUUUAGUUGAUUUUGCAAAAGAGGAGGCCGGUCUAGAUGCAUGCUUAAUUGCUAAGACUAGCAUGGGCUGGCUGUGGCAUCGCCGCUUAGCACAUGUAGGGAUGAAGAACCUUCACAAGCUUCUAAAGGGAGAACACGUGAUAGGUCUCACUAAUGUUACUUUCGAAAAAGAUAGACCUUGUGCAGCUUGUCAAGCAGGGAAACAGGUGGGAAGCUCUCAUCAUGCCAAAAAUGUGAUGACAACAUCAAGACCCCUGGAGUUACUUCAUAUGGACCUCUUCGGACCCGUCGCAUAUCUAAGCAUAGGAGGAAGUAAGUAUGGUAUUGUUAUAGUUGAUGAUUUUUCCCGCUUCACUUGGGUAUUCUUUUUGCAGGAUACAUCUGAAACCCAAGGGACCCUCAAGCGCUUCCUAAGGAGAGCUCAAAACGAGUUUGAGCUCAAGGUGAAGAAGAUAAGAAGCGACAAUGGGUCCGAGUUCAAGAACCUUCAAGUGGAGGAGUAUCUUGAGGAGGAAGGAAUCAAGCACGAGUUCUCCGCUCCCUACACACCACAGCAAAAUGGUGUAGUAGAGAGGAAGAACAGGACGCUUAUAGAUAUGGCGAGGACGAUGCUUGGAGAGUUCAAGACCCCCGAGCGCUUUUGGUCGGAAGCCGUGAACACGGCUUGCCACGCCAUCAACCGGGUCUACCUUCAUCGCCUCCUCAAGAAGACUUCGUAUGAGCUACUAACCGGUAACAAACCCAAUGUUUCGUAUUUUCGAGUUUUUGGGAGUAAAUGCUACAUUCUAGUGAAGAAGGGUAGGAAUUCCAAAUUUGCUCCCAAAGCCGUAGAAGGGUUUUUGUUAGGUUAUGACUCAAAUACAAAGGCAUAUAGGGUCUUCAACAAAUCAUCGGGUUUGGUUGAAGUCUCUAGCGACGUUGUAUUUGAUGAGACUAAUGGCUCUCCAAGAGAGCAAGUUGUUGAUCUUGAUGAUGUAGACGAAGAAGACGUUCCAACGGCCGCAAUGCGCACCAUGGCAAUUGGAGAUGUGAGGCCAAUGGAACAAAAGGAGCAAGAUCAACCUUCUUCCUCAACAAUGGUGCAUCCCCCAACUCAAGAAGAUGAACAGGUUCAUCAAGAGGAGGCGUGUGAUCAAGGGGGAGCACAAGAUGAUCAAGUAAUGGAGGAAGAAGCACAACCGACACCUCCAACUCAAGUCCGAGCGAUGAUUCAAAGGGAUCAUCCCGUCGACCAAAUUUUGGGUGACAUUAGCAAGGGAGUAACUACUCGAUCUCGAUUAGUUAAUUUUUGUGAGCAUUACUCUUUUGUCUCUUCUAUUGAGCCUUUCAGGGUAGAGGAGGCCUUGCUAGAUCCGGACUGGGUGUUGGCCAUGCAAGAGGAGCUCAAUAACUUCAAGAGAAAUGAAGUUUGGACACUGGUGCCUCGUCCCAAGCAAAAUGUUGUGGGAACCAAGUGGGUGUUUCGCAACAAACAAGACGAGCAAGGGGUGGUGACAAGGAACAAGGCUAGACUUGUGGCAAAAGGUUAUGCCCAAGUCGCAGGUUUGGACUUUGAGGAGACUUUUGCUCCUGUGGCUAGGCUAGAGUCCAUUCGCAUUUUGCUAGCAUAUGCCGCUCACCAUUCUUUCAGGUUGUUCUAAAUGGAUGUGAAGAGCGCUUUCCUCAACGGGCCAAUCAAGGAGGAGGUGUACGUGGAGCAACUCCCUGGCUUCGAGGAUGAACGGUACCCCGACCACGUGUGUAAGCUCUCUAAGGCGCUCUAUGGACUUAAGCAAGCCCCAAGAGCAUGGUAUGAAUGCCUUAGAGACUUUUUAAUUGCUAAUGCUUUCAAGGUUGGGAAAGCCGAUCCAACUCUUUUUACUAAGACUUGUGAUGGUGAUCUUUUUGUGUGCCAAAUUUAUGUCGAUGACAUAAUAUUUGGUUCUACUAAUCAAAAGUCUUGUGAAGAGUUUAGCAGGGUGAUGACUCAAAAGUUUGAGAUGUUGAUGAUGGGCGAGUUAAGCUAUUUCCUUGGGUUCCAAGUGAGGCAACUCAAGGAUGGGACCUUCAUCUCCCAAACGAAUGACACGCAAGACUUGAUCAAGCGGUUUGGGAUGAAGGACGCCAAGCCCGCAAAGACUCCAAUGGGAACCGACGGACACACCGACCUCAACAAAGGAGGUAAGUCCGUUGAUCAAAAGGCAUACUAGUCUAUGAUAGGGUCUUUACUUUAUUUAUGUGCUAGUAGACCGGAUAUUAUGCUUAGCGUAUGCAUGUGUGCUAGAUUUCAAUCCGAUCCAAGGGAAUGUCACUUAGUGGCGGUGAAGCGAAUUCUUAGAUAUUUAGUCGAUACGCCUUGCUUCGGGAUCUGGUAUCCAAAGGGGUCUACCUUUGACUUGAUUGGAUAUUCAGACUCCGACUAUGCUGGAUGUAAGGUCGAUAGGAAGAGUACAUCCGGGACGUGCCAAUUCUUAGGAAGGUCCCUGGUGUCUUGGAGUUCUAAGAAACAAACUUCUGUUGCCCUAUCCACCGCUGAGGCCGAGUACAUUGCCGCAGGACAGUGUUGCGCGCAACUACUUUGGAUGAGGCAAACCCUCAGGGACUUUGGCUACAAUCUGAGCAAAGUCCCACUCCUAUGUAAUAAUGAGAGUGCUAUCCGCAUGGCGGAUAAUCCUGUUGAACACAGCCGCACUAAGCACAUAGACAUCCGGCAUCACCUUUUGAGAGACCACCAGCAAAAGGGAGAUAUCGAAGUGUUUCAUGUUAGCACCGAGAACCAGCUAGCCGAUAUCUUUACCAAGCCUUUAGAUGAGCAGACCUUUUGCAAGUUGCGUAGUGAGCUAAAUGUCUUAGAUUCGCGGAACUUGGAUUGAUUUAUAGCAUACAUGUGUUUUAUGCCUUGAUCAUGUUCCUUAAGCAUUUUGUUGUUUAUUUAUGGUGCUCAAGUUGUACAAACACUCCCCGGACCUCACAAGUCCUUUUGCAAGUGAUGCACACAUUUAGGGGGAUAUGUGCUACAACUUGACCCUUUGAGACUAACCAUGUGCUUGAGUUUGCGUGAUUUAGUCUCAAAGAUGGAUUGAAAGGAAAAGGUGGACUUGGACCAUGCAAGACUUCCACUGCACUCCGAUGAAAGAGUAACUUAUUCCAAGUUCAUCUCUAUACUCUUAUUGCCUUUUUACUCUUAGUUGAAUAUUUUGGUGAGGCAAUGGGGUUAAAGGGCCAAAAUUGAUCCCGUUUUGGUGCUUGAUGCCAAAGGGGGAGAAAAUAAGGCCAAAGCAAUAAAUGGAUCAGCUACCACUUGUGAAUUUUGAAAAUAGUAGAGUUAGAGUUUUUGUUUGUCAAAAUACUCUUGUUUGCCUCUUAUUGUCAAAAGUUGGUCUCUUGUGGGGAGAAGGCUUAAUUAUGGGAAAAGGGGGAGUUUUUGAAUCCUUGAUCAAUUUCUCGUGAAAUAUCUCUCUUUAUGUUUCAACAUGUGUGUUUGGCUUAGAGAUAGGAAAUUGAGUUUGAUUUGCAAAAACAAACCAAGUGGUGGCAAAGAAUGAUCCAUAUAUGUCAAAUUUGAAUCAAAACAAUCUUGAGUUCUUAUUUGAAGUGAUUUUGCACUUGUUCUACUUGCUUUAUGUUGUGUUGGCAUAAAUCACCAAAAAGGGGGAGAUUGAAAGGGAAAUGUGCCCUUGGGCCAUUUCUAUGUAUUUUGGUGAUUUAGUGUCCAACGCAAGUGCCUAAGUGUUAAAUGGUGGACAAAGUACAAAUCAAGUAUAAAUGUAUGUUUCUCAGACUUAGUACAUUGUUUUAGAGACUAAUGUAUUGUGUCUAAGUGCUGGAAACAGGAAAAAUCAAGUUGAAAUUAAAGAUGGCUUUGUUCAGCCAAAGUCAGCUCUGUCUGGGUGCACCGGACAGUGUCCGGUGGUGCACCAGACAGUGUCCGGUACGCCAGGCUGGCUCAGGUGAACUUGCUGCUCUUGGGAAGUGAUUAACGGCGUACGGCUAUAAUUCACCGGACUGUGCGGUGUGCACCGGACUGUCCGGUGAGCCAACGGUCGGCCGGGCCAACGGUCGGCCGUGCGAUCCGCGCGAGACACGUGGCCGAGCCAACGGUCGGAAGGGGGGCACCGGACUGUCCGGUGCGCCAACGGCUCCAAAGCGUCAACGGUCGGCUUCGCCAAAAAAGGAAAGAAAUCCGCACCGGACAGUGUCCGGUGGUGCACCGGAUUGUCCGGAGCGCCAGGCGACAGAAGGCAAGAAUUGCCUUCCUGGAAUGCACUCAAUGACUCCUAGCUGCCUUGGGGCUAUAAAAGGGACCCCUAGCCGCAUGGAGGAGUACACCAAGCAUUCUCUAAGCAUUCCUAAGCACCGAGACUUCGAUUCCGCGCAUUUGAGUCUUAUUGAUAGCAACUAGAGCUCCAUUUGAGUUGAGAACUCGCCGGGUUGUGUUGUGAUCUCCUAUUGUGACUUGUGUGCGUGUUGGUACUCUGAUUUCGUGUCUUGUGUGUGUUGCUCAUCCCUCCCUUACUCCGUGCUUCUUUGUGAACUUCAAAGUGUAAGGGCGAGAGGCUCCAAGUUGUGGAGAUUCCUCGCAAGCGGGAUAUAGUAAAGUGAAAGCAAAACACCGUGGUAUUCAAGUGGGUCUUUGGACCGCUUGAAAGGGGUUGAUUGCAACCCUCGUCCAUUGGGACGCCACAACGUGGAGUAGGCAAGUGUUGGACUUGGCCGAACCACGGGAUAAAUCACUGUGCCAUCUCUGUGUUGAUAUCUUUGUGGUUAUCGUGUUGUGCAAGUUCUCCUCUCUAGCCACUUGGCUUAUUCGUGCUAACUUCUAAUCAAGUUUUGCGGAUUAAGUUUAAGUUUUACAGGAUCACCUAUUCACCCCCCUCUAGGUGCUCUCACUUGGCUCUCAGAUCAUCUUCUCUUUCCCAGGUUGCUUCUUCUUCUGAGUGAUGACCCCAUUUGACUUUGCACAUUCUGAUGGUGUUCCUUCGAGUGACUCGAUCUGCUAUCUCCAGAAUUUGCGUUGGCUUCUCAAAGUAUGUCAGAUCCUCUUGAACUUCAAGGUCUUCCAUUGGCAACUGCUCUUCUGGUACUCGCAAGCAUUUCUUUAACUGAGACACGUGGAACACAUCAUGCAUCACGGACAGGUUCUCUGGUAAGCUGAGUUGAUAAGCCACUUCUCCAUGUUUGGCUUGAAUCUGAUACGGGCCGAUAUAGCGAGGUGCUAACUUGCCUUUGACUCCAAACCUCUUGGUUCCUCUGAUGGGUGACACUUUCAAGUAGACAUAGUCUCCCACUUCAAAACUGAGUUCUCUUCUUCUGGUAUCGGCAUAGCUUCGCUGUCUGGACUGCGCUGCCUUCAGAUUUUCCCGAACCAUCCUGAUAUUCUCUUCGGCUUCAAGCAAAACCUCUGGGCCGAAUACCUGUCUUUCGCCGGGUUGAUCCCAAUGCAAUGGAGUUCUGCAAUUCCUCCCAUAAAGUGCUUCAAAUGGUGACAUCUUCAGACUGGUUUGGUAGUUGUUGUUGUAGGAGAAUUCUGCAUACGAUAGCCUCUUGUCCCAACCUAACUGGUCUUGCAAAGCACAAGCUCUCAACAUAUCCUCAAGAAUCUGGUUGGUUCUCUCAGUCUGGCCAUCUGUCUGCGGGUGAUAAGCUGAACUGAAUUUCAAGUGUGUACCCAAAGCUUCGUGUAGCUGCUGCCAAAAGUGAGAAGUAAACUAGGUGCCUCUAUCCGAUAUUAUCUUCUUUGGAAUACCAUGCAAGCACACAAUCUGAGACAUGUAUAACUCUGCCAACACUGUGCUAUUAUAGGUGGUCUUGACUGGUAUGAAAUGGACCGCCUUUGUCAAACGGUCCACUACUACCCAGAUGGAGUCAUAACCAACUCGAGUGUGGGGCAGACCAACUAUAAAGUCCAUCCCAACCUCAUCCCAUUUCCACUGAGGAAUUUGUAACGGCUGCAACAAACCUGCGGGUCUCUGAUGUUCGGCCUUGAUCCUCUGACAACUGUCGCAUCUGGCCACAUACUCUGCUAUCUCUCUUUUCAUACCAUACCACCAGAAUCUCUUCUUCAAGUCUUGGUACAUUUUCUCACUACCAGGGUGUAUAGAGUAUGCUGUCUCAUGAGCUUCUUUGAGAAUCAGUUCCUGAAUCGAGGUGAUGUUGGGAACGCACAACCUAUCCUUGAACCAUACCACUCCUUCUGCAUCUUCACGGAAAUCUGGACCUUUCCCAUCGAUGAUCAGCUGCCGGAUCUCGUUGAUCUUCUCAUCAUCCUUCUGACCUUUUUCUGAUGUCUUGCUCUAGAGUGGGCUCUAGCUCAAUUGUCACUCCUUGAGUGUUGUUCAAAAAUCCGAGACUCAACCUAUCGAAUUCCUUUGCUAGCUCAAGCGGCAUUAGGUGAGCGGCCAACAUAUUGACUUGACUCUUCCUGCUCAGAGCAUCUGCAACCACAUUUGCUUUGCCUGGGUGAUAAUGAAUCUCUAGUUCAUAGUCUUUGAUCAAUUAUAGCCAUCUUCGCUGCCUCAUGUUUAACUCUGACUGAGUGAAUAUGUACUUGAGGCUCUUGUGGUAUGUGUAGAUAUCACACUUCUGCCCAUAAAGGUAAUGUCUCUAGGUCUUUAAUGCAUGAACCACUGCUGCUAGCUCCAGAUCAUUAGUGGGGUCAUUCUUCUCAUGAACUUUCAAUUGUCGGGACGAGUAUGCCACUACUCUCCCUUCCUGCAUUAACACACAUCCCAGUCCGGUGUAUGAAGCAUCACAGUAUACUGAGAACGACUUGUGAACAUCUGGCAGAACCAACACUGGUGCUGUUGUCAACUUCUGCUUCAAUGUUUCAAAUGAUUCUUGGCACGCUGGGGUCCACUUGAACUCAAUCUUCUUUGCUAGCAAGGUUGUCAUUGGUCUGGCAAUCUUGGAGAAACCUUCAAUGAAACGCCGAUAAUAACCGGCCAUUCCAAUGAAACUCUUGAUUCCUCGGACAUCUUUUGGUGCUUUCCAAUCCAGAAUUGCUGCUACUUUCUUUGGAUCCACAGCUAGUCCAUCUCGGUUUAUAAUAUGACCCAAGAAUAGAACUUCGCUGAUCCAGAACUCACACUUGCUAAGCUUGGCAUACAAGUGGCAAUCUCGUAGCCUUUGAAGUACCUUCCUCAAAUGUUUCUCAUGCUCUUGCUCAUUUUGGGAAUAUAUAAGAAUAUCAUCUAUGAACACCACUACGAACUUGUCGAGGUAGUCCAUGAACACGUUGUUCAUCAGAUACAUGAAGUAAGCUGGCGCAUUCGUCAAUCCAAAUGACAUAACCAUGAACUCAUAUAGUCCAUACUUGGUGAUGAAUGUUGUCUUCGGUAUGUCUGAGGGUCGGAUUCUCAGCUGAUGGUAACCUGACCUCAGAUCUAUCUUUAAGAACACACUGGCUCCUCUCAACUGAUCAAAUAAGUCUUCAAUUCGAGGCAGGGGGUACUUAUUCUUGACAGUAACAUCAUUCAAAGCUCUAUAAUCGAUGCACAUCCUCUUCGUGCCAUCCUUCUUCUCCACAAAUAACACCGGGGCUGCCCAAGGUGAGGUACUUAGCCUGAUGUAACCUUUCUCUAACAACUCAUUAAUUUGCUUCUUGAGUUCCACCAACUCUGGUCCGGACACUCGAUAAGCUCUCUUGGAAAUAGGGGCGGUGCCUGGGAUAAGCUCUAUGGCAAAUUCAACUUUCCUUUCAGGUGGCAUGCCUGGUAACUCUUCAGGGAAUACAUCGGGGAAUUCUAACACAAUCCUAAUUGUUUCAAUCGGAUUGGACUCCUUGUCAUCUACUGAUAAAUGGUGACAGGCUCCUUCUUCUAGUUCAGGUAAGUACAACUUGGUUACUACCUCCUUUCCGGAUGGGGACACCAAGUUAACUGUCCUCUUGUCACAACUGACAGUGGCUUGAUUUCUGCGUAGCCAAUUCAUCCCUAGGAUGACAUCUAACCCUUGAGUUCCCAUUACUACUAGGCUAGCGGGGAAGGCUAUCCCCCUUAUUUCAAUCCUUAGAUUCGGACAAAUCCUAUCGGACUGAACUUUUCCUCCAACUGAAUUAACUCUCAAAGGUGGGAUCAUUGGUUCUAUGAGGAUGUUAUGUGAUUCUACCCAAGAUGCAAAACAAAAGAAUGUGUGGCACCAGUAUCAAAUAAUACUUUUGCUGGGUAGGAUUCGACUAGAAACAUACCUACUGCCACGUCCUGAGCUUCUUGGAUUACUUCGGCCUCCAGGUGGUUCACCUUUCCACGGUUGUAGGCCUGACCAUAGACUCCUGUUGCUUGCUGUGGUGCUCCUUGUCUUGCUAGGGCAUUGACUGCUGGCGGUUGUUGGGUUGCUUUCUUUGGACAAUUCUUCGCCCAGUGAUUCUGUUCUCCACAGUAGAAGCAUGCACGACCUCCUACUUGUGCUGGGGCUGCUUGGCCAUUCUGGUUGGUUGCGGGGGCAGUAAGACGAGCUGCCUGGUUGUUCUGACGUUGGUACUGAUUUCCUCCCGGCUGAGUGUUCUGACGGUACUGCUGCUGCUGCUGAGGAAACUGCCUCUGGUACUGGUGCUGGUGCUGACGCUGAUGUUGGUGCUGGUGCUGGUGGCCUUGCUUGAAUUGCUGUGGCGAGUUGCCUGAGUAGAGGGGAUGACUGCUACUCCCGGCCUGAGGUCCACUAAUCUUGCGCUUCCUAUCCUCCAUCUCCCGACGCUUCCUUUCAGUCAUGAUUGCUUUGUCUAUCAAGUGCUGGAAGGUGGGGAAAGUGUGGUUCAUGAGCUGGUAAUGGAGGGGAUCAACCAAUCCUCUCAGAAAGCGGUACUGCCUCUUUGCAUCCGUGUUGAUGUCUUCUGGGGCGUAACGUGACAGCUGCAGAAACUUAUCCCUGUACUCACUGAUGGACAGGGGACCUUACUUCAGGGCAAGAAACUCCUCCUUCCUCACUAUCAUCAGUCCCUCGGACACACGGAAGUUGUCCCUGAACUCCUCCCAAGUGAUGGCUUCAGGGUUGGCAUGGGUGGCGAGGUAAGACUCUCACCAAGACUAUGCUGCUCCCCUCAAUUGUCGAGGGCCAUACAACACCUUCUCACGGUCGUUGCACUGAGCAGUGUACAACUCACGCUCCACAGUACGCAGCCAAUCUUCCACAUCCAUGGGGUCAGCGGAGUGGGCAAAGACAGGGGAUGGCCCCUCAUGAAUUCUGCCCGCUUGUCUCUGGGCACUUGUGGCAUCUGGACUUGCACUGGAGGCUGAGGUGGUGGUGGCUACUACUGAACCUGCUGCAUCGCUGCUAAUGUCUGACCAAUUGCCUGAACUGCCUGGGUCUGCAUCAAGAACAUCUGCUCAAUGGUCAUCGGGGGUGGCGGUGGCAAAUGCUGCUGCGGAAAUCUUCACAGCACUGAAUAAUUGAUCAUCUUCACUGGCAACUUCUCAGAUAAAGAGGAAAGUGGAAAUAAAUGGAUUACCCAACUAAAUAACUGACUUUAUUAAUAACUACACCAAGUUGCAGGAGAUACCCACACCUUGGUGACAAUCAUUACAAAGAUCCAACUUCAUUACAUGUUCAUCAUGACAAGCAUCCUACAAAAGGUAACCAAACUAACUCUAACUAAGACUGACUAGACUAAGACACUGAAGUAAGCAUUAUUACAGACUCCGACUCCAUUGAUCUAUGGAUCUAAAUCUAUGCGGGCCCUACAGUCUGGGGUACCAUAGUCGAAGCGACCAUGGGGCGGUGAAUGGUAAGGGUGCUGAAACCCAACCGGGGCGGGAGAACCACCAUCAAGAUAGUGGCGUGCCGCGCAUUCAGCACGCAAUUCCGCAACCUCCGCCCGAACCUUGCCCAACUCGUCAAGGGUGUGGUCCAACUCUGUGUUGAGCACGGAGACCAAGUUGACCAUGCUACUCAGCGUGGGAUUGCCCUCACCAACUAGCGAGACAAUCACACCUCCAGCACUGCUGAUCGAAAGGCGAGGGUAGUACUUCAGGUCAAGGCCAUCAGCUACCCCGCUGAACAACAAGCAAUACUGAGAAAGUGCCCGUCGUGCUGCAUCUUGCAUGGCUGUCUCAGCAGUGUCCCUCUCAGUGAUAGAAUAAUGCUCUGAGAAGGCCUCUGCACCCCGAAGAUUAUCGUCCAGACGGCGCACCAAGUAAGUAGCCUCCCACUAGUCUAGGUAUAGCCCACGACGAUGCUGGUAGACUACACAACUGUACUCGAUAGACCAAGUGUGUCGGUCAAAGGCCCGACGCAACAGGGUAUUGAGAGCGUCGUGGAAGUGACACCCACGAGCAGCGUCACGAGUGAUGGGUCUCACGAUCCAUCCCUCCGGCUCUGGCUCCUCCGAACGCUCCGUGUCAUGGCUCGAACUGCCACCGCCGUCAUCGUCGUCUCCGUCGGGGUCUCCUCCAGCAGCCGAGAUGCCCUGUUGUGGUGCAGGGGGCAUCUCUGGCUGAGGUGCAGGGGAAGGCGGCCUCUCAGACUCCACUUCCCGCUGAGGCGAGGGGGAAGAGUCCUGCUGCUACUGCUCCUGGCGUCGGUGCUCCUGCUCCUUGUGCAGGCGACGAUGCAGUCUCUCCAGUUGGCUGGACUGACCUGACACCGUGCGAUGCAGUGGACGCUCUGCCAGGCGAGAAGGCAAAAAGGGGAUCACAGACUUACAUGCAGUGCACCUGAGAUGAGCCGUCUACAAAAGACAUCGUAAGCACAAGACUAAGAAUAGAACUAUGAGACCAGAAAGUAAACAGAAAGGAAAGUGAGACGAAACUUUUUGAGAUAAGUAAAUAACAUAGAGUUGGUCAAGAUGACCAACUUUUGUAAAGACACUAAGGUCAAGGUAAGAGUAGAGGUCUAUAGUCCUUAGGUCGACCAUUCUAGUCUAGGUUAGCGGUCCUACAGUCAGCAAGGCUUUGAUACCACUUAUGCCACACCCGGUUUUGGAAGGUAAACCGAAUGCGAACCAUGUACGUGCUAGGAUAAGAACUCACGUACACAGCGAUUGCAUAAUUUGACAUCAUCACACAAUGCUUGAAUUAAAUAGCGGAAAGAUACUUAGUUACAUCAAGAUGUCUUAGACAUCCACAGAGUCUAUUACAUAAAAAUAGGGUUUAACAAUUAUAUCAAAGUGCGGAGUAACGAAACGUAGAAUAUAAGCCUGCACAGGCAGCUGACUGGGGGUUUGCCACUAAGAUAAACUAGAACUCAUCGUAUUCCUGAAACUCCUCGAAGUCAUCCAUGUUGCCAGCUUCACCUCCUGAGCACUAAGAAUAGUGGGGACAACCUGGGGUGGGGUGGUUUGUAAAGCAAGGGUGAGUACACUUCAACGUACUCAGCAAAUGUCCCGUUUGGCUAAAGUGGACUAGCUGUAUGUGGAGUUAAGGUUUAAGCAACUGCUUUUAGUUGGUCAAGUUUUAUUACCAUAAGUAUAGCCAAAUUUUAGUAAUAACCCAGUUAUUGCCCAGAGGCACUCCCUCCAAGAGGAAAUACCUAAGAUCAGAAUUAUAAUCAUCAUUGCUAAUCAUCAUCAUAAAAGUAACCAUUGUUCUUCUAAUCGAAGAGGAUCCCAAGGCUGCUCAUAACCGCGAGCACGGAUGAUAUACCAGUUUCUAACACUCUGCAGAGGUUGCACACUUUACCCACAAGCCGUUAUUCCCAUUCUGCCCGGGGUUCUAGCCUCCCCAUUGAUCACUACUAAGGUGACCUAGCAGGGUCUCACUACGUAGCCUUUACAAAGAUUUCCCAGAGGACAUAGCUUCCCAUUAGGUUUCUCCAGUUUGAUAAACACAGUACAUCUCCCCAAAGGAAGGGUGACUAACAAAACCAAAUCAAAGAACCUCUGCAACCAGCCUCGGCAGAGCAAGUACUAUGCCCGGACCCCAUUGAUGGCCCUACGACGAAGCAAACUACACCUCUGGUUCCUCUAAUUAAUCAGCUAAGGGCAUCCCAUUCCACCCUCAUGGUUGCACUGUUAUCCCGGGUUGUCACUCCCCAAACAGGUCCUUACGGAGAGGCACUCAGGAAAGAGCCUGAGCCCCGUAAAGAAUCAUAAGAACCCCAUCAGGAUAACAUCAUCGUAUCAUAAAAGAUCACAUCAUGUUCAUUGAUCAAGUUAAAGCAAUAGCAUAAGCUAACCAUGAUUAACCCAAAAAGGUAAACAAGGGUAAGGUAAAUACAGACUAGUCAAUCCUUAGGUUUUCAAUAAAGUAACGCGGGACAGUGAAUUAUAAAGUAUAGUAGGACAUAGUAGGUCUGAGGACACUUGCCUUCACCAGGUUGUUGCUCAGGGAGGUCUCCAACAACACACUCAGGAACCUCAGACUGCUCGUUGUCUAAGUAAAGCGAGCAUACAUUCAAUACAUUUGGAAAAGUAUAAAUGAACAGCACAUCAAACAUUUACAAUCAUUGACACAUAACUCAUAAAGGUAUAAUAUUAAGUGUAGGGGAAUGAUAUCAAGUUACAAAGAAAAUGAAGUAAUCCUAACUGGGUAAUUGAUUACUCUCUAAAUGUUUGGGACAUAGCUCAAAAAGGUUAAGUAGUGAUUAAAACAAAGGAAAGCUAGAAUUAUAAUAUAAACUACUCUCAUUUAGGAAUUUAACUACCUUUUAGGUAUUAUCCAUAAUUACAUUCCUAAUUCUGUUUAUGUUAUUAAGGCCUAAAGGUUAAGUCCAAAAAUAAAUCCAAGUGAUGCAUAACACUAAUCUCACAAGAUUGAAUGUACUUUAUUCCUAGGGUUCUACUUUUAUUUAUUUCAUUAAAUAAAUAAAUAUAUACUUUAAUUGUAUAUUCCAAGUGUAAAAAUUAAAGUAUGCAUAUUACAGUUGACUAUAUUUUAUUUGAACAGAGAAUAAUCUUGUGAACAUUUUGCAAUUUGAACCACUAAAUUUGGAGUUCAUAUGAAAAAGAUAUGAAAUAAACAAGUUUUAAAGUUUGAAAUAUGAAAUUAAGGCUAAAUCUGUAAUUAAAUAAAAGUCCAGGGGAUAUUGUAAAGAAACCAGGGACCUAUGCGCUAAAACAGAGGACGACGGGUUGAUUUCCUAAAUCCAGGGGGGUUCUUAAGCAAAACGACCACACGAAGGGGUACGAGGUAAUCUCACCCAUCAGAUCAGAAACCGACGACCCAGAUUAGAUCGCGCGGGCGCGGGCGCGCUGGCGCGACUGACAAGCGGGGCCAGGGCGUCAGCGAGCCAGGGUGGGCUGACCAGCCGGGCCCAGGGGCAGAGAUGCGGUUGAGGGGGAGAGAGGAGAGACGGUUGGAUCUGGAUCGGACGACUACGAUUAGAUCCGCUCGAGUUAGCUCUACACUGUCCGAUCUCGGGCGAACGACCGAGAUCUAACGGCUGGGGGCGGACAUGGGCGCGGUGGCGUCGCUCGGUCCCGCGGCGGGAACUCGCCGGAGACGAGCAGACCGGCCACGGUGGGGCACCAGAGGCUUGGGGGUUGGCCUAGGCGCACACAAGGGGAUCUGGCGGACUCAGCCGAGGGCACCACGCCGGCGCGGGAGCACCAAAGGGCGCUGCACAUGGCGAGGCGGGCUAACGAGGGCGCGGGGCAACUCCGACGAGCAAUUGCGUGUUAACCAGUGCAGUACACAUGGAAAUAGGGGUGCGGGGAGGUUUCUCACCUUGAGGGGAAGCGCUGGAGGCACGAGGCAACGACGGAGGCACAGGGAUGCGUCGGGGUGACGGUGGCGGAGCUCCGGCUGUGCAAGAACCACUCCGGUGAGAGCGGACCAGACAGACCAGAGAGGGGAAGGGCACACCGAAGGGUGUACCGAGUAGCUGACGGCAAGGCGAAGAUUACCGUGGCACUGGACGGGACACGGGCGCAACGACGGCCACGGAACAGGCGGUGGACGUCGGCGGGUGGUGGCGAAGGUUCUCAGUUCGCAUGGGCAGAGCGAGAGAGAGGGCGAGAGAGCUGGGCAGAGGCACAAAUGGAAGAGGGGAGGUGGGCAAGCAGGGCACGGGGUUCAAAAGGGGCGCGAGGGCUCGGUCGUGGCCAGAGAACGCACGGUCGUGGGGGCGUCCACGACGGGGAGAUCGUGGGCGGGAGGUUGAGGACGACUGACACGUGGGGACGGCGGGACAGAGAGAGGGACAGAGCGGGCGCGGCCGAGAACAAUGGCAUCGACAGGGUUGGCCCACGGGACAUAGAGAGAGGGAGAGAGGGGGCGCUCAGGGUUGCGCUGACACGCGGGACCCGCCUGUCAGGCAGAGGGAGCGCGCGGGCGUGCGGACUGGGCUGCCUUGGGCCGAAUUCAAUUUUCCAUUUUCUAGGGAAUUUUUAAUUGAUUUUCUAUUUAUUUUCUCUAGGGUUUAAAAUUCAAAUUCAAAUAAACUUUCAAAUUCAAACCAAAUCAAAUAUGUGCAACAAUUCAAAGAAUAUUUAGGCUCAAUAUGAUGCAACAUUCCAUGACUCAUAUGUUUUGGGCAAAAUAAAAUAAAUAAUCCCUCACUAAUACAACUAACUCUAAUUAAAAGAGAGAGAAAGAAAACUAAAGAGAGAGGGAAACUAAAGUGUAAUAGAGAAGAGUAACACCUGAAUUUGGAUGAUCAUAAGAAAGAAAUUUUAUACCACCAAAUUCAGGGUGUUACAGCUGCAGAAACCUGUCUUUGUACUCACUGACUGACAUGGGCCCAUGCUUUAGCGCUAGAAACCUGUCUCUGUAAUUAGACCUGCUGGAACAUGGUACCGACGAAAGUUAUCUCUGAAUUCUUCCUAAGUGAUGGCAUCGACGUCGGCAUGGGUGGCGAGGUAGGACUCCCAAGUCCCACCAAGACUCAGCUUCUCCCCUCAACAGACAGGGACCAUACAGAACCUUCUCUCUGUCGUCACACUAAGCGGUGUGCAACUCCCGCUCCAUGAUACGUAGCCAAUCUUCAGCAUGCAUGGGGUCAGCAGAGUGAGCGAACACUGGGGGAUGAUGUCUCAUGGAUUCUGCACGCUUAUCCCUAGGCAUCUGAGGCAUUUGCACUUGCAUCUGAGGUUGAGGUGGGGGCUGUUGCUGCUGCACUUGCUUCAUGGCGGCCAGUAGGACUGGGCGUUCGGCUUACCCGAAAAUUUCUGGUCGGGUAAUUCGGGUAAUUAAAAUUUCAGGUUUUAGAAAGUCAUACCCAAAAUUGUAUCGGGUAUUAUAGUACCCGGAAAUUCGGGUACCCGAUAAUUUGGGUUCGGGUAUCGGGUACUCCCGAAGUACCUGGAUUUAAAAAAAUAGUCACUAGUUCACUACCCUCAUGAAACAUACACAUGUCAUUGGUAAAUACACAUAGGGAAAAUAUGAUACAAUAAAAUACAUCAGGUUCUCAGGAACUGUUAGACUCCAAUACUCCACAACCUAAAUAUACGAUAAAUGAUAUGAAUUCAAAACAGACGAGGCGGCGAGGUCUGCUGUCGUCGUGUCGACCGGCGGCGAGGUCUGCGUGCUGUCUGGUGCCUGCUACGAGGUCGGUCGACGACCUUGGACCACUGCAGUUGGACGGCGCGCUAGACCUAGAUGGACAUGGACACUUGGUGGCGGCGGACUUGGACCGCUCGGUGUCGGCUGUAGCUUGUAGGGUUUGCCCCGUAUUGCUGCACGCCUGCCUCAUACGUGGGAGCCUGGGCGGUGGCCGGUGGGUGGGCUGGUUACUUGGGUUUCAGUAGUUGACUAGUUGGUUACUUGGUUUAGUGACUCGGUGGGUGGGCUGUGAACGCAUGUAGGCUGGCACUUGGGCUAAUGGGUUGUACGCAUGUAUGCUGUUUGUUUUGUAGGCCCCUGUAGCUGGCUAAAUAUUUCCGGGUUCGGGUUAUUCGGGUACCGGCAGGUGGUACCCGAACUGCUUAGAAUAAUUUCGGGUUUCAUAAGUUGGUACCCAAAAUUCCCGAAUAAAAUUCGGGUACCCGAUAUUAUGGGUUCGGGUUCGACAAUUUCGGGUUCGGGUAUCGGGUUACGAGUUUUUUGCCCAGGCCUAGUGGCCAGAGUCUAACCAAUCGCCUAGACUGCCUGAGUCUGCAUCAGAAACAUCUGCUCUAUUCUCAUCAGGGGCGGUUGUGGCAACUGCUGCUGAGGUGCCUCAUCUUGCGGUGCUUGCUGAUCCUACUGAGCACACCUCCCUCCUCUGCACCUGUUGUCUGACAUCUACGGAAUGCAAUCACACAUCAGAACUGAUCUUGCAAAUCUUGCAGCAUAAGAAAAGGGUAUAGAGUUCAUCCACAACAUUGAACAAAUAAACAUCUUCAUUGACUUCCCACACAGGCAGACACAACACCUCAGAUAAAGAGGAAAGUAGAGAUAAAAAGGUUUCCCAACUAGAUAACUAAUUUUAUUAACAUUAGCAGCUAAACCAAAAUGUAGGGGGUACCCACACUCUGGUGACAAUCAUUACAAAGAUCCAAAUCCAUCAUAGUUCAUCAUGAAAAGCAUAAAAACACAUGAUAAGCAAACUACCCUGACUAACUAAGACUAACUAAGAAUAAGACUAAUACUAAGACUUCUAUUUUAAACAUUAAUUACAAGAUCCAAUGCUAACAAUCUAUGGUCCUAAAUUUAUCCUAGUCCCGCAGUCGGGGUUGCCAUAGAGAUGGCGCCCACGCCGAGGCGAGCGAUAAGGGUGUUGAGUCCCGACGGGGGCGGGAGAGCCAUCCGCUAGGUGACAGCGCUCCGCGCGCUAAGCCCGCAACUGGGUGAUCUCAGUACAAGCCCUACAAAACUCGUCUAAAGCGUGGUCCAGCUCCGUGUUUAGCACAAUGGCUAUGUUGACUAUGCUGCUCAACCUAGGAUUGUCCUCACCAAUAGGUGAGACAACCAAGCCUCCUGUGCUGCCAGAUGGACGAUGGGGGUAAUACCUGAGGUCAAGAUCAUCGGCCACCCCACCAAGCACUGAGCAGUAGUGCGAAAGCGCAUGUCGUGCAGCAUCCUGCAUGACUGCCUCAGCUGAGUCCCGCUCAGAGAUAGAAUAAUGCUCCGAGCAGACCUCCGCACCCCGGAGCCUAUCUUCCAUAUGGCGCACCAAGCAAGUCGCCUCCCAACGGUCCAGGUAUGCCUCGCGACUAUGCUGGAAGACAACACAGCGAUACUCGAUGGACCAAGUGCAUCGGUCGAGUGCCUGGCGCAGGAAGGUGUUGAUCACAUCGUGAAAGUGACACCCGUGAGCGGUGUCAGGAGUGAUGGGUCAAGCAACCCAUCCCACUGGCUCCUGCUCCUCUGAGAGGUCGGUGCUGUGGCUCGAGCUGUUGUCGUUGCCACCUCCGUCGUUGGGGUCUCCUCCAGCAGCUACUACAGUGGCCGAGACACCCAGUGGUGGUGCAGGGGGCACCUCUAGUGGGGGCACAGGAGAGCAGCGCCUCGCAGACUCUACCUCCUGCUGAGGCAAGGAAGAAGAUCCCUGCUGCUCCAGCUCCUGUCGUCGACGCUCCUGCUCCUCGUGCAAGCGAUGUUGCAGCCUCUCCAAAUGGCUAGACUGACCGGUCACUAGGCGAUGAAGCGGAUGCUCCACGAGACGAGAGGGCAAGAAAGGAAUGACUGAUUUUCAUGAUGUGUGUCUAAGAUGAGCCAUCUACAAAAGACACCGUAAGCAUAAGAGUAAGAACAAAACCAAUAUGACCAGCAAGUAGACCACAAAAAAGAUUAGGAAAUAAAAUAAAACAAAAUUUUCAGCAAGGUAUACUAUAUAUAAUAGAGCAUAAAAUUGGUCUAGAUGACCAACUUUUGAAGUGACACCAAGGUCAAGGUGAGAAUAGGGGUCUAUAAUCCUUAGAAUGGCCACCUACUCUAGGUUAGCAGUCCUACGGUCACCACAACUUUGAUACCACUUAUGUCACACGCGGUUUAGAAGGCAAACCGAAUGCGAACCAUGUACGUGCCAGGAUCAGCAAUUCACGUACACAACAGUUACAUAACCGGACAUCAUCACACAAUGCUCAAAUAAUAACAUAAAAGAGGGACAUAAUUGAUUACAUCAUGAUGCUCGAGACAUCCACAUAGUCAUUAACAUAUAUCAAAGUGCAAAAACGAAACGUAGCUAAACACGGCCUUCACAGGCAGUCAACUGGGGGUUUGCCGCCAACCCAUGCCUAGAACUCAUCGUACUCUUGGAACUCCUGGAAAUCCUCCACCACGACUUCAUCUUCUCCUGAGUAGUGGUUGCAAUGUGGACAACCUGGGGGGGGGGGGGUUGGUGUGUAAAGCAAGGGUGCGUACACAUCAACAUACUCAACAAUUGUCCCGUUUGGCUGUAGUGGACUAGCUUUAUGUGGGGUUUAAGAUCAAGCAAUUGCUUUUAGUUGGUCAGGUAAUCAUUACUAGUAGAGAGCCAGGUUUUAGCAUUAAGCCAAGUUGUUAACCCAAAAGUACUCUUUCCAAAUGGAAAGAAUACCAGAAAUCACAAUCAUCAUCAUAAUCAUAAUAAAAACCAUUAUUAUCCUCAUCAUCAUCUGUAAACAUAGUAUGUCUGAUUAAUGUGUCUCUAAUCAAUGGAGCUCCCAAUGCCGCUCAUAACCACGAGCACGACUGAUAUAUCAGUUUCAUAACACUCUGCAGAGGUUGCACACUUUACCCACGAGCCGUGAUUCUUUUUGCCUUGGGCCGAUCAAACCCUUAAACACUACCAAGGUGAAUAGGCAAGGUUUCACUACAUAGCCUUUACAAAGAUUCCCUAAGGUUGUAGUCGCCUAUUAGGUUUCCUAAAUGUACCGCACUUCUCCCCAAGUGGAAAACCAUCCUCGGCAGAGCGAGCCACAUACACCGAGCCUCAUUGACGGCACGACAGCGAAGAAAACCACACCUCAGUUCCUCAAAUUAUUUAGCUAAGGGCGUCCCAUGCCACCCUCAUGGUUGUACUGUUUUCCCGGGUGGUCAUCCAACGAACCAGUCCUUACGGAGAGGCACUCGAGAAACCGCUCGAGUCCCCUUAAAUGUCAUAAAGCCAUCAUCAUAAUCAAAAGGGGUAAACAACGUAUCAUAAAUAAUCUCCUGAUGUUCAUUGAUUAGGGUGAAGCACUAGCAUAGAGCUAAACCAAAUUGAUCCAAUCCACAUAGGUAAACAAGGACAAGAUAAACAAAGCUAAUCAAUCCUUAGGUAUAAAUUGUGUAAUUGCGGGGAGUGAAUUAUAAAAUGUAUAUGACAUAGAUGGGUCAAGGGACACUUGCCUUCACCAACCAGUUGCUGCUCAGGGUCUUCACCUGUAACUCCUUUGGACUCCGCCAACGGACCAUUAUCUAUAUGAGUUCAAACAUACAUUUCACAAACUUAAUAUAAAAAGAAACAAUACACCACACAAUAGAAUAAGCAGACGCUUGGGCGCAGGCCUCGUAUCUACGACUAUGUGAGAAAGAAAAUACAACGGUCGAGGCUACGGUCGAACGGUGAUUACGAUAAGCAACUAUAGAUUAAAAUACUUGUCCAAAUAUAACCACAUUAAUUUAAUAACCGCGCUAUGCAUAAACCAAAAUUACGCUACGCGCUUAAUUAUUAUAAACAACUCUAGGUAAAUUUAAAAGAUCGUCGCGUGACGAAGCGCGCAACACAACACAUAAUUUAAACAGAAUUACAACGGAUUGUCGCGCAACGAAGUGCGCAAGACAACGCGUCCCAAACUGAAAUUAACUUGGAUUGUCGCGCGGCGAAGCGCGCGACAGCACACGCAAAUUAAACUAGAAUUAAAAUGAAUCGUCGCGCGACAAAGCGCGCGAUGCAACACUUAGACUAAACUAAAGUUGAAGCGAUCCAUCGCACGACAGAGCACACAACGAAACACUUGAAUUAAAUCUGAAAUUAACACAAAACGUCGCGCGACGAAGCGCGCGACGGCAUACGCUAAAUAAACUAAAUUUAAAACGAAACGUCGCGCGAUGAAGCGCGCCACACAACACAUUACUCAAAUCGAAAUUAAUCGAAUCAUCGCACGACGAAGCGCGUGACACAACACACUAAAUAAUCUGAAAUUAAAAUGAAUCAUCGCAUGAAGAAGAGUGCGACGCAGCCCAUGAAUUAUACUGAAUUUAAACGCUACGCGCACUAGGGCUGCGUCGGGGGCAGGCCGCGUUGGAGGCGGGCCGCCACGCCAGGGCAGGGGCGAGCCGGGGGCAGGCCGCCGCGCCGGGGCAGGGGCGCGUGGCUGGGGACGCCAGACAGGGGCGCGUGACCGAGGGGCUUCAGACAGGGGCUCAUGGCCGGGGGGCACAGGGCAGGGGCGCGCAGCCGGGGGCGCCGGGCAGGGGCGCGUGGGGGGAGGGAAGGAGGAGGGAGAGGAGAGGGGAAGAGAGGGGGAGCUCACCUCAUGGCUCGAUGAUCGGUGGCAACCGCUCACCGGAAUCCCACCUAGGGCAAGGGGAGGUGGAAGAGAGGGAGAGGGAAGUUGCUGCGUGGGAAAAGAAAAUGAGAGAGAGAGGGGUGGGGGGGGGAGGAUGGCGCCAGGAGCGCGCCUGGGCCGUGGGUCGGGCCGGCAACCCACUACACGCUCUCGCUUACCUCUAACCGAAUUUAAAUCACGGAUCAAAAACCGAAACAAGACGAAUGCGCGAUUAGACACAACAUCAUACAAAAGAAAUAUGCUUCGGCAUGAUGCAACAACCAUGUCAACUUAGGUUUUUUGUUUAUACGCGAUACGUGCACCAAUCUCUACAUUGCUUUGAAAAUAGGAAGAAGGAGCGAAAUAGGAAGAGAAAAGAGAGUAACUCCUGAAUUUGGUGAAUAUCGAAGACAAAAAUUUAUACCCCAAAUUCAGGACGUUCAACAACAAGCAGAUUGACGUUUGUUGGGAGAUGAUGGAUAAAAUGGGCUACCCUAAGCUUGAGCUUGGGCUAUCCUUAAUGCUGAAAGACCAUCUAACAGAUUUGUUGGGACCAUGCUUCGUCGCCGAAGGUCCUGCAGGAAGAAACAGCUUCGGCUGAAGCUGUCCGCAUGUGAUGACCGAAGGUUGCUCUUCAUGAAGCUUCGGAAUUACAAACCGACUUAAAAGUAGAAUGACAUUUUAGUCCAUAAGUGUUUGAGUCGUUGUUGUAAACUUUUAUGAGGGGCAUGAUUGUAAUUCCUCACAGGAUGUGUCCUGUGCCUAUAAAUAGUGAACAAUAUUCCUUUACUGUUCACGCAUUCCUGUAAUUGCAAUCGCAUCACUCGGGAAUUAAUCUUUGUCAAGGAAGAGGUAUAAAUGUAUCUAAUAUUUGAAUGCAUUAAGUUAAUAUAAUAUGAAAGUGAUGUUGUCUAUUUAUAAUUUAUUUGUCUUUGAUGCUUCAUAUUUAAUAUUACUUUACAUAAUCUAUUAGAGUUCAAUUACGAAGAUUCAACCUUCGUAAUUGUAUCGUUCUUAACCUUCGUCCGAAGUUCAUUAAAUCCUUAAAGGAAUAAUGCUUCAGCGGACGAAGGGCAUUAACAUUUAACAUUUUAUGUUGCCUUGUUCUUAAUUCAUAGCAUUUGAGAACGAGUCCCCAACAUUGGCGCCCACCUCCGGUGAACUCACUUCCACUUUUCUGAGCUGAUGGCUUCGUUCAAUAUUCAAGCUGGAGCUGCUUCGGUUCUGAAGCUGGUACUCCCGAUAACGGGCGGUUCAUGUUCAGAACCAGCCAACAAGAAACAGAAGAAGGAAGCACAGAGAAGGGUACAACAUGUCGGGGUGCAAGGACCCUUCAUCAAGUCAAGAUGGUCUCACAUUCCCAUUACCUUCUCCCAAGAGGACCUUCAACUCAAGGAUUACCCACACAACGAUGCUAUGGUUAUCUCUUGUGUUAUCAAAGGAUUUAUGGUCCACAAUGUUUUGGUUGAUACAGGCAGUGCAGCUGAUAUCAUAUUUGCUAAGGCCUUCAGACAAAUGCAAGAGCCCGAAGAUAAAAUUCAUGAUGCUACACAUCCCCUCUGCGGCUUCGGAGGAAGGCAGAUUGUAGCACUCGGCAAAAUCUCAAUGUCAAUGGCUUUCGGAUUCAUCAACAACACAAAAACUGAGCAAGUUAUGUUUGAUAUUGUUGACAUGGAGUACCCUUACAAUGCAAUCAUUGGCCGUGGUACUCUUAAUGCCUUCGAAGCAAUUCUGCAUCCAACUUAUCAUUGCAUGAAGAUACCUUCGGACCAAGGGCCCAUUGCUAUUCAUGGAAGUCAAGAAGCUGCCAGAAGGGCCGAAGGAAAUUGGACAGACUCAAAAGCAAUCCAUAAUAUAGAUGGAACUGAAGCUUGUGAGCAAUACAAGUUUAGAAGGGAAAAAGCUGCUUCGGUUGACCAGCCGAAACCCAUGCUCUUAUGUGAGGAUAUAGCAGAGCAGAGGGUGCUAUUGGGAUCUCAAUUGUCCGAAGAGCAGGAGAAAACCUUGAUAAGGUUUUUGUUCAACAAUAAAGAUGUUUUUGCUUGGUCAGCUAAUGAUCUUUGCGGAGUUAACAGGGAUGUUAUUGAGCAUUCGCUCAAUGUUGAUCCAUCCUUUAGACCCAGGAAACAGAGGCUUCAGAAGAUGUCUGAUGACAAGGCCGAAGGUGCUCGGAAUGAAGUGAAACGACUCCUCAGUGCCGGAGUUAUUAGAGAGGUAAAGUACCCAGAAUGGUUGGCUAACACUGUUAUGGUGAAGAAGGCUAAUGGUAAAUGGAGAAUGUGCAUCGAUUUUACUGAUCUCAAUAAGGCCUGUCCGAAGGAUGAGUUUCCUUUGCCAAGGAUAGAUUCUUUAGUCGAUGCAGCAGCUUCAUCAGAACUUAUGAGUUUGCUGGAUUGCUAUUCAGGCUAUCAUCAAAUCUGGAUGAAGAAGGAGGAUGAACCAAAAACCAGUUUCAUAACCCCUAGUGGGACAUACUGUUAUGUCACACCCGGGUUUCGGGGCACCAAGACCCGGGUGUGAACAUAAUCACCAGGUGUGCUGGGACCAAGUCUCACACAUAUGAUGAAUCAUGGCACAGGAUCGAAUGUCACAUCUUUACUAUAUAACAGGAGUUCUGUACAAAAAUAAUUAAAUAAUUACAUCAUAUGAGGAAACGAUCCAGCAACCCAAAGUUGACUGGGAGACGACGACCUAGAUCUCUUACGAACACAUCACAGCAUCCUCCAUGCGCCUCAUCCGGUGGUACCUGUUCUUGACCUGUGGGGGGGUGUGAGACAGCAAGAGUGAGCUCACAUACGUUCAUCGCUCAACAAGUUGUGGGGAAUAAUGUGCAUGAACUCGCCAAAGGUGGGAGCUCACGUGAAGUGUAAGGCUUACCAAAGAGGAUGGCUAGAGCUGAGCAUUGCUUUUAAAGUUGGUCAAAAUUUUAUUAGCAAUUACUAAGUAUAAGUAAAUACCAACCCAAUUAAGUAGUAGAACAAAAGUAACAACCUCACCUGCGAUGCAAUGCAUAUGACAAAUUGAGUUUAAGUUCCAUAAUUUAAUCAUCAGAGAGUCCUGAGCUGCUCAUGACCGUGAGCUCGGCUAGUAUACCAGUUUUACACUCUGCAGAGGUGGUACCCUUUACCCACAAGUCAUGUUACCCGUCUGCCAAGAGAUCGCGACUUCCCAUACACCUCUACCGAGGAGGCGAGGCAGGGUAACACUACGAGGCCUUUACAAAGUUCCACUAGCUUCAGAAAACCCGCUACAGUUUAUGGGAAGCUCCAAUGCAGGAAUCCCUUGCAGGACCGCCAUCGCAGCAAAAUCCUCCCGAGGGCCUCCCUACACUGACCACUCCCCUACUGCCCUUGCCCCUUUCGGGUAAGGUAGUCCUCCACUAGCUUUCCUAAUUAGUCAGCCAAGGGCGUCCAUAAACCCUUGUGGUGGCACGUGUUUCUCAAGUUAAGCUCUAUGUUCCAAUUAACAUUUAAUGAUCUUGUCAUGAACAUAAAUGAAAUAACAACAUAACUGGAACAUAGAUAUAAUGAAAUAUUAACCCAAAACCAUAUAAAGCAGUAGCAGAACUACCCAAGUGAUUCAGGGGUAAACAAGGUAUUCAGGAUAAACAAACUAGGGUGACCUAUUGGGUCCCAUCAAAAUUAACCUAUGCAGAUCAUUAUGAUUAAUUAGAACAUGAGUGGGUAAAAGAAGUGAUCAAGGGCACAACUUGCCUGGGACUUGAGAUUCCAGGUACCAGGAUGAUCUUCAGAUUCUCGUGACCUCACUGCUAGUCGUAGUAAUACAAACAUACAUGGUAUAGGCAAAAUUAACAUCACACCAAACAUAAGAACAACUGAAUAAUAAUAAUCUAUGCGUUGCUACGAGACUAACGGAACUUGAACGGAUCAAAUCGGAGUUAAAACGGAGGAGAUACGAAUUUCCUAAGGUUUUAUGUAUUUGAUACGAGGUUAAUUAAGAAAUAAAUUUUAAUACCAUUUUCAUGUUAAAACAGAGACACAGGGUGAUAAACAACAUUAUUACAAAAUCAUAGAAACUGAAAUGGAUUAAUUUGGACUUAGUAUGCAUUUUCUAUGAAUUAAACAAAUUCUGGCAUUUAUUUUUACACUAAAAAUCAAUUUCUAAAUGAUUUUAUAGGUUUUUCUUCCCUGCCUGGGCUGCACGCACUAUUUACAGAGAACCCAGGGGUCUCGGGGAAAGAUUCCCAAGACACAAAAAAUCCUGGACUGGACCGCGGGUUAGUAUCCUAAAUCCAGAGGGGCUCUUUAGCAAAAUACUACGGCCGAAGGGGUACGGAGGGAUUUGGGCCGUUGGAUCAUACAUCCACGGAUCAGAAUAGAUCGGUCGUGGAAUGAAGCGGUACGCACUGCUGACCCUACGAUCCGAGAUCUACGGUCCGGAUUAGAUCCGACACACUUCAAACCAGCGAGUUACCCAGGCCGCCCGAUUUGUAUCCUACAGUGCAGAUUUUAAAUACCCGCGACCACACGGACACGUCCGAUCAAAAACCAAUGCUCCAGAUUAGAUUUGUCGUUGAAUUCAACCGGUAUGCUACCAGAGCCGAUGGAUCUGCGAUCUACGGCAAUAACUUAAUGGAACACGAUCUGUUUUGAUCCGCAGGAUGCCGAUUCGACGGCACAGAUCCAAUCACCCAACAACGAUACGGCUAAACUAAUCUGGGCCAUUCAACAAUGGAUCCACGGCCCCGCGCCUUCUUCAACCCCCAGCUCGUCUAACACGCUGGCGAGGGAGACUUCCCCCCACAGCCGCCAUUACCAGAGCACAAGCUCGGUGCUUCCAGUGCCACCAUAGCCAAACCAAACACUACUAGCUACGUAAAGGAAACAGGGAUGCACACGAGAGUCCUUGCCUGAGAUUCAGAGUUCGCCCAAUCACGAGAGAUCCAGCCACGGCGAUGGUCUUGCAUCCGAACAGGUCUGAUGCGAUCCCCGUAGUGUAGGUCGCCCCCAGAAUCUUUCCUGUCCAGAGGUUCCCAAGAACAGUGCGGCGCGCCUCCAGGUGCUUUGCUGCGCGCGCAGAAGGAACACCAAUCAGUGAUCCCCCAAUCUCUUCUCUCUCUUCUUCGUUGCGCUCUCUCAGGUUCUCGCAUUCCCGCGGAUUCUAUCGACCGUGCACGGCAAUGGGGUUACAGACAUUCACUUAUAUGCGCAGGGGAAGCAGUAGUUUGGUUCCGGCCGGAUCGACGAGGUUGUUGCGGCGCGGCGAGAAUUCCGGGCGGACUCCGUGCUUACCUGCUACAACGAAGGUGAUUACGCGGGUGUAACUGUGUAACCAACGUGGGGAUGCAGCAGGUGGGGGUCCCACAUGCCAGAGAUUGAACGACGCCCUGGUCGUCAUGUCAUACUCCAAUGUGGGAGAGCUACAUGACAUCAUCGCUUGUGUCACCAUGGCAUAUGCUGCGGCUAGAGAAUUAAAUAAAUAAUAAAAAAAACAGAAGGGCAUGGGUUGUACGAUGAGUGAAAUGGGCCAUGCGUCAUGCGUCAUGUGAAUGUGUGAUAGGCUUCUUUCUCUUUUUAAUUUAAUUCUAUUUCAUGUUUUCAAUUUCUUUUAGUUUUUCAAAUUCCGGAUUCAAAUUCAAACAUGAGUUAGUAUUUCAAAUAUAAAUGAAACAGUCCAAGAAACCCAACAUGACAUGUAAUGAUGUAAGUUAUAUUUAUUUUUAUGUAUUAAUUAUUUAUUUAAUUUAAUGUUUCAAGUAUGGAACACACACAUUCUUUAUUUUAAUAGAAAAUACCUUCUAAUUAAGAUAUCUUUUUACUUAACUCUUUUUUAGAGAAGGUUUCAAAAAUUCAAGAACCACUCUCAUGUAUAUUCUUAUUUCUUUAUUUUAUUAUUUUAUGAUAUAUAUUUUUUUCUUCUACCAAUUUUAGGUCUUACAAAUCCUACCCCCUUUACAGAAAUCUCGUCCUCGAGAUUUGUAAGAAAAGGGUAUAGAGAGAUUGGUAUGUAAAUUAGCUUUUAGUUUUCCAUUAGUUCAAAAAAUUAAGAGUCUCUUUUUUUAUAAUCCUUAAUGGGUGAUUAGGAGAGUAUAGGUAUCUUCUAUACCUAGCCACUUGUUAUGCAGGAUAAAAGAUGGGUAGGUUAGUGCAAGAGUUACCUGGGAUGAGAAAUUUUAUGGUGAGAAAGAACCUCGUGUUGGGUGGUAAUGCAUCUGAAGAUUGAGUUUGACUCCCCUCCUUCCUUGACGUGGUUGAUCUUUUCUUCUCCGGUGUUGGUCUUAUUGAUUUGAGGUUAGUGUAUAUCAUUAGGGUCGGGGAAUAUGGUUAAGAUAGAUAUAGGUGAGAUGGACCACAUGAUGUAGGUCAAAAUUUGUUUGAUGAUAGGUGGGGAUAGACAAAUUAUGCAUCCCAUCAAGACUCUAUUGGUUGGGUUGGUCUGUCAUUCUUUAUUUAGUGCAGAGUGAACCUAGUUAAAGCAUGUGGAUAUGGUCUAUUUCACAAGUAUUAACUUAUCCAUUAAAUAACUCACUUUAGAUUGGACCAUAUUAGAUUAGAUGGGAUCUACAUUAGAUCGGUAUAACUAGAUUAGACUAGAUAAUAUCUAAAUAAACUGUGAAUUAGCUCAAGGUUGUUAUUCUAGAGUGGGAUAAAUAUGCUAAUUAGGGCAUAAUGAAUUCAUAAGGAUAAGGUAGAAUGUUUUGAGGUCAGUUAGAUCUAUUAGGAUGAGAUAAAAUCUUAAUUUGGAUAAGUUAGGAUCCUUUUGAGAUAAGAUGAGAUGGACAUUGUUUAGGCUAGAUACUUUAAUGAGAGAUAAUCCAGUUUGUCUAGUUAUUUUGAUGAGCAUUUUUUCUAUAUGUAUAUGCAGAUGUAAUUGUGGGCAUUACUCCACAACUCAUCACACUCAAUCAAAGAUCCAAAUCAGACAAGAACAAACAUUCAAGUUCAUGGAUACAAAAAAAAUAGUUUUUUUGUUCCUAAGAUUAGGUCUCCUAGUCCUAAAGUCACUUUAGGUGCAGGAUUUCAAAGCGUGAAAUCCAAGUUUGUCUUUAGAAGUGAAAAGGUAAGAAUAAUCAGAGUAAAGCGGAAAUAGAUGAGAAAGAUUAAGAGAAGUUUAGAAAAGAAUCGGAGUAGCAAAGAUAAGUAAGUAUUGGUUGUCCAGUUCUAUCUAGGUUUCGUCCUACAGUCAACAUUCCUCUGAUACCACUUCUGUCACACCCGGGUUUCGGGGCACCAAGACCCGGGUGUGAACAUAAUCACCAGGUGUGCUGGGACCAAGUCUCACACAUAUGAUGAAUCAUGGCACAGGAUCGAAUGUCACAUCUUUACUAUAUAACAGGAGUUCUGUACAAAAAUAAUUAAAUAAUUACAUCAUAUGAGGAAACGAUCCAGCAACCCAAAGUUGACUGGGAGACGACGACCUAGAUCUCUUACGAACACAUCACAGCAUCCUCCAUGCGCCUCAUCCGGUGGUACCUGUUCUUGACCUGUGGGGGGGUGUGAGACAGCAAGAGUGAGCUCACAUACGUUCAUCGCUCAACAAGUUGUGGGGAAUAAUGUGCAUGAACUCGCCAAAGGUGGGAGCUCACGUGAAGUGUAAGGCUUACCAAAGAGGAUGGCUAGAGCUGAGCAUUGCUUUUAAAGUUGGUCAAAAUUUUAUUAGCAAUUACUAAGUAUAAGUAAAUACCAACCCAAUUAAGUAGUAGAACAAAAGUAACAACCUCACCUGCGAUGCAAUGCAUAUGACAAAUUGAGUUUAAGUUCCAUAAUUUAAUCAUCAGAGAGUCCUGAGCUGCUCAUGACCGUGAGCUCGGCUAGUAUACCAGUUUUACACUCUGCAGAGGUGGUACCCUUUACCCACAAGUCAUGUUACCCGUCUGCCAAGAGAUCGCGACUUCCCAUACACCUCUACCGAGGAGGCGAGGCAGGGUAACACUACGAGGCCUUUACAAAGUUCCACUAGCUUCAGAAAACCCGCUACAGUUUAUGGGAAGCUCCAAUGCAGGAAUCCCUUGCAGGACCGCCAUCGCAGCAAAAUCCUCCCAAGGGCCUCCCUACACUGACCACUCCCCUACUGCCCUUGCCCCUUUCGGGUAAGGUAGUCCUCCACUAGCUUUCCUAAUUAGUCAGCCAAGGGCGUCCAUAAACCCUUGUGGUGGCACGUGUUUCUCAAGUUAAGCUCUAUGUUCCAAUUAACAUUUAAUGAUCUUGUCAUGAACAUAAAUGAAAUAACAACAUAACUGGAACAUAGAUAUAAUGAAAUAUUAACCCAAAACCAUAUAAAGCAGUAGCAGAACUACCCAAGUGAUUCAGGGGUAAACAAGGUAUUCAGGAUAAACAAACUAGGGUGACCUAUUGGGUCCCAUCAAAAUUAACCUAUGCAGAUCAUUAUGAUUAAUUAGAACAUGAGUGGGUAAAAGAAGUGAUCAAGGGCACAACUUGCCUGGGACUUGAGAUUCCAGGUACCAGGAUGAUCUUCAGAUUCUCGUGACCUCACUGCUAGUCGUAGUAAUACAAACAUACAUGGUAUAGGCAAAAUUAACAUCACACCAAACAUAAGAACAACUGAAUAAUAAUAAUCUAUGCGUUGCUACGAGACUAACGGAACUUGAACGGAUCAAAUCGGAGUUAAAACGGAGGAGAUACGAAUUUCCUAAGGUUUUAUGUAUUUGAUACGAGGUUAAUUAAGAAAUAAAUUUUAAUACCAUUUUCAUGUUAAAACAGAGACACAGGGUGAUAAACAACAUUAUUACAAAAUCAUAGAAACUGAAAUGGAUUAAUUUGGACUUAGUAUGCAUUUUCUAUGAAUUAAACAAAUUCUGGCAUUUAUUUUUACACUAAAAAUCAAUUUCUAAAUGAUUUUAUAGGUUUUUCUUCCCUGCCUGGGCUGCACUCACUAUUUACAGAGAACCCAGGGGUCUCGGGGAAAGAUUCCCAAGACACAAAAAAUCCUGGACUGGACCGCGGGUUAGUAUCCUAAAUCCAGAGGGGCUCUUUAGCAAAAUACUACGGCCGAAGGGGUACGGAGGGAUUUGGGCCGUUGGAUCAUACAUCCACGGAUCAGAAUAGAUCGGUCGUGGAAUGAAGCGGUACGCACUGCUGACCCUACGAUCCGAGAUCUACGGUCCGGAUUAGAUCCGACACACUUCAAACCAGCGAGUUACCCAGGCCGCCCGAUUUGUAUCCUACAGUGCAGAUUUUAAAUACCCGCGACCACACGGACACGUCCGAUCAAAAACCAAUGCUCCAGAUUAGAUUUGUCGUUGAAUUCAACCGGUAUGCUACUAGAGCCGAUGGAUCUGCGAUCUACGGCAAUAACUUAAUGGAACACGAUCUGUUUUGAUCCGCAGGAUGCCGAUUCGACGGCACAGAUCCAAUCACCCAACAGCGAUACGACUAAACUAAUCUGGGCCAUUCAACAAUGGAUCCACGGCCCCGCGCCUUCUUCAACCCCCAGCUCGUCUAACACGCUGGCGAGGGAGACUUCCCCCCCACAGCCGCCAUUACCAGAGCACAAGCUCGGUGCUUCCAGUGCCACCAUAGCCAAACCAAACACUACUAGCUACGUGAAGGAAACAGGGAUGCACACGAGAGUCCUUGCCUGAGAUUCAGAGUUCGCCCAAUCACGAGAGAUCCAGCCACGACGAUGGUCCUGCAUCCGAACAGGUCUGAUGCGAUCCCCGUAGUGUAGGUCGCCCCCAGAAUCUUUCCUGUCCAGAGGUUCCCAAGAACAGUGCGGCGCGCCUCCAGGUGCUUUGCUGCGCGCGCAGAAGGAACACCAAUCAGUGAUCCCCCAAUCUCUUCUCUCUCUUCUUCGUUGCGCUCUCUCAGGUUCUCACAUUCCCGCGGAUUCUAUCGAUCGUGCACGGCAAUGGGGUUACAGACAUUCACUUAUAUGCGCAGGGGAAGCAGUAGUUUGGUUCCGGCCGGAUCGACGAGGUUGUUGCGGCGCGGCGAGAAUUCCGGGCGGACUCCGUGCUUACCUGCUACAACGAAGGUGAUUACGCGGGUGUAACUGUGUAACCAACGUGGGGAUGCAGCAGGUGGGGGUCCCACAUGCCAGAGAUUGAACGACGCCCUGGUCGUCAUGUCAUACUCCAAUGUGGGAGAGCUACAUGACAUCAUCGCUUGUGUCACCAUGGCAUAUGCUGCGGCUAGAGGAUUAAAUAAAUAAUAAAAAAACAGAAGGGCAUGGGUUGUACGAUGAGUGAAAUGGGCCAUGCGUCAUGCGUCAUGUGAAUGUGUGAUAGGCUUCUUUCUCUUUUUAAUUUAAUUCUAUUUCAUGUUUUCAAUUUCUUUUAGUUUUUCAAAUUCCGGAUUCAAAUUCAAACAUGAGUUAGUAUUUCAAAUAUAAAUGAAACAGUCCAAGAAACCCAACAUGACAUGUAAUGAUGUAAGUUAUAUUUAUUUUUAUGUAUUAAUUAUUUAUUUAAUUUAAUGUUUCAAGUAUGGAACACACACAUUCUUUAUUUUAAUAGAAAAUACCUUCUAAUUAAGAUAUCUUUUUACUUAACUCUUUUUUAGAGAAGGUUUCAAAAAUUCAAGAACCACUCUCAUGUAUAUUCUUAUUUCUUUAUUUUAUUAUUUUAUGAUAUAUAUUUUUUUCUUCUACCAAUUUUAGGUCUUACAUGUUACCUUCGGAUGCCUGAAGGGCUUAAGAAUGCUGGAGGAAGCUUCAGCAGAAUGACAGCGAAGGUUCUCCAUUCUCAGAUAGGCAGAAAUGUACUAACUUAUGUUGAUGAUAUCAUUGUAAAGAACACAAAGCAGGAUAACCACAUUGCUGAUUUACAGGAGACCUUCGCUAAUUUUAGACAGGCUGGUCUGAAGCUGAAUCCAGAAAAAUGUGUCUUCGGAGUAAAGAAGGGGAAAUUUCUUGGUUGCCUAGUUUCAACAAAGGGAAUUGAGGCCAACCCAAGUAAAAUCGAAGCUAUACUUCGAAUGGAGCCACCAAGUACAAAAAAGGGGGCUCAAAGAUUAACAGGAAGGCUGGCAUCUCUCAAUAGAUUUAUAUCCAGAUCAGCAGAGAGAAACUUACCAUUCUUCGAAGUACUGAAGUCAGCCGAAGUCUUUCAAUGGGGACCAAUCCAGCAGAAGGCCUUUGAAGAGCUGAAACAGUAUUUGAUAGAUCUAACAACACUAACUCCACCUACGCCAGGGGCUCCUUUGUUAUUAUAUGUGGCAGCUUCGCACUCAGCGGUAAGUGCAGCACUUGUUCAGGAGAAGCUUGAAGGCCAAGUUAAGAGGCAGGCCCCAAUAUAUUUUGUAUCCGAGGUUCUUAGUUUAUCAAAGAAAAAUUAUACAGAGUUGGAGAAGGUACUGUAUGCUGUCUUGAUGGCCUCCAGGAAGCUUCGGCAUUAUUUUCAAGCUUACAACAUAGUUGUUCCUUCUUCACAACCUCUGAAGGAUAUUAUGAGGAACCGAGAAGCUACUGAAAGGAUUGGAAAAUGGGCUGCAGAGCUCAAUGAAUUUUGCAUUGAAUAUGUUCAUAGAUCUUCGAUUCAGUCCCAGGCGUUAGCAGACUUCAUUGCUGACUGGACGCUAGGGGCUCAGGAGGAGGAAACAAAUAAAGACGCUGAAGCAUGGACAGUGUUUUGCGAUGGGUCUUAGGGAACCUUCGGAGUGGGAGCAGCUGCUGUGUUGGUUUCACCUUCCAAAGUUAAAACUUGUUAUGCAGCAAAACUUGAUUUUAGUUGCACAAAUAACAUUGCCGAGUAUGAAGCUCUGCUUUUGGGUCUUCGGAAAUUAAAGGCAAUGGGAAUCAGAAGAGCCAUCCUUAAAACUGAUUCCCAAGUUAUUUCUGGUCACAUCGACAAAAGUUACAAAGCAAGAGACCCGAAGCUUGAAAAGUAUCUAGAUACAGUCCGAAGGAUUGAGGCAUCCUUCGAAGGUUUCUCUGUCAAAAAUAUUCCUCAUGGAGAAAAUGAAUACGCCGAUCUAUUGGCUAAGUCAGCAGCCCAGGGUCUACCUAUACCUUCGGAAGUAUUUUUUGAAACAAUAAAAGCACCUUCGGUCGAGCUUCUUGAAAGAGCAAUCCUUAAUAUAUCCCCUGUUUAUAGUGAAGAUUGGAGAACUGAGAUCAUCUCUUUCCUUCAGGGUAAUUUUCUUUCAGACGACGAAGCUUAUAACAGGAGAAUAGAAGCAAGAGCUCGACCAUAUGUCAUGAUAGAAGGGGAGUUAUACAAGCGCGGGGUCUGCUCCCCAUUACUCAAGUGCUUAUCCAGAUCCGAAGGUAUAGAAUUAAUGAAGGACAUACAUGCAGGUCUGUGUGGAUCUCACAUUGGAUCUAGGCCCUUGCUUGGGAAAGUUUUUCGCCAAGGAUUUUAUUGGCCAAAGGCAGCUUCGGAUGCAGCGGAUUUAGUUCAAAAGUGCGAAGGUUGUCAGAAAUGUGCAAGAGAUCAAAAACAACCUUCGUCUUUAACUCAAUUAAUACAACCCACUUGGCCGUUGCAAAGAUGGGGUCUGGAUUUGCUAGGUCCAUUACCACCAGCACAGGGGAACUUAAGAUAUGUGGUGGUGGCAGUGGAAUAUUUUUCCAAAUGGAUUGAGGCGAAGCCCUUAGCCACAAUAACUUCAUUUACUAUUCAAAAGUUUUUCUGGCAAAACAUUGUUUGUCGCUUCGGAGUGCCGAAGGCUAUCACUGUGGAUAAUGGGACACAGUUUGAUUCUGAAGCCUUCAGAGAAUUUUGUAAUCAAAUUGGCACGAAGAUCCAUUUUGCAUCAGUCCGACACCCAGAGUCAAAUGGACUUGUCGAAAGAGCCAAUGGGAUCAUAAUGACAGGAAUAAUGAAGUCAAUCUUCAACCAGCCCAGGGGAAAGUGGCCAGACGAGUUAAUUAAAGUGGUGUGGAGUCAUAACACAACUACGUCAAGGUCGACAGGCUUUACACCCUUUAAACUAUUGUUUGGUGACGAAGCAAUAACCCCAGAAGAGGCUAAAACAGGAUCAAUAAGGACAGUAGCUUCGGCAGAGGACGAAAACGAAGCUGAUUGCUCUGUAGAAAAAGAUGCUAUUGAAGGGAUCAGACUCCAAGCUGUGGAGAACAUCAAUAAAUAUCAAGCUGAAACAAUAAAAUGGCGUGAUAGAAAGGUCAAGCUGAAGAAUAUUGAACCAGGACACUUGGUACUUCGAAGAGUAGCUAACCCUGAAACGGUAGGCAAAUUACAGCUGAAGUGGGAAGGCUUUUUUUGGUAAUAUCUUCGUCAAGACCUGGUUCCUACAGAUUGAAGGAUAUGGACGGCAAUGACAUUCCUAGAUCGUGGAAUGCGGAUGAGCUUCGGCGAUAUUAUGUUUAGUUCGAUGUAAUUUUUUAUAUUCUUUUUUGUGGCACCCUUUUCCUUUCCAAAGGGGGAGAAAGGUUUUUAAUGGGGCCACAACAUGUAAUUUUUCUUUUCCUUAUUUCAAUUCUAUAAGAGUGAUAUCCCCCAAAAAAUGUAAAUGUAAAAGCUGAGAACACACCUUUGAGUGCAAAGAGAAAGAAAAGAGAACAGGGAGAAGCUCAAAAGUCGUUCCUAAGGGAAUGCAGAGCUUACAGCGAAAAAUAAACGCUGAUUCCGCCGAAAGUAAAAGGCGAAGAAGCUCCUAAGGGAGGCUUACAGCGAAAAAUAAACGUUGAUUCCGCCGAAAGUAAAAGGCGAAGAAGCUCCUAAGGGAGGCUUACAACGAAAACUCAACGCUGACACACCGAAAAGUAAACGGUGAAGCCAAAAAGUAAACGGCAAAAAGAUUUUUAUCAUUUUUUAGGGGACGAAGGGCCGUGCUUAUGGUUUUUUGAAUAUGUGUCCUAAUAUUCAUUUGCACAUAACAUAUCAUCAUGUCAUUUGCAUUCAUAAACAUCCAUUUAGACAUAUAUAGAAUCAUCAUCAUGCUACACAAAAAGAGACAGGUGCUUCAGAAAAUAAGGAAAAGAUUCGAAGGAAAAAUUUUCUAUGCUUCGUUGUGUACGAAAAGAAGGGAAGGUGUUUUACGCCUUCGGCUCAAAAGAGAAGUUUCGUCCACAGCAAAGCAGAUUGAAUACGGAUAAGGGAGAAAGGAUAUAUUACAAGGUAUGUACAAAUUUACAUAAGAUAUUCCAUAUCUAUAUUACAAGAGUUUCUCCAAGAAUUUUUGCAGGAAAGCACAUUAUAAACAACUUUAAGCUUUAGCUAAGGCUUCGUCUUCAGUUUUGCCAAGCUUCAGCAUCGUCAAUCUUCAGCUUCGUCAUCCUGUAUAUACCAAAUACCAGAGUAAGAAAGGUACAAAUUUUAAAGGAGAAGGUAAAAGUAAUAAACAUAAGUUUCUUACCGGUUUAAGAUGGCUUCGAGCUUCGUCGCCUGCCAUUUUCUGCCCGCCACUUACCCAGAUCUGGGUCAUGAAUCUAUUUCCGAUACUUCUGGCUAAGCUUGGAAUGUCCAUCAAAUCUGAAGCUGACAAGCUGAAGUUUGGUCUGUUUACAAUGUUCCCAUGUGUGCAGCCAGCCUUCAAAAAUGUCGUAGCUGUGCCCCGAGAAGCUACCAGGGCGCAGAAGUCGGCGUGCCCACCAAUAACUUCGUCAAGGGCGUCAACUUCGCCUUCAAUAUAUUCUAAUGUUCUUGGCAGAUUCUCAGCUGAAGGUGUGAAUUUCGAAGAGCUAGCUCCGACAGAGUGAAAUACAUCCUUCAGCCGCAGCACACAUCGGCUGCCGAAGCUUAAGCAUUUCUCCUGAAGUUCUUUGAAGGAUUUCUGCAAAUUUGAGUAUUUAUCCACUUCAGCUUUCAGGCUUGCUUCAAAAUAUUUCUUUUCUUGCUCGAAUUUUUCUGAUUGUCGGAGCAAUUCAUUUUUUAAUUUGUCAUUUUCAGUUUGGGCUUUAGCCAAAGAGCCCUUCAUGGUUUGAAUAACAAAAUCCUUCUUUUCUAAUGCACCUUCAUGCUCUUUGACCAUGGCUUCAAGGUUUUGGAUUGCGAGGUCUUUCUUUUCUAGAUUGGCUUCGUGAUUUUCAACUUUCUCAGCCAAAUCUUGAAUAACGGCUUUGUUUUUCUCCUCCUCCAGAUCUUGUUGCAUUUUUAAAACCUUGCCUAAUAAUAUGCUCUGUCGAAAUGAUCUUCGUUAGAACACGACUUAAAAGAUAAUAAUAAUGGUAAUAAAAUAACAAAAAUAUUCGUUACCUUGAAGUUAGCAUACAGCAAGCUUCCGGCGAUGUGUUGACGUUGAUAGCGGCACAAGUCCGCUUCCAGCUUCGGCAAGCCAAUGCUUUUGGAAAGGGUCCUAACAAUUUUGGCUUCGCUGCGGUUCCGAAGGCACCUUAGUUUCCCUUCGUUGACCCCACCAAAUAGCAUAGCCCCUGAUUUGUAUCCGCAAGAUAUGGCAUAUUUUUUCAACUCCUCUUUUUCGGCGUCUGUUAAUUCUUGUCCGAGUAAAUCUUGAAAGUUAAAAUCUUCUUCUUCUGAAAUUUCAUCAAUCUGCUCUUUCCCCUUCUCAGUUGCCGUAUCCACUGCAGCCACAGUAGCUUCUUCUUCAGCCAUUUUCAGGAGUAUAUUGUCAAUAACCUCAAGCGUGGUUCCCAGGUUCAACUCUUCGGUGGCCCCGGCUUCGGCCCCGGUAGCUUCGGCUUCGCCGGUUUCAGCUUCAGUAGUUUUUAUUCCAGUAGCUUCGGCUUCGGCAGUUUCAGCAAAAACAAUUUUUGACACCGUUGACGGUGGCGGCGUCUGAUGGAUCACAUCUGUUACUUGAAUAAUUCUCCGCUUUUUCGGCUUGGCAGGACUUUCUACUGCCGAAGCUGCCUUGUCCUUCUGAAAAAACUUCGUCAGUUCCAGUGCCAGCGGACUUAGCCUGAAAGGCAAAGGUUCAGUCAUUACCUUCAUAAUUUCCUCUACUUCAACAGCAGAAGGAGAAGCAGGAGUAUCUUCUUCUCGGACCGGCGUUUCCGGCUCUGGGGAUGCAUUUUUUCUCUUUUUUGCAGUGGCCACCUUCGGCUCAGGAUUUAACUCUUCAGCGCUAAGAUCUUCAGAAUCUUUCUUUUUCUUUUUGGCUACCUUGACGACCUCUUCGUCAGUAGCGCUGGCAAUCCUUUUUCGCUUCGGGCCCCCGGCAUCUCCGCCCAGUCGACCAUAGUCAGCGUAUUCAAAUCCUAUGGCAUCAAGUACCCUGUUCAGCCUUCGUUUCGGCCGAGUGCCGAAGGCCGCUGUCAUCAGUUGGUCCUCUUUUUUAGAGUAAUUCCCAAGAAUUUCAUUACUCAUUAUUUCAAUUGUAUCAAGCCAUUCUUGGCAGGGUACUUUAAAGUAUUUCUUGAACUUAUAAUGGUAGGGCAGUCGGACGAGUUCCCCCUUUUUCUUUUCCCCUUUAAGCUUCGGCAUUGUCCACUCUUUCAUAGUAGGAAAAACCCUGAAGGUCAGGAAUUCCUGCACUAAAUCUCUAGUGCCAAUAUGUUCUGCAAUAAUUUGAAUUCGCCCAGUGCAGCCCAAGUUGGACCUUCUACUUCCAUUCUGCAUCGGGGUCUUGUUUCUCCGAAGGUUAGUUCAAGAGGGCUCUGAACUAGCUUCUCUUUGUCUUCGUCGACUUUGACAUAAAACCAUUCUGAUUUCCAGCCUGCCGGCCAUUUGCUUCGGUAGCUGAUCACGGGAAACUUCGUGGUUUUCUGAUAAGCAAAAUUAUAGCAACCAAAAUUUUCAUGCAAUCCAUCUUUUCUGGCUUUAGUUUGGUAAUGCAGCUCAUGAACUCGACAGAAGCUAUCGACAAAUGGCUCCACCGCCUGGCUUCGGAGGGCCCAAAUAUAGACGUUGAGCCUGACAAUCGCGUUGGGAGUCAGUUGGUGAAAAUAGAUGCCAAAUUUAUGCAGCACAUCAGAGAUCAUCCUAUUUAAGGGAAAUCUCAACCCAGCUUUUAGGAAGCUCUUGAAAAUGACUAUUUCAUCCUUUUCUGGCUUCGGGGUAGUUUCUCCCCCCCGAAGCGAAGUAGCUUCUUCUCAUUCUCACUGAAAUAACCCGACUUCACCAUCUUGGAGAGAUCAGCCUUGGAAACAGUCGACUUUCCGAAGUCCAAGUGGCUGGGUUUGCUUGGCACGACAAUAUGGUAAUCAUCAUCGGGAUCAGCUUCCUCAAUAUUUCCUUCUUCCGCUUCGGCAGCAACUUGUUCUGUCUCGGCAACAGUCUGCUCUGUCUCGGCAGUACGGAUUGCUUCCGAGGUCACCAGUCCAGAUCAUUGCAUCGCUUCGGAGAUAGGAACAGUCUCCGAUCCUUCAGCUUCGCCUCCCUCACGCUCAACCCUAGCGGUAGAACGCACUCUGGCCAUUUAAUUCUGAAUUUCUUGGGAACUAAAAACUUUUUCUUCCGAAGCUUUUUCUUCUGACGAAGUAGGCUUUAAACUGGAGCUUCGUUUGAUUGCGAGAGUCAAGCUUCGGCUAUGGUUAAAAAAUUUGGCAGCAAAACAGUACAAUAGCAAUGAAUGCUGUGGUAACUUCACACCUACCCGUCUGUUUAUAUAGUGCUGCAGGUAAGAAGGUGAAUCGUCAGGAUUUUUACAACAGGCGAACAGCUGCUUACACCCGCUGCGCGGUGGACCGCAGAGACCAAAUAGUAACUCUGCAGGGUGGGACCGCUACGCGCUCGGAAACUGAAUCGUUUCUCAACAACGAGCUCAGGGAAGGUGUUUUUCGGACCUUCGGCUUCCUGAAGCCUAAAAGACUUUUUUCACGGAUCAAGCUCGUUACGAAAAACGAUCUAGCACCGCGAAGGGGCUACUGUUGGGACCAUGCUUCGUCGCCGAAGGUCCUGCAGGAAGAAACAGCUUCGGCUGAAGCUGUCCGCAUGUGAUGACCGAAGGUUGCUCUUCAUGAAGCUUCAGAAUUACAAACCGACUUAAAAGUAGAAUGACCUUUUAGUCCCUAAGUGUUUGAGUCGUUGUUGUAAACUUUUAUGAGGGGCAUGAUUGUAAUUCCUCACAGGCUGUGUCCUAUGCCUAUAAAUAGUGAACAAUAUUUCUUUACUGUUCACGCAUUCCUGUAAUUGCAAUCGCAUCACUCGGGAAUUAAUCUUUGUCAAGGCAGAGGUAUAAAUGUAUCUAAUAUUUGAAUGCAUUAAGUUAAUAUAAUAUGAAAGUGAUGUUGUCUAUUUAUAAUUUAUUUGUCUUUGAUGCUUCAUAUUUAAUAUUACUUUACAUAAUCUAUUAGAGUUCAAUUACGAAGAUUCAACCUUCGUAAUUGUAUCGUUCUUAACCUUCGUCCGAAGUUCAUUAAAUCCUUAAAGGAAUAAUGCUUCAGCGGACGAAGGGCAUUAACAUUUAACAUUUUAUGUUGCCUUGUUCUUAAUUCAUAGCAUUUGAGAACGAGUCCCCAACAAGAUUGCUUGGCAUACAAUAGUUUAAAGGUUUGUGUUUACUUUUCUCUUCUAUCUUUUGAUAAUUAUUUUAGAUAAAGUAUUAACUUGUUUUCUUUUUUGUUGGUACUAGGGACUUAUUUUGCGCAAGGCUUUGAAAACGCAGAAGGAAUGCAAAGAUGAAAGCACUCAAAUAGCCUUCAGAAAUCUGGGCUUAGAAGUUAUAACUCUUUGGAAUGAGGCCCUUGAAAAGACAAGAUUCUUCUUCUUUUUAAUCGAGAGGCUAAAGAUGAGUCAAGCUGAUUUGAGUAAAUUCUGUGAGGCAGAUAAAAAAUUUCGAAGCUUGAAAAGGAAAAAGAAGCUGACGCAAGAUGCAUAGCCGACUUAUAAUAUGCUUUAUCUACUCAAGUGGAGCUUCAUAAGUCCGAAGUACUAAGGCUAGAGAAGAAACUUGAUGAAGUUACUAAGAAUUUUAAUGUUGAAAAGGCGAAGUGUGAAAUAUCUGAUACAGAAUGAUCUAGAGUGCAAAAGAAUAUUGAAGAGCUUUGCCAAACAAAGGAAGAAUGUUUUUCUGUUGCUAUGCAAUGUUCUAUCAAGUUUAAGAAUACCUUCGCUAAAGUUGGUGUGUUUUCAACUGACCAAAAUUUUAUCCGCGGUGAUCCCGAAGGUGUAAUUAAAUGGAUCGAAUGUGAAGUCGAAGCCUUUCACGAAGUGCUCACUAGUAGAGGAUAUUUUUUGCCUUUGUGGGUGCCCGAGGGACUAUGUCGCUGCUUGAGAAGGAUGGCUACGAACAUGCGAAGGUUGUAAUUCAACCGGAUUUCGUAGUGUCAGCCGAGGAUGUGAAAGAACCUUCUGCUUAAGCUAUUAAUUUAGGAGGAAAGUUGUAACACCCUGAAUUUAGGGGUAUAAAAUUUCUUUUCUAAUAUCCACCAAAUUCAGGUGUUACCAUCUCAUUUCUUUGAUUCACUUCUCUUUUUCUAAAUAUUGAGGAGUUAUUUUGUACUAUAUAAGUAUUAAUUGUAGUAUGUUCAAAACCCUAGGAGAAUUAUUGUGGUUGCAUCACAUGCUGGAGCACCUAAUUUUGUAUGAUGUUUUGAGUUGUUGUUCCUCCAUUUAAAUUCACGAAGCAUGUUGAUUUUGAAUUUAAAAGCUAGAGCUAAAUUCAUAAUAAAAAGAAGAAAAUAGAAUAGGGCCUUGCUGCCCCAAUUUCUUCAGACAGCCCAGCCCCUCACCCCUGGCCAGCCUGCGCGUACAGCCCAGCUCGCCCUCGCCUCCGCGCGUGCUAGCCAGCCCAGCCGCAUCCCGUUUUCUCCCCAGCCCGCUCGCUUCCCCAGCGUGCCAGCACCCCCGCUCGGCCCACUGUCCCUAGCCCAUUCCGCGGCACGCUCGCACGUAGGCGCACCCUAGCGCAGCCGCCGCACGUCCUCCACUCUAGUCGCCCAUGGCACGUCUUCUUCUCCAACUGUCCGAGCCCCUACGUUUCUGCUCCGGCGAACCCGCCUGGGUCGGCUCGACGGUAGCCAGUCUGCCCCUGCUCCCUGUCCCCGCGCGACCUCGCCCUGCUCGACGCGGCCAGGGCGCAGCCGCAGCCGCAACAAGGGCUCGGCCUCGCCGGCACGGCUGCCCCUAGCGGCGUGCAAGCAAGCGGUCCCGGUGGCCCGGCGCGGGCGGCCUGGGCGCGGCCCUCUGGCACGGUUCGGCCAUGGCGGCACGGGGCGCGGCCCCUACCGGCGCGGGCGCGCGACCCCGGCUCGGCGAGCAUGGGCGCGACGACCUCGGCCUCGCGGCGAACGGGCUCGCGGCAGGCAUCGGCCCCGGCGGCUUUGCUUGGCUCCGACGGUGCCCCUGGACGGCGCAGCCGCUCGGCACGAGCGCGUGGCCCUCUGGCGCGGUUCGGCCGGCACAGGCACGGGCGCGCGGCCCCGUGACCUACGGCGUGGACGCGCGGCGGCUCGGCGCGGCCUGCCUGCGCGGCGGCCCAGCACGGCCAGCCAGCGCGGCGGCUCCGGCACGACCCCGCCCUGUGCGCAGCGUCCUGGCGCGGCUCGCGGCCUGUGCGGCCAGCCCGGCGUGCCCUACGCGACUCGCCCGUGCCCUGCGCGACUCGCCCUCGUGCCCUGCGCGGCUGUUCCGUGCGUCCUGUGCGCCUGUGGCCUGGCCGGUUAUGGCCACCGUGGCCGAGUCAUCGUCGUCGUUCACUGCGCCGAAGUCUUCGCCAGCAGUUCGUCGUGUUCUGCGUCCAUGCCCCAACGUCAUGCAUCUGUGCCCCGCCAUUCGCCGUCGUCUGAGGUGAGCCCAUCGAGGCGAAGCUCAUCUAGCCGCGUCUACCCGCCCUGCGUGUCCAUAGUUUCGCCAUCGCACCCAUUGUUUGUUCGCGCGUCUUUCGCGCGCGUCGAGCGUGUUGUCCAUCCGCGUGAUCGUGUGCGCUAUCUAGCGCGUAGUGUGCACAUCGCCCUCAGGCAUUGCACGUCUCGUCACGCUUUAGUAAACCACUCCACCUAGAAUUGCUCGUGGUGAUUAAUAUUUCGCCUAGAAUUGCUCACGUUAAUUAGUUUACGUAAUUAAACGAUGACUAACCGAAUAGUAAGCCAAUUAGAACUAAGUGUUAUGUCUAUCGAUGCAAGCGAUAAUACUUGGUUAUGUGGGUAGUGCCGACUUAGAUGUUUUCGACUAAUAUUCGUUUUUUGUAAGCAUGGCGUUUGUUUAGUUUUUCUCGCGUGUCGUGAGGAUCGCGCGCGUAGUCGCGUGUUGUCCUCUCGCGAGGCUAAACCGUUCGCUUAUAAUCACUCAUGGCAGAUAAUUAACUAUUUAUUUAAUCGUCCACUAUUAAACUAGUAAGUUAGUUAUAAGUAUAUAGUAGUUUUAAUCUACAAUCAAUGUCAAUUAAUGUGAUUGCGACGAAUUAAAUGUUCUAACUAAUACUUUUUAGCGUAAAUGUUAUAACUUCUCGACCGUAGCUUCGACUAUCGCAUAUCUUUUUCCUCACGUACUGUAGAGGCGAGCUCUAUUUUAAAUUGCUCACUUUUAUAAUAUUUUAUCUUGUAUGGUGUAAUGUUCUUAUGCAAGUAUAUGUUUGCUUGUGUCUGUUUGUAUUCAUUACGCCUCGCGAAUAGACUGCGAUCCAUUUCCGAACUUUGAGGAAAUCGACGGCCAAGCUUCGGUGACCAAGAGAUGAAACUCUUUGAGUUCUACAAAGUUGAAGACCCUGAGCAUCUGUUUGGUGAAGGCAAGUGUCCUCUGACCUAUUAUGUCCCAUUUACGUUAUAAUUCACUGUCCCGCAUACUAUGAACAACAUAAGGAUUGACUAGCUUUCUAUUUACCUGGUCCUUGAUUACCUUUUGGGCUACUAUGGUUAGAUUCAUGCUAUUGCUUUACUUUAAUCAAUGAACAUGAUGAGGAUUAUCAAUGAUACGAUGUUUCCCUCCUUUAUUAUGAUGUUAUACUUGUGGUAUUCAAGGGGGCUCGAGCGGUUUCUCGAGUGCCUCUCCGUAAGGACCUGUUCAUUGGAUUACCGCCCGGGAAAACAGUGCAACCAUGAGGGUGGAAUGGGGUGCCCUUAGCUGAAUAAUUAGAGGAUCCAGGGUGUAGUUCGCUUAGCCGUCGUGCCGUUAAUGGGGCUCGGUGUAUGCGGCUCGCUCUGCCAAGCUUGGGUUCGCCCCCUUGGGGAGGAGUGCGGUGCAUUUAGGAAACCUAACGGGCGGCUACAGCCCCGGGGAAUCUUUGUAAAGGCUACAUAGUGAUGCCCUGCUGGGCCACCUAGGUAGUGGUCAAUGGGGAGUAGCUCUCUCCGGACAGAAAGGGAAUCAUGACUUGUGGGUAAAGUGCACAACCUCUGCAGAGUGUUAUGAAACUGAUAUAUCAGCCGUGCUCGCGGUUAUGAGUGGCCAAGGGAGCUCCAUUGAUUAUAGAUACUUGAUCAGAUAUGGUUUGUUUACAGAUGAUGAUGAGGAGGAUGGUUAUGAUUAUGCUUAUGGUAAUGGUAAGUGGUAUUCUUUCCGUUUGGAAAGGGUACUUUGGGUUAAUAACUUGGGUUAAUGCUAAAACCUGGCUUUCUACUAGUAGUAAUAACCUAACCAACUAAAAGCAACUGCUCGACUUAACCCCACAUAAAGCUACUCCACUUCAGCCAAACGAGACAUUUGCUGAGUACGUUGAUGUGUACUCACCCUUGCUUUCACAAAACACUAGGUUGCCUUUGAUGCAAUCUGUGCUCAGGUAAAGAAAGAGAAGAAAGCGUCGAGGUGGUUCCCCAGGAGUUCCAGGACGUCGAUGAGAUCGAGGAUUAGGCUAGCGACCUCCCCCAGUCAGCUGCCUGUGGUGGGUUGUUUAUGUUUGCUACGUUUCGAUUCUAUGUACUUUGAUUUAUAUUAUGUAAAUGGCUCUAGUCUGUAAUAUUAUUACUUACUCUUUAUUGUAAUUCGAAGCAUUGUGCUAUGAUGAGUCAUUUAUGUAAUCGCUGUGUACGUGAAUUACUGAUCCUAGCACGUACAUGGUUCGCAUUCGGUUUACCUUCAAAACCAGGUGUGACAUAAGUGGUAUCAAAGCCGUGCUGACUAUAGGACCGCUGACCUAGAGUAGCAUUGGCCGUUUUAAGGACUUAUUGAUUAUUACUUCAUCUCAUCCUUGAUUCUGCUUCAAAAUAUUAGUCACCUCGACUAUUUCUAUGUUGUGCUCCUAUAUGCCCCUUGCCAAAAAGUAUUUUAUUCUAGUAUGGUCUAUACUUCUCUCAAUCUAUUAGAUCUGAUCUCAUCUUGUGCUUGCGACAUCUUUGUAGAUGCCCCCUGACCAUAGCCUUUAGUCUUUUGGGACUCUUUCCUCAUCCAUUAUUAAAUUGCUACUAUUUGACCAUCUCUAUUCCAUUUUGUUAUUGACAUGCUCGUAUCCUUGCAUUUUUAAUACCCUUAUCCCUUAAUCUAAAGCACUUACCCUUGUACCUCUACUGCCUAUUUAAACAUUUCAGUUUAUAUGUCCAUGAUCUUACUGUCUUUUGAGACCCUUUCCUAUUCUAUUGUUAAGUCGCUAUCUUUUUUGGCAAUUUGUACUAUCUUGGUCUUGGUAUGCUCGUACCAUUGGAAUCUUGCAUACUCUUAUUUUUAUAUAUGCUUACCUUUAUAUCCCAAUAUCUGUUUGAAAUAUUUCAGUUAACAUGCCCUUGACCACCCUUGUUUCUUAAUGAUCCAUGAGUGAUCAUUUUAUUUUGCACACCUGUGGUAACCUCGUUGUUUCCUUGUAACUCCACUCGGUAAUGAAUAUUUACUUCAACCCUUCUAUUGGAACCUUACCGAUCUUAACCUUGAUUAAAUUCUCCACUUUGUCGUUUUGCGAGUCUUGUCUUAACUAUAUCCUUUGUUAUGCUUUUUAAUUAUUAUCAUAUGCACCCUUGACACCUCUAUAUCCUACAUUGAUGUUGUCUCAUACCUGCCCUUUAAAAUCGCCCCUCUUUCGUCUCAUACAUUCUUUCUCUUGGUCGUAUCCUCUUCUUUGGCUCACGAGUUUGUAACCUCAUCCUUUGUUGUGCUUUUGCUUCUUAUUGCCUUUACCCUUCUCAUCUCUCAAUCUUACCUUGGUCAGUACGCUAUGUUCGUUAUCUAAAACCUCCAAUCUCCCACUUUAGUUCAAGUGUGGUCUCUUACUUAUCUCACCCGUGGUUAUAUCCUAUACUUUACCUCUUGCAAGACUUAUCUUAUCUCUAUUCUUGAUUGUACCUAGAUUCCUGGUUUUUUUAUGCACAUUUACCUCUUCCUUUAUAUCCUUGCCUAUUAUCACCUUUGACCCUUGACCUCUCUCCAUAUUUACCAUGAUGUUUACCUAUUUCUUAGCCUCACUUAUUCCAUUUCAAUCUGAGAGUGUUAUUUUCCCUAUCCUGCUCUUGUUCGUUUCCUUUCCCUUUGUCGCUUUGCAAGUCUUGUCUUACCUUAACUUCAUCCUUUGUUGAGCUUUUGUUUGAUAUCAUCCUUACCUUUGUAAUCUAUGGAUCUUGCCUUGAUACUUAUCUUAGGUCUGCUUGUUGAAAUCACCUCAUUUCUAUCUCAAUUCGAGAGAUAUGUUUUACUUAUCUCACCCUUGACUAUAUCCUCUUAUUUACCGCGUGUAGGCCUAGACUUAACUCCAUUCGUUAUUGUAUUUGUACCACUUGCUCUUCUAUGCCUUUAUCUUUCCUCUUACACCCUUGUCCAUUAUCUCUUUUGGCCCUUGCGAUAUUUAUGUCUUCUUCCCAAAUGCUUACCUUAAACUUAUCCUUUAAAUCCUCCCCUUUCUUUCAACCCAGUUUGAGAGUUGCAAGUUACCUAUCUCUCCCUUGAUUUCUUUUCCCUCUCUAUCAUCUUACAAGUUUUGUCUUAAUUCCUGUUGGGGACUUGUUCUCAAAUGCUUUGAAUUAAGAACAAGGCAACACAAAGAUGUUAAGUAUAAAUGCCCUUCGUCCGCUGAAGCAUUAUCUUCCCAAGGAUUUAAUGAGCUUCGGACGAAGGUCGUAAAUAAAGUAUCACGAAGGUUUCACCUUUGUGAUCAUAUUUUUAAGACAACAAUGAGAAAUAAAAUAUAAAGCACAAAAUAUAUUCACAUGUUUUAUUAUAUGAAUAUACAAGUAUUGAAACAUAAUAUUUAGGCACAUUUAUACCUUCGCCUUGGCAGAAAACAAUAAUCCAAGCGUAACAUGUCCGUGAUUACAGGAUCACGUGAACAGUGCCGGGAUACUGUUCACCUAUUUAUAGGCACAGGAUGCAACCUGCGCAAAAUUACAUUUAUGUCCUUUACAAUCGACUACAAUAAUGACACAAAACAUCAUGGGUCUUUAAGUAAAUUCAUCUUUAAGUCGGUUCAACCCUUCAUCUUGAGAUUUGUCUUUAUGCCAAAGCUUUAUAGAUAAUAGCUUCGGCGCUUGCUUCUUAGAAGACCUUUCGAAGGUGUUCUUUUUAGGAUCUUCAGCUACGAAGCAUACCCCCAACAGUAGCCCCUUCGCGGUGCUAGAUCGUUUUUCGUAACGAGCUUGAUUCGUGAAAAAGUCUUCUAGGCUUCGGGACGCCGAAGAUCCAAAAAACACCUUCCCUGAGCUCGUUGGCGAGAAACGAUUAAAAUAAUCGUCGCGCGCGCCCCAUCUUGCACCAAUUACGCGCGCACUGGCGAUUCACCUUAUCGGACCCUGUGGCCCACCGUUCAUUGAAUGCGUGUGGCUGUUUGUUCGGUGCUAGAGACCUUGCCGAUUCACCUUCCCACCUGUGGCACUAUAUAAACAGACAGGUAGGUGUGAAGUUACCACGACAUUCAUUGCUAUUGCACUGUUUUGCUGCCAAAUUUUUAGUCAUAGCCGAAGAUUAACCAUCGUGUUCAGACGAAACUUCGCUUGUGAUUCUGCUUCGGCACAAGAGUAAGAGCUUCAGAGAAAAAAAGAAAAAAUCAACACCAAAAAUUUCAAACAAGUCAUAAUCAAAUGGCCAGAGUUCGCUCUACUGCUCGGGUCGAUCGCGAGGGAGAUGAGACCGAAGCUACUGACACUGUUCCUAUUUUGGAAGCAAUGAAGCGCUCUGGGUUGGUAACACCGGAGGACACGCCUGCUGCCGAAGACAUCCCUGCUGUCGAAGCAGAACGGGCCACUGUUGAAGAAACUGAUUCCGAAGAUGAUUACAGCAGCGCAAUGCCGAGCAAGCCUAGCCACCUGGACUUCGGAAAGUCCACCAUCUUCGAAGCUGAUUUUCCUAAGAUGGUGAAGUUGCGCUAUCUUAGUGAAGCAAAGAAGGAAUUAAUUCGUUUCGGUGGAGAAGAAACUAUCCCGAAGCUAGGAAAAAAUGAAGUGGUGGUUUUCAAAAGUCUUUUUAAAGCUGGUUUAAGAUUCCCUCUUAACAAGAUGAUUGUUGGAGUGUUGAAGAAAUAUGGGAUCUACCUUCAUCAGCUGACGCCUAAUGCUAUUGUUAGGCUGAGUGUUUAUAUCUGGGCCCUCCGAAGCCAGGGGGUGGAACCAUUCUCCGAAGGUUUCUGCCGAGUACACGAACUGCACUACCAAACCAAGGCUAGGGGGGAUGGUUUGUAUGAAAAUUUUGGCUGCUACAACUUUGCUUACCGUAAAACUACAAAGUUCCCAGUGAUUAGCUACCGAAGCAAAUGGCCAGCAGGAUGGAAAUCUGAAUGGUUUUAUGUUAAAGUUGACGAACAUGAAGAUAAAUUGGUCCAGAGUCCAUUAGAACUGACCUUCGGAGAAACUAGACCUCCGUGCAACAUGAUACGGGGGAGCCCGAGCCAGAUUGCUUUGGCUGAAUUUCGAGUAAUUGCAGAUCAUAUUGGCACUAGAGACUUAGUGCAGGAAUUUUUGGCCUUCAGAGUAUUUCCUACUUUGAAGGAGUGGGAAAUGCCGAAACUAGAGGGGGAGAAGAAGAAAGGGGAGCUUAUUCGGUUGCCUUACCACUACAAGUUCAAAAAACAUUUCAAAGAACCCUGCCAAGAAUGGCUGGAUACAAUUGAAGUAAUGUGCAACGGAAUUCUUGGAAAUUAUUCUAAAAAAGAAGAUCAAUUGAUGACAGCGACCUUCGGCACCCGUCCGAAAUGAAGGCUAAACAGAGUGAUGGAUGCUAUAGGCUUUGAAUAUCAUGACUAUAAGCGACUGGACAAGGGUGCCGAAGGGCAAAAAAGAAAAAGAGUGGCUAGUGCUUUGAGUAAAGACGACGAAGAUCAAUCAAAGAAGAAGAAACAAGAAUCUGAAGCGAAAGCAGUUGCUUCGAAGAAAAGAAAGACCUCAACCCCAAAGCAAAAAUCAGUUGAUGAGGAAGAGAAGACUUCUGCGACAUCUUCUGCUGCUGAAAUAGAGGAAAUCCUAAAGGUAAUGACUAAAACUUUGCCUGUCAAACUAAGGGCAUGUUUGGUUCACUACCUCAGUUGCCACAUUUUGCCUAACUUUUCUGCCUAAGGUUAGUUAUUCAAUUCGAACGACUAACCUUAGGCAAAGUGUGGCACAUUUAGCCACAAACCAAACAGGCCCUAAGUCCAUUGGGGCUUCAUCUGACGAAGCUUUUUCAUAAGGAAAAGGAGCCCACAAAAACAAAGGCACCUAGGCCAAAGAGGCAAAGGAUUGUUACUAUGACAGAAGUAAUUGAAGCAACUCCACCCAGGGCUUCAGCUCCGAAGGUGCCUGCUAUUGAAAGCACAACAGCUACUGAAGCUGCACCUUCGGAGGCCACAGAUGUCGAAGCUACCAAAGCUGAAGACAUUAAUUUGGAAAGUGUGGCUCUUAAUAUAGAUAAAAUUCUGCUAGACAUGGCUGCAGAAGAAGCUGCUGGAGCCACCGAAGAGGCUUUGGCCCCAGAGGCCGAGAAAAAAGAAAGAAAUUGCCGAAGAAACACUAGAGGAUGAAAUUUUCAAUUUUAAAAACUUGGUUGGUCAAGAAUUAACAAAAGCCGAAAAAGAAGAAUUAAAAGAGUAUGGCAUUUCUUGCGGCUAUCGGCCAGGGGCACUUCUCUUCGGAGGUGUUGAUGAUGAAAAGCUAGGCUGCAUCCGAGAUCAGACCGGAGCAAAGGUUAUCGGUACUCUAUCAAAGAGUAUCAGUUUCCCGAAGCUCGAAGCCGAUAUUAGCCGCUACCGAUGACUGCACAUCGUCGGUAGUUUGUUUUAUUCCAAUUUCAAGGUAAACAAUCUCCCUCUAACUUUUUAUUUUCAUAAAAAAUGUUUUCUAACGAAGGUUGUUCGUAUAUAGAGUAUGCUAUUGAGCAAAGCUUUGAGGAUGCAACAGGAUUUAGAAGACAAAAAGCAGGAGGUUAUAAUUGAAAACUUAGAAAACAAAAUAAAAGAUCAAACAACUGUUUUUGAGAAAAAAGAGUUGGAACUGCAAACAACUGAAGGUUUACUAGCAGAAGCCGAAGCUAAAAUAACGGAACUGAAUACGAAGCUUCUCGGUUCCGAACAAGAAAAACUGAAGCUUAAUGAAAAACUUGAGGCUGAAAUCUAGAAUGGUUUAGUUUUGAAAAAAUCAUUGAUAGACCUUCAGAACAAAUGUUUGAAAUUCAGCAAUCAAUGUGUUCAACGACUGAAGAAGGUGUUUUAUUCAGUCGGGGCCAGUAGUGAAGAAUUUAUUCCUUCGGCUGAAGAUCUACCAGGAGCCUUCGAACACAUCGAAGGUGAGAUUGAUGACCUCGAUGAUGUUAUUGCUGGACACGACGACUUUUGUGCCCUGGUAGCUUCUCGGGGCACCGCUGCUGCGUUCCUGAAAUCAGGCUGUGAGCAUGGAAAAAUUAUCAACAGACCCAAUUUCAGCCUAUCACCAGCAAUUCUAGAUGAUAUUCCUAACCUCGCCCGAAGCAUUGCAAAUAAAUUUAUAAAGAUGAUAUGGAUAAAGAGUGGGCGAGAGAAAGCUGGUGACGAAGCCCGAGACCACCUUAAGCUGGUAACAAUAUUAUACCUUAUGAUUACCUUUUCUUUUGAAUUUUGAAUUUAGAUUAUAGUACUUACAUACAGGUUGACCAAGCCGAAGCUGAAGCUGCAGAAUAAAAGGAAGAAGCUCCAGAGAUGAUGUCGAAGCUUGAAUAGUCUGUAAAAAUAGCUCAAAAAACUAUUGUGACAACUUGUAUAAAGUAUGAUGUAAUUAAAUUUCACUUUGUAAUAUAAUCUUACUUUUCCGUCCAUGUAUGAAAUGCUUUGGUGUGGACGAAAUUAAUACUUUUGAGCCAUAGGCGAAAAACACCUUCCCUUCUUUGCGUACACAGCGAAGCAUAAAAUUGCCUCUUUUUCUCUUUUUUUUCGAAGCCUUCUCUUUCGAAGCCGAAGCAAGUUUGUAUGUUAUGCUGAUGAUGAUCCUAAGUAUGUCUAAGUGAAUGUUUAUGAAUGCAAAUGUAUGAUGUAAUGUAUCGUGCAAAUGAAUGUUUUGAAGACACAUAUGAAACCAUAAUAACAAAUCUUUGCCGUUUAUUUUUUGGCUUCACCGCUUAUUUUUCGGUGUAUUAGCGCUGACUUUUCGCUGUAAGCCUCCCUUAGGAGCUUCUUCACAUUUUAUUUUGGCGGAAUCAGCGUUGACUUUUCGCUGCAAGCCUCCCUUAGGAGCUUCUUUGCCUUUUAUUUCGGCGGAAUCAGCGUUGACUUUUCGCUGUAAGCUCUGCAUUCCCUUAGGAACGACUUUUGAGCAGAAAAUUUACGCUGCGCUCCCUUAGGAACGGAUUUUUGUAACUUUGUCGUGCUCUGCAUCCCCUUAGGGACGUCUUUUGAGCUUCUCCGUGUUUUUUCUUUUUCUCGUUGCACUCGAUGAUGCAUGCCCAGUUUUUACAUUUACAUCUUCGGGGGAUACUGCUCUUGUAGAGCUGAUAUAAGAAAAAGAGAAAUUACAUGGUAUGGCCCCAUUAAAAACCUUUAUCCCCCUUUGGAAAGGAAAAGGGUGCCAUAGGAAAGAAUAAAAAUGAUUACAUCAGGUUACACAUAAUAGCGCCGGAGCUCAUCCGCAUUCCAAGAUCUAGGAAUGUCGCUGCCGUCCAUAUCCUUCAGCCUGUAGGAGCCGGGUCUUGACGAAGAUACUACCAGGAAAGGCCCUUCCCAUUUCAACUGUAGCUUGCCCACUGUGUCUGGGUUGGCGACUCUCCGAAGUACCAAGUGUCCUGGCUUAAUAUUUUUUAGCCGAACCUUUCUGUCACGCCAUUUUAUUGUCUCGGCUUGAUAUUUAUUGAUAUUCUCUACAGCCUGAAGCCUGAUCCCUUCUAUAGCAGCUUUUGCCACAGAAUAAUCAGCUUCGUCUUCUGCCAAAGCCAUUGUUCUUAUUGAUCCCGCUUUAGCUUCUUCUGGGGUUAUUGCUUCGUCACCAAACAACAAUUUGAAUGGUGUAAAACCUGUUGACCUUGAUAUUGUUGUGUUGUGGCUCCACACCACUUUGAUUAAUUCGUCUGGCCACUUCCCCCUGGGCUGGUUGAAGAUUAACUUCAUUAUUCCUGUCAUUAUAAUGCCAUUAGCUCUUUUGACAAGUCCAUUUGACUCCGGAUGCCGAACUGAUGCAAAAUGGAUCUUCGUGCCAAUUUGUUCACAAAAUUCUCUGAAAGCUUCGGCAUCAAACUGUGUUCCAUUGUCCACGGUAAUGGCCUUCGGCACUCCGAAGCGACAAACAAUAUUUUGCCAGAAAAACUUUUGAACAGUAACCGAAGUUAUUGUGGCUAAAGGCUUUGCCUCAAUCCAUUUACAAAAAUAUUCCACUGCCACUACAACAUAUUUUAAAUUCCCUUGUGCUGGUGGAAGUGGGCCUAGCAAAUCAAGGCCCCAUCUUUGCAAUGGCCAAGUGGGCUGUAUUAAUUGAGUUAGAGACGAAGGUUCUUUUUGAUCUUUUGCACAUUUUUGACAACCUUCGCAUUUUUGGACUAAUUCUGCUGCAUCCGAAGCUGCCUUCGGCCAAUAGAAUCCUUGACGAAAAACUUUACCCAACAAAGGCCUGGAUCCGAUGUGAGAUCCACACAGGCCUGCAUGUAUUUCUUUCAUUAGCUCUAUACCUUUAGUUCUGGAUAGACAUUUGAGUAAUGGAGAACAGACUCCAUGCUUCUAUAACUCCCCUUCUAUUAUUACAUAUGGACGGGCUCUUGCCGCUAUUCUCUUUUGAUAAGCUUCGUCUUCAGAAAGGAAAUUGCCCUGGAGAAAAGACAUGAUCUCAGUUCUCCAAUCUUCGCUAUAAAUGGGAGAUAUAUUGAACACUGCUCUUUCAAGAAGGUCAACCGAAGGUGCUUUUAUUGUUUCAAAGAAAACUUCCGAAGGUAAUGGCAGCCCUUGUGCCGCUGACUUGGCUAGUAGAUCAGCGUGUUCAUUUUGUCCUCGUGGAAUAUUCUUAACAGAAAACCCUUCGAAGGAGGCUUCAAGUCUUCGAACUAUAUCCAAAUAUUUUCCAAAUAUUUUUCAAGCUUCAGAUCUCUUGCUUUGCAACUUUUGUCAACAUGGCCAGAAAUAACUUGGGAAUCAGUUUUGAGGACUGCCCUUCUUAUCCCCAUUGCUUUCAACUUUCGAAGACCCAAAAGCAAAGCUUCAUAUUCAGCAAUAUUAUUUGUACAACUAAAAUCAAGUUUCACUGUGUAGCAUGUUCUAACUUUGGAAGGUGCAAUUAAGACGGCAGCUGCAUCUGCCCCGAAGGUUCCCCAAGAACCAUUGCAAAAUACUGUCCAAGCUUCGGCAUCUUUGCUAGCUUCUUCUUCCUGAGCCCCUGGCGUCCAGUCAGCAAUGAAGUCUGCUAACGCCUGAGACUGAAUUGAAGAUCUAUGCACAUAAUCAAUGCAGAACUCAUUGAGUUCCGCAGCCCACUUUCCAAUCCUUCCAGUAGCUUCUCUAUUUCUCAUAAUAUCCUUCAAAGGCUCUGAAGAAGGAACAAUUAUAUGGUAUGCUUGAAAAUAAUGCCGAAGCUUCCUGGAAGCCAUCAAAACAGCAUACAACACCUUCUCCAAUUCUGUAUAGUUUUUCUUUGAUAAACUAAGCUUCAGAGACGAAGUAUAUUGGGGCUUGCUUUUUGGUUUGCCCUUCAAGCUUCUCUUGGACAAGUGCCGCACUUACCGCUGAGUGCGAAGCUGCCACAUAUAACAACAGAGGAGCCCCUAGCGCUGGUGGAGUUAAUGUCGUUAGAUCUAUUAAAUACUGCUUCAGCUCGUCGAAGGCUUUCUGCUGAACUGAUCCCCAUUGAAAAACUUCUGCUGACUUCAGCACUUUAAAAAAUGGUAAAUUUCUCUCUGCUGAUCUAGAUAUGAAUCGAUUCAGAGAUGCAAGUCUUCCCGUCAGUCGCUGAGCCCCCUUAUUUGUGCUUGGUGGUUCCAUCCGAAGAAUAGCUUCAAUUUUAUUUGGAUUAGCCUCAAUCCCUUUUGUUGAAACUAGGCAACCAAGGAAUUUCCCCUUCUUCACUCCGAAGACACACUUUUCUGGAUUCAGCUUCAGACCGGCUUGUCUAAAAUUAGCGAAGGUCUCCUGCAGAUCAGCAAUGUGAUUUUCUUGCUUCGUGCUUUUUACUAUGAUAUCAUCAACAUAAGUUAGCACAUUUCUGCCUAUCUGAGAAUGAAGAACCUUCGCUGUCAUUCUGCUGAGGCUUCCUCCAGUAUUCUUGAGCCCCUCAGGCAUUCGAAGAUAACAAUAUGUUCCACUAGGGGUUAUGAAGCUGGUUUUUGGCUCAUCCUCUUUCUUCAUCCAAAUUUGAUGAUAACCUGAAUAACAAUCUAGCAGACUCAUAAGCUCUGACGAAGUAGCUGCAUCAACUAGGGAAUCUAUCCUUGGUAAUGGAAACUCAUCCUUCGGACAAGCCUUGUUGAGAUCAGUAAAAUCAAUACACAUCCUCCAUUUGCCAUUGGCCUUUUUUACCAUAACAGUGUUGGCUAGCCAUUCUGGGUAUUUCACUUCUCUGAUGACUCCGGCGCUGAGGAGUCUUUUCACUUCAUUCCGAGCACCUUCAGCCUUGUCAUCAGACAUCUUCCGAAGCCUCUGCUUUUUGGGUCUGAAGGAUGGAUCAACAUUGAGCGAGUGUUCAAUAACAUCUCUGUUGACUCCGCAAAGAUCAUUAGCUGACCAUGCAAAGACAUCUUUGUUGUUGAACAGAAACCUUAUCAGAGUUUUUUCCUGUUCCUUAGACAAUUGAGAUCCCAAUAGCACCUUCUGCUCUGCUAUAUCGUCACAUAAGAGCAUGGGCUUCGGCUGAUCGGCCGAAGCAGCUUUCUCCCUUCUAUACUUGUAUUGCUCACAAGCUUCAGCUCCAUCUAUGUUAUGGAUUGCUUUUGAAUCUGUCCAGUUUCCUUCGGCCUUUUUGGCAGCUUCCUGACUUCCAUGAAUAGCAAUAGGCCCUUGAUCCGAAGGUAUCUUCAUGCAAAGAUAUGCUGGGUGAAGAAUUGCUUCAAAAGCAUUGAGAGUACCACGACCAAUGAUUGCGUUGUAAGGGUACUCCAUGUCAACAAUAUCAAACACAACUUGUUCAGUCCUUGUGUUGUUGAUAAAUCCGAAGGUUACUGGCAUCGCGAUCUUGCCAAGUGCUACAAUCUGCCUUCCUCCGAAGCCACAAAGGGGAUGUGUGGCGUCAUGGAUCUUAUCUUCGGGCUCUUGCAUCUGUCUGAAGGCCUUAGCAAAUAUAAUGUCCGCUGCACUGCCUGUGUCAACCAAAACAUUGUGGACCAGAAAUCCUUUGAUAACACAAGAGAUAACCAUAGCAUCAUUGUGAGGGUAGUCCUUGAGCUGAAGAUCCUCUUGGGAGAAGGUAAUCGAGAUGUGAGACCAUCUUGACUUGAUGAAGGGUCCUUGUACCCCUACAUGUUGUACCCUUCUCUGUGCCUCCUUCUUCUGCUUCUUGUUAGCCGGCUCUGAGCAUGAACCGCCUGUUAUCGGGAGUACAAGCUUCGGAGCCGAAGCAACUCCAGCUUUGAACGAAGCCAUCAGCUCAGAAAGUGGAAGUCAGUUCACCGGAGGUGGGCGCCAAUGUUGGGGACUUGUUCUCAAAUGCUUCGAAUUAAGAACAAGGCAACACAAAGAUGUUAAGUAUAAAUGCCCUUCGUCCGCUGAAGCAUUAUCUCCCCAAGGAUUUAAUGAGCUUCGGACGAAGGUCGUAAAUAAAGUAUCACGAAGGUUUCACCUUCGUGAUCAUAUUUUUAAGACAACAAUGAGAAAUGAAAUAUAAAGCACAAAAUAUAUUCACAUGUUUUAUUAUAUGAAUAUACAAGUAUUGAAACAUAAUAUUUAGGCACAUUUAUACCUUCGCCUUGGCAGAAAACAAUAAUCCAAGCGUAACGUGUCCGUGAUUACAGGAUCGCGUGAACAGUGCCGGGAUACUAUUCACCUAUUUAUAGGCACAUGAUGCAACGUGCGCAAAAUUACAUUUAUGUCCUUUACAAUCGACUACAAUAAUGACACAAAACAUCAUGGGUCUUUAAGUCAAUUCAUCUUUAAGUCGGUUCAACCCUUCAUCUUGAGAUUUGUCUUUAUGCCGAAGCUUUAUAGAUAAUAGCUUCGGCGCUUGCUUCUUAGAAGACCUUUCGAAGGUGUUCUUUUUAGGAUCUUCGGCUACAAAGCAUACCCCCAACAAUUCCAUCCUUUGAUGUGUUUUUAUUUGCUAUCACCAUUACCUUGUUAUCCAUCGAUCUUGCCUUGAUACUUAUCUUUAUGCCUACUGAAAGGGAAUUAGGCUUACACCUAGUCCCUAAUUAAUUUUGGUGGUUGAAUUGCCCAACACAAACAUUUGGACUAACUAAGUUUGCCCAAGUGUAUAGAUUACACAGGUGAAAAAGGUUCACACUCAGCCAAUAAAAAGACCAAGUUUUGGAUUCAAUAAAGGAGCAAAGUGGGAACCGAAGGCCCUCUGGUCUGGGAGCACCGGACUGUCCGGUGUACACCGGACAGUGUCCGGUGCACCACCGGACAGUGUCCGGUGCACCAGAGGACUCCAACUUGAACUCGCCACCUUCGGGAAUUUCCAGAGGCACUCGCGCUAUAAUUCACCGGACUGUCCGGUGUACACCGGACAGUGUCCGGUGCGCCAAGGAGGAGCGGCCUCAGGAACUCGCCAGCUUCGGGAAACUCCAACGGCUAGUCCGCUAUAAUUCACCGGACUGUCCGGUGUGCACCGGACUGUCCGGUGCAACUCCAGAGCAACGGCUACUCCGCGCCAACGGCUACCUGCAGCGCAAUUAAUGCGCGCUCUGCGCGCGCAGAAGUCAGGCGCGCCCAUGCUGGCACACCGGACAGCAAACAGUACAUGUCCGGUGUGCACCGGACACCCAGGCGGGCCCACAAGUCAGAAGCUCCAACGGCUAGAAUCCAACGGCAGUGAUGACGUGGCAGGGGGCACCGGACUGUCCGGUGUGCACCGGACUGUCCGGUGCGCCAUCGUGCAGACAGCCUCCCAACGGCCACAUUUGGUGGUUGGGGCUAUAAAUACCCCAACCACCCCACCAUUCAUUGCAUCCAAGUUUUCCACUUCCCAACUACUACAAGAGCUCUAGCAUUCAAUUCUAGACACACCAAAGAGAUCAAAUCCUCUCCAAAUUCCACACAACGCCAUAGUGAUUAGAGAGAGUGAUUUGCUUGUGUUCUUUUGAGCUCUUGCGCUUGGAUUGCUUUCUUCUUUCUUGAUCUUUUCUUUGCAAUCAAACUCACUUGUAAUUGAGGCAAGAGACACCAAACUUGUGCUGGUCCUUGUGGGAACUUUGUGUUCCAAGAGAUUGAGAAGAGAAAGCUCACUCGAUCCGUGGAUCGUUUGAGAGAGGGAAGGGUUGAAAGAGACCCGGCCUUUGUGGCCUCCUCAACGGGGAGUAGGUUUGCGAGAACCGAACCUCGGUAAAACAAAUCCGCGUGUCACACUCUUCAUUUGCUUGCGAUUUGUUUUUCACCCUCUCUCACGGACUCAUUUCUUUAUUACUAACGCUAACCCGGCUUGUAGUUGUGUUUAUAUUUGAAAAAUUCAGUUUCGCCCUAUUCACCCCCCCCCCCUCUAGGCGACUUUCAAUUGGUAUCAGAGCCCGGUGCUUCAUUAGAGCCUAACCGCUCGAAGUGAUGUCGGGAGAUCACGCCAAGAAGGAGAUGGAGACCGGCGAAAAGCCCACUACAAGCCAUGGGAGCACUUCAUCGGAAGAGUCCCGCACCAAGAGGAAGGAGAAGAAGAAGAUCUCCUCCAACAAAGGGAAGGAGAAGAAAUCUUCUUCUCACCACAAAGAGAAGAAGGAAAAAUCUUCUUCCCACAAGCCGCGUCGGAAUGGGGACAAGCAAAAGAGGAUGAGGAAAGUGGUCUACUACGAGACCGACACUUCAUCAACAUCGACCUCCGACUCCGAUGCGCCCUCCGUAACUUCUAAACGCCAAGAGCGUAAGAAGUUUAGUAAGAUUCCCCUACACUAUCCUCGCAUUUCUAAACAUGCACCUUUACUUUCCGUCCCAUUGGGCAAACCACCAACUUUUGAUGGUGAGGAUUAUGCUAGGUGGAGUGAUUUAAUGUGAUUUCAUCUAACCUCACUCCACAAAAGUAUAUGGGAUGUUGUUGAGUUUGGUGCAAGGUACCGUCCGUAGGGGACAAGGAUUAUGAUGAGGAUGAGGUGGCCCAAAUCGAGCACUUCAACUCUCAAGCGACAACAAUACUCCUCGCCUCUUUAAGUAGAGAGGAGUAUAACAAAGUUCAAGGGUUGAAGAGCGCCAAAGAUGUUUGGGAUGUGCUCAAAACCGCGCACGAGGGAGACGAGCUCACAAAGAUCACCAAGCGGGAAACUAUCGAGGGGGAGCUCGGUCGGUUCCGGCUUCGCAAAGGGGAGGAGCCACAACACAUGUACAACCGGCUCAAGACCUUGGUGAACCAAGUGCGCAACCUCGGGAGCGUAAAGUGGGACGACCACGAAAUGGUUAAGGUCAUUCUAAGAUCUCUCAUUUUCCUUAACCCCACUCAAGUUCAAUUAAUUCGUGGUAAUCCUAGAUAUACUAAAAUGACCCCCGAGGAAGUUAUCGGGAAUUUUGUAAGUUUUGAGUGCAUGAUCGAAGGCUCGAGGAAGAUCAACGAACUUGAUGAUCCAUCCACAUCCGAAGCUCAACCCGUCGCAUUCAAGGCGACGAAGGAAAAGAAGGAGGAGGCUACACCAAGUCGACAACCAAUAGACGCCUCCAAGCUCGACAAUGAGGAAAUGGCGCUCGUCAUCAAGAGCUUCCGCCAAAUCCUCAAACAAAGGAGGGGGAAAGACUACAAGUCCCACUCCAAAAAGGUUUGCUACAAAUGUGGUAAGCCCGGUCAUUUUAUUGCUAAAUGUCCUAUAUCUAGUGACAGUGACCGAGGCGAUGACAAGAAGGGGAGAAGAAAGGAGAAGAAGAGAUAUUACAAGAAGAAGGGCGGCGAUGCCCAUGUUUGUCGGGAGUGGGAUUCCGACGAAAGCUCAAGUGACUCCUCCGACGACGAGGACGCCGCCAACAUCGCCGUCACCAAGGGACUUCUCUUCUCCAACGUCGGUCACAAGUGUCUCAUGGCAAAGGACGGCAAACGGAAGAAGGUUAAAUCUAACUCCUCCACUAAAUAUGAAUCUUCUAGUGACGAUAAUGCUAGUGAUGAGGAGGAUAAUUUGCGUUCCCUUUUUGCCAACCUCAACAUAGCUCAAAAGGAAAAAUUAAAUGAAUUGGUUAGUGCUAUUCAUGAAAAGGAUGACCUUUUGGAUUCCCAAGAGGACCUUCUUAUUAAGGAAAAUAAGAAGCAUGUUAAGGUUAAAAAGGCUUAUGCUCUUGAAAUUGAAAAAUGUGAAAAGUUAUCUAGUGAGCUAAGCACUUGCCAUGAGAUGAUUGACAACCUUAGGAAUGAAAAUGCUAGUUUAAAUGCUAAGGUUGAUUCACAUGUUUGCAUUGAUUCAACUUCCAAUCCUAAAGAUAAUAAUGAUGAUUUACUUGCUAGGAUUGAAGAAUUGAAUAUUUCUCUUGCUAGCCUUAGAGUAGAAAAUGAAAAUUUAAUUGCUAAGGCUAAAGAUUUUGAUGUUUGCAAAGAUACAAUUUCCGAUCUUAGAGAUAAAAAUGAUAUUCUUCAUGCUAAGAUUGUUGAACUUAAUUCUUGCAAACCCUCUACAUCUACUGUUGAGCACACUUCUAUUUGCACUAGAUGUAGAGAUGUUAACAUUGAUGCUAUACAUGACCACAUGGCUUUAAUUAAACAACAAAAUGAUCAUAUAGCAAAACUAGAUGCUAAAAUUGCCGAGCACAACUUAGAAAAUGAGAAAUUUAAAUUUGCUCGUAGCAUGCUUUAUAAUGGGAGACGCCCGGGCAUCAAGGAUGGCAUUGGCUUCCAAAGGGGAGACAAUGUCAAAAUUAGUGCCCCUCCUAAAAGUUUGUCCAACUUUGUUAAGGGCAAGGCUCCCAUGCCUCAGGAUAACGAGGGUUACAUUUUAUACCCUGCCGGUUAUCCUGAGAGCAAAAUUAGGAAAAUUCAUUCUAGGAAGUCUCACUCUGGACCCAAUCAUGCUUUUAUGUAUAAGGGUGAGAUAUCUAGUUCUAGGCAACCAACCCGUGCUAAGUUGCCUAAGAAAAUUCCUAUUGCAUCAAAUGAACAUAGCAUUUCAUUUAAGACUUUUGAUGCAUCUUAUGUGUUGACUGACAAAUCAGGCAAAUUAGUUGCCAAAUAUGUUGGGGGCAAGCACAAGGGCUCCAAGACUUGUGUUUGGGUACCCAAAGUUCUUGUGUCUAAUGCCAAAGGACCCAAAACCAUUUGGGUACCUAAAGUCAAGAACUAAACUUGUUUUGUAGGUUUAUGCAUCCGGGGGCUCAAGUUGGAUACUCGACAGCGGGUGCACAAACCACAUGACAGGGGAGAAGAAGAUGUUCCCCUCCUACGAGAAAAACCAAGAUCCCCAACGAGCUAUCACAUUCGGGGAUGGAAACCAAGGUUUGGUCAAAGGUCUUGGUAAAAUUGCUAUAUCGCCUGACCAUUCUAUUUCCAAUGUUUUUCUUGUAGAUUCUUUGGAUUACAACUUGCUUUCUGUAUCUCAAUUAUGUCAAAUGGGCUACAACUGUCUUUUUACUGAUAUUGGUGUCACUGUCUUUAGAAGAAGUGAUGAUUCAAUAGCCUUUAAGGGAGUGUUAGAGGGUCAGCUAUACCUAGUAGAUUUUGAUAGAGCUGAACUCGACACUUGCUUAAUUGCUAAGACUAACAUGGGUUGGCUCUGGCACCGCCGACUAGCUCAUGUUGGGAUGAAGAAUCUUCAUAAGCUUCUAAAGGGAGAACACAUUUUAGGACUAACAAAUGUUCAUUUUGAGAAAGACAGGAUUUGUAGCGCAUGCCAAGCAGGAAAGCAAGUUGGCACUCAUCAUCCGCAUAAGAACAUAAUGACGACCGACAGGCCACUGGAGCUCCUACACAUGGAUCUAUUCGGCCCGAUCGCUUACAUAAGCAUCGGUGGGAGUAAGUACUGUCUAGUUAUUGUGGAUGAUUAUUCUCGCUUCACUUGGGUAUUCUUUUUACAGGAAAAAUCUCAAACCCAAGAGACCUUAAAGGGAUUCUUGAGACGGGCUCAAAAUGAGUUCGGCUUAAGGAUCAAGAAAAUAAGAAGCGACAACGGAACGGAGUUCAAGAACUCUCAAAUCGAAGGCUUCCUUGAGGAGGAGGGCAUCAAGCAUGAGUUCUCUUCUCCCUACACGCCACAACAAAAUGGUGUAGUGGAGAGGAAGAAUAGAACUCUAUUAGACAUGGCAAGAACCAUGCUUGAUGAGUACAAGACUUCGGAUCGGUUUUGGGCCGAGGCGGUCAACACCGCUUGCUACGCCAUCAACCGGUUAUAUCUACACCGAAUCCUCAAGAAGACAUCAUAUGAACUCCUAACCAGUAAAAAGCCCAACAUUUCAUAUUUUAGAGUCUUUGGUAGCAAAUGCUUUAUUCUUGUUAAAAGAGGUAGAAAAUCUAAAUUUGCUCCUAAGACUGUAGAAGGCUUUUUACUUGGUUAUGACUCAAACACAAGGGCAUAUAGGGUCUUUAACAAAUCCACUGGACUAGUUGAAGUCUCAUGUGACGUUGUGUUUGAUGAGACUAACGGCUCUCAAGUAGAGCAAGUUGAUCUUGAUGAGAUAGGUGAAGAAGAAGCUCCAUGCAUCGCGCUAAGGAACAUGUCCAUUGGGGAUGUGUGUCCUAAGGAAUCCGAAGAGCCUCCAAAUGCACAAGAUCAACCAUCCUCCUCCAUGCAAGCAUCUCCACCGACUCAAAAUGAGGAUGAAGCUCAAGUUGAUGAAGUAGAAGAUCAAGCAAAUGAGCCACCUCAAGAUGAUGACAUUGAUCAAGGGGGAGAUGCAAAUGAGGAAGACAAGGAGGAUGAGGAACAAAGACCGCCACACCCAAGAGUCCACCAAGCAAUUCAACGAGAUCACCCCGUCGACACCAUCCUCGGCGACAUUCAUAAGGGGGUAACUACUCGAUCUCGUGUUGCACAUUUUUGUGAACAUUACUUGUUUGUUUCCUCUAUUGAGCCACACAGGGUAGAGGAAGCACUUCAAGAUUCGGAUUGGGUGGUGGCGAUGCAAGAGGAGCUCAACAACUUCACUAGAAAUGAGGUAUGGCAUUUAGUUCCACGUCCUAACCAAAAUGUUGUAGGAACCAAAUGGGUCUUCCGCAACAAGCAAGAUGAGCAUGGUGUGGUGACAAGGAACAAAGCUCGACUUGUGGCCAAGGGAUACUCCCAAGUCGAAGGUUUGGACUUCGGUGAAACCUAUGCACCCGUAGCUAGGCUUGAGUCAAUUCGCAUAUUAUUGGCCUAUGCUACUUACCAUGGCUUUAAGCUUUAUCAAAUGGACGUGAAAAGUGCCUUCCUCAAUGGACCAAUCAAGGAAGAGGUCUAUGUUGAGCAACCUCCCGACUUUGAAGAUAGUAAGUAUCCUAACCAUGUCUAUAAGCUCUCUAAGGCGCUUUAUGGGCUCAAGCAAGCCCCAAGAGCAUGGUAUGAAUGCCUUAGAGAUUUCCUUAUUGCUAAUGGCUUCAAAGUCGGAAAGGCCGAUCCUACACUCUUUACUAAAACUCUUGAAAAUGACUUGUUUGUAUGCCAAAUUUACGUUGAUGAUAUUAUAUUUGGGUCUACUAACGAGUCUACAUGUGAAGAGUUUAGUAGGAUCAUGACACAAAAGUUCGAGAUGUCUAUGAUGGGAGAGUUGAAGUAUUUUCUAGGAUUUCAAGUGAAGCAACUCCAAGAGGGCACCUUCAUCAGCCAAACAAAGUACACUCAAGACAUUCUAAACAGGUUUGGGAUGAAGGAUGCCAAACCCAUCAAGACACCCAUGGGAACUAAUGGGCAUCUCGACCUCGACACGGGAGGUAAGUCCGUGGAUCAAAAGGUAUACCGGUCGAUGAUAGGAUCUUUACUCUAUUUAUGUGCAUCUCGACCGGAUAUUAUGCUUUCCGUAUGCAUGUGUGCAAGAUUCCAAGCCGACCCUAAGGAAGCUCACCUUACGGCCGUAAAACGAAUCUUGAGAUAUUUAGCUUAUACUCCUAAGUUUGGGCUUUGGUAUCCUAGGGGAUCCACAUUUGAUUUAAUUGGUUAUUCGGAUGCCGAUUGGGCGGGGUGCAAAAUCAAUAGGAAGAGCACAUCGGGGACUUGCCAGUUCUUGGGAAGAUCCUUGGUGUCUUGGGCUUCAAAGAAGCAAAAUUCGGUCGCUCUUUCCACCGCCGAAGCCGAGUAUAUUGCCGCAGGCCAUUGUUGCGCGCAAUUGCUUUGGAUGAGGCAAACCCUGCGGGACUACGGUUACAAAUUAACCAAAGUCCCUUUGCUAUGUGAAAAUGAGAGUGCAAUCAAAAUGGUCGACAAUCCCAUCGAGCAUAGCCGCACUAAGCACAUAGCCAUUCGGUAUCAUUUUCUCAGGGAUCACCAACAAAAGGGAGAUAUCGAGAUUUCUUACAUUAAUACUAAAGAUCAAUUAGCCGAUAUCUUUACCAAGCCUCUUGAUGAACAAUCUUUUAACAAACUUAGGCAUGAGCUCAAUAUUCUUGAUUCUAGGAACUUCUUUUACUAGAUUGCACACAUAGCUCAUUCAUAUAUCUUUGAUCAUAUCUCUUUCAUAUGCUAUGACUAAUAUGUUUUCAAGUCUAUUUUAAACCAAGUCAUAGGUGUAUUGAAAGGGAAUUGGAGUCUUCGGCGAAGACAAAAAGGCUUCCACUCCGUAACUCAUCCCUCGCCGUCACUCCAAGCAACUCUCCAUUCUCGGGGGAGACAAGCAUGAGCAUCAAAGAAAAGGUCUUUGGGGAGAGAGUAAGAGCCCAAAGCAAAAGGACCGGACUUCGUAUUUGGUAUAAUCUUAACUCAUUUAUUUAUGACCAAAGAGGAAGAUAGCACUUCGAGGGCUCUAAUGAUUCCGUUUUUGGCGAUUCAUGCCAAAGGGGGAGAAAGUAAGAGCCCAAAGCAAAAGGACCGCACCACCACCAAUUUCAAAAAAACUUAAGUGUUGAUUAUUUUCAAUUGGUAUCCUAUUGUGUUCAAAAGGGGGAGAAAGUAGUAUUUCAAAAUGAUAUACCAAAACCCUCUUGAACACUAAGAGGAGAAUCUCAUUUAGGGGGAGUUUUGUUUAGUCAAAGGAAAAGCAUUUGAAAGAAGGGGAGAAAAUUUCAAAUCUUGAAAAUGCUUCUCAAAAUCUUAUUCAUUUACCUUUGACUAUUUGCAAAAGAACUUUGAAAAUGAUUUACAAAAGAGUUUGCAAAAACAAAACAUGUGGUGCAAGCGUGGUCCAAAAUGUUAUAUAAGAAAGAAACAAUCCAUGCAUAUCUUGUAAGUAUUUGUAUUGGCUCAAUUCCAAGCAACCUUUUCACUUACAUUAUGCAAACUAGUUCAAUUAUACACUUCUAUAUUUGCUUUGGUUUGUGUUGGCAUCAAUCACCAAAAAGGGGGAGAUUGAAAGGGAAUUAGGCUUACACCUAGUCCCUAAUUAAUUUUGGUGGUUGAAUUGCCCAACACAAACAUUUGGACUAACUAAGUUUGCCCAAGUGUAUAGAUUACACAGGUGAAAAAGGUUCACACUCAGCCAAUAAAAAGACCAAGUUUUGGAUUCAAUAAAGGAGCAAAGUGGGAACCGAAGGCCCUCUGGUCUGGGAGCACCGGACUGUCCGGUGUACACCGGACAGUGUCCGGUGCACCAGAGGACUCCAACUUGAACUCGCCACCUUCGGGAAUUUCCAGAGGCACUCGCGCUAUAAUUCACCGGACUGUCCGGUGUACACCGGACAGUGUCCGGUGCGCCAAGGAGGAGCGGCCUCAGGAACUCGCCAGCUUCGGGAAACUCCAACGGCUAGUCCGCUAUAAUUCACCGGACUGUCUGGUGUGCACCGGACUGUCCGGUGCAACUCCAGAGCAACGGCUACUCCGCGCCAACGGCUACCUGCAGCGCAAUUAAUGCGCGCUCUGCGCGCGCAGAAGUCAGGCGCGCCCAUGCUGGCACACCGGACAGCAAACAGUACAUGUCCGGUGUGCACCGGACACCCAGGCGGGCCCACAAGUCAGAAGCUCCAACGGCUAGAAUCCAACGGCAGUGAUGACGUGGCAGGGGGCACCGGACUGUCCGGUGCGCCAUCGUGCAGACAGCCUCCCAACGGCCACAUUUGGUGGUUGGGGCUAUAAAUACCCCAACCACCCCACCAUUCAUUGCAUCCAAGUUUUCCACUUCCCAACUACUACAAGAGCUCUAGCAUUCAAUUCUAGACACACCAAAGAGAUCAAAUCCUCUCCAAAUUCCACACAACGCCAUAGUGAUUAGAGAGAGUGAUUUGCUUGUGUUCUUUUGAGCUCUUGCGCUUGGAUUGCUUUCUUCUUUCUUGAUCUUUUCUUUGCAAUCAAACUCACUUGUAAUUGAGGCAAGAGACACCAAACUUGUGGUGGUCCUUGUGGGAACUUUGUGUUCCAAGAGAUUGAGAAGAGAAAGAUCACUCGAUCCGUGGAUCGUUUGAGAGAGGGAAGGGUUGAAAGAGACCCGGCCUUUGUGGCCUCCUCAACGGGGAGUAGGUUUGCGAGAACCGAACCUCGGUAAAACAAAUCCGCGUGUCACACUCUUCAUUUGCUUGCGAUUUGUUUUUCACCCUCUCUCACGGACUCGUUUCUUUAUUACUAACGCUAACCCGGCUUGUAGUUGUGUUUAUAUUUGAAAAAUUCAGUUUCGCCCUAUUCACCCCCCCUCUAGGCGACUUUCACCUACUCUUUAAAAAUCUUCUCUCUUCCACCUCAAUUUGAGAGUGGCAAUUUACCUAUCUGGCCCUUGGACGUACCCUCUUCUUUUCCAUUUGCAAGUCUUGUCUUAACUCCAUCCUUUGUGGUAUUUAUAUCCUUGGUUCUUAUACCCAUUUACCUCCUCUUCUACAUCCUUGUCCAUUAUUAUCUUUAAACCCUCGUUAUACCUAUGCCCUUGCCAUUUGCCUACUUUGAACCUACCCUUUAAAGCCACCUCUUUUUCAUCGCUAUUUGAGGAUAAUGCCUCAUCUACUUCACCAUUGAUUGCUUCCCCUUCUUUGAUGCCUCACAAGUUUUGUCUAAAAUACAUCCUUGGUUUUGUUUGUCUGUUAUCUUGCACCUGCAUUUUAAAGCCUCCUCUCCCAUUUCAUUUCAAGAGUGAUGUCUUGCCUAUCCCGCUCUUGUUCAUUCCCUUUUUCCUCUGUCUCGUUGCAAGUCUUGUCCUAACUCUAUCUUUUGGUGUGUUUUUUCCUUUCACCUCCCUUACCUUUGUAAUCUCUAGAUCUUUCCAUGAUGUUAUCUUAUGCCUACCUUUUGAAAUGUCAUCUUUUCCAUCUCGAUUUGAGAAUGGUGUUUUACCUAUCCUGACCUUGGUUGCAUUCUCUCCCUUGUCGGUUACAAUCAUUGCUUUAGCUCCAUCCUUUAUUAUGCUCAUGCCCCUACCCUCCAUGUCUUAUUAUUCCCCUUGCCUUUUGUUGGCCUUAGAGGAAAGACCACCAUCUAAUUAAAAGGAACGUAUAUCAAUGAGAUGUUUGUUGCUAUGUGCUCAUGAUGGUUGUCCUUCUGCUAUGACUGAUUUGCUUCUUUGGAAUGAGUGUUGAUGUGUUGUGGCCCUUGGUCCGCAAUGGAAUCUGUUUACUAGGUGAGUGUCAUAGAGUUAAGUAGUUGGGUUCUCCCCCUGCUCUCUCUAAUCCGUCUAUACUUACCUUUUCUCGUUAUUCUUUCCUCUUGCACAUGUCCUUUUGGCAACCUCCAACUCCUCCAAAUCAGUCAAGAUCAGAGUCGACAACAUCUUCAUCAAGUGUGUAUCAAUGCUCUUGUUAAGGGGGGUAGCCGCUAACCCCAAUGAAGACAAUGCAAUCAACAUUAAGUGGCGCAGCAAAAGCGUGUGUGGGUCCUAACCCAUAGGUCCAGGAGAUCCUCAAGAAUUGCAUCAAUCGGUCUCAAGCAUCUGAUGGUCAAAGCAACCAAUCCACAAGUCAAGCCGGCGGAGUCAAAGUUGAGUUAGAAAAAGCUAUGAAAGACUAAUGAACCAAUCUCAUUUUCUUGCUAGCCUCUUCUUGAAUCUCGAGGACGAGAUUCUGUUAAGGGGGUUAGAUUUGUAACACCCUGAAUUUGGGGGUAUAAAAUUUCUUUUCUAAUAUCCACCAAAUUCAGGUGUUACCAUCACAUUUCUUUGAUUCACUUCUCUUUUUCUAAAUAUUGAGGAGUUAUUUUGUACUAUAUAAGUAUUAAUCGUAGUAUGUUCAAAACCCUAGGAGAAUUAUUGUGGUUGCAUCACAUGCUGGAGCACCUAAUUUUGUACGAUGUUUUGAGUUGUUGUGCCUCCAUUUAAACUCACGAAGCAUGUUGAUUUUGAAUUUAAAAGCUAAAGCUAAAUUCAGAAUAAAAAGAAGAAAAUAGAAUAGGGCCUUGCUGCCCCAAUUUCUUCAGACAACCCAGCCCCUCACCCCUGGCCAGCCUGCGCGUACAGCCUAGCUCGCCCUCGCCUCCGCGCGUGCUAGCCAGCCUAGCCGCAUCCCGUUUUCUCCCCAGCCCGUUCACUUCCCCAGCGUGCGCAGCACCUCCGCUCGACCCACUGUCCCCAGCCCAUUCCGCGGCACGCUCGCAUGCAGGCGUACCCUAGCGCAGCCGCCGCAUGUCCUCCACUCCAGCCGCCCAGGGCACGUCUUCUUCUCCAACCGUCUGAGCCCUUGCGUUUCUGCUCCGGCGAACCCGCCUGGGACGGCUCGGCGGUAGCCAGUCCCUCCCUACUCCCUGUCCCCGCACGCCCUUGCCCUGCUCGGCGCGGCCAGGGCGCAGCCGUAGCCGUGACAAGGGCUCGGCCUCGCCGGCACGGUGGCCCCUAGCGGCGCGCAAGUAAGCGGCCCCGGUGGCCCGGCGUGGGUGGCCUGGGCGCGGCCCUCUGGCGCGGUUCGGCCAUGGCGGCACGGGGCGCGGCCCCUACUGGCGCGGGCGCGCGACCCCGGCUCGGCGAGCAGGGGCGCGGCGGCCUCGGCCCCACGGCUAACGGGCGCGCGGCAGGCAUCGGCCCCGGUGGCUCUGCUUGGCCCCGACGGUGCCCCUGGACGGCGUAGCCGCCCGGCGCGAGCGCGCGGCCCUCUGGCGCGGUUCGGCCGGCACAGGAACGGGCGCGCGGCCCGUGACCUGCGGCGCGGACGCGCGGCGGCUCGGCGCGGCGGCUCCGGCACGGCCCCGCCCUGUGCGCAGUGUCCUGGCGUGGCUCACGGCCUACGCGGCCAGCCCAGCGUGCCCUGCACGACUCGCCCUCGUGCCCUGCGCGACCGUUCCGUGCGUCCUGUGCGCCUGUGGCCUGGCCGGUCAUGGCCACCGUGGCCGAGUCGUCGUCGUUCAUUGCGCCGAAGUCUUCGCCAGCAGUUCGUCGUGUUCUGCGUCCAUGCCCCAACGUCAUGCGUCUGUGCCCCGCCGUUCACCGUCGUCUGAGGUGAGCCCAUCGAGGCGAAGCUCAUCUAGCCGUGUCUACCCGCCCUGCGUGUCCAUAGUUUCGCCAUCGCACCCAUUGUUUGUUCGCGCGUCUUUCGCGUGCGUCGAGCGUGUUGUCCAUCCGCGUGAUUCUGUGCGCUAUCUAGCACGCAGUGUGCACAUCGCCCUCAGGCAUUGCGCGUCUCGUCACGCUUUAGUAAACCACUCCACCUAGAAUUGCUCGUGCUGAUUAAUAUUUCGCCUAGAAUUGCUCACAUUAAUUAGUUUACGUAAUUAAACGAUGACUAAUUGAAUAGUAAGCCAAUAGAACUAAGUGUUAAGUCUAUCGAUGCAAGCGAUAAUACUUGGUUAUGUGGGUAGUGCCGACUUAGAUGUUUUCAACUAAUAUUCGUUUAAUGUAAGCGUGACGUCUGUUUAGUUUUUCUCGCGUGUCGUGAGGAUCGCGCGCGUAGUCGCGCGUUGUCCUCUCGCGAGCUUAAACCGUUCGCUUAUAAUCACUCAUGGCAGAUAAUUAACUAUUUAAUUAAUCGUCCACUAUUAAACUAGUAAGUUAGUUAUAACUAUAUAGUAGUUUUAAUCUACAAUCAAUGUCAAUUAAUGUGAUUGCGUCGAAUUAAAUGUUCUAACUAAUACUUUUUAGCAUAAAUGUUAUAACUUCUCGACCGUAGCUUCGACUAUCGCAUUUCUUUUUCCCCGCGUACUGUAGAGGCGAGCUCUAUUUUAAUUGCUCACUUUUAUAAUAUUUUAUCUUGUAUGGUGUAAUAUUCUUAUGCAAGUAUAUGUUUGCUUGUGUCUGUUUGUAUUCAUUACGCCUCGCGAAUAGACUGCGAUCCAUUUCCGAACUUUGAGGAAAUCGACGGCCAAGCUUCGGUUACCAAGAGAUCAAACUCUUCGAGUUCUACAAAGUUGAAGACCCUGAGCAUCUGUUUGGUGAAGUCAAGUGUCCUCUGACCUAUUAUGUCCCAUUUACUUUAUAAUUCACUGUCCCGCAUACUAUGAACAACAUAAGGAUUGACUAGCUUUCUAUUUACCUGGUCCUUGUUUACCUUUUGGGCUACUAUGGUUAGAUUCAUGCUAUUGCUUUACUUUAAUCAAUGAACAUGAUGAGGAUUAUCAAUGAUACGAUGUUUCCCUCCUUUAUUAUGAUGUUAUACUUGUGGUAUUCAAGGGGGCUCGAGCAGUUUCUCGAGUGCCUCUCCGUAAGGACCUGUUCGUUGGAUUACCGCCCAGGAAAACAGUGCAACCAUGAGGGUGGAAUGGGGUUCCCUUAGCUGAAUAAUUAGAGGAUCUGGGGUGUGGUUCGCUUAGCCGUCGUGCCGUUAAUGGGGCUCGGUUUCCGCGGCUCGCUCUACCAAGCUUGGGUUCGCCCCCUUGGGGAGGAGUGCGGUGCAUUUAGGAAACCUAACGGGCGGCUACAGCCCCGGGGAAUCUUUGUAAAGGCUACGUAGUGAUGCCCUGCUGGGCCACCUAGGUAGUGGUCAAUGGGGAGUAGCUCUCUCCGGGCAGAAAGGGAAUCACGACUUGUGGGUAAAGUGCUCAACCUCUGCAGAGUGUUAUGAAACUGAUAUAUCAGUCGUGCUCGCGGUUAUGAGCGGCCAAGGGAGCUCCAUUGAUUAUAGAUACUUGAUCAGAGAUGGUUUGUUUACAGAUGAUGAUGAGGAGGAUGGUUAUGAUUAUGCUUAUGGUAAUGGUAAGUGGUAUUCUUUCUGUCUGGAAAGGGUACUUUGGGUUAAUAACUUGGGUUAAUGCUAAAACCUGGCUUUCUACUAGUAGUAAUAACCUGACCAACUAAAAGCAACUGCUCGACUUAACCCCACAUAAAGCUAGUCCACUUCAGCCAAACGGGACAUUUGCUGAGUACGUUGAUGUGUACUCACCCUUGCUUUCACAAAACACCAGGUUGCCUUUGAUGCAAUCUGUGCUUAGGUAAAGAAAGAGAAGAAGGCAUCGAGGUGGAUACCCAGAAGUUCCAGGACGUCAAUGAGUUCGAGGAUUAGGCUAGCGACCUCCCCCAGUCAGCUGCCUGUGGUGGGUUGUUUACGUUGGCUACGUUUUGAUUCUGUGUACUUUGAUUUAUAUUAUGUAAAUGGCUCUAGUCUAUAAUAUUAUUACUUACUCUUUAUUGUAAUUCGAAGCAUUGUGCUAUGAUGAGUCAUUUAUGUAAUCGCUGUGUACGUGAAUUACUGAUCCUGGCACGUACAUGGUUCGCAUUCGGUUUACCUUCAAAACCGGGUGUGAUAAAAGUUUUACUCUGAAAUUUGGCUUAAUGGUGGAAGGGAGAUAGAAGAUGAAGCUAUCAGACAGGAUGAAGAAGAGGUUAUUUCAAAUUCUGAACUAUUUCCGCACCUAUGACUUACUGUUCGUAUUUAUCUUAUUCUUAAGUUUUUCUAAGGCUCAUCAGGCUAAAGAAGAAGCUUGGAAAAUUGAAGAGGCUGUCGAGCUUGAACGAUGCAUAGUUAUGUGUUUUUACUUUUAAUGUAUCCAUGUUGUUUCUACCUUUGUCAUUUGGCCCUAAACAGUCUUUUUUAAAUAGCAGAACCCUGUCCACCACCAAAACCCUAUGAGCCCGAAGCAGAUCUGGCUCUAAGGGGAAUCUUUGAUGAAUUCAAGGUGGUAAAUGCAGCAAUAGACGAAGCUGUUGAUAAACUACUAAACAAAGUUGUACAGAAAGUUUUGAAGGAAGAUGAUUAAAUUGUGUGCAGAAGAUAUGUAAAAACAUUGUAAAGUCUGUGUGUUGCUUUUAUGUAAAAACAAUUGUGUACUGUGUAUAAUUACAUCGUAUACUAUGUUUCUUUGUGUAGCGUGGAAUUAACGUACAUACCGUUUUUUGAGACGAAGGCGAAAAAACACGUUCCCUCCUUUUCACGCUUCAUAAAGAAAAUCCCUCCUUUGUCGAAGGUCUUGUAGAUUCAUGAAGAAUACCAUUGCUGAAGUAAAAGCAUUGGCCCCUUCUUUGUCUUGUUUGAGGAUAACGACUGUUGAAGAUAUAGCAUUUUUCCCUUUGUCCUACUUUAGUCCAUAAUUUCUCCACAAACACAUAUUUAGAUUCGUAGCUCAGUCGCAUUUGUGGAUGAAGGAGCAAUUUCCCUUCUUCUCUCUUUAUGGAUGAUGUGAAAUGAUGCAUGAAGUUAUGAUGCAAAAUGAUGCAAUGAUAUGAUGCAAAAGAUGUUUGAGUAAAAAUGAUGAUAGACAACAUAUCAUAAUAAGACUCUGCAUCUACUUAGGAACGACUUUGGAGUCUCUUCACCUUUACUAGGUGGCAUUUAGCUCUGCAUCCCAUUAGGAACUACUUUGGAGCUCUUCACCUUUACUAGGUGGCAUUUUAGCUCUACAUCGCCUUAGGAAUGACUUUGGAGCUCUUCACCUUUACUAGAUGGUAUUUUAGCUCUACAUACCCAUAGGAACAACUUUGGAGCUCUUCACCUUUACUAGGUGGUAUUUUAGCUCUACAUCCCCGUAGGAAUGACUUUGGAGCUUCUUCAACUUUGUUGUUAUACUCGAUGGUGCAACCACAGAUUUAUUACAAAGUGUCGAAGGUUGCACCUUCUCAAAUUGUUUUUAAAGUAGGAAAGGAAAACAAAAGAAACAAAAAAUUACAAUAAACGUGUAUCAAAUUCUUGAUCCAGCCCUCUGUUGCUUCAGUAAAUGUGCCUGGACUCUGGAACAGUGUUGUUGACUAUUUGAGCUUCAGACUCUUCUCUAGCAUCACGCUGACGUUGAACUUGACCUUGCCCCUCAGCUACUGAUUGUGAGAUGAAGUUGGAAAUGAUGCAGGUGGUUGAGGCAAGACCCAUCCAACUGGAGAGUGACUUGCCAAAGCAACCGAAGUUGUAGGUUGUGAGGAUGGAUGUGGAUUACCCACAUACUCUGGGAUAUACGAGGAGUAGCAAGAAGCAGUGUGAAGAACUUGCUUCGGCCUUAGCUAUUUCCUUCUAUUUUUGUAUCGUGACUUGGCAGAUUCUUGUUGUAUGCCCUUUGUCCUCUCCACAGAAUAGACAGUACAAUAUUCUUGGUUGAGAGUUAUAUCUUUCGUCGAAGCUUCGUGCUCCUCUACCUCUUAGGGCUAGCGGUCUGAAGGAGCUCUAUUGUGCCCCUAUUGACUGGGAACUGUGGUGCUGCCCUUGAUUAUGAUUGUUUAUGUCUUCACUGUGACUAGGAUUAUGAAUUGUUCUGACAUGCCUUGGAUGAAGCCUUCCCCCGAAGCCCCUGGUCAUCUCAGAGUACUUGUAGGCUUCCUCCCUUCUUUGUUAGAAAUCAUUGUUGGCUCUGAUAUACUCAUCCAUCAUUUGGAGAUGCUUCUCCUGGGUUUGAGGGGGUUUCCUGGCAAAAUAUUGUGUCGUUGGACCUGGGAAAAGUCCCUUGAUCAUGGUCUCAAUGACGAUCUCAUUUGGCACCGUUGGUGCCUGGGCUCUGAGGCGCAAGAUCCUUCAGACAUAUGCCUGCAGAUAUUCUUCGUGAUCCUAUGUACACUGGAACAAAGAUUGAGCAGUAACUGGUUUUGUCUAGAAUCCUUGAAAGCUAGUGACUAACAUGUCCUUCAAUUUCUGCCAUGAUACAAUUGUUCCUGGCCUGAGAGAAGAAUACCAGGUUUGGGCAAUGCUCCUGACUGCCAUGACGAAGGACUUUGCCAUGACAGCCGUGUUGCCUCCAUAAGAUGAUAUAGUCGCUUCGUAGCUCAUCAGAAACUGCUUCGGGUCUAAAUGACCAUCGUACAUGGGUAGAUGAGGUGGCUUGUACGAAGGUGGCCAUGGCACAGCCUAUAGCUUUGUAGCUAGAGGAGAAGCGCCAUCAAAAGCAAUGUUGUCAUAAUGAAAAUCAUCAUACCACAUAUCGUUGCGGCUAGGUACCUCUUGAUGAAGGACUCUUUAUUGUGGUUUAUGUGCUUGCUCAUUAUCCUAUGUGAUAUGUCGCAUCUCCUCGUCUACUUCGUGAAUCUUCUUUUGCAGCUUAGCUAGCCGAAGCAUUUUUGUCCCUUCUCUUUUCCACCUAUUGAUGUAUGGCUUCAAGGUUGCUGAUAUCUUGAUCUAGCUCUUCAUCUUGUGGAGUUGGGCUGAUGGCCUUCCUCUUCUGGCUUUGGGCCUCCCUUAGAAGGACUCCGUCUUGAUUAGUGUCCGGGGGAGCAAGGACAGCCCCUAGCACCAUCGUCUUCUUCGGCGGCAUGAUGAAGGUGAUUGCAGAGUUCACCUGACGAAGGUGGUCGUCGAGUACACCAGAGGUGGACGCCAAUGUUGAUCACUUGUUUGCGAUCACUAUACAUAAUCCAAAACAAGGCAACACGGUAUUAAAAAGAUAGAUGACCUUCAUCUGGAAGGAGUUCUCCCUUCGGGAUAACUCCUUCGGAGACGAAAGUUAAGUGUUAGGUGAAUAAAUGAACAUACAAUGACUAUAAAAGAAUCUGGAUUAUGGCGGAACCGCCCAAAUUAUUCCAACUUAAGUGCCUAAGUCCCACCUUAGAGGCUAGACCACACUUAAAUAGGAAUAACACGUUAGUCCCUCGGAUCUAGUCCAACGAGGCCACUAACAAGAUCAAGUACCACAUACUCACUCGAUGGUGAGGCACAGAGCAAAUACAAUAAAGCAUAAAACCAUACAUUAAGGAGUAUUAAAUUUAUUACAACAUCAUUAGAGUUUUACCAAAAGUAGUGAUCAUUGUUCAGAAUGCAGCGGAAUAAAACUAACGAUAAAUAAAUGGAAGGACAGGGAAGCCUGUCCCAUCACUUCUCAUGCUCCUCCUCAGCCGAGGUAGGAUCCCACUCGACUGUCCAACCUGGUGGCAAGAUGGACGACCAAGUCACUCCAGCAACCAUGUCCUCCAGAGAACCUGUAAAAUUUUGCCACAAGCAAGGCUGAGUAUACUAAUACUCAACUAGACUUACCUGGUGUGAGGAGUCUACUCCUCUACCUCUAGACAUGCAACUGUUUGGCUGAGGGUUCGCUUGCCAAAAGCGCUAGCUGAGUCUAAAAAUCAAGUUUUAGCUUUUUCAAGUUUUAGUGUGACUCUCUUAAGACUAAAUGUGUACCUAUCUAAUCAUUCAUGGUAUCAAGCAUUUAGCAAUCAACAACUUUUGCCAAGUCAUCACAUUUCCACUUGUUACUCAAUGUAGCAGCAUGGAUCAAGCAGUCUCAUUAGCUGUGAGAAGCAGAUGAUUCGAAUCGAGUUUUUAUCCUUGCAAGGUAAACCUAAACACACAACGUGGCGAGGCGCUCCGUCCCCACACAUAUCAAACGUCCCCAUCGAUUCCCGCCAGUAGAUCAGGGCUCACCGCCUUGGCGUACAAUGCCUCACUGACCUCGACUGCCGUCGUGCAGUGACCGCACUUGUACCCACCAUAACCGGAAUGGGAGACCACGUCUCAGGUCGCGUGAGGGGCAAAGUCUGCUGCCAGGUUCAAUCAGGUACUAGGCUUAUCGAUUUACCAUAUUUCUCGACAUGUGUUUAGUACGUUCAAACGCUUGACACACGGUACCACACCUUAAUCCUUAUUCCAAUUUCCGUCUCGUAGACAACCAAUCCCCAUGGAUUGUUGUCCACAGAUCAUCAUCAUUAUGAUAUGAAAAUGGAUACAACCAAUUCCUGACCUCGCGUGAGUGCUAGAAAAAUCACUCGACUUCUAUCGAGAUCCCUAAUUAGUAAAACAGUUUUGAACUAUCAGGUUUAGUUAACAUUUUCCAAAAAUGUUAUAAAAAUUACAGUGCGUAAAUAUUAACAUUUGUGGGUUCUCCUAAAAAUUUGAGGUGGAUAUUAAUUCAGAUACUACUUGUGCAAAAUUUACAAAAACAAGUGUAAAAGGGCAUUUUACACUAUAGCUAUGAUUUAAGUGAGGUCUCUGUACCAAAUUUUAUUUUUGUCCAGAUUCAUAGGUGAUAUUAGGCCUCUGUGUUAAAAAUCAUAGAAAAGACCUACUGGAUAUUUAGUUGUGAUUUUCUAAAGUUUAAUGCCAAAAAGGUACUUAUAACUAACUUGUUAUUUGAAAAUAUCAAAUAACAGAACUCAUAUUUUUCCUAUGUUCAUAAUAACAAAAUAUUAGUUAUCCCAAGGCUGGGGGUGGUUUCUCCUCAGGAUUAUUUUUCUAAGAUUUUCCUAAGUUUUCAUUGUUUUCCUAAAAUAAAAGGAAAGGCAUUUCUUUUGCACUAACAGAGGGUCUAAUAAAAUUUUCUAGUGAACUAUAUUAAAUAAGUGAGCUAACAAAAAUGUGGUUGCUCCCUGGUUCUUAUUUUAAACUCCCUUUUCUAUUUUCUUUAACUUUGAGCUAAAAUGAUUUUAAAUGGUAAAACCUACCUUAAUUUGGUGUACUGAGGGGUUUACUAUUUUUAAACAGAUUAGGGAGUGAUUAAAUACUUCUCUGAUUUUUCUUAAACCCAGUCUAACAUUGUAACUAUUUUUCCCUCUGUUAUUUAGCUUUUGGCCAGAACACUAUUUAAUUCCAAACUUUAAAUUCUUCUGCAAUAUUGAGGAGGUUUUGUAUUUUUCCUAAAUAGUUCACAUUAUUUAGAAUCUGGCAAAAUUAGUUUGACUAAAUUUGGUUGAAUAAAACUGAAGUUAUGAAUUUUACAAGCUCUAUUUGUAUUUAAAUUAGAAAUGUUAAAAAGGUUUUCUGGAAAAUCAGUUUACACCAAGGACCCUAGGCUUUUCCUAAACCAAUCCUUCAACUUAUACCCCUGCGCAACUAUUCAUCUGAGUCUCUGACAAUUCAAAAAACCCCCCGACUUCUAUUCCUUCUUCCCCGAGGUCCCUCCACCCUUUUGAACAGUACCCGCGAAAGGAAAAAGGGUGGCGCGGCUUACCAGCGGCAAGGGAGGUCCGGCGAAGGGUGGGGUUGGCUUCGGGAGGUCCUAGCGGUCACAACUAGGUACGACUCGAUGAUGGUGAUGGCCGGAAUCGGCCGGUCCACGUGCGCAGGCGGGCGAGCUCGUCGGCGGCGAGUGCUCCGGCCUAACCACGGCGAUAUAGGUCAAUCCAAGGGCACGAGGAUCUUCACGGGGUGCUAACGAGUCGACCCGUGUAAGGAAUCGAAGAAUAACUCACCGUGGAGCUCGGUCUACGUUCGCUGGCGGUCGGGUGAAGUCCAGUGACCUUGAUCCGGCGUCUCCGGCGAGACAGAGCUCGAUUCCUCGCUCUGGGAGCUUCACCGGGCACGUAGAGUCUCUCUCGAGGGUUGGACGGGGCUGGGAUUGGCUCUGCUGGCUCGUCUACGGUGGUAGGUGCUCGGGUGGCCGCUGGCACGCCGUUUGCAGGGCAAACUUCGGCGAUCUCGUGCUCUGGUGAGGUCGAGAGCGUGCGGGGGCGUACAGCUGAAGCCUUGGCUGGCUUUAUAGGCGCAGGCGCGGGCACGGGACACAGGCGUGGCUUGGCGUGGGGCGCGCGGGUUCGGGCGCUGGGCAUGCUCUGGCGCGUUCAGGGCGCGUCGAACACGUGGAGGUGUUCUUCUGCCCAUGUUCAAAAGCUUGCUGAGAUCGCAAACAUGCGAAUCUUGGCAAAAAUCCGGCACAGACCUCUUCCUGGCACCUAUGGCUAUCUCUUGUAUGUGAGUUCCAAGGGGAGAUAAGCCCUAGGUCAGAAGAUUUGCGGACGCCAAUUCUGGCUUGUCCCAUUGUCCACCUCGCGACAAAAGUGAUGCCAAAUCAUGUCAAACGAAUUUGACUCGGGUUCAAACUUUUCCAGUGGGUGCCUUAGGUGGUUUGGCACCUUUUUGGUAUUCAGACCAAGUGGUUUUGGUGCCAUUUACUAAGUGAACACGUCUGAUCUUUAGAUUAGGGUUAAAUUUUGACUUAGAAAAGAUUAGAGAGCUCUAGUGUGCUCUCUACUUAAGGGGUGGUUUUGGGGUCUUUGAGGGGCCUUUUUAUAAUGUUUCCCCUCUGCAUUUUGUAGAUUAUAAUGUUACUUAAACUUUGGUUAAGGGUAAACUCAUGAUUUGCACAUGUUUUUAACCUUUCCCUUAAACCAGGGUUUUGGGAGUUAAGGCUCAAGAAGGGCCUAGGGUUUAAUUCUCUCUUGCCCAAGGUGGUAAUUGCAUAAGUGCUUGGGUAAUGCUUUUGUCAUUAACAUUCUUAGUUAAUCCAAGGGUUUCCAAGGUUUUGGGGCUCCCUCUCCUCCACUUAACACAUGUGAUAACAAGUCAGGGGUACAAGUAGGGCCUUGGUAACACCUGGGGUGUUACAACCCUCCCCCCUUAAAGGAAUCUCGUCCCGAGAUUUUAGGUAGGGAUCCUUCUGUGGGGUACCAAGAAGGUGUGCUUGGGUGUUGUAGAUCCUUUUGUCCAAGUCGUUUUAGUUAACUGCUCUUCGAAUGUCAUUCUCUUUGCAACUUCAGAAGGAAAUCCUUUUAAAGUUAUUUUCAAAGCUUACUAUACCUUUAACAUCUAAGAUUUUCUUAUAUUUAGAUUCAAAGGGCAGGUGGGGGUGGGGUUUUUUGGAUUACGUACCGACUCCUUUGGGCAGAAAGUCGGGGAAGCGAGAACAUAGAAAAUCCUCAGUCUCCCACGUAGCCUCUUCUACUGAAUGGUGACUCCACUGAACCUUAUACAUCCUGAUCGACCUUGCUCGCGUUGAUCUCUCCUUUUGAUCCAAUACCUUGACGAGGUGCUCUUGAUAGGACGAGUCUGGUUCUAUCUCCAAUUCUGGUUCAGGUAGCACUUCUGUGGGUAAGCGGACACACUUUCGCAGCUGAGAUACGUGGAACACAUCAUGAACUGCUGACAUAUGGGGUGGCAACUUCAAUUGAUAUGCUAUAGGUCCACAAGUCUCCUUGAUCUCAUAGGGCCCAAUGUAGCGAGGAACUAACUUGCCCUUGAUUCCAAACCUCUGAACACCUUUGGUGGGUGACACCUUAAGAUAAACAUGAUCUCCCACUUCAAACUGUAGAGGCUUCCUCCUCUUGUCAUGAUAGCUCUUUUGCCUGUCCUGAGCAGCCUCUAAGUUCCUCUUAAUGAUUCUGACUUUCUCCUCUGCUUCUAGUACCAAGUCAGGUCCAAAUAUUUCCCUCUCUCCAACUUGUGACCAAUUUAGCGGUGUCCUACACCUUCUCCCAUACAAGGCUUCGAAAGGUGCCAUCUUUAAACUAGAUUGGUAGUUAUUAUUAUAAGAGAACUCUGCCAAUGAAAGACACUUGUCCCAAUCCUUCCCAUAGUGUAGCACACAUGCCCUCAACAUGUCUUCCAAAAUCUGAUUCACUCUUUCUGUCUGACCAUCUGUUUGAGGGUGGUAUGCUGAGCUUCUUAUUAGAUGGGUCCCAAGUGAUUCUUGCAAUUGCUCCCAGAAACGUGCUACAAAUGGUGCUCCUCUGUCAGACACAAUAGUCCUUAGUAUUCCAUGCAGACGAACUAUCUGGUCAAUAUAAAUUUCUGCAUACUUUUCUGUCUGGUGGGUGGUAUGUACUGGCAAGAAAUGCGCUGUUUUGGUCAACCUAUCCACAAUGACCCAAAUAGAAUCGUGGUGCCGGGAGAUAUUGGGCAAUCCUACAAUAAAAUCCAUGCAAAUAUCCUCCCAUUUCCAAGAUGGUAGGGGAAGGGACUAUAAGGUGCCUGCCACCUUCAAAUGACUAGCCUUGACUCUUUGGCAAGUGUCGCACUCCGAUAUAUACUUAGAAAAUUCCCUUUUCAUUCUGGUCCACCAGUACAAAGAUCUGAGAUCAUGAUACAUCUUGUUACUGCCGGGGUGCAUGGAGAAUUUGGAAAGGUGGGCUUCAUCCAAUAUUUUCUUUCUAAGCUCGGGGUUCUUGGGAACAACCAACCGGUCUCCAAACCAUAGAAUUCCUUUGUUGUCCUGACGGAAGCAUUUGUAUUUGUCCACCCUUUGUUCGAUCAUUUCCUUAAUGACUUGAACACCCUUGUCACCAAUCUGUGCCAUGACUAUUUGCUCAUGUAAGGUGGGCUCCACUGAAAUAUAACUCAAAGCACCGGAGGGAACAACUUCUAUGUUCAGCUUGCACAACUCAUCACACAGGGUGGUGAUUUUUGCAUCCAUACUCACACAGUUACACUGGGCCUUCCGACUUAAGGCAUCUGCCACAACAUUGGCCUUGCCAGGAUGGUAAUGCACCUCCAAAUCGUAGUCCUUGAUUAAUUCCAACCAUCUUCUCUGCCUCAUAUUAAGAUCAGCCUGAGUGAAAAUAUAUUUGAGACUCUUGUGAUCAGUAUAGAUAUUAUAAUGAGCUCUCAUCAAGUAAUGUCUCCAUAUCUUUAGAGCAUGAACUACGGCUGCUAACUCCAGAUCAUGAGUGGGGUAGUUCUGCUCGUGAGGCCUGAGUGCUCGGGAGGCAUAAGCAAUGACUCUAUUGUCUUGCAUCAGGACACAUCCCAAUCUAGUACCUGAAGCAUCGCAAUAAACCUUAAAAGAUUUGGUGUUGUCAGGCUGAGCUAGCACGGGUGCUGUUGUCAAAUGUUGCCUAAGUGUAUGAAAGGCAUCCUCACAUUUCUGGCUCCAUUCAUACUUGACUCCUUUCUUCAACAAUCGAGUCAUUGGCUUGGCAAUCCUGGAGAAAUCCGGAAUGAAUCGUCGAUAAUACCCUGCCGAUCCCAGAAAACUACGGAUCUGCCGUACUAUGGUAGGAGGUUUCCAAUCCAUCACUUGUACUUUUUCAGGAUCAACUGAUACCCCAUCCUGAGAGAUGGUGUGACCCAAAAUUUUUAUCUCCUUCAAACAGAAAUCACGUUUGGACAGCUUAGCAUAUAGACGAUGAUCGCGCAGUCGCUGAAGUAUGAUGUGUUGAUGCUCAGCAUGCUUAGCUUCAUUUUUGGAAUAAACCAGAAUGUCAUCAAUAAAGACCACCACAAACUUGUCCAGCUCUGGCAUAAAUACUGAGUUAAUCAAAUACAUGAAAUAUGUCGGGGCAUUGGUCAGCCCGAAAGACAUCACCAAGUACUCAUAAAGCCCAUAUCUGGUAGAGAAGGCCGUCUUUGGAAUAUCACUGGCUCGGAUCUUGAUCUGAUGGUAGCCGGAACGAAGGUCUAUCUUUGAAAAUACCUGGGCUCCCACCAAUUAAUCAAACAAUACAUCAAUGCGGGGCAAUGGAUACUUAUUCUUGAUGGUCACCACAUUGAGAGGGCGGUAGUCAACACACAACCUCAAACUCUCAUCUUUCUUCUUCACAAAUAAGGCGGGACAUCCCCAUGGAGAAGUACUUGGGCGAAUAAACCCCUUGUCCAACAAUUCUUGCAACUGCUUUUUCAACUCUGCCAAUUCUGCUGGAGGCAUCCUAUAAGGUCUCUUGGAUAUAGGGGCAGUUCCGGGUUGUAAUUCAAUCGCAAACUCUAUGUCUCUGUCGGGUGGCAUCCCUGGCAAUUAAUCCGGAAAAACAUCUGGGUAGUCAUAGACCACUGGGAUCCUCUCGACAGGUGACUCCAUCAUAGCGAAGGCACAGGAACGAGUACAUCCCUGGUCGGGUAGGUACAGGGUGAUCUCUCCAUCCAGUGGGGAGUGGAUCUCUAUGGCCCUGGCUGCGACAUCGAUUACCGCAUGGUGUCGCGAUAACCAAUUAGUCCCCAGGAUGAUAUCCACACUAUCCAAUCCCAUGAUUAGGAGAGUGGUUUUAAAUAUGAAGCUACCCAACCUGAUUGGUACGUGUCUAUUGAUCUGAUAGGUGGCAACCCUGCCUCUGGGUGUAGAAAUUGUAAUACCCCCAUUUGUGUGGUGAAAAGGUAACUGGCACUUGGCACUAAAUUUGGUACUAAUAAAACUGUGUGAUGCACCAGAAUCAAAAAGAAUGAUUGCAGGAUAAUUCAAAACUGAAAAGAUAACAGUCAAGACGGGUGCUCCCUCUGGAAUAUCAGCCAUGGUGGUGAAGUUCAGCCUGCCUUGCCUCACUUGCACCUUCUGCCUCUUGCCUUGGUUCUGAUUGGAAUUCUGUCCCUGCCUCUGCUGAUUUCUAGGGCAAUUUUUGGCAUAGUGUCUAGUGUUACCACAAGUAAAACACCUGUUGUCAUUGGCCUGACAGUACUGCUGCUGUGGCUGAUUGUUGUUCCUCUGCACUGGGAGCUGAGAGUGGUUGGGUGCCUGCUGCUGCUGCUGUGGUCGGAUCACCCAACGUCCUUGCUGCUGCUGAGGUCUCCUGUUCUGAGUGUCAGAUACAAUCCUGAAGCGCUGAGGCUGAGCUGAAGGUCCUGCCACAGGGGUCUUCCUCUUCUUUUCUGCCUGACGGGCUGUGAUACAGUCCUCCUGGGAAAUGGCCAUGUUGACUAACUCAUUGCAACUGUUGGCCCUGACGGUGUUGAGACGGUCGUGGAGCUUAGUGCUGAGCCCCCUCCUGAACCUAUCCCUCUUCUUCUCAUCAGUGUCUACAUGAUAUCUGACAUACUGACACAGGUCAUUGAAGGCCUGUGCAUACUGCAACACAGUGCGAUUUCCCUGAGUAAGCGCCAGAAACUCAUUAAGCUUUCGAUCCAUGAUGCCUGCUGGUAUAUGAUGCCCUCUGAAAGUGGCCUUGAACUCGCUCCAUUCCACCACGUUGUCAACUGGCUGCAUAGCAAGGAAGUGGUCCCACCAUGUCCGCGCGGGUCCGCGAAGCUGCUGGGUGGCGAACCUGACCUUAGCCACAUCUGAACAAACUCCAUUGAGUAGUGGGAAUUUGGAUUCCACUACCCUGAGCCAUACAUCAGCAUCAAGCGGAUCCUCUGCCCGAGUGAACAACGGCGGCUGCGUACUGAGGAAUUCCUGAUAAGUGGCUGCUGCUAGGGGAUGCUGAUGGUGAUCACCACCACCAUAAGGCUGGGGUGGCAGCUGACGCUAAGCCAGCUGUCGCAGAAUCUCGUUCUGCUGGGCCAUCAACUCUUGCAUGGUAGGAGGCGGUGGCGGUGGUGGAGGAAUGCGUUCAUUCUAUCCACGAUGCGCUCUUCCUGCCAUCUAAAAAAUUAAGGAUGCAAUCAAUAUCAUACUUCUGAUGUCAGGUUUCAUAUGCGGUGAAAGAUUUGAAAGGGGUAAAACCAAUAUUUUCUUGCAUAAUUCAUAAAAGAUUCUACAUGGCAUAAAACUUUUUCUUCAUAAAUUAAAGCUGACAUCAUUCAUCAUCCAUAACCCCAAAAGAGUUUGUUAUGAUUACAUCAGUGAGCAAAAGACUCAACUCUGUCUAGCCUAGUACCCCAAGGGUGCAAAAGCUAAGCUAGCUUCGAGGAGUUCUACCGCCACACACUUCUAACUCUAUCCCUGCAACCUCAAUAGACAAACGAGGCAACACUUGACUCGGGGGAAGGUGGUCUCCCUGAGCCAGCAGUGUCCAAGCUAGAUGCAGGCUUCGGCUCCUCUCCUCCCUCGAUGUCGACAUCCUCGUUGGCCUCCAUGUCCUGGAUCUCCUGGUGGUGCAUAUCCAAAUGUUGGUUAGCUUCCGCAAGUUGCUGCUGAGUGUUGAUUAGCUGAUCCUCGAGAACCUCAAUGGUGUUCUCCCUGGUUCCCACUAGCUCCUCAAGCUCCUGGAUCUCGUUGGACAUCUGUUCCACCUGUAGGUCCUUUUCCACCAUCUCAGUGGAUAGGUCUACCACCAGUUCCUCUCUGUUAUCUAAGGUGAUCUUGGUAGCCUCCAACAAUGCCAUUAGCUGAGACAUUGCCGCUCCUCGCAUCACUUGCAGAUGAUACAUGGCAUCCAUGCAUCGCACCGUCAAGUGAGCAGUCUGCCCUGGGUAAAGAGCCCAUAUAUCCUUGGCAUGCUCCACUCGGUCUUUCCACAUUGGGUCGUCCUCCUUUUCAGCGAAUAACAAGCCAAUGGGAUGAGUAGACAGCUCCAAGGGAUGAAAACCACAGAAGGUGGUCAGCCCGUGGAGAGCAAUGGCCUCGAUAGUAUCCUCAGCCCGGUAUCCGAAAGACUCAGAGUCCAACAAACGCCAGCCUAGCUAUAAGGGAUGAGGCUCCAGGGUCAUCCUCACCCUACAGCGGGGCACCCGGUGCUUCUCGAAUAGCUGCACCGUGUACUGGGGAGGCGUCAUGUAACCUGCUCCCUGAAGUACCUCCCACAAGAUACGGGGAAAACCCUCUCGUGCAAGUCCGUCCGUGUGGGAAUGUGCGUUCCCUUCGUCCAAGGAUCCGUGAGAAGUCAUCUGUGUACGGUUAAGCGUAAGUGAAAAGAAAAAGAAUUAAAAAAGUAAAAAGGGAUCAAGGCUUGGCCUAUUGAAGGUUACGAUAAGGUCACUGAGUGUACUUAAUCUUUUGUUAUCAUGUCUCAUAGCAUUUUAAAGCUCUUAACUAAUUACCAAGUAGUUUGAUUAAAUGAUGCAUGCAUGCUCGACCUAAACAACCUCGCAUCAACUUAUAGGGAAUAGGGAAAAAUUCCCAUUCCUUAUAGUAGCCUAUAGGGCAUACUCACAUAGCCACCUAGCUACCCCUCCAUUAUCCUAAGGCUUCACGUCUUAGGUCUAUCCUUAUCGUCCUAGCGAUCUAUCCAACAUUUGUUUCUAACAAGUUUUACUUUUGAAAAGGAUGGUAUUUACAGUUUAUUGAUUCCUCUGUGGUGGUACGAGCUCCGAUACCAGCUGUGGCAGAACCGCCCGAAUUAUUCCAACUUAAGUGCCUAAGUCCCACCUUAGAGGCUAGACCACACUUAAAUAGGAAUAACACGUCAGUCCCUUGGAUCUAGUCCGACGAGGCCACUAAUAGGAUCAAGUACCACGUACUCACUCGAUGGUGAGGCACAGAGCAAAUACAAUAAAGCAUAAAACCAUACAUUAAGGAGUAUUAAAUUUAUUACAACAUCAUCGGAGUUUUACCAAAAGUAGUGACCAUUGUUCGGAAUGCAGCGGAAUAAAACUAACGAUAAAUAAAUGGAAGGACGGGGAAGCUUGUCCCAUCACUUCUCAUGCUCCUCCUCAGCCGAGGUAGGAUCCCACCCGACUGUCCAACCCGGUGGCAAGAUAGACGACCAAGUCACUCCAGCAAUCAUGUCCUCCAGAGAACCUAUAAAUUUUGCCACAAACAAGGCUGAGUAUACUAAUACUCAGCUAGACUUACCUGGUGUGAGGAGUCUACUCCUCUACCUCUAGACAUGCAGCUGUUUGGCUGAGGGUUUGCUUGCCAAAAGCGCUAGCUGAGUCUAAAAAUCAAGUUUUAGCUUUUUCAAGUUUUAGUGUGACUGUCUUAAGACUAAAUGUGUACCUAUCUAAUCAUUCUUGGUAUCAAGCAUUUAGCAAUGAACAACUUUUGCCAAGUCAUCACAUUUCCACUUGUUACUCAAUGUAGCAACAUGGAUCAAGCAGUCUCAUUAGCUGCGAGAAGCAGACGAUUCAAAUCGAGUUUUUAUCCUUGCACGUUAAACCUAAACACACGACGUGGCGAGGCACUCUGUCCCCACACAUAUCAACCGUCCCCAUCGAUUCCCCGCCAGCAGAUCAGGGCUCACCGCCUUGGCGUACAAUGCCUCACUGACCCUGACUGCCGUCGUGCAGUGACCGCACUUGUACCCACCAUAACCGGAAUGGGAGACCACGUCUCAGGUCGCGUGAGGGGCGAAGUCUGCUGCCAGGUUCAAUCAGGUACUAGGCUUACCGAUUUACCAUAUUUCUCGGCAUGUGUUUAGUACGUCCAAACGCUUGACACACGGUACCACACCUUAAUCCUUAUUCCAAUUUCCAUCUCGUAGACAACCAAUCCCCAUGGAUUGUUGUCCACAGACCAUCAUCAUUAUGAUAUGAAAAUAGAUACAACCAAUUCCUGACCUCGCGCGAGUGCUAGAAAAAUCACUCGACUUCUACCGAGAUCCCUAAUUAGUAAAGCAGCUACUCGACCUAGCAUACUAGUAUCCAUAUCAAAAGGUAUCCUGAGUCAUGCAACUCUGGUUUCAAACAACUCCUGAGUCAUGCAUAAUAAGUAGGUUAUGCAUAAAACCGGGGCUUGCCUUCCAAAGCUGGGGCAGGCAGAUCCUCGAUAGCAGGCUCUGGUGUUGGAUCCUGGGCUACCUCCUGAGCCACUCCUUGCUCCGGCACGAGGAUGUAUUCCCCGUCGGAGAGAUUACAGUCUAUUGAAUGCAAGUUAUGAGAUAUAUGCAUAAAAAUUAUAUGAACAUUUUGUAAAGGUUAUGCAUAGUAAAACAAUAUUAAGUUUAGUGCUUCUCUAGGGUUUCUUUUUGGAUAUACUAAAGGGCUUGGUAUUUUCAUCUAUUUCUCCCAAAGUUCCCCUUUCUCUUUCUAUUGCUUUUUAUUAAGCAGUUUUGAACUAUCAGGUUUAGUCAACAUUUUCCAAAAAUGUUAUAAAAAUUACAAUGGGUAAAUAUUAACAUUUGUGGGUUCUCCUAAAAAUUUGAGGUGGAUAUUAAUUCACAUACUACUUGUGCAAAAUUUACAAACACAAGUGUAAAAGGGCAUUUUACACUAUAGCUAUGAUUUAAGUGAGGUCUCUGUACCAAAUUUUAUUUUUGUCCAGAUUCAUAGGUGAUAUUAGGCCUAUGUGUUAAAAAUCACAGAAAAGACCUUCUAGAUAUUUAGUUGUGAUUUUCUAAAGUUUAAUGCCAAAAAGGUACUUAUAACUAACUUGUUAUCUGAAAAAUAUCAAACAAUAGAACUCAUAUUUUUCCUAUGUUCAUAAUAACAAAAUAUUAGUUAUCCCAAGGCUGGGGGUGGUUUCUCCUCAAGAUUAUUUUUCUAAGAUUUUCCUAAGUUUUCAUUGUUUUCCUAAAAUAAAAGGAAAGGCAUUUCUUUUGCACUAACAGAGGGUCUAAUAAAAUUUUCUAGUGAACUAUAUUAAAUAAGUGAGCUAACAAAAAUGUGGUUGCUCCUUGGUUCUUAUUUUAAACUCCCUUUUCUAUUUUCUUUAACUUUGAGCUAAAAUGAUUUUAAAUGGUAAAACCUACCUUAAUUUGGUGUACUGAGGGGUUUACUAUUUUUAAACAGAUUAGGGAGUGAUUAAGUACUUCUCUGAUUUUUCUUAACCCCAGUCUAACAGUGUAACUAUUUUCCCCUCUGUUAUUUAGCUUUUGGCUAGAACACUAUUUAAUUCCAAACUUUAAAUUCUUCUACAAUACUAAGGGGGUUUUGUAUUUUUCCUAAGUAGUUCACAAUAUUUAGAAUCUGGCAAAAUUGGUUUGACUAAAUUUGGUUGAAUAAAACUGAAGUUAUGAAUUUACAAGCUCUGUUUAUAUUUAAAUUAGAAAUGUUAAAAAGGUUUUCUGGAAAACCAGUUUACACCGAGGACCCUGGGCUUUUCCUAAACCAAUCCUUCAACUUAUACCCCUGCGCAACUAUUCAUCUGAGUUUCUGACAAUUCAAAAACCCCCUGACUUCUAUUCCUUCUUCCCCGAGGUCCCUCCUCCCUUUUGAACAGUACCCACGAAAGGAAAAAGGGUCGCGCGGCUUACCGGCGGCGAGGGAGGUCCGGCGAAGGGUGGGGUUGGCUUCGGGAGGUCCUUGCGGUCACAACGAGGUAUGGCUUGAUGACGGUGAUGGCCGGAAUCGGCCGAUCCACGUGCGCAGGCAGGCGAGCUCGUCGGCGGUGAGUGCUCCGGCCAAUCCACGGCGAUAUAGGUCAAUCCAAGGGCACGGGGAGCUUCACGGGGUGCUAACGAGUCAACCCGUGCAAGGAAUCGAAGAAUAACUCACCGUGGAGCUCGGUCUACGUUCGCCGGCGGUCGAGUGAAGUCCGGUGACCUUGAUCCGGCGUCUCCAGCGAGGCAGAGCUUAAUUCCUCGCUCUGGGAGCUUCACCGAGGCAUGUAGAGUCUCUCUCGAGGGUUGGACGGGGCUAAGAAUGGCUCUGUUGGCCGGUCUACGGUGGAGGGUGCUCGGGCGGCCGCUGGCACGCCGUUUGCAGGGCAAACUCCGGCGAUCUCGUGCUCCGGUGAGGUCGAGAGCGCGUGGCGGCGUACGGCUGAAGCCUUGGCUGGCUUUAUAGGCGUAGGCAGGGGACACGGGCGUGGCUUGGCGCGGCGCGGGGCGCGCGGGUUCGGGCGAUGGGCGUGCUCUGGCGCGUUCAGGGCGCGUCGAACAUGUGGAGGUGUUCUUCUGCCCAUGUUCAAAAGCUUGCUGAGAUCGCAAAUGUGCGAAUCUUGGAAAAAAUCCGGCGCAGACCUCUUCCUUGCACCUAUGGCUAUCUCUUGUAUGUGAGUUCCAAGGGGAGAUAAGCCCUAGGUCAGAAGAUUUGCAAACGCCAAAUCUGGCUUGUCCCACUAUCCACGUCGCGACAAAAGUGAUGCCAAAUCAUGUCAAACGAAUUUGACUCGGGUUCAAACUUUUCCAAUGGGUGCCUUAGGUGGUUUGGCACCUUUUUGGUAUUCAGACCAAGUGGUUUUGGCGCCAUUUACUAAGUGAACACGUCUGAUCUUUAGAUUAGGGUUAAAUUUUGACUUAGAAAAGAUUAGAGAGCUCUAGUGUGCUCUCUACUUAAGGGGUGGUUUUGGGGUCUUUGAGGGGCCUUUUUGCAAUGUUUCCCCUCUGCAUUUUGUAGAUUAUAAUGUUACUUAAACUUUGGUUAAGGGUUAACUCAUGAUUUGCACAUUUGUUUAACCUUUCCCUUAAACCAGGGUUUUGGGAGUUAAGGCUCAAGAAGGGUCUAGGGUUUAAUUCUCUCUUGCCCAAGGUGAUAAUUGCAUAAGUGCUUGGGUAAUGCUUUUGUCAUUAACAUUCUUAGUUAAUCCAAGGGUUUCCAAGGUUUUGGGGCUCCCUCUCCUCCACUUAACACAUGUGAUAACAAGUCAGGGGUACAAGUAGGGCCUUGAUAACACCUAGGGUGUUACAUGGAUAUGAUAAUUCAAUAAAAUAUCUUCAUAAUAUAUUCUUCCUUUCGUAAAUUAACUUUACAAUUGUACCUUCGACACUUGUGGAAAAAGUUACAAUGAAGAUGUCGUAGAGAGAAAAUUACACAACAAUCGUACCACCCAUUGAGAGGUACUUUAUGUAGGGCACUGUUCAUCUAUUUAUAGAGAGUUGUACAGCUUCAUACAAAAUUACAUUUAUGCCCUUAGAGAUUAAACAUAAAGUUUACACAUAUUAUAGGAUGACAUUGUCUUUUUCCCUCAGCGACCUGGAUAACACCUUCUUCUUAUAUCGUCUUCCCAUGUUGUUGCGACGAAGCUAACUUCGUUACCCUUCCACCAUUCCGCGUCGAAGCUAUCCUAGUCCCGAAGCAACUGUAAUACUUGGCAAUAUGAUGAUAACAAGUGAUUAGUCGUCCUUUCGAGGACCUUCGGAGGAGGAAGGCCCCCAACAAUGGUCUCCACCAGAAAUCUAAGAAUGUGACCUAUGGCAAGGAAACAUAUGUGGGGUGAUGUGUACGAGCCUCUUAUUGAUGAUCAAUGGCCACACAACCCGCAUUUUUGUCGAAAAUAGCCAUGACCGUCCAUUUUGAAUAAUACCGAAGGCAAACACCUACAGAUUUUUACCAAGAAAUGGUCUCAACUAGAAAUCCAACAAUGUGACGUAUGGCAAGGAAACAUAUGUGGGGUGAAGUGUAUGAGCCUCUGUUCAAUGAUUAAUGGCCACACAACCCCCAUUUUCUCGAAAAUAACCAUAAAUGACCAUUCUCAAAAAUACGGAAGACUAACACCUACUGAUUUUGAGCUAGAAUCGGUCUCCACCAGAAAUCCAAUAAUGUAAUAUAUGGCAAGGAAACAUAUGUGGGGUGAGGUGUAUGAGCCUCUAGUCGAUGAUCAAUGGCCACAAAACCCACAUUUUUUUUUGAAAAUAGCGAUGAAUGACCAUUUUCAAUAAUACCGAAGGCUAACACCUAUGCAUUUUAGACCAAGAAAUGGUCUCCACCAGAAAUCCAAGAAUGUAACCUAUGGCAAUUAAACAUAUGUGGGUUAAGGUGUAUGUGCCUCUGGUCGAUGAUCAAUUGCCACACAACCCCCAUUUUGGUCAAAAAAUAGUCAUGAACGACAAUUUUCAAUAUUACCGAAGGCUAACACCUACGAAAUUUUGACCAAGAAAUGGUCUGCACCAGAAAUCCAAGAAUAUGACCUAUAGCAAGGAAACAUAUGUGGGGUGAGGUUUUGGAGCCUCUGGUACAUGAUGAAUAGCCAUACAACCCCCAUUUUUGUCAAAAAUUGUCAUGAACGACCAUUUUCCAUAAUACUGAAGGCUAACACCUACGGAUUUUUGACUAAGAAAUGGUCUCCACUAGAAAUCGAAGAAUGUCACCUAUGGCAAGGAAACAUAUGUAGGUGAGGUGUACGAGCUUCUAGUCGAUGAUCAAUGGCCAUAACCCCCAUUUUUGUUAAAAAUAGACAUGAACGACCAUUUUGAAUAAUACCGAAGGCUAACACCUACGGAUUUUUUACUAAGAAAUGGUCUCCAGCCAAAAUCCAAGAAUGUGAUCUUUGGCAAGGAAACAUAUGUGGGGUGAGGUGUACGGGCCUCUGGAUGAUGAUCAAUGGCAAUACAACCCCAUUUUUUGUCGAACAUAGUCAUGAACGAUCAUUUUCAAUAAUCACUACCGGAAUCCGGGCCUUUGCCGAGUGCCGGUGGCUUUGCUGAGUGCUUUUUAUCGGGCACUCGGCAAAGUCGACUUUGCCGAGCGCCGCACUCGGCAAAGUACUGCGCUCGGUAAAGAGCUAAUUUACCGAGCGCAGGACACUCGGCACAGCCAAGCACUCGGCAAAGACUGUUUUGCCGAGCUUCAAGCACUCGGCAAAUAUGGCUCUCGGCAAAGGGCCGUUAGCGGCCGUCUACAACUGACGGCCGUCAGUCUUUGCCGAGUGUCAAAUAUCUGGCACUCGGCAAAGAGAGUCUUUGCCGAGUGUCCUAUGUAGACACUCGGCAAAGCAUAUUUUUAUUUUUUUUAUUUUGGUCACCAAACUUUUUGUGGUAUGUUCCUACACUAUGUAGACCUACAUGUACCAUUUUGGGACAAUUAUAACAGUGUUUUCUAUAGCUAGUACAUUUAGUUUGUUUAUUUGAAUUUCUUCGGAAAAUUCAGAUUUGAACUGCAGGUCACUCGAAACUUGGAAAACCGUGCAUGCAAAAAUGAUAUCCAUGCUACUUAGCACAAGUUACGAUCGAUUUCAGGAGCGGACCGGAAACUUCGAGCACCAUGCUCACUCAACAUGACCGUGAACUUGUCAUCCAGAUGUUUAAAAAUUGUAUAAAACACAAACAAAGUCAGAAAAUCAUGAAACCUGUCCACGUGUCAUUAUAUCAUAUGUAGAGGCUGUGAUAAAAAUUUGAAAAAGUUUCAAGAAAGCUGUAACGCACUAUGUGUACAAACCUAAGAGAUCCACAUUGAAACUCUAUGAUUUCAUGUGUAGUUCUCUUAGGUUUCUACACAUAAUGUCUCAUAACUUCCUCCAAACAUUCUAAAUUUUUUAUCACAGACUCUACAUAUGAUAUCAUGACAUGUGGACAAGAUUCAUGAUUUUCUAAGUUUGUUUGUGUUUUAUAAAAUUUUUAAACAGUUGUAUGGCAAGUUCACGGCCAUGUUGAGUGAGCAUGGUGCUCGAAGUUUCCGGUCCGAUCCUGAAUUCGGUCGUAACUUGUGCUAAGUAGCAUGGAUAUUAUUUUUGCAUGCACGGUUUUCCAAGUUUCGAGUGCCCUGCAGUUCAAAUGUGAUUUUUUCGAAGAAAUUCAAAUAAACGAACUAAAUCUACUAGCUAUAGAAAACAAUUUUCUAAUUGUCUCAAAAUGGUACAUGUAGGUCUAUAUAGUGUAGGAACAUACCACAAAAAUUUUGGUUGGGAAAAUAAAAAAAUAAAAAUGUUCUUUGCCGAGUGUCAAGAAAUAACACUCGGCAAAGAUAGUCUAUGCCGAGUGCCUGACAUUGGACACUCGGCAAAGUAAGUUUUUUGCCGAGUACCUAACUCUGGAACUCGGCAAAGUUAAUUUUUAAAUAAAAAAAGAACUUUGUCGAGUGCCCCAGAUCUGGGGCACUCGGCAAAGUAUAUUUUUAAAUUAAAAAAAAUCUUUGCCGAGUGCCAGAUCGCGGGCACUCGGCAAAGAGCUUGACCUUAAUCAAACCGACGCGGGUUCUCUUCUCUGUUCUCGCUCGCUCUCUUCUCUCUCUGUUCCACGCGCCCGCCGUCUCCCUCACAAAACCACCGUCGCCGUCGCCGUGAUAGCAGGCGCCGCCGCCCCCGCUCGCCCGGACCACACCGGCCCCCGCCCGCCUCUCUCUGCGCCGGCCACCGCGCGCCGUCGACGCCGCGCCGGCCACCGCCAUUCGACGGCGCUCGACGCCGCCCCUGGUCCUUGACGCGGCCCCUGCUCGCCCCGCCGUCGCCGUGAGUUUUGACUGAUGAAUUAUUAUUGUUUUGAUUGAGCCAAACUAUGAUUGUUUUUACUAAUGAAUUAUUAUUUGAUCCUUGAAAUGGUAGCUUUUGACUAUGAUUUAUGGUUCUUCCAAUUUAGAGUUAUUCUUGUGGGGCAUAUAUAUAGUGAUAUACUCUGUAUAUAUAUACACAAAGAGAUAAACAAAGAGAAAGUAUAAUUGCUUGUCAUUGCUAUAAAUCGUGGAGGGAAAAAGAAAUGCUUUUAAUUUGUAUCACAACUCUCUUUUUGUUAUAGCUACAAGUUGUCUUGGCAUGGGGGGCAUACCAAUAUCAUAUAGGCCGAUCAAGUUCAUUAUCUUGAAUACAUCAAAGUGCAACUUUGCAUACUUUUUUACUGUGUGCAUGUCAGCCAUCGUGUUGUUAGUUUUAUUUGCAGGUUUUAAAAACCUCAACGUACAGGGGAGGUGCUGUCGAUUUUUUUGUAUUAAUAGACUUGUGUUUCUUUUUUACAAAGAAGAUACUUGUGUUCCUAGCCGCUGCGGGUCUGCCUGCACCGCGUCGCGUCGCCACUGCACCGACCCGCCACAGCCCCACUAGCCUGACUCCACCGCCACCCUAGGUAUAACCUCUAUUUCCGCAUCAUGGUCGUAGAUCACGUAACCCAGUUAGGCAUCUCCCGUUCGAAAGAGAUACGGUGUAGAUAUGCCGAUCUUUGCAUAUCUACAAAUGUAUCAGUUUCGAAUUGUCCACGUUUUCUGGACAGCCCACGGUUGCGUAGAUGGUGUUAGUUUCAUGCUCUACUCCGGUACGAGGUAGAGUUUCGGCGUCACCUCCCUGUUGUUCUCCGGACAGUACACUCUCCCUGCCAGGACGUGUAUCCGGAGAACAGCGGGUAGGUGCUGCUGAAAUUCUAUCUCGGAUCGGAGUAGAGCAUGGAAACUAACUCCAUCUACGCAACCGCGGGUGGGAUUAGGACCUAUCAUCACAUAUUAGAAGGUAGGAACGUAGUGUACAUGCAUUACAUGUCUAUAUUAAACUAUACUCGGUUAUAUAUGUUAGAGGAUGGAGGACCGUGAGUGGAUGUACACGGGACGCCUUUGACGUAAUGAUGUCACCCCUGAAUGGAUUAGGAAGACUAAUGCUUUCGUGGAACGGGCAUAUGGCAAAGCUGCUAAAGGAGCUAGCCUAGUCCCUUGUCCGUGCAGCAAAUGUGACAACCGGAAAAGAAAACCAAAGAAGGCCAUGGUAGAACAUAUUUGGAAGAAUGGAUUUACGCUAGACUAUACUCGGUGGAUCUUCCAUGGUGAAGCGCAUCGCACGAGAGAGGAGGUGGUGAGACAACGCGUCGAGGAUUACGAUGCUGAUGCCGGGGUAGCGGACAUGUUGAACGACUAUCACGAGGCACAGUUCGCCGAAGGACGUACGGAGGACGAGCCAGAGGCGACCGCAAAGGCAUUCUACGACAUGUUUGACGCGGCACAGAAACCCCUUCACGGCAAGACAAAGGUUUCUCAACUGGAUGCCAUUGGGCGUAUAAUGGCGUUCAAGUCGCAGUAUAGCAUGAGUCGAGACGCCUUCGAUGGUUUGUUGAUAGUUAUUGGUAGCCUGCUUCCGGAGGAUCACGUUCUGCCAAAGAGCAUGUACGAGGCACAGAAACUCCUUCGUGCACUCAAGAUGACGUAUGAGCAGAUACAUGCUUGUCCGAAGGGCUGCGUCCUAUUUAGGAAAGAACACACUGAGGCAAAGUACUGUCCGAAGUGUAAAUCGUCUAGGUUCAUGGAGGUAGACUCUGGUGAUGGAUAGAUGAGGCAGCUCGACAUCCCCGUGACAAUCCUACGCCACCUUCCGUUCAUACCGAGGAUCCAGCGUCUAUACAUGACAGAGGAAUCCGCGAAACAGAUGACAUGGCACAAAAAAGGCAAACGAUACAAUCCUGACAAGAUGGUUCACGCAUCCGAUGGUGAAGCAUGGACCCACUUUGAUGCCAUUCACCAUGAGAAAGCCAAAGAGGCUCGUAAUGUUCGUGUUGCGCUGGCCACAAAUGGGUUCAAUCCCUAUGGAAUGACCGUUGUUCCCUGCCUCUGACCCUGCUGAGUUCACUACUCCUGUGAGUAUCAAAAUUUUAGUACUGCAUGAUAUAUAUUCAUAUGUUCUCACACAUACAAUCUCUUCUCUGUGCAGGGUCAAUCGGCGGCAUCGAACAACCCUCACGCUUCGUCCAGCCCUUCACCGAACCAGUCCAGAUGCCCACCUCGUUGAUGAUCUAUUUUGUGAUGAUCUAGACUUAUAUUUGUGAGUGUUGGUGAUGUUAGUUAGACUUGGUCUUGUGAGAUACUUGGUGAUGUUAGUGAUGAUCCAGACUUAUAUCUGUUUUGUGAUGAUCCUGACUUAUAUUUGUGAUACUUAUAUUAGUGAGACUUUGUGAUACAUAUGGUGUUGAUGAUAAAUGUGUUCAUUCUGUGAUGCGAUUGAUAUAUAAUGUGAUGUGAAUGAUAUAUAUCUUUUGUUUGUUUGGAUGGAACAGCAAAAACAAAUAAAAAAGGGACAUUCUAGUCACUUUGCCGAGUGUAACACUUGGCAACGGGUCACUUUGCCGAGUGCUAUGACCUUGGCACUCGGCAAAGAAGGAAACCUGCGAACCGGUAAAGCCAUCUUUGCCGAGUGCUGACCAUGGCACUCGGCAAAGAAGGAAACCUGGGAACCGGCAAAGCCAUCUUUGCCGAGUGCUGUUGCCAAGGCACUCGGCAAAGGGACUGGCAUAGGGGCCCACUGGAGGACUCUUUGCCGAGUGCCAGUCCACUAGACACUCGGCAAAGAAGCCUCCUUUGUCGAGUGCCUACGAGAGCUCUCGGCACAGAGACUGGCGGUGGGGCCCACUAGACCCGUCUUUGCCGAGUGCCUUGGCAACAGACACUCGGCAAAGGAUCCGUCACCGUCACUUGGUGCCGUGACGGUGACUUUUCUUUGCCGAGUGUCAAAUGACACGGCAAAUUCUUUGCCGAGUGCCCGACAAAAAGUACUCGGCAAAAAGGCUGUUGCCGAUGUACAGUUCGCCGAGCGUUCUUUGCCGAGUGUUACACUCGGCAAAGCCUUUGCCGAGUGUAAAAUAGCCUUUGCCGAGUGUCUCCGACACUCGGCAAAGGAGCUGUGUCCGGUAGUGAAUACCGAAAACUAGCACCUAGGGAUUUUUUUACCAAGAAUUGGUCUGCACCAGAAAUCAGAGAAUGUGGCCUAUGGCAAAGAAACAUAUGUGGGGUGAAGUGUACGAGCCGUUGGUCCCUGAUGAAUGGCCAUUCAACCCCCAUUUUUGUCGAAAAAGCCAUGAACGACCAUUUUCAAUAAUGAUGAAGUCUAACACCUAAGGAUUUUUGACCAAGAAAUGGUCUCCACCAAAAAUCUAAGAAUGUGACCUAUGGCAAGGAAACAUAUGUGAGGUGAUGUGUACAAGUCUCUGGUCGAUGAUCAAUGGCCACACAACCCCCAUUUUUGUCGAAAAUAGCCAUGAACGAUAAUUUUUCAAUAAUAUUGAAGGCUAACACCUACGGAUUUUUGACCAAGAAAUGAUCUCCACCAGAAAUCCAAGAAUAUGACCUAUGGGAAGGAAACAUAUGUGGGCUGAGGUGUACGAGCCUCUGGUCCAUGAUGAAUGGCCACUCAACCCCCGUGUUUGUCGAAAAUAGCCAUGAACAACAUUUUCAAUAAUACUGAAGGCUAACACCUACGAAUUUUGACCAAAAAUUGGUCUCCAUACAAAAUAUAAGAAUGUGACUUAUGGCAAGGAAAUAUAUGUGGGGUAGGUGUACGAGCCUCUUGUCGGCGAUCAAUGGCCACACAACCCAUUUUUUGUCAAUAAUAGCCAUGAACGACCAUUUUCAAUAAUAAUGAAGUCUAACACCUAUGGAUUUUUGACCAAUAAUCAGUCUCCACCAGAAAUCCAAUAAUGUGACCUAUGGAAAGGAAGCAUAUGUGAGUUCAGGUGUACGAGCCUCUGGUCGAUGAUCAAUGAACACACAACCCCCAUUUUUGUCAAAAAUAGCCAUGACCGACCAUUUUCAAUAAUACCGAAGGCUAACACCUACAGAUUUUUGACCAAGAAAUGGUCUCAAUUAGAAAUACUAGAAUGUGUCCUAUGGCAAGGAAAAAUAUCUAGGGUGACGUGUAUGAGCCUCUGGUCGAUGAUUAAUCGCCACACAACCCCAUUUUUGUCGAAAAUAUCCAUGAACGACCAUACUCAAUAAUACCGAAGGCUAACACCUACUGAUUUUUACAAAGAAUCGAUCUCCACCAGAAAUCACGUAAUGUGACCUAUGGCAAGGAAACAUAUGUGGGGUGAGCUAUACGAGCCUCUGGUCGAUGAUCAAUGGCCACACAACCCACAUUUUUGACGAAAAUAGCGAUGAACGACCAUUUUCAACAAUAUCGAAGGCUAACACCUACGACUUUUUGACCAAGAAAUGGUCUCCACCAGAAAUCCAAGAAUGUGACAUGUGGCAAAAAAACAUAUUUAGGGUGAGAUGUACAUGCCUCUGGUCGAUUAUCAAUGGCCACACAAACCCCAUUUUUGUCGAAAAUAGCCAUGAACGACAAUUUUCAAUAACAUCGAAGGCUAAAUCCUCUAAUUUUUUUACCAAGAAAUGGUAUCCACCAGAAUCCCAAGAAUGUAACCUAUGGCAUGGAAACAUAUGUGGGGCAAGGUGUACGAGCCUCUAUUUGAUUAUCAAUAGCCACAUAACCCCCAUUUUUUUUGAAAUUAUUCAUGAACGACAAUUUUCAAUAAUACCGAAGGCUUACACCUAUGGAUUUUUUACCAUGAAUUGGUCUCCACAAGAACUCCAUGAAUGUGACCUAUGGAAAGGAAACAUGUGUGGGGUGAGGUGUACGAACCUCUGGUCGAUGAUCAAUGGACAAACAACCCCCAUUUUUGUCGAAAAUAGCCAUGAACGGAUAUUUUCAAUAAUACCGAACGCUAACACCUAUGGAUUUUUUAUCAAAUAUGGUCUCCACUAUAAAUCCAAUAAUGUGACCUAUGGCACGACAACAUAUGUGGGUGAGGUAUGCAAGCCUCUAGUUCAUGGUGAAUGGCUACACAACCCUCAUUUUUGUUGAAAAUAGCCAUGGAGACCAUUUUCAAUAAUACCAAAGGCUAACACCUAUAGAUUUUGACCAAGAAUCAGUGUCCACCAAAAUCGAAUAAUGUGACCUAUGGCAACGAAACAUAUGUGGGGUGUGGUGUACGAGCCUGUAGUCGAUGAUCAAUGGCCACACAACCCCCAUUUUUUAUGAAAAUAGCCAUGAACGACCAUUUUCUCAAUAAUACCAAAGACUAACACCUACAAAUUUUUGACCAAGAAAUGGUCUCCACCAGAAAACCCAGAAUGUUACCUAUGGCAAGGAAACAUAUCUGGAUUGAGGUGUAUGAGCCUCUUGUCGACGAUCAAUGGCCACACAACCCUCAUUUUUUGUCGAAAAAAGCCAUGAACGACCAUUUUCAAUAAUACCGAAGGCUAACACCUACGGAUUUUUUUACCAAGAAUUGGUCUCCAAACAAAAUGCAAGAAUGUGACCUAUGGCAAGGAAAUAUAUGUGGGUGAGGUGUACGAGCCUCUGGUCGAUGAUCAAUGGACGACCAUUUUCAAUAAUACUGAAGUCUAACACCUAUGGAUUUUUGACCAAGAAUCGAUCUCCACCAGAAAUCCAAUAAUGUGACCUAUGGCAAGGGAACAUAUGUGUGGUGAGGUGUACGUAGCUCUAGUCGAAGAUCAAUGGCCACACAAACCCUAUUUUUGACGAAAAUUGCCAUGAACGACCAUUUUCAAGAAUACCGAAGCCUAACACCUACGAAUUUUUAACCAAGAAAUGGUCUCCACCAGAAAUCCAUGAAUGUGACCUAUGGCAAGCAAACAUAUAUGCGGUGAGGUGUAAACGCCUCUGGUCCAUGAUGAAUGGCCAUUCAACACCCAUUCUUGUCGAAACUAGCCAUGAAUGACCAUUUUCAAUAAUACCGAAGGCUAACACCUACGGAUUUUUUUACCAAGAAAUGGUCUCCACCAGAAAUCCAAGAAUGUGACCUAUGGCAAUAAAACAUAUGUGCGGUGACAUGUACGAGCCUCUGAUCGAUGAUUAAGGGCCACAUAAUCCCCAUUUUAGUCGAAAAUUGCCAUCACCGUCCAUUUUCAAUAAUAUCCAAGGCUAACACCUAUGGGUUUUUGACUAAGAAAUGGUCUCAACUAGAAAUCCAAGAAUGUGACCUAUCACAAGGAAACAUAUGUGAGGUGAGGUGUACGAUCCUACGAAUUUUUCAAUAAUACCGAGGGCUAACACCUACGAAUUUUUGACCAAAAAAUGGCCUCCACCAGAAAUCCAAGAUUGUGACUUAUGACAUGGAAACAUAUGUGGGUGAGGUGUUGGAGCCUCUGGUCCAUGAUGAAUAGCCAUACAACCCCCAUUUUUGUCAGAAAUAGCCAUGAAUGAGCAUUUUCAAUAAUACCGAAGGCUACACCUAUGAAUUUUUGACCAAGAAAUGGUCUCCACUAGAAAUCAAAGAAUGCCACCUAUGGCAAGGAAACAUAUGUGGGGUGAGGUGUACGAGCCUCUGGUCGAUGAUCAGUGGCCACAAACCCCAUUUUUGCCAAAAAUAAACAUGAACUACCAUUUUGAACAGGGUUUUUUAAGCUGGUGCCCUAGGUUUUGCCCGUGUUCUCAUUUUUACCCUUAGUAGUAUUUUUUUGCUUAGUUUUGCCCUUUUGUUCUGUAGCACUGGAAGGGCAAAACUAAGCAAAAACAUGACUAAGGGUAAAACUGAGGACACUAGCAAAAUCGAGGGCACCAGCUUAAAAUACCCUUUUAAAUAAUUCCGAAGGCUAACACCUACAAAUUUUUUACCAAGAAAUGGUCUCUAGCCAAAAUCCAAGAAUGUGACCUAUGGCAAGGAAACAUAUGUGGGGUGAGGUGUACGAGCCUUUGGACGAUGAUCAAUGGCAGCACAACCCCAAUUUUGUCGAAAAUAGCCAUGAACAAUCAUUUUCAAUACAGAAGGCUAACACCUACAAAUUUUUAACAAGGAACUGGUCUCACCAGAAAUCCAAUAAUGUGAGCUAUGGCAAGGAAACAUAUGUGGGGUGAGGUGUACGAGCCUCUGGUCCAUGAUGAAUGACCAUUGAACCCACAUUUUUGUCGAAAAUAGCCAUGAAUGACCAUUUUCAAUAUUACCGAAGGCUAACACCUAUGGAUUUUCGACCAAGAAAUGAUCUCCACCAGAAAUCCAAGAAUGUGACCUAUGGCAAGUAAACAUGUAUGGCGUGACGUGUACGAGCCUGUGGUCGGUGAUCAAUGGCCACACAACCCCAUUUUUGUCGAAAAUAGUCAUGAACGAUCAUUUUCAAAAACACCGAAGGCUAACACAUACGGAUUUUUGUCCAAGAAAUGGUCUCUGCUAAAAAUCUAAGAAUGUGACUUAUGACAAGGAAACAUAUGUGGGGUGAGGUGUACGAGCUUGUGUUCCCUGAUGAAUGGCCACACGACCCCCAUUUUUGUCGAAAAUAGCCAUGAAUGGCCAUUUUCAAUAAUACCAAAGGCUACGGUGAGGUGUACGAGCCUGUGGUCCCUAAUGAAUGGUUACACAAACCCCAUUUUUGUCGAAAAUAGCCAUGAAUGACCAUAUUCAAUAAUACUGAAGGCUAACACCUACGGAUUUUUUACCAAGAAAUGUUCUCCACUAGAAAUCCAAGAAUGUGACCUAUGUCAAGGAAACAUAUGUGGGGUGACAUGUAUGAGCCUCUGGUCGAUGAUCAAUGAACACACAACUCCCAUUAUUGUCGAAAAUAGCCAUGAACGAUAUUUUUCAAUAAUACCGAAGUCUAACACCUAUGGAUUUUUGACCAAGAAAUGGUCCCCACGAGAAAUCCAAGAAUGUGACAUAUGGCAUGGAAACAUAUGUGGGGUGCGGUGUACGAGCCUCUAGUCCAUGAAGAAUAGCCAUUCAUCCCCCAUUUUUGUCGAAAAUAGCCAUGAACGACCAUUUUCAAUAAUAUCAAAGGCUAACACCUACGGAUUUUGACCAAGAAUUGGUCUCCAAACAAAAUCUAAGAAUGUGACCUAUGGCAAGGAAAUAUAUGUGGGGUGAGGUUUACGAGCCUAUGGUCGAUGUUCAAUGGCCAGACAAACCCCAUGUUUGUCAAUAAUAGCCAUGAACGACCAUUUUCAAUAAUAUUGAAGACUAAAACCUAUGGAUUUUUGACCAAGAGUCGGUCUCCACCCGAAAUCCAAGAAUGUGACCUAUGUCAAGGAAACAUAUGUGGACUGACGUGUAUGAGCCUCUGGUCGAUGAUCAAUGGCCACACAACCCCCAUUUUUGUCGAAAAUAGCCUUGAAUGACCAUUUUGAAUAAUACCGAAGGCUAACACCUACGGAUUUUUGAUUAAGAAAAGGUCUACAGCCAAAGUCCAAGAAUAUGACCUCUGGCAAGGAAAUGUAUGUGGGGUGAGGUAUCCGAGCCUCUGGUCGAUGAUCAAUGGCAACACGACCCCAUUUUUGUCGAAAAUAGCCAUGAACGAUCAUUUUCAAUAAUACCGAAGGCCAACACCUACGAAUUUUUUACAAAGAAUUGGUCUCCACUAGAAAUCCAAUAAUGUGACCUAUGGCAAGGAAACAUAUGUGGGGUGACGUGUACGAGCCUCUGGUCAAUGAUCAACGGCAACACGACCCCAUUUUGUCAAAAAUUGCCAUGAACGAUCAUUUUCAAUAUUACUGAAGGAUAACACCUACGGUUUUUUGACCAAGAAAUGGUCUCCACCAGAAAUUCAAGAAUGUGUCAUAUGGUGAGGAAAAAUAUGUAGGGUGAAGUUUAUGAGUCACUGAUCCAUGAUGAAUGCCCAUUCAACCCCCAUUUUUGUCGAAAAUAGCUAUGAACGACCAUUUUCAAUAAUACCUAAGGUUUACACCUACGGAUUAUGACAAAGAAUUGGUCUCCAUAAAAAUUCCAAGAAUGUGACCAAUGACAAGGAAAUAUGUGUGGGGUGAGGAUUAAGAGCUCUAGUCAAUGAUCAAUGGCCACCCAACCCCCAUUUCUGUCAAUAAUAGCCAUGAAUGAGCAUUUUCAAUUAUACUGAAGUCUAACACAUAUGGAAUUUUGACCAAGAAUCAUUCUCCACCAAAAAUCUAAUAAUGUGACCUAUGGCAAGAAACACAUAUGGGAUGAGGUGUAUGUGCCUCUGGUCGAUGAUCAAUGGCCACACAAUCCCCAUUUUUUACAAAAAUUGCCAUGAACGACCAUUUUCAAUAAUACCGAAGGCUAACAUCUACAGAUUUUUUUACUAAGAAAUGGUCUCCACCAAAAAUCCAAGAAUGUGACCUAUGGCAAGGAAACAUAUUUGGGUGACGUGUACGAGCUUCUGGUCGAUGAUCAAUGGCCACACAACCCCCAUUUUUGUCGAAAUUAGCCAUGAACGAUGUUGAGUGUAUUCUUCUCCGCCGAAGGUCCUCAAGACAAAGACACCAUCGGCGAAGUGAUUCUGAAGACUUUCUUCUUUCUGUCGAAGGUCCUCAAGACAAAGAUCUCGUCUGGAAGCAACGAUGGCAAGUGUCGAAGCUGCCACCAGCUUCAGCUUAGACCAAACAGAGUAGGAAAAGACUAGCUAGUCCCAAGUGAUUUAUGUUACGAUUAUGAACAAAUGUUGAAGGCUAUAAAUGUACUUUUACCCGGGCUGCAUCCUGUGCCUAUAAAUAGGUGAACAAUAUCCUCUACUGUUCACGCUGGAUUGUAAUCACUCUCGCGUCAGCACCUUCAAACAAGCCAAAGGUAUCAAUGUAAUAUUAACUUUGUUAAUGUUCAUGUGUAUAUUAUGAAAUAUAAAUGUGAAUGAAUCAAUGAAUUAUCUUCAUCAUCUUUACAUAUUCUUAUUUAUCCAUGAAAUGAUGAAGGCGUGUCCUUCAUGACCUUCGUCUAAUGAUCAUUAUAUCCGAGAGGAGGUAAUGCUUCGGAGGACGAAGGUCCUUAAUGCAUAACAAUUGUGUUGCCUUGUUCUUGAUUCACAACAUUUGAGAACUAGUGACCAACAUUGGCGCCCACCUCCGGUGAACUCACUUCCACGACCGCGACAAUGGCUUCGCAAGGCAACCAAGAUGUGGCACCUUCGGCUACGAAGCUGGUGUUCCCAAUCAUGGGUGGUUCAAGUUCUGAACCAGCCAAUAAGAAGCAAAAGAAGGAAGCACAAAGCAGGGUACAACAUGUUAGAGUGCAGGGACCCUUCAUCAAGUCCAACUGGUCUCAUAUACCAAUCACCUUAUCCUAGGAAGACCUUCAGCUCAAGGACUACCUUCAUAAUGAUGCAAUGGUCAUAUCUUGUGUCAUCAAGGGGCUUAUGGUGCACAACAUCCUUGUAGACACAGGCAGUGCAUCAGAUAUCAUCUUUGCAAAGGCUUUCAGGCAGAUGCAGGAGCAGGAUGAUAAGAUACAUGAUGCAACACACCCCCUGUGUGGCUUCGAAGGAAGGCAGAUAGUGGCACUCGGGACGAUAACAAUGCCAAUCACCUUCGGUUAUGUUCAUAACACAAGGACAGAGCAAGUUGUUUUGACAUUAUUGAUAUGGAAUAUCCCUACAAUGCAACCAUUGGUCGAGGGACAUUAAAUGCCUUCGAAGCAAUACUUCAUCCAGCAUAUCUAUGCAUGAAGAUACCAUCUGAUCAGGGUCCCAUCGUUGUGCAUGGAAGUCAAGAGGCUGCUAGAUGGGUCGAAGGGAACUGGACAGAUUGAAAGGCCAUCCAUAACAUAGAUGAAGCUGAAACUUUUCAACAAUAUAAGCAUAAAAGAGAUAAGGUUGUCUCAGCAGACCAAUCAAAGCCCAUGCUUCUGUGCGAAGACAUAACCGAGCAGAAGGUGUUGCUGGGGUCUCAAUUCUCUGGUGAACAAGAAAAAACUUUGUUGAGGUUUCUGUUAAACAACAAGGAUGUCUUUGCUUGGUCAGUCAAUGAUCUUUGUGGUGUCAAUAGAGAUGUCAUUGAGCACUCACUUAAUGUAGAUCUGGCUAUCAGGCCAAGGAAGCAAAAGCUUCGGAAAAUGUCCAACGACAAAGCCGAAGGUGCAAGAAACAAAGUCAAAAGACUCCUAAGUGCUGGAGUAAUUAGAGAGGUAACAUAUCUAGAGUGGCUAGCCAAUACUGUGAUGGUGAAGAAGGCCAAUGGAAAGUGUAGGAUGUGCAUUGAUUUUACGGAUCUCAACAAGGCAUGUCCGAAGGAUCAGUUUCCUUUGCCAAGAAUAGACUCCUUGGUGGAUGCAGCAGCUACUUUGAAGCUCAUGAGUCUAUUGGAUUGCUAUUCAGACUAUCAUCAAAUCUGGAUGAAGAAGAAAGAUGAGCCUAAUACAAGCUUCAUAACCCCUAGUGGGACCUACUUCUACCUUUAGAUGGCCGAGGGGCUCGAGAAUGCCGGAGGAAGCUUCAGCAGAAUGACUGCCAAAGUCCUUAGCUCUCAGAUUAGCAGGAAUGUUCUAACAUAUGUCGAUGACAUCAUAGUGAAAAGUACCAAGCAAGAAAAUCACAUCGCCGAUUUACAAGAAAAAUUUGCCAAUUUUAGAAAGGCCGGUCUCAAACUCAACCCAGAGAAAUGUGUCAUCGGGGUGAAGAAGGGGAAAUUUCUUGGGUGUCUUGUGUCAACAAAAGGAAUUGAAGCUAACCCAAACAAGAUAGAUGCUAUACUUUGGGUGGAGCCACCGAAGUCAAGAAAAGGUGACCAGAUAUUGACAGGAAGGUUGGCAUCAUUGAAUAGAUUUAUUUCAAGAUCAGUAGAGAGGAACUUGCCAUUCUUUGAAGUGCUGAAAUCAGCCAAAGUCUUUCAAUGGGGACCAACUCAGCAAAAGGCUUUCGAAGAGCUGAAGCAAUAUUUAAUAAAACUGACAAAAUUAACUCCACCUUCGUCAGGAGCCCCAUUGCUACUAUAUGUAGCUGCUUCUCACGCUGCAGUUAGUGCAGCGUUGGUGCAAGAGAAACAAGAUGGCCAAGCGAAGAAGCAAGUGACAGUGUACUUUGUCUCUGAAGUACUUAGUCCAUCAAAAAGAAAUUACAUAGAGCUGGAGAAGGUACUAUAUGUUGUAUUGAUGGCCUCUAGAAAACUUCGGCAUUAUUUCCAGUCAUACCAUAUUAUAGUACCUUCUUAUCAACCUCUCAUGGACAUAAUAAGGAACAGAGAAGUCACGGGAAGAGUUGGAAAGUGGGCUGCAGAGCUGAAUGAAUUCACUAUUUAUUAUGUUCACAGGUCUUCAAUCCAAUCCCAAGUGUUAGCAGACUUCAUUGCUGAUUGGACGCCAGGGGCUCAAGAUGAAGAAAGAACAAAAGAUAACGAAGCUUGGAUAGUAUUCUGUGAUGGGUCAUGGGGAACCUUCGACGCAGGUGCAGCUGCUAUCCUAAUUUCACCAUCUAAGAUCAGAACCUGCUACAUAGCCAGGCUAGAGUUCAACUGCACAAAUAACAUUGCAGAAUAUGAAGCCCUUCUCUUGGGGCUUCGAAAGCUCAAGGCAAUGGGAAUAAGAAGGGCAAUCCGCAAAGCUGAUUCACAGGUUAUCACAUGCCAUAUCGACAAAAGCAGCAAAGCAAGAGAUCUGAAGCUUGAGAAAUAUCUGGAUACAGUCCGAAGAAUGGAAUCCUCUUUCAAAGGCUUCUCAGUAAAGAAUAUCCCAAGAGGAGAAAAUGAGCAUGCAGAUUUAUUAGCUAAAUCAGUGGCAUAGGGGCUCCCACUACCUUCGGAAGUAUUCUUUUAAACAAUAAAAGCACCUUCAGUCGAGCUCAUGGAGCGAGCGGUGCUUACAAUCUCACCAGUGCACAGUGAAGAUUGGAGGACUGAGAUUGUAUCGUUUUUGCAAGGCAAUUAUCCUUCGAAUGACAAAGUUUAUACAAAAAGAAUGCAAGCCACGACAAGGCCUUACAUGAUCAUAGAAGGAGAAUUGUAUAAACAAGGAGUUUGCUCUCCAUUGCUGAAGUGUUUGUCCAGAGCCAAAGGCCAGGAGCUAAUGAAAGAAACACAUGCAGGGGUAUGCAGAGCUCAUAUUGGGUUCAUGUCUUUGCUUGGAAGAGUUUCAGACAAGGAUUUUAUUGGACGAAGACAGCUUCGGAUGCAGCGGAUUUAGUUCAAAAAUGUGAAAACUGCUAGAAGUGUGCCAGAGACCAAAAACAACCUUCGUUUUUAACUCAGCUAAUCCAGCCCACUUGGCCAUUGCAAAGGUGGGGCCUAGAUUUAUUAGGCCUACUUCUACCAGCACAAGGAAAUUUAAAAUAUGUUGUGGUAGUGGUGGAGUAUUUUUCAAAGUGGAUUGAAGCUAAACCUCUAGCUACAAUCACUUCGGCCACGGUCCAGAAGUUCUUCUAGCAGAAUAUUGUUUACCGGUUCGGUGUGUCGAAGGUGUGGGGGACAGAUAUCCCCCGGGUCCACUAGAAGGUUAGAAGGCCCCGCGAAAGGCUUUGGUCCCAUUAUUUCGCAAGGCCAUCCCUUCGUGGGCCAGGGAAGGAACAGUGUGCGGAAUGGAUUGACACAAGAUUGGAUAGACUCGAGCCCAGACGGCUCAUUGGGUUUAAGCAUUAUCCAUAGCAUUGACCUGACUCUCCCGCGCAGUGCCCUCAGACGUUGGAACUAAAUGAGGAUAAGUCGGCAUGAUUAUAGGAAGAUAAGUUCAGUUGGUUCACUAUUACUUAGGUGCACGUUGUUAUCAUACCCGCAUGUAACGCCCCACGGUCGAGUAUAUAAGGCCUAGGAGGCACCCCAUCAAAAGAUAGGUCAUUCAUCAGUCAUCUACUCCAUUCUCUAGCAUUCUCCAUACUAGAGAAUUCCUCUGUAACCCACCACAUAAAGAUCCACACCAGGAAGUAGGGUGUUACGCCUCUCUAAGCGGCCCGAACCUGUAGAGAAUUGUCUAUCGUCUCUCGUGCACCUAGCACAAACCAUCGAGCUACAGUCAGCAACACCGUCCUACCUAAAAGCACCUCGAGGGGUAACCCCGGGUGCGCGGUCGGGUCCCAAACACCGACAGCUGGCGCGCCAGGUAUGGGGUGUGUCGCUGAUCCAAGCUAGCUCAAUGGCCAUCAUUUUCCAACACAAGAUUGCCCUCCGACCUGGAUCCGUGUUCUGCUUCGGAACCAUCUCAUCCGUGGCAGACAAAGAAGGAAUUCAGCAUCGUAUAGCGGAUCCACCGGAGAAGAAGCCUUCCUUGAAAAUCUCCGAAAAAGCCGGAAUGGAGCAGAAAAAAGUGCAACCUCCAGCGCCCCGGGCGAAGACUACCUCCUGCAAGCCAGGAGCAGAGAAAUUGUUUACUCGAAGAACCCCGUUGUCCACCUCAUCCACGGAAAAAUGGACACAAAUUACGAGGAAAAGAGAAGCAAACAAGGUAACAAUCCGUCAAGCUGCUCUUCUGGCACCUCCGCCCUCAAAGGAGAACAGAGAGAAGCUUGUCGUCACAGCAACUCCAUUCUACCCCGACGUCCUCUUCAUCGGGGGAAGAGUGGAAUCGUCUCCCAUCUCCGACGAUGAGCCAACCUUGCCUAGGGAAGAACCUCCGCAGCGAGAAGCUCGUCGACGGAGGAACCGACGUCGAAAUGUUCGGCGACAUCAUGAAGCCGGAGAACGAGACCCGGCGUAGGCUGUAUCUCGAGAUGAGAUCUCGGAGGUGGGAGAAACUCCUGAUGAACGAGUCUUCAGGGAAAGGAGGAAUUCCCGCUGAUGUGAUUGUUGGCAGGCUCAAGAGCAAGCUGAGCAGGAUGCGAUACAACACCAAGAGAACCCUCUCUUCGGACGAAACCUGAACCCUAACUUCGCCCGAGCCAUGAACACACCGAGUGAAGUCGGUGGAGUAUUGGCUCGGAUAGCCGAUGGCCUCCCCCGGACUCUAGACGCUGAGGGCUAUCGGCGGCUGCUCACUCAGGCAGCUAAUCAUCUUCUACCUCUCGCUCAUCCUCAGAGCGAUCUACGGCACACCAUCAAUAGUCGGCGGGACGCGCGGAGCUCCAUCAACGCUUCACGCGAACGACGAGAUGAGAACGAGAUAAGGCGCCGAAAGGAGUACGAUCGAGAUCAUGGCAUCCCUACACGAAGUCAAGCCACUAGAGUUGAGUCAGCAACGGCUUCAACUGGUGGCACAACACAGGGACGGUCGAGACAGCACAUCGACAACUCCCCUCCCCGGGACCGACACCACGGUCGUCGACAGGAGGACACAUGUGGAGUAUCUGCGCUCACUCCGCGUCUUAGGGCCAUUCAAUGGCCCUUGAACUUCAAGGUCUCCAAUGUCGACAAAUAUGAGCCCAAACAAGACCCGGGAGGCUGGUUGGCCGUCUAUACCACUGCAGCCCGGGCCGCUGGGGCAACUGAAGAUGUGAUGACUGCGUACUUGCCCAUCAUCCUUGGGCAAGAUGCACUGCAAUGGCUACGGCACUUACCCCGACACUGCAUCAUUGAUUGGAGCGACUUCAGUCAGCAUUUUAUCGCCAACUUCCAAUCCCUCUCCGACAAGCCGGCGCAGCCAUGGGACCUGAAAUCCAUCAGGCGUCGAGGGGAUGAGACGCUUUGGUCGUACCUCAAAAGGUUUCAGACCAUGAGAAAUCAUAUUCCCGAGGUCGCUGAAGCAGCAGUGAUCGAGGACUUCUACCGAGGAUCUAAUGACUCGGCCUUCGUCCGAGCCAUACUACAAAAGGCGUCAACCACUUUCGAGCAGUCAUUCAGGGAGGUGGACCUCUACAUCACCGUCGAUGAACGGGCCCAAGACCUCAUCGAGGGAAUGAAGCCUACUCCAUCUGCACCACGGCAUGACGCGAACCAGUAGACCGACAAGCGCUAGGAGAAGAGGCCUCGUGAAUAAGUCCAUGUCGCUGGACCACCCAUCUCUCGUGCCCGAGGGGCACCCCGCGGAGGAGAACGAACAUUGGACGAUAUCCUCAAGGGCCUAGUGCCUGUACCACAAAGAUAUGUGUCACACCCUCCGGAACUGUAGAGACUUCAAGCACUCCAUCGGGAAUGGUCGACCCUUCUAACCUCUACCACCUCCCCCACCAUGAGGAGGACCCGGAGAACCUUGACAACCUCAGCAGCAGGAAGGAAGAGGAGGCGGAGAAUUCCCGUGCGUCGAUGGAGAAGUCAACGUCAUCUUCGGCGGACACGGGUCGCAAGAGAACAAAAGGAAGUAGAAGCUCAAUGAUCGACAGAUACUGGUGGCGACCACCUGUGCCCCCGCCCCCUAUCGGUGGUCAGAACACCCGAUCACCUUUACUCGGUCGGAUCAAUGGCUCAACUUCGAUCAUCCGGGCAAGUACUCCCUCCUCGUCGAUCCGGUGAUCCGAGAGAGCAGGGUGAAGAAGGUGUUGGUGGACGGGGGAAGCAGCAUCAACGUCACCUUCCCCCGGACACUCUUAGGCUUGGGAGUUGCACUCAAAGAGCUCCACAAGUCAGACACUCCUUUCUUCGGCAUUGUGCUGACCGAAGGAGAAUACCCGCUUGGACACAUCUACAUGCCUGUCACCUUUGGAACUCCGGAAAACUACAGAACCAAAUUCCUGAGGUUCGAGGUAGCAAGCUUCGACUGCGGAUACUACGCCAUCAUCGACAGGCCAAGGUUGGCGAAAUUCAUGGCCAUUCCGCACUAUUCGUACAUGAUAUUGAAGAUGCCGGGACCACAAGGAAUCAUCACCGUGCGUGCUGACUUCCAAGGCGCCGCGGAAUGUUUCCGAGUAGCCAUUCAGGCGGCCCUCACCACCAAACCAUCGAUGACUUCCUCCGCGCAGGCGAACUCAAAGCCUGAGCAAGACCCCGCGAUACCUACAAAUGAAGCUCAAGCUGUGACCUCUAUGCGGCCGACUGAAGAGAUGAAGAGAAUCAACCUUGGGUUCGCUGAUGAACGCAAAACUGCCAUCAUCAGCUCUAGCCUGGACGACAAAUAGGAAGGCGCGCUCGUCCAGUUUCUGCAAGAUAACCGAGACGUAUUCGCAUGGCAAUAUGCGGAUAUGCCGGGAGUCCCGAGAGAACUGGACGAGCACAAACUGAAGGUCUAUCCCCAGGCAAGGCCGAUCUAACAAAAAUUGCAUCGUUUCAUGCCUGACAAGAAAGAGGCUAUUCGCGCCGAGUUAGCUCGCUUAGUCGUAGCAGGGUUCAUUAGAGAAGUACUGCAUCCUGAGUGGCUAGCAAAUCAUGUUCUUGUACUCAAAAAGAAUAAAGUGGAUUGGCGCAUGUGCGUCGACUAUACAGAUCUCAACAAACAUUGUCUGAAGGUUCCCUUCGUACUUCCUAGAAUAGAUCAGGUGGUAGAUUCAACCGCCGGAUGUUCUAUGUUGUCCUUCUUGGACUGCUACUCUAGAUACCAUCAGAUCAGCCUGGCAAAAGAAGAUGAGGAAAAAACAGCAUUCAUUACCCCGUUUGGAGCUUUCUGCUAUACCUCCAUGUCGUUUGGCCUCAAGAACGCUGGAGUGACUUACCAGAGAGCUAUUCAAACAUGCUUAGUCGAUCACUGGGCCAAGCGGGUAGAAGCUUAGGUUGAUGAUGUGGUGAUUAAAACAGAAAACUCAGAAAACUUCAUUGAAGAUUUGCAGUUGGUCUUCAACAGCCUGAGACGAUACCGGUGGAAGCUCAAUCCAGAAAAUGUGUCUUUGGAGUACCAGCAGGAAAGUUGCUCGGAUUCAUUGUCAGCCACCAAGGAAUUGAAGCCAACCCAGAAAAAAUCGAGGCUAUCAUGAGAAUGGAAGCACCACGAUCACAGAAGAAAGUGCAAAGGCUUACUGGAUGCAUGGCAGCCUUGAGCAGGUUCAUAUCAAGGCUAGGAGAAAAAGGCUUACCAUUCUACAAAUUGCUCAAGAAGGUGGACAAGUUCCAGUGGACCACAGAAGCACAGGAAGCUCUCGAUGCACAGAAGAAUUUCUUGACCACGCCACCAGUGCUAAAGCCACCACGCCGAGCCAUGCCAGAUCAGCCGGCAGAAGAUCUGCUGUUAUACAUCUCCUGCACGACUCACGUGGUAAGCACCGCGUUAGUAGUCGAGUGAGCAGAGGAAGGGCACGCAUAUCCAGUACAGCAUCUGGUCUACUUCAUCAGCGAGGUCCUAGGGCCCUCUAAAAAGAAAUAUCCCCAAGUUCAAAAACUAUUGUAUGCAGUACUUCUAACUGCUCGCAAACUCCGUCACUACUUUGAUGACCACAAAGUCAUAGUAGUCACCGGAUUUCCAAUAGGGGAUAUUCUUCACAACAAAGAAGCCAUCAAAAGAAUAGCCAAAUGGGCCUGAGAGCUGGGAGCUCACGACAUCGAGUUUCGGCCUCGCACAGCAAUAAAGACUCAAGCACUGGUCGACUUCGUAUCAGAAUGGACCAAACAACAAGUACCUGACAACCUGGAGGCAACAUAAGUGUGGCGAAUGUAUUUCGAUGGCUCGCUGAAACUGUAGGGAGCAGGCGCAGGAAUCCUCCUCAUUGCCCCUGGAGGUGAACAACUCAAGUAUGCUCUUCAGUUAUCAUUCCCAGCAUCAAAUGAUGUAGUAGAAUAUGAGGCUUUGAUCCAUGGGUUGAGCAUUGCCAUAUCACUGGGCAUUAAGAGGUUGAUGGUAUACGGGGAUUCACUGGUGGUCAUAAGUCAGAUAAAUAAAGACUGGGAUUGCUCGACUGAUUCUAUGGGCAAGUACUAUAUAGCCGUCCGAAAAUUAGAAGACAAAUUUGAAGGGCUGGAAUUCCAUCACGUGGAAAGAGAUCGCAACACAGCAGCAGUCGCGUUGUCGAAGCUAGGAUCCAGUCGAGCCCAGGCCCCACCUGAAGUUUUUGUCCUGGAAGUGUCAUACUCAAGCUUUCUCUCAGAUCAGGCAGAAGAGUGCAACACUUUGAGUCAGCCAGAGUCAGACUCUAAUGAUUGGAGAGAGCCUAUCAUUAGGUAUAUAAAGAAUGAGGAAGAGCCGGAUGAUAAGCCUACAGUAGAACGCAUCACAAGACAGUUGGCCCACUACACCCUCAUAGGGGGCGCACUGUACAGAAGGGGUGCAACAGGAAUCCUCAUGAAGUGCAUUUCCUCGGUUACUGGGAGACAACUAUUAGAUGAGAUUCACGCCGGACAGUGUGGAAUACAUGCAGCAUCCAGAACUCUGGUUGGGAAAGUCUUCAGGUCUGGUUUCUAUUAGCCAACAGCAAAGUGUGAUGCAGCCGAGUUAGUCCAGAGAUGUGAAGCUUGCCAAUUCUUGUCAAAGCAACAGCAUUUACCAGCACAGCAACUGCAGACCAUACCUAUAACAUGGCCAUUUGCGUGUUGUGGAUUAGACAUGAUUGGACCCUUCAAGAAAGCUCAGGGAGGUUAUACUCACGUGCUGGUCACCAUCGAUAAAUUCACCAAAUGGAUAGAAUACAAACCCAUUGCUUCUCUAACUUCAGCCAAGGUAGUGGAAUUCAUACAAGACAUAAUAUUCAGGUUUGGGAUAACGAAUAGCAUCAUAACCGACCUGGGAUCCAACUUCACUAGCUCUGAAUUCUUUGAUUUCUACGAGCAACGGAGCAUCCAGAUCAAAUAUGCAUCAGUAGCACACCCAGGUGGAAAGGGCUAAUGGUCAGGUGGAAAGGGCUAAUGGAAUGAUACUGGAAGCACUCAGGAAGAAAAUCUUCGACAAUAAUGAAAAGUUCGCAGGAAAGUGGAUCAGAGAGUUGACUUAUGUGGUUUGGAGCCUAAGAACUCAACCCAGUCGUGCUCUGCAUGGAAACACCCCCUUCUUCAUGGUCUAUGGUUCAGAGGCAGUGCUACCUGCCGACCUCAGGUUUGGGGCACCAAGGCUGGUCUUCAAAAGCAUAGCUGAAGCAAAAGCUACCAGGCUAGAAGAUAUUGAUGUGCUGGAGGAAGAGCGAUUGAAUACAGUAAUUCAGUCAGCUAGAUACCAGCAGACCUUGAGGCGCUAUCAUGAUAAGGCUAUACGACAUCGAUCCUUUGUAGUGGGAGACUUGGUCCUUCGCCUAAUUCUAACGGGAGAAGGAUGGCACAAAUUGUCACCGCUAUGGGAACGACCAUUCAUGGUAUUGGAGGUCACUCGGCCAGGAUCAUAUCGGCUUACUCAAAUGGAUGGCACGAAAGUGGGGAAUUCAUGGAAUAUAGAGCAUCUCAGGAAGUUUUACCCUUAGCAAGGCUUCAAAAGCUAUCAGAGCAACGUUGUACUCUGUAAUUGGAAAAUACGUCAUCAAUAAAAGAUUUCAUUCUCAAAGGCAUUCAAACUGUUGGUUAUUAAUUGACUUCUAUUUGAUUAGACUUGGAAUCAACACACUUACUCGACUUAGGGUGACCUCUAUACCCUACUAACGGAGCAAUCGGCUUAACUCGGCAACGACUUAAGACGGUGCAACAUGCUCGCGCUUACUCGACUUAGGGUGACCUCUAUACCCUACUAACAGAGCAAUCGGCUUAAGUCGUCGACGACUUAAGACGGUGCGACAUGCUCGCGCUUACUCGACUUAGGGUGACCACUAUACCCUACUAAUGGAGCAAUCGGCUUAAGUCGGCAACGACUUAAGACGGUGCAACAUGCUCACGCUUACUCGACUUAGGGUGACCACUAUACCCUAAUAAUGGAGCAAUCGGCUUAAGUCGGCGACGACCUAAGACGAUGCGACAUGCUCGCGCUUACUCGACUUAGGGUGACCACUAUACCCUACUAACGGAGCAAUCGGCUUAAGUCGGCGACGACCUAAGACGAUGCGACAUGCUCGCGCUUACUCGACUUAGGGUGACCACUAUACCCUACUAACAGAGCAAUCGGCUUAAGUCGGCGAUGACCUAAGACGAUGCGACAUGCUCACAUCUACUCAUCUUAGGGCGACCAAUAUGCCUUACCAAUCAAGCGAUUGGCAUAAUUCAAGAAAAAACUCCAAAACCAGCACGCCGCAUUUACUUCCGCAAUCGUUCAGGAUGACUGUUACAUCCUGACAACAGAAACGAAAUGUUAUAGUUGUCAGUACCAAGGACACAUUCUAGUGCCCUAUCCAUUAGAUAUCCGAAUACAAUGAUCACACACACAUAGAAUUCACAAAUACAUUCAGUAUCUUCUAAAACGUCAUUACGGCGAAACGUCUCUACUUGGCAAUGUCUUUCGCAGGGGCAAUCGAGGAAGAAGGCUGACUCGAGGCAUCAGGCGCAGCCUUGACAUCGGCAACAAUGUCAUCAGGAACAACUACACCGGGCCUUCUCAUCAAGAUCUGCCCCGCGCGAAUGACUUUGUCCAUAGCCUUGUCACGCUGAGCCUUCAGAAUGGCGCAGUUGUCCUCUAAAACUUUGGUAGCCAGUCGAGCAGCCUCUAGCUCCUGGGCGACUAACUUCUUGGAGGCACGCAGAUCUUUGAUGAUGGAAUCCUUACUUGACACUAACUGUCUAAGCCGCAGGACCUCAUCUUGGGACACUUGCAGCUCGCGACGAUGAUGAUCCAGAUCUGACAUAGUAAAGCGAUGGCUCCUCUCUAAGAUGGUUAAGGAAUUGUUGGCAUCACGAUACAACCUAUCUAGAUUGUCACGAGAAGCUGCCAGUGCUCGUUUCUCCUCCUACAAACAAGAAUCAACUUUCAAGCAUACAGUAAACAGUAAGCAUGGCAGAGCCAAUUAAGGAAGUUUACCUCAUGAGCUGCCCUUUCAGAGUUAAGCUGAGAAUUGAAAGAAAAAUUCAAAGAAUGUGCAUCGUCCAGAGAAGCAGAAACCCGAGCCAGGUCGGUCUGACCUUGAGAAUACUUCUCUUCAAGAUCAGAGUAUCAUCGGGUUGAGUCGGCUUGAUGUUGAAGAUGUUUUUCCUCAAGCUCAGAGCACCGCCGAGCCAUAUCUGACAAAGCAGUCGAAGAAGGAUACAUGGUUAAAAACAAGUUGAUCAAUUAGCCAAGGAAGAAACAAAGUUACUAACCAGCAUUUGACGCCUUCAAGUCAGCUAUCUGUUUCUGAAGCAGCAAUGGGUUCCACUGCGUCAGAGACAGAGCCCCUUCUGGGAUAGUGGCACCAUGUGAUCUCAACUGAGCGGACAUUCCGUCAACCAAAGCCUAUGAUCAAAGACAAAUGAGUAUAGGGAAGAUAAUUUACCAGGAGGAACGACAGAAUGAAAGAGCUGAGUUACCUGAAGAUUGGAGAAGAAUGAGGGCAAUCCCAAGUCAGGAGAAGUUGCGUCGUAGCUCGACGAAGGAAGGUCAACCAGAACAAUUUGAAGAACAAUGUCAGGGGUUGACUCAGCCCCGCCAGUGGAUAUCAGAAUUCUUGCAUCUGGCUCACCGACCCCCAAGGCAACUCGCUUGCUCGAAGUCAAAGAAGCAUGCAUCGCCAUCACCCCAUCAGAUCAUGGUGGAGACGACCCUACAUGGACAUCCAUGGAUGUGUGGGAAGGAGAGCUCAAUUGGACACCCUCGGGGGCUGGGUUGCAGCUCGCGCUACCCACCAGAGCCGGAUCACUACCGGCGACACCCUCGGGGGCUGGGUAACUGCUAGCACCACCCUCGGGGGCUGGGUUUCUGCAAUAGCCACCUCUAAGGCUGAAGGAUCCUCAGUCACCUCCAUGGGACUCGGGCAAUCCUGACCAACUUCUUGACAUCGAAGACUGCCUUCCAAAGUCGACGAUGCAGGAGACACUGCUCGGGAUACCUCUAAUCCCACGUCUGGAAUUUCAUAGCAAACAUCCAUCAUGUCGCCAACAGUCGGCUCUGAUAGCAUAUCCUCAGGAACGACAUCCUCAAGGGCCUGAUCAAAAUCUGUUAUGGACAAUUCUUGAAGGCUGACAAGAGCAGACAGAGCUGGAGAAGGAAUAUCACUAUCCCCCCUACUACCUCUGUAACGCCGGCUAUUCUUACGAAUCAGCGGAACUUCCUCUUCCUCUUCUUUGUCCUCAUAAAAAAUAUGGACAAUAGCCGGUGCACGGUCACACCCAUUGGGAUCAGCUUCUGCACGGUCACACCCAUUGGGGUCAGCUUCUGCACGGUCACAACCAUUGGGAUCAGUUUCUACACGGUUACACCCAUUGGGAUCAGCUUCAACAAGGUCACACCCAUUAGGAUCAGCUGGUGCACGGUCACACCCAUUGGGUUCAGCUUCAACAUGUACACCACCAUUGGGAUCAACCUCAGGAAGGACCUCUGCUGGUACUUCUUCACAAAUAGGAGCAGAAGGGCCGACAUCCUGGUCCAAGCAUGACAGUCGCCGAAGCUCCCUCUUCUUCUUCUUCGUUUCCUCAACAUGCGCAGUCGGACGGCUAACUUGGCGAGGACGCUUUGGGCGAGUACCCUCAGGCUUUCGGGUGUCCACUAUUUUGUUAAGCUCUUGUCCAACUGUAACAGCAAUCGGUUCAGCAUGGGCCGAGUCAGAAGAUUCUCCAGCCAACAUAUUGAGUACAACAUCUAUUUCUGCAUCAUCCGGACUUGCCGGCAUCUCAAAGUGAACCUGUCUAUCAUCAUUGGGAAGAUCACGAAGGGGAGAAACCAGAGCCUCAAUAUCCUCGGGAGAGGGUCGCACUCUAAGACCCAGACCACCAUCACUAGCAGGAGGGUUGGACAUGAAAUUGAAAUAUGACCUAUGAAACGGCAGGUUCCAAGCAGAAUAGGCAACAAGAGCACCAACAUUUUAUAUCUUGCCCAUCAGGAUCCUGUCUAGUCGGCUCACCAAAACAUCAGUAGGAAUUUUCUUGUUGGUGACCCAGGUAGAGUCAGUAAUACCACUGUACAAGUAGGUUGGAUAUGCCCUGUCUUUCAAAGGCUGAAUAUUCUUGAAAACAAAGUCAGCAACCAUAGCUUUGGCAGUCAGACCUCUCUCCUUCAGCAGACAGAUCUCAGCAAGCAGAACCCUAGCUUCCGUCACCUCCAAGGUAGUGGGAGACUCAACCCAAAUCGGAGUGCGUACAUCCGGCUGUCUCCCCGACCGAGGGGGGAGGGACUUGCAGUGGUUUUCCACAAUAAACCACUCAAGGCGCCACCCAUUAAUGUUGUCCUUGAGAGGAAUGUCGAGGUAUUCUGUCUUCCUGUCACACCCGGUUUUAGAAGGCAAACCGAAUGCGAACCAUGUACGUGCCAGGAUCAGUUAUUCACGUACACAGCAGUUACAUAACAUGGACAUCAUCACACAGUGCUCAAAAUAGUAUUAAAAGGGAAAUAAUAGUCGAUUACAUCAUACGUCUGAGACGUCCAUAUAGUUCUUACAAUAAAUCAAAGUGCGGAAAAGAAACGUAGAUAACCGCGGCCUUCACAGGCAGCCGACUGGGGGUUGCCGCUAACCCACGCCUAGAACUCGUCGUAGUCUUGGAACUCCUGGAAGUCUCCUUCCACAGCUUCAUCUUCGCCUGAGCAGUGGUUGCAAUGCUGACAACCUGGGGAUGGGGGGGUUUGGUGUGUAGAGCAAGGGUGAGUACACAUCAACAUACUCAGCAAGUAUCCUGUUUGGCUGUAGUGGACUAGCUGUAUGUGGGGAUAAGUCAAGCAGUUGCUUUUAGUUGGUCAGAUUAUUACUUACUAGUAGAAAGCCAAGUUUUAGCAUUAACCCAAGUUAUUAACCCAAUCGUACUCCUUUCCAAACGGAAAGAGUACCACUUACCAGCACCAUAGUCAUAACCAAAACCAUCGAUCUCAUAACCACCUGUACCAAAGUAUCUCUGAUCAAGUACCACUAAUCACUGGAGCUCCCUUGGCUGCUCAUAACCGCGAGCACGGCUGAUAUAUCAGUUUUCAAACACUCUGCAGAGGUUGUGCACUUUACCCACAAGCCGUGAUUCCCAUUCUGCCCGGAGAUCAUGACUCUCCAUUGAUCACUACCAAGGUGACCCAGCAGGGCAUCACUACGUAGCCUUUACAAAGAUUCCCCGGGGCUGUAGCCACCCGUUAGGUUUCCUAAAUGCACCGCACUCCUCCCCAAGGGGCGAACCCAAACUUGGCAGAGCGAGCCGCAUACACCGAGCCCCAUUGACGGCACGACGGCUAAGUGAACUACACCCCGGAUCCUCUAAUUAUUCAGCUAAGGGCAUCCCAUUCCACCCUCAUGGUUGCACUGUUUUCCCGGGCGGUCAUCCAUAGAACAGGUCCUUACGGAGAGGCACUCGAGAAACCGCUCGAGCCCCCUUAAGGCCACAAGUACAACAUCAUAAUAAGAGAAGGGAAAACAGCGUAUCAUAGAUAAUCUCAUCAUGUUCAUUGAUUAGAGUUUGAGCAAUAGCAUAAAGCUAAACAAUAAUAAUCCAACCCAAAUAGGUAAACAAGGACAUGGAUAACAAAGCUAGUCAAUCCUUAGGCAUAAAUGUGUAAUGCGGGAGGUGAAUUAAAGAAUGAAUAGGACAUAGAUAGGUCAAGGGACACUUGCCUCCACCAACCGACUGCUGCUCAGGGGCUUCUCCUGCGAGUUCCUCGGGCUCUUCGACCGGAUCGUUCUCUAUGCGAUUGCAAGCAUACAUACAUUCAUCCAUUCAAAUUGGGAAACAAACAGUACAUCAUACAAGGGAACAAAUAAAGUGAACAUGCAUCAAGUAUGACAUUCGAUAUCGCAUUCAUUAUGGUUAGAAAGAAACGGGAAAAGGUCUCGCGGGGGGGUUAAAGCUUAUGCACUAAUGAUUAGUUACAAUUGGUUCUAACAAAAGAGUCUAGUUAUAUGCACUAAUGGAAAUCUAGUCAUUUUUAGUUGAUCAACAUUGGACUGGAUAAACAAUUAAUUAUAUGAAUUAACUAGUGUAACGGAAUUCUAAAUUAAGUUUCCUAUUUCAAUAACAUGAACAAUGAUUAACCUGCCUAAAAUAAAAUAAAUAACAGUAAUGAAAGAAAAUAAAAUAAAAAAAAUAAAAUAAAAAAGGGGGGGCGGUUGAACCGGCCGGGGGGCGGUUGAACCGGCCUAGGGCAGGGGCGGCUGGGCAGGGCGCGGGCACGGGGCGGCCGAGCUGGGGCGGCUGGGCCGCGGGCAGGGGCGGCCGAGCGGCGGCUGGGCGCGCGGGCAGGGGUGGCCGAGCUGGGCCGCGGGCAGGGGCGGCCGAGCGGCGGCUGGGCGCGCGAGCAGGGGCGGUUGGGCCGGGCGGCGGCCUGACUGGGGAGAGGGAGGGGAGGGGAGAGGGAAGGGAGAGGGGAGGGCUCACCGGGAACGGGGACGGGGCGGCCGAGCGGCGGGGCGGCCGAGCUGCAGGGGGCGGCCGAGCUGCACGGGGCGGCGGCUAGGGCAGGGGGCGGCGGCUGGGGUGGGGAAGAGAGAGAAUGAGAGGGAGGAAGAGGGAUUGGGGGGAAAGGGAGGGGGCGGCUGGGCCAGCUGGGCCCAAAGGGGGCGCGCGGGGGGGCGGCUGGGCCGGCCAGGGGCGGCUGGGUCGGCCGGGGCGGCCCACGGCGCGGGAGAGAGAAAAAGGGAGGAGAGAGAGAAAGAAAAAGAAAAAGAAAGAAAAGGUUUUUCUCCUUUUCGAAAUCCGAUCUUCCUAGAUGAAUGCACUUACAUUUCUAAGCAAUCAAAGAAUGCAUAGUUCGGCAUGGUGCAUCAAACAACAUAAAGUAAUUUAGGGUUUUUCUUUACACGGGAAUUCCAAGCCGAUCCCCGCUAAAACUUUGGAAAAGAUCAAGGUUUAGCGAGAGAACGAGAAAAGAAAAGAGUAACGCCUGAAUUUGGUGAGAGAAAAGAAGAAAAAUUCUACCCCCAAAUUCAGGGCGUUACAAACCUAUCCCCCUUAAAAGAAUCUCGCCCUCGAGAUUCAGGGCAGGCUAGCAAAGAGCUCAGGGUAUUUAGCCAUCAGAUCAUCUUCACGCUCCCAGGUUGCUUCUUCCUCAGAGUGGUGAUUCCAUUUGACUUUGCACAUUCUGAUGGUCUUCCUUCGGGUGACUCUGUCUGCAACCUCUAGGAUUUGCACUGGUUUCUCAACGUAGGUCAAGUCCUCCUGGACUUCAAGACCUUCCACUGGCAACUGCUCUUUUGGCACACGCAAGCACUUCUUCAACUGAGACACAUGAAAGACAUCAUGCACAGCAGACAAAUUCUCGGGCAAACUGAGCUGAUAGGCCACUUCUCCACGUCUUGUAAGAAUCUGAUACGGACCAAUGUAGCGGGGUGCUAGCUUGCCUUUCACUCCGAAUCUUCUGACUCCUCUGAUCGGUGACACUUUCAGAUAGACAAAGUCUCCGACUUCGAAACUCAGCUCUCUUCUUCUUGUGUCUGCAUAGCUUCGCUGCCUCGAUUGCGCUAUCUUCAGAUUCUCUCGGACCAUCUUGAUGUUCUCUUCGGCUUCAAGCAAAAUGUCUGGCCCAAACACUUGCUUUUCUCCAGGCUGAUCCCAUUGCAACGGAGUUCUACAACUCCUUCCAUAGAGCGCCUGAAAUGGUGACAUCUUCAAACUGGCCUGGUAACUGUUGUUAUAGGAAAACUCCGCAUAAGGCAAUCUCUUAUCCCAUCCGGACUGAUCUUGCAACGCACAGGCUCUCAACAUAUCUUCAAGAAUUUGGUUGGUCCUUUCGGUCUGGCCAUCUGUCUGCGGAUGAUAAGCUGAACUGAAAUUCAGAUGCGUGCCCAAAGCUUCAUGCAACUGCUGCCAGAAAUGAGAGGUGAACUGUGUUCCUCUGUCUGACACUAUCUUCUUUGGCACACCAUGAAGACAAACGAUCCGAGACAUAUACAAUUCUGCCAAUACUGCACUGCUGUAGUUGGUCUUGACAGGUAUGAAGUGGGCUGACUUGGUCAAGCGGUCCACCACUACCCAAAUGGAAUCGUAGCCGGCUCGAGUGCGAGGCAAUCCGACUAUGAAAUCCAUACCAAUUUCAUCCCAUUUCCACUGAGGGAUCUGCAAUGGUUGCAACAAUCCAGCAGGUCUCUGGUGCUCUGCCUUAAUUCUUCGACAACUAUCGCACAUAGCCACAUGCUCUGCGAUUUCCCUCUUCAUUCCGUACCACCAGAAUUUCUUCUUCAGAUCCUGAUACAUCUUCUCACUGCCAGGGUGAAUCGAAUAGGCCGUCUCAUGAGCUUCCUUGAGAAUCAACUCCCGAAUGGAUUGGACAUUGGGAACACACAAGCGGUCUUUGAACCAUAUCACGCCUUCUGCAUCUUCUCGAAAAUCUUUGCCUCUGCCAUCUAGAAUCAAUCGUCGGAUCUCACUGAUCUUCUCAUCAUUCUUCUGCGCUUCUUUGAUUUCGUGCUCCAAGGUAGGUUCCAACUCAACUGUGACUCCUCGCGAAUUAUUCAGAAAUCCGAGACUCAACCUGUCAAACUCUUUGGCCAACUCAUAAGGCAUCGGACGAGCGACCAUCAGAUUGACUUGACUCUUUCUGCUCAAAGCAUCUGCCACUACCUUUGCUUUGCCUGGAUGGUAAUGAAUCUCCAACUCAUAAUCUUUAAUCAACUCUAACCAUCUUCGUUGCCUCAUGUUCAACUCUGACUGAGUGAAUAUGUACUUCAGACUCUUGUGGUCUGUGUAAACAUCGCACUUCUGUCCAUACAGGUAGUGCCUCCAUGUCUUCAGUGCGUGAACCACUACUGCCAACUCUAGAUCAUGGAUUGGGUAAUUCUUCUCAUGAACCUUCAGCUGUCGGGACGAGUAGGCCACAACUCUUCCCUCUUGCAUCAACACACAUCCCAAACCUGUGUAACAAGCAUCACAAUACACCGAGAAGGGCUUGUGCACAUCAGGCAAGACUAGGACAGGCGCUGUUGUCAACUUCUCUUUCAGCGCUUCAAAGGCCUCUUGGCAUUUCUGGGUCCACUUGAACUCAACUUUGUUGCCUAGCAACGCUGUCAUUGGUUUCGCAAUCUUCGAAAACCCUUCAAUGAAUCGCCAAUAAUAUCCGGCCAUUCCAAUGAAACUCUUGAUUCCUCUAGCAUCUGUUGGCGCUUUCCAGUUCAAAAUGUCUACCACUUUCUUCGGAUCCACAGCCAAUCCUUCUUCGUUGAUUAUGUGACCCAAGAACAGGACUUCACUGAUCCAGAACUCACACUUGCUCAACUUUGCAUACAACUGGUGCUCUCGCAAUCUCUGCAAUACCAUCUUCAAAUGAUCUGCGUGCUCUUCUUCGCUUUGAGAAUAAAUCAGAAUGUCAUCAAUGAAUACCACCACAAACUUAUCAAGGUAAUCCAUGAAUACACUGUUCAUCAAGUUCAUGAAGAACGCUGGCGCAUUGGUCAAACCAAAAGACAUCACUGUGAACUCAUACAACCCAUACUUGGUAAUGAAUGCCGUCUUCGGAAUGUCCGAAGGUCGGAUCCUGAGCUGAUGAUAACCUAACCUCAGAUCAAUCUUGGAGAACACACUGGCUCCUCUCAACUGGUCGAACAGAUCUUCUAUUCUGGGCAAGGGAUACUUGUUCUUGAUUGUGACUUCAUUCAAAGCUCGAUAAUCAAUACACAUCCUCUUGGUGCCAUCUUUCUUUUCCACGAACAAGACAGGGGCGGCCCAAGGCGAGGUGCUUGGCCGAAUGUAACCUUUCUCUGACAGCUCAUCAAUCUGCUUCUUAAGUUCAACCAACUCUGGUCCGGAUAUUCUGUAAGCUCUCUUAAAGAUAGGGCGGUUCCAGGAAGAAGCUCUAUGGCAAACUCAACUUUCCGCUCUGGUGGCAUACCCGGUAAGUCCUUUGGAAACACAUCUGGGAACUCGGACACAACCUUGAUACUCUCGAUUGGGUCUGCUUCACUGCUGUCAACAGCUAUCUGAUAACAACUUCCUUUAUCUGGCUCAGGCGGGACUAACUCGGUCACCACUUCCUCUCCUAGUGGGGAUACCAACUUGAUGGUCCUUUUAUCACAACUGAUAACUGCCUGAUACUUAUCUAGCCAAUUCAUCCCUAGGAUGACAUCUAUUCCCUGAGUACCCAUUACUAUAAGGUUGGCGGGAAACGCUAUCCCCCUUAUUUCCAUACUUAUAUUCAAACAAAUGCUAUCGGCUCGAAUUCUACCACCGGCUGAGUCAAUUUGAAUGGGGGUUGACAUGGUAGUAAUUGGAAGAUUAUGUGCUUCUACCCAUGAUGCAGUAAUGAAAGAAUGUGUUGCUCCAGUAUCAAAUAACACUUCUGCAAUAUGGGAGUCGACUGGGAACAUACCUACUAUCAUGCCGGGGGUCUCCUGAACUGCUUCAACCUCCAAGUGGUUCAGCCUUCCAUGAUUAUAGCGCGGCUGAGAGCGAUUGCCUGCUCCAGGCUGAGGCACAUUCUGCUUCGCUGGGGCAUUGGGGCCUGACUGCUGCUGGACUGCCUUCUUCGGACAUUGCAUCACCUAGUGGCCUUGCUCUCCACAGUGGAAACAUGCUCUGUUUCCAACCUGAGCUGGUGCUGCCUGAUUGUUCUGCUGGUUUGCUGGGGCAGGAAGACGAGGUGCUUGCUGAUUCUGCCUCUGAAACUGACCUCCUGACUUAUUGCUCUGACGGUUCUGGUACUGAUGCUGAGGAUACUGCCUUUGAAACUGCUGAUGCUGCUGAGGUGGACACUGGUUCUGCCUGAACUGCUGAGGUUGAUUGCCUGAGAAACGAGGACGAUUGCUGCUUCCAGGCUGGGGUCCACUGAUCUUGCGCUUACGAUCUUCCAUCUCCUUACGCUUCCUCUCUGUCAUAAUUGCUCUGUCAAUCAGGUGCUGGAAUGUCAGAAAGGUGUGAUUCAUCAGUUGGUACUACAGAGGGUCAACCAAGCCUCUCAGGAAACGGUAGUGUCGCUUGGCGUCGGUGUUGACAUCUUCAGGAGCAUAGCGAGACAAUUGCAGAAACCUGUCCCGGUACUCACUGACAGACAAUGGCCCUUGCUUGAGGGCCAGGAACUCCUCCUUCUUCACUGUCAUCAGACCUGCGGGAACAUGGUACUGACGAAAGCUACCUCUGAACUCUUCCCAAGUGAUGGCGUCAGGGUGGGCAUGGGUGGCGAGGUAAGACUCCCACCAUGAUUGGGCUGCUCCUCUCAACAGACGGGGACCAUACAUAACCUUCUCCCUGUCAUCGCACUGAGCGGUAUGCAACUCCCGCUCCACAGUGCGCAGCCAGUCUUCAGCAUCCAUGGGGUCAGAGGAGUGAGCGAACGUUGGUGGAUGACCUCUCAUGAAUUCAGCACGCUUGUCUCUAGGCAUCUGAGGCAUCUGAGGCUGAGGUGGGGCCUGCUGCUGUUGCUGCUGCUGCUGCUGCUGAAUGGCGGCCAAAGUCUGACCGAUGGCUUGAACUGCCUGAGUCUGCAUCAGAAACAUCUGCUCGAUAGACAUCGGGGGCGGGGGCGGCAGAUGCUGCUGCUAGGGCACUUCCUCCUGUUGAGCGGCUCGCUCCUGCUGAGCACGCCCUCCUCCUCUGCGUCUGUUCUCUGACAUCUGCAGAAUGCAACCACACAUCAGAACUGAUCUGGCAAAUCUUGCAGCAUAAGAAAAGAGAAUAGAAUUCUUCAACAGCACUGAACAGAUGAGCAUCUUCACUGAUCUCCAACACAGACCACACAGCUUCUCAGAUAAAGAGGAAAGUGGAAUAAAAGGUUUCCCAACUAUAUAGCUAACUCCAUUAACAUAAUAGGUAAACCAAAAUGCAGGGGAUACCCACACUCUGGUGACAGUCAUUACAAAGAUCCAAACCAAACAUAGUUCAUCACGACAAACAUAGAUGCACAGGAUAUAGCAAACUACCCUGUCUAACUAAGACUAACUAAGACCGAGACUAACGCUAAGAUUGUAGCUUCUAUGUAUAUAUUUCGUAUUAAUUACAAGAUCCAACUCUAACGAUCUAUGGUUCUAGAGUUAUCUUGGUCUUGCAGUCGGGGUUGCCAUAAGACUGGUGUCCACGCUAAGGUGAGCGGUACGGGUGCUGAGUCCCAACGGGAGCGGGGGAACCACCAUCCAGAUGACGACGUUCCGCGCGCUCAGCCCGCAGCAGGGCGAUCUCAGCACGAGCCCUACUCAGCUCGUCUAAUGCAUGGUCCAGCUCCGUGUUUAGCACGGCGGCUAGGUUGACUGUGCUGCUCAACCUAGGAUUGCCCUCACCGACAGGUGAGACAAUCACGCCUCCUGUGCUGCCGGAUGGACGGUGGGGGUAAUACUUCAGGUCAAGACCGUCAGCUGCCCCACCGAAAACCGAGCAGUAGUGCGAAAGCACACGCCGUGCAGCAUCUUGCAUGGCUGCCUCAGCUGAGUCCCGCUCAGAGAUAGAAUAGUGCUCUGAGCAGGCCUCUGCACCCUGGAGACUGUUCUCCGGACAGCGCACCAAGCAGGUCGCCUCCCAGCGGUCCGGGUAGACCUCGCGACUGUGCUGGUAGACCACACAGCGAUACUCAAUGGACCAAGUAUGUCGGUUAAAUGCCCGACGUAGCAGGGUGUCGAGCGCAUCGUGGAAGUGACACCCGCGAGCAGCGUCGCGAGUGAUGGGUCGAGCGACCCAUCCUUCCGGCUCAUGGUUAGCAGAGAAGUCGGUGUCGUGGCUCGAGCUGUCGUCGCCACCUCCGUCGUCUGGGUCUCCUCCAGCAGCUACUCCAGAAGCUGGGACGCCCAGUGGUGGUGCACGGGGCGCCUCCAAAGGAAGCACAGGGGAGCAGCUCCUCACGGACUCUAUCUCCUGCUGGAGCGAGAAAGAAGAGCCCUGCUGCUCCUGUCGUCGACGUUCCUGCUCCUCAUGCAAGCGGUGGUGCAGUCUCUCCAAGUGGCUGGACUGUCCGGCCACGGGACGGCGAAGCGGACGCUCAGCAAGGCGGGAGGGUAAGAAGGGGAUGACUGACUUUCGUGCAGUGUGUCUAAGUCGAGCCAUCUACAAAAGACAUCGCAAGCAAAAGGGUGAGAACGGAAUUAAUAUGACCAGCAAAUGAUGAACCAUAAAUAAAUGAAGGAUUAGAAUAAAACAUGAUUUUCAGCAAGGUAUUAUAUAUAGUAGAACAUAGGUUUGAUCGGUAUGACCAACUUUUGAAGGGAUAUCAAAGUCAAGGCAGGGACAGAGGUCUAUAGUCCUUAGAACGACCAUUCUACUCUAGGUUAGCGGUCCUACAGUCAGCACGGCUUUGAUACCACUUAUGUCACACCCGGUUUUAGAAGGCAAACCGAAUGCGAACCAUGUACGUGCCAGGAUCAGUUAUUCACGUACACAGCAGUUACAUAACAUGGACAUCAUCACACAGUGCUCAAAAUAGUAUUAAAAGGGAAAUAAUAGUCGAUUACAUCAUACGUCUGAGACGUCCAUAUAGUUCUUACAAUAAAUCAAAGUGCGGAAAAGAAACGUAGAUAACCGCGGCCUUCACAGGCAGCCGACUGGGGGUUGCCGCUAACCCACGCCUAGAACUCGUCGUAGUCUUGGAACUCCUGGAAGUCUCCUUCCACAGCUUCAUCUUCGCCUGAGCAGUGGUUGCAAUGCUGACAACCUGGGGAUGGGGGGGGUUGGUGUGUAGAGCAAGGGUGAGUACACAUCAACAUACUCAGCAAGUAUCCUGUUUGGCUGUAGUGGACUAGCUGUAUGUGGGGAUAAGUCAAGCAGUUGCUUUUAGUUGGUCAGAUUAUUACUUACUAGUAGAAAGCCAAGUUUUAGCAUUAACCCAAGUUAUUAACCCAAACGUACUCCUUUCCAAACGGAAAGAGUACCACUUACCAGCACCAUAGUCAUAACCAAAACCAUCGAUCUCAUAACCACCUGUACCAAAGUAUCUCUGAUCAAGUACCACUAAUCACUGGAGCUCCCUUGGCCGCUCAUAACCGCGAGCACGGCUGAUAUAUCAGUUUUCAAACAAUCUGUAGAGGUUGUGCACUUUACCCACAAGCCGUGAUUCCCAUUCUGCCCGGAGAUCAUGACUCUCCAUUGAUCACUACCAAGGUGACCCAGCAGGGCAUCACUAUGUAGCCUUUACAAAGAUUCCCCGGGGCUGUAGCCACCCGUUAGGUUUCCUAAAUGCACCGCACUCCUCCCCAAGGGGCGAACCCAAACUUGGCAGAGCGAGCCGCAUACACCGAGCCCCAUUGACGGCACGACGGCUAAGUGAACUACACCCCGGAUCCUCUAAUUAUUCAGCUAAGGGCAUCCCAUUCCACCCUCAUGGUUGCACUGUUUUCCCGGGCGGUCAUCCAUAGAACAGGUCCUUACGGAGAGGCACUCGAGAAACCGCUCGAGCCCCCUUAAGGCCACAAGUACAACAUCAUAAUAAGAGAAGGGAAAACAGCGUAUCAUAGAUAAUCUCAUCAUGUUCAUUGAUUAGAGUUUGAGCAAUAGCAUAAAGCUAAACAAUAAUAAUCCAACCCAAAUAGGUAAACAAGGACAUGGAUAACAAAGCUAGUCAAUCCUUAGGCAUAAAUGUGUAAUGCGGGAGGUGAAUUAAAGAAUGAAUAGGACAUAGAUAGGUCAAGGGACACUUGCCUCCACCAACCGACUGCUGCUCAGGGGCUUCUCCUGCGAGUUCCUCGGGCUCUUCGACCGGAUCGUUCUCUAUGCGAUUGCAAGCAUACAUACAUUCAUCCAUUCAAAUUGGGAAACAAACAGUACAUCAUACAAGGGAACAAAUAAAGUGAACAUGCAUCAAGUAUGACAUUCGAUAUCGCAUUCAUUAUGGUUAGAAAGAAACGGGAAAAGGUCUCGCGGGGGGGGGGGGUUAAAGCUUAUGCACUAAUGAUUAGUUACAAUUGGUUCUAACAAAAGAGUCUAGUUAUAUGCACUAAUGGAAAUCUAGUCAUUUUUAGUUGAUCAACAUUGGACUGGAUAAACAAUUAAUUAUAUGAAUUAACUAGUGUAACGGAAUUCUAAAUUAAGUUUCCUAUUUCAAUAACAUGAACAAUGAUUAACCUGCCUAAAAUAAAAUAAAUAACAGUAAUGAAAGAAAAUAAAAUAAAAAAAUAUAAUAAAAAAAAGGGGGGCGGUUGAACCGGCCGGGGGGCGGUUGAACCGGCCUGGGGCAGGGGCGGCUGGGCAGGGCGCGGGCGCGGGGCGGCCGAGCUGGGGCGGCUGGGCCGCGGGCAGGGGCGGCCGAGCGGCGGCUGGGCGCGCGGGCAGGGGCGGCCGAGCUGGGGCGGCUGGGCCGCGGGCAGGGGCGGCUGGGCGCGCGGGCAGGGGCGGUUGGGCCGGGCGGCGGCCUGACCGGGGAGAGGGAGGGGAGGGGAGAGGGAAGGGAGAGGGGAGGGCUCACCGGGAACGGGGACGGGGCGGCCGAGCGGCGGGGCGGCCGAGCUGCAGGGGGCGGCCGAGCUGCAGGGGCGGCGGCUAGGGCAGGGGGCGGCGGCUGGGGUGGGGAAGAGAGAGAAUGAGAGGGAGGAAGAGGGAUUGGGGGGGGAAAGGGAGGGGGCGGCUGGGCCAGCUGGGCCCAAAGGGGGCGCGCGGGGGGCGGCUGGGCCGGCCAGGGGCGGCUGGGUCGGCCGGGGUGGCCCACGGCGCGGGAGAGAGAAAAAGGGAGGAGAGAGAGAAAGAAAAAGAAAAAGAAAGAAAAGGUUUUUCUCCUUUUCGAAAUCCGAUCUUCCUAGAUGAAUGCACUUACAUUUCUAAGCAAUCAAAGAAUGCAUAGUUCGGCAUGGUGCAUCAAACAACAUAAAGUAAUUUAGGGUUUUUCUUUACACGGGAAUUCCAAGCCGAUCCCCGCUAAAACUUUGGAAAAGAUCAAGGUUUAGCGAGAGAACGAGAAAAGAAAAGAGUAACGCCUGAAUUUGGUGAGAGAAAAGAAGAAAAAAAUUCUACCCCCAAAUUCAGGGCGUUACACUUCCUCUCGUGGCGCAUCUCUAAACUUGCACCACCAACGAGCUAGUGCUGCCCCCCAGCCAUCACAGACCGACAGUGAUACAAAUAUUUCCAUAAUCCAAAAUGAGGAAGAAUUCCGAGGUAGGCCUCACACAGAUGCACGAAGAUAGAAAUUUGCAAGAUGGAAUUAGGAUUCAGGUGGGUCAGGUUUAGAUUGUAAAAAUCAAGGAUACCACGGAAGAAGGGAGAAAUGGGAAGAGCAAGACCGCGGAUGAGAAAAGGAACAUAGACAACGGACUCGUGGGUAUAUUCUGUCGGAACAAUGACCCCACGGCAAAUCUGCCAAGAGCAGAGCUCUUUUGGAAGAAGAACUUCGACAUCAACAAGGUGGAGGAGAUCUGAUUCCGAGACAACAGACAUGUGGUUACCUGCAAACGGCAACUGGCUGUUGGGAUCGAUGGGAGGAAUGACUACCGCAGCAGAACUCUGGUUCUUCCGCUUGGGCGCCAUCGCAAUCUCGCCGGCGGGUCGAACAAGGGCAAAAUCAGAGAUAAACAGAGGAGUGGUUUGAGGCGGAAAUGUGAAGUUAGGGCUUAGAACUCAAAAGCGCAUGACGACAUGAGUAUAAAUGGGGUUUUCCCGGGUUGGGCACCGUUUCUAAAAAGUGCCAAGUCAUCACUCGGGAAAACGAGAUUUCCGACAUAGCUCGGCCGUUACCUCUAAAACGCUGACAACAUCAAACACCACUCGGCUGUUACCUCUAAAACGCCGACAGUGUCUGCCAUAGCUCGGCUGUUAUCUCUAAAACGCCGACAGGGUCAAACACCACUCGGCCGUUACCUCUAAAACGCCGACAGUGUCUGUCAUAACUCGGUUGUUAUCUCCAAAACACAAACAGCGUCAAGCACCACUCGACUGUUACCUCUAAAACGCCGACAGUGUCUGUCAUAACUCGGUCGUUUUCUCAAAAAAAAACGCUGAAACUCACCAAACAUGACUCAGCAGUUACCAGUUAUCGCUUGGUAAUUAUUUCAAAUAACGUCAACAGCGUUAGGCGCGAAGGAAAACUAUAAAUCGACUAUAAAGGAAGAACGGCGGAAAAGCGAAAGGUUUCCCAGAACAAGCUAAAAUUUCCUUGGAUACAUAGAGGAGGGAAGUUUUUCACAAACUUAAAAACCAACUCAUUAUGAGUCGGCCUUUUCUCCCUUUUUCACUACACUACAUUACUAUAUUACUCACACUACACAAUACUACUAACUACUACUACAUUAUUCUGCUGCUACUACUACUGCUACUACUAAUUAUCUAUACUAAUAUUUAAACCUUGGCACUUUGCCACUAGCCUUGCUACUGCCGCCGCCGCCCCUGCUGUUGUCGUCGCCCUUGCCGCCGUUGCCAUCGCCCUUGCCGUUGUUGCCUCCGUCGCCCUUGCCAUCGUCGUUGUCGUCAUCGCCGCCGUCACCACCAUCGCCGUCGUCGCCCUCGUCGUCGCCGUCACCGCUACUCUCCUCCUCAGACGAGUCGGAGGAGUUCUCCUCGUUCGAGGAGACCUCCGACUCAUCCGACACUACACCAAAAUAAGCAAUUUCCGAGAGGCCAAUAACUUUCUAUGGGUUUUUUCAAAACCAUAGGACAUAAAUAAUUUCCGAGAGGUGACCGGGGCCUCUCGGAAGUUACGUUAACUUCCGACGGCCUCUUGAAAGUUAGGUUAAUUUCUGACGGCCUGCACCUCCACCUCCCAUACAUUUUCCUUGGCCUUCACCUCCGCCUCCACCUACCAAACAUCAGGUAUGCAAAUUUAUCAUAAUUUACUUGUUAUAUUACGGUGUAACUCCAUGAAUGUCAUUUGUAUAGGUAUAUGAGACUCCUCCAGCUACCUUGCCGGCGCAGCAACAAGAUGACGGCUUAGACUUUGUCAAUGCGCUCUUCGCCAGUGGAGGUAGCGAGCAUCACUCUUCGCUAUUUCCUGAUGUUGAUCGACAGUAGUGGGCUUCUAUUCGAUGUGUUUUGUGAGACUUCAAACUUUUGUGUCUUGUGAGACUAUUGUGAAUUCUUAUGUCGAGGUGGAUUUGACUUGUGAGACAUUUUGUGGAUUGUUAUGUCCAUAACUUUGUGAAUGUCAUUUGCUGAAAUGUUGUUAUUAUGUAUGUGAGAUGUUAUAUGUGACAUGUUGUGUAUUGUAGCUGUUAAAUAUAUUUGUUAUGUAUGCAAUGUGUUGAAUUACCAAAAAUAAAUUGUAUUUUUAGUGCUGGUCAAUUUAACUUCCUAGAGGAAUAGUAAACGGUAGGAAGUUAAGCUGCUAACUUCCUAGAGGGCACCACAACGGUCGGAAGUUAUUCUCAUACGGUGUUAGCCCUGUACUGGACGGCGUGAUCCCUUAACUUCCGAGAGGGAGUCUUCCAAGGGGGGACUUGGCUCGCGCUUCCGCUUGUCGCCGGAGUGGUGCGACGAACUUCCACCCUUAUUGUUCUUGCCCAUGGUUGGUUGGAAGAGAAGAGAAAAGUGGGAAAAUAAGCAACAAAUGACUAGAAGAUGUGUGGAGCAGUCUAUUUAUAGAGGCCGGAAGCAACCGGUCAUCUCCUACCACGGUCACUGAACAGUCGCAAGUAUUCAAUAAGCAAUUCAAAUCGUCUGGAAGCAAGUCAGGCAGCAGACGCCGUUUUACAUAACACGACACCAUUUGGACUGAGGUCAACUGCUUGGACGAUAUGAUUACACCCCGCGAUCACGUCAAGUUACUACUCAAGGACAGUUUGCUAAACACUCGGUGUACCAAACCGUCCCUCGGUUACACCCAUUGGGUAGGGGACGUCCAAGAAUUUUCAAUAGAUUUUCCCAAGCAGUCACAUCCAUACAGUAUACGCAAUGAAUGUAUCAAGACAGAAGAAAGAUAUCGAUGGAUAUCAGAGGAAAGCCAAAUAUAGCUACUGAAGUACAAGUCUAAUCAACAGAAGCAUUGAAGCACAAAGCGAAAUGAAGACCAGCCAAGAGCCAUCUACCAGACGUCCAAUCUGUCACCGAUCAAAUAAAUUUCAAACCUAACAGGACAUGGGCAGAUCACGCUGCUGGUUUCUAAAGCAGGAAAUGAAGACAACAUGCUAAUCUCUAAAGCAUAAGCAUAAUGCUGAGUUCUAAGGCAUGAGACGAAGAUAAGAUAAUGACUUCUAAAAGCAUGAGAUGAAGACCUUUGAGUGGAUUAUUUUCAGUAAUCGACUCAAAGCUCGGGGGCUACACCCAUUGGGUGCACCUCUGCAACCCCUAAGGACAGAAUGCUGAUCUCUAAAGCAUGGACCGACGACAAAAUGCUGAUUUAUAAAGCAUGAGAAGAAGAUAAACCGAUGAUUUCUAAAAAGCGUGAGAUGAAGACCUUUGAGUGGAUUAUUUUCAGUAAUCCACUCAAAGCUCGAGGGCUACACCCAUUGGGUACACCUCCGGUGCACCCAAUGAAUCCUCAACCCCUAAGGACAGAAUGUUGAUCUCUAAAGCAUAAGCCAGUAAUAGAGCACUGAUUCCUGAAGUAUAAGGUGAAGACCAUUGAAUGUGCCAAAGAAGGAUAACAGAAGAUUCUUUUUACUGAAAUGCUUAGAGUUCAGAAGCAACGAUUCGACAGGUGUAUUUUCAAAGCAUCCACUACCUAAAAUCAAAACCGCAAGCUGGACCUAGAAUCUUUGGGCCUAUUAUUUCAAAAUCAACUCAAAGAUUGGGGGCUUGUGGGGGACAGAUAUCCCCCGGGUCCACUAGAAGGUUAGAAGGCCCCGCGAAAGGCUUUGGGCCCAUUAUUUCGCAAGGCCAUCCCUUCGUGGGCCAGGGGAGGAACCGUGUGUGGAAUGGAUAGACUCGAGCCUAAACGGCUCAUUGGGUUUAAGAAUUAUCCAUAGCAUUGACCCGACUCUCCCGCGCAGCGCCCUCAGACGUCGGAACUAAAUGAGGAUAAGUCGGCAUGAUUAUAGGAAGAUAAGUUCAGUCGGUUCACUAUUACUUAGGUGCACGUUGUUAUCAUACCCGCAUGUAACGCCCCACGGUCGAGUAUAUAAGGCCUAGGGGGCACCCCAUCAAAAGACAGGUCAUUCAUCAGCCAUCUACUCCAUUCUCUAGCAUCCUCCAUACUAAAGAAUUCCCCUGUAACCCACCACAUAAAGAUCCACACCAGGAAGUAGGGUGUUACGCCUCUCUAAGCGGCCCGAACCUGUAGAAAAUUUUCUAUCAUCUCUCGUGCACCUAGCAUGAACCAUCGAGCUACAGUCAGCAACAUCGUCCUACCCAAAAGCACCUCAAGGGGUAACCCCAGGUGCGCGGUCGGGUCCCAAACACUGAUAGAAGGCCAUUACAGUUGAUAACAGAACUCAAUUUGAUGUUGAAACAUUCAAAACUUUGUGUGACCAAAUUAGUACAAAAAUACAUUUUGCAUCUGUGAGACAUCAGAAUCAAAUGGACUGGUAGAAAGAGCUAACAGAAUCAUAGUAACAGGAAUAAUGAAGUCAAUCUUUAAUCUGCCAAAGGGAAAGUGGCUAGAUGAAUUAGUAAAAGUGGUAUGGAACCACAACACUGUUGUCUCAAGGUCAACAGGAUUUACUUCGUUCAAGCUUUUAUUCAGUGAUGAAGCAAUAAUGCCAGAAGAAGCAAGAACGAGUUUGAUAAGGACCACAGCUUCGGCAGAAGAUGAAGAGGAUUGUAAAAUAACAAAAGACACCAUAGAAGGGACCAGACUUUAGGCAAUAGAUCACAUCAAUAAGUAUCAAGCCAAAAUAGUCAAAUGGCGGGAUUGGAAGGUGAGAUUAAAGAAUAUCAAGCCAGGACACUUGGUGCUUCGAAGAGUGGACAACCCAGAUACAUUGGGGAAGCUUCAGCUCAAAUGGGAAGGUCCUUUCUUGGUGGUAUCUUCGUCAAGACCUGAAUCAUACAGGUUGAAAGACAUGGACGGCAAUGACAUUCCAAGAUCUUGGAAUGCAGAUGAGCUUUGGAGAUAUUAUGUGUAAACUUUGUAAUUUUCUUACUUUUCCCUAUGGCACUCUUUUCCUUUCAAGAGGGGAGAAAGGUUUUUAAUGGGUCCAUAGGUUGUAAUUUUUAUUUUUUCUUGUGCAGCCCUGUGCAAUACAAGGGCCAAUUUCCCCCAUAUGUAAAAUGUAAAGAUCUGGGAUUACACCAUCGAGUGUAAAAAAGUAUGAAGAAGCUCCAAAGUCAUUUGUUGGUCACUUGUUCUCAAAUGUUGUGAAUCAAGAACAAGGCAACACAAUUGUUAAAGAUUAAGGACCUUCGUCUUCCAAAGCAUUAUCUUCUCAUGGGUAUAAUGCUCAUCAGACGAAGGUCGAGAAGGACAUACCUUCAUUAUUUAAUAUGUGAAUAGGAAUGCAAGAAGAUAAAGAUAAAGAUGGAAAUUGUGUCUCAUUAAUUCAUUUAUAUUUGCAUUCCAUAAAACAUAUAUGAAUAUCUAACAGCAUUAACAUUACAUUGAUACCUUCGGCUUGCUCGAAGGUGUGAAUGCGAGAGAGUGAUUACAAUCCAGCAUGAACAGCACGGUGCUACUGUUCAUCUAUUUAUAGGCACGGGACGUAGCCCAGAUAAAAUUACAUUCAUGUCCCUGACAUUCAUUUAUUACCAUAACACAAAACAUUAAGGACUGAGUGGUCUUUGUCCCUUUUCAGUCAUCAUCAUACUUGGUCUUCGUCAUCACAUCAAAACCGAAGCUCUUCGGCUACAGCUUCGUCGUCCAUUCUCAUCACCUCUGGGCUACAUCUCCACCUUGUUAUAAGAGAAUACCUUCAUCUCGAAGCCGAAGCCCCCUGUAAUAAUCCAUGUCAUACUGAAAACAUAUGGUCAGUCAUGUUUUUGAGGACCUUGGGUGGAAGAAGGCCCCCAACAUCGUUCCUAAAGGAAUGCAGAGCUAAAAUGCCACCUAAGUAAAAGGUGAAGAAGCUCCAAAGUCGUUCCUAAGGGGAUGCAGAGCUUAAAUGCCACCUAAGUCAAAGGUGAAGAAGCUCCAAAGUCGUCCCUAAGGGGAUGCAGAGCUUAGCUCCAAUGUCGUCCCCAAGGGAAUGCAGAGCUGAAGUACCACCUAAGUAAAAGGUGAAGAGACUCCAAAGUCGUUCCUAAGGGGAUGCAAAGUCUGGUAUGUGUUCGCGUGAGUUUUCUACCUUCACCGCACAUUUGCACACUUCAUUACAUCAUCUUUUUCAUUCAUACAAACAUGCAUUAGGCAUCCAUAGAUUCAUCAUCAUGACAUAAAGCAUAAAAAAUUAACAGGAAAGGCGAAGGUUUAUGUCUCCAAUGAGUAAACGUCUCGUAUAUAUGAAGAUGCUUCAUCUCAAAUAAAGUUUCAUUGUAUAUGAGGGAGCCGAUGUUUGAUUCUGCUCAAAAGGUGCUUCGAUGUGAACGAAAAGAAGGGAAGUUGUUUAUCGCCUUCGGCUCAAAAAGCUACGAGCAUUGGUUUCGUCCACAUCAAAGCAGCUAACACACGAAUGAAAGGUAAAAUAGCAUUACAAAGCAUUUACAAAUAUUUACAACUAUCUGUUCAUAGUCAAUUACAAUUCUUCGUCAAAUACUACACUUCUUUCCACAAAGAACUUCUAAAAGUCUUUUUACAUAAACUAGCAAAGGGAGUUUCCGAAGCCUCCUUUAAUGCUUCAGAUCAAGCUUUGGCCCACUAGCUUUUGGCACCGUCAUCCUAAGGAAUGACAAAGGCAAGGGUAUUGAGGAACAUGGUAAUACAAUACAAAAUAAAAGCAUAAAGGUAAAGAGAUUUUUUAUACCUUGUUGAGCAAAUUUCGAGCUUCAUCUCUAGCCAGUUCUCAGCCGCCCUUUGCCUAGAUUUGGGUAAUAAAUCUAUUACCUAUGCUUCGGGCUUCGGCCGGAAUGUCAAUAAGGUCAGAUGGCGACAGGUUGAAGUUUGGCCUGUUGACGGCUCUUGCAUGAUUGCAUCCAGCUUUUAUAAAAGCAGCAGUCGUACCACGAGAAGCUACUAGCGCAUAGAAAUCACCGUGACCAGUUAUGACUUUAUCGAGGAUGUCAACUUCUUUUUCAAUACAUUCAAGUGCUCCGGGGAUAUCUUCGGCAGAAAGAUUGGCUUCUUCGGACACAACUCCGACAAAAUUGAAGAUACUUUUUAGCCGAGCAGCACAUUGGGCCGCAAAGCUGAAGCAUUUAUUCUUAAGAGCCUUAAAUGUUUCACUUAGUUUCAGGUUCUUCUCAACUUCGACCUUGAUUGUCAUAUUUAAAGCUUCGGUUUCACGGCUGAAUUGACUUGAGUUCUCUUUCAAAAGUGUUUGUGUUUCCUUCAGCUCUUUGCUUAAUUUUUCAUUCUGAGCUCGGGCUUCAUCAAGUGAGCCUUCGGCUCAAUGCAGCAAGUUGUCUUUUUCCUUCAAAGAAUCUUCAAGUUUUUUUUAUCUUAUCUUCAAAGCCUUCAUCGACAAUUUCAUUUUCCCUAUCUUCGUCAUUUUGUUGCAUCUUCAAGGCUUUGCUUAGCAAUAGACUCUAAAAAAUGAAUUAAAGUUAGAAUACUUAAAUCAACACGAAGAUACCGUUGAUAACCUGUAAAGGAGUCUUACUUUGAAGUUUGAAUAAAACAAGCUACUAAUGAUGUGUUCUCGUCUAUAGUAGCUAAUAUCAUUUUCAAGCUUCAGGAAUCCAAUGUUCUUAGAUAAAGUGCUUAUAAUCUUAGCCCCCGUGCGGUCGCGAAUGCAUCCCACAAUCUCUUCAUCAACCCUGCCGAAGAGCAUUGAUCCAGGUUGGUAGCCACAGGAUAUGGCAAAUUCCUUCAAUUCUGAUAUGUCCUUUUUGGAAAGCUGUUGGCCGCCCAGGUGCUGAAGGUCGAAAUUCAUAUCUUCCGAAGAGGUCCCUUAAAUUCUUUUCCCCUUAUCAGAAGGCAUUGUGGCUACAUCUUUCUCGACAACCACAUCCGAAAUAAGUCUAUCGAUUUCCGACAGUGUGGUUGCAAGAUUCUUGGCUUCAGCUAUGGCGGUAUCUUCAGCAUUAACAGGUAUAAUAGCUUUAUCCACCGAAGCUGGGGGUGGGGUCUAUUCAAUGGCUUCCAUUACAUUCAUCAUACGCCGCUUCAUUUGCCCCCUGUUCUUCCCCUCAACAGCCGAAGCGAUUUCCUUUGACUGCAAGAGGCUAGUCAGAUUCAACCUCAAAGGACUUAGCAGUGCAAAUGGGAAAGGUUCAAUCAUUACCUUCAAAAUUUUCGAAACCUCAGCAGCAGAAGACGAAUAAGGGCUCAUAAUCUGCUUCGACACAUCUUGUACCUUUGUUUCCAUAAAAGAUAUCUUGACAAGUUUCCAUUUCUCCGGAGCCAAUUCCUUCGGCUCCGAUAGAGUUUUCUGUUUCUUCAAAGCUUUCUGGUCCUCCUUAACUAACCGGAUGACAUGUCUAUUCGGAAUGCUGACAAUUCUUUUUCUUUUGGCUCCUCCGGCCCCUUCAUCAAGUCUCUCGUAAUCAGGAUACUCAAAGUUUAGAGCGUCCAUCACAUGGUUCAACCUUCGCUUUGGGCGGGUGCCGAAGAUAGUAGUCAACAACUGAUCCUCUUUCUUCGUAUAAUUUCCAAGAAUUUCAUUACACAUAGUUUCUAUUAAUUCCAACCAUUCAUUGCACGGUUACUUGAAUCUUUUCUGGAACUUAAAUCGGUAAGGUAACCGGACAAGUUCAUAAUUUUUCCCUUCUUCUUUCUUCUUUGGCAUUCCCCAACCGCCAGAGGUCGAAAAUGUCUUGUUCGCCAAGUAUUCUUGCACUAAGUCUCUAGUGGUGAUAUGCUCAUCCAUGACCCUAAACUCCACUUCAGCCAACUGGCAAGGAGACCCCAACUGCAUAUUGCACAAGGCCGAGUCAUGCCGAAGUUUGAUCUCAACGGACUCAUCACCAUGCUCAUGGGUUUCUCCCUUUUCUUCUUGUUAGCUUUCAUGUAAAACCACUCGUUCGUCCACCCGGUCGGCCAUUUGCUGUGGUAGCCUAUCACGGAAGCCUUUAUGUCCUUCCAGUAUGUGAAGUUGUAGCAUCCAAAGUUCUUGUGUAGGCCGUAAGCUCUUGCCUUCGUCUGAUAAUGAAGCUCGUGUACCCGGUAGAACCCUUCAGCGUUGGCACUCUUUCCUUGACUUCAAAGAGCCAAGAUAUACACGCUGAGCCUGAUAAUGGCAUUCGUGGUCAGCUGAUGUAGGUAGAUUUCAAACUUUUUCAAAACUUCACCUAUCAUCUCAUAAAGGGGGAACCGAAGUCCCGCCCUGAAGAAACUCUUAAAGACUACAACUUCAUCUUCUUUUGGCUCUAGAAUUGUCUCCUCUCCAACAAAGCGAACCAGUUCAUCAUCAUUUUCUCCAAAAUAUCCUAGCUUCUUCAUUAGAACUAGAUCUUCAGCUUUAACUGUAGAUCUCCCAAAUUCAACUUGGCUAGGCUUAGUCAAACAUAGAAUGCUAUCGUCAUCCUCACUUCCAUUAUCACUUUCAGCUUCAGCCACAGCCUGUUCAACUUUAGCAUUAGAAGUACCUUCGGCAAUAAUUUCUUCCUGCACAACCAGCCUGGAGCGCCUCAUCAUUUCUGAGAUGGGAGUUGUCUCAGUUGUUUUAGUCUCAUCUCCCUCGCGGGUUACCCUUGCAGUUGAUCUUACUCUGGCCAUUUCAUUGUUCAGACCCUCAUAGGCGAAGCUGCACUUGAGCGGUGAAAUGCUUGUUUGAAGUGUAAUGCAGAAAGCUUCGGCUUUGGUGAAAAUUUUCAAUAGCACAACAGUACAAUAGCAAUGAAUGAUGUGGUAACUUCUCACCAACUUGUCUGUUUAUAUAGCCCUACAGGAGAAGAAGGUGAACCGCCAAGACACACAUACUGGCUGAUCGGUGGAGCGGCAAGCGUUGUGAUUAUUUUAUUCGUUUUUAAUAACAAGCUCAGGGAAGGUGUUUUUUGGACCUUCGGCAUUUCGAAGCCUUCGUAUUGUUCACGGAUCGAGCUUGUUAUGAAAAAAUGAUCUAGCACCGCGAAGGGGCUACUGUUGGGGUCUUCUUCUCCUUCGAAGGUCCUCAAGAAAAAGACACCAUCGACAAAGUGAUUCAGAAGACUUUCUUCUUUCUGUCGAAGGUCCUCAAGACGAAGAUCUCGUCUAGAAGCAACGAUGGCAAGUGCCGAAGCUGCCACCAGCUUCGGCUUAGACCCAAUAGAGGAGGAAAAUACUAGCUAGUCCCUAGUGAUUUAUAUUACGAUUAUGUACAAAUGUUGAAGGUUAUAAAUGUACUUUUACCCGGGCUGCGUCCCGCGCCUAUAAAUAGGUGAACGGUAUCCCCGUACUGUUCACACUGGAUUGUAAUCACUCUUGCGUCGGCACCUUCAAACAAGCCAAAGGUAUCAAUGUAAUAUUAACUUUUUUUAAUGUUCAUGUGUAUAUUAUGAAAUAUAAAUGUGAAUGAAUCAAUGAAUUAUCUUCAUCAUCUUUACGUAUUCUUAUUUAUCCAUGAAAUGAUGAAGGCAUGUCCUUCAUGACCUUUGUCUGAUGAUCAUUAUAUCCAAGAGGAGGUAAUGCUUCGGAGGACAAAGGUCCUUAAUGCUUAACAAUUGUGUUGUCUUGUUCUUGAUUCACAACAUUUGAGAACAAGUGACUAACAAACGACAAUUUUGAAUAAUACCGAAGGCUAACACCUACGGAUUUUUUACCAAGAAAUAGUCUCCAGCCAAAUCCAAGAAUGUGACCUAUGGCAAGGAAGCAUAUGUGGGUGAGGUGUACGAGCCUCUGGUCGAUGAUCAAUGGCAACACAACCCCAUUUUUUGUUGAAAAUAGCCACGAACGAUCAUUUUCAAUAAUACUGAAGGCUAACACCUACAUAUUUUUGACAAAGAACUGGUCUCUACAAGAAAUCCAAUAAUAUGACAUAUGGCAAGCAAACAUAUGUGGGGUGAGGUGUACGAGCCUCUGGUCCAUGAUGAAUGGCCAUUCAACCCACAUUUUUGUCGAAAAUAGCCAUGGAUGACCAUUUCCAAUAAUACCGAAGGCUAACACCUACGGAUUUUUCACCAAGAAAUUGUCUCCACCAGAUAUCCAAGAAUGUGACCUAUGGCAUGAAAACAUAUGUGGGUUGAGGUGUACGAGCCUCUGCUCCAUGAUGAAUGGCCAUUCAUCCCCAAAUUUUGUUGAAAAUAGCCAUGAACGACCAUUUUCCAUAAUACCGAAGGCUAACACCUAUGGAUUUUUUACCAAGAAUCGAUCUCCACUAGAAAUCCAAUAAUGUGACCUAUGGCAAGGAAACAUAUGUGGGGUGAGUUGUAUGUCCCUCAGAUCAAUGAUCAAUCUCCACACAACCCCCAUUUUUAUGAAAAUUUCAAUGAACGACCAUUUUCAAAAAUACCGAAGGCUAACAUCUACGGAAUUUUGACCAAGAAUUGAUCUCCACCAGAAAUCCAAGAAUGUGACCUAUGGAAAGGAAAUGUAUGUGAGGUGAGGUGUACGAGCCUCUGGUCAAUGAUCAAUAUCCACACAACCCCCAUUUUUGUCGAAAAUAGCCAUGAACGACCAUUUUGAAUAAUACCAGAAGGCUAACACCUACGGAUUUAUGACCUACAAAUGGUCUCCAGCCAAAAUCCAAGAAUGUGACCUAUGGCAAGGAAACAUAUGUGGGUGAGGUGUACGAGCCUCUGGUCGAUGAUCGAUGGCAACACAACCCCAUUUUUGUCGAAAAUAGCCAUGAACAAUCAUUUUCAAUAAUACCGAAGGCUAACACCUACAGAUUUUUAACAAAUAACUAAUCUCACUAGAAAUCCAAUAAUGUUACCUAUGGCAUGGAAACAUAUGUGAGGUGAGGUGUACGAGCCUCUGGUCCAUGAUGAAUGGUCAUUCAACCCACAUUUUUGUCGAAAAUAGCCAUGAAUGACCAUUUUCAAUAUUACCGAAGGCUAACACCUACGGAUUUUCAACCAAAAAUGGGCUCCACUAGAAAUCCAAGAAUGAUACAUAUGGCAAGUAAGCAUGUGUGGGUGACGUGUAUGAGCCUCUAGUCGAUGAUCAAUGGCCACACAACCCCCAUUCUUGUCGAAAAUAGCCAUGAACGACAAUUUUCGAUAAUACCGAAGGCUAACACCUACAGAUUUUUGAGCAAGAAAUGGUCUCCACCAGAAAUCCAAGAAUGUGACCUAUGGCAUGGAAACAUAAGCGUGGUGAGUUGUACGACCCUCUGGUCCAUAAUGAAUGGCCAUUCAAUCCCUAUUUUGUCAAAUAUCGCCAUGAACGACCAUUUUCAAUAAUAUCAAAGGAUAACACCUACGGAUUUUGACCAAGAAUUGGUCUCCAGACAAAAUUUAAGAAUAUGACCUAUGGCAAGGAAAUAUAUGUGGGGUGAGGUGUACGAGCCUCAAGUCGAUGAUCAAUGGCCAAACGACCCAUUUUUGUCAAUAAUAGCCAUGAACGAUUAUUUUCAAUAAUACUGAAGACUAACAUCUAUAGAUUCUUAACCAAGAAUCGGUCUCCACCAAUAGUCCAACAAUGUGACCUAUGGCAAGAAAACAUAUCUGGGGUGAGGUGUACGUGCCUCUGGUCAAUGAUCAAUGGCCACACAACCCCCAUUUUUUAUGAAAAUUGCCAUGAACGACCAUUUUCAAUAAUAACGAAGUCUAUCAUCUAUGGAUUUUUGACCAAGAAAUGGUCUCCACCAGAAAUCCAAGAAUGUGACCUAUGGCAAGGAAAUAUAUGUGGGGUAAGGUGUACGAGCCUCUAGUCGAUGAUCAAUGGCAACACAGCCCAUUUUUGUCGAAAAUACCCAUGAACGAUCAUUUUCAAUAUUACCAAAAGGCUAACACCUAUAGAUUUUUGACAAAGAAGUGGUCUCCACCUACAAUCAUAUAAUGUGACCUAUGGCAAGGAAACAUAUGUGGAAUUAGGUGUACGAUCCUAUGGUCCAUGAUGAAUGGCCAUUUAACUCCCAUUUUUAUCGAACAUAGCCAUUAUUGACCAUUUUCAAUAAUACCGAAGGCUAACACCUACGGAUUUUUGACCAAGAAAUGGUCUCCAGCCAAAAUCCAAGAAUGUGACCUAUGGUGAGGAAACAUAUGUGGGGUGACGUGAACGAGCCUCUGGUCGAUGAUCAAUGGCCACAAAACCCCCAUUUUUGUCGAAAAUGUCCAUGAACGACCAUUUUGAAUAAUACCAAAGGCUAACACCUACGGAUUUUUGACCAAAAAAUGGUCUCCAGCCAAAAUCUAAAAAUGUGACCUAUGGCAAGGAAACAUAUGUGGGGUGAGGUGUACGAGCAUCUGGUCGAUGAUCAAUGGCAACACAACCACAUUUUUGUCGAAAAUAGCCAUGAACGAUCAUUUUCAAUAGACCGAAUGCUAACACCUAUAGAUUUUUGGCAAACAACUGGUCUGCACCAGAAAUCCAAUAAUGUAACAUAUGGCAAGGAAACAUAUGUGGGGUGAGGUGUACGAGCCUCUAGUCCAUGAUGAAUGGCCAUUCAAGCCCUAUUUUUUUCAAAAAUAGUCAUGAAUGACCAUUUUCAAUAAUAGCAAAGACUAACACCUACAGAUUUUUAUCAAGAAAUGGUCUCCACCAGAAAUCCAAGAAUGUGACAUAUGACAAGGAAACAUAUGUGGGAUGAGGUGUACGAGCCUCUGGUCCGUGAUGAAUGGACAUUCAACCCCCAUUUUGUCGAAAAUAGCCAUGAACAAUAAUUUUCAAUAAUACCGAAGGCUAAACAUCUACGGAUUUUUGACCAAGAAAUGGUCUCCAGUAGAAAUCCAAGAAUGUGACAUGUGGCAAGGAAACAUAUGUGGGGUGAGGUGUAUGAGCCUUUGGUCGAUGAUCAAUGGCAACACAACCCAUUUUUUGUCGAAAAUAGGCAUGAACAAUCAUUUUCAAUAUUACUAAAGGCUAACACCUAUAUAUUUUUGACAAAGAACUGGUCUCCACUAGAAAUACAAUAAUGUGACCUAUCGCAAGGAAACAUAUGUUGGUGAGGUGUACGAUCCUCUGUAUCAUGAUGAAUGUCCAUUCAACCCCCAUUUUUGUCAAAAAUAGCCAUGAAUGAUAAUUUUCAAUAAUACCGAUGGCUAUAACACCUACGAAUUUGACCAAGAAUUGGUCCCCAGACAAAAUCUAAGAAUGUGACCUAUGGCAAGGAAAUAUAUGUGAGGUGAGGUGUACGAGCCUCUGGUCGAUGAUCAAUGGCCAGACAACCCCCAUUUUUCUCAAUAAUAGCCAUGAACGACCAUUUUCAAUAAUACUGAAGAUUGACACCUAUAGAUUUUUGACCAAGAAUCGGUCUCCACCAAAAAUACAAUAAUGUGACCUAUUCCAAGGAAGCAUAUAUGGGGUGAGGUGUGCGUGCCUCUGGUCGAUAAUCAUCGGCCACACACCCCCAUUUUUUUACGAAAAUAGCCAUAAACGACCAUUUAAAAUAAUACCAAAGGCUAACAUCUAUGGAUUUUUGACCAAGAAACGGUCUCCACGAGAAAUCCAAUGACUUAUGGCAACGAAAGAUAUGUGGGGUAAGGUGUAUGAGCCUCUAGUUGAUGAUCAAUGGGCACAUAACCCCCAUUUUUGUCGAAAAUAGCAAUGAACGACCAUUUUUAAUAAUACCAAAAGCAAACACCUAUGGAUUUUUGACCCAAAAAAAGUCUCCACUAGAAAUUCAAGAAUGUGAUCUAUGACAAGGAAACAUAUGUGGGCUGAGGUGUACGAGCUUCUGGUCGAUAAUCAAUGGCCAAACAAUCCCCAUUUUUAUCAAAAAUAGUCAUGGACGACAAUUUUCAACAAUGCCGAAGGCUAAAACCUAUGGAUUUUUGACCAAGAAAUGGUCUCCACCAGAAAUCCAAGAAUGUAACAUAUGGAAAGGAAACAUAUUAGGGCUGAUGUCGGUGUUUGGGACCCGACCGCGCACCCGGGGUUACCCCUCGAGGUGCUUUUGGGUAGGACGGUGUUACCGACUGUAGCUUGAUGGUUCGUGCUAGGAGCACGAGAGACGAUGGGCAAUUUUAUACAGGUUCGGGCCGCUUAGAGAGGCGUAACACCCUACUUCCUGGUGUGGAUCUUUAUGUGGUGGGAUUAUAGGGGGAUUCUCUAGUUCGAAGGAUGCUAUAGAAUGGAGUAGAUGGCUGACGAUUGACCUGUCUUUUGAUGGGGUGCCCCCUAGGCCUUAUAUACUCGGUCGUGGGGCGUUACAUGCGGAUAUGAUAACUAUGUGCUCCUAAGUAAUAGUGAACUGACUGAACUUAUCUUCCUAUUAUCCUGCCGACUUAUCCUCGUUUAGUUCCGACGUCUGAGGGUGCUGCGCGGGAGAAUCGGAUCAAUGCUGAGGAUAAUGUUUAAAUCCAAUGAGCCGUCUAGGCUCGAGUCUGUCCAAUCUUGCGUUGAUACACUCUGCCAGUGAUUCCUCCCCUGGCCCACAAAGGGAUGGCCUUGCGAAGUAAUGGGCCCAGAGUCUUUCGCGAGGCCUUCUAGCCUUCUAGUGGACCCGGGGGAUAUCUGUCCCCCACAUGCCCCCAAUCUUUGAGUUGAUUUUGAAACAAUCGGCCCAAAGAUUUUAGGUCCAGCUUGCAGUUUUGAUUUUAGAUCAUGUAUGCUCUGAAAGUGCACCUGUCGAAUUAUUGCUUCUGAACUCUAAUCAAUCCGGUAAAAACAAACUUCUGCUAUCCUUGUUCAGCUCUUUCAACGGUCUUCACUUUAUACUUCAGGAAUUAGUACUCGGUUACCAGCUUAUGCUUUGGAGAUCAGAAUUUUGUCCUUAGGGGUUGAGGAUUCAUUAGGUGCACCGGAGGUGCACCUAACGGGUGUAGCCUCCGAGCUUUGAGUGGAUUACUGAAAAAAAUCCACUCAAAGGUCUUCAUCUCAUGCUUUUUAGAAGUUGUUGGUUUAUCUUCGUCUCAUGCUUUAGAGAUCAGCAUUUCGUCGUCAGUCCAUGCUUUAGAGAUCAGCCUGUUGUCUUCAAUUCCUGCUUUAGAAAUCAGCAGCGCGAUCUACCCAUGUUCUGUUAGGUUUGAAAUUUAUUUGAUCGGCAACAGAUUGGACGUCUGGUAGAUGGCUCUUGGCUGGUCUUCAUUUCGCUUUGUGCUUUAAUGCUUCUGUUGAUUAGACUUGUACUUCAGUAGCUAUAUUUGGCUUUCCUCCGAUCUACAUCGAUAUCUUUCUUCUAUCUUGAUACAUUCAUUGCGUAUACUGUAUGGAUGUGAUUGCCUGGGAAAAUCUAUUGAAAAUUCCUGGACGUCCCCUCCCCAAUGGGUGUAACCAAGGGACGGCUUGGUACGUUGAGCGUUUAGCAAACUGCCCUUGAGUAGUAACUUGACGUGACCGCGGGGUGUAAUCAUAUCGUCCAAGCAGUUGACCUCAAUCCAAAUGGUGUCGUGUUACGUGAAACGACGUCUGCCGCCUGACUUGUUUCCAGACGAUUUGAAUUGCUUAUUGAAUACUUGUGACUGUUCAGUGACCAUGAUAGGAGAUGAGCGGUUGCCUCCUGCCUCUAUAAAUAGACUGCUUGCCUCGCUGGUGUCUUCACACAUCUCCUGGUCGUUUGUUGCUUAUUCUCCCACUUUUCUCUUCUCUUCCAAUCAACCAUGGCAAGAACAAGAAGGGUGGAAGUUUGUCGCACCACUCCGGCAACAAGCGGAAGCGCGAGCCAAGUCCCCCCUCGGAGGACUUUGGUGACUCUGAGUACUCGGAGGAGGAGUUUUCCUCUGAGUCUGAGGGGUCGCCGGUCUACGCCUCUCCCUUGGUGUCGUCCGAUGACUCGGACGAUUCCCAGGGGAUCGCUGCCGAGGUGUGGACGUACAUCCGGGCCGUCGAGCGCUCCGGGCUCCAGGGCUCGGAUGAGUCAGAGAUCUCCUCGGACGAGGAGAACUCCUCUGACUCGUCCGAGGAGGAGAGCGGCGGUGACGGCGACGACGAGGGCGACGGCGACGAUGGAGGUGACGGCGGCGAUGAUGGCGACGGAGGCAACAACGGCAAGGGCGACGACGACGGCGGCAAGGGCAGCGGCGGCAGCAGCAAGGCUAGUGGCAAAGCGCCACUGCUUUAAAUAUUAGUAUAGAUAAUUAGUAGUAGUAGUAUUGGUAGUAGUAGAAUAAUGUAGUAGUAGUUAGUAGUAUAGUGUAGUGUGAGUAGUGUAGUGAUGUAGUAAUGUAAUGCAGCGAAAAAGGGAAAAAAGGCCGACUCAUAAUGAGUUGGUCUUUAAGUUUGUGGAAGAACUUCCCUCCUCUAUAUAUUGAAGAAAAUUUCAGCUUGUUCCGAGCAUCCUUUCGCUUUUUCGUCAUUCUUUUUUUAUAGUCAAUUGAUAGUUUGUCUUCACGCCUAGCGCUGCUGACAUUUUUAGAGAUAAUGACUGGUAACUGCUGAGUCGUAUUUGGUUCUGCCGGCAUUCAUUUAGAGAAAACGGCCGAGUUACGACAGACACUGUCGGCGUUUUUUAGAAGUAACCGUCGAGUGGUGCUUGAUGACGUCGGUGCUUUUGAGGUAACAGCCGAGUUACGCUAGACCACGUCGGCGUUUUAGAGAUAACUGUCGAGUUAGGAUAGACACUAUCGGCGCUUUAGAGGUAACAACCGAGUGGUGCUUGACGACAUCGGUGUUUUAGAGGUAACAGUCGAGUUACCCUUGACCCUAUCGGCGUUUAGAGAUAACAGCCGAGUUAUGACAGACACUGUCGGUGUUUUAGAGGUAACCGUCGAGUGGUGCUUGAUGUUGUCGGCGUUUUAGAGGUAACAGCCGAGUUAUGUCGGAAAUCUCGUUUUCCCGAGUGGUGACUUGGCACUUUUUAGAAACGGUGCCCAACCCGGGAAAACCCCAUUUAUAUCACGUCGUCGCGCGCUUCUGAGUUUUGAGCCCUAACUUCACAUUUCUGCCUCAAACCACUCCUCUGUUUCCCUCUGAUUUCGCCCUUGUUCAACCCGCCGGUGAGAUUGUGAUGGCACCCAAGCGAAAGAACCAGAAUUCUGCUGCGGUAGUCAUUCCUCCCAUCGACCCCAACAGUCAGUUGCCGUUCGCAGGUAACCACAUGUCUGUUGUCUCAGAAUCAGAUCUCGUCCGCCUUGUCGAUGUUGGAGUUCUUCCUCCAAAAGAGCUUUAUUCUUAGCAGAUUUGUCGUGGGGUCACUGUUCCGACAGAAGAUACCCACGAGUCUGUCGUCUACAUUCAUUUUCUCAUCCGCGGUCUCGCUCUUCCCAUUUCUCCCUUCUUCCGUGGUCUCCUUGAUUUUUACAAUCUAAACCUAACCCAUCUGAAUCCUAAUUCCAUCUUGCAAAUUUCUAUCUUUGUACAUCUGUGUAAGGCCUACCUCAGAAUUCUUCCUCAUUUCAGAUUAUGGAAGUAUUUGUAUCACUGUCGGCCUGGGAUGGCUGGGGGGCAGCACCAGCUCGCGGGUGGUGCAAGUCUGGAGAUGCGCCGUGGGAGGAAGACAGAAUACCUUGACAUUCCUCUCAAGGACAGCAUUAAAGGGUGGCACCUUGAGUGGCUUAUUGUGGAAAACCACGGCAAGUCCCUCCCCCUCGGUCGGGGAGACAGCCAGAUGUACGCACUCCGAGUUGGGUUGAGUCUCCCACUGCCUUGGAGGUAACAGAAGCUAGGGUUCUGCUUGAUGAAAUCUGUCUGCUGAAGGAGAGAGGUCUGACUGUCGAGGCUGUGGUUGCUGACUUUGUUUUUAAGAACAUUCAGCCUUUGAAGGACAGGGCAUACCCAGCUUACUUGUACAGUGGCAUUACUGACUCGACUCGGGUUACCAACAGGAAAAUUCCUACUGAGGAUCUGGUGAGCCGACUAGACAUGAUCUUGAGGGGCAAAGUAUCAAAUGUUGGUGCUCCUGUUGUCUACUCUGCUUGGAAUCUGCCACCUCCUAGGUCAUUUUUCAAUUUUGUGUCCAACCCUCCUGCUGGUGAUAGUGGUCUGGGUCUUAGAGUGCGACCCUCUCCUGAAGAUAUUGAGGCUCUGGUUGCUCCUCUUUGCGAUCUUCCCAAUGAUGAGAGGCAAGUUCAUUUUGAGAUGCCGGCGAGUCCAGAUGAUGCAGAAAUAGAUGUUGUACUCAAUAUGUUGGCUGGAGAAUCUUCUGACUUGGCCAUGCUGAACCAAUGGCUGUUACCGUUGUACAAGAGCUUAACAAAACAGUGGACACCCGAAAGCCUGAGGGUAUUCGCCCAAAGCGUCCUCGCCAAGUUAGCCGCCCAACUGCGCCUGUUGAGGAGAAGAAGAAGAAAAAAAGGCGGCUUCGGCGACUGUCAUGCUUGGACCAGGAUGCUGGCCCUUCUGCUCCUGUUUGUGAAGAAGUACCAGCGGAGGUCCUUACUAAGGCUAAUCCCAAUGGUGGUGUAUCUCUUGAAGCUGACCCCAAUGGGUGUGACCGUGCACCAGCUGACUCCAAUGGGUGUGACCUUGUUGAAGCUAAUCCCAAUGGGUGUAACCGUACAGAAGCUGAUCCCAAUGGGUGUAACCGUGCAGAAGCUGAUCCCAAUGGGUGUGACCGUGCAGAAGCUGAUCCCAAUGGGUGUGACCGUGCACCGGCUAUUGUCUGUAUUUUUUAUGAGGACUAAGAAGAGGAAGAAGAAGUUCCGCAAAUUCGUAAAAAUAGCCAGUGUUACAGAGGUAGUAGGGGGAUAGUGAUAUUCCUUCUCUAGCUCUGUCUGCUCUGGUCAGCCUUCAAGAAUUGUCCAUAACGGAUUUUGAUCAGGCCCUUGAGGAUGUCGUUCCUGAGGAUAUGCUGUCGGAGCCGACUGCUGGCGACAUGAUGGAUGUUUGCUCUGAAAUUCCAGACGUGGGAUUAGAGGUAUCCCGAGCAGAUACUCGCGCAUCGUCAACUUUGGAAGGCAGUUUUCGGUGUCAAGAAGUUGGUCAGGAUUGCCCGACUCCCAUGGAGGUGACUGAGGAUCCUUCAGCCUUAGAGGUGGCUGUUGCAGAAAACCUAGCCCCCGAGGGUGGUGCUGGCGGUUACCCAGUCCCCGAGGGUGUUGCCGGUAGUGAUCCGGCUCUGGUGGGUAGCGCGAGCUGCAACCCAGCCCUGAGGGUGUUGCCUGUAAUGAUCCGGCUCUGGUGGGUGGCGCGAGCUACAACCCAGACCCCGAGGGUGUCCAAGUGAGCUCUCCUUCCCACACCUCCAUGGAUGUCCAUAUCGGGUCGUCUCCACCACGAUCUGAUGGGGUGAUGGCGAUGCAUACUUCUUUGACUUCGAGCAAGCAAGUCGCCUUGGAAGUCGGUGAGCCAGAUGCAAGAAUUCUGAUAUCUGCUAGUGGGGCUGAGUCAACCCCCGACGAUGCUCUUCAAAUUGUUUCGGUUGAUCUUCCUUCGUUGAGCUACAACGCAGCUUCUCAUGACUUGGGAUUACCCUCAUUCUUCUCUAAUCUUCAGGUAACUCGGCUCUUUCGUUCUGUCGCUCCUCCUGGUAAAUCAUCUUCUUUGUACUCAUUUGUCUUUAAUAAUAGGCUUUGGUUGACGGAAUGUCCGCUCAGUUGAGAUCACACGAUGCCACUAUCCCAGAAGGGGCUCUGUCUCUGUCGCAGUGGAACCCAUUGCUGUUUCAGAAACAGAUAGCUGAUUUGAAGGCGUCAAAUGCUGGUUGGUAACUUUGUUUCUUCCUUGGAUGAUUGAUCAACUUGUUUUUAACCGUGUAUCCUUCUUCGACUGCUUUGUCAGAUAUGGCCCGGCGGCACUCUGAGCUUGAGGAAAAACAUCUUCAACAUCAAGCCGACUCAACCCAACGGUACUUCGAGCUUGAGAAGUAUUCUCAAGGUCAGAUCGACCUGGCUCAGGUUUCUGCUUCUUUGGACGACGUGCAUUCUUUGAAUUCUUCUAUCAAUGCUUAGCUUGACUCUAAAAGGACAGCUAACGAGGUAAACUUACUUAAUUGGCUCUAUCGUGCUUUACUGUUUACUGGAUGCUUGAGAGUUGAUUCUUGUUUGUAGGAGGAGAGACGAGCACUUGCAGCUUCUCGUGACAAUAUGGAUAGGUUGUAUCGUGACGCCAGCAAUUCCUUAACCAUCUUGGAGAGAAGCCAUCACUUUACUAUGUUAGAUAUGGAUCAUCAUCGUCGCGAACUGCAAGUGUCCCAAGAUGAGGUCCUGCGGCUUAGACAGUUGGUGUCAAGCAAGGACUCCAUCGUCAAAGAUCUGCGUGCCUCCAAGAAAUUAGUCGCCCAGGAGCUAGAGGCCGCUCGACUGGCUACCAAAGUUGCAGAGGACAACUGCGCCAUUCUGAAAGCUCGGCAUGACAAGGCUAUGGACAAAGCCAUUCGCGCGGGGCGGAUCUUGAUGAGAAGGCCCGGUGUAGUUGUUCUUGAUGGCAUUGUUGCCGACGUCAAGGCUGCGCCUGACGCCUCGAGUCGCCCUUCUUCCUCAAUCGCCCCUGCGAAAGACAUUGCAAAAUAGAGGUGUUUCGCCGUAGCGACGUGUUUAGAAGAUACUGAAUGCAUUUGUGAAUUAUAUGUGUGUGUGAUCAUUGUGCUCGGAUAUUUGGUGGAUAGAGCACUAAAAUGUGCCCCUAGCGCUGACAACUAUAAUAUUUGUUUCUGUUGUCAGGAUGUAACAAUCAUCUUGAACGAUUGUGGAAGUAAAUGCGGCGUGCUGGUUUUCGAGUUUUUUCCCGACUUAUGUCAAUUGCUUGGCUCGUAAGGCAUAGUGGUUGCCCUAAGAUGAGUAGACGUGAGCAUGUCGCACCGUCCUAAGUCGUUGCCGACUUAAGCCGAUUGCUCCGUUAGUAGGGUAUAGUGGUCACCAUAAGUCGAGUAAGCGUGAGCAUGUUGCACCGUCUUAAGUCAUUGCCGACUUAAGUCGAUUGCUCCGUUAGUAGGGUAUAGUGGUCACCCUAAGUCGAGUAAGCGCGAUCAUGUUGAACCGCCUUAAGUCAUUGCCGACUUAAGUCGAUUGCUCCGUUAGUAGGGUAUAGUGGUCACCCUAAGUCGAGUAAGCGCGAGCAUGUUGCACCGUCUUAAGUCAUUGCCAACUUAAGCCGAUUGCUCCGUUAGUAGGGUAUAGUGGUCACCCUAAGUCGAGUAAGCGCGAGCAUGUUGCACCGUCUUAAGUCCUUGCUGACUUUAACCGAUUGCUCCGUUAGUAGGGUAUAGUGGCCACCCUAAGUCGAGUGAGCACGAGCAUGUUGCACCGUCUUAAGUCCUUGCCGACUUAAGUCAAUUGCUCCGUUAGUAGGGUAUAGUGGCCACCCUAAGUCGAGUGAGCGCGAGCAUGUUGCACCGUCUUAAGUCAUUGCCGACUUAAGCCGAUUAGCAGGGUAUAGUGGCCACCCUAAGUCGAGUAAGUGUGUUGAUUCCAAGUCUAGUCGAAGUCAAUUGAUAACCACUAGUGUGAAUGUCUUUGAGAAGGAAAUCUUUUAUUGAUGACGUAUUUUCCAAUUAUAGAGUACAACAUUGCUCUGAUAGCUUUUUGAGUCUUGCUAAGGAUAAAACUUCCUGAGGUGCUCUAUAUUCCAUGAGUUCCCCACUUUCGUGCCAUCCAUUUGAGUAAGCUGAUAUGAUACUGGCCGAGUGACCUCCGAUACAAUGAAUGGCCCUUCCCAUAGCGGUGACAAUUUGUGUCGUCCUUCUCCUGUUAGAAUUCGGCGAAGGACCAAGUCUCCCACUACGAAGGAUCGAUGUCGUAUAGCCUUAUCAUGAUAGCGCCUCAGGGUCUGCUGGUAUCUAGCUGACUAAAUUACUAUAUUCAAUCGCUCUUCUUCCAGCAUGUCAAUAUCUUCUAGCCUGGUAGCUUCAGCUUCAGCUAUGCUUUCGAAGACCAGCCUUGGUGCCCCAAACCUGAGGUUGGCAGAUAGCACUGCCUCCGAACCAUAGACCAUGAAUAAGGGGGUGUUUCCAUGCAAAGCUCGACUGGGUUGAGUUCUUAGGCUCCAAACCACAUAAGGUAACUCUCUGAUUCACUUCCCUGCGAACUUUUCAUUCUUGUCAAAGACUUUCUUCUUGAGUGCUUCCAGUAUCAUUCCAUUAGCCCUUUCCACCUGACCAUUGGCUCUUAGGUGUGCUACUGAUGCAUAUUUGAUCUGGAUGCUCCGUUGUUCGCAGAAAUCAAAGAAUUCAGAGCUAGUGAAGUUGGAUCCCAGGUCGGUUAUGAUGCUAUUCGGUAUCCCAAACCUGAAUAUUAUAUCUUAUAUGAAUUCCACUGCCUUGGCUGAAGUUAGAGAAGCAAUGGGUUUGUAUUCUAUCCAUUUGGUGAAUUUAUCAAUGGCGACCAACACAUGAGUAUAGCCUCCCUGAGCUUUCUUAAAAGGUCCAAUCAUGUCCAGUCCCCAGCACGCAAAUGGCCAUGUUAUAGGGCAUGGUCUGCAGUUGCUGUGUUGGUAAAUGUUGUUGCUUUGACAAGAAUUGGCAAGCUUCACAUCUCUGGACUAACUCGGCUGCAUCACUCUUUGUUGUCAGCCAGUAGAAACCAGACCUGAAGACUUUCCCAACCAGAGUUCUGGAUGCUGCGUGUAUUCCACACUAUCCGGCGUGAAUCUCAUCUAGUAGUUGUCUCCCAGUGAUCGAGGAAAUGCAUUUCAUGAGGACUCCUGUUGCACCCCUUCUGUACAUUGCCUCCCCUAUGAGGGUGUAGUGGGCCGACUGUCUUGCGAUACGCUCUGCUACGGCCUUGUCAUCUGGUUCUUCUUCAUUUUUUAUAUACUUGAUGAUAGGCUCUCUCUAGUCAUUAGAGUAUGACUCUGGCUGGCUCAAAGCGUUGCACUAUUCCGCCUGAUCUGAGGGAAUGCUUGGGCGUGACACUUCCUAGACGAAAACUCUGGGUGAGACCUGAGCUCGACUGGAUCCUAGUUUCGACAACGCGUCUGCUGCUGCGUUGCGAUCUUUUUCCACGUGAUGAAAUUCCAGCCCUUCAAAUUUGUCUUCUAAUUUUCGGACAGUUGUACAGUACUUGCCCAUAGAAUCAGUCAAGGAAUCCCAGUCUUUAUUUAUCUGACUUAUGACCACCAGUGAAUCUCUGUAUACCAUCAACCUCUUAACGCCCAGUGAUAUGGCAAUGUUCAAUCCGUGGAUCAGAGCUUCAUAUUCUGUUGCAUUAUUUGAUGCUGAGAAUGACAACUGAAGAGCAUAUUUGAGUUGUUCACCUCCAGGGGCAAUGAAGAGGAUUCCUGCGCCUGCUCCCUGCAGUUUCAGCGAGCCAUCGAAAUACAUUUGCCAUACUUCUAUAGCCUCUGGGUUGUUAGGUACUUGUUGCUUGGUCCAUUCUGACAUGAAGUCAACCAGUGCUUGAGUCUUUAUUGUUGUGCGAGACUGAAACUCGAUGUCGUGAGCUCCCAGCUCGCAGGCCCACUUGGCUAUUCUCCCGAUGGCUUCUUUGUUGUGAAGAAUAUCCCCUAUUGGAAACCCGGUGACUACUAUGACUUUGUGGUCGUCAAAGUAGUGACGGAGCUUACGAGCAGUUAGAAGUACUGCGUAUAAUAAUUUUUGAACUUGAGGAUACUUUUUUUAGAGGGCCCCAGAACUUCACUGAUGAAGUAGACCGGAUGCUGUACUGGAUAUGCAUGCCCUUCUUCUGCCCGCCCAACUACUAACGCGGUGCUCACCACGUGAGUCGUGCAGGAGAUGUAUAACAGCAGAUCUUCUGCCGGCUGAUCUGACAUGGCUCGGCGUGGUGGCUUUAGUACUGGUGGCAUGGUCAAGAACUUCUUUAGCGCAUCGAGAGCUUCCUGUGCUUCUGUGGUCAAGAACUUGUCCCAGUCUGCCGAUGAUGGCGUUGUAUCCACAGUCGAAGCUCUCUACCUCAAACCUCAGGAACUCGGUUCUGUAGUUUUCCGGAGUUCCAAAGGUGAUCGACAUGUAGAUGUGUCCGAGUGGGUAUUCUCCUUCAGUCGGCACAAUGCCGAAGAACAGAGUGUCUGACUCGUGGAGCUCUUUGAGUGCAACUCCCAAGCCUAAGAGUAUUCGGGGGAAAGUGACGUUGAUGCUGCUUCCCCCGUCCACCAACACCUUCUUUACCCUGCUCUCUCGGAUCACCGGAUCGACGAGGAGCGGGUACUUGCCCGGAUGAUCGAAGUUGAGCCAUUGAUCCGCCCGAGUAAAGUUGAUCGGGUGCUCUGACCAUCGAUACGGGGCGAGGACACUGGUGGCCGCCACCAGUAUCUGUCGAUCGUUGAGCUUCUGCUGCCUUUUGUUCUCUUGUGACCCAUGUCCGCCGAAGAUGACGUUGACUUCUCCAUCGACACACGGGAACGCUCCGCCUCCUCCCCCUUCCUGCUGCUGAGGUUGUCGAGGUUCUUCGGGUCAUCCUCGUGGUGGGGGAGGUGGUAGAGGUUGGAAAGGUCGGCCAUUCCCGAUGGAGUGCUUGAAGUCUCUGCAGUUCCGGAGGGUAUGACGCAUAUCCUUGUGGUACGGGCACUGGGCGUCGAGGAUGUCAUUCAAUGUUCGUUCGCCUCCGCGGGGUGCCCCUCGGGCACGAGAGACGGGUGGUCCAGUGCCAUGGACUUCUUCACGAGGCCUCUUCUCCCAGCGCUUGUCGGUUUGCUGGUUUGUGUCGCGCCGUGGUGCAGAUGGAGCGGGCUUUGUUCCCCCGAUGAGGUCCUAAGCACGCUCAUCGGCGGUGAUAUAGAGGUUCGCCUCCCUGAACAACUGUUUGGAAGUGGUCGGUGCCUUUUGUAGUAUGGCUUGGAUGAAGGCCGAGUCAUUAGAUCCUCGGUAGAAGUCCUCAAUCACUGCUACUUCAGCAACCUCGGGAAUACGAUUUCUCAUGGUCUGAAACGUUUUGAGGUACGACCGAAGAGUCUCAUCCCCUCAGCGCCUGAUGGAUUUGAGGUCCCAUGGUUGCGCCGGCUUGGCGGAGAGGGAUUUAAAGUUGGCGAUAAAACGUCGACUGAAAUCGCUCCAAUCGUCGAUGCAGUGUCAGGGUAGGUGUCGUAGUCAUUGCAGUGCAUCUUGCUCGAGGACGAUGGGCAAGUACGCAGUCAUCACAUCUUCAGUUGCCCCAGUGGCCCAGGCAGCAGUGGUAUAGACAGCCAACCAGCCUCCCGGGUCCUGCUUAGGCUCAUACUUGUCGACGUUGGAGACUUUAAAGUUUGGGGCCACUGAAUGGCCCUGAGACGCGGAGUGAGCGCACACGUGUCCUCCUGUCAAUGAUUGUGGUGUCGGUCCCGGAGAGGGGAGUUGCCGAUGUGCUGCCUUGACCGUCCCCGGGUUGUGCCGCCAGUUGAAGCCGUUGCUGACUCAACCCUAGUGGCCUGACUUCGUGUAGGGAUGCCAUGAUCCUGAUCGUACUCUUCUCAGUGCCGGAUCUCGUUUUCAUGUCGCCGUUCGCGUGAAGCAUUGAUGGAGCUCCGUGCGUCCCGCCGACUAUUGAUGGCGUGUCGUAGAUCGCUCGGAGGAUGAGCGAGAGGCAGAAGAUGAUUAGCUGCCUGAGUGAGUAGCCGUCGAUAGCCCUUAGCGUCUGGAGUCCGGGGGAGGCCAUCAGCUAUCCGGGCCAACACUCCGCCGACCUCGCUCGGUGUGUUCAUGGCUCAGGCGAAGUCGGGGUUCAGGUUUCGUUCGAAGAGAGGGUUUUCUUGGUGUUGUCUCGCCUUCUGCUCGGCUUGCUGUUGAGCUUGCCGACGAUCACAUCAGCGGGAAUUCCUCCUUUCCCUGAAGACUCGUUCAUCAGGAGUUUCUCCCACCUCCGAGAUCUCAUCUCGUGAUACAGGCUGCACCGGGUCUCGUUCUCCGGCUUCAUGAUGUUGCCGAGCAUUCCGGUGUCGAUUCCUCCGUCAGCGAGCUUCUCGCUGAGGAGGUUCUUCCCCAGGCACGGUUGGCUCGUCGUUGGAGAUGGGGGAUGAUUCUACUCUUCCUCUGAUGAAGAGGACGUCGGGGUAGAAUGGAGUUGUCGUGACGAUAGGCUUCUCUCUGUUCUCCUUUGAGGGCAAAGGUGCCAGAAGAGCAGCUUGAUGGGCCUUUAUCUCAUUUGCUUCUCUUUUCCUUGUAAUCUGUGUCCAUCUUUCCGUGGAUGAGGUGGACAACGGGGUUCUUCGAGUAAACGAGUUCUCUGCUCCUGGCUGGCAGGAGGUAGUCUUUGCCCGGAGCGCUGGAAGUUGCGCUUUUUCCUCCUCCGUUCCGGCUUUCUCGGAGAUUUUCAAGGAAGGUUUCUUCACCGGUGGAUCCGCCAUACGAUGCAGAAUCCCUUCUUCGUCUGCCACAAAUGAGAUGGUUCCUAAGCAGAACAUGGAUCCAGGGCGGAGAGCGAUCUUGUGAUGAAAAAUGAUGGCCAUUGAGCUAGCUUGGAUCAGCGACACACCCCCUACCUGGCGCGCCAUCUGUCGGUGUUUGGGACCCGACCGCGCACUCGGGGUUACCCUUUGAGGUGCUUUUGGGUAGGACGGUGUUACCGACUGUAGCUCGAUGGUUCGUGCUAGGCGCACGAGAGACGAUGGGCAAUUUUAUACAGGUUCGGGCCGCUUAGAGAGGCGUAACACCCUACUUUCUGGUGUGGAUCUUUAUGUGGUGGGAUUACAGGGGGAUUCUCUAGUUCGAAGGAUGCUAGAGAAUGGAGUAGAUGGCUGAUGAUUGACCUGUCUUCUGAUGGGGUGCCCCCUAGGCCUUAUAUACUCAGCUGUGGGAGGUUACAUGCGGAUAUGAUAACUAUGUGCUCCUAAGUAAUAGUGAACCGACUGAACUUAUCUUCCUAUUAUCCUGCCGACUUAUCCUCGUUUAGUUCCGACGUCUGAGGGCGCUGCGCGGGAGAAUCAGAUCAAUGCUGCGGAUAAUGUUUAAACCCAAUGAGCCGUCUGGGAUCGAGUCUGUCCAAUCUUGCGUCGAUCCAUUCUGCCAGUGAUUCCUCCCCUGGCCCACGAAGGGAUGGCCUUGCGAAGUAAUGGGCCCAGAGUCUUUCGUGAGGCCUUCUAGCCUUCUAGUGGACCUGGGGGAUAUCUGUCCCCCACAGCUGAGGCAUACGCGACUCUGUUUGAUUAUCAAUGGCCAUAUAACCCCCAAUUUUGUCGAAAAUAGCCAUGAACGACAAUUUUCAAUAAUACUGAAGGCUAACACCUACGGGAUUUUGACCAAGAAAUGGUUUCCACCAGAAAACCAAGAAUGUUACCUAUGACAAGGAAACAUAUGUGGGUUGAGUUGUACGAGCCUCUAGUCGAUGAUCAAUGGUCAUACAAUCCCUAUUUUUGUCAAAAAUAGCCAUGAACGACAAUUUUCAAUAAUACUGAAGGCUAACACCUAAGGAUUUUUGACCAAGAAAUGGUCUCUACCAGAAAACCAAGAGAGUGACCUAUGGCAAGAAAACAUACGUGGGGUGAGGUGUUCAAGCCAUUGGUCGAUGAUCAAUGGCCAAACACCCCCAUUUUUACAGAAGUAGCCAUGAAUGACCAAUUUCAAUAAUACCGAAGACUAACACCUAUGGAUUUUUGACCAAGAAAUGGUCUACGCCAGAAAUCAAAGAAUGUGACCUUUGGUCGGUGAACAAUGGCCACACAACCACCAUUUUUGUCAGAAAUAGCCAUGAAUGACAAUUUUCAAUAAUACCGAAGGCUAACACCUAAUGAUUUUUUACGAAUAAAUGGUCUCCCCUAGAAAUCCAAGAAUGUGACCCAUGGCAAGGAAACAUAUGUCGGGUGAGGUGUACGAGCCUCUGGUUGAUGAUCAAUGGCCACACAACCCCCAUUUUUGUCGAAAAUAACCACGAAGGGCCAUUUUUAUUAAUACCAAAGGAUAACACUUAUGGAAUUUUGAAAAAGAAAUGGUCUCCACUAGAAAUCAAAGAAUGUGACCUACCGAUUCUUUGUCAAAAUCUGUAGGUGUUACCCUUCGGUAUAAUUGAAAAUGAUCAUUCAUCGCUAUUUUUAACAAAAAUGGGGGUUGUGUGGCCAUUCAUCAAGGACCCGAGGCUCAUACACCUCACCCCACGUAUGUUUCCUUGCCAUAGGUCACAUUCUUGAAUUUCUGGUGGAGACCAUUUCUUGGUCAAAAAUGCGUAGGUGUUAGCCUUCGGUAAUAUUGAAAACAGUCGUUCAUGGCCUACUUCCGUCAAAAAUAGAGGUUGUGUGGCAAUUGAUCAUCGAAUACAGGCUUGUACACCUCACCCCACAUAUGUUUCCUUGCCAUAGGUCACAUUAUUGGAUUUCUAGUGAAUAUCGAUUCUUGAUCAAAAUCCUUAGGUGUUAGCCUUUAGUAUUAUUGAAAAAAGUCGUUCAUGGCUAUUUUCGACAAAAAUUGAGGAUGUGUGGCCAUUGAUCAUCGACCAGAGGCUCGUAUACCUCACCCCACAUAUGUUUCCUUUCCAUAGGUCACAUUCUUGGAUUUCUGGUGGAGACCAUUUCUUGGUCAAAAUUCCGUAUGUGUUAGCCUUCGGUAUUAUUGAAAAUGAUCGUUCAUGUCUAUUUUCGUCAAAAAUGGGAGUUUUGUGGCCAUUGAUCAUCGACCAGAGGUUCGUACACCUCACCUCACAUAUGUUUUCUUGGUAUAAGUCAGAUUAUUGGAUUUCUGGUGGAGACCGAUUCUUGGUCAAAAUCCGUAGGUGUUACCCUUCAGUAUUAUUGAAAAUGUUUCCUUGCCAUAAGUCACAUUCUUGGAUUUCUAGUGGAGACCAUUUCUUGAUCAAAAAUUCAUAUGUGUUAGCCUUCGGUAUUACUGAAAAUGGUCGUUCAUGGCCAUUUUCGUCAAAAAUGAGGGUUGUGUGGCCAUUGAUCAUGGACUAGACGCUCGUACACCACACUCCACAUAUGUUUCCUUGUCGUAGGUCACAUUCUUGGAGUUUUGGUGGAGACCUUUUCUUGGUCAAAAAUCCGUAGGUGUUAGCCUUCGGUAUUAUUCAAAAUGGUGGUUCAUGACUAUUUUCGACAAAAAAUGGGGGUUGUCUAGCCAUUGAUUAUUGACCAAAGGCUCGUACACCUCACCCCAUAUAUGUUUUCUUGCCAUAGGUCACAUUCUUGGAUUUCUGGUGGAGACCAUUUCUUGGUCAAAAAUCCAUAGGUGUUAGCCUUUGGUAUUAUUGAAAAUUGACGUUUAUAGCCAUUUUCGCCAAAAAUGGAGGUUGUGUGGCCAUUGAUCAUCGACUAGAGGCUCGUACACCUCACCCCACAUAUGUUUCGUUGCUAUAGGUCACAUUAUUAGAUUUCUGGUGGACACCAAUUCUUGGUCAAAAUCCAUAAGUGUUAGGCUUAAAUAUUUAUGCAAAUGGUCAUUCAUGGCUAUUUUCGACAAAAAUGGGGGUUGUGUGGCCAUUCAUCAUCGACCAGAGACUCGUACAGCUCACCCUGCAUAUGUUUCCAUGUCAUAGGUCACAUUCUUGGAUUUCUGGUGGAGACCAUUUCUUGGUUAAAAAUCCAUAGGUGUUAACCUUCGGUAUUAUUUAAAAAGGUUGUUCAUGGCUAUUUUUGACAAAAAUGGGGGUUGUCUGGUCAUUGAUCAUCGACCAGAGGCUAGUACACCUCGUCCCACAUAUGUUUCCUUGACAUUAGUCACAUUAUUGGAUUUCUGGUGGAGACCAUUUGUUGCUAAACAAAUCUGUAGGUGUUAGCCUUUCGCAUUAUUGAAAAUAGUCAUUCAUGGCUAUUUUCGACAAAAAUGGGGGUUGUUUGGCCAUUGACCAUCGACCAGAGGCUCGUAUACCUCACCCCACUUAUGUUUCCUUGCCAUACGUCACAUUAUUUGAUUUCUGGUGGAACGUUUUUUGGUCAAAAAUCCGUAUGUGUUAGCCUUCGGUAUUAUUGAAAUUGUCGUUCAUGGCUAUUUUCGACAAAAAUGGGGGUUGAAGGCCAUCAUCAUGGACCAGAGGCUUGUACACCUCACUUCAAAUAUGUUUCCUUGCCAUAGGUGACAUUCUUGAAUUUCUGGUGGAGACCAUUUCUUGGCCAAAAAUCUGUAGGUGUUAGCCUUCGAUAUUUUUCAAAAUAGUCGUUCAUGGCUAUUUUCGACAAAAAAUGAGGGUUGUGUGGCCAUUGAUCAUCGACCAAAGGCUUGUGCCUCACCCCACAUAUGAUUCCUUGGCAUAGGUCACAUUAUUGGAUUUCUAGUGGAGAUCAUUUCUUAGUAAAAAAUCCAUAGGUGUUAGGCUUCGGUAUUAUUAAAAAUGGUCGUUUAUGGCUAUUUUCGUCAAAAAUGGGGGUGGUGUAGCCAUUGAUUAUCAGCCUGAGGCUCAUACACCUCACCUCAUAUAUGUUCUAUCGUCAUAGAUCACAUUAAUGGAUUUCUGAUGGAGACCGAUUCUUGGUCAAAAUUCGUAGGUGUUAGCCUUCGAUAUUAUUGAAAAUGGUCGUUCAUGGCUAUUUUUGACAAAAAUUGGGGUUGUGUGGCAAUUCAUCAUGGUACAGAGGCUCGUACACCUCACCUUACAUAUUUUCCUUGUCAUAUGUCAUAUUAUUAGAUUUCUAGUGGAAAUCAUUUGUUGGUCCAAAAUCCGUAGGUGUUAGUCUUUGGCAUUAUUGAAAAUGGUUGUUCAUGGCUAUUUUCGACAAAAAUGAGGGGUUGUUUGGCCAUUGAUCAUCAACAAGAGACUUGUACACCUCACCCCACUUAUGUUUUCUUGUCAUAGGUCACAUUCUUAGAUUUCUAGUGGUGACCAUUUCUUGGUCAAAAAUCCAUAUGUGUUAGCCUUCGGUAUUAUUCAAAAUAGUUCUUCAUGGCUAUUUUCAUCAAAAAUAGGGGUUGUGUGGCCAUCGAUCAUCGACCAAAGGCUCGUACACCUCCGACCACAUGUUUCCAUGUCAUAGGUCAAAUUCUUUGAUUUCUGGUGGAGACCAUUUCUUGGUCAAAAUUCCGUAGGUGUUAGCCUUCGGUAUCAAUGAAAAUAGUCCUUUGUGGCUAUUUACGACAAUAAUGGGGGUUGUGUGGCCAUUUAUCAUCGACCAGAGGCUCGUACACCUCACCCCACAUAUCUUUCCUUGUCAUUUAUCACAUUCUUGGAUUUCUGGAGGAGACCAUUUCUUCAUAAAAAAUUCGUAGGUGUUAGCCUUUAGUAUUAUUGAAAAUGGUCGUUCAUGACUAUUUUCGAUAAAAAUGGGGUUAUGUGGCCAUUGAUAAUCGACCAGAGGCUCAUACAUCUCAACCCACAUAUGUUUCCAUGCCAUAGGUCACAUUCUUUGAUUUCUAGUGGAGACCAUUUCUUGUUCAAAGUGGGGAAAGAGAAUGUUAUGGUGGUGCUGGUUGUGAGGGUGCUGUUGUGGGGGUCGAGAAAGCCUAGGAUUAGAGAUGGGGAGUUGGGGAAGGGAAUUUGAUGAAUGGACAAGGGGACGAAAGGGUGGAUUGGCGCUGCAGAGACAAGGGCGGCGGUGGACGAUGGGGUGGCGACGGUGUGGAAAGUCGUGGGCACAAGGGCAGGGGUGGCAGAUAGAGGUAGUGCCAGGGAUAGGGAGGGCACCAAUAGAAAAGGUUGCCCAUAUCGAGGAGAGGAAGUUCGACCCUCCUCUUGGGCUCAAUUGAUUAUGGGACGUCCGGCUCUGACUUGGACAAGGACAUGCAAAGAGGAAGAGCAACUCGAUUCGAUCCGUCUCCGUUGAGGGAGACGAGAGGAGGAAUCAUAUCAGAUGGUCCAUCGCUAGAACAGCGACUAGCCUGCGUGCUGCCUUGGCUUCCUACUCAUGUUCCUCUAGGCCUUCACCGUCGUCUCUCCGUUGUCCUCUACGCAACUUGGAUUGGAUCCAAUUCUAACUGCAUUUAGACCUUGUUUGUUUUAGCAUUUUCUGCUUGUAGCCACCAGAAGAUGUUGCGGACUAUCAAACACCUAGCUUUUCAGUUCGCUUUUGUGAGAAUUGCUUUGGUAAAAAUCAUUCAAAAUCAACGCGAACAUAGAAUCGGACAAGUUGUCGUGAUAAUAGAAAUCUGUCACUUUCUAGAUCCUAAACCCCAUGGACCCUUUCAUCUUCUUUUUCACCCUUUCAUCUUCUUUUUCACAUAAUCCCCACAAUACUUAGGGUGUGUUUGGUUUGACUUUUGGCUUUGGCUUUUGCCCCCCUAAAAGCCAAAAGCCAACCAAAGGGCUGGAUCCAGGAAGCAGCUUUUUUCUAAAAACCGACUUUCUCGUAGUGCAAAUCUGAAAGCACCUCUGGACCUUUCGGAUGGAACUGUGAAACAUAUAUCGAAGAAUUUUUAACGAAUUUUAGUGGUUUCCACUAAACGGUUUUUAGCAUUUUAACAGCUUACAGCCUACAACAUCUUUUUUCACAGCUCACAGCCCACAGUAACUUUUUUCACAGCCACAGUCCAACCAAACAGACCCUCAGAUUCUCCUCACAGCUGGAUUCUUCCCACAAAUCUUAGAAAAGCUCAUUAAAAAAAGCUAAAAUAAACAGACCUUUAGUAAGUUGAUCUUCCAUUGCACUAUACCCGGUUGAUAUUUGUGAUUUUGGUUGCAUGAAAAUUGUUUGUUGAGCCUGGGGCUGAUAUAUGCGCUGCAGGUAAGGUUCUGUGUAUUUUUCUUCCCCGGAAGAGUAUCAGCUGCUGAACUUUGUUAAAUAUAGUUUUAUUAAAUAUAAAUAGUUUUAUUAUGGGUCAGAAGCUGAACUCCUGUGUUGUCUGGCUGCCUUAAACCCGACUCAGAGAUUUUUUUUUUUGAACCCAGGUCUCAAAUUGAACUGCCAGCUAAACCAGGGUCUGUUCGCACGUAGUUUAUAAUUAACUACUAGAUAGCUGAUUAGGGCAAUUAAUAUGAUGUCUUCAAGGAAGGAAGUCGUCAUUAGUUCCAACGCUGAAAAGCCUCAAAACUGGCCGGGGAAAAGAAAAUCCCUGGCAUGUUCCUGCAACCAUGCAGGCAGGUUGUUGCUGUAGAUACGGUGCAUACAUCAGAGGAAUUUGAUCGGCUCUGCCUGCAGUGCCUUCUUCACUAGCUCUGACUGCUCCUGCGCAUGAACCGACAGGAAGCCUGUUGCUGUAGCAGCUGAAGGUGCUCUGCCAACAUACUUGAUGUCUUCAAACGAACCCCGCCCAAGAGCCUUCAUCGCAGUAAACAGACGAGGAGAGAUAUAGCUGUAUGCACCCAUGUUCAUGGGCUCCUCCUGGCACCACACAAUCUCCGCAUCUAACAUCAUUCAAACAUCAGAGUCACAUCUUUGAUAUCGUAAAUAUUAACAAGCAAGCAAUAACACGUACUUGGGUAUCUCUUCAGCUCUCUUUGGAUAAGGUCAUAGGGGAACGGGCAAAGUUGCUCAACUCUGCAAAUUGCAACAUCGCCACGCUCCGACUUCUUACGCUCUUCGUCAAGUUCAUAGUAAACCUGCACAAUGCAACAAAUUUGUUCAUAUUGUCCCCCCAACCACUAAUCUGGUUAGGUAACACUUACUUUCCCAGAACAUAAGAUAAGACGGUUGACACCCUCCUCGACUUGCUUGUGAUCAUUACGGUCCUUUAUCAGUCGCUUGAAACGUGUUCCCUGCUUAUCGAAUCCUAGAUGGCCUUCAACAUCAUCAAACUCUGAAAGAUUUGACUUGCAAUCCUUGUGCCUAAGCAGGUUCUUAGGAGCUGUUACAAUCAGCGGCUUCCGGAACUCCCUAUGUAUCUACAGCCCCACCACAACAGUAUGCAGCUAAUGAACAAACUGCAAACCAAGUGCUAGAAUCUGGAAAAAACAUACUGCACGACAAGAUAAGCUGACCUGCCGACGCAACAGAUGAAAAUAAUUUGCAGGAGUUGUCACAUUCACAACUUGCCAGUUACACUCUUGUAUCUGCUUGCGAAGUGUUGGUUCCAUCUCAGGUAUGACAAAAGGAUUAUCAUCACUCAUCUGGUGCAAAAACAAUUAUUAUAACAGUCUCAAGUAAGCAAUUAGACUCAAGUUCCAAUCUCCAGGCAAGCAGAUGAUUUGAAUCAUCGCCAAAAGGAAAUGAAUUUACUGUACACUUGCAUGACAUUACUAUUGAUUGCCACACACACAAAAACAAUUGUGUGGAUGCAUUAAAACUGCAUCAUUUCUUAUCAAAAUGAUUUCAAGGGAAAGACAAACAUCAUUUAUAAUACCAGACCCUGCAUCAUUUCUUAUCAAAAUGGUUUCAAGGGAAAGACAAACAUCAUUUAUAAUACCAUAGACCCGCACGGCAUAACUUUGCCAAACAUGAUUUGUAUGGAUGCACAAAAAUUACAUGGUUUCUGUCAAAACAGUUGGAUAAAAAACUAACUGUAAUUUAUAGAACAAGGAUGCAAAAAAGGGCCUGUUCACCACUGAUGUGAUGGCUGAACAACACCAAUAACGGAAACAUGGCACCCGUGAAUUACCUGAAGGAAGCGCUCCAAGCGGGCACUAGAAUGCUCAGGACCUUGGCCAUCAUAACCAUGAGGCAACAGAACAACAAGGCCGGUUUGCCGCAACCAUUUUGCCUCGCCGCUGCUCAAAAAUUGGUCGAACAUCACUUGUGCACCAUUGGCAAAAUCGCCAAAUUGUGCUUCCCAAAGUACCAAUGAAUUAGGGUUCUCCAUGGAGUAACCCAAUUCAAACCCAAGAACAGCAAACUCUGAAAGUGAACUGCGAAAGGAGUAAUACAUAACAUAAGCCCCCCCCCAAAAAAACGUCUCAAUGUGAAAUGACAGAGAAGGGAUUUGGUAGAUCCAUAAGCAAACUUACCUGUUGCUAACAGUAAAUAGCUCCUCAUUUUGAUCCAUUGCAACAUGGUCAAGUGGACAGUACUUUGCUCCAGUUUCCUGAUCAUGCAGAACUGCAUGCCGAUGGCUGAAAGUUCCUCUUUCCACAUCCUGUCCACUUAGCCUAACAUGAUUGCCUUCCACUAUAAGUGUUGCAAAGGCCAGGGCUUCAGCAACAGCCCAAUCAAUUCCUUGACCACUCUCUAUCAUAGCUGCACGCAGCUCAAAAAUCUUCUUCACUGCUCUGUGUGGUUUGAAGUUUUCAGGCAGUGUAGUAAUUGCCUGACCUACACGUUUCAGUAUUUCAGGCUUCACCCUGCAUAAAUGGCAUUUCAACAUCCAAUAGUUGAUUAGGAGACGCUAAAGUGAAAUCAACAAAGACAGUGUUCUUACCCAGUGUUGCGAACACGUGAUAUUUGCUCUGGUGACUUAAAGCCAGUCCAGUAAGCUGAGAGCCAAUCCCUCUUGUUGGGAACGUAGUCUUUGCUCUUAGCAAACUCUUCGUUCAAGAUUCGGUUCACCUUGUCAUGGAUCCUCUGGACAUCUUCUUUCAUGACUUCACCCGUUCCUAGCAGUUUCUGCUCAUAAAGCUUCAAUGAGCUGGGAUGGUUCUUAAUGACCUGUCACAGAUAAUGCUCAUCGGUCAUCAGGGUUCAGCAACGCGCUAAACACAUUGAGAAUGGAGGGGGGAGAUAGAGAGAACAAAAUAUGUUUUUAUUUCUUUUGUUAGUUCUAAAACAACCAACUUAAUUAGCUUUCCUCCAAGAAACAACAAAACAGAACAGCAUAAGAAAUUGGACAAUGAGUUAGCAGAAAUAUAUGCACAAGCGCAGCCAGCUUAUAAAAAACAAGAAUGAAUUAAGAGCUGCAAAUGUGUCAAGUACCAACUUAUGAGAAAAUGUAAAAAUAACAUACAAAAACAAUAUGAACCAGUAGUGAUAGGGUUACCUGAUACAUUUUUGGCUGUGUGAAGGAAGGUUCAUCAAUUUCGUUAUGCCCGAAACGGCGGUAGCAAAUCAGAUCAACCACCACAUCGGAGUGGAAAGUCUGGCGCCACUCCGCUGCAAGCUCACAAACACAAACAACAGCCUCUAAAUCGUCGCCAUUUACAUGGAAUAUAGGAGCAUUCAGGGCUUUGGCAACAUCUGUGCAGUACUGGGAGGACCUGCCAGCUCUUGGAUCAGUCGUAAAGGCAACUUGGUUAUUGACAACAAUAUGAAUGGUUCCACCAGUAGUGUAGUUUGGGAGGGCACUUAGAUGGAGUGUCUCAUAGACCACACCCUGGCCAGCAAAGCUGCCAUCUCCGUGGAUCAGAAUACCCAUGUUCUUUGUCCUGUCAGCAUCAUUGGAGUAGAACUGCUUAGCACGCGUCUUGCCAAUGACAACAGGAUCAACGGCUUCCAGAUGGCUGGGAUUGGCAACCAAGGACAAAUGGAUCCUGUUGCCGCCUCGAGUUGGGCGAUCAUAGGAGGUACCCAGGUGGUACUUGACAUCACCAGUUCCGGUGUAGAGACCAUCUUCGCCUUCAACAGGCCUUGUGCCGCCAGUGAACUCGCUGAAUAUCUGAGACAGUGGCUUGCGAACGACAUUACCAAGGACAUUGAGCCUUCCCCUAUGCGGCAUACCGAUGACAAUGUUCUCAACACCGAGGUCAGCAGCCCUAUCGAACAUCUCCUUCAUGCCAGGGAUGAGCGUCUCACCACCCUCAAGGCCAAACCUCUUGGCGGUGGCCCACUUGGUGGCUAGGAAAUUCUCAAACUGGGUGCUCCAGAUAAGCCUGUCAAGCAUGACAAGGCGGCGGUCCUUGUUAUAUUCCUUGGGCUUGGCAGUCUCGAUCUUUUCCCUGAGCCAGUUGCACUUGUCUCUAUCAGGGAUGUGCAUGUACUCGUAGCCGAUGGGUCCACAGUAUGCCUGCUGGAGCUUGUUGAGGAUCUCACGGAGUGUGAGCACGGGGCGGUUCUCGGAGAGAAAACCGGACAUCCUCCAGACGCCGAGGAAGAACUCCCUAUCGAGGUCGGCCUCUGUGAAGCCGUAGAGGCCGAGGCGGAGAUCUUCGGGGACGGCUCUGUCGUCGAGGCCCAGGGGGUCGAGCUUGGCCAUCAUGUGGCCGUUGACUUGGUAGGCCCUGACGAGGAGGAGGAGCUGCAUGCUCUCCUGGAUGGUCUGGCCGGAGACGCCGGCGGAAGGAGAGGCCUGGGCGACGAAGUUGCGGAAGAAGUUGUCCCAUGACUCGUCGACGGAGGAAGGGUCAGCCUCCCAGGUCCGCUGGAGCUCCUCGAGGUAGACGCUGCUGGUACCGUCGAGGAAGCUGUCAGAGAGGCGCGAGAGCGGGACGGCCCGGGGCACGGGGGCGGCGGAGCGGGGACGCAUAGCGGUGGAGUGGAAGCAGCGGCCGCAUCGGGUGGCGGCGGCUGGCGGCGUGCGGGUGGCGAGGCUGCGGCGGAGGGCGAGGCGGGCGGCACCCGAUGCGGCGCGGAACCACGUCAUCCCUCUCCUUCUUUCCUUUCCUUGAGGGGACUAACGGCGAAAGUCGAGGACGACACCGGGUAGAUCCGGCGUGGGACCGGUCGGAGCUCGAACUGCAGCGGCGGGGAUGGCGACUUAUGUUAGUGGAGGAGGGACCGGAUCCGCGGCAAACCCUAGUUAGUAGACAAAAACUGAAUGGAAUACGACUUUUCAUUCCAUCGGUUUUUGGUUUGGUUUUGUUUGGUGAGAAAGAAGGAAAGAAAAAGUAAGAUGGGAAUGCAAUGGACGGUCGGUCGCCUUCUCUUUCCAUUUGGGUUUAUUUAUUUUUAUGGAAAAACUACUCUUUGUUCUGACUUUUUAUCCACAUUUGAUAGGGAUGGGCCACAUUAAAAUAAUUAUCGUUGACGGAGCAGAAUACAUGGCUUCGAUGUGACUUUAAUCCAACUAUGGCUACAGCUUGGAUAGUAUUUUAUCUCUAUAGAUUCAACUAUUUUGGCGAGUCGAACGCACUUCUAGCUUUCACAUACCAUUAUGUUACAAGGCUCAAAAGAUGGUAAUACCACAUCUUAGUGAUGGCAAUGGGUACCCGCGACCCGAUACCCGAUGGAUAUUUACUCUAUUAGGUAUAUAUAUGGGCUAAAUAUUCUACUCGUGGGUCUGUUAUUGGACAAAAUCUUCACCCAAUGGGUAAACGGGUAUUAAAAUGUUCCACCUUCACCCAUACUCGUUAACCCGAUGGGUAUUUACUCUAUUAGGGUAUGUAUGUGGGCUAAAUAUUCUACAUGUGGGUCUGUUAUUGGGCAAAAAUCUUCACCCAAUGGGUAAACGAGUAUUAAAAUGUUCCACCUUCACACGUACCCGUUAACCUGUGGAUAUAAAAUACCCAAUAUAAACUUAGCCCAAGCAUGAACUUGGACUUUAGUCAUCUAUCUUUUUUACUAUUUAACAACAUUUUAGGUCAUAAUGUCAUAAAAGACUCAACGACAAUUUAAUGACCAUGUAAUGGAAAAUAUAGUGUGCUAUGUAGUACUGUCCUAAUGUUACUACUUUAUCCAAUUAUCUUUGGUGUGUUGAAUGGACAGUUAAAUAAUGCUAGAAAUUUUGUAAUGGUAUUUAGAUGGAUAUACUUGACAUUUGUAUAAUAUAAUAUUUUGAUAGAUGUUUAAUUUUUGUGGUUACCGGUGACCAUAUGGGUGACCCCUACCCACAUGGGUAUGAGUAUGGGGGUAAAUACAUACCCACCAGUGUAUAUGGGUGACCCGAUAAGGUUAUUUUUUGUCGUGGGUAUGGGUAUGGGAUAGUAAUACCCGGUGGGUAUUUACCCAUUGCCAUCUCUACCACAUCUUGAUAGAUUUUGAACACCAACUUAUUUCGACGAUCAUCAUUGGUUGUGAAACUCCGCUUUCAUGAUCUUAACCUUGUAUAUGUAUUAGUCAGAUAACCGUGCAUUGUUAUAGUUUCUAUAUAUCAUAUGGAUAUGCUUUUUUAAAUAAAACAUAAAAAUAUGUAUGUUUUGUUAGUUAGGUAGACGUUAAAUAUGAAAUCAAUAAUCAAGGUUCGACCUCAGUUAUGAAUAAUUUUACCUUGAUUUGGACGCACUUGUUUGCUCCUAGGGUGGUGGUCCAGAAGAAGGACGUUGUUGGCCAUCUUUGGGAUAUAGUUGUUAAGAAAACCCUUCCAUAUAUCUGAAAUCCUAGCUUUUAUCUAUAAAUGAGAGGAUGUCCUCAACAGAGAAGCUACCCGUAGAGAUAAAGAAACACCUUCAUCUAUACUCUCUUGUUUCCUUGUGUAUUCUGUUCUCAUAUUCUAAUUAAGAGGUCUUAACUACAACAGUAUCAAGCACGUAGCUCUAUCCGAGAAGAUCAAGCAAAUGUAUUGUAUCGGUUCUCUUGCAUGAACUUGUAUGUGCUUAUUUUAUGUAUUACUUUUUUAUGAGUUUUUACUCUUCUUAAGAAAGAACACAUUGAUAAAGAAAUAAAACAUCCCUUAUGCCUUGUUCGUUUGUAUCAGAUUGCACCUGGAAUCGUUCCAGCUAAUCAAAGUUUAUAUAAAUUAGAGAAGCAAUCCGGUUAGGAAUCGUUCCGACCCACCAAUCCGGCACAAACGAACAAGACCUUAGCUGAUCUAACCACCAACAUGAAACCAGGUGGGAUAAACACGUGACUCUCGUUGACUUGAAAUCACCGGUACUACACACCAGCACGCGUUAAAACUUGAAAUACACGGUUUAUUAAGCACAUGAAGAUUAAAAACGCACGGUAGGGACUAGCAGCCAACUAUAACUCACCAUGUUCGUUUGAAAAAACUCGAAAAAUUAAGGAUAAAAAUGAUUUCUAGUGCGGUUCUUUAAGAAAACCGCUACUAGAAAUCGAUUUUUAGUGGUGGUUGUGGGGGAUAGAUAUCCCCCGAGUCCUCAUGGGCACUAAAACAUAUCAUGGGCCGCCUGAUAGGCUUUCUAUCGAGUCAUCCUACGAGAUGGAUUUGUAGGAUAGGGCCAACCCAGAUAGCCCGACCCAAGUUAACGGGGACCAACGUCCGAGUUAAGCGCCGUCAAAGACCGGAUGUAUCGGACGAGGCAGUUGCAAACACCCGAAGGGUUUGGAAUUCGGCGAUAACUUGGGUGGUUAGGCGAUGAAGGCUCCGGAUAUGCAGGGACACGAUCUGCGGUAAGAAGGAGAUAAGCAAGUAGAUAGUAAUCCUGACUUGUAAUGGGAUAACUCUCUCUGUUCGUGUAUAUAUGGCCGAGUGUGUCGGGUAUGAUAAUUAGGGGUGCCCAGACUACAUCCCUGAAAAACGCUUAAAACCCUAAGGACACCAUCAAGGUACAUCCCCGAAGCCAAGGAAUCAAGAACUCUGCCUCGCCUGAGGCCCCCCUUAGGGGUCUUCCUAGAACUCCGCCUCGCCUAAGCCCGGUCUCGGACAGGGCGUGAGCUCGAGCACGUCUUCGUCCCGUCCGAGGCUCCCCCUCCCCUAGGAAGCCAUGUCCGCCUCACCGGAGUCCGUCUCGGGCAAGAGGGGUAGGACUUGUGGCAAGGCUCGCCCAAAGGCCGCUAGGGGACAACCGCAUUCAAUGCGCGUACCUACCCCACGUAGGGUUACAGGCGUACAGUGACGAUGAGACUGUGGUCUUGUCAAAGAUUCACCACCAUGAUUACGCAAGCGCACGCCGCCGGACAACCCCUGACGGUACAUGUAAUACGACAGGAGCACGGAUCGUCCUUCGGGCGCGAACUCCGUCUCGCCCAACAUAGAGCUCGCCCUCGAGACAAACUCCGCCUCACCCGAGCCGGGCCUCGGCUACCUGCUCCCCCGCGAAUCCUACGAAAGGUCAUUCCUUCAAACUGUGGCGCUUGUCAUCGAAUCUCAGGUCAGGCUCGGUCGCGACCUCGGUCGGACAUCCGCCUUGCCCGAGCCUGGUUCUAACCUCGAUAUCUGUUAUGGAGGGCAUCCCCAACGUCAUUAGAUACAGUGGAGCUGACGCAUCCCCUGAGAAGCUUUUUCCCAUACUAAACACUGUGGCAACCACUAUGGUAUGGGCAACUCUUCGCCAGGGGGGCUCGGGUACAUGACCGAGCCCUUGGCCUCGGCUUCGGCUCUCAGCGGGAAACAAGCAGGCACAAGUCAACAACACAAUACAAGACAAUAUCGUCUACAGGAUUCAAAAGACACUCCCUCAUAGUAUGCAGCCGACUCCCAUCCUCCAGGAAGCACCCCUUGAGCCUAUAAAUAGGAUAAUCUACGUCUUCUCAAGGGCAGGUGAAUACUUCACAAGUCUUCUCCUCCAAUCGGUAUUGGCACUUGCCUCAAUCAUCCCCUGGGACAUGGGACACUUCCCUCUCCCGCUCUGCUUAUAAACUCUACUACAAGCACUUAGGUGCGAGUAAUAUAAGUCUCAUCCCCCUCUACCGGAAUUAGGGCCUCUCCUAGCCCGAACCUGGAUAAACGACUUGUGCCAACUCACAUCACCAUCUGGGUCUGGGGUACACGACACUAUUUUACUAGUUGGUUCGGUCCAUGGAUCCAAAACAUCGAUAGUUGGCGCGCUUGGUAGGGGCUAGUCACGUGUUAAACACUCAGAUCCCAUCAAGACUCCAGAUGGCUGGCUUUCAUCAUCCCCUGAGGUUCGGCACCAUGAUCAGGUUCGGAAGCCUGGAGUUCAUGUCGCUCGGGAUCGAGUACGACAUGGUGCUCCUCCCACCUGGUCCCCUAGUUGACACUCGGGAACGUACAGGCGUCCGUCCCUGUCCUUCGCGUCGCAGGAGGCAGAGACGGAGCAACCGCAAACGUGCCACCCGUAGCACUCCUGUGCCCUGAUGAGGCUCUCGGGCCAGCUGAUGUCGCAGACUCCCUUGCGAGGGACCUGGCCAACGUCAAUGUCACACCUGGGGCAUCACCGGCGACAUGCACAUCCUCAACAUCAAGUCGUCUGGCACCUCCUCCUAUGGCGUGGGAAGUCCCGGCUCCCAACGCCAUAGGGUAGGUCGUGUCAGCCAUAUCGGAUAUCCCACCUCCGGGUUGGGAAGAGCCAGUCACCACUUGGUAGGACAUAACAAGGGCAGAGAAAGAAUCGUCGGUGUUCAACCCCAUCCCUUUUCAGCCAAGCUUCAACACUAGCUCCCUCACUAGCUUGUACACUGGCCUACCCUUCCCCUCGGGAUUGAAAGGGAAAUGUGCCCUUGGGCCAUUUCUAAGUGUUUUGGUGAUUUAGUGUCCAACACAAGUGCCUAAGUGUCAAAUGGUGGACAAAGUACAAAUCAAGUAUAAAGGUAUGUUUCUCAGACUUAGUACAUUGUUUUAGAGACUAAUGUAUUGUGUCUAAGUGCUGGAAACAGGAGAAAUCAAAUUGGAGAGAGAUAACUUUGUUUCAGCCAAAGCCAGCUCUGUCUGGGUGCACCGGACUGUCCGGUGGUGCACCGGACAGUGUCCGGUGCGCCAGGCUAACUCAGGCGAACUUGCUGCUCUCGGGAAGGAAUUAACGGCGUACGGCUAUAAUUAACCGGACUGUCCGGUGUGCACCGGACUGUCCGGUGAGCCAACGGUCGGCCGGGCCAACGGUCGGCUGCGCGAUCCACGCGAGACACGUGGCCGAGCCAACGGUCGGGAGGGGGCACCGGACUGUCCGGUGUGCACCGAACAGUGUCCGGUGCGCCAACGGCUCCCAGGCGCCAACAGUCGGCUUCGCCAGAGAAGGAAAGAAAUCCGCACCGGACAGUGUCCGGUGGUGCACCAGACUGUCCGGUGCGCCAGGCGACAGAAGGCAAGGAUUGCCUUCCUGGAAUGCACUCAACGGCUCCUAGCUGCCUUGGGGCUAUAAAAGGGACCCCUAGGCGCAUAGACGAGUACACCAAGCAUUCUCUAAGCAUUCCUAAGCAUUAAGACAUCGAUUCUGCGCUUUUGAUUCCUUGCAAUAGCAAUUAGAGCUCUAGUUGAGUUGUGAACUCAUUGAGUUGUGUUGUGAGCUCUUGUUGCGACUUGUGUGCGUGGUGUUGCUGUGAUUUCUUGUCUUGAGUGUGUUGCUUAUCCCUGCCUUACUCCGUGCUUCUUUGUGAUCAUCAAAGUGUAAGGGCGAGAGGCUCCAAAGUGUGGAGAUUCCUCGCAAACGGGAUAUAGUAAAGCAAGCAAAACACCGUGGUAUUCAAGUGGGUCUUUGGACCGCUUGAGAGGGGUUGAUUGCAACCCUCGUCCGUUGGGACGCCACAACGUGGAGUAGGCAAGCGUUGGUCUUGGCCGAACCACGGGAUAAACCACUGUGCCAUCUCUGUGAUUGAUCUCUUGUGGUUAUUGUGUUUUGUUGAGACUCCUCUCUAGCCACUUGGCAUUAUUGUGCUAACGCCUAAUCAAGUUUUUGUGGAUUAAGUUUCAAGUUUCACAGAAUCACCUAUUCACCCCCCCCCCUCUAGGUGCUCUCAAUUGGUAUCAGAGUCGUUCUCUUCAAGUAAGGGACUAAUCGCCCGAAGAGAUGGAUCCUAAGGGCAAGGGGAUCGUGAUCAAUGAUAAGGAGAAGGAGUCCUUCGUCAACGAGCCUAAUGAUGACAAGCCUACCGACUCGGGCUCGGGCCACAAACGCAAAGAUGGGAAGAAGAAGAAGACAAGGCGCAUCAAGGAGAUUGUCUAGUACGACGACAGCGAUGAGUCCACUUCUUCCCAAAAGGACAACGACCACAACGACUACGACAAAAGAAUGACGGUUAAUUCGAACUUUUCUUUCGAUUACUCUCGUAUUCCGCAUAGCUCAAAUGCACAUUUGCUUUCCAUCCCUCUUGGCAAACCUCCACACUUUGAAGGGGAGGACUAUGGAUUUUGGAGUCACAAAAUGCGUAGUCACCUGUUCUCUCUCCAUCCAAGUAUAUGGGAGAUUGUUGAGAAUGGAAUGAAAUUUGAUAGCUCGGAUAGUCCUGUAUUUAUUAAUGAACAUAUUCAUAAAAAUGCACAAGCUACUACUGUGUUGUUAGCCUCUUUGUGCAGGGACGAGUAUCAUAAGGUGAGCGGCUUGGACAAUGCCAAGCAGAUCUGGGACACCCUCAAGAUCUCUCAUGAGGGGAACGACGUCACCUUGCUCACCAAGAUGGAGUUAGUAGAGGGCGAGCUCGGGAGAUUUGCAAUGAUAAGGGGCGAGGAGCCAACCCAAACAUACAACCGGCUCAAGACCCUCAUCAACAAAAUAAGGAGCUACGGAAGCACGCGAUGGACGGACCACGACGUCGUUCGCCUAAUGCUAAGGUCCUUUACUGUACUUGAUCCACAUCUGGUGAACAAUAUUCGUGAAAAUCCUAGGUACACCAAGAUGUCGCCCGAAGAAGUUCUUGGGAAGUUCGUGAGCGGGCGAAUGAUGAUCAAGGAGGCGAGAUACGUGGACGACGCAUUGAAUGGUCCAAUCAAUGAGCCUCAACCCUUUGCUCUCAAGGCAACAAGAAGCAAGGAGGCGCUACCUAGCAAGGUGGCACAAGUUGAGGCGGCAGGGCUAAAUGAUGAAGAGAUGGCUCUCAUCAUCAAGCGCUUCAAGACGACGCUAAAGGGUCACAAGGGGCAGCCAAGCAAGACCAAGGCAAAGGGGAAGCGCUCAUGCUUCAAGUGUGGUAAGAUUGAUCAUUUUAUCGCUAACUGCCCCGAUAAUGAUAGUGACAAGGAACAGGGGAACAAGAGGGAGAAGAAGAAGGCAUACAAAAAGGCUAAGGGCGAGGCACACCUUGGCAAGGAGUGGGACUCGGAUUGUUCGUCAUCCGACUCCGACAAUGAAGGACUCGCCGCCACCGCCUUCGACAAAUCAUCCCUCUUCCCCAACGAGCGCCACACAUGCCUCAUGGCGAAGGAGAAGAAGGUAUGUACUCGAAACAAUGCCACUUACGAUUCUUCUAGUGAUGAUGAGUCCAGUGAUGAAGAAAUAGAUUACUGUAGUUUGUUCAAGGGAUUGGAUAGAACUAAAAUAGAUAAGAUUAAUGAAUUGAUUGAUGCCUUGAAUGAAAAGGAUAGACUUUUAGAGAAACAAGAGGACCUUUUAUAUAAAGAGCAUGACAAAUUUGUAGAGGCACAAAAAUCUCAUGCUUUAGAAGUUAAAAGAAAUGAAAUGCUUUCUUGUGAAUUAUCUUCUUGCCAUGAGACAGUUUCUAGCUUAAAGAGCAUAAAUGAUGAUUUGAAUGCUAAGUUAGAGAUAGCUAGUAAAUCUAACUCUUGUGUAGAACAUGUUAUGAUUUGCAAUAGGUGUAAAGAUUUUGACAUUGAUGCUUGUAGUGAACACCUAGUUUCAAUUUCCAAAUUGAAUGAUGAAUUGGCUAGUCUUAAUGCCCAACUUAAGACUAGCAAAAAUGAAUUUGACAAGCUAAAAUUUGCAAGGGAUGCCUACACGAUUGGUAGACACCCCUCAAUUAAGGAUGGACUUGGCUUCAAGAGGGAAGCCAAGGACUUAACAAGCCAUAAGGUUCCCAUCUCCAUCAAGGAGAAAGGGAAGGCCCCUAUGGCAAAUAGUGUGCAAAAGAACCAUGCUUUCUUAUACAAUGAUAGGAAAUAUUCUAGGAAUGUUCAUUGCAAUAAAGUUGUUUCAUAUGCUAUGACUGCUUCUAGUUCCCAUGUUGUGCAUGGUAGAGAUAUGCCUAGGAAAAAUAUUCAUCAUGUGCCUAGAAAGAAUAUUGUUCAUGUUCCUAGGAAAGUAAUGAAUGAACCUUCUACAAUAUAUCAUGCUUUAAAUGCUUCCUUUGCUAUUUGUAGAAAAGAUAGGAAGAUAGUAGCUAGAAAAUUAGGGGCAAAAUGCAAGGGAGACAAAACUUGCAUUUGGGUCCCUAAGGAUAUUUGUACUAACCUUGUAGGACCCAACAUGAGUUGGGUACCUAAGACCCAAGCCUAAAUUUGCCUUGCAGGUUUAUGCAUCCGGGGGCUCUAGCUGGAUUAUCGACAGCGGAUGCACAAACCAUAUGACGGGGGAGAAGAAGAUGUUCACCUCCUACGUCAAAAACAAGGAUUCCCAAGAUUCAAUAAUAUUCGGUGAUGGGAAUCAAGGCAAGGUAAAAGGGUUAGGCAAAAUUGCUAUUUCAUCCAAGCACUCUAUAUCUAAUGUGUUUUUAGUUGAGUCUCUUGGAUAUAAUUUGUUAUCUGUUAGUCAAUUAUGCAAAAUGGGAUAUAAUUGUCUAUUCACAAAUGUAGAUGUGUCUGUCUUUAGAAGAAGUGAUGGUUCAUUAGCUUUUAAGGGUGUAUUAGACGGCAAACUUUAUUUAGUUGAUUUCGCAAAAGAGGAGGCCGGUCUAGAUGCAUGCUUAAUUGCUAAGACUAGCAUGAGCUGGCUGUGGCAUCGCCGCUUAGCACAUGUGGGGAUGAAGAACCUUCACAAACUUCUAAAGGGAGAACACGUGAUAGGUCUAACCAAUGUUACUUUCGAAAAAGACAGACCUUGUGCAGCUUGUCAAGCAGGUAAACAAGUGGGAGGAGCGCAUCUCAACAAGAAUGUGAUGACCACAUCAAGACCUCUAGAGCUGCUACAUAUGGACCUCUUCGGACCCGUCGCCUAUCUAAGCAUAGGAGGAAGUAAGUAUGGACUAGUUAUUGUUGAUGACUUUUCCCGCUUCACUUGGGUGUUCUUUUUACAGGAUAAGUCUGAAACCCAAGGGACCCUCAAGCGCUUCCUAAGGAGAGCUCAAAAUGAGUUUGAGCUCAAGGUGAAGAAGAUAAGGAGUGACAAUGGGUCCGAAAUCAAGAACUUUCAAGUGGAGGAGUAUCUUGAGGAGGAAGGAAUCAAGCACGAGUUCUCUGCUCCCUACACACCACAGCAAAAUGGUGUGGUGGAGAGGAAGAACAGGACGCUUAUAGACACGGCGAGGACGAUGCUUGGAGAGUUCAAGACCCCCGAGUGCUUUUGGUCGGAAGUCGUGAACACGGCUUGCCACGCCAUCAACAGGGUCUACCUUCAUCGCCUCCUCAAGAAGACGUCGUAUGAGCUACUAACCGGUAACAAACCCAAUGUUUUGUAUUUUCGAGUUUUUGGGAGUAAAUGCUACAUUCUAGUGAAGAAGGGUAGGAAUUCCAAAUUUGCUCCCAAAGCCGUAGAAAGGUUUUUGUUAGGUUAUGACUCAAAUACUAAGGCGUAUAGAGUCUUCAACAAAUCAUCGGGUUUGGUUGAAGUCUCUAGCGACGUUGUAUUUGAUGAGACUAAUGGCUCUCCAAGAGAGCAAGUUGUUGAUUUUGAUGAAGAAGAAGUUCCAACGGCCGCAAUACGCACCAUGGCGAUUGGAGAUGUGCGGCCACAGGAACAAGAUGAACGAGAUCAACCUUCUUCCUCAACAAUGGUGCAUCCCCCAAUUCAAGAUGAUGAACAGGAGGCGUGUGAUCAAGGGGGAGCACAAGAUGAUCAUGUAAUGGAGGAAGAAGCGCAACCGGCACCUCCAACCCAAGUUCGAGCGAUGAUUCAAAGGGAUCAUCCCGUCGACCAAAUUUUGGGUGAUAUUAGCAAGGGAGUAACUACUCGAUCUCGAUUAGUUAAUUUUUGUGAGCAUUACUCUUUUGUCUCUUCUAUUGAGCCUUUCAGGGUAGAAGAGGCCCUGCUAGAUCCGGACUGGGUGUUGGCCAUGCAGGAGGAGCUCAACAACUUCAAGAGAAAUGAAGUUUGGACACUUGUGCCUCGUCCCAAGCAAAAUGUUGUGGGAACCAAGUGGGUCUUCCGCAACAAACAAGACGAGCACGGGGUGGUGACAAGGAACAAGGCACGACUUGUGGCAAAAGGGUAUGCCCAAGUCGCAGGUUUGGACUUUGAGGAGACUUUUGCUCCUGUGGCUAGGCUAGAGUCCAUUCGUAUUUUGCUAGCAUAUGCCGCUCACCAUUCUUUCAGGUUGUUCCAAAUGGAUGUGAAGAGCGCUUUCCUCAACGGGCCAAUCAAGGAGGAGGUGUACGUGGAGCAACCCCUGGCUUCGAGGAUGAAUGGUACCCCGACCACGUGUGUAAGCUCUCUAAGGCGCUCUAUGGACUUAAGCAAGCCCCAAGAGCAUGGUAUGAAUGCCUUAGAGACUUUUUAAUUGCUAAUGCUUUCAAGGUUGGGAAAGCCGAUCCAACUCUUUUUACUAGGACUUGUGAUGGUGAUCUUUUUGUGUGCCAAAUUUAUGUCGAUGACAUAAUAUUUGGUUCUACUAACCAAAAGUCUUGUGAAGAGUUUAGCAGGGUGAUGACUCAGAAAUUCGAGAUGUCGAUGAUGGGCGAGUUAAGCUACUUCCUUGGGUUCCAAGUGAAGCAACUCAAGGAUGGAACCUUCAUCUCUCAAACCAAGUACACGCAAGACUUGAUCAAGCGGUUUGGGAUGAAGGACGCCAAGCCCGCAAAGACUCCAAUGGGAACCGACGGACACACCGACCUCAACAAAGGAGGUAAGUCCAUUGAUCAAAAGGCAUACCGGUCUAUGAUAGGGUCUUUACUUUAUUUAUGUGCUAGUAGACCGGAUAUUAUGCUUAGUGUAUCCAUGUGUGCUAGAUUUCAAUCCGAUCCUAAGGAGUGUACUUAGUGGCUGUGAAGCGAAUUCUUAGAUAUUUAGUCGCUACGCCUUGUUUCGGGAUCUGGUAUCCAAAGGGGUCUACUUUUGACUUGAUUGGAUAUUCAGACUCCGACUAUGCUGGAUGUAAGGUCGAUAGGAAGAGUACAUCGGGGACGUGCCAAUUCUUAGGAAGGUCCCUGGUGUCGUGGAGUUCUAAGAAACAAACAUCCGUUGCCCUAUCCACCGCUGAGGCCGAGUACGUUGCCGCAGGACAGUGUUGCGCACAACUACUUUGGAUGAGGCAAACCCUCAGGGACUUUGGCUACAAUUUGAGCAAAGUCCCACUCCUAUGUGAUAAUGAGAGUGCUAUCCGCAUGGCGGAUAAUCCUGUUGAACACAGCCGCACAAAGCACAUAGACAUCCGGCAUCACUUUUUGAGAGACUACCAGCAAAAGGGAGAUAUCGAAGUGUUUCAUGUUAGCUCCGAAAACCAGCUAGCCGAUAUCUUUACCAAGCCUUUAGAUGAGCAGACCUUUUGCAAGUUGCGUAGUGAGCUAAAUGUCUUAGAUUCACGGAACUUGGAUUGAUUUAUAGCAUACAUGUGUUUAUGCCUUUGAUCAUGUUCCUUAUGCAUUUUGUUGUUUACUUAUGGUGCUCAAGUUGUACAAGCAUUCCCCGGACCUUACAAGUCCAUUUGCAAGUGAUGCACAAAUUUAGGGGGAGAUGUACUACAACUUGACCCUUUGAGACUCACUGUGUGCUUGAGUUUGCUUAAUUUAGUCUCAAAGGAAGUUUGAAAGGGAAAAGGUGGACUUGGACCAUGCAAGACUUCCACUGCACUCCGAUGAACGAGUAACUUUUUCCAAGUUCAUCUUUAUACUCUUACUGCCUUUUUAUUCUUAGUUGAAGAUUUUGGUGAGGCAAUGGGGUUUAAGGGCCAAAAUUGAUCCCGUUUUGGUGCUUGAUGCCAAAGGGGGAGAAAAUAAGGCCAAAGCAAUACAUGGAUCAGCUACCACUUGUGAAAUUUUGAAAAAAUAGAGUUAGAGGUUUUUGUUUGUCAAAAUACUCUUGUUUGUCUCUUAUUGUCAAAAGUUGGUCUCUUGUGGGGAGAAGGCUUAAUUAUGAAAAAAGGGGGAGUUUUUGAAAUCUUUGAUCAAUUUCUCUUGGAACAACUCUUGUUAUGUCUCAACAAGUGUUUUUGACUUAGAGAUAGGAAUUUGAGGUUGAUUUGCAAAAACAAACCAAGUGGUGGUAAAGGAUGAUCCAUAUAUGCCAAAUUUGAUUCAAAACAAAUUUGAGUUCUUAUUUGAAUUGAUUUUGUACUUGUUCUACUUGCUUUAUGUUGUGUUGGCAUAAAUCACCAAAAAGGGGGAGAUUGAAAAGGAAAUGUGCCCUUGGGCCAUUUCUAAGUGUUUUGGUGAUUUAGUGUCCAACACAAGUGCCUAAGUGUCAAAUGGUGGACAAAGUACAAAUCAAGUAUAAAGGUAUGUUUCUCAGACUUAGUACAUUGUUUUAGAGACUAAUGUAUUGUGUCUAAGUGCUGGAAACAGGAGAAAUCAAAUUGGAAAGAGAUAGCUUUGUUUCAGCCAAAGCCAGCUAUGACUGGGUGCACCGGACUGUCCGGUGGUGCACCGGACAGUGUCUGGUGCGCCAGGCUAACUCAGGCGAACUUGCUGCUCUCGGGAAGGAAUUAACGGCGUACAGCUAUAAUUCACCGGACUGUCCGGUGAGCCAACGGUCGGCUGCGCGAUCUGCGCGAGACACGUGGCCGAGCCAACGGUCGGGAGGGGGCACCGGACUGUCCGGUGUGCACCGGACAGUGUCCGGUGCGCCAACGGCUCCCAGGCGCCAACGGUCGGCUUCGCCAUAGAAGGAAAGAAAUCCGCACCGGACAGUGUCCGGUGGUGCACCGGACUGUCCGGUGUGCCAGGCGACAGAAGGCAAGGAUUGCCUUCUUGGAAUGCACUCAACGGCUCCUAGCUGCCUUGGGGCUAUAAAAGGGACCCCUAGGCGCAUAGAGGAGGACACCAAGCAUUCUCUAAGCAUUCCUAAGCAUUAAGACAUCGAUUCCGCGCUUUUGAUUCCUUGCAAUAGCAAUUAGAGCUCUAGUUGAGUUGUGAACUCAUUGAGUUGUGUUGUGAGCUCUUGUUGCGACUUGUGUGCGUGGUGUUGCUGUGAUUUCUUGUCUUGAGUGUGUUGCUUAUCCCUCCCUUACUCCGUGCUUCUUUGUGAUCAUCAAAGUGUAAGGGCGAGAGGCUCCAAAGUGUGGAGAUUCCUCGCAAACGGGAUAUAGUAAAGCAAGCAAAACACCGUGGUAUUCAAGUGGGUCUUUGGACCGCUUGAGAGGGGUUGAUUGCAACCCUCGUCCGUUGGGACGCCACAACGUGGAGUAGGCAAGCGUUGGUCUUGGCCGAACCAUGGGAUAAACCACUGUGCCAUCUCUGUGAUUGAUCUCUUGUGGUUAUUGUGUUUUGUUGAGACUCCUCUCUAGCCACUUGGCAUUAUUGUGCUAACGCCUAAUCAAGUUUUUGUGGAUUAAGUUUCAAGUUUCACAGGAUCACCUAUUCACCCCCCCCUCUAGGUGCUCUCAGGGAUGCCUUGACUCCGAGGAGGAAGAUGGUCCGGGCAUCGGCCUGGACUUCUCUAGGAUGCGGGACCCUGAGUCCAUGCUGCAGUUCAUGUUCGCGUGCGACGAAUUGCUCUCUGAUAGCUCGGAUGACUACAAAGCCGACAAGGGGGUUACGACCCAACUCGGGAGUGCUUCCACGUAGGUCACCAGCUCGGCACGCCUCGAGAGAAUGACGUGCCACCCGAAAAGUUGGGAAGCAAGAGAGCUGGGUGAGGCCCAAACCCCUCUAGGGAGUCACAUGGCCCACCUCGAACAGCUCUGCGAGUUGCACGCCAAACUCGGGGAAGAACAUCAAUGGCUGCAACGGCUCCGGCAGGUUCUCGAGAGGGAAGCAGCUGGCAAGGUUCUUGACGAGGGCGCGUGUGCCAAGGCACGCGAUGUUCAUCGUCACAUCAUGGAAGAUGUCGUGGCCGACGCACCUCUGGCCUUUCACCGGGCAAGUCAAAACCUCACGACAAUAGUGAUCUUACUCCGCACCAUGCAGAAGCCAUCUACCACCGAGAGACAUCGAAUCCACGGCAAAAUUCGAGGACUCUUGGAGUGUGUUGCGGUCCAGCAGACCGAGAGCUCAACCUCUCGGCUUCGGGAACCCACCUCAGAGCAUCGAACAGGACCCUCUCGCUUCAAGAGGGAGGCUUUGAUCCAUCCUAAACCCAACAAAGAGAAAGCCCCAGCAGUGCACGACCACAUCCUCGACAAUCGCUAGAACCGGGGUGUGCACGACCGUCUCGGCGGUUGCGUCUAGCACCACGAUUGACAACACGCCACCCACGGCUACCACUUUAACACCCUGAAUUUGGGGGUAUAAAAAUCUUUCCUAAUAUCCACCAAAUUUAGGUGUUACUCUCUCUUUUCUUUGCUUUCCUUCUCUUUUUCCAAAAAAUUGAGAAUUAUUUUGUUUUAUAUUGGCGUAAACCUAGUCGAAUAAGCCCUAGAGGCGCUUUGGUUGUUGCAUUCAUGUCGUUGCAUGGUAUUUUCUAAGUGCAAAAAGUGUUUGAAACAUGUUAGUAUAUCCUAUAGAAGCUCUCGAUAUAUUUUCAUAUUUUUCGAAAUAUUUUUCUAAUUUUCAGAAAACAAAAUCUAUUUAUUUGAGGUACUUAAUAAUGUUUUUAGAAACUCUAAGUAUGUUGUUUGAGUUCAUUAGGUGCCAAAACAUUUAUAGUAAUUUUUCUGUAAUUUUUGGAAACAACUAUAAUAUUUUCAGCAUAAAAUAUGGAUUUCUAGGCUUUUUCGAAUUUAAAAAAUGGUAAAAUCCGAAUUUGACCCGAUUUUCAUAUCGUCUGAACCCCAACUAUAUAUAUAUAUAUGCGUAUCUUCUCCUCACCGAGCUGGUUCUGAAUCACAAAACGGUUUCUCCAAAUUCAAUCCCUAGCUCCUGGAAUUGCUUGUCGAAGUUCGGAGCGGUUCCAACUCCGACGACAACUCCGACGAGCAAUUACUCACAAUCCGUGCAUUGUCUACAGAAUCCGAGGAUAUCGCUGCAUUCGUCUCGUCGAGUGCUUCAUCGCAGUUCGUCCGAUUCGUCGAUCGGAUCUUCGAAUCGCCAUCAAUCGACGGUUUCCUUCUCGACUCCGGUGAGGGUCUUCUUCCCCUGUGAGAAACCUCCAUUGUUAUACCUAGGGUUUCUUUGUGUUCUUUGUUUUCCCGUCUGUGCAGGGCCUCCCUCUCCCUCCUCAACCCUUCCCCCGUGACGGCACCUCCCCCUCCCCCUCCCCCGUCCCCCCUAGCACGGCCCCUCUCCCCCCGGCGGCGGCCGAACCGAACCGACCGGCUCACCCGCGUAGCCGGCUCGGGUCCCCCCUGCGCAGCCCCCUCCCUUCCUCCUCCCUCUCCCAUGGAUGAGAGGAAGAAGAUGAGGUGAUGAAGAAGAUGACAAUUUCGUAAUUUAGUAAACGCGAGUUACAGUCUAGUUUUGAACAAUGAUAACUUUUGUGUUUUAAUCCUGAUUCGAUCCAUUCAAGUUGCGUUAGAUUUGUAUUAAAUUAUCUUAAUUUAGAACUAUUUAUCCCCACUGUUGCACAUUUUAUUUAGUUUAUUUAAAUGUUUGUUUAACCGAUGGCUGCUAGAACGACGUUUCAAUUUUAAAAUCUAAUUUAGAAAUUCGAUUUGUGCAUUUAUAAUUAGUCACCAACAUCAUUAACCUUAACUGAAAUGUUUCUUAUUAAUAAUUAUUUAGUUUAAUCAUGUUUUCAUUUAUUUAUUAGUUUUGCGUUGUGUCGGCCCGCACGUAUCGUGCGCAUGCAGCAGUGCUGUUUCGCACGCGUCAUCGUGUGCCGUUCGCGAGUGUCGCGCGUGCUGUUCGCACGCGUUGUCGCGCGCCGUUCGUGUGUAUUACGUGCCUUGCGGCACGCCGUUCACGCGUAUCGUGCGUUAUCCGCGCGCGAGAUUAACUGUUCGCUUAUAAUCACUCAUGUCAGUUAAUUAGUUAUUUAUUUAAUCAUCUACAACUAAAACAGUAAGUUAGUCAAAACUAAGUAGCUUUAAUUUAUAUUUCAUAAAUAUCAAUUAUUUAUAUUUAAUAAUGUCAAAUUAAAAGUUAUAGUUAAUAUUUGUUUAGUGUAAACUCGUUAACUUCUUGACCGUAGCUUCGAGUUCGACGUUUCUUUUCCUCGUGUGACCAUAGUAGAGAGCUCUAUUUUACAGUGCACAUUUCUAUAAUGUUUUAUCUUGUAUGGUGUAAUGUUCUUAUGCAUGUAUAUGUUUGUUUGUGCCUGUUUGUAUUCGUUGUGCGUCGCGAAUAGAUUGCGAUCCGUUUCCGAGCUUCGAGGAAUCGACGGUCAAGCUUCGGCGACCAAGUGGUCUGGUUCUUCGAGUUCUACAAAGUUGAAGACCCUGAGCAUCUGUUUGAUGAAGGCAAGUGUUCUCUGACCUAUUAUGUCCUACUUACUUAUAAUUCACUGUCCCACAUUAUUUAAUUGAAACCUAAGGAUUGACUAGCUUUGUAUUUACCUUGCCCUUGAUUACCUUUUGGGUUAUUAUGGUUAGCUUCAUGCUAUUGCUCUACUUUAAUCAACGAACAUGAUGAGAACAUUUAUGAUACAAUGUUGUUAUUAUGAUUAUGAUGAUGCUCUUGUGGCACUUUAGGGGACUCAGGAUGUUUUUCUGAGUACCUCUCCGUAAGGACCUGUUCGUUGAGUGACCACCCGGGAUAACAGUGCAGCCAUGAGGGUGGAAAGGGACGCCCUUAGCUGAAUAAUUAGGUGAACCUAGGGGUGUAGUUUGCUUUGCCGAAGGGUCGUCAAUGGGGGUCGAGGCAUAGUGCUCGCUCUAAAAAGGGUAGGUGUUGAGGUUCAUUCGAUUUGGUUUUGUUACUCACCCAUCUUAGGGAGGAGUACUGCGUUUGUACGACUGGCGAAACCUAAUGAGCAGCUAUGCACCAUGGGAGUAGUUGUAAAGGCUACAUAGUGAAUCCCUGGCCAUUCACCUUGGUUGUGAAGAUCGGGUCUUGUAAAACCCAGACUGGAAAAGGAUCACGACUCAUGGGUAAAGUGUGCAACCUCUGUAGAGGAAAGAAACUGAUAUAUCAACCAUGCUCACGGUUAAGAGCGGCAUUGGGAUCCUCUUUGAUUAGAGAUACAGAUGAUCUAAGAUACAAUGGUUUUAUUAAUGAUUUUGGUUCACUGAUGAUAAUGACGUUCCUCGAUGAGGAAAUGUCUCACGGGUUAGUUAUUGCUAAAACUUGGCUUCUACUAAUAAUAAAUACCUGACAAACUAAAAGCAACUACUUUGACCCUAACCCCACAUAAAGCUAGUCCACCUCAGCCAAACAAGACAUUUGCUGAGUACGUUGAUGUGUGCUCACCCUUGCUUUCACAAAACACCAGGUUGCCUUUGGUGCAAUCUAUGCUCAGGGAAAGAAGGAGAAAGGCAUCGAGGUGGAUCUCCAGGAGUUCUAGGACUUCGACGAGUUCGAGGAUUAGGCUAGCGACCUCCCCCAGUCAGCUGCCUGUGGUGGGUUUAUUUACGUUGGCUACGUUUCUAUUAUGUGCACUUUGAUUCAUAUUAUGUAAAUGACUCUAGUCUAUAGUAUUAUUACUUAUUCUUUACUGUUAUUCGAAGCAUUGUGCUAUGAUGAGUCAUUUAUGUAAUCGAUGUGUACGUGAAUUUCUGAUCCUGGCACAUACAUGGUUCUCAUUCGGUUUACCUUCAAAACCGGGUGUGACAUAAGUGGUAUCAAAGCCUUGCUGACUGUAGGACCACUAUCCUAAAGUAGCAUUGGCCGUUUUAAGGACUUAUUGACUAUUACUUCACCUCAUCCUUGAUGCUGCUUCAAAAUAUUAGUCACCUCGACUAAUUCUAUAUAUGCUCCUAUAUAUCACCUUGCUAAAUGUAUUUUAUUCUAGUAUUGUCUAUACUCUACUUAUUCAUUUUAUUAGAUCUGCCCUCACUCUUGUGCUUGUGAUAUCUUUGUAGAUGCCCCUUACCAUUACCUUUUAGUCUCUUGGGAUUCUUUCCUCUUCCAUCAUUAAGUUGCUACCAUUUGGCAAUCUUUAUUCCCUUAGUAUUGACAUGCUGCAUCUUUUGGAUUCUUCCAUACCCUUAUCCCUUAAUUCAAACACUUAACCCUAAAAACUCUAUUGCCUAUUUUUACAUUUUAGUUUAUAUUUUCAUGACCUUCCUGUAUUUUGAGAUCCCUUCCUAUUCCGUUGUUAAGUCAUUACCUUUCAACAAUUUCUAUUCCCUUGUUCUUAGUAUGCUCGUGUCCUUGGAGUCUUCCAUAAUCUCAUUUUUAUGUAUGCUUAGCUUUCAUACCCCAAUUACUGUUCAAGACAUUUCAAUUAAGAUAUCCUUGACCACCCUUGUUUCCUAAUGCUCCAUGAGCGGUCAUUUUAUAUUGCACAUCCUUGGUGAUCUCGUUAAUUCCUUGUAACUUCCUUCGGUAAUGAAUUUUUACUUCAACUCUUCUGUCGAACCUUACCUAUCUUACCCUUAAUUGUUUCCUCUACUUCACCAUUUCGCAAGUCUCACCUUAAUUCCAUCCUUCGUUAUGCUUUUUAUUGAUAUCAUCUUUACCUUUGUCAUAUCUACAUCUCAUCUUGUUGCAUAUUUUAUACCUGCCCCAUAAAAUCUUAUCUCUUCCAUCUCAAUUUGAGAGUUGUAUUUUACCCAUUUUCCCUUGGAUGUGUCCUAUUCUUUACCGCUUGAUCUUUCAACCCUAUCGUUUUAUGUGUUUUGUUCGCAAUCGCCUUUACCCUUGUGAUCCUACCUUGAAGUUAUCGUAUGUCUGCCACUUAAAACCUCCCUUCUCCCCUCUCAAUUCGAGAGUGGUGUUUUACUUACCCCGUGCUUGGCCAUAACCUCAUAUUUGCAACGUGCAAAUCUUGUCUUAACUCCAUUCUUUGUUGUACUCAUACCCUUGGUUCAUCUAUACUUUUACCUCUUCCCUUACACCCUUUUCUGUUAUCGCCUUCAACACUCGUAAUACCUACAUUUUACCACGACGCUUACUUAGAAUCUAGUCUUUGGAGCCUUCUCCUUCCCAUCCUAGUUCAAGAGUGAUGCUUUACUACCUCGCCCUUGAUUGUUUUCCCUAGUGUCGCCUUGCAAGCUUUGUCCAAAUUCCAUCUUUGAUGUGUUUUCGGUUGUUAUUCCCAUUACCUUUGUCAUCCAUUGAUCUUACCUUGAUACUCAUCUUUACACCUACUCUUUAAGAUCUUCUCUCUUCCACCCCAAUUUGAGACUGACAAUUUACCUAUCUGCCCUUGGUCCUCUUUGCCAUUAGCAAGUCUUGUCUCACCUUAAUUCCAUCAUUUGCUGAUCUUUUGUUUGAUAUCAUCAUUACCUUUGCAAUCUGUACACCUUGCCUCGAUGCUUAUCUUAGGUCUGCAUUUUGGAAAUCUCCUCUCUCCUAUCUUAAUUUAAGAGCAGUGUUUUACUUAUCCCACCCUUAGCUACAUCUCCCUAUUUAUCGCAUGCAAGCCUUGUCUUAACUCCAUUUUUGGUGGUGCUUCUACCCUUGGUUCUUCUAUAUCUUAUAUUUUCUCUUACACCCUUGACCUUAUCGUCUCUCACCCUAGUGGUAUUUAUGUCUUUACCUAGAUGCUCCCUUUGAACUUACCCUUUAAAGCUUUCUUUUUUUCGACCCAGUUUGAGAGUGGUGUGUUACCUAUCUCUCCCUUGAUUAAUCUCCCCUUUUCUCGCCUCACAAGUUUUGACUCAACCUCAUCCCUUGUCAUACUUCUAUCUAUUAUUACCCCGUCAUCUCUCGAUAUUUACCUUGAUGCUUAUGUUGUACCUGCAUUUUAAAGCCUUCUCUCUCCCAUUUCAGUUCGAGGGUGUGCUUUUACUUAUCUCGUCCUUGGUUGUUUCCCCUCCCUUGCCACUUUGCAAGACUUGCUUUAUCUCCAUCCUUUAUUGUGCUCAUGCGCCUAUCCUGCACGUCUUGUUCUUCUCCUUGUCCUUAGACAACCUUAGAGAGUAGUUAUUCUCUUUUCAAGAAAGACCACUAUCUAACUAACAUUAACGUAUAGCAACGAGAUGUUUGUUGUUGUAUGCUUGUGUUGUUUGUCUUUGUGUUAUGACUGAUUUGCUUCUUUGUGAUGAGUGUUGAUAUGUUGUGGCCCUUGGCCCGCAAUGACAUCAAUUUACUAGGUGAGUGCCAUAUACUUAGGUAGUUGGGUUCUUGAAGCGUCCCCAAUCCUCUGGGACUCAAAUGUGAUAUAAUUACUAGUCUAAGGAGGCUAGUAAACACAUUUAUACAUCAAAUGAUUCCAGAUCUGCUUAAACGAGACAAACCUAUAAAGGUGGCGAUCAACUUUAAGAGUUGGUCCACAACUCGGGACAUAUCAUCAGAGUGGGGCUGAAGCAGCCCGAUAUACACAGCGAAGCAAAUCAGCGGUCCAACAGCCACAGGCAAGGUUGGGAACAGUCGUAACUCUUACCCGAUCUCCUUUUUCUGAAAAACAACAAAUAAGCAAGGGUGAGUACAAACGUACUCAGCAGCCCAACUUCACCCGCGGAAUGGGGAAAUCAGAUAUAAUGCAUGGAAUAUGUGGAGCUCAGGAUACUUUGCAGAAACAACAGUAUUUUAUGCAGGGUUAUUUUGUAAAACAUUUUGUAUUUUUCAAAGCGCAUCCUCUCCCAAAGGAGCAGGAAGUUUUUCAAUAUUAGAACUAAAUCCCCUGGACUAAACCAUCCAGGUAUCUCAGCAGUUUCCCACUGGUUUUCAUUUUCAAAAACAGCUACUGGACUUCCCGUCCACCAUAGCUCACGGCUCAACCGUCGGACCUUUUAAAAACCACUUUUCUCAAACGCACCUUUUUUGGAAAACAAAACACUAAUUGCCAUACCACACCAGACUCGUCCAUUCCUGUGGACACAGACUAUUCGAAUAGGUUUUCAAACUCUGCGCAGAGGUGUACACUUUACCCACUAGUCCGGCUCUGCGAUCUCAUGAUCAAUGAGAUCCGAAUCCGAAUCUCUUUCUUUCCCCGCAUGUCCUAACCUUAACGGUUAUACCGGAAGGAGUCAGGCCACCACCAUGUCCAAACCGGACAAAACAUUCCCCCUCCUUAUCCUCCCGGUGCUCCCCAGCCUUCAUAACCCUGGGGUUGGACCGUACGAGUUCAGAUUGAGUGACUGCCCACACAGUCUCGAGUGGUUGUACUUAUCAUGAGUACAGGUAGUGAAAGAUGACAAACCGGUCCUUAUAUGAGGGGACAAUCCUUCUGCUCACGCCUAAACCAGCUGAGCCUUCACCUUAGGCCCUCCCCUAAACCAGGGAGUCCCUGAUCAUCCUUACUCAAAGGUGAUAAGGGUGAAAACCCUUCAUCAUACACAUUUUGAAAAGCAUUUUCUUUUGAAAACUCACACCUUUUCUCAAAUCAUUUGUAACAAAUAUAUCAAGGAUCGAUUGCGGCAAGCGGCUUGGGUGGCCAUAAUAACUUGUCUCAAAAUCAUAUCAUGCAUAAAAUAACAGGCUGAGGGUUGUGGUUGAAAAACAUAGGUAAUUUAUGCAUCAAAGGGAUCCAGUGAGCUUGCCGUGCUUAUUCGGCGAAGGGGAAGGGGAGCUCGCGGAACUGGCUUCUGGCUCCACCGCCUGGUGUAGACUUGCAGAUCUGGCCUCCACGAGACGACACGAAUGCUCCGAUAACUAUGCCACAAGAAUAAGCAAACAUACAAACCAGCAAGUAUACCAACAAAUAUUUAGUAUAGUGGUCAGAAAAGCGAUAUAUGGAUGGGUAGAGUCUUGAGUAGAAUCUAUGUCAUGUGGUGUUGUGAUAUUACUGGUGGUGGAGCGGAGGUGCUUACCAGGAGGGUGGACUGGAGGCGAAGCGACACUAUGCGUGUAGCCGGCAGAGCGGAGUAACUGAGUGGGUGGGGUGUUUGCCUUGGUUGAGGGUGUUGAGUGUGUGUGGAGAGGGAGAGGGUAGCUGGGUGUAUUUAUAGCUGAGUGUAUGUGGUGUAGCAUAGUGAAGUUCACUGUUGGUGAGAAUAGUGACGAAUGGAUCGUCUGACUUAGUAUGAACAGGAGAGUUAUGGGCAGAAUAUGGGACAAGAGUAUUUUGGGAGUUUUCUGGAAUAUGGACCAUGCUUAAGGGAUGACAUGGUUGGAUAGGGAAUAGUUUGAUAAGAAUUUAGAAACGAGAAUUAUUGGAAUCUGAGUUUGGGAGCCUGGUUCGAAGGAAUCUCAAAGUUAAGCAUGCUCAACUUGGAGAAACCUAGGAUGGGUGACCAGAUGGGAGGUUCCCUACUGGAAAGAAAAUCACAGUCACCGGAGUUCGUAUGACUGGAAUAUGGGUCUGGCUGGUCUUAGGUGGACUGGACAUCAUGAUGUAUGAGUAGUUGAAAUUUGGGGUGAUCGGCUAAUCGAUGAAUAGUAACGAUGAAUAGUGACGACAAAAAAAGUUACAUAGAUAUCAUCGAUGAGUAGUAACGAUGAUGAAUAGUAACAAUGAUGAAUAGUAACACUAAAUAGAACGAUGGUGAAUAGUGUCAGUGAAUAGUAACGAUGAAUAGUGAUGGUGAAUAGUCGUAUGAAUGAACGAUGAACGAUGAAUAGGAACUAUGAACGAACGAUGAACGGUGAAUAGGAACUAUGAACGAACGAACGAACGAUCGAAUGAUCGGACGAACGAACGAUCGGAAUUUCGGCAGCAUAACGACAGGACAAGGAUUAUCUGGAAGAACGAUGAAUAGGGACUAUGAACGAACGAUAAACGAUGAAUAGGAACUAUGAACGAACGAUGAACGAUCGAAUGAUCGAACGAACGAACGAUCGGAAUUUCGGCAGCAUAACAACAGGAAAAAGAUUAUUUGGAUGAACGAACGGACGAACGAUCAAAUGAUCGAACGAACGAACGAUCGGAAUUUCGGCAGCAUAACGGCAGGACAAAGAUUAUCUGGGAGAACGAUGAAUAGGGACUAUGAACGAACGAUGAACGAUGAAUAGAAACUAUGAACGAACGAUGAACGAUCGAAUGAUCGAACGAACGAACGAUCGGAAUUUCGGCAGCAUAACGGUAGGAAAAAGAUUAUUUGGACGAACAAACGGACGAACGAACCAUGAACGAUCGGACGAACGAACAAACAAACUAAGAACAGGGGACGAACGAUCGAAGAACGAUCGAACGAUCCUUGUGCUAGUGUGUUCUUGUGUGGAACAUGGAGUGGGUGUGUGUGUGUGGGGGGGGGGGAAGAGAGUUGCCAUGAAAUGGCUUGGGGUGGGAUGAGAGGAGGCCCUUGCCCCUCUAUUUAUAGCCAUGGUGGGGGGAUUAGGGGGAGGGAAGAGAGGAUUAGUGGGAGGAUGAGAGGAUUAGUGGGAGAUUAGCAUGUAUUUGUCUUGUAUAAAUGAGAUUAGCUUGUAGAGCUCACCGUAUGACACUGGAGGCAUACGUAUACGUAUGAGCAUGAGGAAAGUUAUGAAGAAAAUAUUUGUGGGGACUUGAAAAAUGAUUCUGAAGGUAUUUCUCAAGAGGAAAAUAUCUGGAGAUAUAUCGGUGGAAUAUUUGGGCAGUAUUUCUGGAAAGAACUUGAAGGGGAUCACUAGGGAAAUAUCUAGGCGGUAUUUCUGGAAGAAUUUGAGGGGGAUCACUGGGGAAAUAUUUGUAGAAUAUUUUGAGGAGGAUUUUGGAGAGAAUAUAGACCACUAUAAUUUAUUUGUUGAUAUCAACUCGCAAACAAACAUUUUGAAAUGAAAUUUGAAAUUCAUUUUGAAUUUAGGGCGAGUUUGAGAAAAUUUCAAAAUUUGAAUUUUUGGGAUGCUACAAAUCUACCCCACUUAAAAGGAAUCUCGUCCUCGAGAUUUGGCUUAGAAGGGUUAUGGGUAUAGCUUUACUUCAGCUACAUAUCUUCACUUUGCAGACUCUUCGAGGAGAUAGAGCUUCAACAAAAUUUGGCCUUUGAGGGGCAUCCGGUUGCUGAUUGCAAAUGCUGGUUCUGGCUACUCAAGAUCAUCUUCAGGCUUCUAGGUUUCGCUUGGCAGCUAGCUUAUUGAAGAAGCAACGAUGCCAACACGCAAACCUUUCUCUUGCGAACUCCCACAUGGAUUCCUUCCUCGAUUGGUCUUCUGGUGCUUCAUCAACAAAACUUGGGUGACCACUUCUCAUCCAGAAACUUAUAUGCUUUGAUGAUCUGGUCCUCCAUAAGCUUGCUACAGGCCUUCUUCUUUCUCUCCAUAGUAGGAACCUUACUGGAAUACUACCCCACUUAAAAAGAAUGAGGGUAGAACUCUUGAAUCUUGGGGAUUUGAACUCCUUGAAGUACCUCAUAACAAGGGUGUUACGGGGCCUUCUUCUGCUGUUGCUGCUUGAGCAGGCUGCAGAGAGAUGACUGACAUAGGGUUGAUUCUGGGAGAACCUUCUUCUUAUCUUCUCUUCACUAUAUUCUUUUUCCUUUUCUCACUGACCUUUUUUUCUCUUUGCUCUUUCGACUGGAGGAUUCUAUCAAAGAGUAUUACUAUCAUACAGAGGAGGAAACCAAAGACUAUGAACCAUGUGCAACUGUCUUCAACCCAAGAAUCACCAAGCAUUGUGAUCUUAGGGGCGAAGGAGUGGAAAAUGGAGUUGCUUGCGAUUUGGCAGAGGGGAUUUUUAUCGGGAGUGUGCUUUGAUUUGGAUGGGAACUGAGGGAGCUGGUGGGGGGAUUUAUAGGCGAGCGAGGGUGUCCGGUUGCGGAGUAGUGGUGAUGGAGUAGGUGCUACGCGGCAGCGGGUGCGACAAGGGGAGGGGGCCUGGUGUUGCCGGCGAUGAUGGCGGCGGUGGGUGCGCUGGAAAGGGGGGUGGGCGGCGGUAGUGCGUUGCAAAGGGGGCAUGGGCGGCGGUGCUAGUGCGCAUGGAGGCGGGCACGCAUGCGGGGGGGCAUGGGUGAGUGGUGGGGUCGAUGACCUUGAUGUUUGUGGUCUCUAGUUCCAAGAAUAUUUGCCUCUCUGUAUGGUAAUAACUUCUUCUGUCCUCUUUUCCUGUUUACUUUGAAUCAGGGGCAGUGCUUUGAUUCUCACGAUCGGUCCUUUUGACUGAGCGAUUGGAUAGGUUCCUCUGUAGCUUAUUCUAGGCUUCAAGGGUAAGCUUCCCGGUAUCUUCUUGGGUAAGACACUUUUCUCUUCAGAUGGGUUAAGAUGAGAAUGGAAGCAUAAGGUAAAGAUUAGCUCUAAUUUGUGAUCUAUGUUUUUAGAGAAAACCUUUUUAAGAAAAACGAAAAGAAAACACACAAGCUCAGCAAUGAUAAGCACAAACAAAUCAAAUGUUUUGAAUAAGGGAAGAAUAGAGUUUUUCCAAAGCACAGACUACUCAGAUUCGGGGGCUAAGCAUAACUACUAUUGCUCAGCUCCUGCAUUGAAGACUAUGCUAACCAGGACUUAUGAGCACUAACGUUAAAGCAUCACAUAUGCACUAAAAAGAGGAGAAAACAUCAAGCGAAAUUCAUUUUGAAAUGCCCUAGGGGCCACACAAAUAGAGUUUUUCAAAACACGGGUCUACACGAUUACCUCUCAUACAUGCAGGGCUCUAGCCAAAGUGAAGAAAAACUUCACUACCCAAUGCAUGCAGAGGACUGGGCAUAACUAACUUCAGACCUGACAGCUUCUCUUCUAGCGAGGCUGGCACACAACUUCAAUCUGAGACAUCUCCUGGAUGGGUAAACAGGGAGCUGAUGUUGAUGACUUCUUCUGGCGGCGACUGAGAUGGCAACACGGGGUUGAACUCUUCUUCAAGCUGGACUGGCUCUUGUAGCUCCUCAGAGGGCGGCGGUGCUGGCGGGGUGCUUGCAGCUUUUUCCUUGACUUCAAGGGAUGGUGCUGGAAUCUUAUUCAUGGUGAGGGGCUCAAACAACUCUGGCGGGGGAUCUUGGGAGGACUCGUGGUGCUCUUUCUUAUCCAUAGCCCGAGGGAAGACUGGAAUUCCUUCCAAGACUAUGGCUCCUUCUGGUAGUUCCCAAGCCUUCUUUUCUCCUCUGGUAGAGACCGGGUGACCUUCAAGAAUCUGGGGAUCUUCAGCUCUCCUGGGUUGAACAGGGUUGGAUGAAGCGGGCUCUUGGAUCCGCAGGGCUCUACGUUGGUUAUGGGUUACCAAGUAGGCCUCCAUCAACUUCUGGACAUGCUCAUCCUUGGCUUGCUUCAGGGCUUCAACAACAAUGACUUCACGACUUUCCAAGGCAGCUACACGGGCUUGAGCUGUGGUGAGAUCCACAUGGAGUUGACGGUUGCGCUUCUCUGCAUCUUCUGCUCAGGCAAUCAUCUGACGGUGGUGCCGAGCCAAGAAAUCAUACUGGGCAUCCAGGGUGAGCAGGUACGCAGUGAGGUGCACGACUGUGGGGUCGUCCUCAAGCAGCUGCUUCCCUUCCAAUGCACGCAUCCUAGCCAUCCAAACUGGACGGUUUCUCUGAAAGGGCGGAAAGAAUCUGAGCGGGGUGUCGGCCACUUCUUCUUCAUAGAUCUGACACAGGGUCCUCAAUGCCUUGCGGGCGACGACUUGGCAGGUGUCUUUGUAUCUGUGCCCAGCAGCAGUGACACUCCAUUCCACAUGGUGCGGACUGGAUCCAAUGUAUACAGUCACGACACACUUCUCUAUGCCAUGCUCGACAAAUUCACGACCAUCAUACUCUGGCUGGCUCCUGAUUCCAAGGCGAACUGUGCAUGCUCUCAGCAACUUGGGGAAACCAUCUUCAUUCUGGCAAAAGCUGGUUUGGCAACGGACCUCCAUCUGACUUCUGAGAGAAGGAAAGGGGGAAAGCAUUUUUGAAAUGAAGGGAUGAGAGCAAGAAUUUUUUUAAGAAAAUAGUUUUGACUCAAAAACUUUUGGAUCAGGCUAAGGGUUACGUCCUGCGGCCAACCUAACAGCUCUGAUACCACCUGAAGCGUCCCGAAUCCUCUGGGACUCAAAUGUGAUACAAUUACUAGUCCCAGGAGGCUAGUAAACACAUUUAUACAUCAGAUGAUUCCAGAUCUGCUUAAACGAGACAAACCUAUAAAGGUGGCGAUCAACUUUAAGAGUUGGUCCACAACUCAGGAUAUAUCAUCAGAGUGGGGCUGAAGCAGCCCGAUAUACGCAGCGAAGCAAAUCGGCGGUCCAACAGCCACAGGCAAGGUUGGGAACAGUCGUAACUCUUACCCGAUCUCCUUUUUCUGAAAAACAACAAAUAAGCAAGGGUGAGUACAAACGUACUCAACAGCCCACCUUCACCCGCGGAAUGGGGAAAUCAGAUAUAAUGCAUGGAAUAUGUGGAGCUCAGGAUACUUUGCAGAAACAACAAUAUUUUAUGCAGGGUUAUUUUGUAAAACAUUUUGUAUUUUUCAAAGCGCAUCCUCUCCCAAAGGAGCAGGAAGUUUUUCAAUAUUAGAACUAAAUCCCCUGGACUAAACCAUCCAGGUAUCUCAGCAGUUUCCCACUGGUUUUCAUUUUCAAAAACAGCUACUGGACUUCCCGUCCACCAUAGCUCACGGCUCAACCGUCGGACCUUUUAAAAACCACUUUUCUCAAACGCACCUUUUUUUGGAAAACAAAACACUAAUUGCCAUACCACACCAGACUCGUCAAUUCCUGUGGACACAGACUAUUCGAAUAGGUUUUCAAACUCUGCGCAGAGGUGUACACUUUACCCACUAGUCCGGCUCUGCGAUCUCAUGAUCAAUGAGAUCCGAAUCUGAAUCUCUUUCUUUCCCCGCACGUCCUAACCUUAACGGUUAUACCGGAAGGAGUCAGGCCACCACCAUGUCCAAACCGGAUAAAACAUUCCCCCUCCUUAUCCUCCCGGUGCUCCCCAGCCUUCAUAACCCUGGGGUUGGACCGUACGAGUUCAGAUUGAGUGACUGCCCACACAGUCUCGAGUGGUUGUACUUAUCAUGAGUACAGGUAGUGAAAGAUGACAAACCGGUCCUUAUAUGAGGGGACAAUCCUUCUGCUCACGCCUAAACCAGCUGAGCCUUCACCUUAGGCCCUCCCCUAAACCAGGGAGUCCCUGAUCAUCCUUACUCAAAGGUGAUAAGGGUGAAAACCCUUCAUCAUACACAUUUUGAAAAACAUUUUCUUUUGAAAACUCACACCUUUUCUCAAAUCAUUUGUAACAAAUAUAUCAAGGAUUGAUUGCGGCAAGCGGCUUGGGUGGCCAUAAUAACUUGUCUCAAAAUCAUAUCAUGCAUAAAAUAACAGGCUGAGGGUUGUGGUUGAAAAACAUAGGUAAUUUAUGCAUCAAAGGGAUCCAGUGAGCUUGCCGUGCUUAUUCGGCGAAGGGGGAAGGGGAGCUCGCGGAACUGGCUUCUGGCUCCACCGCCUGGUGUAGACUUGCAGAUCUGGCCUCCACGAGACGACACAAACGCUCCGAUAACUAUGCCACAAGAAUAAGCAAACAUACAAACCAGCAAGUAUACCAACAAAUAUUUAGUAUAGUGGUCAGAAAAGCGAUAUAUGGAUGGGUAGAGUCUUGAGUAGAAUCUAUGUCAUGUGGUGUUGUGAUAUUACUGGUGGUGGAGCGGAGGUGCUUACCAGGAGGGUGGACUAGAGGCGAAGCGACACUAUGCGUGUAGCCGGCAGAGCGGAGUAACUGAGUGGGUGGGGUGUUUGCCUUGGUUGAGGGUGUUGAGUGUGUGUGGAGAGGGAGAGGGUAGCUAGGUGUAUUUAUAGCUGAGUGUAUGUGGUGUAGCAUAGUGAAAUUCACUGUUGGUGAGAAUAGUGACGAAUGGAUCGUCUGACUUAGUAUGAACAGGAGAGUUAUGGGCAGAAUAUGGGACAAGAGUAUUUUGGGAGUUUUCUGGAAUAUGGACCAUGCUUAAGGGAUGACAUGGUUGGAUAGGGAAUAGUUUGAUAAGAAUUUAGAAACGAGAAUUAUUGGAAUCUGAGUUUGGGAGCCUGGUUCGAAGGAAUCUCAAAGUUAAGCAUGCUCAACUUGGAGAAACCUUGGAUGAGUGACCAGAUGGGAGGUUCCCUACUGGAAGGAAAAUCACAGUCACCGGAGUUCGUAUGACUGGAAUAUGGGUCUGGCUGGUCUUAGGUGGACUAGACAUCAUGAUGUAUGAGUAGUUGAAAUUUGGGGUGAUCGGCUAAUCGAUAAAUAGUAACGAUGAAUAGUAACAAUGAAUAGUGACGACAAAAAAGGUACAUAGAUAUCAUCGAUGAAUAGUAACGAUGAUAAAUAGUAACAAUGAUGAAUAGUAACAUUAAAUAGUAACGAUGGUGAAUAGUGUUAGUGAAUAGUAACUAUGAAUAGUGAUGGUGAAUAGUCGUAUGAACGAACGAUGAACGAUGAAUAGGAACUAUGAACGAACGAACGAUCGAAUGAUCGGACGAACGAACGAUCGGAAUUUCGGCAGCAUAACGGCAGGACAAAGAUUAUCUGGAAGAACGAUGAAUAGGGACUAUGAACGAACGAUAAACGAUGAAUAGGAACUAUGAACGAACGAUGAACGAUCGAAUGAUCGAACGAACGAACGAUCGGAAUUUCGGCAGCAUAACAGCAGGAAAAAGAUUAUUUGGAUGAACGAACGGACGAACGAUUGAAUGAUCGGACGAACGAACGAUCGGAAUUUCGGCAGCAUAACGACAGGACAAAGAUUAUCUGGGAGAACGAUGAAUAGGGACUAUGAACGAACGAUGAACGAUGAAUAGGAACUAUGAACGAUCGAAUGAUCGAACGAACGAACGAUCGGAAUUUCGGCAGCAUAACGGUAGGAAAAAGAUUAUUUGGACGAACGAACGGACGAACGGACGAACGAACCAUGAACGAUCGGACGAACGAUCGAACGAUCGGACGAACGAACGAACAAACUAAGAAUAGGGGACGAACGAUCGAAGAACGAUCGAACGAUCCUUGUGCUAGUGUGUGCUUGUGUGGAACAUGGAGUGGGUGUGUGUGUGGGGGGGGGGGAAGAGAGUUGCCAUGAAAUGGCUUGGGGUGGGAUGAGAGGAGGCCCUUGCCCCUCUAUUUAUAGCCAUGGUGGGGGGAUUAGGGGGAGGGAUGAGAGGAUUAGUGGGAGGAUGAGAGGAUUAGUGGGAGAUUAGCAUGUAUUUGUCUUGUAUAAGUGAGAUUAGCUUGUAGAGCUCACCGUAUGACACUGGAGGCAUACAUAUACGUAUGAGCAUGAGGAAAGUUAUGAAGAAAAUAUUUGUGGGGACUUGAAAAAUGAUUCUGAAGGUAUUUCUCAAGAGGAAAAUAUCUGGAGAUAUAUCGGUGGAAUAUUUGGGCAGUAUUUUUGGAAAGAACUUGAAGGGGAUCACUAGGGAAAUAUCUGGGCGGUAUUUCUGGAAGAAUUUGAGGGGGAUCACUGGGGAAUAUUUGUAGAAUAUUUUGAGGAGGAUUUUGGAGAGAAUAUAGACCACUAUAAUUUAUUUGUUGAUAUCAACUCGCAAACAAACAGUUUGAAAUGAAAUUUGAAAUUCAUUUUGAAUUUAGGGCGAGUUUGAGAAAAUUUCAGAAUUUGAAUUUUUGGGAUGCUACAGUUCUCUACCCUGCUCUCCUAAAUCCAUCUAUGCUCACCUUUUCUAUCUAUACCUUUUCCUCUUGCACCUAUUCGGUUACAACCUCCAACCUCUCUUAAUCAGUCAAGAUCAGAGUCGGCAACAUCUUCAUCAAGUGCAUAUCAAUGCUCCUGUUAAGGGGGUUAGCCGCUAACCCCAAUGAAGGCAAUGCGAUCAACAUCAGCCAACAGGAUCAAAGUGGCGCGAUGAAAGCGUGUGUGGGUCCUAACCCACAGGUCCAAGUGAUCCUCAAGAAUUAUAUCAAUUGGUUGUGAGCACCUUAAGGUCAAAGCAACCAAUCCACAAGUUGAUCGACGGAGUCAAAGUUGAAAUGAAAAAACUUCUAACAACCUAUGAACCAACCUUGUCAUUCUUGCUAGCCUCUUCUUGAAUCUCGAGGGUGAGAUUCUGUUAAGGGGGUUAGAUUUGAACACCCUAAAUUUGGGGGUAUAAAAUUUCUUUCCUAAUAUCCACCAAAUUCAAUUGUUACUCUCUCUUUUCUUUGCUUUCCUUCUCUUUUUCCUGAAAAUGGGGAAUAAUUUUGUUUUAUAUUGGCGUAAACCUAGUGGAAUAAGCCCUAUAGGCGCUUUGGUUGUUGCAUUCAUGUCAUUGCAUGGUGUUUCUAAGUGCAAAAAGUGUUUGAAACAUGUUAGUAUAUCUUAUAGAGGCUCUCGAUGGAUUUUCAUAUUUUUCAGAAUAUUUUUCUAUUUUUCGGAAAACAAAAUCUAUUUAUUUGAGGUACUUAAAAUGUUUUUAGAAACUCUAAGUAUAUUUUUUGAGUUCAUUAGGUGCCAAAACAUUUAUAGUAAAUUUUCUGAAAUUUUUCGAAGCAUCUAUAAUAUUUUGAGCACGAAAUAUGGAUUUCUGGGCUUUUCCGAAUUUUAAAAAUGGUAAAAAUCCGAAUUUAACCCGAAUUUUCAUCUCGUCCGAACCCCAACUAUAUAUAUAUGCAUGGCUUCUCCUCGCCGAGCUGAUUCCGAAUCACAAAACGGUUUCUCCAGAUUCAAUCCCUAGCUCCCAGAAUUGCUCGCCGAAGUUCGAAGCGGUUUCAACUACGGCGAGCAAUUACUCCCAAUCCAUGCAUCGUCUAUGGAAUCUGAGGAUACCGUUGCGUUCGUCUCGUCGAGGGCUUCAUCGCAGUGCGUUUGAUUCGUCGAUCGAACCUCCGAAUCGCCAUCGAUCGACGGUUUUCUUUUCGGCUCCGGCGAGGGUCUUCUUCCCCGGUGAGAAACCUCCAUUGUUGUCCCUAGGGUUUCUCCGUGUUCUUCGUUUUCCCGUUCGUGCAGGGCCUCCCUCUUCUAUCACACCCGAUUUUAGAAGGCAAACUGAAUGCAAACCAUGUACGCGCCAGGAUCAGAAACUCAUGUACAUAGUAAUUACAUAAUUGGACAUCAUCACACAUUGCUCAAAGUAAAUAGCAGAAAGGUACUUUUAUUACAAUAAGAUGUCCAAGACAUCCACAGAGUAGAAUACAUAGCAUAGUCAUUAAUAUCAUCAAAGUGCGGAAAUACGAAACGUAGUAGAUAAGGCCUACACAGGCAACUGACUGGGGGUUUGCCACCAAGAAAAACUAGAACUCGUCGUAGUCCUGGAACUCCUCAAAGUCCUCCAUGUUUCCAGCAUCUCCUCCUGAGCACUGAAUACAGUGGGGACGACAUGGGGUGGGGUGGUUUUUAAAGCAAGGGUGAGUACACAUCAACGUACUCAGCAAAUGUCCCGUUUGGCUAAUAUGGACUAGCUGUAUGUGGAGUUAAGGUUAAGCAGUUGCUUUUAGUUGGUCAAGUGUUUAUUACUAUUAGUAGAGCCAUGUUUUAGUAAUAACCCAGUUAUUACCAAAAUGUACUCCCUCCAAGAGGAAAUACCAGAGAUCAAAAUUAUAACCAUCAUUAUUAACCAUCAUCAUUGUUGGAACUUGCUCACAGUCGCAAGGGGGCCAACAAGGGUGAGUAGUGGUGACAACAAAGUUACGCGCAAGAAGGCAAUAGCUCUGUUAAUCUGGCCUCUCACGGGCACUGUGCGGGGGUAUUUAUAGGUACCUGAGCACCCAGCGCCUUGUGUUAAGGACGCAUGUGCCCUCAGCUACCUAGGUUAUCCCCGGAAUAUUCCCAUAAAGCAGGGUUACAGACUGUAAUUACAGAGAUGCCUUUACAGAUUAGGCCCGUAACUCGCGACGGCCACGCAGGGCCCGUUACAAUGGGCCGGAACGCACGUGGGCCUCUGAGCUGGACGAGGCCGCACCGUGGGAUGACUUCGUCGCCGCUCUCCGUCUGGUGCCGAACGAGCGAAGGGUAUCCCUGCCUGUUCUGUCCCUGUCUGACCAGCGGUUAUCAGCGAAGACUUCGAGCGAGGGGUAGCGCCUCUGCCUUCGCCCCAACAUUUGCCCUCCGAGGGACUAGUUCGACAAAGUCACCUGGUGCCGGAGACGUCGCUAGAUGGCGGAGACGCUGCCCUCGCUCGAAGUGGUUCCGCGGGGGUUUUUGAUGUGACCGUUGAUGGACGGCGUACUGUUGGAUUGCGAGUUUUCCGAAGCGCCGCACCCUGUGGGAUUGCGGGUUUUCCGAAGUGCCGCGCUCUGCCUAUAAAAGGGGGCGGGGGUCGGCGCUUUUUGAACUUCGCCUUCCGCGCUCUGUGAAAACCCUAGCCGCCCGCCGUCUUGCUGCUCGUCUGCCCGCCGCACUCUUGCUCGCCGGAGAUCUGGCUCGAGUGAAGCAGACCGCCCGCCGCCGCCGACGGUACGUAGCGAUGCCGUCCUCUUCUUCUUCCGCUGCUGCUACGUCGCCGGCCGCCGCCUCGUCGGAGGAGACGCUGAGUGGUGCGAUGGUGGAGGAGUUGCGCGCCGGCGACUCUGUUUAUUUCGGUGAGUCGCGGAUGACGUCAGCCCGUGUUCAAGAUAUGCAGCGGUUGGGUUACUUUGGCACCGGAGUUGCUCGUGCUCCGGGGACGGAGGAAGUCCCCGAGCCGGAGGGUGAGUUGGUCGUUUUCGAGGCGUUCUUCAUCGCCGGUCUCCGCUUGCCUGCGCACCGGUUUGUUGGCGAAGUCCUGCGUAGGUUCAACGUUCAAAUACAUCAGCUGACACCGAAUGCCGUGGUGGCACUGGCGAAGUAUGUAUGGGCGACGACUUCGUACGGCGGACAGCCGUCAGUUGAAGUUUUUGCGAAGUAUUAUUGUUUGCAUUGGCAGAAGAGGAUGAUUGGGGACGAAGUUGCCCAGUUCGGGUCAUGCACAUUCACGCCGAAGACCGGCAAGACCACAAUGCAAGUAGUGGAGUUGGUUCCGUGCGCCCGCAACAAGUGGGGCAAUUGGAAUGAAUUUUGGUUUUACGUUGUGGAGGGUACUGUCGAAGACCAUGAGGGACUCCCCGUGUCUGAGAUGUGCUCUCAUUAUUACUCUGCGUAUCUGCCCUUUGAAGUGGCAGAGGAGGAUGCAGACGAAGGGGCCCUUCGGUGCGCCGCCGGUCAGAGCAGUGGGCGUGAUUUAGUUGAAGAGUUCGUGGCGUACGGGGUGUGGCCCUUGGCGCAUGGCUGGGCGCUGGGCGAAGUGUGCCCUCGCCAGAUGCCUUUUCACGGAGGAAGGGUGGUGCGAAGUCCUGCCUUCGCACUGAAUCUGCGAAACCGCGACCCGGCCACCUUUGUGCGCGAUGCGGAGGACGGGGCGGUGCGGCUCGUGGGACGUUACGUGCCGAGGACGGAAGGCCAGCGCAGCUUUGAUAUCCGUGGGUCAAAUGACCGCUUGAACAGGGUCUUCGAAUUAAAUCAAUUGUCGUACGACGGCUAUCCCGGUCAAGACGAAGCGGACCGCCGCGGGAAGAAGCCGGCGGUGGAGACUGGAGACGACCCUGCACCGGCGGCCGCCCCUUCCUCUAAAAAGAGAAAAUUAGGUACUGCGAUGGGAGGACUUGGGGUGUCUGAUAGUUUUGCUAGAGAGUUGAUGAGGACGUGUGCGGCCCCGGGGGAAAGGAUGUCUUCGCCCGAGCUCCGGGAGUCUUCGGCUCGGAUGCUGAGGGUUACCGGGGGUUGCUGGCCUAGGAAUGUUCCUAUCCCCUGCGCGGCUGACGAGGACUGUUUUACAUCUCGCAUGGUUCGUAAAUGGAGAGUUUUUCCUUACGGGCGGAAUAUUGCUGCUGUUGUGUCGGCAGUGAUGGACAAAGAUCGCCAAGGGGCAGCGCAAAAACGCCAGGCGACUGUCAGGAUUCACGAAGCUAGGCCAAAAAGGCAGCGGGGAACUGCGAAGGCGGCGCCCUCCGGCGAAGGCAAGCCGCCGCUGGCUGCGAAGGCGGGCGCCUCUGCACCUAGCAAGGCGCCGGACGCAGCGGCGGGCGCCGGAGGCUCCAAAUUGACGAAGGUGGUGCCGCCGGCCAGCGGAGUGGCGGAGGCUUCGAAGGCGGCCCGGACGUCGUCGCCGCCGCCGGGCAAACGUGUUGCCGACUUCGGCACCGAAAUUAAUGUGGACGAUUAUCUUGGUGGUAAGUCGUUGGCUUUUUUUUAAUUCGUUGACGCGUUGCAGGGUCGGACGAGGGCCAGCUUGCUAUAGUUGCGCCUGCCGCGGCGAUCGCGACAGCUGUGCUAGCGCCGAAGGCGAGGGGCGAGACCCUGGGCGCCGGAGGCGAGGUGUCGGCCCUCGCGGCUGUCAGGGACGAGGCGGGCGCAGCGACCCGCCGGCUGAAGGAGGUGACGGAGGCGCUAAGUCAGGUCCGCUGAGCUAUACUCUCUCCCCCCCCUUUCUUUUUUGUGGGCAACGGUCUUACGUGCGCUCUGCAGGUGGCCGACUUCGCCAGCCGUACUGCAUCGGGGGCCCUCACGGCGGCUGUGUCUGCCGAAGUCGAGAGACUUCGGACGCAACAUGCUGACGCUGUCCGUGAGAAGUCGGCCUCCGACAGCAAGUGCCGUAAACUGACGGACAAGGUGGCCGCCCUGGAGAGGGAGAAGGCUGACCUCCGGCGCCAACUGGCGGGGGAGAGGAGGGAGGCCAACGAGGCCAUCGCCAAGGAGCAGGCCGCGCAGGCGGAGGCCAAGCUGGCACGGGCGGAAGGCAAUCUUGCCAAGGAGCUCGCCGAACAUCUGCAGGAGCGGCUCACCGCCCUGGAGAGCCGCGCGAAGGGGGCUGAAGCCGCGAUGCGGGCGGAGGCCGAACGGACGCGCACACAGCUUAUGGCUAUAUAUCGCGAGCUGGGUGCGCGGACCGGUGACUUCGAGGUGCCGGAGCGAGAGCCCGGGCUUCGCUGUCUGGAAUGGGUGCAGGAGGAGCUGCAGGAGCUCCCCACUGUCUUGGGGGGGGGGGGGGUUAAUGUCGUUCGCCUCCCUGGUCACCUGCGAGGGGGCGAUGAACGCACUCUCUCGCGAAGGGUGCCGGCACUUUGAGGUCUUCGACCAGACAGAUGAAGAUUUUGAGCGAGACAUCUAUAAGGUCGAAGACCCCGUGGUGAAGGAAUCCGCCGGGGCCCUCUACGACCGGAUUUGGGGUCUGUACGGUCGUGAGGUGGUCAGGGAGCGGGCCGAGGCUGCGAGGGCUCAGGUAACGUUGUCGUUUGUUUGGCGUUUGCUGGGUGUGGGCUGUGCGUGUGUUUGCUGAAUUUUGCGUGUUUUGUCUUAGGCGGAGCGUGGUGAGCGGGUGGACGACUUCGGGGCGUUGAACAGCACGCUGCCUGACCCGGAGCCGACCCCUGCGGAGGCUGUGCCUGGGGCCGCCCUGGAACCAACCCUGGAGAUCGCGGAAGACGCGCCGGGUGCCCCCACAUCUGCAGCGGCCGUCGAAGACCUGCCCCCAAGGGUGGCCGAAGGCGCGCCUGAUGCCCCCGCAGCUGCUGUGCCGAGUGCUGGAGACCCCGUGGCGGUGGCGGCCGAAACAACGGCGGAGGCAGGAGCUCCCGCAGCGUCAGGGCCUUCGCAGGUGGCGUAGUGGGUGUAUAGGGUUGGGGAUUUUUGGAUAUUUUGCUGAAUUUUGGUUGCUGCGCAGGUUCAAGAUUUUGGGCCUGCGCACGCAACCGCUACUUCUGAAUUUUUGGCGGCUUCGACCACGGAAGGUGGUAAUGAAUAUGGUGGAUCUGCAUCUGAAUUUUUUGAUUUUACUGACUCUGGGAGCUCGGUUGAGUGGACUGAGGAGUCGUCGGAGGAGGACUUGGAUUACUUUGCGGCCUUGGACGUGGCCGCGGCGGAGGCUUCGCCACACGCCGCGGACACGCACGAUGCGCCAGGUUCUAGCACCGGGCGCCGACGACGAAGGGCGGUUGCAAAGCGUAGGGUUAGUGCGGAGGAGGGGGCUCGGCUUCGAGUGAGUAGGGCUGAUCGGCAGGAACUGUUGUCUUUGCCGGCCGCCACGGGUACAGGGGAAGGGGAAUUACGAAGUCUUUUUGCGGGUGAGGAGCUUAGGAUAAUGUUAUUUAAUUAUAGGGAGAUGGGAAUUAUUCCUAAGGUUGAGCCGAUGUAGAGUGUGGUGCCUUCGCUUGUAUAUGUGUAAAAGCUUGUACGAUGAAGUUGUGUGCCCUCGCUUGCCUGUGCCUGCGAAGGCGUUGUGUGCUUUGUCUGGUAUGUUUUGUUAUGCUGUGCUGGUGCGACAGUCUUCGCGGUAUUUGUUGUGCUUUUCCGUAUUUGUUGUGCUUGAUCCUGCUGCGCCCUUAGGCGACUUUUGCGCGGAUAGUCUUCGCUGUAGACUUCGGUCUUUUUCACACUUGUUGUGCUAGUCCGGCUGCACCCUUAGGCGACUUCUGCGCGGAUAGUCCUCGCGGUGGACUUCGGUUUUUGCGCACUUGUUGUGCUUAGUCCGGCUGCACCCUUAGGCGACUUUUGCACGGAUAGUCCUCGCGGAGACUUCGGUUUUUGCGCACUUGUUGUGCUUAGUCCGGCUGCACCCUUAGGCGACUUCUGCACGGAUAGUCCUCGCGGUGGACUUCGGUUUUUGCGCACUUGUUGUGCUUAGUCCGGCUGCACCCUUAGGCGACUUCUGCACGGAUAGUCCUCGCGGUGGACUUCGGUUUUUGCGCACUUGUUGUGCUAGUCCGGCUGCACCCUUAGGCGACUUCUGCACGGAUAGUCCUCGCGGUGGACUUCGGUUUUUGCGCACUUGUUGUGCUAGUCCGGCUGCACCCUUAGGCGACUUCUGCACGGAUUUGUCGCACGCGAGGGUGGCUAGCGCUUAGCCUCGCGGUGACCUCGAUUUGGUCGAAUGCCGAAGACCGUUGUCGCGGUCUUUUUUCGACACAUGUUUUUGCGGGGGAUUUUUCACACAUAUAUUACAUGGCUCCGCCUCGUUAAAAACCUCACCCCCCGGGAGGAAAAGAGUGCGGGCCGGUACAAGAUUGUUUUUGGCGAAUUACAAGGGCAGAAUCGGCCCUGAUGAGUUAAACAAAAAAUUUGCGGAGGUUGUCGAUGUUCCAGGAGUGCUCCAGGUCCUCGCCGUUUGGCAUUGAGAGCCUGUAAGCGCUGGGGGAAGCUUUCGUCUUGACUAUGAAGGGGCCCUCCCACUUGGGCUCCAGCUUGCCCUUAGACUCCGUCCGAGCUGUUCGGACGAGUACGAGGUCCCCUUCGCUGAACUCCCUCGGGAUGACUGUGUGGUCGCGCCAUGCUUUGGUCUGGGCUUGGUAUUUGUUUAGAGCCUGUAGGGCGAAGACACGGUCCCCGUCGAUGAGAUCCUUUGAAGUUGGCUCGUCCACGUCGGGGACAGCUGACGGAACUGUUCGCGGGGACCCAUGCUUUAUUUCUUGCGGGGUCAUGGCCUCCGAUCCGUAUAGAAGGCGGAAGGGAGUAAACCCGGUCGCUCUGCAUUCAGUCGUGUUUAGUGCCCAGACUGCCUCAGGUAACAAAUCGGUCCAUUUCCCCUUUUUUUCAUCAAGGAGCAUCUUCUUGACAGCUGUGAAGAUUUUCCCGUUGGCGCGUUCCACGACCCCGUUGGACUGCAGAUGAUAAACGGAGGCGAAGGCAAGAUUGGUGCCGAUGGAAAAACAGAAAUCCUUGAAGUCUUGGUUGUCAAACUGCUUGCCGUUGUCGACUGUUAGUUCGGACGGCACUCCGAAGCGGCAAACAAUGUUCUGCCAGAAAAAUUUCUGGGCAGUGUUUGACGUUAUUGUAGAAACAGCCCUUGCCUCGAUCCAUUUGGUGAAGUAUUCGACGGCGACGAAGGCGAACUUAAGGUUCCCCUGAGCGGUGGGCAGGGGCCCGACAAUGUCCAGGCCCCAGCGCUGAAGAGGCCAUGUAUGGGCAAUCAGCUUUGUAUACUGCGAGCGGUUGCCUGACCGAGGAGAAAACUUCUGGUAGGCUUCGCAGGACCUUGUGACCCGAUUUGCGGCGCAGAUCAUUGCGGGCCAGUAAAACCCUUGGCGGAUCACCUUGGCAGCUAGGGCCCUUGGCCCUGCGUGCGAGCCGCACGUGCCACUGUGGACUUCACGUAGGAUCUGCAUGCCUUCGGUUUCGGUGACACACUUAAGCAUUGGCUGACUGACCCCUUUCUUGUAAAGUUGGCCCUCAAUCAGUGUGAAGUCCCGGCUUCGAUGUCUGAGGCGCUUGGCCUCGCUGACGUCGGUUGGAUGAUAGUACCCCUGUAGGAACAGGGUUAUUGGUGCCCGCCAGUCUUCGGUCAUGAUUAGGUUGACUAUGCGGUGGCCCUCGCUAUCAUUAGUUAUUUGGAGCCCUUCGGGGCUCCGGACGGCAGGCGUGCCGAUGGUGUGAAAGAACACGUCGGAGGGCAAGGGCUCGCCCCUGGCGGCAGCCUUGGCCAAUGCAUCGGCCUCCUCGUUCUUGGCCCUAUCCACAUGCUAAAAGGUGAAUCCCUUGAACUAUCUCUCGAGACUUCGGAUAGCCGCGAGGUAUUGCAUGAGCGCGGGGUCUUUUGCUGCAUAGUCUUUCUCGAUCUGGCCGGCAACUAUCUUGGAGUCUGUCUUGAUGAUACAUGUGGUGACUCCGAGGGCCCUUAGCUUGCGGAGGCCGAGGAUAACCGCUUCAUACUCUGCUAUAUUGUUUGUGCAUCUGUCGGAUUCCAGAGCGAAGCUGAGGCGUGCUGCAUAUCUGUGUUUGACUCCGGCUGGUGAGGUGACGACUGCAGCGACGCCUGCCCCCGCAUGGCACCAUGCGCCGUCGCAAUGGAUGGUCCAAACCUUCUCUGUGGACGGGUCCGGCUGUGUUAUCGGCCCAGUCCAGUCGACGACGAAGUCUGCCAGGACUUGUGACUUGAUGGCUGUCCUGGGCUCGAAGCUGAUGUGGUAGCCGGAGAGUUCGGCUGCCCACUUGGCAAUCCUCACCGAUGCCUCCGGGUUUCUGAAUAGUUCGCCGAGCCCCCUGUCUGAGGUGACUCGGACCUUGAAUGCUUCAAAGUAAUGGCGCAGUUUGCGUGAGGACAUAACAACUGCGUAGGCGAUCUUCUCCAGCUCUAUCAUGUUGCAUUUGGACGGUGUCAGGACUUCGGAGACAUAGUAAACAGGGCACUGUCUGACUGCGCCCUCAACUGUCUGCUCCUGCACUAGUGCCGCGCUGACCGCGUGCGGCGAAGCCGCGACAUAGAGCAAUAGGGGGAGCGAGGAGUCGGGGCUUGUGAGGAUGGCCAGCUCCGAUAGGUACUGUUUUAGUGAGGCGAAGGCCGCUGCUUGCUCCGGACCCCAGGCGAAGUCUUUCGUGCCGCGGAGGGUUUUGAGGAAGGGGAGACUUCGCUCUGUGGACCUGGAGAUGAAUCUGUUGAGAGCUGCCAAUCUGCCUGUCAGACGCUGGACGUCCCUGGCGGACUGCGGAGGCGACAUGUCGACAAUGGCCUGGAUCUUGGUUGGGUUGGCCUCGAUGCCGCGGUGUGACACCAGGUAACCCAAUAUCUUGCCCUGGCGAACACCGAAGACGCACUUUUCCGGGUUCAGGCGGAGUCGUGCAUCUCGCAUGUUCGCGAAUGUCUCGGCGAGGUCGGCGAGAUGGUCCUCCUUAUUCUUGCUGGCGACGACGAUGUCGUCCACAUAUGUAAAUAUGUUUCUGCCAACCUGCCCUUCGAGUACUGUUUUGGUGAGUCUGGAGAAGGUGGACCCUGCAUUCUUGAGUCCCUCCGGCAUCCUGAUGAAGCAAUAAGUGCCGAAGGGUGUUAUAAAGCUGGUGCUAGCCUUGUCUUCCUCCUUCAUGUAUAUCUGGUGAUAGCCGGAGAAGCAGUCGAGGAGUGACAUGACCUCGCAUCCGGCCGCGCUAUCGACUAUUUUGUCGAUCCGCGGCAAUGGGAAAUUGUCCUUCGGGCAGGCCUUAUUGAGGCUGGUGAAGUCUAUGCACAUUCGCCAUUUCCCGCUUUUUUUCUGCACCAUUACGACAUUGGAGAGCCACGUGGGGUAAGCCACUGGCUCGAUGAAUUUAGCUUCUAGGAGGCGGUGCACUUCCGCCUUGGCGGCCUCUGUCUUUUCGUCGGACAUUUUGCGGAGCCUUUGCUUUUUUGGUCGCACCGAAGGGUCAAUUCCCAAGCUGUGCUCAAUUAUGGAUCGGCUGACUCCGACUAGGUCUAGGGCGGACCAGGCGAAGACAUCUUUAUUCUUGGCCAGGCAGCCGAGAAGCUUCUCUUCUUCAUGUGAUGUAAGGUCUUCGCUGAUAGUGACUGUCUGCUUGGGCGUGGCCUGAUCAAGGGGGACAGUCUUGGUCCCGUCUUGGCUCUGCAACUGUGCCUUGUCGUGCUGCUUAUCGGUUGGGCUGGCGGGCGCAGGGACCUCGCGCUGGGUCGUGAGACAGUGUACGUUCCUCUGACCAGGCACGAAGUCCCGCUCUAUGUUGCGCGCCGUCUGCUGGUUGCCGUAGAUCGUGAUAGCGCCUAGCGGACCUGGUAUCUUCAUACAUAGGUACAGUCCGUGGAUGGCGGCUUCGAACUUAUUGAUGGAGCCCCGGCCCAUGAUGGCGUUGUACGGAUAUACCAUGUCGACAAUGUCGAAGGUUACUUGCUCACUUCGGGCAUUGGGUGCUACACCGAAGGAGAGGGGCAGCUCUAUUUUGCCAACGGGAAAGGUGCCUUUGCCGCCGAAGCCGUACAACGGAUUGUCCGAAGGCUUGAGCAGGCUAUGGCUUAUACCGAUGCGGUCGAAGGCGUGGAGGAAGAUGAUGUCCGCCUGACUGCCGUUGUCGACUAGGACUUUGUGUAAGUCCCAGCCCGCCACGCUGCAAUUGAUGACCAUAGCGUCGAUGUGGGGGGCGCUGCGCAGGUCGACGUCUCGUGCAUCGAAGGUUAGCGGUAUGUGGGACCACUUCGUCUGCACGACUGGGCCAGUGACCGCGACAUGGUUGAUGCUGCGGUAGUGGUCCCGCUUCUGCCGCUUGGUGUCGAAGUCAGUGCUGGACCCCCCUGUUAUCAUGUGAAUGACUCCGCGAUAUGGUUGAUCGGCGAAGUAUUCCUGCUUUGGGGCAUGGGGGAUGUUUUGGUGUUGCUGGUGUGGUGGUGGGGGUGGAGGAGGUACGAUUUGUACUUCCUGAUGGUGUUGGUAAGCGUGGUGCGGUGGAUGCGGAGCGGGAGCGUGGAUAUAUGGUGGAGGGGGUGGCUGGUAAUUAUGCGCGACAAUUCUGGGAUUGUCGGCUGGCUGCGCCCGCGCCAUUCUGUCUCUGGUGGCCUUCGUUUCGGGGCAGUCUUUGGUUUGGUGGGCGCAGUCUUCGCCGUGGAAAAGGCAGUAGAACCGGCGCGGCGGCUGCGCGCGCCCUCGGCCCCUGCCACGAGUUCCGUUUCCGCGGCCCUGGGGGGGAUUUUCCUGGCGACGAGGGGGGUCAGCAGCAGGCUGCUGGUUGGCGAUGUUGUGCACUUGCUGUUGACUGCGGCCAUCUCGACCGGAGUCUGGUUGCGGAGUCCUCGUCCACGUGCGGCUGGACUGCGGGGCAUCUUUGGGCUUCCGCUGUGACUCAACCUUGCGCUGGUGGAGCUCUUCGGAUUUGGCAUAUUUUUCAAAGAGCUGAUAUAGCUCCUGGAGGUUCUUGGGUGGAUCUCUGAUACAGUGGCUGUAGAGGACGCCGGCCCGAAGGCCACUGAUGGCAUAGUGGAUAGCGAUCUGAUCGUCGACGGAGGGCAGCUGUGACUUGAGCGUUAAGAAUUUGCGGUAAUACUCCCGCAAAGUCUCUUUUUCCAGCUGUUUGCAAAGCGAGAGCUCGGCCAAAGCGUCGGUGUCUGGACGGUACCCCUGGAAGUUGAGAAGGAACUUGUCCCUGAGACUUCUCCACGAAUCAAUGGAUAGCGGAGGCAAUCUGGUGAACCAGGUGAGUGCUGGGCCCUCUAGGGCGAUGAUGAAAGACUUCGCCAUUGUGGCGUCGUCCCCUCCGGCGGAUGCAACGGCGACUUGAUAACUCAUUAUGUAUUGCGCCGGGUCGGUGCUGCCGUUGUACUUGGGAUAUGCCCCUGCUCGGAAGUUAGCUGGCCAAGGCGUCACUUGCAGGUGUGGCGCCAGGGGACUUCGCUCGUCGAGGUAGUUGACCCCUUGGAAUGGCGCGCCGUGCUGGAAGGCGUAGUCAUGCUGGGGGAAACGCGGGUUCUCCGGCUGCGCCCGGUGUUGCAGGGGUGGGCCAUGCUGCAGGCCGAGGUGACCUUCGCGCGUGUCUUCCGGUUGUGCGCGCUGCUGGAGGGGUGGCUCUUGCUGUAGACCGAGGUGGCCUUCGCGCUGCAUCAGCGCGAUCUCGCGCUCGAGGUCUUGGGCCUUCUGCUCCUCGUCGCGUAUCAUUUGCCGCACCUUGGCUAGUGCGGACACACGCUGGCGUUUGGCCUCCAGUAUCUCUUUCUGCCUCUGGAGAUUGCAGUUCUUGAGGCGCAGGGCGCGCAGCUGUAACUGUUCUUCUGUUGAGACGCCGAGGACCUCGCCGUCCUCGGUGAGAUCCGCGCCCUCCAGUGGGGCGAAGCCUAGGGGCGGCUGCGAUUGUCCUUCGGGCCCGCAGGUGCGGAAGGUGUCGUCUUCGCAGGUGCGGGGAAUAUUGUCUUCGGUGGGCUCUUGGUGGGUGGAUUGGGUGAGGGCGAGGGCCUUGCCCUUUCUUGCGGCAAGCAGUGCUGCCUUUGCAGCCUCGUCAGCCUUCGGGUUAGCUCUCUUGGGUGCCAUCGCGGGUGGUUUUGUCGUAGCACGAACGGUGGGCGCCAAAUGUUGGAACUUGCUCACAGUCGCAAGGGGCCAACAAGGGUGAGUAGUGGUGACAACAAAGUUACGCGCAAGAAGGCAAUAGCUCUGUUAAUCUGGCCUCUCACGGGCACUGUGCGGGGGUAUUUAUAGGUACCUGAGCACCCAGCGCCUUGUGUUAAGGACGCAUGUGCCCUCAGCUACCUAGGUUAUCCCCGGAAUAUUCCCAUAAAGCAGGGUUACAGACUGUAAUUACAGAGAUGCCUUUACAGAUUAGGCCCGUAACUCGCGACGGCCACGCAGGGCCCGUUACAAUGGGCCGGAACGCACGUGGGCCUCUGAGCUGGACGAGGCCGCACCGUGGGAUGACUUCGUCGCCGCUCUCCAUCUGGUGCCGAACGAGCGAAGGGUAUCCCUGCCUGUUCUGUCCCUGUCUGACCAGCGGUUAUCAGCGAAGACUUCGAGCGAGGGGUAGCGCCUCUGCCUUCGCCCCAACAAUCAUAAAAGUAAUCAGAGUUCUUCUAAUCAAAGAGGAUCCCAAGGCUGCUCUUAACCGUGAGCUCGACUGAUAUACCAGUUUCUAACACUCUGCAGAGGUUGCACACUUUACCCACGAGUCGUGAUUCCUAUUCUGCCCGGAGAUCAUGACUCUCCAUUGAUCACUACCAAGGUGACCUGGCAGGGUCUCACUACAUAGCCUUUACAAAGACUCCCCUGGUGCAUAGCUACUUGUUAGGUUUCGCCAGUCGUACUAACGCAGUACACCUCCCCAAGGUGGGUGGCUAACAAAACCAAAUCGAAUGAACCUCUGCACCCCCUUGGCAGAGCGAGCACUACGCCCCGACCCCCAUUGACGGCCCUCAGGCAAAGCCAACUACACCCCCAAGUUCAUCUAAUUAUUUGGCUAUGGGCGUCCCAUUCCACCCUCAUGGUUGCACUGUUAUCCUGGGUGGUCAUUCCACGAACAGGUCCUUACAGAGAGGUACUCAGAAAAAUGGCCUAAGUCCCCUAGAGUAUCACAAUAUCAUCAUUGGAAUAACAUCAUCGUAUCAUAAAUGUUCACAUCAUAUUCAUUGAUUAAGUUGAAGCAAUAUCAUAAGCUAACCAUGAUUAACCCAAAAAGGUAAACAAGGAUAAGUAAAUACAGACUAGUAUUUCCUUAGGUUUCAAUAAUGUAAUACGGGACGGUGAAUUAUAAAGUAAGUAGGACAUAAUAGGUCAGAGGACACUUGCCUUCACGAGGUUGUUGCUCAGGAAGAUCUUCAGCAACACACUCAGGAACCACGGGCUUCUCGUUGUCUAAAUAAAGCGACCAUGCAUUCAAUACAUUUGGUAAAUGACAAAUAAACAACACAUCAAUCAUGUACAAACAUGGGAACACAUCUCAAAAGGAAAAGGAUCAACUCAAAAGGGAGUUUAAAUCAUAGGGUGAACUAAUCUUAUUUAGUAGUUGAUUAUUCUUUAAGUGUUGUCCAUGAUUAUAUAAUCUGAUUCUAUCCAUUUUAAUGAGACAUAAAAGUUAAACCAGAGAUAAAUUCAUGUAAUACAUAUUAUUAAUCUCACAAGAUUAAAUAUUCUUUAACCACUAGGGUUGUCCUUUUAUCUAUUUUGUUAAGCGAACAAUUCAACACAUACACUAACCUAUAGUCUAGGUAUAAAAUUAGAGUAUACAGACUGUGAAUGAACAUAAUUUAUUUGAACAGAGAAUAUUCCUAUGAACAUUUUGCAAUUUGAAUGACUAAAUUCGGAGUUCAUAUGAAAAAGAUAUGAAAUAAACAAGUUUUAAAGUUUGAAAUAUAAAAAUAGGUCUAAUUCUGUGAUUAUUUAAAAGCCUAGGGUUCAAUCUGCAAGAUUUCAGGGGCCUGCGCACGAAAACUAGGGAUGGUAGGUUGAUUCCAAACAAACUGAGAGUCUCUUUAACAAAAUCACAGCACGAAGGGGUAUCGGGCUCUCUCGGCCAUCGGAUCUGAGAUCAACGGCUGAGAACAGAUCCGCGUGCGAGCGCACAGACGCGGACGCGCACUGACCAGCGGGCCAGGGCGGUCAGCGACCGAGGGCAGGGAGGCGGACUGACCGGUCGAGCCCGGUGCCAGGGGCACAUGCGGCCGACAGAUGGGUCCGAGCGCAGGACGCGCGCGCGAAGCGGUAUCCCGUGAUCUGGGCCGUGCGAUCAGAAUCGAACGGUGGAGAUCAACACCGGGAGGGUUGAUGGCUGCGGACGGCGUCGCUCCUGCUCACGGCGGUGAGGUCGCUGGAAUUGGGGCGGGUCGCUUGGUGCGGCUUCUAGCGGGCUGGAUGACCGGCACGGUGGGUGCGAGUCUCCGGCGAGGUCGAGCAGCGAGGGCAGAGUGCGAGAGAGGGCGAGCUUGCACGAAAUGGGACGGGGAAGCGAGUGCGGGUGCGGGCGGUGCUCAAAAGGGAGCUAGGGGUGCGUGGGCGGGCGACAUGGCUAGGGAUCUCGGCGUGCAUGCGUGCGUGCUGCUGGUCCACGGCGGGCCGCGGGAAAGGCGAAGCUGACAGGGCGUUCCCACGGCGCAGCGAGAGGGGGCGGGCGCACGGGGGAAACAGCUUGGCGCGCUGACGAGGCGGGCCCGCGAGGCAGAAAGGGAAAAAGGGCACGAGGUCGAGGGCGACUGGUGCUGACAAAGCGGUCCCACUGGGUAGAGGGAGAGGGGGAGGGGCGCGCGCUGAGGGAAACCGCCGCUAAUAGGUGGACCCACCUGUCAGGUGGCGUGGGCACGCGCGCGGCCCAUCUGGGCUGGACUGCGGCAGAUUGGGCUGAAUUGGUUUUCUCUUUUUCCUGAGAAUUUCUAAUUUAUUUUCUAUUUUAUUUUCUCUAGUGUUUUCAAUUCAAAUUCAAACCAAGUUUCAAAUUCAAACAUGUGCAACAAUUUCCAAGAAUAUUUAACCUCAGCAUGAUGCAACAUUUCUUGACUCAUAAUGUUUUGAAAAAAUAAAUAAUUAAUCCCUCACUAAUUAAGCUAAAUCUACUCAAAAGGAAAAGAGAGAGAGAGAAGCUAGACAGUGAUACAAGAGUAACAACAAAAUUUGGUAGAUAUUUAGAAAGAAAUUUUAUACCCCCAAUUUCAGGGUGUUACAGACCUAUCCCCCUUAAAAAGAACCUCGCCCUCGAGAUUCAAGGUUGGCUAGAAAAGAGCUCAGGGUACUUGGCUUUCAAAUCAUCUUCUCUUUCCCAGGUUGCUUCUUCUUCUGAGUGAUGGCCCCAUUUGACUUUGCACAUACUGAUGGUGCUUCUCCGAGUGACUCGAUCUGCUGUCUCCAAAAUCUGAGUUGGUGUAACACUAUAAAAAUCAUUAAAUAAAAAUAGUGCAGUUAGUUAUUAAUGGUAUUUUAUGGUAAUAAAUUUUCUUUUAAGUGUUUGUUAUUUCUUUGCAGUUGGAAUGAUUUUUGAUUGCUCAUGAUUGGUUUUUGAAUAUUAAAUAACAAUUCUUCUUCAAUGAAAAUCCUAGUAAAUAAUAUAUAUAAUAAUUAGUAGUACAAACUAAAUAUUUUAUUUAUAAAUAAUUUUGGUAAAUUUUUUAUGAAUUUUAGGGUUAUUUAAAAAUAAGUUUUUGAAAUUAGAAAAGAAAAAUAAAAAAAGAGAAAAAACCCUAACUAACCUAACCCUAAAGCCCACCAGGGCCCAACAGGGAGCCGCACGCGCCCCUACCCUAACCUAAUCCCGUCGUCGCCCCUCUCCCUGGCAACAGCCGCCGCCACCCACCCGUCCCCACUCUCUUUCCUCUCUCCCUUCUCUCUCUAGAGCGCCGCCAGGAGCAAGCCCUGCCGCGCCGCCAGGAGCAAGCCCUGCCGCGCCGCCUCGAGCCCCUGCACAACCGGCCACCCCGUGCCAAGCACGCAGAAGCGGACCCGACGCCACCCAGCGCCCCUGUCGUGUCGCCCGACGCACCGGCGCCAGGAGCCGCGACCCGCGCCCAGGCGCGACACCCGCAGCCACCACGCGAUGCAGACCCGAGCCGCCGCGACACCGCCCCGACGCGACCCCGGCCGCACCAGCGAUCCCGUGCCCCGACUGCCUCGACACGCCGCAAGACCCGCCGCGACCUACGCUGCCAUGAAGCCGAACCGACCGUUCUUCUCCUCGCGUGUAAUGGAGUUUAUUGCAGCUGUUUCUCCUCUCCAAUACUCCCUUGAUGGCCUUGAAGCCAUGGCCGACCGCUCUUUCCUCUCCCUCACUCUUCUCUAUAAAUUGGGCAGCCGAGCUCUUCUCUCUCCCUACCCCAAGCUCGCUCCCUCCUCUCGGUUCUCUCUCCCUAGCCGUUCGCCCUCGUGAAGUUCGUCGCCGGACCGUUCGCGCCCGUUUGUCAUUCAACGGAGCUCCGCCCGUGCCUACGCGCUGUCCGUCGUUCGCCGUCCGUCCUGGAGUCCGUGAAGCUCAUCCACGCAGCACCCCAGCGACCGUGCCCACGCCGUUCGCCGUCAUCCGUUCACCCAAGGUUGAAGACAACCCAAAACAAUUUGAAUUCAUUUUUAUCAUGAUUGAAUUUAUGAAUUUUGUGAAUUAUUGUUGUAAUUUUGAGAUGAUGUGAUUUGGCGAUUCACGUGUAUGAUUUUAGAGAUUUGCGAUGUAUACGUGUAACCAAAAUCUAACCCCGCUACAAUAUUUUAAAUAUGCGUAUGAUUUUAUAAUUCGAAAAAUGAACACGGUCACUAUUCACUAACUCAGUGAUGUUCAUACUAGAAAUGUUUAUAAUUGAUUUCGCUUUAGUGUUUGGAGCGAUAAUCGGUUAGUAUUGAUAUAAGUAUAAUUUUAGUGAUAUAAGAAAUUGAAAUAGGAAUUAAGCCACGUAUUUCCGGUCGAAUGAAAAUAUAUAGAUUUUACUAUUCAUAAUAAAUAUAUUCAUAAGUAUAGCACUUAAUUACUUAGAAUAGUAAAAUGCUUAUUUAUGUCAUAAUAACCAUGAAUAGUGUUGGGGAUUUGUUCUCAAAUGCUAUGAGUUAAGAACAAGGCAACAUAAAAUAUUAAAUGUUAAUAUCCUUCGUCCUUCGAAGCAUUAUUUCCUUUAGGAUAUAAUGAUCUUUAGACGAAGGUUAUGAAGGGACAUACCUUCAUAAAUGUGAUAUACAUUUAUAUAAGUAGAAGUAUAUGGAAUAUAGGAGGCAACAUAUACAAUCAUAUAACAUUAUUAAUUCAUUAUCAUUAUAUUAUUCUGGAAAGACAGAAACAAUAUUGAAUUACAAAAGGUACCUUCGGCUUGAUGGAAGGUGAAAAUACAAGUGUGACGCAAAAGUGAAUACAAGUCAGCGUGAACAGUACGGGGAUACUGUUCAUCUAUUUAUAGGCACAGGACGCAGCCUGUGAGAAAUUACAUUCAUGCCCUUUACAUUUAUUAUUGACUUAUAGACAAUUCUCUGAGGACUAGAUAGCCUUUUCCCCUUUAAGUCGGUUCCUUUUUUCGCCAUUUAGCUGAAGCUCCCCUGCGCGUAGCUUCGGAGCAACUCCAACCUUCGUCUCGAUCAUGCUUUUUACAUCGUACAUGCUUUUAGCCCAAGUCCGAAGGUACCUGUUUAUAUGUCACACUUGGAAGAUAUUGUUAAAUCACAUUUUUGAGGACCUUCGGAGGACGAAGGCCCCCAACAGUAGCCCCUCACAGUAUUAAUUUGUUUAAGAUAACGAAUUCAGACUGUGACAUGGACGAAGGUCUUAAGCCGAAGGUCCGAAAAAACACCUUCCCUUUGCUAGAAUAGCAACAGUCAAUGACAGACGACCCCCCAAUUUGGAGCGUGCUGAGCGUAUAAAUAAGAACCCACACUAACCACAUUUGAUACGCUGCUUGUGCCACUUGCUUUAUUUUCUCAAUUUCAUAGCUCUUGCUCACUAACGCUUGCUAGUUUUUCAAGCUCUCUGAGCUUCGGUUAAAAAGACACAUCUUCGUCAUUUCUGAAAGAGAAAUGACUCAAGACAAGAAGGCUGCUGCUGAGUCGAAGCUGACUGAAGAGGAGAAGCUUUUUGAGGAGAAGAAGGCUGUGAAUCCUCACAUUGCUGGAUUUAUCGAAUCAAUGGCAAAAACAAAUACAGAGAAUAUUACUAAGGAAAUACUAGAGGGUCUAUCUGAAGAUACUGGUGACAGUGAUAAUUAUGAUGCUGAAAGCGGGGGAGAAGAUUCUAAGGAUCGGCCCUGGAGGCUGAGUCAUACAAUUUUUGGGAAAUCAAUAAUUAAACAGAGUCAUCUUGACAAUAUGAGAGGAAGAUACUUUUGGGAUAUGUCUAUUGUGAGAGCUGGUGGAGACAACAACGUCCCUACCCCCGAGGAAGACGAAGUUGUGAUUUACCGAAGUUUCUUCAAAGCUGGGCUUCGGUUCUCACUGAGCAGGUUUGUAGUUGAAGUGUUGAAAAUAUAUCAGAUUUACCUUCAUCAGAUAACCCCCGAAGCUAUUAUUAGAAUGGGGAUCUUUGUUUGGGCUGUGAGAAGCCAAGGGCUGGAGCCAAGCGUGAAAUGCUUUUGCAGUAUGCACGAACUUGUAUAUGAAACGAAGGCCAUGGGCAAAGAACAAUAUCAUAACAAUUUUGGUUGUUAUGGAUUUAUCGCUCGCCCCAACGCAAGCCACCCGGUGCCAACAUUCUGGAAAAGGUGGCCCGGAGCUUGGAUGGAGGAAUGGUUUUACGUGAAGAAUGAUUUGAAGGCAAGAGAAGAUAUUAAGGAAGUCAUUAUGCGCCCCAUUUGGUCCCGCUUCGGCCUCCGAAUGCCGAAGGUUGAAAUUGAUGAUGCUGCGGAAGCUUGUCAGAAGGCAUUUGAUAUCGUCUGCUUCUUCAUUGGUACAAGAUAUUUAGUUCAAGAGCAAAUAGCAUUCAGAGUAUGGCCGCUUGUAGAGAGCUGGGAAAUGCCGAAGGAGACCAUCACCAAGUCUAGCGAAGGUGAACUGGUCCGGCUGAAGUAUACAUUCAGAUAUGGGGAUAAAUUCGAUGAACCAAACGAUGACUGGCUAAAAUGCAUCGAAGUUACAAGUGAUGAGUUGCUUGGAGCUUAUUCCAAGGCAGAAGAUAAUGCACUAUCUACAGCCUUCGGAGGUCGGGGAAAAAAGAGAAUAAAUAGAGUUUUUGACGCCAUCGGUUUCGUCUACCCCGACUACCACUACCCGCUGCGGGGACAGGGGAAGCAGAGAAAAGCUGCUGCUUUGGCCGCCCCAGCUGAACCUGUGCCGAAGGCUGCAGACAAAAAGAUGAAGGUACUUACCCACCGGCCGCGUUACAUUGAACCGGCUGUGGUGCCUGAGUUUGGCAGGGAGGCUUCUUCAGCUGUUGAAUCAAGAGAACUUGUUCCUCUCAUGCAGAAGGCUGAAGAGCCGGCUAUAAUGCCGAAGGCACCUUCGGUUGAGCUAGUUGAAAACGAAGGUUGACAAAGAUAAGGCUGGAAGGUCAAAAACUGAAGAAGUAACAAAGAUGCCAGGGAUUUUAAGUCCUUCAACAGAAGCAACAGCGCUGAAGGCAGAAAAGAGUUCUGCCACAACUCCUAAGAGAAGUAGGAUGGUAAAUGUAUUAGAUAUUUUAGAAACAACCGACUCCAUAAGUCCCGCUCCCACAGGGAAGGUUGCCGAAGCUGACAAAACGCAACCCAAAGCUGAUACUAAGCAAAUAGAAGUUGAAACUACAAUAACCCAGGCUGAAACCGAGGCAAGGCCCAUAGUGCCUACUGAGACGAAGCUUGCCACCACCGAGCAGAAGGCCGAAGGAAUAACUCCAGAUAUUAAUAUAGCUUUUGAGAAGAGUGUGGCCAAAGGGGCCGAAUCCCUUGCCCCUGAAGCACCCUCUGAAGAUUUUGAUUAUAUCAUUCGACAUGCUUUGGGAAAGAGAUUAUCCGAAGAAGAAAUUUUUGAAGCUAAACACUAUGCUCGAGAACUGAAGUAUCCGAAGGGGGCCUUAGUGUUUAACGGUACGGAUGAAGAUGAUUUCUUGUACUGCCUCCCGGACAACAAAGAAUUAUCUGUCUACCGGGAGAUGGCCAGAAGUAUGGGUUUUUCGAAGCUCGAAGCUGGCCUUUGUGCCAUGACGAAGGACGAUCUCACAGAUAGUCAUGCAUACAACAGUCUGAAGGUACAACAAUUGUGAAUUUUGAAGCUUAUGGACUAUGUAAUGGAGUCUUUUUAUUCUUAUGUUAAUCCUUUAUUCUGUCUUGCAAGGCUUAAUACUUAGCAACGUCCUAAGGGCGCAAAAGAAUGCUGAAGAUGAGAGUUGCACUAAGCUCUCAAUAACCUUCGAUCAGAGGUUAUCAGGCUGAGAAACGAAGCCACGGAAAAAACAAGAUUCUACUUUCAUUGGUGGAUAAAGUAAAGGAGGAUGAAGCUAUCUUCAAAAAUCAAUCUGAGGCCCAAAAAAUUGAGAUUGAAGACCUUCGGAAACAGUUGACCGAAGCCAAGGAAAAAUGUGGUCUCAUAGAGGCCUACCAAGAUAUUAGUGAGUAUUGGAAAAACUAUUUAGAAAAAAUAGUUGAAGAACUUCACGCAUCUAAAUAAAGAUGCUUCGAAAAAUCCCUGGGCUGCAUGGAGAAGAUAAAGGCUAGCUUCGCCAAUGUGGGCGCCUAUUCCAACGAAGAUAACUUUAUACGAGGCGACCAUGAGGGUGUUAUUGAAUGGAUAAGCGGAGAGGCCAAAGCUUUUGAAGAAAUCUUAAGUGAUCGAGGGGAUGUAUGUGCAUUUUCUGGUGCACGCGGGAUUUCAGCAAUCUUGGAGAAUGCGGGGUGCAAUCACAUCAAAACCAUGGCCCAGGCCAAAGCUACCUUGUCCACGGACGUCACGAAGGACCCUUCAGCUGAAGCAACCUUAAUGGGCGGAAAAUUUUAUAAUGAUGUGUGGGAGAAUGGUGGCUGAGAAAUGGCUCAUGAAAUUAUGAAGAAAAGUGAAAAAGACAUCCAUGAAGCCCGAGCCGAAGCAAAACGAGCUGAAGAAGCUGCUGAGCGUGAAAAACGCAUAGGUAUUGUCUUAUGGGCUUUAGCUUCGUCGUUUGUUUUCGUGACUUCGAACUGAUUAAUUUUUUCUACUGCAGCUGAAUUGUCUCCUACACCGGAACCGUUCGACCCCCUGGCCGACCCAGAAACGAAGAAAGCAAUAGAGAUCAUCAAUAUAGCCGAAUCUAUUGUUGACGAAGUUGUUAACAAAUUGUUAAAUGAAAUUGCGGAAAAGGUCCUGAAAGAGGAGUAAUACUUUUUGUAAAAUAUUUUUAGAUGAUCAAUGUAGCUUUGCUGUAUCAAAACUGUAAUAUUCGAUGUGCAUAUUUUUGAAUCUAAUAUGUAAACUAUUUGGAGUUCAGUUCUUUGCGAUGCAUGAAACUUUAUAUACAUACCGUUUUUGAGCCUUCGACGAAAAAACACCUUCCCUUCUUUUCAUGCUUUGCAAAGAAGAAAAUCCGUGCUUCGUGAAAAUAACCGUGCUUUAUAAAAACAUUCCAGCUUUGUAAACAAAGGAUCCCUUCUUUUGCAAUAGAGCUGACGAAGCUAUAUUCUUCAGCUAACCUUGUGCCUUAGCACAUUUUUAUUUUUUAUAAAGCAGUCUCCGAAGGUCAACUUCGUAUUCAAUUCGUGUCAUCGAUGCAAUAUGAUGUAUGAUGUGAUGCUAUACGGGAUGAUGUGAUGAUAUGAUGCGAAGGAUGAUGCUAAUGCCGAAGAUACGCACCCACACGCCCACACUGGAACACACCAUCUCUGCGUCCCCUUAGGAACGAUCGAAAUCUCUUUGCCGUUUAUUUUUUGGCUUCACCGCUUAUUUUUCGGUGUAAGUUCUGCAUCCCCUUAGGAACGUCUUUUGAACUUCUUCGCCUUCUAUUUCAGCAGUAUCACGUUGACUUCUCGGUGUAAGUUCUGCAUUCCCUUAGGAACAUCUUUUGAACUUCUUCGCCUUAUAUUUCGGCGGUAUUUGGCUCUGCAUUCCAUUUGGAAUGACUUUUAAGCAGAAAACUUACACUGCGCUCCCUUAGGAACGACUUUUGUAGCUUCGGCAACACUUACACUGCGCUCCUUUAGGAACAACUUUUUGUAGCUUCGGUGAAACUUUGGCUGCGAUUUUUGGCUCUGCAUUCCCUUAGGAACGUCUUUUGAGCUUCAGCAAUUUUUGAGCUUCAUAAAUAUUUGAAGAAGAUAUAUUUCAUUCUGAUAAAAGUGAAACUAUUACAAGAAAUUAAAACUAGUUCUGCAUUGUUUAUUCCAUAUUGAAAAACAAAAUGACAUAGAACAUAAAAGUACUUCAGGGGUAGGAUAUCGCUCAAUAAAUGUGCUUUGAUUCUGGCAAAGUACUAUUGAUUGUGCGAGCUUCGGAUUCCUCCCUUACUUCACGUUGCUGCUGAGAAUACUGGCGCCCUUCUGGCUGGCUUCGAGAGUAGGCUGGCUGUAGUGGUGGUGGGGGUGGGAGUUGUGGCUAGGAAGCCUGUUAGUGGCUAGCCGAAGCAACAGAAGCUGCAGGAUGAUUACCCACAUAUUCUAGUAUGUAGGGAGAGUGGCACGAAGCAGUGUGCAAGACUUGCUUCGGCUGGUUCUGCCGAGCUUCAGCUUCUGCUAUCUCCUUCUGCUUCUGAAUGGUGAUUCGACACAUUCUUGUAGUGUGGCCCUUGUCUUCACCACAGAAUAAGCAAUAAAUUUUUCUGGGCUGAUCCCCAAAUCUUCCUCCGAAGCCCCUGGCGCCUCUGCCCCUUGGAGGCGGCGACCUGAAGGAGCUUUACUGUUGCCCCGAAGAUUGUGAGGUGUACUGUGACCUCUGGGGCUGGCUUCCCUUGUCAUUGCUCUGGCUGGAGAUGUGGAUCGACCUGACAUGCCUUGGAUGAAUUUGUCCUCCGAAGCCCCUAGUCAUCUCAGAGAAUCUGUAAGCUUCCUCCUUUCUUUGGCGGAAGUCAUUGUCAGCCCGAAUGUACUCAUCCAUUUUUUGAAGCACCUUCUCCAGAGUCUGUGGGGGUUUUCUGGCGAAAUAUUGAGCAGUAGGUCCUGACCGAAGACCCUUGAUCAUGGCCUCAAUGACAAUCUCAUUGGGCACUAUAGGCGUUUGUGCCCUCAGUCGCAAGAACCUUCGGACAUACGUCUGGAGGUAUUCCUCAUGGUCUUGUGUGCAUUGAAACAGGGCCUGAGCUGUGAUUGGCUUCGUCUGAAAGCCUUGGAAACUGGUCACCAGCAUGUCUUUAAGCUUCUGCCACGACGUGAUAGUCCCUGGCCGAAGAGAAGAAUACCAUGUUUGGGCUACAUUUCGGACUGCCAUGACAAAGGACUUCGCCAUGACUGCAGUAUUGCCCUCAUACGAAGAUAUGGUUGCUUCGUAGCUCAUCAGAAACUGCUUUGGAUCUGAGUGCCCAUCAUACAUGGGAAGCUGAGGUGGCUUGUAUGAUGGGGGCCAUGGGGUAGCCUGCAGUUCUGCUGCCAAGGGAGAAGCAUCAUCAAAAGUAAAGGCAUCAUGAUUAAAGUCAUCAUACCAUCCAUCUUCGUUGAACAAGCCUUCUUGAUGAAGCUCCCUAUGUUGGGGCCUUCGAUCUUGUUCAUCUUGAGCAAGAUGACGCACUUCUUCAGUAGCUUCGUCGAUUUUCUUUUGAAGAUCAGCUAGUCGCGCCAUCUUCUCCUUCUUCCUUUGUACUUGCUGAUGGAUGAUUUCCAUGUCCCGGAUUUCUUGGUCCAACUCCUCCUCCUGGAGUGUUGGACUGGUGGCUUUCCUCUUCUGGCUUCGAGCCUCUCGAAGAGAAAGAGUUUCCUGGUUUGGGUCCAGUGGCUGCAGUGCAGCAGUCCCCGAUGCUGAAGCUUUCUUCGGCGGCAUGAUGAAGGUCAGUGCUUGCCGAAGGUGGUCGAAAGAGUUCACCGAAGGUGGGCGCCAAUGUUGGGGACUUGUUCUCAAAUGCUAUGAGUUAAGAACAAGGCAACACAAAAUAUUAAAUGUUAAUGUCCUUCGUCCUUCGAAGCAUUAUUUCCCUUAGUAUAUAAUGAUCUUUAGACGAAGGUUAUGAAGGGACAUACCUUCAUAAGUGUGAUAUACGUUUAUAUAAGUAGAAGUAUAUGGAAUAUAGGAGGCAACAUAUACAAUCACAUAACAUUAUUAAUUCAUUAUCAUUAUAUUAUUCUGGAAAGAUAGAAACAAUAUUGAAUUACAAAAGGUACCUUCGGCUUGAUGGAAGGUGAAAAUACAAGCGUGACACAAAAGUGAAUACAAGUCAGCGCGAACAGUACGGGGAUACUGUUUAUCUAUUUAUAGGCACAUGACGCAGCCUGUGAGAAAUUACAUGCAUGCCCUUUACAUUUAUUAUUGACUUAUAGACAAUUCUAUGAGGACUAGAUAGCCUUUUCCCCUUUAAGUCGGUUCCUUUUUUCGCCAUUUAGCCGAAGCUCCCCUGCGCGUAGCUUCGGAGCAACUCCAACCUUCGUCUCGAUCAUGCUUUUUACAUCGUACAUGCUUUUAGCCCGAGUCCGAAGGUACCUGUUCAUAUGUCACACUUGGAAGAUAUUGUUAAAUCAAGUUUUUGAGGACCUUCGGAGGAUGAAGGCCCCCAACAAAUAGGUUAUUAAAAGUCUCAUUUAGUAAUAUACAAUUAAUUCUUAGUAUAUUAAUGUUAUAAGAAUUUAGUAAACAAUUUUAGCCACACGUAUAAAUUCUAUUUAGAAAAGAAAGGAGAAAACCGAAAGAGUAGAAUUUAUAAUAAUGUUAAAAUGACUUAACUAGGCACCCAUACUUUUCUAAUAAAGAAAUUAAUAGUUAUGUUGGUAAACAUAGGUUUCUUACUAAAAAAUUAGAUAACUUGUUUCUAGUUUAAAAUGACCUUUUAAUAGAUAUCAUAUUUAACAAGGUUCGUUAUAGAUGUUUAAGUAUAGCUGUGUUAAAUAGAAACUUAAAAGAAUAUGUAGACCGUAUGUUUCCUAAUAAAAAUAGAAGAUAAAUAUAUGUCCAAUUAAUAGAUUAUUUAUAUUUCUUAAUUAAAAGAUAACAAGGGCCAGUGCUUUUAUAAACUAAAAUGAUAGUUUAUACAUAACUUCCUUCUAAUGAAUUAGAUCAUUUGUUCUUACAAUAGAAUUAAAGAUAAUUAAUAGUUAAUUAUCCUUUAUCAUAAUGUAUUAAUCAAAUCUAUAGUCAAUUUGUUCUUAAUUAGGUUUAUGGCGUGAUUAAUGAUUUCAUAAAAUUUAGUCCACAUUAUUUACAAAUCACUUAGCUUUUCCUAAAGGAUAAAAUAAAGUAAUAAGAGUUUAAGUUCCUUUAUAACUUAGAAUGUUAUUUUAUAUUGACUUCGAAUAUAAUAAUAUAGGCCAUGCACUUUCUAAUAAAAAUAAAAUAUAGUUGUUUGUUCAUUGUCUUUUACAUAAAAGUUCAUUUAAGGCAUAUAUCAUAACUUUUCAUAAAAUAGGUGUUUAAUAAUAAUGAUCUUUUUAUAUAAACCUAUUUAGAAUUAUAUCGUAGUUUAUCAUAAGUGAAUGUUUAACAAUGAUUUAUAAGAUGUUCCAUAAUGCUUCUAAAAUUAAUGACGUGUUUCGUAGCCCAUUAACCUUAGAUAUAACAUAUAUCUUUUCUAAAAGGUUAAAAAGGUUUAAUAUUGUUAUAACGUGUUUGAUCAUCUUAUAAACCCUUAAUCUUAGACAUAUCACGUAUGCCGUUUUAUAAAGGAUUAAUUUGGUGAACCUAAUGUUUGUAUAUUUUAAUUAAGAUAUUUUAAAGCUCAUGUCUUGUUUUAUAAAGUAUAGAUCACACAUUUUUGAAAAGAAUACCCUCUUAUUAUAACCAUUACUUGCGACGUUUUUGAAAAGCGAACACUCUUUUCGUUAGGCUUUCUUUUAGCUUUACGUAUGGUGAAUGUUGUAUGUUAUUGAGUGGUGUUUGUUCUUCUUGUUUGUUUGUGUGAUAUUCAGUGGUUGAUCUAGUAGUUAAGAAUCAAGAUCUUUUCCUAUACGUGGAAGAACCUCAAGAUUUCAAUAAGCAAGGCAAGUGGACUUCUCCCUCUGCAUACUCUGUUUGAUCCCAAACAAUACAUUUAAUAAAGUUUAUUCUUGGAUAUAUAUGCAUAAUUUGACGGGUUACCUAUUCGGAUACAUCUAACCUUUUCUACCGUAUUCCUUUAUCAAACUUGGGUAUUAUACUUUACCUUCGUAGCUAUGCUAUUGCUACAACUUAACUUUAUGCAGUCACUCCUGUUUAUGAUAUUAAUGUUCCAAAUGGUAAGUUUACUUUAUUGUUGUUAACCCGAUGGUUAAACAAGAUUAUUGCAUAUUAAUUGGAACAUGGAGUGACCACCCGGGAAAACAGUGCUACCAUGAGAACUAUCAUGGCUCUGGUCUUUGCUAAAUAACUAGGGAAGUCUUAUGUUGGGUGCUAGUAUGAGAAGUGAACUCAUUGCCUCUGUCUGAUACUAUCUUCUUUGGAACGCCAUGCAAGCACACAAUCUGAGACAUGUAUAGUUCAACCAACACUUCACUAUUGUAGGUGGUCUUGACUGGUAUGAAAUGGACCGCCUUUGUCAAACGAUCCACUACUACACAGAUGGAGUCAUAACCAGUAUGAGUGCGAGGCAAACCAACUAUAAAGUCCAUCCCGAUCUCAUCCCAUUUCCACUAAGGAUUCUGUAAUGGCUGCAACAAACCUGCGGGCCUCUGAUGUUCUGCCUUGAUCCUCUGACAACUAUCGCAUACAUCCACAUACUCUGCUAUCUCCCUUUUCUUACUGUACCACCAGAAUCUUUUCUUCAGGUCUUGGUACAUCUUCUCGAUACCAGAGUGUAUAGAAUAUGCUAUCUCAUGAGCUUCCUUGAGAAUCAGUUCCCGGAUUGAUUUGAUGUCGGGAACACACAAUCUAUCCUUGAACCAUACCACUCCUUCUGCAUCUUCACGGAAAUCCUUGCCUUUUCCAUCUAUGAUCAGCUGCCGGAUCUCGUUGAUCUUCUCAUCAUCCUUUUGGCCCUUCCUGAUAUCUUGCUUUAGAGUGGGUUCCAGCUCAAUUGUCACUCCUUGAGUGUUGUUCAGAAAUCCGAGACCCGAUCUAUCGAAUUCCUUUGCUAGCUCAUACGGCAUGGAGUGAGCGGCCAACGUAUUGACUUGACUCUUUCUGCUUAGAGCAUCUGCAACCACAUUUGCUUUGCCUAGGUGAUAAUGGAUCUCCAGCUCAUAGUCUUUGAUCAACUCUAGCCAUCUUCGCUGCCUCAUGUUCAGCUCUGACUGGGUGAAUAUGUACUUGAGACUCUUGUGGUCCGUGUAGAUAUCACACUUUUGCCCAUACAGAUAGUGCCUCUAGGUCUUCAGUGCAUGAACCACUGCUGCUAACUCCAGAUCAUGAAUAGGGUAAUUCUUCUCAUGAAUCUUCAACUGUCGGGAUGAGUAUGCCACUACUCUCCCUUCCUACAUUAACACACAUCCCAGUCCGGUGUACGAAGCAUCACAAUAUAUUGAAAAUGACUUGUGGACAUCUGGCAGAAUCAAUACUGGUGUUGUUGUCAAUUUCUCCUUCAAUGUCUCAAAGGACUUUUGGCAUGCUGGGGUCCACUUGAACUCAACCUUCUUUACCAACAAGGUUGUCAUUGGCCUGGCAAUUUUGGAGAAACCUUCAAUGAAUCGCCGAUAAUAACCGGCCAUUCCAAUGAAACUCUUGAUUCCUCAGUCAUCUUUCAGUGCUUUCCAGUCUAGAAUAGCUGCUACCUUCUUCGGAUCCACAACCAAUACCUCUUGGUUUAUGAUAUGACCCAAGAACAGAACUUCACUAAUCCAGAACUCGCACUUGCUAAGCUUGGCGUACAACUGACAAUCUCGUAGCCUCUGCAGUACUUUCCUCAAGUGCUCUUCAUGCUCUUGCUCAUUCUAGGAAUAUACAAGGAUAUCAUCAAUGAACACCACUACAAACUUGUCGAGGUAGUCCAUGAACACACUGCUCAUCAAGUACAUGAAAUAAGCUGGUGCAUUUGUCAAACCGAAUGACAUGACUGUGAACUCAUAUAACCCAUACUUGGUGAUAAAGGUUGUCUUCGGUAUAUCCGAAGGUCAGAUUAUGAGCUGAUGGUAACCUGACCUCAGAUCUAUCUUUGAGGACACAUCGACUCCUCUCAACUAAUCGAAUAAGUCUUCAAUUCUGGGCAGGGGUACUUAUUCUUGAUAGUGACUUCAUUCAAGGAUCUGUAGUCAAUGCACAUCCUUUUCGUUCCAUCCUUCUUCUCCACAAAUAGCACUAGGGAUGCCCAAGGCGAGGUACUUGGUCUGAUAUAGCCUUUCUCUAGCAACUCAUCAAUUUGCUUCUUGAGUUCCACCAAUUCUGGUCUAGACACUCGAUAGGCUCUCUUGGAAAUAGGGGCGGUGCCAGGUAUAAGCUCUAUGGCAAAUUCAACUUUCCUUUCAGGUGGCAUGCCUGGUAACUCCUUGGGAAACACAUCUAGGAAUUCUGAUACUACGUUGUUAGCUUCUGAUGGUUCAAUUUCCUUAAUAUGGGCGGUGACUUGGUGACAACUGCCUUUCCUUGGUCUAGACAAGACCAACUCCACUAACACUUCUGAUGAGGACAUCCUCCACUAUUACCCGUUGGCAAAGACGUAAUUGGCCCGGUUGGCCCAAUUGUAGUCGGACGGUGACCGUGUGAGCCUCAGAAUUAUCCCACCUCGCUUAACUUGGGAGGAGGAAGCCACUUUAAAAGGGAGAGCCACCCUUCCCCCAUUGGACUAGUCUUUUGGGGCGAUUGGGCCUUUCCCUGAGUUGGGUGUGCUUAAUGAACUAUUGGGCUCCGGGCAACCCUAAUUUGUUGGGCCUCGGCCAACCCCACCUGGGCUGGGUGUAUCAUCUGGUAUCAAAGCUAGGGCCCAUUUUAAGAAGGUGGGAAUGAUGAGGACAUCCUCCACUAUUACCCGUUGGCAAAGACACAAUUGGCCCAGUUGGCCCAAUUGUAGUCGGACGGUGACUGUGUGAGCCUCAGAAUUAUCCCACCUCGCAUAACUUGGGAGGAGGAAGCCACUUUAAAAGGGAGAGCCACCCUUCCCCCAUUGGACUAGUCU
rnacentral:lncRNA from 1 species